rnacentral:lncRNA from 1 species
CCAUCGCCAAGCAUUAAGACCUCAUGUCCAACGUCGAAUUCUGUACGUAUUUACCCUUCACUGUAUGAGCGCAAGAAGUGCCUAGCCACCUUAUACGUACCACUAGAAGGAUCGAAGCCAAAGGCGACCCUUUGUUCCAACAACACAUUCCGGGUGCCCGUGGCAACUCAACAAACUCCUUGGUGGCCGGGUUGCACACAAAUAUGUGCCCUGUGAUGCUGGGGAUCAGAACAAGUCCGUCACAGUGCAAGGGGAUGGUGAAUCGUGGGAUGCCAUGGGAAAGAGGCUUGUUCCUCAUAAUGAGCUUGGCGACAUUGCUCUGCACCGCUGGCUGGAAGCUGUAGAUGUGCACGAACCGAGAGCCCAACUUCUUCGGUUCUGGCUGGAACUUCCGGGGGAUUAAGAUCAUGGAUGAUGAGCGAGCUCUUGCAAGCUCUAAGUGCAGGCGGACGAAAUCAGCGCUGGCUAUGGUGGUGCACCACACCUUGCAGACGGAUUUGAAGCGCACAAAAGACUUCACAGGAAGGCGCACGAGGAUCUCGAACUGCAGCACCUCAACUGGAAUCAUGCUGCCGCCGCCGACCUCCGGAGCCACUGGACAGCGUCGUUUGGAGAUUGGCUGGUUCAUAUAUCGAUCCUUAUUAAUCUUGACUGCCUUCAAUCUGCUCUAUCCAGACUCGUUCAUAUAUUCGUCCUUAUUAAUCCCGACUGCCUUCAAAUCUGCUCUAUCCAGACUGGUUCAUAUAUUCGUCCUUAUUAAUCCUGACUGCCUUCAAUCUGCUCUAUCCAGACUCGUUCAUAUAUUCGUCCUUAUUAAUUCUGACUGCCUUCAAUCUGCUCUAUCCAGGCCUGCGCGUCCACACGUGUAUACAUAAGUAAUCAGAAUACGGGCAAUCACAAAACUCCGACUCGGAAUUGAGACCCGAUACCGAUUGGUAUCACACUAAAAACAGGAAAAAAAAAUCGUAUGUGGAUCAGAUUCGAACAAAUCUAUACCUUAUAUAUUCAAAAUUUUGUUCUGCCAUCAGUCUACCGCGUUCCCUUCGGAGUCCAUACAGCAGAGACUUAUACGGCGGAGACGAUCCAUACAGCCUGCAAAGAAUAAUAAUAUAUAAAUAUAAAAGCGGUGGAGAGUUAAACCAAAAAAUUUUCUGGAUUCUCCGUCACAUCAAAUCUUGUAGCACAUGUACUAAACAUUAAAUAUAGACGAAAACAAAAACUAAUUACACAGUUUAGCUAUAAAUCACGAGACGAAUCUUUUGAUCCUAGUCCAUAAUUACAAACAAACGAAACAAACGUAAUUACAAACAAACGAAACAAACGAAAGUACUACGGUACCGAAAACUUUCACUUUUUCGGAACUAAACAAGGCCUAAAUCUGCACGGCCUGCAAAGGAUAAUAGUAACGCCGGCCAAAGAGAAAGGAAUAAUAAAAUGGCAAAAGAUCCAAAAAUCGAAUCGAAAAAGAACUCCAAAGGCAACGAACCAUGGCUGUACCCAGCAAACGCACAGCGCCCCCGGUCCGACUAGAAGGCAACACGCGCCCAGCGUCCAAGGGUGGCACUGCGCAAAUAGGAUCUUCUCCCCAAGCGGCGGCGGCCGCCAUGGAGUCGCCGAUCUGGCUGCUUGGGUUGCGAUUUGGCCGAUUCGGUUGAGGUACUUUGGGAGAAUAGAUUUGGGAAGAGGAGAAAGUGAAGGGUAGAAGAAGUGGAUGGGUGCAGAAGACCGAGCGGAGAUUUGCCGUAGGGCAGGGAGGGGUGCAGAAGAAGAGCGGUGCGGGUCUGCCUGCCAUCUGCGGACGGGAAAAGCAGCACCGCAUGUAUCUGUGCGUGCGUGCACGGUCUAUCCUGGGCGUUGAUUCGGCCGGCGGGUCCUAUCAUAGUAGUACGGUUUUAUCAUGCGCUGAUUUACCUGUGGAUUAUUAAGCUUAAGCCUUGUUUAGUUACUGAAAAGUGAAAAAAUUUUCGGUACGGGUCGAGGAUGGUGAGAUGCAUGCUGAAACUAUACACCUAAUCGUGUUGAGAAAUUUGUGAUUAUAGAACUCCAAUCGUGUGGGUUUCGCUAUAAUAGGACUCUAAACAUUUGCUUCGUUAAAACGACUCUUAAAUCGUUAACGCUUUGCUAUUAUAACAUUUGAGAUUUAAAUUGGACGUUUUGUACUCAAAUCUCUUCCAAACUUGAAAUAUUUUCAAUUUAAUGGCCAUAUUACCCUUAGGGGCUAAUAAACAGCCUCCUGCAGGUGUAGACCUCGCGUCGCACCGAACGGGCGACAUCACGAGUGGCACGGCAGUUGCGAUCGCUUGUUAAUCCUAGCACCGCUCGCCUGCCAAUCUGCCAUCAGAAGAAAGUUCUAGCGUUCCUACGGGUUCUUUUUCUCUUCCAUUCUCAUUUUCUGGAAGGCAUCGAUGGAUGGAUUCCUGCACAUCAUGCACGCACUCACUGGCUCACGAGGGCGGACGACCGGACCCGGAUGAUGAGGCGGGGAAAGCUCCGCUCAGCAAAGGAUGGCCUCGACGCUGCCCGUCCGCACGCACAGGCACACGGGCACGCCAUGGCGGCGACGUUCGCGUCGCCCGCGGCGAAGCACUCGCCGCAGAGGGAGAAGCACGACGGAGGCCGGCCUGUGGCGGUAGCCGAGGCACGUGCAGUCCGACGACGUCCUUGGACCCGUGGUGCGGCAGCAAGGGUCCACGUACGCUGAUGACGAGGACUCCGCCGAGGCGGCGUCGCCGGCGGUGGCAAGCUCCUCGACCGACGCCCACGCCAUGGCCGCGGCGUGCUGGAGCUGCGCGUGCAGGGUGACCGCGGCGGCCUGCUCUGACAGCGCCUUGGCCUACCACGCUGUCGCCUCGCCGUGGAGGCGCGAGAGCCGCUCCUCCAGCUCGGCGCAGCACCGCGCCUCGCGCUUCGCUUCCGCCGCCUUCUCGCGCAGCCUGGUCCGCCUUCACCAGAAUCGCCUGGUUGUGGCACCACAGCCGAUCAGCCAUCGCUAGCAGCAGCCGGCCAGGCAUGCAGCAGCCGGCGGCCAGCAGCUGGCUGUUUAUUAGCCCUUAGGGGCAAUAUGGCUAUUAAUUGAAAAUAUUUCAAGUUUGGAAGAGAUUUGAGUACAAAACGUCCAAUUUAAGUCCCAAAUGUUAUAAUAGUAAAGCGUUAACGAUUUGAGAGCCGUUUUAGCGAAGUAAAUAUUUAGAGUCCUAUUAUAGCGAAACCCACACGGUUGUUUUUGUUGUUGGUUCAGUACAAGGUAGGAUCUUGUUUGGUGGCAUGUAUGGAUGAGAGUUUUAAGUGUAUGACACAUGGGCCUCUGUACCAUGGCUGCACCGUAUCGUCCCGGCUGGAGUGGGAAGGUCGAAUCGAGAAGACGGAGGCGGCCGGGAUGGAGGGGGAGAGAGGAACGAAGCCAUACACGAAAAUGAUACCAGCAGAGAAACCAAACACGGGCCAACUGCACCGAACCGUACGGGAUGGGCCUUUGAAUGGUCCGGUCGAGGCAACCAAUCACCCCCUAACUAGGAUCAAAAGAUUCGUCUCGUGAUUUACAACUGAACUGUGUAAUUAGUUUUUGUUUUCGUUUAUAUUUAAUAUUUCAUGUAUGUGACACAAGAUUCGAUGUGACGGAGAAUCUUGAAAACUUUUUGGUUUUCAGGGUGAACUAAACAAGGCCUUAAUCCAUGAUCCAAUCGGAUUUUUGCAUUUGGAUUGUAUUGGAUUUGGACCCAAUUCGAUGAGGACAUUAGGGCACUCACAAUGCAGACUCUAUCAUAAAGUCUAAAGUUAUUUAUUACCUCGAACAAUGUGGAUUUAGAGUCUAAAUAAGACUUGAAGUCUUAUUUUUUCUACCUCUUUCUUCAAUAAAUAUGUUGCCACAUCAGCAAAAUACCAUAAAUAAUAUGUAAUUAAUUGUCUUGGACUCUGUGAUAGAUUGUUGCAUUGUGAGUGCCCUUAAAUAAGCUGCCACAUAGACAUUUUAUGAUUUUAGAUGAUAUAACACUGUAUUUAAGAAAAGAAGAAAUGAGUUAAUAGUUUUGGAUUUUUUUGAUAAAAAAGUUGGACAAUCCAAAUUGUGUUGGACUUUUCCUGCACGGCAGCCAUGCCAGCGUUUUUGCUUCUCCCUGUUCACCCAUCGGCACCUCGGCGUGGCCUUGCACACUGAGGGGCUUCUGCAUCUAAAGCGACAUGCCCACGCGCUUAAGAGCAUCUCCAAAGGUUAUGUAUUUUUAGUUUUGUAUUUGAUGGAGUUUGCAAAGUUUCAAAUAAAAAUGGCAAGGAUAAAAAGACAUGAUCUCCAACGGUUUUGCAUUUUCACUUGGCAUUUAAAGGGAUUUUGGGCCCACACUUUUUUUCCCGGAAGGUUUUUCUCUCGGCACGUGAUUUUCUUCGUCGCCGGUAAUUCUUUACGCGUCACGCGCCUUCGUAUCGCGGCAUUCCUCGCUCAGCCGUCGUCGCCCCGUCCAAGUCCUCGCGCCGCGUCAUUUGGUCCUCACUCGUCCUGAACCUCGCCCCGUCCUGAUCCUCUGCGGCAAAGCUUCGCGGCAAAACUUGGCGGCGCUCGCGCGGGUGGACGGAACGCAACCCGAGUCGCGCGGGCAUGGGGACGAUCACGAUUUGCAAAGCCCUGGGGGGCUUGGCAUAUAUGCCAAGUCUAGACCUCUAAAUACCAAGUUAUGCAAAUUGCAAAGUCUAAAUGCAAAACCAUUGGAUAGCAUAUUUUAAGUUUUUUUUGCAAAUUAGUAAAUGCAAAGUCUAAAUACAUAACCCUUGGAGAUGCUGUAACAUCCCAAAAAUUCACAUUCAAAAAUCACUCGCAUUAAAAAUUAUUUUCAAAAUAUAUUUCAAAAACUAUAAAAUAAUUUGAGCUCUAUAGUAUCUCCAUCUAAUUCUUUUUCCAUCCAUUCUAAUUAUCCAUCUUUAAAUAUAACCUGCACCGCAUGGCAUGAGCAUCAUAUGUCCGCUACUUAUCCCUCUUACUCGCUCGCUCUGCCCGAUACCCGGCAACGGCGCGUGCGCCGACCCCACCACCAUCAGCGCCGCAGUGCACUCACGCCCGGCCCCCUCGCCGAGCGCACUCGCUCGCGCGCGCACCGCGGCAUGCGGGCCCCACCUCUUGCCUUUUCCCGCGCCUCUUUUGCUGUACAAAAAGAUAGCAAGUCGCAACGUACAAUUAGGCACCAUUUAUAUUUUCGCGCACAAAUAACAGCGAGUACCAGCAAGUUUACAUGCAAGAAAGCAUAGCAGUGCACCCACACAUAUGAAUAUAUCUCAUACAUGCAUGCAUGCAUGCAGGACAAGCAUGCCACCGUCCAUUUGCAUGCACCUGCAUGCAAAGGACAUGGUGAUUAGGCACCGUCCAUUUGCAUGCAACGUGCAUGCAAAUGGGACAUCGUCCUUCGCAUGAAAUUAGGCACCGACCAUGCGCUACAGUAGCAUUUUUAAUGGCACGCAGCUGAGCGCUUCGGCCUAUAAAAAGCCAGCCUCGGGUGCUCACUCUCACCACCCGAGAAACACGUUCACUCACUCGCUCACUCGCUCUCACUUCGCGUAUACCGUAUACGGCCAUACGCACAAGCCGAGCUCGACUGUCGUCGCAAGACGAGGUGAGCAGCUCAUGAGCAUCUCCUUGCUCUUCUCUGUCUUUCUGUAGUAUUUUUCUGUAUUUUUCCAUGUAUUUGUCUGUACCGGUUCACUGCCAAGAACUCCACGAAUAGAACCAUGACAUACAGAAGAGUUCUAAUGACCCCUGCUAAUUUCUCUCUAACCAUGCAUGUGUGGGCCAAGCAUUAACUCCAAAUAGUACAUGCAUGCAUGCAACAUGCACUACCAGCCAAACAAAUGCCCACGUGAAGCAUCCAUUCCUUAAUCAUCGUUAGCCUUUUUCGCAUGAUUAAAUUCCGGCCAUUUCACAAAUGCCACAUGCUAACUCUGAUUUUAAUAAUUCUUUUUCCUAAAUUCAUCUAAAAUCAUGACCUACCUCCCAUAUUAAUUUCAUGAUUUUUGGAGCUCAUUUGAAUUUAUAUGAUUAUUUAUCUGUGCCUGUUGUCUGUGUCGUUCGUCGCGUAUUUUAGCUGACGGAGUGAACGAGCCGGAAAACGAGAACGUUGGAAACGAGUACCGCGAGUUUGACGCCGAGGACCCGGACUGUCAGCAGGAGUUUGCUGAGGACGCCGACGGAGGCAAGUCCAACCGAUCCCCUUUGAUGCAUAUUGAUCCUAUUUUUAAACACAACCCGUAGAAGCCGUUUUAAAUAUUGCAUGUACGAUAUAUGUACGAAGUAUUUUUGCUGCUUAGUUAAAACCUGUUGAAUAGCCAUCCUUGAAUUGAUAUUACCCGGUAAUUGUCUUGUUCGAACCUAGGAACAAAUAAUAUGCUAUGACAGAAAUAUUAUUAUUUAGUAUGCUUAGGACUUGUUACUCAUCCUGGAUACUCAUCGCUAUAUUUUCCCAAAUAUAAUGAUUUUAAAAGUAAAAGGUGUGAGUGGUGAAAAUAAAUUGUGGGUAUUAUGAAAGGGUUAAUGAACAAGUUAUAGAUGUGAUUACUAUAGAGAUGGGGCGGAUGGAAUCUCUUUUGAGGAUGUCUUGGUGUUGUGGCUUAUACCUUGUGGGGUUAAGCGUGAAGAUAUCCGCCUUGUCUCGAUUAAGGACUGAGUUGAUGAUUCAUCUUGCCUAACUCAUUUAUCGUACAACCACUCGCCUUGCAUGGGAAAGGCUUAGUCUAAAUCCCUCUAGUUAGUAUGGCAAUCACCUGGAGGCAGGUGUGCAACGGGACACUAAGUGAUGUAUGUGAAAUUGUGGAAAUAUAUGAAAAGAGCUUUGUGAAUUAUUGUGGUAUCAUGAGAUGUGGCCUUAGUGUUCCCGUGGUGAGCGCCAUUACUUAGCUAUGGAGGGUAAUGACUUUGAUGGAUAUGUGCUUGCACGACGGUGUAAGUUAUGGUAUCCUACUUGUGGGAAAAGUGUACAACCUCUGCAGAGUGUAAAUCUAUCUGGAUAGCCGUGUCCGCGGUCUCGGACGGGUUAUGGUUUGGUUUCAACAACUAGAUGGGAUGGUAUGAGUGAAAACAUAAGAGUGAGUGUGAUUUUGGAAAUAAAUGGUUGACUGCCAUUGUGUUGUGGGAACAAGGGUUCAACAACACUUAAAAUUGUGAUUAAACCCCCAUUUUUAGAAAUACUAUCAUUUGUGGAAAAGGAGCUCUUUUACAACAGUAUUUGUGAAAUGAAACCUUGCAUGUGUAAAAAGAUAGCUUUAUGCAAAUAAAACUAAGCCUCAUCCUUGAUUUAACCAUAUGCAUAUAUACUGUUAUCCCCUUCCGUAGGGUAAAGUUGGAUUUGCUGAGUACUUUGUACUCACCCUUGCUUUAUUAAACAGAGGAAGAUCCGGACUUCGAUCCCGAAGUGGCGUUCGAGUAAGGUCGUGUCUGCACCCAACUAAGCCUGUGGCAUUGGGACUCGUCAGAUGUUCGAUGGCGAUAUCGUUUGUUUCUGGAUCCUUUGGACCUGUGUUGUAUUUUGGUGUCUUAUUAUUAUAGCGUGCCUUCCUUGUCCACGCUUUCCAAGACUACUGCGCUGAAACUUAUCUGAUGUAAUAAAUGUGUUACUAGCCUCCUGGGACUAGUAUUGUAUCACAUUUGAGUUCCUGGUUUACCAGGGGCGCUUCAGAUGCUCUAAGUAGCAAAGAUGGUUACGGGUACAGAUUAUCCACGUACCUGCGGGUAAAAAUCUGGGUCUUACUUAGUUUUAAAUUAUUUUAGGAAAUCGACACUGUAGCAUUUUCGUUUGUAUUUGAUAAAUAUUGUCCAAUCAUAGACUAACUAGGAUCAAAAGAUUCGUCUCGUCAAUUUUGACCAAGCUAUGCAAUUGGUUUUUAUUUUUGUAUAUAUUUAAUACUUCAUGCAUAUGUCUAAAGACUCGAUGUGACGAAGAAUCUGGAAAAUAUUGCAAAACUUUUUGCGAACUAAACGAAGGUACGAGUGCAACUUUGUGCCUGCGGAUGUGUUAUAAGUUUGUAGUUGAACCCAGUGGAUAAAAACUUGUGAGAAUAGAAAAACCUGUACCGUGUCUGUUUCACCCGCAAACCCGCUCCAACCUUGUGAUAUGUAAGCCUCUUAUUAUACUAUAUAUAAAGAAAGCAACAUAGAUUCAUGAUUUUCUCCCUCAUAUCUAUUUAUAUAUAAGAGAACCAUUUUUAUGUUGGUAUAGUGUUAGGUAGUUUUGUUUUUCAUACUUAAACUUCUUUUUUUAUAAUCUAUACAUGUAUUAUUAUUCUGCAAGUUCAUGGGUGCGCCCGCGGGUAUUUUGUGCCCGUAGGUACGGGCGUGAGUGUAGACUUCUACCGGAGCGGUUUGCGGGUGCGGGUGCAGGUUUGGGAUUCAACCCGCGAGUGCGAGUCUAUGUGUCUCCUACCCACGGGUAAUGUGCCAAUUGCCAUCUAUAUCAGCUAGGGGUAAGGGUGGAUGAGAUAUGACCAUUCAUAGAUUUAGGGAUAUGGAAAUCCAUAUUUUUUGUUUAGUUGGAUGGAUGGAAUGAGCUAUUUUUUGUUUAGUUAGAUGGAUGAGAAUUGAUGGAAUGAAAAAUACUUGACUAAGGAGUAGAUGAAAAUAAAAACUAAUUGCACAGUUUGCGUGUAAAAUCGCGAGAUAAAUCGUUUGAGCUUAGUUAGUCCAUAAUUGACAAUAUUUGCCAAAUAGAAACAAAAAUGCUAUGGUACCUGAAGUUAAUUUUUUUUAGAACUAAACAAGGCCUUAUAUUUAUUUUAUUUAAAAACACAAGUAAUUAUACACUAAAUAAUUAUACAGUAACAUCAAUUUGUCAUGAUAAUCUACAAAUAAAAAAGUUAAUUAACACCACAAUUAUCCUAAUUAGCAUUAAAACAUGCACUAAUUAAUAUAUUAGCAAUUAUCAAGGUUAAUCUUGAUGUCAUAAUUGCUAAACAGUAAUAUAACAUACUAUUAAUCCUUAAUUAUUUACUAAUGACAUAUUAGAAAAGAUUGAUGAGCUCACUAGGCAAAAUUUUUGUGGCGGAGGUAUCCAACAUCUAAGAGAAUAUUCCCUUAGCAAAGAUAUCCAUAUCUAGCUUGUCCAGCGAACCAAACAACGAUUAUCCAUAGACCACCAUCUUCCAUCUAGGGAUAUCCAGCAAACCAAACACACUCUAGAUGAAUAUAGCCAUACGCACCACCCAGCGACGGAUCUAGAAGCACCUAGGGGGCUAAAAAGGAUUUUGGCUGUGUUGGGUAGGGCCAAUGUAUAUUUUUAUGAGCUAUUUGGGCUGGACAAAGAAAACAUCUCAAUGUAUUGAGUCGUUGUAGCACAUAGGUGCAACGAAAAGCAUUACGCAGUAGGAAAAGCAACUAACAAUAUGCCGCGUGGGGUGAAACCGAGCAGGGGAGCUAUGCCACUGCGUGCCAGCCGCGCGGUUACACCCUCCCUAAUCCAAUUCAUGCUUCAUUUCGGGAUGUGGCCAUUCCUCGUCGUCCACCCAUGGAGCGGGACCUAGGGUUCCGAGCGAGGCUCAAGGUGGCUAGCCAUGGUCUGGUGUCUAGGCGGCGGUGUCAGGGGCGUUCGACAGCGCUUAAUGGUGGGUUCGUUGACAAGGAGGGAGGGGAGCGUGAGGCUCAUUUUGGGCAAGGGGCGAGGGGAGUCCGUAGGGAACCUGAAGGCCAACUUAGUAGAAGUAAGAUGAUUGAAUAAUAUAUGUAAUAUAAAGGAAACAAAUUGUCAAGCGACUUAGUUUAUCCAAAGAGACGUUGGUGCCACUGUUGUCGAUGAUAGCAUAAUCGAAAGGUGGUGGUCAACUAUGUGUCUAGGCGAUUGUUGAGGGGUAUUGAUGAUGUCGAGUGUUGCCACGAGCAUAAUGACAUGAGAUGGUAGGAUGUUGAGAACCGUGACAAAAAGGUUGUGCACUGCUAAACUAUAAGACGUUUUAUUUUUUUUUUUCUAAAAACUUGCUACACACUAUGUCUAGAUAUAUUACAAAAGAAAUAUAUAAAAAGAUUACUAAAGUAUGUUAUCUUAUAUUUUAGAAUUGAGUGAGUACAAAAUCACACUUAGCUGAAAACCUACUCGUACUAAAGACACAAAGUUUGGUAACUCAAACAUCAUCAUCAGUAAAUAAAGUCAAAAUUGAAGCACGUGGAACGCUGCUAUCCUAUCCGCAUACGGCUUGAAAUAGUAGCUUUACACUACAAUCGUGUGCCCCGGAAGUUGGUUAUGGCUACUUCAACCAAUCUGAUUCCUGAAGUAGCAGCAGCAGUGACGAUCUCUUUCCUACAAAAAGACGUUAUUUGUCCACCAAGGACCAUCGCUGCAUUCUCGCUGCAGUGCCUAUACUAUACCCAACUCGACUGACGUGUCUGAAUCUGAUCUGAAAAAAAAAGGAACGAACACACACGAGCGCCCAAAGCCCCGGACGAGCAUCCAUCUCCUCAGCAGCUCACCUCAGACACCCUUAACGCACGUGUGUAAUUGUAAUGCAACGAAACGAACCCGGCGAGCCGAAGCGAGAGUCUGCUGCGCUUGCUAUUUUUGCACCCAAUCAUUUACGGUGCACCCCCGCGCCGCGCAGCACCAGAGCCUAGAGCCGCCACUUCCCGGGCCCACCCGCAGCGACCCGCCGCGCCCGAUUCCGCGCAGAUCCGCGAUUGGUCGACGCCUCCUCCUCCUCCUCCUCGUCCCCGUUCCCCUCCCCCCCCCUUCUCCUUCCCCGCGUCGCUCGCAGCAAGCCCCGCCCCAACAAAUUCCCCCAUUCCCAAAUCCCCCCCGAACUCCCCGCCACGCCCGGCUCCGCAUCCUCGGCCCGCUCCCGCCGCCGGCCGCCGCCGCUCGCCGCCGUACGGAAUCUCAGGCACCCCGUCGCCGCGGCCGCCCCCGACCCCACGCUCCCGCGGCCCCGCCGGGAUUCUAGGGUUUCGGGUGGGCCGACCCUAGGGGGUCUGCAAUUCGCGGGCCGGGCUCCACGCCCCGGCUCCCCCCGCGCCUCGGGCGCCGAUCGCCGCGAGCUGCGCUGCCCCCGCGCGGGCGUGGGCGCCGUUUCCACUCGCUGGGCUGCUGCCUGCUGAUACAUGCGGCCGCUGCCACACUGCUGCUCCAGCUCAAUCGGGAAACGCCCCGCCUCGGAUUCCGCGCAGGAUAGACGGCCGUUUCCUGCUACCGCGGUGUGUGCUUGAACAAAGCUUGCUCCUUUCACGUUUGUUCUUUUUUUCUUUUACCGUCGCUUCCUUCUCUCACGUGUGGCUUCACUCUCUUGCUCAUAUAUGUGUGCCCUCUGUCCAGCUACCGCGCGCGGGAUGACCUGAGCCUCCGCCUGCCGCCAAGAUGAAUGUGGGGCAGGCUGCCCACCUGUCUGGGCAGAUGUCCGGGCAGACAGCGCAGAUGAAUCAGGUUCCCGGCACCGGUGUCGGCGUCGGCGUUGGUGUUGGUGUUGGUGGCGCUGAUGGGCUGCCGCAGCACCAGCCAAUGCAGGAGAUGGCAGCGCUCUCGGGAACGGAUCAGCAUUUCGUCAUGCUUCGGACCACUAUGCGUGAAAAGAUGUAUGUGUUUAUUUACUACUGUUGACUUCUAAAUACUCCAGUUGUAGUCAGGUAUUGAUUGCACUGAGUUAGUGAGCUUCAGACUGGCUGAACGGCCACAUAUACCAAGUGCCAGAUCCAAAUUGUCUACAUGCCCCGACAAAAAUAUUACCUUAUCAAACUUUGUGCUUAUAAAUUUAUUUCCUUGCCAUAAUUACGAAUGCGACAAUGGAUGCAUUAUAUGUUGUUGGCUUUCCUUAAAAUUUUCGAGGUUUGUUGAUUUCCCUUCCUAUAAUUGCCCAAAGGUUUGUGAACGAUUUUCUUCAACCCUAUAUGAGGUAUAUGACAUUUUUUUACUAUUCUUGCAGAUUCGAAUAUAUAGGGAGGAAACAAUCAUCAGCUGAGUGGCGGAAGCGGUUGCCAGAACUGGCAAAGCGGCUUGAGGAGAUCUUGUACAGAAAAUUCCCAAACAAGGUAUUGCUAUCCCAUUCCCUUCAUCUUUUGCAAGGCUUUGUUGAUAUUCUAGAGAUCAAGUAUAUUUCUGGGGAGCAAAAAUAAAAUCUUGCUGUUUCAUCGCCAUUUUGUUUUUUGUUCCUGUAUUGUUUGAGCAGAAUGACUACUACAAUAUGAUGAAGGGACCAGUUGAGCCGCAAUUGCAGUUUGCUAUUAAGACCUUGAGCGCUCAGAACCAACACAAUCAACAAAACCCACAAAUGACAAGACAAAUAGCAUCAUCCUCUGGCUAUGGUACUAUGAUUCCUACCCCUGGUAUGACGCAAGGCACCAGUGCAAAUUCUAGGAUUCCUUAUGUCACGGACAACAAUGCCCUUUCUUCGUCUGGUGGAGGCAUGGUUCCUCAGAAUGCUAACAUGGGUGUCUCGAUGCAAGGUGCAUAUAUUUUUACUAGUCCUUUUGGCCUGUUUUCUGUUUAACUGAAGAUCUCUAGCCAUUAUCUAGUGCCUGUAUGCUGAAAAAGGACUUACCUCUUUGAGGGUCUCACUUAUCUUCCUUAUACUCAAAUUUCUUUUGGUUAUAUCUUAAAAGAGGAAGCAUGCCUUUUGGUGUCUGUGUUUUUUGAAAUUGAUUUGAUUAUUUUACCAAGUCAAUAAGCUGAAACUUAUGCAGUGCCUAACUGGUCAACCAUAUAUUCUUAGUUUUGUUUUGGCAGUCUCUUUAUUUGCCCCUGCUCACUCUUAAUUCCUCCAUGCAGGUCCAAUGUCUAAUGGGUACCAGCAUUUAAAUACCAACAUUCCACAAAAUUCUACCACAAAUAACGUCCAAUCUACAAUGGGUUCAGUUGGUGUUCAGCGACAACUACCUCAUAUGAUCCCAACUCCAGGAUUCAGUAAUCAACAGAAUGUACCUUCAAAUCCUGACUAUUCAAAUGGAACUGGAUAUUUCAACGGUGAGUCAGCUGUGGCGCCACAUAUGCAGCACCAGAAGCAAUUUUCUAGCAACCAAAAUAGCAAUCAAAUUCAGCAUAUUGCGGGCCACAAUAAUUCUGGAAUGCAUUCAAGCAUGUUGGACAACUCAUCUGCAUAUGGUUUAUCAGAUGGACACAUGAAUGGUGGAAUAGGAGUGCAUGGGUCAAAUAUGCAGCUAACAAAUAGGAAUACAGCACCGGAAGCAUAUAUGAACAUAUCCCCUUAUGGCAAUUCGCCCAAACCUUUGCAGCAGCAAUUCAAUCAGCACCCUCAGCAGAGAAUACCGAGUAAGCUUGCUGCCUUUUGACGCUGCGUCCUCUUUUUCACUGCCAUCUUAUGGGUGUUUUUUUUCCUAUAAGCCAUAACAUGAGGUUAUGCUUGUAAAGGACACCAAUCAGAAAGUCUCAAUGAUUAUAUCUGAAGCUUGAGCCUGUAUAUAUUUAUUUAUAUUGUUGCCCAAACUGACCGGUUCGAUUAUUAUUUGACAGUUAGCAAACUCAGAAAAAUAAAACCUUAAGCUUCUUAUAGUUCCUUGCUGCUGGAAUUGCCAGUCUUAUAAGUAAUGUGUUGCUAUCCAGGGUGGUGAUGCUUUUACCAAUCUAUCUAGUAUUUAGCACCAGUCUGGAUAUCUUCAGAUGGAGCCUUGUAGGCGUGUAUGGUUUUGCUGUUGAUACUUCAACGAUGAUAGAUGAAAUGUUAUUAAUGAAUAGUGAUUCUAAAUAAAUAGUGGCAACAUGACAUCCCUCUUCUUUCUGCAGUACAUAAUUGAGGGGGUCUAAAGUUCUCUUAAGCAUACACCUAUAUGAUCUUUGCUUGGGGAGGCGGUACAGCUUGGCAUGUUACUGUUUCGAAUUGACUGAUUUUUCUUGCGUUUAGUUUUCUUCAUAUAAUUGAAAAAAACUGUGGCAUUGUAAUGAAAUAAAUUCAAUUUCUUUUUGUGUGCAGCAUCAGUUGAUAUGGCUGGUUCCGGCAGCUUUUAUGCUACUGGCUCUACCCCUUUAACCACAGCAAAUAGUCAGAGCAUGAAUGUUGCAAAUUUGCAGUCUAGAUCAAGAAUGAAUCAGAUGUUGGUUUCCAAUCAGUUAAACAUUCAGUCUAUUCAGCAACAGCCCCAGAUAAAAAGUGAGGUUUUGGAUCAAACAGAAAAGGUGAAUUUUCAGUCACCACAGUUGACUCAUGAUCAACUACUACGCCAGCACCCAAUGCCGCAGCAUCAGGUGCAACCUAAUUCCCAGUUUGUUCAAAAUCAGUAUCAUAUAAAUCAACAGCAGCCAAAUCCACAGCAUCAGCAGGCUAUGCUAAGGAACAAUUCCUUUAAACAGUCUCAAAUGGUUUCCACCCAUUCAAUGCAACUACCAGAACAGGGGACUCUGCCACAAACUGAACUGGUAUCUUCACAAGCUAGUGAUCCUGGUGACCUUCCAAGCUUCCAGGGUCAAUACCAGCAAAGAAAUGCUCUUGACAAUGUUAAAGGAGGGCAGAUGCUUGGUCAUCUAUCUAGCUCUCAAAAUUUUCAUCCUUCUGCCUCACAUGUUUCUCAGCAAUUGUUGCCCUCUAAUCCACAUCUUGAUGACGGUUCCAAUGCUGUAAGCUAUGUGCUGAAAGGGUCGCAGACAGAGCAAAUGCUACGUCCUCAAUGGCAGCCUCAAACAAUGGAAAAGGCUCCUGUCACUACUAAUUCAACACUCGAAAAGCAAAUACAGGAAGAUUUUUGUCAAAGCACAAUGGCACAAGAUGGAGCACAACAACCAUUUUCAUCAGAUUGGCGUCUUUCUAAUGGCACUGCAACUUCUAUUGAUCCUGCAGUGCCGAAGCCCGCAGCUGAACAGGUUACUGGAAAUAUCCAUUACUUCCGUCAGAUAAAGUGGUUGCUGUUACUGUUUCAUGCAAAAACAUGCACAUAUCCUGUUGGAAGUUGUAAGUUCCAUGGUUGUGUUCAGGUGCAGGAGCUUUUGAAGCAUUUUCAGAACUGUCAAAGGAAAGAUUGUUCAUACAGGAGCUGCAGUAAGUCAAAAACGAUGUCUCACCAUUAUAAAACUUGUGUUGAUGAGCAAUGUCCUGUGUGCAGCGUUGUAAGGAAGUUUUUGCGGCAAUCAACUGAACAGGCAUCUAAGCAAAAAGCUCUUGAGUCUAGAAAACUUGCUCAACAAAAUGUGCCUCAGAGAAUCAUGAACGGGAUAGAAGGUGAUAGAAUGGACGUUGACCCAGUGUCAGCUGAAGCAUUUGAUGAUCAACCAUCUGUCCCAAAACGUUUAAAGAUGCAUCCUCCAUCACCCAGUGGCCCAGAGAAUGAUAUCUCUGUAGUCUCCAAUCAUCAUGUAAACUCAGGCUUUGCAUUGCAGGAAACACAGCCUGAGCAGUUUGAGCACAAUAACAGGACAGCAUAUCUGAAACGAGAGGUAGAUGCAAAGGCUGACAUACGAGCUCCUCAAAAGCCCAUAAAAAAUAGUUAUGGUAUUGAUGGAAAUGCGACUACAUCAAGGCACAAUGUGAUUCCUGGUGUUCCCACUGAGAUGAACUCUCAUAUCAAGCAAGAAAACUUGUCGGUUGACAAAGAGACAAGUGAAACCGCCCUUGAGGUUAAGAACGAAACAAAUGAUCCAACUGAUGCGACCGUGUCUAAAUCAGGAAAACCAAAAAUAAAGGGCGUUUCUAUGACUGAAUUAUUCACUCCAGAACAAAUAAGGGAACAUAUUGACAGUCUAAGGCUGUGGGUUGGUCAGGUAUGAUUUUCUUAACUGAAAGUACCCACUUGCAUAGUUGCAUUUCAUUUCCUUUGACAAAAUCACAAAAUUGCUGGACCACUUAUAAACUGUAGGCUAUAGACAACUGAGCAUUGCCCUUAGAAAGAUGUGGUUCAUGCUUGCCUGUUAGCAAUUGGGGUAGGCUAGAGGUGAAACCCAACAUGAUUCUUGGUCAUGAAAGGCUUUUACCAAUGGGUAAUGAAUUCGUCUCCUCCUUGUGCCUUCACUACUUUAUUAACUAGACUAUAAUAUAAUAUAAUUAAAGAAUGGGGUUACAAUAUAGUAUUGCCAAGCUGGCAAGCUCUAUUUUAGUUACUUUAGAGAAAACUCUUUUCCUGCCAGGGACUAAAUGAGAUUUAGUCAACUCCUUGUUUUCUCAGAUGGAUGGGACUUGCGGGAAUUUAUUCUUAGCAUGUAAGACAUUGUAACUUGUGUUACUGUAUCUUAGCAAAUAAAGUAUUUUACCCUCUCUUCGUCAGAAAUUAGGAAUGAUCUUUAUCCUGUACUGUUUUGCAAAUACAGCAUUUUUUUAUUAGCUAAAACUGCUGUUCGUACUUCUGUUUUAUAAUGCUUCUGGUGGAACUUGUGCCUUAACCAUACAAUGUAUUUUUGAGAGGAGCUAAUUUUUACAUGUUCCACUUUUGACAGAGUAAGGCUAAAGCUGAAAAGAAUCAAGCUAUUGGUCAUUCUGAGAAUGAGAACUCUUGCCAGCUCUGUAGAGUAGAAAAACUUACUUUUGAACCUCCACCAAUAUAUUGUUCUCCUUGUGGAGCUCGGAUAAAGCGAAACGCACCAUACUACACUGUGGGUACUGGCGAUACACGCCAUUAUUUCUGUAUCCCUUGUUACAAUGAGUCUCGUGGUGAGACUAUUGAGGUUGAAGGCCAAACAUUUCCGAAGGCAAAGUUAGAAAAGAAAAGAAAUGAUGAGGAAACGGAAGAAUGGGUAAGUUGUGCAGUUCCAUUGAUACGGUGGUGUCAUAAAAGCUCAAAAGUUUCUGAUAUGUUUCUUUUGUGCUAAACAUUUUCAAAUCAUGCAUUCUGCAGUGGGUUCAAUGUGACAAAUGUGAAUGCUGGCAACAUCAAAUUUGUGCUCUAUUUAAUGGAAGAAGGAACGAUGGAGGACAAGCUGAAUAUACUUGCCCCAAUUGCUAUGUUGAGGAGGUCAAACGCGGGCUGCGCAAACCUUUACCACAGAGUGCUGUUCUUGGGGCAAAAGAUUUGCCGAGAACUGUUCUUAGUGAUCAUAUAGAAGAUCGGCUAUUUAAACGACUUAAGCAGGAGAAACAGGACCGUGCAGCUGCUGCUGGCAAAAAUAUUGAUGAGGUUAGUAGACUAGAUCUUCUUUGAGGAAACAAUGCCAAAUAAAUCAAUCUGAACACAUGAUCCAUAUAUUUAUGGUUAUUCUGCUAAAAAAACUCGGAUUUACCUUAAGAGGAUGUACCAGGAUUCGAACGCGGACUGACAAGGGGAGAACCCCCCUGAGCACACUGCUCUUACCAGUAUAACUCGCGAGAAGUUGGUGUUUAUUCUGCAAGUUGUCCUAGAUUUGUAAUAUGAAGAACUACAAGUCGGACACCAAAUCAACAAGUAGUUUCUUUGUUGCAGUUUGGAUACUCAAGCACAACGAGCUUUGUUUAUUUACCUGAUUUUUUAGUUCUUGACAAAACAUAAUAUGGCAAGGAAGUUUUUUUAGUGUAGUUUGGACGCUCAAGCACAACGGGCUUUGCUCAUUAAGAUAAAAGUUUUAUGAAUCAAGAAAGCAUUAGUUUUAUAUUUUUGUCGGUACAUUCUUUCUCAUUUAUUUACAAAGAUAGUAAUAGCCUUUGGUUUGGAGGUGGGACUGCUGCCUAUCAAUAAGAGAAUAUAAGUCAACUGCAGAUAGCAAAUAGGCUGGCGGCUUCCAACAUCACCAUAGGUGAAGUGGACAAGAACCAUUGCACAUAACAGGUUUUCCUCUGUAUUGAUGCAGAGCAUGCUUUUGUGAAGUGGUUGGGUUUCUUAUUUGGGCUAAAUAGGAUGACACGUUAGAUAGCAGGCUAAGUUACCUUGGUAUAAAAUUAUGUAUUUACUUUUGUGCUAGUUUUCCUUGUAUACAUACUGUCAGGUACUUCUUUUUUUCCAUGUAUGAAGCAUUAUGGCACACUUAUUCUUUUUGCCAUCAAGUUUGAUCCCUGGUAUGAUUUUGUUUCAUUCCAUCAAGUUCACUUCUAAUUAUGCCUUGUUAGAUUCCUGGAGCGGAAGGACUUGUGGUCAGAGUUGUUUCAUCAGUGGAUAAGAAGCUGGAGGUUAAACCACGCUUUUUGGAAAUUUUUCAAGAAGACAACUACCCUACAGAGUUCCCUUACAAGUCCAAGGUAAGAAUUCAUUCUUGUCAUUUGAAGCAUGAAAUCUAGUCACACUCACUAAUUUCUGCAACUGUAUGUUUAUGAAAUAUUGGACAGGCUGUUCUCUUGUUCCAGAAAAUAGAAGGUGUGGAAGUAUGUCUAUUUGGAAUGUAUGUUCAAGAAUUUGGUGCAGAAUGCUCUUUCCCGAACCAGCGCCGUGUUUACUUGUCGUACUUGGAUUCUGUUAAGUAUUUCAGACCUGAGAUUAGAACAGUAUCUGGAGAGGCCUUGCGUACAUUUGUGUAUCAUGAAAUUCUGGUAAUUUACCAUCCAUGCUGACCUUUUGUGACUAAUACGAAUUAUUGCCUUACCAGGUUUUGGUCAAAACUGUGUAGGAAACCAUAUGACAGGAAACUUUUUUUUUUCUUAUUUAGCUAGCACUUGUUCUUGGUCUAAUCUGUCCCCAUUGUGUACAGAUAGGAUAUCUUGAAUACUGUAAGCUACGGGGAUUCACAAGUUGUUACAUAUGGGCUUGCCCACCUUUGAAGGGUGAAGAUUACAUCUUAUAUUGCCAUCCUGAGAUUCAAAAGACUCCGAAAUCUGACAAACUGCGUGAGUGGUAAGCUUUAGAUGUCCAAUUGGUCUUGUUGCUUUUAGAUUGUCCACCAGUUCUAAUGUCUUUUACACCCAGGUACUUAUCUAUGCUUCGGAAGGCUUCUAAGGAGGAAAUUGUUGUUGAGCUGACAAAUCUAUAUGACCAUUUCUUCAUUACUAUGGGGGAAUGCAAGGCUAAGGUGACUGCUUCUCGCUUGCCGUACUUUGAUGGAGAUUAUUGGCCAGGAGCUGCAGAAGAUAUGAUCAAUCAACUCCGACAAGAAGAAGAUGAUCGCAAACUUCAGAAAAAGAGUAAGACAAAGAAAAUUAUUACAAAAAGAGCUCUUAAAGCUGCUGGCCACACUGAUCUCAGUGGGAAUGCUUCCAAGGAUGCUAUGUUGAUGCAAAAGGUAAGCUUCUUUGAUUUGUGUACUUCCUGCUCUCAUAAAUACUCUAAAGUAUACUCCUGUUUCACCACCCACCCUAAGUCUCUCUUCUACGUACUUCAAUUUUGUAUUAAUUGAGCGACACACUUACCAUGCUCCAUUUUGUGUAUGCAGCUUGGGGAAACUAUAUAUCCUAUGAAGGAAGAUUUCAUUAUGGUCCAUUUACAGUAUUCAUGUAGUCACUGUUGUGUUCUUAUGGUGUCUGGAAGACGUUGGGUUUGUCAUCAAUGCAGAAGCUUUCACAUCUGUGACAAGUAAGUUGAUUUCUUUGGCAUAAUUGGACCAUGCUGCACUGCACAUGUUUGAUUUAUGAUUUAUCCAUCCUGCUAUAUAAUUUUCCACCAGUUUAUAAUUAUCUUCUUUUGUUACAUAUGAUCACUAAAUACGUAUGUGAGUUAGCUCCAAUAAUUUAAUCAUGAUUCCAUGGAAUAUUUUAUUUUCAUCCAGACACUUCUGUCUUGCGCAUAUUUUAUUUGCUUGUAAACUUACUAUUUGUGCUCAAUUAAUCAUUAUUUCAUCAAAACGUUUUCCCUUGAUCAGUUCUGGUGAUCAGACAGUUUCUGUUUUUUGGUUAGAACUUUUUUUUUCUUUCUCAGAACAUUUCUCUUUGCUUGGAACAAUAUUUUUUUUAUCGAAACAGUUUUUUUCUUUGCUCAGAUCAAUUUCUUGGUGCUUAUCACAAUUUCUGCUGCGGGUAUACAAAUUUUUGUUUGAGGUGUAAAAUUUUAUGUUCCACUUCCACAUGUACAAACUUCGACCCAAUAUGUUAUUUGUUCCACUUACAAAAUCUUCUUGUUUUAGGUAUAUAAUUUUGUGUUCAGCUGUAAAUUGUUUUGUUUCACAAAUUUACAUAUAUAUAUAUUUUUCCCCAUGUGUACAAACUUUUCAUUCCAGCUGUAGAGACAUUUAUUUGAAAUUCAAAGUGUACAAAGUUUUUUUUUCUUCACAAUGACCAUUUCCAAACAGCUUGACAUUGAGCCAUAUGUGGUUUUUAAUAUUAUAGUCCCUCUGUCCCUAAAUAAAUGUCGCUUUUGGUUUCCGUACUAAGUUUGACAGGAUUUGGAGAAAAUGUGUGCAACAUUUGUAUCUCCAAAUAAAUUUAUUAUGAAAAUAGAUUCAUCGAUCUAUCUAUUGAUAUCAAUUUUUUACCAUAAAUAUUAAUAUUGUUUUUUAUAUAUUUAGUCAAACUUUUUUUCUAGGGAAGCAAAAAGACAAUUAUUUAGGGAUGGAUGGAGUAUUUUAUAUAGAAAUAUUAGUGAUCAUUAUUUUGUUACUUUUUCUCGGCACAAAGUCUUAGCAAAUAGAAUAAAUGACCAGACACCCAAAGUCAAGUCUUCAAAAAAUUGGGCCACAACUGUAUAAGGGCUGGAUAACGAACCAGCCCAGCUCCGCUUGGCUCGUUAGCUCGCUAGCCAGGCAAUAAAAUCACAGAAAACAUAAUCUCUACAUUUAUUUAACUUAGGAAUAAUAAUAAUGCAAAAACAACUCAUCCAUAAGCCUUAAAUCAAACAAAUAGAUUAAAACAUACUGACAUAUAUAAAUACAACAAUGCACUAAAGCACUAAUCCGUACAUUCAUGGUUCAUGCUCCAUACCAUACAUGAUGCAUCCUUUAAUGAUUAUCUAUACAUCCAUUUAAAAUAAAGUGAUAACAUCAUAGUAAGUACAUAUCUCCAAGGUCCAGGUCCAACUAUCAACCAACUGCAGAGUGCAAGACAUCAAGUUAUACAGAACUGAUAUAAGUUCAAGGCCAAAAACUUUGCCUUGUUAGGCUCACGAGCCAGCACGCGAGCUAGCUCGUUAACUACAUGAGCUGGAAUGCUGGCUCAGCUCAUUGAAAAAUGUAAACAAGCCGAGUCGAACCAAGCCACUAACAAGCCAAGUCGAGGGAGCUGUUGAGCUGGUAGCUUUUUUUCCAGCCCUAACAGUAUUCCCCUUGUCAACUUGUCCUCACCAUUUAAUUUUCUUUCACUAAUUACUAGUUUUGUAUACAGUUUUUCAAGACAGAUAAACUAUAUAAUUCUUGCUUGAGUUCUUUUGGUGAAAUUGAAUAUUUUGUUGGUCCAGGUGUUAUGAUGCAGAACAACAACUUGAAGACAGGGAGAGGCACCCGAGUAAUAGUAGAGACACACAUAUGCUUCAUCCGGUACUAUACCCUUUUGUUCUCAGUAUAGAACUAGAGCAAAUAGAUUCUCAAGAUAUGACUUGAUUCUCUCUGUUUUAGGUUGAUAUUGUCGGGGUGCCCAAAGAUACCAAAGAUAGAGAUGACAUCUUAGAAAGUGAGUUUUUUGACACCAGGCAGGCAUUCCUUAGUCUUUGCCAAGGAAAUCAUUAUCAGUAUGACACACUUCGCCGCGCAAAGCAUUCGUCAAUGAUGGUGUUGUACCACCUACACAAUCCAACUGCACCAGCAUUUGUCACUACGUGCAAUGUCUGCUGUCAUGAUAUUGAAACUGGUCAAGGCUGGCGGUGUGAGAUUUGUCCAGAUUUUGAUGUGUGCAAUGCUUGUUUCCAAAAAGGAGCGGUUACUCAUCCUCACAAUUUAACAAACCAUCCAUCAGCUGCUGACCGUGAUGCUCAAAACGCAGAAGCUCGGCAAAUGCGUGUUCAGCAGGUAAGCCUUCUUUUAGUUGUUGCCCACUAAGUUUAUGCUCUUGUUCCACCAUUGCUAAGAGAUGUGAUUUAAGUUCGGUUAUAUGUGUCGCAAUUCCACUUUCUAGAACCAUACCAGUAAACCGUAAUGCCUAAAUCUAUUUUCUUUUUCAUGAUGCUGCAGCUAAGAAAGAUGCUUGAUCUUCUGGUACAUGCGUCGACAUGCCGCUCUGGUAGUUGCCAGUAUCCUAACUGCCGAAAAGUCAAGGGACUAUUCCGUCAUGGGAUGCAGUGCAAAACGCGUGCUUCAGGAGGGUGUGUCCUUUGCAAGAAAAUGUGGUACAUGCUUCAACUCCAUGCCCGAGCUUGCAAAGAUUCAGAUUGCAAUGUGCCGCGGUGCAGGUUUGUUGAAGCCCUCCUCUUUUGUGCAUAUACAUACCGUUUCUGUGUUUACUUGUAUAGCAUUGCCAUCUGCAAUAGACCUGACUACUUGUGGUAAACUAUGCACAGAGAUCUGAAGGAGCAUCUUAGAAGGUUGCAACAGCAGUCUGAUUCCAGGAGGAGGGCUGCUGUAAAUGAAAUGAUGAGGCAAAGAGCGGCGGAAGUCGCCGCAAAUGAAUAGUUGCCUCUGUACAGGUAUACUUUAUGGAAAGAGGAUAGGAAGUAUGAAGGGUUGCACUCCUCACUCCCACACCGAGAAAGCUUGGGAUGGUUGAAUUAUAGGAUUGGUAGGUAAAGAACAGCCGCUUCACAUGUAUUUCUUAUGACGAAGGUCUCGGUCGCCCUUUGCCUAUGGUUAACAACAGAUAGGUUCGGGAGCCGCCCGCCUUCCUCCAAAGAGCUGAAGCAGCAGGGUGCACCGUAGGCUGUAACUGUUCGUUUGCACCCUCUCCAGUGCUAACCAGCUACACCCUGCUUACUGCACUGAUGUUGUCGUCGACUGGGCGCGUUACAACCCUUGGGUGUGGUGAAUUCUUUGAUUUGACCUGUACUAGCUGAACUGAUCUUCUCGCUGCUGCUUGCUGAUGGUGUAUAAUAGGUGUCUCUGGACAGUUGUCAGUCGUGUAUUGCAGAAAAUUUGGUGUAGCUGUUGUUCCCCCCUCUCCAGUCUCUUCUUGUCUCAGUUCAGGAGAGGGUAUAGGUUAAAAAAGGGUAAAAAGGGCUGGGCGUUAUUGGACAAGUAUUUGUUUAUUUCUGCCCCCCAUUUUGUAGGACUCAUCUUUGUUAAAAUAUAAAGCAAAGUAAAUCCUCCAUGUCUUCUCUUGUAGCUGUACUGCUCCAUAGGUUUUUUUUUUCCUCUUCCUAGUGCAGGUGGCCCAUCUUUGUUAAAGUAUAAGGCGUGGUAUGUGCAGUCUUGUGCUCUCAGAUUUUUGUGUUUUUUUUUGACGAAAUGAUUUUUGUAGUAUCUCGCAAAUGGAGUUCGGUUUGGUUGUUCGGAGGAUGGAGGAUGAAGUUGAAAGGGUGGGUUAAUCCUGUUUUUAUUAGGGGAUGAGAUACCUGGUAAGAAAAAAAAAAGGAAAAAGUUUGAGAGGAUGACCGAACAAACCCCAUGCAGGGGCCGCCUAUUAACAGGGACUCCUUGUUUAGAUCCAAAAAGUUUUUGGAUUUUGAUACUGUAGCACUUUUGUUUUUAUUUGACAAACAUUGUCCAAUCAUAGAGUAACUAGACUUAAAAGAUUCGUUUCGUGAUUUACAGGUAAACUGUGCAAUUAGUAUUCUUUUUAUUUAUAUUUAAUACUUCAUGCAUGUGCCACAAGAUUCGAUGUAAUAGGGAAUCUUGUAAGUUCGCAAAAAUUUUCAAGAUUUCCCGUCACAUCGAAUCUUUAGUCGCAUGCAUGGAGCAUUAAAUAUAGACGAAAAUAAAAACUAAUUGCACAGUUUAACUGUAAUUUGUGAGAUGAAUGUUUUGAGCCUAGUUACUUCGUGAUUGGACAAUGUUUAUCAAAUAAAAACGAAAUGCUACAGUACCAAAAACGAAAAAUUUUGCGAACUAAACAAGGCCUAAGUAAACUGCAACCUUUGGUUUAGAUUCAUGUCACAUAGAAACUCACCUAGACCUUGUUUAGUUACACUCGAAAAUCAAAAACUUUUUAAGAUUAUUCAUCACAUUGAAUUUUGUGGCACAUACAUAAAAUAUUAAAUAUAAAUAAAAAAAUAAUUUGCAAGAUGAAUUUUUUAAGCCUAGUUAGAGCAACUCCAACAGUUUUGCAAAUAGGUUUGACAUUCUUGUUUUUUGUCAAAACUCUCAAAAUCUCCUAUCCAACGGUUUGGCAAUUGGGUUUGACAUUUAUAGCAGGUUGACAAAUUCUCCUCCUUUCUUGGUAUUUAUGCACACCUAGAAUAGGCUUGGCAUUCUGCAUGCGCGUGCUUUUAUAGCAAGCUGACAACCUGAUGCUUCUUCGUUGAUCUUCAGAACCAGUAGAAUUUUGUUUUUGCCAAGUCAAAAUUGUCAAACAUUUGGAGAUGUCCUUUUUGUUCCCUUCCCAUAUUGUUUUGUGAGUUGACAAAUAACAACAUUUGCCAAACAAAAUUUGCAAAACUGUUAGAGUUGCUCUUAGUCUAUGCUUGAACAAUAAUUAUCAAAUACAAACAAAAAUAUUAUAAUGUCAAAGGACUUUUCACCCAGGGUACUAACACAAGGCCCUAGUUCACAAGUUCACUUCUCACAAAAACGUACUCUCUCCGUAUAGGAUUUAGAAGUUGUUUUGGACAACGUUUAAUUCAAACAUCAGGAAUAUAAAUCAUCAAUAAUUUUUAAAUUAUUGAGUUUGUAAAUAUGAAAAUUAUAUUAAAUAGAAUUGUCUUGAAAAAAAUUUCAUAAAAAUAUACAUAUAUCAUUUUUUCUUACAUAUUUUUUUUAAAAAUAAGUUGUUGAAGUUGUGUUUUGUAGACCGUAUUGCUGUCCUAAACGAUUUCUAAAUCCUGACAUAACACUAGUUCACAUUGCACAACAUUAAACUAUAGUGGAUGUUCAUCAAACAUAAUCUACAGAUAUGGGCAUUUAAACUUUCAGUGACUUAUCUUCUUUGCCCUUUGGAUCGUGGUUUGACGACGUAUCAGCCUAGCGGCAGAGGGAGUAUGAUUUUUGCUGAAGCCGGCAAUUGAGUGCGAGUGACCAGUUCUGCCUAUCCAGACCAUCCGUCCUGCAUCGGACGGCGGACGGCCACACUGCCGCGGUCCCGCUUCCUGCGUGUUUAUCCACGCCUCGCGCCGCGCUCGCUUCGGCCACGGCGGCAAUGGCGGUGGCGGCGGCCCGACGCCUCUUCUCCUUCCACCUCCACGCGCGCCCUCUCGCCGCCGGUGUUGCCGUCGCGACACCACACCGCCGCGGAAAGCAUGAUGCGGUCUCGUGCAAGGCCACGGGGAAAACCAAGCCCAAGCCCAAGCCCAAGUCCAAGGCGAAGGCGGUCAAGGGCGGCGAGCGGCAGCAGAGGCGGGCGCUGGAGGAGCACCUCAAACGGCGCACCCGUUCCGCGGCUUCCUUCGACGCCGACCUGUACGGUCGGCGCGCCCACGAGCACCACGUCCCCGUCUUGCUUGGCGAGGUCCUCGCCGCCUUCCGCCGGCCCCGCCCACUCCGUUCCUUCGUCGACUGCACCCUCGGCGCCGCGGGACACUCCCUCGCCGUGCGUAUCCACUCACUCGUUCUCGUGCUCCAUUGCUUUUGUUCUACUGCCCACGACGUCUUCGAUGCGAUGUUGUUGAGUGCUCUUGCCCGCUUGCUGCUUGACGAAAUGCCUCUCGGGCUUUGUGGUUUAGAUGAUGGAGGCGCACCCGGAGUUGGAGCUGUACAUUGGCAUGGACGUCGACCCAUCUGCCCUGGAGAUUGGCCGUGGGCACAUUGAGACCUUCCUUGCUGGUAGGGAAAGGGAAGCGAAUGGAAGGGAAGAGGAUGUCUUGCAGGAGACUCUGCGUGCCUACACUCAUGUCAAGAACUUCAAGUACAUCAAGCAAGUUCUCGGUAGUGUGGAUGAGAGUCUGGCGGUUGGCUCUUCUGGAGUUGAUGGUAUCCUCAUUGACCUUGGCAUGUCAUCCAUGCAGGUCAGUCAUCAAGUUAAAAAUAUGAAUAGUGAUUGCAAGGUUUCUGCAUUUCCCAUUUGCUGAUUCACAUUUCAUCUUGUUACUACUUCAUCAGGUGAAUAGAUCAAAUAGGGGAUUCAGUGUACUCCAGGAUGGCCCUCUUGAUAUGCGCAUGGACCCUAAGGUCAGUGUUACUUUGCUCGUCUUUUCUGGUCUAAUCUUCAUUCUACUCCUAUGAUAAUGUGUGUUCAAAGAGUAUUUCUUCCUGCAAUACUGAGGUGUUUUUUAAAAGUUUUAGGGCCAACCCCAGUCUUUUACCUGAAGUCAAAUGACGGUUUAAACCACUGCAGCACAGGGGAUUAGCCUACCAAUCUGAAAGUUAAGCACAAAUCCAUCUCAAAACUCAAAACCGACCAAACACAUGCUUAAGCAGCAACCGAAACUGUAGAGACUUCAGAUAUUGAUGCCCUCUGCAACAGCUGACAUCGCCACAUCGGAGCCAGGAGCUCUCAUCGUGAGGGUCUUCUCCAUCUUGUAGCUGCGAAAUGUCUGCGCCGUCACUUGACUCCAGGAACAGUCCCAUUGAUGCAUCAGUUCUGAAGCCACAACACUAAAUCUGCCAGAUUCUUGAUAUCCUUUAUCUUCUUCAACAGCGAAUCUUUUUCCUCUGCCUGGCACAAAAUUAGCCAAUUCUGUACCAUAGCCACUACCUUCAAGAAGAGCAAAUCCAAAUCCAUACCUUUCCACCUAGUUCUCUGGAAGCAUAAAUCAUUUCUAAGUUUCCAGAUACACCAAAGUGCUGCAGAAGUUACCAUGUUAAGAACCCCAUGCUUUUUAUUGCUAAACCAGAACUUUCCUAUAUUUUCAAGUUUGCUCCCUACCUAUACUUUUAGAACUUGAGAUAAUAUAUGCCAAAGCUGUUGCGCCACUACGCAGUCAAAGAAAAGAUGUUGAACAUACUCUGUGUAUCAUUUUUGUCGAAUUAAUCAAUUUAGAACUUUAUAUGCUACACUUCCAAUGUCCGUGGUUCAAUUUUAAAACUGAUUUUACAACAAAGAAUGAUCGUGUCAAUUCAUGUUUUUAGUCACUAAACAGUUGCUAUGUCCAAAAGGUUCAGAUCAACUUUGGUCUUGUCUUCAAGUUGUAUCACUCUUACCUAUACAUGAAAUUAUACAGGCAACUUUAAGAGCAGAGGACAUUUUGAAUUCUUGGCCGGAGAUUGAACUUGGGCGUAUCCUGCGUGAAUAUGGGGAGGAAAGCAACUGGCAAUCAGUUCAGAAGCAAAUUGUUAAAGCCCGAGCUACGGGCGGUUUGCACUCUACUGGGGAUCUUGUCAAACUAAUCCAAAGGAUGUGUAGCAUCUCAAGCGGUAGGUGUAAUCUUUCGACGAUGUUGCCACUAAAGGUGUUUUUUUUUCCUGUCAAUGUAUGCAUAGGUUCAUUUCUUUUGGUUUUGAAUGCCAAAUUCAGUGUUCUAAAAUAGUAACGAUUUACAGAAGUGCCAUGUGGUGUUUUCAUUUCAGUGUAUUUCUCCUUUCUGCUUGCAGUUUCUCAAGUUUUAUUACUAUUGUUUUUAUGUAGCAAGUAGCAUAUAGUAGAAUGUAUUUCGAAAGAAGCAAAACGAAGAUAAUUUUGCAAGACAUUUGAUAUAGUUGAUAAACUACAGGGCGGCAAGGCUGGAUUAAGACUGCAACAAGAGUGUUUCAGGCCCUCAGGAUUGCAGUUAAUGAUGAACUCCGGGUUCUAGAAGAUUCACUCCAUUCAUGCUUUGACUGCCUAGCGACAGGUGGCCGUCUUGCUGUAAUCUCAUUCCACAGUCUGGAGGACAGAAUUGUGAAGAAGACUUUCUUGGAGCUCAUCCAUGGGGGUGAAGCAGAUGAUGAAGAAGACGACAAAGAUGACCUGGCGCUCACUGACAUCGUAAAUGAAGAUGAACCAUGGUUUGGCCAGAGAGUGCAAGGAAGGAAUGGAACUGUCCUCACAAAAAGACCAAUAACCCCCUCGCAAGAGGAGGAAAAACUAAAUCAGAGGUGCAGAAGCGCAAAGCUUAGAGUUAUUCAGAAGAACUGAAUAAUUUGGGAUAAAUUUUGAAGGAUUCCUGAGCACAUUGGUGUGUAAUUUUUUAUAGCCAGAGAAAUGUGAAUGGAUUCUCACUUGUGUGCACAGCCAGCUGCAGUCUGGAUCAACAGAAAAAUUGCCUCAGUCGGAUGUGGUGCUAUUUAUCCUCGACAAGAAAUCUAGAGGCUUAGGUUAGUCAAAAAUCUCACUGUAUCUGCAUCAGUUUCUGAACUCCAUUCACGUAUAUCGGCUCAUGUACUCUGUAAACCAUUCACUUGCAAGACACGAUAAUCACUUUAGGCCCCAUUUAGAUCCUUGGAAUUGAAAUAUAUUAAUAGUUAUAAUUUAGAUAUAGAUUAAUUAAGCUAAUAUGGUUGUAUACUAUUGUCGGCCAUGCGAUAUUUGUAUACUAUUGUCCGCCAUGCGAGGGAGAUACUUAUGUGCUGUAUGUGUUGUACUUGUACAUGAUUAAUAUACUAUUUAACUGGUUUAACUCGCAUGCCAUUUUUACAGUUGAACUUCUUAUACUUGUAGUACCUUGGUCCCCCAAAAGAUAACAUUCUAGAUUUAGUCAAAGUCAAACUAUAAGCUUGAGUAAGGUUACAGAAAAAAUGUUGACAUAUAUGACUUCAUAUAGGUAUUACUGGAAUCUAGUGAUAGUUAUUUGUAUUGAUAAAUAUUAAAAUUGUUUUAAAAAAUUCAGUCAUAUUUCAAAUCAUUUGACUUAGCAGCAUUUCUUUUGGGGUGGAAGAAGUAUUAAGAUGGAUUGUCUUGCAUAUCACAUAGCAAUUUUUUUUUAAAAAAAACAUUUUUCUGUUACUGAGAAGACAACUGAAGGCGUGAACGAGAAGUGACGUCGGUGAGGCCACGUCAUCCCAUCGCGACGCACACAGGCGGCCACGUCUCCUGGCAGCACCACCACUCUUCCCCUCCCAAAAAUUUCUCCUCGCCUUCGUCAAACGAUCGCGCCCGCUUCGUCGUCGCUGUCGAGUUUGGUGUCCGCCUCUGCCGCGAGAGCUCCAGCCCCACACGGCCCCGCAGCAAUGGCAGCCACAACCUGAGCUGCCACUGCCAGCCGGCGCAGCUGCCACGCGAGCGCUUCCCACUCCACACGUGAUUUCAUUUCAAGCCGGCGGGAAUGGUGGUGGAUCGGAGGGCUCCGUAGAUUCUUCUUCCCGACCUCCUCCAGGCGCUUGAUAAAGCCGGCGCCGAGCAGCCAAGAAUCUCUUGGGACAGAACCGUACGCUCCUCCCUGCUCGCUCCGAUCGGCUGGUCUCCCGACUCACGAGAGCGAGCUCGCGGUGGAUAAUGGCCGCCAUGUCGGCGCCCCACUGCGCGUCCUCCUCCUCCUCUGCAUUCCUCAGCCUCCCGCGCAGCGACGGCGGGCGGCGCUACGGCAACUCAUGCCACUUCGCUGCCAACGCUAGGCUGGCGACGGUGUCCGCCACGCUCGACAAGGAGACCGCGGCGGCGAAGCCCCGGAGGUCCCGCCGGCCCAGGAAGGCGACCAAGUCCGGCUCCACGGCGCUGCUCGCCCCCGACGAGCCCACGGAGGCCAAGAACGGUGUGGCCACCGAGGCACCGAACGGCGGCCUCGGCGGUAGGGGUAUGGUGGCGCUGGACGAUGUGAUCGUGAACCCGGUGGGGCUGGGCCGCCGGUCCCGGCAGGUGUUCGACGAGGUGUGGCGCAAGUUCUCGCGGCUCGGCCAGAUGUCCAGCGCCUCCUCCGCCGCGGUGGCAGAGCAGGACCCAGCCAUCCUCUUCCGCGGCGGACCCAUGUGCGACUUCACCGUGCCCGGCGCGCAGGACACCACCGUCCUCGUCGUUGGCGCCACCAGCCGCAUUGGCCGCAUAGUUGUCCGCAAGCUCAUGCUCCGCGGAUACAACGUCAAGGUACUUUUAUUCUCUUCUCCCAAUUGGCUCAUCUUCAGUUACAAAUUCUCUUCUCCCAAUUGGCUCAUCUUCAGUUACAAAAUUUCAAUGGCUGUCAUUGCAACCGAUGAAAUGGGUCCAUUGGCGUUCAUCUUCUUGUGCUUGGUUUUGAUCAGUUCCUUCUGUGCUAUCUUACAACAGGCAUUAGUUAGGAGGAAUGACCCAGAAGUGAUCGACAUGCUUCCGAGGUCUGUGGAUAUUGUGGUUGGAGAUGUUGGCGACCCUUCUUCAGUUCAAGCUGCUGUGUCAGGUUGCAACAAGGUAAUUUACUGUGCAACCGCGCGGUCCACUAUCACGGGGGACCUCAACAGGGUUGAUAACCAAGGAGUGAGGAAUGUUACCAAGGCCUUCCAGGUACUCUGACCUAAACCUCAUCUGAUUCUUUCAUGUUAUUAAUGUACUAUAUGGUCUAUGAUAUCCUGUUGCUGCUAAAUAUACACUGAACUGUGUGAGCUAUCAACUAUUGUUUGCAGGAUUACUACAAUCAGCUGGCCCAGUCAAGGGCUGGUAAGAGCAGCAAGAGCAAACUGUUGAUUGCUAAAUUCAAAUCUGCCAAAUCUGUGAAAGGAUGGGAGGUGCGGCAGGGAUCAUACUUUCAGGAUAUCUACCCUUCUACUUCUAGAUUCGAAGGUGGCACCGAUGCGUCAUUUGAAUUUGCAGAAAGUGGACAGGCUGUUUUCUCAGGUAUCACUCUCAGAAAUGUACACAGUACACAGCCAUUUGAUUUGUUUAAUUCUUUAUUGAAAUAUUCUAUUCUCAGGGUUUGUUUUCACAAGGGGUGGGUACGUUGAAAUCUCUAAACGACUUUCACUUCCUCUAGGUUCCACCCUAGACAGGUAUCAUAAGCUUUUUUUUUUAAUUUCUGCUUUUUUAUAUGUGCAUGAUGUCAUAAGGUUUUGACUUGUAUACACUGCAUAUUCUAUCUGAAGGUAUGAUGGCUUGCUUCUUUCGGUGGGUGGAAAUGGAAGAUCAUAUGUUAUCAUUCUUGAGACUGGUCCGCUGGCUGACACCUCACAGAGCAAGAAGUAUUUUGCCCGGAUGAACACAAAAGUUGGGUUUUGUAGGGUAAGUAAGUGAAGUUUGAUGAUAUAUCCUUUGUAUGUGGUUCUACAUUGGCCAGAAAUAAAUGAAGAAAUGUCUUGUUUGUGCAGGUAAGAGUGCCGUUUUCAUCUUUCCGGCCAGUAAACCCACAGGAUCCUCCACUGGACCCGUUUCUUGUCCACACACUAACCAUUAGGUUUGAACCAAAGAAGCAGGUCAGUACAAGCAAUUCACCAUUAUGAAUAGAAACUAAUUCUGCUGAAGUAUUGGCCUACCGGUUACUAACCAAAUCCUUGUGCAGAGACCUGGUGAUUCAUCUGAAGGAGCUAGUGACCAAAGAAACUUUGAGCUCAAAAUGGAGUUCAUAAAAGCCUUGCCGGUAAGGAUUUGCUUUGUGCAACCUGUUGAUAUAAUCAUUGUUCGUUAGACUUUCCUUUGAUUUCCUUAUGUUUGUUGCGAUUAUUUUGCAGAGUGGUCAAGAAACAGAAAUUGUACUGGUCUCAUGCACAGGCUCAGGAAUUGAAGCUAAUAGGAGAGAACAAGUCCUGAAAGCAAAGAAGGUACUUGACGCACAUAAACGUCUAAACUAUUGUUGAUGCACACCUGACGCAAACAUUAAUCAGCUUUGUAUGGAUUUUUCUAGGCUGGAGAAGAUGCAUUGAGGAGAUCUGGCCUUGGAUAUACAAUUGUACGGCCAGGUCCACUGCAGGUACGACAACAUGAGAUAGGAUAGGAGCACUGAUUCCUUUUCGUAGGGCUGAUCAAACAGCAUGCGAAUUGCUUUAAUCCAUGCCGUAUUGUAACUUGGCAUUCGUUUUGCUAUUCCAGGAAGAACCUGGCGGUCAGCGUGCCUUGAUCUUCGACCAAGGGAACAGGAUCUCUCAGGUGAUUGAGCAUGAAUGAAGUUUUACUGCGCUAUUAUAUUGUAAGAGUCUCCGGAUAGUGGCAUGCCGUUCGAUGUGUAUGCUAUAACCGCUGCUACCGUCCAAUUUGUGGUUGAUGCAGGGCAUCAGCUGCGCCGAUGUAGCAGACAUCUGCGUCAAAGCGUUGCACGAUUCGACCGCGAGGAACAAGAGCUUCGAUGUAAGAUCCUCUAGUCGUCUCCCCUGUGAUUUCUCUUGUGAGUUCGUUGGUGGUGCAGCAAGCAACUAACCUGGACGCAUGCAUCAUCUUGUUUGUUCAGGUGUGCUAUGAGCAUGUUUCAGAGCAAGGGAGCGAGCUAUAUGAACUUGUAAGCCUACUGUCUCAUGUGCUCAUGCCAUGCUGUGUGAUGUCAUGUGGUUUAAUUUCUGAUAUGGAUUUGGUUAACCAAUGUGUGACCUGUGUGAGCUUGUUGCUGCUGCAGGUGGCUCAUCUGCCAGACAAGGCCAACAACUACCUGGCGCCGGCGCUCUCGGUCCUGGAGAAGAACACCUGAUCUCAUCAGUGAGCCAGUGACCUGUGAGGUGCACUAGGAAUUAUCCAUGUACACGGUGCUGUGUAAUGUGAAUAUUGCAUACCACCGACUCCUCUUGUACGCAUAGGAACACUACAUUAAUAUACACACACAGCAUUGUGUUGGGUUAUUUGGAGAGAGUAGGUGAGGUAGGAAUUUCCUAUGUCCAUACAUGUCAGUUUUUUCCUCGCAAUGUGAAGUCAAGUCAUCAACACAUCGCAGCAGCUGGGCAGUGACAAGGCUGAUGACCAGAUGGAGUUCCCUGCCUAGUGCCUAGUGGCCAGGCCGGGCAUGAAAUACAAGUUGUGAUGAUGUAUUAGUACUACUAUUAGGUACAAGUUGUGAUGAUGUACUAUUAGGUAGAGAUGCAUAGCCUUUGUGAACGCAUCAUGUGAAAAUUUGAAACAUGUAAAUGCUCUUGCAAUAUUCGUCCUCUAAUUAAAAUAUGUGAUUGUUUUUUUUUAAUUUCACAAGACUUUAUAAACCAAGAGCUCUGGACAAAUCGCCGGAGACCAUAUCGUUUACAAAGCUUGGUGCCUAGCACCGGAACGAUUGCCCUCCAUCAGGAAAAGCAGCAACACCAUGGUUGUCCAUAGAAUCAGCCACCCUAUUACAUCCUCUAGGAUAGACUGAGACAGAGACACUACAUGAAACAAAGUUUCUCACCAUUGCUAAAUGAAUUUCUCUAAAAAGAGCUCCUUCUGGACUACAGUCCAUCUAACUUGUCGUCAAGGCUCUCCCAAGGUUUGAGGCAUGUGUCUUCAAAAUAAUCUUGUCAUGUGCCUAGUUGUUCAGCUCUGUCUAACCCGUGCGGGGCUGCUAGUGCUUCAGCAUGCAGAGCACUUCCUUCUCUUUGGAUGCUGCCUUCCCCAAUGUCCAGCACCUCCCCUGUGUUGUUCCUCACACAUCCCCAUCCUCCCUUCAAUGUCAGAGCAGAGAAGGUUGCAUCAACAUUCAACUUAUAUUGGUCAUUUGGUGGAGGCUUCCACCCCACUUUUUGUACCUGAUCUCGUUGUUUCCCCGGGAUUUUCAGUUUUGCAAAUUCGUUGAGGUGGUAAUGGACUGAGCUGCAUACCUCCCCAGCACCUUCACUCUUUCACCCGCAUUUGCCUUAUUUCUUGUUGUCCACCAUCUCCACAUCCAUACAAUAACUUUCAAUUGUUGAUCAGCCGACAUUGUCCAUAUCUUUUCAGCUACUUCCUUUCCUGAUUUGCAGCGUGCCAAGCAGCAAUGUGCCUCUUCCAUUUGCAGUUCCCCCAACAUUCGCGGACCUUUUUACAUUGUAAGAAUAAAUGUCCACAAUCUUCAUCUAACCUUUUACACAUCGGGCAGACAAUUUCGGUCUUAACUUUCCUCCUCUUCAGAUUGUUUCUCACCGGAAGGCUAUUAUGAAUCAGCCGUCAUAGAAACAUUUGUACCUUAUUGUGCACCUUUUUUUUUUGACGAUUUUAUUGUGCACCUUCAGUUGCCAGAUUUUAUACCACGGGAAUUGGGCAUACGUUGUUCCACCCCUUGUCGAUGCCUCAGCAGCUCUUCCCGCCUCAUUGUCCCUGUCCUGCACCGCAAUCUUGUAUGCUGAUUCCACAGAAAACAGGCUCUUUGAGUCAAAAUGCCAUGCUGGCCAAUCCGGUGAUUCCACCCCAAUUGGGAUCGUCAAAAUCAACUCUGCAUCCUCAGCCCAAAAAGUGUACCACACCAAAUGUUCGUCCCAGCCUCCGUCUAUCGGGUCCAUCAACUCCUCCACCCUUGUUAGCAGGGAAUUCCCCCUUGGAGUAGCGAGACAACGUGUCACUCCUUGGGGUAUCCAUGGGUCAAUCUAGAUUUUUAUAAUGCUUUCAUCACCAACCCUCCAAAUGAUUCCCUUCUUCAUCAACUCCACCCCUUGUAAGAUGCUUAUCCAGGAGUAAGAAAUGCCACCUUUUACUUGGCACUCUAGAAUGCUGUUGUUUGGGAAGUAUUUUGCUUUUGAGUUGUUGUGAGAACGUUUCCAAUGGUAAGCAUGUUAGCUUGUAUAAUACAAAUAAAUUGUCCACGUCUUGAAUCAAUAGACAACAAAUGGAUACUUCUCUCUGUCUAACUACAACACCAUCUUAAUGAAAACUACCAAGAGUCCACAUUUCAUGAGACACUUCUUCUAUCCGUCAGGUGGCUGAUUUUUCAUUGUUACUUAGACAACAGGUAAUCUUUUCAGCAAACUCCAUCAUUGCUCUCUUUAGAUCUUAUUCUUCCAUCCCCAGAAACUACUCUCUUCAUUCUAAACCAAUGUAUAUCGCCAUGAUAUCAUCUUCCACUUCACUCUAGCCUAACUCUUAUUUCAAUGGACGCCUCUAAUAGGGUGACUACGUCAUUGGCUUACAUUAUUUUUUGUUUAGCAUGAGCGAUGGGGAAAAUCAUCUCUCUAGCGAGCAUGCAAAGUUUAGCUUAUAAUUUGGAACAGAGAGAACAUCUUCAUUGCCGGUUUAAAAAAUAUUAAUAAAAUAUGAAAGAUUCAAAUUCAGGUCACACCAACUCAAAAAUCAAAUUGAAAAUGCCAAAAUAGGGAGAUAGAGAAUACUUAUGCAGCGAAGAAUGUGCAUGAGUAGAAUCAAACUCAAGCGUAUCUGGGUUUCAUGGAGUAUGAACAACAAACCAUUAUGUCACCACUUGAUUUAUUAAAAUAAUAAUGUUCCCUGUAUCCUAAAAUAAGUCCUCAUUUUAUACUACAAGGAGUCAAACAAUCUCAACUUAGACCAAAUAAAAAAUACUAAUAUUUAUGAUAACACAUAGACAUUAUCAUUAGAUUAACCACGUCAUAUGUUUUUAUAUUAUUAAAUCUUUUAGAACAUAGGGGUAUUACAAGACGAGUACUAGAAACACGAGCCCAGACACUAAGCGUGGAUACAAACUGUGAGGAUGAGUGCAAUGCAAUAUUGAUGAUUUUAUCAUAAGCAGGUCCACGAGUGUUUGCUACAUCUACAUCACAUCUGUCCCUCGAGUCAUUUGCCAUCUCUAAUCUAACAAAAGCAAACCUAUAAGAAUUAGCCAGACGACCACACAAUUAGGAUCAUAGUAUCAAAUCGUACGACCUAGAUAAAUCUAACGUCUCGUUUAGUUCACCUAAAAACCAAAAAGUUUUUAAGAUUUCUUGUCACAUCGAAUCUUGCUGACAUACAUGAAGCAUUAAAUGUAGACGAAAACAAAAAUUGAUUACACACUGUAAAUCGCGAGACAAAUAUUUUGACCCUAGUUAGUCUAUAUAAUCGAACAAUAUUUGGCAUAAACAAACGAAAGUGCUACACUAAACAAAAUCUAAAUUUUCACAUCUAAACAAGGCCUAAGUAAAUUUAUUCUGCUGGUCGUAAAAGCAGGUAUCAUAAAAUUUUAGCUGUUUAGUUCACCCAAAAACUAAAAACUUUUCAAGAUUCUUCGUCACAUCAAAUCUUGCGGCAUAUACAUAAAGCACUAAAUAUAGACGAAAAUAAAAACUAAUUACACAAUUUACCUGUAAAAUCAUGAGAUAAAUUUUUUAAAUCUAGUUACUUUAUAAUUGGAUAAUGUUUAUCAAAUAAAAACGAAAGUGUUACUGUUCUUGUUCUCAGAAACUAAAAUAUUUUCGAAACGCCUCAGUUCAACGACGAGAACCGAGGGUACGUGGAGAAACGACAAACUGUUGGUCACCGUGACAAUCGAUUGACCGCUACUGCCUCACAGCGUUGACCGGUCAAACUGGCCCCUCACCCCGAUCCCUUCUUCGACCACUGGUUCAGCAGCGGCUCCCCUGUUGCAGCUGCUGCGCCGCGUGAGGUGGCAGCACCGCAGCAGGCACAGGCACAGGCAGAGGCAGAGAGAGGCCAGUCCCAGUCGGACUUGUUUAGUUCACCUGAAAACAAAAAAUUUUCAAGAUUUUUCGUCACAUCGAAUUUUGUAAUACAUGCAUGAAAUAUUAAAUAUAAACGAAAAUAAAAAUUAAUUACACAGUUUAGUUGUAAAUCGCGAGACGAAUCUUUUGAUCCUAGUUAGUCCAUAAUUAGAUAAAAUUUGUCACAAACAAACGAAAUUGCUACAGUACUGAAAACUUUUUACUUUUCAGAACUAAAACAAAGCUCUCCCCUGCCAGCAGCUCGGCCUGCCUUUUGACUGCCUGCCUGUGUGCCUGCGCUGUGCGAGCACGCUGCACUGCCCGUCGUUGCCAUCGAUUCCUCCCCCACCUCUUGCCUUCGCUGCCGCUGCCUGCCUGCAGCCUGCCGACUUCUCUCUCUCUCUCUCUAUAGUUGGUUGCAGCCACCAGGCACCACCAGCCAUUGACCCACUCACCCACCACCCACUCGCGCGCCGCCGCCGCCGUCGCCAUCACCGUCGCCGUCGCACGCGCGCCGCUCCCAGCCGGCCCCUUCCCUUCCCUGGCUGCGGCUUGGUUGGUUAGUUGAUUGGAUUGGCUCAGUAACGGGCACGGGCAGCACGGCACGUCGGCACGACAGCACCCACUCCCGUCUCUCCCUAUCCACCCAAGUACUCCUCGCGCUCGCACGCGGAUCCACCCACCCCACCCCACCCCACCCAUCGCUCCUUCCGUCCGUUCCUCCACUUGCCGGCCACAACCCCCUCCCGGCGGAGUGCGGCGGGAUGAGGGGGCAAGCCAACGGAGUGGAGGACCGCCGGCCGCGGGGCGACGACCACGAGGCGGACGACGACGAGGAGGACAGCGAGGAGGAGGAGGAGGAGGAGGGCCGACACCGGGGUCAGGGUCAGGGUCAGGGCCAGGGACAGGGCCCGCCGCCGCAGCAGAGGCGGCACCAGCAGACACAGAGACCUUCCUCCGGCCCGCAGCAGCAGCAGCAGCAGCACCAGCCGCCGCCGCUCACCAGGAACGUCGGCUACGUCGGCAAGCACCGCCUCUCCGCCGCCAUCGCCCGCCUCGACCAGGAGCUCCAGUCCCUCCAGGUACCUGCACGACUUGCUCCCCGCCCCGCCCCGCCCUCCUCUCUCUCUCACCUUUGCUCGAUCAACAGCAACCGCGGCCGGUCGGCCUGCCCGGGCGACUCCUAGCUCGUCCGUAGAGUCAACCACCUGACACCCACCUGCUGCCGGAGCUGUGCGCGAUCCAGAUCUUGCCUGCGUGCUGCAUACUACGUAGUACCAAGCUGCACGAUUCUAAGCAUCGAGCAUUCGAGCCCAGUGCCCCAACUGUGCCCUGCGCAGCGCGUGUUGCUGCACGACUAGUUAUGCGCUUUACCUCUAUGAAAGUAAUAAACAAGCAAAGAGGGAAUAUCUUGAUGUCUGUUGCUGGAGUGGAAAACUGGAAAUGGAGGCCCAACACUUUAUUACCUAUAUAUAUAUGUAGUAUGCAAUAAGCUAAUUGUGAAGAUAUACCAUAAGAUUGCCUUUCACAGCAUAGGUGUGUAUUUGCCAUUUAUAGCUCGAUUUGCAUGAUAGACAAUCUUGAGCCGUCUGCAAGCUGAAAUGCUUAAAAAUUGUUCUUAUUGAUCCUCGCUGCACCAGAGUAACUCUAUUGGAAAGGAAACAUUUGAAAGAAACUGACAGCCUUAUUACUCGCCAUUCGCACCUAUCUCCUGUUACUCUGUCACUCCAUCUAAACAAACACCGAGCCGUUUCUGGGUGGAGGAUCAUCUAGAACUUGUUAUUGAGGCUUCAUUUUUUUGAAGUAACACUUUACAGGAGCUUAUAACUAGUGGUUACGAUUUCCCAUUCCGUUCUUUGAUUGCUGGCAUCUACAAAUGGUGAACUCAUUCUUUUGAGUAUCUGCCUAUCUGGUUAUGUUCCAGGAGCAGACAGUUUCUUUGCAAAAGAUGAGUAGAACACUAAUCUAAAAACAAUUCUGUUCCUCUUUAAUCAACUGAGUGUUUGUGUUUAAAAGGAAUAUUGAUGAUCGAUACUUGUGCUGACUAAUUGUGUUCCCCAUUAGUGAAUUUAUCACGUUCCAGUGUUUCAAAAAUUCAUCAAAAAAGUCAUGUAUGUAGUGCGUAUAACCUACAUGUCGAGAAUCAAAAGGGGCAAGGAGUCAAUCUGGUACUAUCCGUCAUGUGCUCAUAGUACACGUGAAGUCAAAUAAAAGCUGAAGAGGUGGUCAAGUCGGGGAAGUGGAUCAAUCUGGUGGCUUUGGAUCUUUCUGGAGUCUAGAGAGUUUUUCCUUGUAGCUGGUUUUAGGGCUGUGCUUCUGGCUCUUAUUUCUGGUACGAGUUGAGAGUGGUGUCUUUUGGUGCUACACUUGUUUGGACAUUGUAAACGUUGAUGCUCUUCGGCUUUGCUAAAGCUGUGGUUAAUCCCUUAGGCUCUAAAAACUAGUAACACUUACGUUUUUUAUGAAUCUCAACAUCAAAGAUGAAUUUGAGAUUGAUUUUUUGCAGGCUCAUUUAACUUUUUGUGUGCUACAUACAUACAUGAUUUUAGUGAUGUUUUUUUUUUAAGUUUUGCAACGCGUUGGGUCAACUUUAUUUUGGCUAAAGAUGGGCUCCCUGAACCCAGAGACUAACGGAUUAUAGACAAAACUAGUACAGAUUUUGUGAAACAAGGAAACUAGAAGAAAGGAUUGUAAUUUCUUAGCUAUCUUGUCAGCAAUUAUACAUCGUACACUUUUGUUAUUCGAGCACUGAUGAUGGUAAAUUGGUAACGUGACUUGUUUAGAGGGCUGCAUGGUGUUUGUUUUAGGCCUCAUGUAAUCGGAUCACGCCGUUAUUGAAUAUGGCCGUUCACAAAAGUGGCCUCAUGUAAUCGGAUCACGCCGUUAUUGAAUAUGGCCGUUCACAAAAGUGACAAUGCUCCCACCAUGACACUAUCCAAUACUGAGUAUUGUCUCCGCUAGCCUGGACACUCUCAGGCCUUGUAGUUUGCUCACGCUAUCAUCGGGUCAAGUGAAUGAAGGAAGCACGAAACAACAAGUUGCAUGUAAAAAGUGACUCUGCUUUGCUGUCUAGUAGCUUCUGUGUUGACGUUACCGAAGCUAACCAAAGAAACCAAGUAAUUACGUUAGCGCUGUUUAUCCAACCCCUUUGUGUUGACGUUUCCUUAUCCCAACCAAACACUACUUACAUGUAGAACUAGAGCUGUGAAACUGAAAUCUCACAGGACUGGCCUGUGCUUUUUGGCACUUGUUUCUCAGCGAAAAUUACAUAAUUACAUUGAAUAUUUCUGUGACUUGAUACAGAUGUGAGUACACAAAAUUGCAGUGAUUUGACUUACGUUUGUGUUGCCCUUUCAGUCUUUUACAAAGACCAAAAAACUUGAAUUCAUAACAUCCAUUGAAAAUAUUUUAAAAAGGGUUUAGAGUCACAGAACUUGCUCUUUUGUUCUGUGUAUGUCCAAAACCCUGUGUCUACAGACAGGCUCGUUUGGAAGGUUAGGCAACCUGUAUGGCUGUAUCCUUCAGAAUGUAGGAUAGAGUGGAAAUCAGAACUUGUACCCCGCAAAAAAAAGAAAAAAAAAGAGAGGAAAUCAGAACUUGUGACUAGUACCUAAAUCCUAUAGAGUGCCUGUGGAAUGAUCUAUUUGUAUGACUGCUCUGGACCAACAAUUCAUUCAUAUUUGGGGUCAAAGUUUUACCUCUUUUUUUCUUUUUGUGAAGGCAAAGUUUUGCCGACUUCAAUAGAUAGCAUGGUAAUACAAUAUCAACUCUCAGUGUGUGUAUAUUCAUGCAGGAAGAACUGGACGAGCUUGAAACCAUGGAAUCUGCAUCCGCGGCAUGCCAGGAGUAAGCAGAUUUGAGUGUAGCAUUGUGUUUUCCACAUCAUCAUUUGCUGUUUCUUCUCGUUGUUGAUAUAUUCCUUGUGAACAAAACAGAGUGAUCACGAGUACACAAGGGAAACCUGACCCUCUUCUUCCUAUGUAAGUGCUGCUGCUACACCUCCUUAUUUUCAACUACCACUACCAUACCCUGCAAAAUCCUUACAGAACCAGUGGUCUCUCAAUCUUAUUUACAGUACCAGUGGUCCAGAGAACUCUUCAUGGGACAGAUGGUUUCAGCGGGUCCGCUCCCGCAGCAACAAAUGGUGGGCAUCAAAAGGCUCUGACUUCUCGUAGCUUCUGCAAAGCUGAGAUCAUCCUCAUCAGUGUGUGCAGAUUAAAUUGAAACCUGUUGAAAUGUAUCAUCCAUUGGUGUCCUGGGAAACAGAAUAGGUGGUGUGACUGCGGUGUGGCACUCAAACACCUCUGAUAGUUUUUGGAGAGAAUCAUCGUGUAUGUAGUAAUCCCUAACAAGGCUGAACAUCGAUGUAUCCAAAUCAGGCCUGAUUGUUGCUCGCGAGAUAGUCUUGAGAUCAUUUUCCUACAGAUUCUGACUCACUAGGUCGGAUUUCUGAUGGUCAUGUAAUCUUGCUGUUCUUUUUCCCCCCUCCUGCAAACGUGAAGAUCCACAUUGUCUUUGGAAAGUUUCAGAAAAGAGAAUCAGAUUGAACAUUGUGCUGUGCUGCUUGUGAGCGCUGUUCAUUGAACCACAGGUUUUAAAAAGUCCGAGGCAUCUCUCCGUGAUCCUCCAAAAUUACUAUUGCAUCGUGUUUCUGCAUCGACACAUCAUCUGUACCAAUAUUGUGUUUUGAGACCCUUUAGGAUACCAUAUCUUGUAAUAUAUUCCACUCCUGUUUUUUUUAAGGAGGCACUUACUGAGGCAUAAUGCAGGUCUUCCGAAAUCGUGGAAACACAAGUUAAACUUGCUAAACCUGUACACAGCCAAGGACAGCUGGAUGCAAGAGAAGUUAAGUUCAUAUCACAGUCCAACAUCAACAUACAACAUUACAUUAGCCAUCGGAAGGUGACGGUGAUUUUAAUUCUAACUUUACCGUCAAUCGUCAUACACCAAACAGUUGCUUGAUGGUACACGCGGCACAUGUUUAGUGCGUGCGCAAAAGAUAACGGCCACGCAGUACUCGCGUCGAAGAGAUGUUACGAGUAACAGGUUGCCGACACUGCAACUACCGCGAUGCUGUCCACAGAAGCAAGUGGAACUCUUGCUCCUCCUCUCGUAUAUCUUGACGCGUGCUACACACCUACACUACACUACCAGCUGGGCGUACAUUCGACGCCACAGUUCCAAUGUACAUCUGCAUCACAAAAACCGUUCACACCCCACUGCCUCGCUGCAUGUGCUCGACGACCUAUCCCUAGACGACCACAUACAUAUGUGCAAGCCUACAUUCCUAUUCCCUACUGGUACAGUGUACUCUACUUGGCGUAUCCAAAUUCAUGGAAUAAGUUAGAGGGAGGAACGCUGCUACCCUUGGAUUUGGCUUUGGCGGGUGCCCACUUGGGCAGAACUCUGCCAGACGCCACGGGCUUCGGGACGCUGCAAUGCUCGUCCACAUCCACCACCUCAGGUCCAUCCAGAUCGGCAUCGAUGCAGCGGGCGCCGUGGACCAUGCUCGCGGCGUCGGAGACAGUUCGCGUCUUGGCCGCGCGCUUCUUGGACUGGCCCGUGGGUUCCUCAAAGUCAUCGUCACCGCAGCUCACCGCAGAGCUCGCGGUGGAGCCCCUUCGCUUCUUUGCCGCCUCGGAGUGCUCUUUGCCGCCACUGCCGCUGAUGUUUCUCCUUGGAUUUGGGUGUUUGCUCAGGAAGUCCUCGAUGGUUGCAAGCACACGGUCCCCGUACUUCUUGAGCUUUGUCCUGGAAGAAAACAUGUGAACCAUGAAUAUAGUUGCCGCUGCAUCUCUAAUGGUAAAGAUGAUUUUUCGAAAACAAAAGAUGGUGUAAACAAUUCAAAAUUGCUGAGUAGAUGCAUUACUUGCCGAUGCCGUUUAUAUCCAAAAGCUCUUCUUUUGUUCUUGGUACUCGGAUGCUCAUCUCCUUCAACGUGUCAGUCCUGAAGAUGGAAAGCUCAACCGUAUCAGGAGCCAGUGAAUGCUUCCACAAAUGAAGGUGCAAUAACAACUUACUUGAAUAUGUGGUACGCAUGGCAUCCUUCACUACACUCCUCCAUUAUCUGUCGUCUGAGGGUAAGUAAAGCUUCGUAGAGUAUCGAUGCAAGCUUCUGCAAGAAUGAGAAAAAUAGAUAUUAGACCAGAGAAAGAACAUAUAAAGACCCAACACCACAGAUCCGCUCUAAUCUAGACGUUCAGGUCUUUACCUCAUCGACUUCACUUUGCUGCUGAACAGUCUUAUUGAUUUGUGGAAAUAAUGAGGUAUCAAGAUUCCCCAUCUUGGAGGCCUUGCCAGGAGCAGGAAACCUGCAAGAUCACAUUUUUUAGAGAACUACCAGCUGUUUGUUGUUCAAACAUUCUCAGGAUAUGUUGGUUUCAAGAAAAAAAAAAUACUCAUAGAGGUUUCAAGAAAAAAGAAACUACCAUAGAAUAUGAAACAUUGAAAUUCAGGUCACACCAACCCAAAACUCAAACUGAAAAUGCCAAUACAGGGAGAUAGAUAAUACUUAUGCAGCCAAGAAUGUGCAUUAACUAGAAUCAAACGCAAAUGUAGGGUUUCAUGGAGUAUGAACAACACGCUCCAUUACGUAACAUCCUGAUUUAUAAAAUCGUGUUUCCAGAUUAUAAUUCAAGUCAACCAAAUCCCAAUCGACAUAUUAUAUAAAAGUUUCAGCAGCAACAAGAUCAAUGUUAAGCAUUAUUUGAAAACCAAAUGAAUGCAACCCCACUGCAAACUCAACCAGAACAAAUAGGUUAAGGAAACAUGAAAACAGUCUCAUGUACAGGUCAGCCCUGCCAAAGGGUGCCUAGCCCAGUGGUUAGGCACGUUUCGGCAGCACCCCAGGUCCCAGGUUCGAACCCCCGGUGGGGCGGAUUUCGGAAAACUUUGGUAAAAAAAUCCCCUCGCUGGCCCCGUGUCCAAAACACUGGUAAUGAGAUCGGCCCAGGUCGGCCUGAGGACCGUGUGUGGCCCAGGCAGGUAAUCUCACGGGUAACGUCUCCCAGUGUAUGGGUGGGGCCAGGGUUCGGGGGUUUUCUGGGCCUCUGUGAGAAGGUCCUUAGUUCAAAGCCCGGAGGGCGGCUUGCCCCUCGCAGGUCCAGUUUUUUUUUACAGGUCAGCCCUAAUAACACAGAGAGGUCAUAGAACUACUCCCUCAGUUCCAAAUUGUAAGUCGUUCUGGCUUUCUAGGUACAUAGCUUUUACCAUGUAUCUAGACAUAAUGUAUAUCUAGAUGCAUAGCGAAAGGUAUGUACCUAGAAAAGCCGAAAUGACUUACAAUUUGGAACAAAGGGAGUAUAAAUCAUUGAUCCAGGGCCAAUUUAACAACCACUAAUCAACCAAUAGCUAGCUGGUCUCAGAUAAACUAAAUCACUCAGGAUUUCAAAAAAAAAGGAAGGCCAAAGUAGGAACCUUUUUCCCAGUAGUGAAAUGCCCCUGCCAGUUUUAAGCAGUAUCUCUUAAAUAUAGUAACAAAAUAAACUUACAUCAUACUGCUUGACAUCCAAUGCCAACAGUAAACUUUACAAAUAUUCAGAUGUGAAGGUAAAAUUAGCUUACUGUGACAAAUCACUCUUUUACAUGCGUGCAUAUUAAUAUAUAUGAUCAGAGGAAUAUUCCUACUUUUAACAAAAAAAAAGGUAGCAUUUUUUUAAAAAAAAGUCUAUCAACUUGAGAGAAAAACAGGUUCAUAUGUGAUUUAGAUAAUAUUGCAUUCAAAUCAUGUGAUAAGUUUGGUGGUUGUAAAAGGUACAAAACUAACUUCAGGAUGACGCUGCGUUUGCCAGAGCGAAGAUCACUAGCUUUCAAAUGAUUAACCUGCUUAACCAAGAUCAUGUUAGACCUAUGCCUUGCUAAAAAGAAUGGAAACAAAAAAUAUAUAGAAGCAUUUUGUCUUGAAAUAAACCAAGGCACAUCAAGUAUUUUUCACCUUGAGGACAGAUGAUAUUGAUCCGUACAUGUCGCUCUUUUUCACAUCCUCAAUAAGUAUUUCCUCAGUUACUAAAUGUCUCAUUAUCCUUGCUGCCUCACCUUUAGCUAGAUGUUUCCCAGCUCCAUGAAGAGGUAAAGCAUCAUGACGCUGCUUCUUGACCUAUGGGUAAUGAGUUGUGUUACCAUUAGCAUAUUAAUGUGGCAGUGAAAGUUGCCCCUGGUGGCAAGAUCAUGCACUUAAAAAAGAUCCGAACAUGAUCUUGAUUAGGUAUCUGGGCACGUACGUUUUGGCUCACAGACCCUCUGUAAACUUCAAGAAUGUGAGUAGACGAAUUUGAGUGCCCUGUCAUUGUGACUAGGUCAACCUAAAGAAGCAAGAGUUUAGGUUCACAUAGAGAGAGAUGUCUGAAUGCAUUUGGAAGGGGCACAUCUGUCCACUUACCAAUUGCCUGGCAAUGUUGGUAACAUCUUUUUCAACCCAUCCUGACUCUUUCAAGCAAUUAUCACAGGUUUUUGCACAAAGCGAAGGGUCAAACCUCUCCCCAAAGUGGAUCAGUUGAAGUAGACGUCGGCAGUCCACAUCAUUUUCACAGUAACUGACCUGCAGAAAUAUAAGAUAUGACAUUUUUUUCAUGGUUUCCAUACUUCGUAGCAACAAACAAAUGCGUGCAUAUAGAACUUCAGAUACCAUUCUCAAGAGAUUGUCCUUAUGUGUCUUCAGUGCUUGCUCGUGUGAAGAUAAAUCACGUGGUGCUCCUGUUUGCUCCCCAACUCCUUGCGUAAUCAUAUGUCGGACCCGAAUCUGAACAUUUUUUAAGAAAAUUACUUGUUUGUGAUACAUUACAGAUAUAGUGAGAAGCUGCCAACAAGGUAUUAAGGUACCAGUAGACUUACAUAGUCAGAAUACUGGUAAUAUAGCAAACAAGAUGAAGGUUGCCCAUCUCUACCCGCACGUCCACACUCCUAUGAGAAUUGAUCAACCACCAAACAGCUUCAGCUUUACAUUUCCAUUGUGCUUAUGUCAUGAAACUUCAGUUAUGGAGAUAUACCUGAUGAUAUCCUUCAAUGGACUUGGGCAGUGAAUGAUGAAUAACAAAGCGAACAUCAGGUUUAUUGAUACCUACAGUUUGUCCUAUUAGAAUGGAACACCCAAUAAUAGAUGUUACAUACACAGGCGUUUGAAAGAUUAAGUUACCCAUCCCAAAUGCAAUUGUAGCACAGAUUAUGUUGAUCUUAUCCUUGCUCCAAUCCUCCUGUAUACGUGUUCUAUUCACAGGAUCCAUGCUACCAUGGUAGUGUGCUACUGUGUGCCCACAUUCCUGGCGAAGGGAAAAAAUGGAAACAGUAAGAAGUUAUAGCUGGUGGAAAGGUCAAUAUCUACAUGACUACAUAACAAAUAUUAGUGCUAGGGUAGGCCAAAGUUUCAUUGGAUGAUUAAAUUUAGUUCACUGUUGAAAAUGUGCCACACCAACCAGUAAUCAAUGUUAGACAAAAUAAGUACAUCGAGAUCAUCAUAUGAAAAGCCUUAAGCACAUAACAGAUCCCUACAUUCAUGAGACUGGUAGCAAAUCUAAGACAAAUAUCCUGAACCAUCAGCUAAUGAAAUCCACUAUAUACCUAGCUCACCUGCUCAAGUUUGGUAUAAAUUUCUACCUUCGGCAAAACCAAGGGGAGAUUGACAAAUCGUUGAGGCAAUCAAAGCCAAUUCAACAAACAUGGGCAUAUAAUACUUCAUAAUUUUCUCAAAUAUAUAGCUAAUGUUUAAUGCAUCUAUAGUGGCUUUUAAAUUAGCUAGGGAUUGCCUAAAGCAUAGGCCCACCACACCAACAUAUAUUACUUGCAAUACCACAGAAACUACAGCUAAUGGCCCUCAACAACGAAGGGACACGAUUGACAAAACAAACAUGUGCAGGCUUGGUCAGGACAAGCAUAAGAAGGUAACCGACUAAAAUAGAGCUCCCAAUCUAUACCCAGGUAAAUAUGAAGCAAAUAUAAGCAAGUCCACUGUAUAGCUAAAUAAUCAAGAAUUCAAUCUGCUACUACAGCAUGUAAAAUUAAGGACUUAAAUAUACAUACAAACAAUGAACAGCUUAUAGUUUCAAGAAAUAACCCUUAGUUUUUCUGACACUUUUUCACAAUCCAUUCUUGAAAGGCAAUAUAUAAUGCCGCAUUCUUUAUAAUGAUUUUCACGGAUAAACAUGUCAAUGUCCUCAACGCAUUUCUUUGUCUUGGGUCUUAAGUAGUACCUGCAAAGCCCAACUUAAAACUAAGAUGUCUGCUACAGUAGAACUUGCAUCGAUACCUUACUGCUUACAGGCACGCACCUCAGAUUUGGACGAUUAAAACUUUGUUUGAAAACAAUGCAGUUUUCAAGGGCUAAAGCUUGCACAACAUCUUCCUUAACCCUAGCAGUUGCUGUUGCAGUCAAGGCCAGGACUGGUGUCUUGGGGAAAUUUUGUUUUAGAACACCUAAUUCCUGACAGAUAGUAAAACCUACAUCAAGAAGUCAUCUUAUUUAACCAUGAACGUCUCUCAUCAGAUAGAAAUACCUUGUAAUCAGGUCGGAAGUCAUGACCCCACUGGCUUACACAAUGAGCUUCAUCAAUAACAAUUCUAGAAAGGUGCCCUUGUGAAUCUAAAUCCCUCAAUAGUCCCGAUAAAGCACCACUCCUAUACUCAAAACAAUGCUAACUGUUACAAUAAUAUAUUCAUACAACAUGUGUGAUGGUACUUUUACCCUCAAAAAAUAUUCAUAUAGAAAAAUGACUUCAUGAAUAUACAUUUUCCAACAGUCUCAACAGGGUGGCGAACCCUGUACUCAUAAAAUUGCCAGCAAGUUUUCAAAAACAGAAACACUGAAAGAACACGAAAUGAUAUUUUCAAAAAAAAUGUGUGUAAACAAUAAAAUAAUAGAAAGCAAACACAUCCUGGAGACUAAAUGCAGCGUGCCAAUAAAAUAGAAUCAUGACAAGUAGUUUUGAUUUGGAAAACAAUAUUGCUGGAUAACUUAAGUACUCAGAAACAACAGUGUAUGAACCUAAUGGUUGUAUGUUGUAUUGCAAAAGGAUAGCUUUAGACGAUAGUCAAGAGAUGAUGUGCUUAAUCUGAAUACAGCUGCUUCAUACGUGUAACUCACAACGGGCACCAUUCCACUUACCUCGCUAUUUUCUCUGGAGUGACGUACAGCAACUUGUAGCGGCAUGACUUUAAAUCUCUCAUUAUCUCUUGUUGUUCAGACCAGUCCAAGUUGCCACUCAAAUAAGUUGCAGGAAUAUUUGCCUGCUCCAGCCAAAAGGUAGUCAAAUCAAGAAAAAAACGCCAAGAAAUAUGUACAAGGAAAUGAAAUGGUUCCCUACCUGUGACAAGUGCAUGAUCUGGUCUUGGAUGAGUGAGACAAGAGGGCAAACUACUAACGUUAAGCCCACACUAAUAAGUGCUGGAAGCUGCAAAUUAAUAGAUGAGCAUCAAUGCUGAUAGCAGAUACGCAAUUCAGUGUAUGUCAAAGGAACAAAUGUAACAUGUCCCACUGGAUAAAAAUCUUCUGAAAAUUACCUUUUCUUGAACAUUAACAAAUAAAAAAAGAAGUGGUUUUAUAUAUGCCAGCAUUUAGAAAGAGAAAAGAAUGCCAACAUAAACAAAACAAUGGUCAAGAAACACAGGACAGGAAGCUGAAUGUCCAAACAUUUAAAAAGAGCAACAACAGAUAAAAAUAUAUUUUGUAAGUUGUUACCUGAUAUGUCAAACUUUUCCCACCACCAGUUGGCAUCAAAACAAAAACAUCAUACCCACUCAUUGUGGCAUUUAUUAUUUCUCGCUGGUUGGGGCGGAAAGAACGGUUUCCAAACUUAUUUCUGUUCUUGGCCUGAAUAUGCACUGAAAGUUAGUAUUCACAAAUCAGGGAUGGUGUAAAUAAUCAAAAAUUGAUACUGAAGAAAAUAACCUCAAGGUCCUUAGUCCAUGGAAAAUUUGUACUACUCCACUUCCUAUCACCAGAUCCUUCAGUAUAGUUAAUAUCAAUAACCUUUGGGGUAUAGCUUUUCCAUACAGAAUUUAAUGGUGUGCUUAGAUUAUCUGAACAGGAAUAUGGGGCAGAAGAAUAGCAUAAAUCACUAUCCCUAGGUCCAUUUCCAAUGUAAACCUGAGAUUGGAAUCUAUUGCUAUCCGUUAUAAAAGUGCUUCCUGGGGUCAUAGGUGGCAGAUGCUGCUGUGUAGCUUUUGUGGAUGCCAUAGAGUGUGAUAUUUGUCUCUCCUCAUCUUGGGCUGACCUUGUCAUAUGGUCCUCGAGUAGCUGAACCAGUUUCUUAAGAUGUAAUCUGCAAGGUAUAACAGUAGCACAUAUCAGCAUUACUGUGGCAAAGCAGAGGUGCCUACUUCAGAACUCAGAAGUAACAAGUAAUAUUGAUAAGUAAAACAAAGAUUUGAACCGUCUUUGAUGAAGCUCUUGUGAAUGUUGAGGAUUGAGUUCACCAUCAUCAUCAAGAAGCUCAUUGGCUACUGCAAGCAGCUCAUCCUUCAUCUCCUGCAAAUGAGUCAUUGCCUCUCUGCAAAAAGCUAGCUGCAGAAAGUAGUGGAUAAUGAGAUGACAUGCUGAAAUAGCCCCUCAGUAUAGAACAAAGAUGGUAACUUAAUACUAAGUACUUAGCCUACCUUGCAUUGAUGGCUACAUAAUUCAGAUAGUUCUCGUGGUAAAUUAGCCUCAUCCAUGCCAUUGAAGCUACACUUGUUUCCUGGUGGAGUUGACAUGUUAUGAGAUGAUCCUCUGGGUGUUGCUUGAUAAUGUUCCAUAACUAUUCGGUCCACAUCAAUACUCUGAAAGAUAAAUUCGACAGUUCAGGAAACAAACAUGGACACGUUAAAACCACCAUGCAAUUAUGUCCUUGUAGUUUAUGGAUUAAUAUAAUCCUGGGAACAUUUGUUGCAGUUAAAGAAAUAUUAAGUUCAGGAGAUGAGAGCACCAACCGCUAGAAUAUCAUCAUCCAUGGCAUCAUAAUUAUCAUAAGUGCACAUGUUAUCAGCAACCGGAGCAGACUGGUGUAAUGCAGCAUCGGUUCUUGCAAAGUUGUAUUGAUUUGUUGCUCUCGUAUCUUCCUGCGCCACAUGGUUGCUCUGGUAACUUCUCAUAGAGGAGCUGAUACCAACAGGUUGAUGGCUACUGUUGUUCUGCAGAGAAAUUCUUUCAGUGGGUUGGCUUGUGCUUUCCACAGAGGGCAUCCUGUUUCCUGACACAGUAGCCAUUUUGUUGGUGUUGUAUGAGCCUUCUCCACAAGUACGAGCAUGACCUCUAUCACAGUCUUUCACUUUUGCGGAUAAACCAGGUCUUAAAUAGCUCUUGCGGGCAGCCUGAGUGUUGCAUAGGGAACGCCAGGCCUAUGAUGAGAAAUAAUUAUAGAAGUAAAUAAAGUGUGUGGAGCAUUGCAAACAGAUCCAAUUAGGUUAAUGAUAUAAUAUCUGUAGGUAAAAGAGAAGGUAGGGACUAGGGGUUGACUUUUUCAGUUAGGGUGUAACCAGUAGAAGUUUUGACACAACUAAUUGAAGGUAAGAGUAACUUCCACUAGUUUGUAUUGUAACUAGUUGAAGCUUUUACUUAACAUGUUGCAUUGUUGAACUCAAGUUUUUCCACAAAUCCUGAUCUGUUCUUAUAAGUUGAGAUUCACAACUACCAGUUGCAUUGAUUAUCAUGAAGGAAACAUAUGGUUUUGAAGAUAUCUGGCUAUUGAUGUAAAGUUACCUAAAAACCUAGCUAGAAGACACUCUGGUAUCACCAGGUAACUCCCCAUAACUGUACUAAGCAUCACCAAAUAUUCAUAGCAUGUCACAGGAUCGCAGUCAUACCUUCUCGAUCAAUGGAGCAUGAAAACGCUCUGAGCCUUGAAUUUUACAGGCAGAAGACCUGCAAAAGAGAAACGUUUGAGCGAUUCAUGCUGUCUCAGUAAAUGCCGCAGUCGAGUUGGUUUCCAUAAACGAGAGGCAUACCUUAACGAAAGCAUGCUCUCAGGGGCUUCAGGGCUGGGCUUCUGUGUCGGCAAGGAGAAGAGAAAGCUUGAACUCAGAAAGCCAUCUCUGCUAGAGAAGCCCUGAACAGCGUUUUCGUGUUGCGGCCAGUUGACCCUUGGCGACUUAUUGGCUUGCAUUGGUGUUCAUAAGAGCUCAGGACCUGAUCCACACACGUCCACGCCCGAUAAUUUUUGCAAAAUAAAUAAAUAAAUAAAUAAAUAAUAAAGUCGGAGUUGGUAGUAGGCGUGAUACACGUGUAAAUUCAGUAAUCAGAUGAGAUCCGAAUGCAAAUAGCCAAACAGCAUACCGCAUACGCUAGGGUUUGGGUGCUCGGUUUCGCGCAGCAGGAAGGGAAGAGAAGGGGUGGGCAUACCUGGUGGGGCGCUCGUCGCCGGAGAAGGUCCCGUCGAAGGCCUGGGCGCCCGGCGUAGAGCGGCGGCGGCGCGCUGCUCGCCCAGUCGUCGUUGUCGUCGUCGCCGCGCUCGGGGAUGCGGAAAAGCAGAGGUGAAAGCAGAGAGAGAUCCCCGAGCUGUUGUCGACGCAGCUGGUUGCUAAUGCGGCGGCGGCGGCGGGGGAGGAGUGGGCGGAGGCGGCGGUGGGAUUCGGCGGAAAUGGCUGCGGCCGGAGAAGAAAACAGAAGGGGCAGGGCGGGGCGGGGCGCGGAAUGCGAAAUCGAAAACCUCACUCACCGGCUCACCGUGUGUUGUGGAGGGAAAGUGCCAAAGAGGGAAACCAAUCGGGCCGCCUGUUUUAAUCGGAUCUCUCUGAUUAGCGCUGGUGGCCGUCGGAUGGAAGCCGAGAUUCGCACCAUCCUCGGGGUCGCCAACGGAUAGAAUAGACAUGCCAACUUUUCCCUUUUUAAGGUCCUGUUUAGUUUCCAAAAAAUUUUACAAAAAUUUUUAAAUUUCUCAUCAAAUCGAAUCUUUAGACACAUGCAUGAAGUAUUAAAUAUAGACGAAAAUAAAAACUAAUUGCAUAGUUUAGUCGUAAUUGACGAGACGAAUCUUUUGAACCUAGUUAGUCCAUAAUUGGACAAUCUAUGUUUUAAAUAGCGAGCUAAGGCCAUGGUAUUUAGCGUUUUAUAAACCGUAAUUAGUGUAUUUUAGUGGUAAAAUUGUGCAUGAACGCAAAUAGCGGCAUAAUUUUUUUCAAGCUAUUUUGGGCUAUAGCGGCAAAAAUAGCGGGCUAUUUUUUUUCCAUGUAAACAAUAUUUAUCAAAUGCAAAUGAAAAUGCUGCCGUGUCGAUUUCUUAAAAUUUUUUAGAACUAAACAAGGGCCAGUGAUGAACAGUGUGGUUUUAAAAAAAUGGUGAACAGUGGGCAGUGCCCUGUGGUGUGGCAAACUGGCGCACGUGCGUCGCGGUGCGGUUUGGUCUGGCGAAUGGGCCACGCUGUCAGUGUACGUAUACUCCUGUCAAGGCCCAGGCAGAAACAGACACCGGCCAUGCGGAUGCGGUGGUACUGGGCCGGGGCCUAAUAGAAAUCUGGGGUCCAUUUUUACUGAGACGCGUUUGGUUUCCAGUUUUUUUUUCUCCGCCGGGUGUUCAUUCCAUUUUUGGUUAAACAGAAAGGUAACUAGAUGUUACGAAGACGAUAUAUAGAACUCACAAAUAAUUCUUAGAUUACAAACAAAAUCUCACAUGCAUAAACAAACAGCAAGAAAACUCAAGGAGGGAGACCCUCCACCUCACUACCCAACCGACCGAGUCUAAUAUAUAAUACAACACAUUGGUAGACUGGUAGUCACUAGUGUAGUGAAACCGAAGAGUCAACAAAGCAAGCUCGACUUCGACGGCAAAGUAUCUACCAAGAAUGCAAAUACGACAACAGCGGCAAAACAUUCGCUAGAGACAACUACCAUCAAAACAACAAAACGUUCGAGGGGGAGGAGGGGCAUCACGCUCACAUCAGCAAAGUAUAGGGCAGACCGAAGCGAUCGCCGGUAUCUCAUCUAGCCUCACCUUGUCCUGCUGACAGAAAUAAUGAAAAGUUUGCCCAAACAGGUAGCUCAGGCCUUGUUUAGUUUCUAAAAAUUUUCAAUAUUUUCGUCAUAUCGAAUAUUUAGAUAUACGCAGAGCACUAAAUAUAGAUAAAACAUCAGUAUUUGGUGGCCAAAUCAACAACGAUGGUAGCUCUGCAGAGGUUCAGAGAAGCCUGCCGAGGAUACAUUAGCUUUACCUGACACGAAUUAGAAGCACUCAUUCCCACCCGCGUUGCAGGAUUGAAGUCAAGUUGAUGUUUUUUGCAAUAAAAGUAAAUGCGGCUUUUUAGAAGAGAGGACAAAGUGACGACACUUAUGAGAAAGUAAAGCAUUAUAGCUUGUUCGCUUGAGCUUAUCAAUUUAAUCAGCCAGUUAUUCAACAGUGUUUUUUUUUCUCAUAACAAAUCAGUCAACAAUAUUUUCUACCACGGCUUAUCAACCAAACAAACAAUGUUGCCUACAUAUAACACAACUUUUAGCUGCCUUAGAAAACUUUAGCUGCUUAAAUCUUUGUUGCCUACGUGUAACACAACUUUUAGCUAAGAUCAUUACUCUUGUUAGCCUGCAUAGGGGCUGCCCUAACAAACCCAGACAGUUGUGCUAAGGCCUUCUACAACACACCAGGCUAGAGUGCUGCCCCAACAUCCAUAUAAGCAUCAAGUGGUUAUGUCACAUUCAACAACAGCCUCGCAGGGGCCAGAGAUGCCUGCAGAGGCUACGGUGGUUCCGUCUGAUAAAAGAUGGAGGCACCUACUCAACAUGCGUUGUAAAGAAGGAGCAACUUCAAGAUGACGUCUGUUUGCUUAGGACCACAUCUCGUAUACAAUUAAGGCCUUGUUUAGAUGGGAAAACUUUUUGGAUUUCGCUACUGCAGCACUUUCGUUUGUUUGUGGCAAAAAUUUUCCAAUCAUGGACUAACUAGGAUCAAAAGCGAUUUACAGGUAAACUAUGCAAUUAGUUUUUGUUUUCGUCUAUAUUUAAUACUUCAUGCAUGUGUCGCAAGAUUCGAUGUGAUGGAAAAUCUUGAAAACUUUUUGAUUUUUGAGGUGAACUAAACAAGGCCUAAAAUAUGGAAUAGGCUAUAGAGUAUGGAUCCUACAAGAUUAGGAUCUGUUGUGGCUUGCGUUGUAGCAAUAACAUCUUUGGUUGUAGCUUAGUCUAGAUGGCAUAUUACUUUUAUGUGAGGCUAAUACUCUUAUUAGCUUGCGUUGGGGCUGCCCUAAAAAGGUGUGGCAGCCUUAUGUUGGUGGUGGCAUGUCAUGACGGGCAAACAAACACACAGGAAUGUUAACCAACACCUAUGUGUUUUUUAGCAUUUUAACACAUGAUUUUUUCUAUGUCUAUGACUUUGGGGCCCACACCUCAUUCCUCUCUCACUCUCUUCCUCUUCCUCCCCUCCUUUCCUCCCAACGCCUGCCCUGCCCCUGACGCGCACCUCAGCUGCCAUGCCCGCGCACCCCUGCUGCCAUGCCCACGCACUGGUGCACACCCAUGCGUCGUCGCGCCCACGCCUCCCUCCCCAAUGCGUCUCCCUCAGCGCAGCCCUCGACGGCGUCCAUGAUCGCACCCUCGUGUCGGCCAUGGCAGCGGCGGCACUGUCGGGUAGGCUUCUCCUUUCGAUCUAUGAUAUGUGAUUGUACUUUGCUUAGAAAAAAAUUGUGAUUUGUCCUUCUAUAGGCUCAAAAGAUUCGUCUCGUCAAUUCUGACCAAACUGUACAAUUAGUUUUUAUUUUCAUCUAUAUUUAAUACUCCAUGCAUGCAUCUAAAGAUUCGAUGUGACGGGGAAUCUUAAAAAACUUUGCGUUUUUAGGUGGAAGUAAACAAGGCCUGUGUCGCGGAGUGCAAAAAACGCCGUGCGUGCUGGGCUGGGAUGAUCUGGAGUCGCUCUCGAGCUCGACCAUGGCUAAUUGGCUUGCGCCGGCAUGAAAACUUAUCAACCAAAUUUGCUUGUUCGUUUAAGCUUAUCAGCUCAAUUUAUUAAUCAUUAAGUGAUAUUUUUCUUUUAUAACAAUACUUUCUGUCAUGGCUUAUUAGUCAAAGGAACAACGACGCGCCUAUUGGACGUCUGUAAGAUGCUGAGAUGCUCCGGCUAGGCACACAAAGCUGGCAGAGCGGGGCGCUCGAGUAGGAUAGAGUUGCAUGAUGAUGAGAUGCGCCCGGCUCCUGCGCUCUUGCCCACCAAGACCUACCAUGUGCUACCAUGUGUUACAUUACAUAUACCAUUCCCGAUCAUUCAAUUUAACCUUGUCAGGAUGACAAGAACGUGAGAAGCAAUGCCAACUUGUUUAAUUAUAUAUCCGCAUUUCCGAGAUGUAGGAAAGCUGACUUGUGUAUAUUGGCCUUGUUUAGUUCCGAAAAGUGAAAACUUUUCGGAACUGUAGCACUUUCGUUUGUUUGUGACCAAUAUUAUCUAAUUAUAGACUAACUAGGAUCAAAAGAUUCGUCUUGUGAUUUACAGCUAAACUGUGUAAUUAGUUUUUAUUUUCGUCUAUAUUUAAUGUUUAAUGCAUGUGCCACAAGAUUCGAUGUGACGGGGAAUCUUGAAAACUUUUUGGUUUUUGGGGUGAACUAAACAAGGCCAUUGUAUAUGUACAUGAGAAAGUUACGCCGUGACGAACGUUGAAUCUGCGUAUGAUAUAGCCGAGGCUGCGAUCCAAAAGUUUCCAAACACUCUCCUCCCAGGUCAAACGGCAAACACUUAGCUUGCUUGGAUCCUAAUAACCUGGCGCGAGCGCCGGCGGUGGCGCGGCUCCUGGCAGCUGGGCGCCUUCGUGCCUAGGCGGCUGACUGCCCUGGGCCCAGGGCCCGAGGGACGACACCGCGGCGGGCCGGCGGCAGCCAGGACCCGAGUCAGGGGAGGCCGGACGGGCUGAGCGGCGGCGCCCCGGCAGCCAGUACACCGGAUUCAGUGAUUCGGUGAGGAUUCAGUCAUUCAGUUUAAACACUAGAUCACCGGCAUCCCUAGCGUGAAAGAAGAGUACGUUGCUGCCCAUUUGCAUGUUCCAUUGCUUUUUCAAGAGCUAGCAGGUCUAAUGGAAAAAGAAAUCACUAAUAAUGGUGAAAAGGGAUCCCUCACACUCAUCUCCCUUUCCCUUCUUCUACCCUCAAUCAAUGUUUAGGAAUUUCCACUUUUCCGCUUCUUCAGUCGGCUCACUUGUCUUCUUUUUCUUUUGCUUGGCUUCAGGGGUCUAUGGUUUACCUUCUCGCCUUCUCUUGGUUCGUCCCAUGGAUCCUUGCAUUUGAUAAUGAAACAAUCAGAAUUUGUUGAAUUGAAAUAUGUGAAUUCUCAUUUCUUUACGUGGUUUUGGCAACUAUCAAUUAUUUCUUUCCUCGGCUUCUUACACGGGCCCUAAAUGAUAUCUAGUAGGCAACCUGGGAACUACAUUAGCUUAGGGGAUCGGGUAGCGAGUGCUCUCCUCGGCAAAGCACAUGAUUGAGAUUGGAAUUAUUGUAUUGUGAAUAAAGGCAUGAAAGAAAUUCUAUAGUAGUUAGGUAUUCAAAAAGAUAUAAAGAUCUAUGAUUCAGUUGGCUUUUUAUUUAUAGUGUUAUAUUGCUAUUAGCUAGUGAUUGUAGUAAACAAAUUUUCCGAUAAGGGAUAAUCGGAGGUAAGCCUCGACGCUUCAUGGCUAGUUUUUAGUUUGAUGAAGUUAGAUGGCUUGAAUAUAGUGUGGAAGAAGAUGGUCAAGAUGCUGCGUUCUGUUUUAUUUGCUAUUUGUUCAAGCACAAAAUUAAUGCUGAUGAAGAUGCUUUUGCGAAAGAGGAUUUAGAAAUUGGCACAUGAGAACGAAGAUUACUAAAAAUUGUUUGUUCUAUGACUAGUUUUAACAAUAUGGCUCAAGAGAGAGACAGUUCCUAAAGCAUCAACUGUUGAGAAGUUUGCUGCAGUGAUUGAUAAGGAGAAGGUUUUUUGCUUGGAAGGUGGGAAUACCCAAGUUUAAAAUUUUGGCUCCGACAGUGUAUAAAUUUCAGCCUUGCCUCGACCUCGAGGUGACAGGCUCGCUCAAGCUUGGUUGGUUUACAUCCAUAGAAUGAGUCUAACUACACAAGAACCAUACUUAAUUUAAGUAAAUAAAGAAAAGUACAACUAUUUUGUUGUUGGUUACCACAAAACUACAACUUUAUAGUCAGCAUAUCAAUCCUGGCUCUUGUUUGAAUGGUACAUUUACAGAUACGUGAUUACAAAUGGAUUUCGAAGCUACUAAGCACAAUCUCUUGGAACGCAUGCUACUUGAUGCAAGUGCAAAACCUACAGACUUGCCGCUAUCACUUCUAAAAAGUAUCACAAAUGGUUUCUCUGACGAUAAUCGAGUUGGUAGUGGUGGCUUUGCAGUUGUGUACAAGGUAAAUAUAUAAAUCUAUAUACUGCCCUGAAUCUCAGUUUCGAUUGAUCUCAGAACUUAUGUGCAUGCUCACAAGGCAAUGCCCUUGCUUGCCACUGCAGGCAAAACUUCAGAACGGGGAAGUAGCCGUGAAGAAACUGUCACAAGCGCUUGAUCUGGACGAGAAGAAUUUCAAAAAAGAGGUUAGUUGUCUGAUGACGGUAAGGCACAAGAAUAUAGUGCGUUUCCUGGGAUAUUGUGCUGAUACACAAGGGAAAAUCUCUAACUACGCGGGCAAGAUGGUCAUGGCAGACGAACGGGAAAGGUUGCUCUGCUUUGAGUUUGUGCCAAAUGGGAAUCUUGAACGGUAUAUCGCUGGUAUGUUUCUCUACAUCUUAUUUAUAUUGGAAAAAUCCAUAAACCACAAAAAUGUUGGAUGCUUUUGCACUUUGACUUUUGCAUCCAGGAUUAAAGAAGUUACAAUCUCAUUCCAUUUAUCUUUUCCUUUUUUAUUAAUGUAUAAAUAAACUACUAAUAAUCCUAAAAAGGACUUCAGUUACCUAUUUACAAACAUUAAAACUGGAAUCUCAAUUUGCAGAUGCAUCCCAAGGACCCGAAUGGAGUAUACGCUACCAAUUAAUCAAGGGAAUUUGUGAGGGUUUGCAUUAUCUUCACCAGAACAAAAUUCUGCAUUUGGAUCUCAAACCUGCAAAUGUAUUAAUUGAUCACAACAUGGUGCCGAAAAUUGCUGAUUUUGGUCUCUCAAGGCGCUUUGAUGAAAACCAAAGCCAUGCUAUAGCUUCAAAUCUAGUUGGAACAACGUAAGUUACCUAAGGGUCCCCAUAGCACAUCUGUUUUUGCCAGGCACGAUCAAUGCUGCCUUCUUUUUGCUCUUGAAUUAUUGCUCGUACCAUAAAAUUUUCUUUGCAGGGGAUAUUUGGCACCAGAAUUCUAUGGACGAGAAAUAAGAUCAGAGUUAGACAUAUACAGUCUUGGGGUUAUAAUCAUAGAGAUGUUGACAGGACGGAAGGGGUACUUUGAGAUCAAGAAUGUAAGAAUUAAGUAUAUAAAGUUGACAAUUAUGAUAUCCACCACCCCCACCCCACACACACCCUUUUUGUUUGUCUUUUUUCCCCUGAGCCAGUUUUAUAAUAUUUUUCUGAUUUUCUAUCUUUUCUUGAAUUGAUUAUUACAGUGCUAGUUCUUUAUUUGACCCUAACUCAUGAUCACAUUUUCGAUUAUUAGGUACUUGAAAGUUGGAGUGGUAGGUUUGGGACAUCACAAGGAGACACACGGUUGGAACAGGUACGAGUAUGCGCUGAAAUAGGCUUACAAUGCAUUGACUCCGACCCAAGGAAGAGAAAAACUACACGGUGUAUACUUCAGAAGCUUGAUGAAAUGGAAAGUAGGUGCGGUUUUAUUUUAAAUGGCAUCAGUACUUCGCCGGUGACACAUGUAAGUUUACUCUGGCACAUAGUAGCGUGCUCUCAUGAACAUCAUUUUUUGAGCUUACCAUUUCCGCUAUUAUUGUUCUUCGAGUUGGCGGAUAAGUGAAAAUGAUUAGUUAUUAAGAAUACUAAAAAAGGUUUCAAAAAAAAAAGAAUACUAAAAAAGGUUCUACCGAGCUAGAGCAAGGUGAACCUAAGGUGCCAAAAGCCCUGUCUUAGUUAUUUUUUAAGUACUUGGUAUUCUGGCAUUUAGAGACUAAUAAAUUAGAUAAAAUUUAAUACAGGAUAAAAGAAAUGAACCUUUCUGAAAAUUAAAUACAAAAUAACUACAUAUGUGAUUUUGCAAAACUCUAUCUGAUAACAACCUAAAUGACUGACAGGUCGUGCGCUAGCCAAGUGCACGACCUCUUCUCGUACAUGUGCCACGCCAGAAGAGGUACGCCUAAUUAGAGUUCCAAGGUUUCGGAAGAAGUACGCCAGUCAAUAGUAAUCAUAGCAGGGAUUUAGGGCGGUAGCCACGACAUAAUGCGUGAGAGAGCUGUGGGUGGAGAAAGGCAGAUGUGGAUGGAGAUUGGGAGAAAGAGUAGAAAGUUAUUUCCCUCCAUUUAUUAGUGACCCAGUACAAGAAAUUAUGCACUGUGGAAUGAAGUUUCUAUCUACAGUGUCUUACUGCUUUGACAACUAUAUAUGUAAAUUUUUACCACAUACAAUGCAUGGUUAAAGUAAUUUGAGUAGGUUUCUUCAACAAUGAACGGAAAGUGUAGUUUUGUGAUAGUUGUAAUGUGUACUAUUCUGCCUAGUUUUGGUAAUCUUUACUUAAUAGGAUAACCAAGUGUAAUUUCAAAUUUUUACGCUAGUUGCCUUUAUCAACACUGCUGCAAAAACCACACCUUGACCCCCGGAUCAACCCCUGCAGCCUACACCUAACACCCUUUGCCCUAAAAAGAGUAUAAUUAUAGGUUUGAACUAAGUCAAACAUUUUUUAGUUUGACUAUAUAAUUAUAGAAAAUGGAAUCAACUUUGUGUCUCCUAACAUGUAUUACUAUAAAAAUAAAUUUAAUGAUUUGAUCUAUUUAUACUAUUUUUUGCAUCAUAAAUACUAUCACUUUUUAUGUAUACUUCUCGUAAUUCCUCCUGUUUGUUUUUUCAUUCUAAUAAUUACUUUGCAAUUAUUAUUUUUAGGAACCAGUAAUGAUAUCGCCCAAUGUUUCUGCACCUGCUUUAUCGCACAUAACACCUAUUUCAAAUGUGGCUUCUGAAGGAGUAUCAGCACUGCAAACUUCAUCACCAUAUCUUAUUCCACAAGAAGCAAAUUUUGCAAAUGAUACUGUGCAAGAACACAAACCUGUAAAAAAUCCUGUUCAACUGCCAGUACGAACUGGUAGUCAUGGUAGCCUCAACAAUCUGCCACAGGUCAGCCUGACGAACUCAACUUCUUUAGGAGGACCACCUCGAUGGCUCGAUGGGACUGUCUAACAUGGGCAACCAUACAGGUUCACAUGUCAAACACAGAAUUGAAUUCCAUUGAUUUGACUAACAAGUCUUCCAUGAAUAUGCCUAUUGGGCAGCAUCCCCAUGCCCAACAGCAGCCACCAAACUAUGUCAAAAUUUGGCAGGUAAGGAUUUCCUCUUGUAUUUUAGCGUUUGCGUAUACACAAUCAGCGCACAAUCACAAUUUUCAACUUCUCCUAGUGAUAUGAGUUUUUCUUAGUAUUUUAGCAUUCAAAAUUUAGUAUAAACUUUUCCUACUAAAUGUCCCUUAGUGAGAAUUUUCUAGUACUAUGACUAGUGGUAGUAUUUUAUUAUUAAUUAAAAACACUAGGAUAACUUCACUAUUUUGGUAGUGACGUGCCUGCUCCGUGGCAGUGACAACUUAGAAAUGGGCAGACAGAUUUUUAAAACUCAGUACUACUCCGUAAAUCGUAAGAGAAGUGCACAACACUUGACUAAUACGAGCCUUAUUAGGGCCUGCUUGCCAUGUUACUGGAUAUAUAGGGUAUAAGAGUAUCUCCAAGAGUUCCCAAUAAAGACUUCUAAUCUAGGAUUUUUGGCAAGAAUAGAAAAAAUCCAUCUCCAAGAGUUUUCAAUACCACAUUUCAAUCUUUUAGCACUUGGAAAAGAAAUCAGCCAACGCGCGUAAAGAUCUGCGCAUCUACCGUGCGCAUAUCGGUCUCACAAUCUAAAUGCGAAAGGGUGUGAAAAAUAAUAAAGAGUAGGAAAGAGUUCUUAAUGCAAAUGGAUAAGAGAAAGAAUAUAUAAAAGUGGUUGAAAUAAUUUAGAAAUAGUAUAGGAUUUCAAAUAUAAAAUUGUCUUUUAUAUUUUUUAGGAGUGAAUUAUAUUGGAAACCCUUGGAGAUGGUCUUAUCUAUUCCUCCCAAUAUUUCUUUAGGAUUUGGAAAAUGCCAUGUUUUUUUGAAAUGAAUUAUUAGGUACUCGUGGAGAUGCUCUUAUAUUGCAUAGGUUAUUUUGUACAUUGGUCAUAGAGGUUUUGAACAAAUGUUUAUCAUAUGUUAGGGAACUUUAUCUGGGCGAAGGAGAGGAGAACGUGUUCACAUUUGUCAUCUCGAAGUAAGUACUUUUUUGCAUUAUUUCACUCCCAAAACAUUAUGCAAUAUUUUGUAAAAAAAAGGAUUCCACUAUCUUUUUUUAAGCUGCAAUGUUACUAGCUAAUUGAAUGAUUUGACAUUUCUUUGCUCUAUGUAUGCUUGUAUGAAAUUGAAAGAAAAUAACUUUUUCCUUAAAAAAAGCUUGCAUGGCUAUUUUUCUAUUGAACAGGCAAGCUAUAUUUCAGGUGCCUGAAUUUUAAGGUGAUUUGAGUCAACACUUUUGUACAACUAACUAGUAUAAGUAAAUUAUUACUUUUGUGAUUCAUUACUUGUCUUUGUGUCAUAACAUACCAAAUUUUUGUCCUUAUCCAACUAUAGAAAUGAUUAUAUUGUUAAUUGUCUCUGUGUCAGCAGAUGUCAGAUUUUAUAGGUUUUAUGAUUUUGUUUAACAUGUAUUUUUAUUCUUCGAACAAAAAAUUACAGAUUACGCCUACAGAAAUUGUAACUGACUAAAGCUACAAUUUUAAUAUAAAAUAUAUACAAUAACCAUUGCAUGAAAGGAAGCUAACAUUCAGGCACCUGAAUCUUAGCAAGUCCCUUAUAUAAUAAUUAUAUUGAGAAGAAACACAAGGGGCAAGAGUCCUUACAGUUAGAAACAUAGACCGACCCACUUCUUAAUUUGUAUAACUAAAUCUUGUGUUAUCUUUGACACAUUAACUUGCUAGACCAUUAAUGGAGAUAAAUUAGCUUCCAAGAAACUCCUAAACGCUCAAUCAUGAUUUCUUAAAGUUGAGGUAGAAAAAUUAAGGCCGUUAAAACAUGGGUUGCAUCAAUUGCUGCCAGUGCAAAUUUUCAGUCAUGGUUAUUUUCCACCUUCAAAACUUGAAUCUAAUCCUCAGUUUGGUUGUAUUUAGUGUUCUCCAUUGCUAGGUUCUUUUACUAUUCAUAGUAUGAACACAUAUAUUCAUUGAAUUAUUUGUCUUUUUAUUAAUUCUCACAUUAGCAUAUGUCUGACAGGCUUAUAGGAGAGGAACAAUGCCUGAAAUGUAAGUGUUUGAAUUAUUGCAAUAAUCCUUGCAUUUAAUUGAAUUUGCAUUUUUCAUUAGCAUUAUUGUUUGUUGAUUACUUUGAUCGAGAUCUGUAAUCUUGCCAUUAGCCGUUGGUGUUAUCCUUGUGUUAAAAGAAAUGACUUGUGAUAAGAUUUUUCAUAGUAUAUAUCGUGUUGAGGGUUUUGUAACCCACUAUGCCAUGCACGAUGUGCAUGAUGCACUCAAUAGAUAUACUAAAGAGCCAUGCACAAUGUUGAGGAUUAUUCUUUUUCAAAUGGGACCCUUUUUCUGAUAUUAUUGAAUUGUGCUUCCUAAGUAGGAAAUUGAAAACUCUACUUUCUAUAUGCAGACAUGUAGCGGACUGGCCAGAAAUUAUGGAGAUUAGUCGCAUGAUAGAUGAGAAGCAUAUGGACAUGUUUGUAUCUCAAGCUCGCCCUUUUUAAUGCGAUCUUGUUGCAUUAUCACACUUGCGAAAUGUUGUGAACAAUGUCUUUUCUGUGCAGAGAUUAUUGUGAAGUUGCAGACUUUUUAACAUUCGGGGUUUCAAAACAGCAUGGGUUUCUUGGACAACUACAAGAGAAAAAGCUGGUCAGUGAUUGGUUCUAAUCUUUUGAUACCUGUGUUAUUCAGCUAUCUUUCAUCUACAGUCAUUUAAUUCUUUGCAGACAUUUUGUACAAUUCUAAUGCCUAGUUGGUCCUCUGUUUCAGUGUACUGUGAUAAUAUUACCUUCACAAACUUUGCUGCUAAAAUGGUCUGAAAAAGUAGGCCGCCUGAUUGGCAUGCUCUUCCCUGGGGUAAUCUUGAUUGUGGCUAAAUGAAUAUAUAUACUUCAUCUCAGAGGUCAAUAUAAUCAUCUGCAUUUACUGAAAUAUUGCCUUUUUCUGCAGGACAUAGAGGUAUUGAAAACACCGAUCUCAAAGUCAGCAGCUAGUAAUAUAUCAGCAGCAGCUGCUGCUGCAGUGCUGCUACACCAACAACAGCAGCUGUUGCUCCAGCAGCAACACAUGUAUAUGCAGCAAGGCCUCCUUCACCAGCCGGAGAUGCAACCAAUGAAACACCAGCAUGAAAGUAGACGUGCCGCUCCAGCAAUAGCAGCUACAGCAGAUGAUGCAAGGGAAAUUUUGGCUGAAAAGGGCCGGGCCAAAGUCGCCAAACAGGAUGCCUGAGGAAGGCUUCCUAUUCCUACCGUCAAAGGGUUAGAGAUGUCACCUUUAAUUGGCAGUUUUAGAGAGGGGACUUGUGUAAACUUACAUGAUGGAUAAUACAAUCUAUUCCAAAGUGAUAACAUAUCAUUCUACAUUUCUACUGGAUUGAUCUAAAUCGACUGGAAGCGUAGUUAAUACUUGCAUUUCGCAUGUCAUACUAGAACUUGCUCUAUCAAAUUCACACAUCAGAUUUCGUCAGUCGCAACAUGGUGAUAUCUAUAAACUCAAGUAAAUAUCUUAAGAUAUUGUCUUGAUGCAUGUCCGUCUCAUAGCAUAUGGGUGCCAACAUUCUGUGUAAUGCUAAGUAGAGUAGUAGCAAACAACCAAAUUGUUUGUGUUGAGAUUGAGAUUCCCAAUCUUGAGCAUCUCCAACAGUUUGUCAAAAACUGUUUGGCAAAUCUUGACUUUUGACAAGUUGAUAAAAAGGAUGGCAAGUCAAAUAUUUGAUGAUCUCCAAUAGUUUGCCAAAAUGACUUAACAAACGUAAAAAACGGGCCCAUAGUUACCUGUUUGCAACCGACAGACUCUCCUUCUCCCUUCCACCGGAUCGCGCAAGAAGACCGGUGGAAACCCUCUUGUGCGCUAAUAGAAAGUUUCUUGUAUACCGGUGGAAAGGAACCUGUGCGCUAGGAGAAAGUUUUCUGUAGACCGGUGGAAAACCUCUUGUGUGCUAAUAGAAAGUUUCUUGUAUACCGGUGGAAAGUUUAUUGUUUACCAGUGGAAAGUUUCCUGUGCACUAGUGGAAAGUUUUCCUGUGCGGCGGGGCACACCUUCAGAUCGAGAUCUCCGGCUGGAGCACCUGGUCUCGCGACGGUCCUUCAAACGACGCCGGUCUGGGAGGAACAACGAGAGCGACCUGAAAGACGACGGGCCAGAAGUUUCACUUGCCGUGCGGGAAAGGGAAAGAAGAAGAGGGAUCGCGCGUUGCCAAGCGAGUCCGCGCGGCGGAUAGCUACCAGCGCGGCUCAUGAAUUUGCCAAGCGUGUCAAUUUGCCAAAUGUGUUUGCCAAACUGUUGGAGAUGCAUUUUUGCCCCUUUUGCUAAUUUUUCAAGGAUGCAAAGUGUUUUUUGCCAAAUGUUGGAGAUGCUCUGGUAGAAAUCAGGGUGGACAAGAUCUCUCUAUCUACCUGACCAGGAAUGCGGGGGAUAAGAGGUGCAUGCGGUGCGAGCCUUUCUGGUGGUUGGCGCAGAGAGAAAGAGUGUCGCUUAGCGAAGAUCAACAAAGACCACAAACCACAGCAGAUGGCAGGUAAACCUUGUUUUAGUAAAUGGAAAAGUUCCGACCUCUACUAUCGCACACAGCCAAGAUUGUAGGUAAACCUGUUGGUCUAAUAAAAUAUUUAGAAGCUUGGGUUUGGAGCAGCACCAGUCCAAGGGUCGACCUCCUAGCCCUAAAAGGACUGAGGACAAACAAGGGGAAAGGAUGAAUGGGAUAGGGGAGAGACAGGACUGACAUAUAGAAAUCAGAUUCGAAGAUUUACAAAGAACAAGACUCUACUCAUGGCGACAGUUACGAUGCAUGGAAGAAGAAAUAGACAACGAAAAAGGUACUAAACAACAAGUUGAUACCUAGUGUUGCUUAUUGUUGUGAAUGACAGUAGAUAAACGACGAAGACCAAAAGAUCAAAUCACAGCGGAGACACAAGAUUUAACGUGGAAGUCGCUUUGCUUUGCUCCGUCAGAAGACGGCCUUUAUAAUAUGCAACUAAAUUUGGAACAUAUUCAAUAGACUCCACCUUGAGACAAAUUCAUCUUGUAGCAUAAAUCAACACCUUCGUCCUGAACAUAACAAGAAAAUACCACUGGCGCCAAAUAGCCUCUUGGGCUAAUCUACUAAACCAACUAAGCUUGAGCAUAGCUCAAACUUAGCAAUAGGAAUAGGUUUAGUCAUCAUAUCAGCAGGAUUAUCAUGAGUAUUGAUCUUACAUACCUUUAACUUACCAUCAUCGAUAACAUCAUGAACAAAAAUGGUACUUGAUGUCAAUAUGUUUAGUUCUCUCAUGAACAUCCGAUCUUUGGUAAGGUAAAUAGCACUUUGACUGUCACAGAAUAAGUUAAUGCAAGAAUCAACUCUACACAGCUCAACGCACAGACCUUUUAGCCAAAUUAAUUCCUUGUACGCCUCAGAAAUAGCCAUAUACUCUGCUUCAGUUGUUGACAAAGCAAUAACAGAUUGCAAUGUAGGCCUCGAACUUACACACUCUCCUAAGUUGUAUGGUUUUUGAGUUCGGUUUUCAUUUAAAAAACUAAGCGUACACUUGCCUUUUUUUUUUCUUUUCUUCGUCUAAGGCCUUGUUUAGUUCCCAAAAAAUUUUGCAAAAUUUUUCAGAUUUUUCGUCACAUCGAAUCUUUAGACACAUGCAUGAAGUAUUAAAUAUAGACAAAAAUAAAAACUAAUUGCACAGUUUGGUCGGAAUUGACGAGACGAAUCUUUUGAGCCUAGUUAGUCCAUGAUUGAACAAUAUUUGUCAAAUACAAACGAAAAAGCUACAGUGUCGAUUUUGCAAAAUAUUUUAGAACUAAACAAGGCCUAAUAGAAAUCGUGACAAAGCUUUUGCCAUCCUUUCUAAAAAAGCCUUACCUUCCAUGAGUUGGAAAUCAACAGGACCUAUGGAAAUAAAGAGGGUUUAGUACUCAAGAAGAAGACCUGGUGGAUAAUGCCUCUAUCCAGAGCCUGAAGAGUUUUUUCUGGCAGUGAAGAGCAAUAAGAAUGGGAAGCAUCAGUUAGAAAGAAGCAAAGGGAAAAAAAGAGGUGGCAAAGUGGCGGUUGCAACUAGAGCCAGCUCAAGAAUCCCAAAGGAUGGGAGAACAGUGAUGGAUAGAUGCUGCAUGCAUCGCUCUACCACGGCGCUGCAUAUCAACACACAGGUACCUCCCACACUAACCCUUUUACUGUGCUGAAUACUAUUGAUUCUAACAAUGUCACUAAUGAGCAUUAAUGAGCACUAGCUAGCGAUGGUACUCCUAAGAGCCUGUUCGUUUGGUUAAAAAUGUUGUUCAUCAAUUCAUAGUGAGCGACAAAUAUUGCUGAAUGGUUGAUAAAUUUGGCAGAUAAGCUCAAGUGAACAUGCUCCUUAUUUGCUGCUCACGAGCCAGCUCGUUAAGGAAAACGACCUAAAACUUUGAUACAUGUAAUUUGAAGAAUAAUAAAUAGGUUAUUUUAAACCUAUUCAUUUGCCAACGUUGAUAUGCAUAGAAAUCACUUAGGCAAGUAUAGAUAUAGCCCCAAUUAUGCAAGCAAUAAAAAUUUAUACUGCAAGCACAUAAUAAUUGAGAGGACAAAAAGAUACAUGUUAAAAAGGUUAAUAUUUCAAGUCCUCCAGAUACUACGUCAUGUCAUAGAAACCAACGUUAUGCAAGUAUGGACGAGAGUACGUAGAAACCAGUCGCUCAGUCUUCGGGGCGUCUUAGCGUCCGGCCGCUCGGACGGCAAUCGUGGGCCGAUAAAUUUUCCCGCGUAGUCACUUUCCCGCCCACCAGACUAUGGCGCACGAGAGGAUGGUACGCGCGGAACAGAUCACGGAUCACCAGUAUGCAUGUAGUGCUGACGUCAUACGUUUUUACCAACUAAAAAAAGUUAUAGAUGCUAAAUCAAACAUUCAAAUUAAAUUUUGAUUACACCAUUAGAUUUCUUAUAAUAAAUCCUUUAAAACAAGAUCUCACAUGAAUAUAUUUAGAUAAAAUUUUAUUGGCGAACAUUUGUCUUAUGAAGAUAGAAUUUUUUUUAUUAAAUAGAGACGAUGUUCUAGAUUUAGAAAACAAUGUUCCGUCUUUGAAACAAAAAUGUUCUCAAUUUAGAAAAACAAUGUUCUAAUUUUAGAUGCGUAAAAAAACAAAUAAAUAAAUGCAUAUCAUAAAUAAAAAAAAUAAAAUGUAGACCAAAGCAUGAAAACAAAAAUGUAAGAAAACGCAAUAGAGAAAAUUAAAAAGAAUAUCACGUGGAUAAUUUUCAAACAUCCUAAAAUAGACUAUAGAAUAUCAUAUGUAUAACAUUAGGGUAAGUAAACUAUUAAAUAUAUUAUAAAUGUGAACAUUAGUAAAUACACUAUAAAACAUCACGGGUAUACUUGAACAUCACAAAAAACACUAUAAAACAUCACAUGUAUACUACAAGAACAUCACAUAUAGAUUACGCGAACAUUACAAAAUACAUCAUAGAACAUUACACAUAUACCACGUGAAUAUAAAAAAACACAUAUAUAACACAUGAACAUAAAAAAAGCACAUAUAAACUAUAUAAAAUAUUAAAAAUCCAACAUAGAACAUAAAAAAAGAAAAAGAAAAGAAAUAAAUGAAAAAAAAUAUAACAAUGAAAAUAAUUGUAAACAAAUAAGAAAGAAGUAGAAAAAUAUAAAAGGUAUAGAAUAUGAAAAAAGACAUAUAUAACACAUGAACAUAAAAAAAAGCACAUAUAAACUAUAUAAAAUAUUAAAAAUCCAACAUAGAACAUAAAAAAAGAAAAAAGAAAUAAAAGAAAAGAAAAGAAAAAAAUAUACAAUGAAAAUAAUUGUAAACAAAUAAGAAAGAAGUAGAAAAAUAUAAAAGGUAUAGAAUAUGAAAAAAGAAAAAUAAAAAAGAAAAGAAAAAAUACCAAGAAAAGAAAAUAAAAAAUAUCAAGAAAAGAAAAGAAAACUAAACAACAGCGAUCAGGAGGGGAAAAGAAAAGGAAAACAAAAAGAAACAAAAUAAGAAGAAAAGAAAAAAAAUAUAUUAUAGAACAUUAGUAAUACACCAUAGAACAUCACUACAUAUAUUAUAGAACAUCACAUAUAUAUUAAACGAACAUCACUAAAUAUAUCAUAGAACACCACAUGUAUACUAAAGUGAACAUCACUAAUACAUCGUAGAACAUCACAUGUAUACUGCAAGAACAUCCCAUAUAUAUUACAUAGACAUCGCAAAAUAGAUCACAGAAUAUUACAUGUAUACCACAUGAACAUAAAAAAGCAUCAUAGAACAUCAAAUAUAUAUCAUGUAAACAUAAAAACAUCGCAUUAUGUAUACUAUAUAAACAUAGAAAAUAACAUAUAAUAUCGAAAAAAUAUAUAAAAAUAAUAGUAAAAAAAUAAAAAGUAUGAAAAUAAUAAUAAUAAUAAUAAACACAUAAAAAUAAAUAAACAAACCUAAAAGACAAGAAAACAUGAAUCAAAGAAAAAUAUUUUAAAAAGAAAACAAAUAAAGAAAAAUAAAAUGAUAAAAACAUGAUUAACAAAUGAUGAAUAUAUAGAACAAAUAAAAUAAAUGAUUAACUUAAAUAAGAACCAAAAAAGGAAAUUAAAAAGAAAGAAAGAUUAAAAUAAGAAUGAAAGCAUAGAAUACUCAAAAAGAAAAGAAAAGGUAGAAUAAAUAGAGGCAAGCAAAAACAACAAAAAAUCAAAAGAAAAAUAAAAAGUAAAAAUAAAUAGGAAAAGAAUAAAAAAAGAAAACGUAAUACAAUAAAAAUAAAAACAUAGAAAACAAAAAAGAAUAAAAUAAAAAAUAAAUAGAAGCAAUGAAAAAAUAAUAAAGAGAGAAAAAAGAAAGAGAAGAGAAAACAAAUGUGAAAAGAAAAUUGAAAAAAAGAAAGAAUACAUAUGAAACAAAAGUAAAAAAAUUGAUGCAUGGAAAGAAUAGUAAUAGUAAGAAAAAGAAAAGGAAAAAAGAAAAGAAAAGAAUAAUAAAAAGUCACAGAAAUCAAAAAGAAAAUAAAAAUAAAAAUAAAUGAAGCAUGGAAAGAAAAAGAAAAAGAAAAAAGAAAAGAAAGUAAAUGGAAAGAAUAAUAAAAAAGAAAAAAAAAAGAGAAGCUUACCUACCUGGCUCGUCGCUUCCCGCCGCGUGGGUCGUGGCUUGGGCGGGAAUUGCCUUGCGCUCGCGUUGUGGGUUGGGCGGGAAUCAUCGGACCGUGGUUUCUGUCCGAUCGUUCGGACGGAAAGAUUCCCGUCAGUCUUCAGCGUCUACAUGGAAAAAGAGAACGAUAGUGUUAGCGCCUGAACGUGUGGACAGACGCCCGCGUGCUGCACUACAUUUCGGGCUCCACAUGGGGCCCGUGGCGUUUGAGCGACAAGAAAGGAUGGGUGCAUGGCGCCUACAAUUCAGAUGGACCCAGCCACAGUGUCAUACGGAUGCCUUGCCGGCACCGAGACACAAUGCAACAGAAGGUGGAUCGGAGAGGAAAGAUGCAACACCUAAUCUACUUCUGAAUCAUCUAUAGAUACAACAGUUGCAACAUAUUAUGAAGACAGUUGAAAUACUUGAAAAAACACCUAUAAACACUUGAACCCCAUUGAAACAUACGCAACAUUUCAAAUAAAACACAUGCAACAUAUUUGUGAACAUAUACAAUAUCCCGAUAAACACACUUGUAACAUAUGUUCAGAAAACACGGAUGAAACAUAAACAUUUCAAACACUCGAAAUAUACGGUUGUAAUAUGCCUCUGAAACAAUUGCAACAUAUACAAUAUCUCCUGAUCUACUUUUGCAGCACCCAUAUAAACACAAUAUGGAUCUAUGCCCGUUUCUUUAAGACUUUGUAUGACAUUAGCACUGUCUGAAGCUAAACCGGAUGGACUUGGAGCGUUAGAUCAGAUGCCAACGCUAAACUUUCCCUAUAUGCAAUCGUCUCGGGCUGUUUCAAUAUAAGUAAUACCUCCAAAGAACCACACCCGGAACUCCCAAGAACUUCCUUGCCUGAUCACGAGCAACAGCUGCCACAGACGCUUGACCCAAGUUCUUGAAGAUAUAUUGCUACACAUCAACAUUUAACCUUUAUACAUAUCCCGCUGGAGGUGGUAACCACUUCGGUCACCUGGUCUGGAUCGAACCCUUCACCGCCUUAUUAGACACUCUAGAAGAUCAGCCAUGUAGUUGUUAACAAAGCUAUAUGUUGAUAGCGAAGAUAUUCUCGUGUAUAGCUUUUCUUCUCGCUUACUUACCUUACCAGAUAGCUCAUAUCCUCACCACCACUCGAACCAGAUCGCCAUGGGAUGAUUUGAUCAAGGCAGCCACACACACACACACACACGGGGGGGGGGGGGACAUGGUCUGGUGGUACCGUAAUUGGCAAGUCAAUACCCUUUGUGCGACGGACCACCCAAUGCAAGGCACCAACGGCGGCCCAGCGGCCCAGGCCUGUGCCUGCCGCUCAUCUCAUCUGUAUCGUAACCCACACGCAUCGACACUGUCAAGUUAGCCCAAAAAGCUUUCUAACUUUGCUUCUUCAAUCCUCGGCCACUCCCGCCACUUUCCGCCCGAUUACGCGCUUCAAAAAUGGUCGCUCUCCCGUCCGGGGACUUGAACCAACACCCAGCCACUCGCCACUUUCCGCGGCCGCGCCCAUGGAGAGCAGCAUCCGCCUCGCCGACACCCUCCGGCCGUCGUCUCUCCCGGCACCGGCGUCCGCCCACCUCCGCCGCCGCCACCUCUACCUCCACCGCCUCCCCCGCACCUCCUCCUCCUCCUCCCUCUUCUUCUCCCCGUCGCACCAUCAUCGCCUCUGCCCCACGCCUCGGCAUGACCUCCUGCAGCCUCUCGCCGCCGCCGCCUCCGGCGCCGCGAAGCUCGUGCCCGCCUCCCCGGCGCCAGCUGAUUCUAGCCCCGAGCCAAAGCCCUCGGGCGCGAAGCUCGUGCCGCUCGUCAUCUCCCUCGCGGUCGGCCUCGCCGUGCGGUUCCUGGCGCCGCGGCCCGCCGAGGUGAGCCCGCGGGCGUGGCAGCUGCUCUCCAUCUUCCUCUCCACCAUCGCGGGGCUCGUGCUGGGCCCGCUCCCCGUCGGCGCCUGGGCUUUCCUCGGCCUCACGGCCGCCGUCGCCACGCACACGCUCCCCUUCGCCGCCGCCUUCGCCGCCUUCACCAACGAGAUCAUCUGGCUCAUCGUCAUCUCCUUCUUCUUCGCGCGCGGCUUCGUCAAGACGGGCCUCGGCGACCGCGUCGCCACCUACUUCGUCAAGUGGCUCGGCAAGAGCACGCUGGGGCUGUCCUACGGGCUCGCCCUCGGCGAGGCCUGCAUAGCGCCGGCCAUGCCCAGCACCGCCGCCAGGGCAGGGGGCAUUUUCCUGCCCAUCAUCAAGUCACUCUCCCUCUCGGCUGGGAGCAAGCCCAACCAUCCGUCUUCACGGAAGCUCGGAACAUAUCUGGUCAUGUCGCAAUUCCAGGUAACAUAAUAGUGUUUUUAUUUCCCAAAACAAAAAAAGGUAAUCAAGUAGCGCAGUUCGUCAGAUAUCAAUUGAUGAACUUGCUGUUUGAUUUUAAAUUUAUUAAAAUCAUGGCUGUUGGAUUCGCCACCAUUGGCAUGUGACUCUUACUAGGAUCUCCAAAAUCCUCAAAAUCAAACUUAGCAAAAUUUCAAAUGUUGAAAUGUGGUUCUUGGGGGUGAAUAUUAUUAGAUCAGUUUCUGUGUACGCAUGAUUGGUGAAUGUUCAUAUAUACUUCUUCUGGUAUGUUAUACAUCUUGAUGUUUUAUUUUGCUUGACAGGCAGCUAGUAGCUCAAGUGCUUUGUUCCUGACUGCUGGGGCACAAAAUCUGUUGUGCUUGAAUCUAGCAGAAAAGUUUGGUGUUAUUAUCGCAAAUCCAUGGGUAACAUGGUUUAAAGCUGCUAGUUUGCCAGCUAUUGUUUCUCUCCUAGCAACGCCAUACUUGCUAUACAAAAUCUUUCCCCCUGAAAUAAAGGACACCCCUGAGGCCCCGGCAUUGGCUGCAGAGAAGCAGAAGCAGAUGGGUCCGGUGACUAAAAAUGAAUGGGCUAUGAUUGGCACAAUGAUUCUUGCAGUCGCGCUAUGGAUUUUUGGGUAAGAUUAUCUGUCUGAAGAAGAUCAUCUCAUAAUGUUGACUCGUGAUCUCAAUACCACCCCUGCAGCCUGCCACCUAUUUUACUAUAUGGUUCUUUUAUAAAUAAAAGAUCUGCAUGGACUUUCGCAAGCUGCUCCAGAAAGCCUCAUUACACUUAUCUUGGAAUGAUCCAAUUAAUCUGAAAGCAAAUAAUUGGUUGAUUCUCUCAUCCUUAAGUUGCCAUAGUGCACUGUCCCAUUCAUAUAGUCUGUUUCCCACUCUUUGUUUGCCUUUCCUUGCUCCUUGCUCACUUCUAAUAUGAACGAAACGAAACUUGGUGGUCCAUAUGCAUCCUGUUAUUGAUGACACAUGUUUUCUUUUUAUUUAUCUCUGAUGAUCGUAUUCAUCUAUAUCCAUCACUACAUGUUUAAAUACUUGAGAGACCCAUCGUAGAUCUUUAAUCCCUAAUUUCAGAUAUUGGUAGCUACUACAAAUUAGGCAGAAUGCUUUAGAACACUAUUUAUGAGAUCUAUGCAUUGUGCCCUAGAAAUUGUACUCUGGUGUGCUUUUUUGUGUCCCAUGGUCAUGAUGGAUAUGUUUAUUUUUAAAAAUAAAGGUCACGAUGGAUAUGUAACCUGUUGCAAUUUCUGUUCAGGGAUGCUAUUGGUGUGUCUAGUGUUGUGGCUGCAAUGCUUGGGCUCUCCAUUCUUCUCCUGCUUGGUGUGCUGGACUGGGCUGAUAUCUUGAAUGAGAAAUCCGCAUGGGAUACAUUGGCUUGGUUUUCAGUUCUGGUUGGGAUGGCAGCACAACUCACAAGCCUGGGGAUUGUUUCUUGGAUGUCAAGCUGUAUUGCUAACCUGCUUCAGUCUUUCUCAUUGAGUUGGCCUGCAGCAUUUUGUGUUCUUCAGGCCUCCUACCUUGUGAUCCAUUAUCUAUUCGCAAGUCAAACUGGGCAUGUUGGAGCCUUGUACUCUGCAUUCCUGGCUAUGCAUGUAGCAGCAGGCGUUCCUAGUGUGCUUUCAGCACUUGCUUUGGCGUUCAACACAGAUUUGUUUGGGGGAAUAACUCACUACAGUAGUGGGCAGGCAGCGGUAUACUUUGGAGGUAAUUUCAUUAGUCCAGCUUCUGUUCUGAACCUAGUUUCCUUAUUGGUUAUGUUAGAUAUGUGUCAAAAUACAUGUACAGUUUCGAUUAGGUUGGAUUUGUGUUGUAUUAGAGGCUAAGAUAGAGUUGGAGUCGAACUCUAAGUCCUAUGCGAUCAUAAAUAUGAGGCCACCCUCAGGGGCGGAUCUAGGAUAAGAACAAAGGGGAGGAGGCUAAACAAUGAAGAUUUAGUGCUAAAGUUAGAGAUUAGUGAUGAUUUUGAGGCUAAGUAACAGUGAUUAAGGUAGAAAAUCAUGCUCAUAGGGGGGCUGCAGCCCACCUAUCCCCCCCUUGUGGAUCCACCAUGGUCAUCCUCUUAUAUCCGUGAGACGACUUGGCGGCUGGUUUGGGCGACGGUGAGUGAGAUCACCCAAACACUGGUGCGUAGGAGCACCCACAGUCAUGCCCCGAGGAUGUAGGUAGAUCACCGAACCUCAUUAAAAAAUAUUGUGCCUUGGUGUCAUUCUUGUUUGUGUAUUUUCUUCUAUGGUGGUUAUGUUUUCGUCGGUUAAUAGAUUUGUUUGGGUCUAAAUCUAACUGUGCACUCUAACAGGUUAUUCUUGGCCUCACGUUUUUUUGUUGUUUAUUGUUUUUGUGUAGAAUGAGAAGCUCUAUCAUUUGAGCGUCCCUUCUUUUCUAUCUAUGCGGUCCCUUGAGAUUGCUUUCUCAAUUAACAUGUUGCUUUCCUUUUGCAGCUGGGUAUCUUGACCUUCCUGAUGUUUUCAGGAUUGGUUUUAUAUCAACCUUGAUUAACACAUUGAUCUGGGGAGGUAUUGGGACCUUUUGGUGGAAAUUUUUAGGGCUCUACUGACAGCAGGCGCCGUGUAAGUUGAGCAAAUUUUCUUUUGUCGAGCAAAAUUUUCCUUUGUGCAGCAAUUUUUUUCUUGUUCGGUGUGCGUACAAAACGUGUCUGGUUUGAACUGGAUAGUAUAAAGCGACCUUAGGACAAAAAUCAAAACCCCUAUCAAAUGGUAUCCAAAAAUUAUAAAAUUGUAACCAUAGACGCCUUAGGAAAGGUCUCAACAAAAUUUCAGCUCUAAACUCGAAAGUUUGACCUACUGGAUGUCCAAACAUUCACACCGGACAUGUCUGCUAUGUAUGAGCGGAAAAAACUAAUUUCAGCCCUCUCUUUUUAAGUGAGUUUGAGUACUUAAGAGAAUUACCCGUGCUAAGAUUCAUCUCUAUUUUUCUUAUUUUUGCCAAUCUAAUUUUGCUACUACAAUUUUUGCUGCUGACAGCAACGUACCGGUGGUGUUGGAAGUGAUGACAGCAGCUGGAUUAAGUGGAGGCAGGACAACAUUGAAUUGGAUAAUUCAGUUGAGAUGUGAUUCUGGGGAGAUGAGAUGGUGCCAUUGUAUUGUUACUCCCAAAACCGUUUCCCCGGUCAGAGGGAAGUCUUGCAAAUGUGAAAUGGAAGAAAAAUGCGCUGCUGGUAGUUGCACUUGCACGGAGUUGGAGCUGGGCUCGGGGGCUGUUUGGAAGCUCAGUAUUUAUCCUAAAACCCUUGUAAAUUACAGGUUUACGCGCGACUGUCACAAUAUAGUAGAGAAAAGCGCGACCAAUCUCUACGCGCAUGAUGCCUUAGAGCACUCACAAUGCAGACUCUAUCAUAGAGUCUAAAGUUAUUUAUUAUCUCGAACAAUGUGGACUUAGAGUCUAAAUAAGACUUGGAGUUUUAUUUUUUUUAUCUCUUUCUUAAAUAAAUAUGCUAUCACAUCAGUAAAAUACCUUUAAUAAUAUGUAAUUAAUUAUCUUGGACUCUGUAAUAGAGUCUUACAUUUUAAGUGCUCUUAGCGUUGACUCCACUCCUCUGUCCGUCCGUCCCUGUCCGUUUUCGACUGACACAAGUAUCCGUUCGAGCUGGUCAACCGCCGCCGCCGCCAUCUCCCUUACGUCAGGCUCACAAAGCCUUAAAAAAAAUAAAAAAUUUACUUUAAUUUCUAUAAUUUUUAAAUGGUGUAUCUAUUUUCAAUUCUGUUUGUACCGGUGUGUUCCUACCUAACGAGACGAACAAAACUAGACCACAUUUAAAUAGUUUUAUUUUAGUAGCAAUUUAUGUAUAAUACGUGCUAAGAGAUUUAUUUAAGGAGUUACUACCAUGUAAUGCUAAAGUUGGUACUCCAAGUUGUUACAUAAAACUUGAGAGGUAUAUUAUUAAAAUAAGCAUAAAACAAGCUGUCAAUUGGGAUCAAGUUAUUAUACAACACAAUCUACGACCCCUUAAACCUAAUACAUGCCGCAACCUCUAAUCUAAUACUUGUUGAACCCCUAAUCCCAACCAAAUCUAUCAGCAUGUAUGUGCUUUUUUAGCAACUUAUGUAUGCAAUGACUACCCUUUUAGACUAUCUCCAACAAUCGUCACCCAAAAUACAACACCCAUUUGUCCUUUGGGUAGCGCUACAGGUAAAAGGUUCCAUACCUAUUUUUAGUCUUCUCCAACAACAACAAGACCUAAAAGACAACACUCUCUGCAAAUGGGUCUCGAGGAGAGAGGAUACCCAAAUUUGGGUUAUGCCUCUCCUGAUACCCAAAAUAGGUCUUCUGUAUGGAUACUCUGUUGGAGGCUAUAGGUAUUGUGUUGGAGACCCAUUUUAGGUUUGGGUUCCCAAAUGGGUCUCCUGUUGGAGAUAGCCUUACAACAACUCAUAUAUUGUAGAUACAUUAAAAGACAUUUCAACCUAAAAGGGUGACUGAAAACUGAAACUUAAAAAAUAUUAAAAAAAAACUUGACUGAAAACUAAAACUAAAAAAACAAGACUAAAAACUAAAAUAAACGCUACCAAAAACCAAAACUGAAAUUUAUAACCAGAAAAUGGAAUGAAUUUGACAAAUAGCUGCAAACUGAAGUAGAUAUAGUGGGAAAAAACAUAUUAUUGUAAAUAAAAUUACCAAAAAAUAAAAUAGCAAAAAAAUAAACUAAAACUAAAAGAUGACAACAUAGCUAAAAAAUGAAGCUAUAAUUGACAAGCAAACAUAAACUAAAAAAUACCAAAAGGAACAUUGAAACAAAAAACUAAAAUAUUUAAAAGUAAAAAUAUUGAAGAACAACUAAUACAAAGGAUUUAGAAAGACAUUCGAACAUGAAAGGAACAAAAAUAAACUCAUAACUCAUUUGAAUUAAAACUAAAAGAAACAACGAAACAAAAAUAAAUUUAACUAAAAAGUACAUUGAAAGAAAACUAAACUAUUUAAAAGCAGGAAAUAUUGAAGAACAACUAAUAAUAACGGUUUGGGAAGGCAUUCGAACCUGAAAGGAUGAGUGAAAAAAAAAUGAAAAAUCACAGCUCAAUGAACCAAAACUAAAAGAAAUAAUUUAGAAAAAAAUGAAAUAUUCUAAGCAAAUUAUGUGGCAAGUUAUAUUCUAAGCAACUAGUAAGUUAUAUUCUAAUCAAGUGACAAGAUAUCAUGAAAAUGACAAAUUGUGAGUAUUAUGACUUCCAAACGCUACAAACCGCAUGACCAUCACAACAACUUCUCAGGGUCAAAUGUAAGUGACAACAACAUAAAGUAGGAAACACCAUAGGUUCUUCAACUACAUGAUAAAUGUUGCUUGCCUAAAUAGUCAUGAAACAAAACAACUACAACCUGAUAGGAGAGGACAAAUGAUUAGAACAAGCAUUGCAUAAGCUACAAACUAGAAAGCAAGUUAUUAUACCCAUUACAACAAUCGGAAUACCUGCCUAGCUGACUAUACUGGUUGCCGCCCCUAAUCUCAACCAAAGCAACAAACACUAAUCCUAACCCAAUUUGUGAUCCCUAAUCCUUAACCUAUGUUGCGGACCCUAAUCCUAGUACUUACCUUUGGCGGGUAAUCCUAGUACUUACCUUUGGCGGGUUGGUCAACACCCUAUUAUGAGUCAAGUGACAUGGUGGUGAUGCCUCGUUAUUGGUUCGAGUGGUAGAAACCGAAUACGGUCUGUACGUGACAAUAGAAGAGUGAUGCUAAUCACCCCCUAAUCAGUAUGUUUACUGCAAAUAUAAUUGGUAUGUGUAUUGUAGCGCUCCUAAUCAGGAUAUGUGAAUGACCAUGUGUAGCUGAACUAUCAACAUAAAUAGUUACGCACCCAAUACAUAACUAGCUACUUCUAGAUAACAUAAGUUGUCAGUAUAUAAAAACUGUUAUAAAGAAUAUGCAUUAUGGGUCUACUUUUGUAGAUCUCAUUGUAAGAAACGCAAUGAUGUAAAUAAAAUUAAAAAUAAACAUUUCAUAAGAAAGUUAUCCUAUUUUAAAUAGUUGAAUGACCAUGUGUAGCUGAACUAUCAACAUAAAUUCAUGUUUGAAAACCAAGUUCAAUGCCACCAUCAUAAAUUCAUGUUGAGCUUUUGCAUUUUAGUAUGACUGACUAAUGGAAAAAAAUUCAAAUUUGUGCAGGAGAUUUUGUGCAAGUAAAGUGCCAGGAAAGGUAAUUGUUGUUGUCCUGAUGCUGAACCAUUUAUCAUCCGAGUUCUCAACAUGUGCAUGCGAGUCCAUGAAUUGUUUCUGUGCACAGCUUAUUCUUCGUUUGUGCAGAAGCAGAGAAGCUUGCAAGCGCACCUGAGCUUGCAUUAAUUGUUUUUCAUACCCAUGGACCAACAAUAGACAUAAAACUUGUCCUAUUUACGGCAAGGCUGUAUCAUACCGAGCAAGCAUGAAGCUUGUAAUUGUGGGGAAAGAACCCCUAACUUCAAAUGAGGGAUUGUUAUCUCCAUGUAAUGUUUGCAUGGUAAUACAAGUUCAAAGCAGAAAAACUCAGGGAAAGCUGAAGCUGGUCCACUAACAAAACAUUUUACAAUGAUAGACCAAAUAACUCUAAAAUUUAUUAAGUGAUGUUGCAUCCAGUGUUAUAUUCGUGAUUCAUUUGGUACAAUUCAAUUGCAGCUCAUUAACAGGAAGGUCGUCCCCAGAACUGAACUUUACCAUAUGAACAGGGCUUAAACAGGCAGAGCUUCAGUAUGCUUCUUGGUUCUUACUGAAGCAAAUCUGUGUUGCACUUGUUGCUGCCACUAUCUCGAGACAUGACUCUUUUUGGCGAUUCAUGAUCUGCAAAACAAAUAGGGAAAAAAAGGAAAAUAUCUUAUUAAAGAAUUGGGUGUACAAAUCUAAAUCUCACAUAGCAUUCCCUGAUCUUUCAAGAAAAUGUUGGAUCACCUUAUUCAAGUACCUACCUAGUAUGGUCAGGUAAAUUUGAAUCUUAACAGUUUGGAGCAUACUGAACUGUUGAUACUUCAAGAAUCAAUACAACGCCAUCUGAAAGAAUUAAACCUUGCAAAAGAUCAUCAUUCUGUACAACCUCUUUGUUGAUUAUUUGAUAUAAACUUGAGGAUGGCACAUAUCUCAUUAAAUGUCUCAAAUAUUCCGCGUUCCCAUUUGUGAAUGCCAUAUGACCCCUCUUCAUGGCCUUGUUUACUUCCACCCCCAAACCCAAAAUUUUUCAAGAUUCCCCGUCACAUCAAAUCUUUAGACGCAUAAAAACUAAUUGCACAGUUUGGUCGAAAUUUACAAGACGAAUCUUUUGAGCCUAGUUAGUCCAUGGUUGAACAAUAAUUAUCACAAACAAACGAAAGUGCUACAGUGUCGCGAAAUUUUUCCCUUCAAGAACUAAACACGGCCUAUAUAGAAUUCAAAUGGUGCAAGUUAAUAUUUCCCUCCCAUUCCUAGAAUUCAGAAUUUUUUUAAUCCUGUACCUACCCAAAGCUACAUGACUACUUAUGAAAUUAAGGCCUUGUUUAGUUCCGAAAAGAUUUUGGAUUUCGGUACUGUAGCACUUUCGUUUGUUUGUGACAAAUAUUAUCCAAUUAUGGACUAACUAGGAUCAAAAGAUUCGUCUCGCGAUUUCCAGCUAAACUGUGUAAUUAGUUUUUGCUUUCGUCUAUAUUUAAUGCUUCAUGCAUGUGCCACAAGAUUCGAUGUGACGGGGAAUCUUGAAAACUUUUUGCUUUUUGGGGUGAACUAAACAAGGCCUAAGCAAUACAGAAUUCUGAACCUUUUGUUACAACUUGCAUCUAGUACUAUAAAACACUGCGAUUAUCAAUUAGAAAGAAAAUAACAAUAUACCAAGCAUGAUGGUGUGUGUCUAUACAUUUGGUCUUGUAGGCACAUUGCAGAAUGCCCUCUCAAGGGCUCCCAUCAGUCCUGAUGGUUGGCUAUUGGGUCCACACAUUGAAAACCAUUUCCUGGCGAAAACAGUCAUUUCUAUUACAUAUUGACCAAACUUCUACCCAAAGGACCAUCGCCAAUCGCCAAGAAGUUUUUUUACUGGUACAGUAUAAAGAUACAGCUUGCAUAUAUGAGAUUUAGAACAUCUUGAUUUCCAAUCCUAAAUAUACAUCAUACCAUCUAAAUUGCAAGGAACAAUCCAGCAAGGUAAGUUUAUAAUGAUAUUACAAAAAAACAGAAGUUACCUGCUCGGCUGUGCAAGGUGGUUUGCUAGUUACCUGUUCCUCCUUCGGGAUGAAGUCAAGGAGGUUUGCUAGUCACGGCCGGGCAGCUGCACUAUAGUGCUGCUCCUGCUCUGCCUUCGAGAUGGAGAGCUUCUGUCAAGUGGGCUCGGGGGUGAGGAAAAUUGCGUGGAUGUCGAGACAAAAAUAGAUCCAUCUGAAACUACUCAGGCUUGUCAGGCAUAGAAGGGCAUGGCACAAAUCUCAAAGAACAAUCCUGCGGUGGAAAACUAGGCUUCCCCUAAAGUUGCAUAGAGAAAACUAUUUCUCGUUGCCAUCCUUAGCCAGAAGGAUGGUAAUGGUUACCUAAGAUGGAUGCAAAACGACAACUUCUUGAGAGCUCAUGUGGUCGGAUCAGUGGUUGGAGCAACAAGCAGCGGUGGUCAGUGAGUGAGAGGUUGCGAUAGAGUGCCCUUGUGCUGUUUCAUGGGUUGAAUAAUUAUAUCCCCCAAUAAACUAUAGUAUUGACCCCUAAACAACCUUAGUUGCAACCCAAAUUGCGAGCCAUGACCUAAAAAUGCAGGCUAUGCUGCACACCGAAAGAAAUGGCCUGCUCCCAUGUGAACUGCACAAGUCUGAGCUUUCACACAUGGCAAAAAAGUACAGCCAUGUCACAAUAGUAAUACAAAAUACAUAGUAAUUUAGCGCAUCUACUUUGUUUGAUCAAUCAAGAUUCAUCAAGGUCAUGGUGCACAAAUUUGGACCACUAAUGCCAAUACUAGCAGCCCAGGGACCUCCAAGCCACUAACGCAAUUGCUGGUUGCCCAAAUUAUUGUUGAAAGAAUGCUAGUAGCUAAAUAUGUGUUUGUGGGAAAAGAAAAUAUUCUUUAGAACAAAAUGACUAAAUGAGCAAUUCAUCCAAGUAAGCUUGGGCAUCCCAACCAAAGAAACAAGGAAUAUAUGCAUCAAAUCUACCCAGGUUAGGAAUAUAUAAUCCAAGUUGACAUUUUGGUCCCAUUAGUACCAUGAUCCUGGUCCCAAGUAUAAAUCACUGGAAAAGGCAGGAUAAGAUGAAAGGAAUACAAUCAUAACCUAUAAGUAUGGUGGAACAGAAUACUUGUAGAAGCACCAUGUUCUCCCCCCAUCCCUCUGUAAGGCCUUGUUUGGAUGCCCAUGUAUCCAUCUCAAUCCAUGUGUGUUGGGGUGGGUUGGUGUGGAAUUUAAACUAUUAAACUAAAUUCCACUGCAGCAAUCACAACAAUUAGUUGCAAACUGGUUACUUGUUAUGGUAUCAGCCAUCCUAGUUUAGCAACAAAUUGAGCAAAAUACCAAAGGUAUCAAUUCAGGACGCUACAAAGUAAUAGCACUAUAGGGCUGGGGCAUUUUAUCAUUACAGUCACUGAAGAACAGUUCCAAACAAGAAGGAAGAUCGACAGAACAAGCGAUAAAAAAAACAGAAAAAACAAAAGAAUGUACACUCUGCACGGCUACAAUAGUUACUCACCCAGCUCCAACAGGAGUACAUGAUCUAAACAUCUCAUGAAAUUACAGCAGUAAAUUCUGGGACAAACAAAGUUAACAGAAAGUAUCCAUCAUGCAACCCAAGCCCAAUACAAAAAAUCAUAGCAGAAUCAACAGAAAUUAGGAAACAUCUCAACCUACAAAGGAACAGAAUUCGAUAGACAAAUGCAACAAAAGGAAUGAAGUUGUCCUCUUUGGCUUUGUAUCAACUCGAUGUGCUUCCAAGGUUUUAAUAAAAGCUUCCUUUAUCAAAAAAAAUGCAACAAAAGGAAUAAAGUUAGAACAUAUGUAGGUUAGACAAGAAAACACAAAGCAGCAACAUAUAUUCAACUAAAACAUGAAGGAAAUCAAAUAAAGUCAUGUUAUCUUCUUCUCUUUCUUUUGGGGUGUGUAUGUAUGGGUUGGGGGCUCAGCUUCGCCUUUGCUCAAUCAUUUAACUGUAUCCCCAUCAUCUCUUAUCACUAGAUCAACUUGAUCAGAUAAGUGGAGCUGCCCUGGUUAUCACCCAUGAAGAAUGGCAUGACCAUCCAAGGACAAAUCCACUAUCAUCAGAACAUAAUUGAAAAAGUCUCCAAGAGAGGAAAGCAAGGAUUCCAGUUUUGUACCCAUAGCAGCCUUGAUUAUCAAAGGCGCUUAUGUCAGUCAUGGUUGUUGAUCAUUGCCCCCACAUUGGAAUUUUAUUUCUUCAUUCUUGAGAGGCACUCAGGUAGGAACUUAUGAGAUGGACAGCCAUUCAGCAGUGUUUUUCUCUCACAACAAAUCAGAGAACAGUACUUUCAGCCAUGACUUAUCAGCCAAAGCGAACAGAGCGGAACAUUGACCCAGGUCCCAGGUUCAAAUCCAGUAGGAAGGCAAAUGAAGAAUAGCCCCUGGAGAACAGGGUAGAGCAUCAACAGGACAUGCAAAAUAGCAUAAAAUAACAACCAGAUAAAGAGCACACAAGAGUAGAAAAUAUAAUAAAACUUUGAACCAGUUCAAAGAACAGGUUAGCUGUCACAACUCACAUCAGCUGCAACAGCGGCAAAAACUGCCACGAGUUAGCCAAAAGGUUUUUGCAUUGUUUUUUUUUUUGUGGGUGGGUGGAUGGGUGUGCUUGUGUGGGUGGGUAGGGGAGGAGGGCAAUUCAGACAGUUGUACUAUAAGAAAAAGGCUGCUUGAGUGGCUCAGCACAUAGGCAUUUUUCCUUCUUUAUUGGAAAAUUUUGAAGUGCAGAAUAGUUGCAAAGACUGAAAGAUAAAACAGGGCUCAGCGUCACCUUUGCUCAAUCAUAGAAACCAAGCCCUCCCUUCUGCUGCACAAUUUACUCGUCCUAAGAGCAUCUCCAAUAGUUCCCAAAAAAACAAUUGGUAAAUCAAAGAGUUUUCCAAGUGGCUAGAAAAAAUUGAGAGCAUAUUUGCUGGGUUCCUAAUCGUUUCCAAAAUCUCACUCCAAGGCAAUUUUGAAUCCAAAUGCAGAAAGAUUGGCGGUUGAGAUAAGGAGUUGUUGGAGAGCAGUUUUUAUCAAUCUUACCAAAAAAAUACAGAUUCAAAGUGGGUUUUGGAAACUAUUGGAGAUGCUCUAAUGUAUGUGGAACUGUGCUGGUUGUCACAUAUCCAAAUGACCUUCCUACUAGGCAGAACCACAAACAAAAAGGAUGAUUAAAUAGACUUCAGAAGGGGAGAGGGUCACAGCUCUAAUUAGAUACUCGGAGCUGCCUUGAUUGCUCAAUGUUAUGCAAUUCAGAAAAGGUAGAACAUCAUCGCCCUUCAUCGACACUCCAUUGACAGGUUCAGGCCCAUUUCCAUGUCCAAAACGGUCACCCUAAGUAAAUUUCACUUGCAAUGCAAUGCCCGCUGGGUACUUUCACCCGAGCCAGAAAGCCACCUCUUUAGGGAAGUGAGUGCAGCAGUGUUGGUGAGGGCCACAGCAGAAUAGAAAAGAGUAAAGAAUGCAGCAUCCAUGCUGAUUUCUGUCCAUACCUACUGCCCAAAGGACGGCAGUAAGCGAGUAACUCCACUCACUGAACUUUUUAUUGGCUUGGUUCGAACCGAAAGGAUGAACCGCUUACAAUAAUCGCUUUGCUUGGUUAGAUACCUGCAGUGGUGAAAGCAAACCAUACUCCUCCUCUCUCCCCAUGGUUCGGUUUCAAUGCACACUGGAGCUGCUCUUAUAUCUCAUCAUCGUGUGAAAGGGUAGGUCUUGGGGUUUGAUUCCCCAUGGAAGCAAAUUUUCAGGCUCAGGUUAAAAAAAAUCUCAUUGUCUAUAUCACGCCAAAACACAUGUCUAAGGCCCAGCCACGGUCAUGAUCGUACUCACAUGGGCUACGGUGCCACAGUGUAUGGGUGGGGCAGGGGUUUGGGGGGUUCCUUCAACCUGCACUUCUUAAUGCAAUGCCCGUGCCCCGAGGGCUGCCUUACCCCAGCAGGUGAGUUUUUUUAUCUCAUCACAUAUCAUAAUACCAUUCGUGCUGCCUAUCCAAAUGCCACCAAGGUGGGGAGGAUGAGGAGCUUUAGGGCUAGGAACAUUCAGAGCAAAGCUGAUCAAAGCACACGGAACCGUAGGCAUGGAUCCAAUAAAGAACAUGGGUGUGCACAUGUACGCUCGAUAAUCUUUGAAAGCGAUCAAAGUUAAUAGGCAUAAUACAUGUAUACACUUGUAGAUCAGAUCCGAAUACAAAUAGCCAAAUAGCUUAAGUUAGGGUUUGGGUGCUCAGUUUCGCAUAGGAAGUGAAGAUAAGGGGUUGGCACACCUGGUGGGUGCUCGUCACCGGCCAAGUGCCCAGUUAAGACCUGACGAAGGAGCCAACGAAGACCAGGGCACCUGGCAUAUGCCGACGGCAGCGGCCCAUCAGUCGUGAGAAGAACGCUCCUCCAGAGCAGAGCACCGGCAACAGCAGGGUAAGGAGAUCACCACUGCGACGCUGGAGUUUGUACUAGUGACAGGAGAACAGACUCUUCAAGGGUUUGGAAGUCUCUUGGCCAUCUAGGAAGAAGCGAAUGAAGGCAGCGCAGUGGAAGCCGCAGGCGUCAGACGGCUCCGCACGGUUCCCAGCCCCUACCGACACCGAUUCCAGGCGGAACGGCAGCGAGGCAGCACCGUAGGGAUGGUAACCUGAAGCGACGGCCGCUCCGGAGAAUCGGAGCCUGCACAGCAUCAAUUCGAUCUAGGGUUCGGGCAAAGACGAGGAGCGGAGGAGGAAAAAUUGCAAUUUAGCAAUCAAAGGCACGACGACGACGGCGAGGACGAGAAGGACGAGCAGGAGAGGAGGAGGCAGAGCGCGUACCAAAACGAAACAUUCGGAACCAAAUGCUCCAAAAAAAAUUCCUCAAUGGCGGCUCAGAUCCCGCGUCGUCCGACCGUGGCACCGUGCCCGCGACCGGAACCCGCCGCUGAGACCCCGCCCCCACGGUCCCCAACCCCAGCCCUCGCCACCGCAGCACCGUCGCCCGCACUAGGGCCCGCAAUCCGACGCGGCGCGGCGCGGCGGGGCGGAGAGAGGGGUGGCCCCGUGGAGGCGCGAAUCCGCGGCCGGCCGCCGCUCGGGAACCGGCCCGGCGCCAACCGCGGCGCCCUUCGUCAUCGCCGCCGUUUUGGUCCCAAGGGCUGUGGGUUUCGGUGGUGCGGUCACCGGCCGCCGCGAGUGGAACAAGCGGCAGGAAUGGCUGCAGCAGAUAGCCUUAGGGUUUAGGCCUUUAGGGUUAGAGCGCUCGCCUCGCAUGAGCUACCGCCGCCGCCGCCGCAGCAGCUGUCCACACGCAAAGGCCUCACACUUAAAAUAACGAGUAAAAAUGAAUCUGGUUGGAGACGGCGAGGUCGACGAGGGCUUUAUGCGUUGCGUGGUUUUGGACUUGGGAGGGGACGAGGGAGGAGCAACCGAGCAGGUGACGAACUGCGGGGCCCGUGAGGCCAUGAUGCGAGGCGUGCUGCACAAUGUGGUUCAGCACGGCUCAUGGCCCAACAACCCGUGUAUCUUUAUCUCGGCCCAAAUGAUACCAGUUUCUCGGGAGCCUUCAAUGGGCCCAUAAGAAACUCAGGGUUUUCUUUUUAAUUUGCAUAUAAUCCAUUAAGAAGCUAUUUCUUUUUUAAAUAUGUCGAGUAAUGCCUAAAAUUCUAACACCUCGUCUAUGCAGAUCGGAGUGGAUUGGCAAAGUCGGAGUGAUUUGGUGUUUAAUUGAGACUAGUAAAAAUGCCCGUAUGUUGCAACGGGGUUUAAGAUCUCUAAGUGGAUGAUUUGUAGUUCAACAAUUCAAUCAUCCGUGACGAGUUGUUCUUAUGUUGGCCCAUUGCGGACAGAUUAAAGAUGACAAUGGGCCUCGAUCUCUAUUUUCUCGUGAGGAAUUUUCUGUUAGGAGACGUGGAUAGGAACAGUCCAUAGAGAAGUAAACGGGACCAAAACCAUCCCAAUCGGGUCAGACGGGGUUGAGGAUGGGAGAGCGUUCCCGUAUCCGCUCCCCGUGGAGCCCCAAUUAAGGCCUUGUUUAGUUCGCAAUUUUUUUAAUUUGGUACACUGUAGUACUUUUAUUUUUAUUUGAUAAUUAUUAUUUAAUUAUGGACUACCUAUGCUUAAAAGAUUUAUCUCACAAUUUACAGGUAAACUUUACAAUUAGUUUUUGUUUUCAUCUAUAUUUAAUGCUACAUACAUAUGCCGUAAAAUUCGGUGUAACGAUAAAUCUUGAAUUUUUUUUUGUUUUUUGUGAACUGAACAAGACAUAAUUAGCUGUACCGGGGGCUGUCCAUGAGUACUCCAUCCAUUCGUCCAUCCAAAAUCUUAUCCAUACAUCCAAACCCAACCUUCACCCGACUCUCAGCCUGAUGGCUUGCAGACCCAUUUCUCCACAAAGCACGGUGUGGAUGCGUCUCGCCGCACGACUCGAGGAUACGGCGCCCUCUGCUCGUUUGCUCCCUCUGUUGCUCCAUCUCCUCCGAUUCGCCGGCCUCCGCGAGCCCUGUCAAUCGAUGCUGCUGCCCGUCCCCAGUCUCCUACCCAAGAAGACGCCGAAGCAGGAGCGCCGCUGCCGCCAGCUGCAGCAGGAGCGGAUCUACAUCGUCUCUACAGAUUUGCUGCCUUCUUAAUUGAUUUCUUUGUUUCUUGAUCAAUUCAUAGGAGCGUUCUUAUCUAGUUUCUUUGUUUUCGGUUCGAUUUGAUGGGUGAUUUCUUUUGGUUGUAGAUGGAUUCAUGGGAGACAAACAAGAUAGGCUGUGAAUCCAUUUGGUUCGCUCUUUGUUUUUAGUUCGAUUGACAGGUGAUUUCUUUUGGCUAUGAAUGGAUUCAUGGGAGACAAACAGGAUAGGUUGUGAAUUCAUUUCUUUCGCUCUGGCUUCCACGGUAUGUUCUUCUAGAGAUUUCAGUUUUUGUCUUGCAUAUUCUCUUAGAGUUCUUUUUAAUCUUCUCUCAGUGGUUUAUUGAUUGGAAAGGUCACUUUAUUUUUUGGUAUCUUGAACUGUAUCUUGGAUCCUUUCUCUCCCUGUUUUGCUGUCUUCCAAGUUGUGUUCUUGUACUUAUGGAAAUACUUUAUGAUUUCGUUAAAAUAUAUGCAGUCCUAUUUGGAUUUGGACAAGAAUUCUAUAUAUACGUAUACGGACUGGAUUUGGAUUGUCCUAUACGAAAUAGUGGCGGACUAGAUUUGGAUUGUCCUAGACUGGAUGACUUAAAGAAUUCUAUAUACGUGGACUGGAUUUGAACUGGGCGGAGAGAUCGGACAUGGUGGCAGAAAAAAUUGUAUUGGCAAACUGAAAUUUUGACUCUUUAUAGAUUUGACUCUUUAUAGAUAAAAUAUAGAUUUCUACUCAGAGGAGUGCACUAGAGUUGGAGUGAUUUUGUAUAGUUGAGCUAGUUAUAACACACCAGUACCAAGUUUUGACUUGACUUGUUAUUGAUCGGAAGAUUGGAAUCAGAGCUUUGCAUUGGAGUCUCUUUGGCAAGGCUGCCCUUGUUCCUCUAAGGCCCUGUUUAGUUCCUCACCUAAAAAUUUUUUAUCCAUCCUAUUGAAUCUUUGACACAUGUAUGAAACAUUAAAUAUAGAUAAAAAAAUAAACUAAUUACACAGUUUGGUUGAAAAUCGCGAGACAAAUCUUUUAAGCCUAGUUAGUUUAUGAUUAGCCUUAAGUGCUACAGUAACCUACAUGUGCUAAUGCCAGAUUAAUUAUGCUUAAUAGAUUUGUCUUGCAGUUUCUAGACGAGCUAUGUAAUUUAUUUUUUUAUUAGUUUCUAAAAAUCCCUCCCGACAUCCUUCCGACACAUCUGAUGUGACACCCAAAAAUUUUUCAUCUCCAAUCUAAACAGGGCCUAAAAACAACUUCUGCCCUUGUUCCUGUAAAGAAGUGUCUUCUUUAAAGAAGCUAAAGACAUUUUGAAAUAUGUUGGGGAAAAUAGCUCUUGUUUUUUUAAUGUAUUGAAGAUGACAAAUGUUUAUAAUGUCUCUGCUUAUUAUUUGACUUAGUUGUGCAUGUAAUAGAAAUUCAUAUAUUGUAAAAAUGACCAUCUUGCAUCAAUUAUCAUAAUAUUAGUCACCAUUUAGGUAGAUAACAAUUGUAGACUUAAAGCAUGUACGUUAUUUUGGGCAAAAGGCCAAGGCCCAUACCCGCAACACUCCUAUCGUAUCUCUUCCUGUCUUCCUUUGAGAUUGCCACUACUCACAAGUUUUGUGGCGUCGCUCAUGGUGCAUUCAUACCGCGGCGCUGCUCGCUCUCCAGCGUUGCUGAUCGCCACCGUUUUUGAAAAGUGAUGUAUGGUAUGGCAACCAUACUUAGCAAAGUUGACAAGUCACGCGUUUUGCAUGUGCUGACAGAACAACCACUUCAUCAUGGGCCCACAUAUCAUGGACGAAAUAGUGCGCCUUAGGAGUCGGCCAUUCCAACCUGGCUUCCUUGUCCUCGUUUUGUCUCCGCCGCCGUCUAGGUUUGGUGGAAGCCCAGGUUUGGAUUAGCGAGAGCUCGAGGACAUCAGUCACUUGCUCACUAUUGAUGGCGGAGGAGGAGAUGCAGCUGGUGGUUGUCGUUGAGGGGGACAGCGUCCUUAGGGCUCUACUGGUCCACCAUUGUGACCAACUACAACAAGAAGAUUGUGCGGUACGACCGCACCCCUAGCCCCCUCUUGUGUUCCUCUUCCUCGUUUAUGGAUGUUUUAGGGAUAAAAUUGGGUGUUGGGGUUUCGUGGAGGCUUGUGUGUUCAUAAUGUGAUUUAAGCUCUCUUGAUUUCAACUUUCCUUUUUUGUUAUGGAAUUAUUAAUUUUCUUUAGAGUUUUAAAUUGAUGAAUCUGUCGAAGGACUGACUACUAAGGUACUAACGCAUCUGUGUUAGUGUUUUAUUUGACGACAAAGCAUCUACUUCCUAAUUUAUUCACAAAAAAAACAUCUACUUCCUAAUUGUCGAUCAGGCUUAGGCCCACUAUGCGGCAAUCCUUUUUAAUAAACCCCUAUCUCAUAGCAAUAGCAUGCUGUGAAUUUUGCUAAAUGUUUGAAAACCAAGUUCAACGCUACACAUCAUUUUGCUAAAAUUUUGCAUUUUAGUAUGACUGAUCAUUGAUGAAUGGAGAAAAUUCAAAUUUGUGCGGGAGUUUUUGUGUCCAGCCUGAUGCCGAACCAUUUAUCAUCCGAGUUCUCAAUUUGUGCAUGCUAUUCCAUGAAUUAUUUCGGUGCGUAACUUAUUCUUCGUUCGUGCAGAAGCUUGCAAGGGCAUCACCUGAGCUUGCAUUAAUUGGUUUUCAUACCCAUAGACCUUACAACAGUAUGCCUUUAUAACGUCGUCCAUGCAUAUGGAAAUAUAGUUAAUUGUGCAUUCUAUCAAAUAUGCAAUAUGUGAAUAUUUUGCAAUGCAGUUUUUCGUGUGCCGCGAAGUAGAUGGACAAAAGAUAUUGAUGCUUUCCUAUCAUAGUUAUCUGGAAUAUCAUUCAGUAGUGGAGGAUUUAGUGAAGUUCCUACUUGUGAAGGUUUUGCUGAAGCACUGAUGGUAUUGACCUGUUAUAGUUGAUUAAAGUCUCUAGUUUCAUUCAUGCAGCCAAAAGCUAGCAUGUUGGAGUUUUGUUAACCUUUCAAGAUAUCUUCUUGAUCUUUGAGUUAUGUUGUUAUGAGAGCAUGAUGUCUGGCGCUGGGUCUCUGACAGUGGGCCCAUGUAUUCCGUACCGCUACAGGGAUACUAUGGCAGCUAGCCCUUCAGGUCGUCGCCACGGAGCCGUCAGCGUGACGCAGCUGCAGCGUCACAUACUCACAUGGCAUGGCCGCCGACAACGGUCGCUCGCUCGCUCGCUGUGCAUUCACGGUGCUACCGACCCAGUGUGCCCACUGCGUGAAUCGUCGUGAUCAUGGUGGAUUAUUAUUACUAACCCACACCAUGCAUGCAUGCGACGCGGACAGAGCAUGCAGCGCACCGUCGUCGGUCUGCUCCCCACGCUGGCAGCAAAGCGAGCGAGGCUCCACACAUCACAACGCACAGGUUUAAAUUCAAAAAGUUUUUGAAUUUUGAUUCUACAAUAUUUUUAUUUUUAUUUAUCAAAUAUUAUCUAAUUGUGAAAUAAGCAGGCUUAAAAGAUUCGUCUUGCGAUUUACAAACAAAUUAUACAAUUAUUGUUUGUUUUACUUUUUUGUUUUUAAGGUAAACUGAGGCCACCCUCUCUCAUCACUCGUGGCCGAAACGAAAAUUAUGCCGCGGCCCGCGAUGUACAGUAGAAGAUGCUUUAGGCCUUGUGUAGGGUACAGCUCACAACAGCUUCAUGAGCUGUUUUUUUUUUUCCAAACACUUCAUGGCUGAAGCUAUUCUUCUCCUCCUCUCACAAAGACAUAAGUUGGAUGAAGCUGGAAAAAUAUAGCUUAUUGCAGCUUCUUCCUCAUUUCUCUCUCUCAACUAUGCAUGAAGUAGUUGGUGAAGCUAUUUUGCCAAACACUUUCUCCAAAAUAGCUCAGCUUCAUCUAGAAAGUCACUCAUGAAGCUAUUUUCUAAAAAAAACAGCUUUACUAGUGAAGUUGAGCUGUGCCAAACAAGCCCUUAGUUUCGCAAAAAUUUUGCAAGAUUUUUUAGAUUCCUCGUCACAUCAAAUCUUUAAACGUAUGCAUGGAGUAUUAAAUAUAGAUGAAAAUAAAAACUAAUUGUACAGUUUGGUCAGAAUUGACGAGAUGAAUCUUUUGAGCCUAGUUAGUCUAUAAUUGGACAAUAUUUGUCAAAUAUAAAUGAAAGUACUAUUAUUUCUCUUUUGCAAAAAUUUUUGGAAAGUAAACAAGCCCUAAUGCAACGGCUCCAUGAACGUAGUGCGAGCAGCAGCACUGCAGCAGAAGUAAUAAUAUAAUAAUUUAUUGCGCAUGCAUGGUUUGUGCUGUAGUAACGGCUACUGAAUUGAGAGAUCUCGUCGAGGGCAUUGACUAGCAGGUCGUAAUAACCGGCAUAGGCAUAACAAAUGUCAACGAGAAGCAAGUUGUUUUGGGUUUACAAUACUCGGACCGUAGACAAUCAUCAGCACGUAGUAGACGAAAUCCAAGCCUACUAGUACAGCAGUAGUUCUGAAUCUACUAACCUCGAGUCGCAAGUACGUACUGUCGGUGCAUGCCUUGUAGUUGGACGAUCAUUAAGGCCUUGUUUAGUUCACUCCAAAAUCCAAAAACUUUUUAAAAUUCUCUGUCAUAUUAAAUUUUGCAUUACAUGCAUGAAGCAUUAAAGAUUUUAGUUAGGCCUCGACCAAACUGUACAAUUAGUUUUUAUUUUCGUCUAUAUUUAAUACUCCAUGCAUGCGUUUAAAGAUUCGAUGUGACGGGGAAUCGAAAAAAUUUUGCAAAAAUUUUUGGAACUAAACAAGGCCUAACUAAACAAGAUGGCACGGUCUAGCAGCAGACCACAUGCGUAUUUCUACUUCCCUAGCUCGUUCAUGUAGUACGUACGAACGAACCGGUUUCAGUUGUCGCAUACGGUCAAAGAAAAUAAGUAAACCAGAUAAUUAAAUAAAUCAAAUGAUUCAGAAUUGCAGAUCUCGCCCCCGUCCCUCAGUGGUUAACGGCCGGGUGAAUGUGAAUCGGUCGUGCAGGAUCAAGCGACCCCAGUAGUUGUUGGCCCCGCAUGGCCGCAUCGAUGCUGCUCACCCACCGGCCACCGACCACCGUGCUGCUGGCUGGCUGGCUGCCGCCGCGCACCGUCACCUGCCCACUGUACUGCGCCAUGCAUGCAUGCACGGCUCGCAUCGCAUCCCAUGUGACUCCCUCCCGACGAAACGAUGGGGAUUGGUGACAAGGCGAAUCCGCAGCCACCCAAAUGGUGGCCAAAUCUUGCCGCGCUGGCCGAGGACGACCGACGUCCGGGGACGCUCGCUCGCAGCGUCGAGUCGCCGACGCGGUGCGGUGCCCCGACUCCUCCACGGCCGAUGGGCCAUGCAUGCCCGCUAGCCGCUGGCGUGCGUGCCCUUUUUCUCCUCACUCCCUCGGCAGCAGAGCAGGAGCAGAGCAGCUGUACAACGCCCCCGCGCGCGCACAUGGAUCGGUGGGGAAGCAGCGCAGCGGAGUGGUCGCUGGCGUGUGUGGGGGUCCGCGCCGCGGGCGGGCGGACUCGGUCGGAUCGGAUGGACACGCCCACGCGGCCGCCAUGGGACACGGACAAUGGGGCCGCCCGCUGGCCGCUGUCGCUUUCCUCUGAUCAGCUGAUCUGAAUCCGGCAAAGUACAACACGGACGGGACGGUGGUUGCCGCUCUCUGAUUAGCCACCAGCACUGGUAAUUAAACUCCGCGGCACGGCAUGCAUCCAUGCAUUGGUGAUUAGCCACCAGCUCAGCUAGCUCACCACCACCCAAAGCUGUCCUCUUUCUCCACCCUGUCGUCCCGUGUCCCCCUGCUGCUUCCGCUUCUUCCCUUCCUCGCUUCGUCACGCGCGCGGCGGCGGCCUCACGACGGGGGGCGCCAUGGCCACGCCGAAAGAAACUCAACUGUUGUCCCUCCACUCCCUUUUGGCCUUUCUUCUUCCUCCGAUCACCUUUUUCCUUGCUCGGAACUGCUAGCGAUGCAGUACUUUGCCACCGAAAGAGCCAUCUGAAAGUGCUUUGCGUCGGCAUCUCUACCACCUCCGCAAAAGCGCGUGCAGACAUUCCGAUCGGGGCUCAUGAAUUGAAAAGGUUGGCGCUUCCCAUGGCGGUGCCUGCAUUCCGCACAUCUACGACGAAUUUAUUUAUUUAUUGCCCAACAUGGAUUCCCAUUCCCCGUGCUGGAUCUCGUCUCGCUACGUUCAUGAUCGAUCGUGUAUACCAUACCGGGAGAUGCUGAUCUGAUUGUAGUACAAGGGCAGUGUUUUAUAGGAGUAUAUAUCUUGAAAAUAAUUAAUAAAUUCAUUCGGUGAGGAGCUGGAGGGAGGAGGAAGAAAAAGAAUCAAUACAUAGCAACUCUUUGAUUCAAUUUGAUCAAAUACGCAUCAUCAAAGAAACAAAAAAAAAAGAAUCCAAGAAAAAAAAUACUACAUGGAUGCAUGGAGAAGUAUUAUACUGGCGGGUGAAAAGUAUUAUACUCCGGCGACGGCGAGGCAGCGCGGGCGAGCGCGGUCAAGGUGGUUUAGUAGUACGGCUUCCCCGGCGGCGGCGGCGACGCGUACGACACGCCGUACACCGGUGGGAACGGCAGCUUGCCGCCGCCCGGAUGGUGCCCGCCGGUGCCGGUGCCGGGGCUCCCGCCCUGAGAAGGCGGCGGCGAGCAAUGCGAGGACGACGGCGUUCCCGAGGAGGGGGUGGUGGGGUGCGACGGUGUCGACGAGGGGGUCCCGGUCCCCGGGGCGUGCGGCGGCAGGGCGUAGCCGGGGUGUUCCGCCGUUGGUGCCGACGGCGUGGUGGGGUGGCCGGAGGACGGGGGCUGGUGGGACCCCGUGGAGGGAGGCGACGGCGAACCGUGGGAGUGGGUUGGUGGCGUUGUGGGGUUCGGGCUGUAGGAGGUCGGUGGCGGCGCGUACCGCACGUCUGGCUCGUCUGCGGACGUCGGCGGGGGCGGCGCGUGUGUUGUUGUUACUGGAGGAGUUGUGGAGGAGCCGGACGGCGGCGACGGGUGGGACGGGGUCGGUGCGCCGUGUGGCGGCGAGUGGUAGGAUGGCGUGCUGGAGCUUAAGGGUGGUGUCGGGUAGGAUGGCGUGGUGGGUGACCCGUGGGAAGGUGGCGAGUGGUAUGACGGGGUGGUGGCGCUCGAUGGCGGCGAGGGGAAGGACGGCGUGGUGGUGGGUGAGCCCUGAGGUGGCGGCGUGUGGUAGGACGGGGUGGUGGCGCUCGACGGCGGCGAGGGGUAUGACGGAGUGGUGGAGCCCGUAGGCGGCGAUGGGGUGGUGGAGCCCUUGGGUGGCGAGUGGUAUGAGGGGGUGGUGGCGCUCGACGGCGGCGACGGGUAGGAAGGAGUGGGAGUAGCAGACGAUGGCGGCGGGCUCCCUAUGAAGGUGCCUUUCGGAGGCGACGAGACCGGCGUGGGCGGCCGCUUGCCGGUUCCGUGGCCACCUCUUCCGCCGCCUCCCGGCGUUGGGGUGUAGCCGCCCGGGGCUGCCUGGCAUUGCGCCUUGCUGCAGUCGAACGGGUGCGCCGCGGCGGCCGCGCACUGCGACGGCGGGCGCUGCGCCGGCGCGCCGGGAAUGCAAUUCCAGGCGCCGUCAGCGGUGGCCUUGGCGCAAGGCGGGCGAGAGGUGAAGAAGUUGUCGGUGUAGGUGAAGUUCCUGAGGCUGGCAAGCGCGCAGACGCCGGCCGGCACCGCGCCCUCGAAGCGGUUGCGUGCGACGUCGAGCUCCUCGACAGCAGCCAUGUUCACGAUGGCAGCCGGGAGCUGCCCCUGCAGGUGGUUGUCGCUGACGUCGAAGACGGUGAGCUUCCGGAGCAAGCCGACCUGCGGCGGGACGCAUCCCGUGAGCUCGUCGUCGAUGAGCACGAUCUCGUUGAGCGUGUCGGCCAUCCGUCCGAUGCUGGGCGGGAUGCAACCGCCGAGGCGGUUGUGAGCGAGCACGACGACGGAGGCCGGCGAGUUGCCGAGGUUGGCCGGGAUCGGGUUGCGGAGGCGGUUGGAGUUGAGGAAGAUGGCGUCGAGCGGGCGGUCGAAGAGCGCCGGCGGGAUGCUGCCCUCGAAGUCGUUGAAGCGGAGGUCGAGGUACCGGAGCGCCGGCAGCGACAGCACCACCUCCGGGAACCCGCCCACGAAGCGGUUGUUGCUGAGGUCAAGCUCGUGGAGGAGGUGGAGGUGCGCAAAGGUGUGUGGGACGACGCCGCAGAAGCGGUUGGAGUUGAUGUGGAAGAGUGCGAGGUCGGGGACGCCCAGCGGCAGCGACGCCGGGAGGUACCCGGCGAUGUCGGCGUGGUUGAGGUCGAUCCCGGCGACGACGACGUCGCCGGGGUGGGAGCCCGGGAGUGGCGCGCAGAAGACGCCGUUGUAGGCGCAGACGUUGGGCCCCACCCAGUUGGCGGUGAAGUUGGACGGGUCGGAGAAGAUGGCGGUGCGCUUCCACGCCUGCAGCGCGGCGUAGGACGCGCGGAGGCGAGCGUUCGGGAACGCCCACGACGGCGGCGCGUCGAAGCGGGUCGCCAGCGACGACGCGUACGGCUCGGAGACGGCGUCCCCGCCGCCCUCCUGCGCCGUCGCCGCCGGGGACGCGAGCAGCAGCAGCAGCAGCGCGAAAGCCGCCGCGCUGCGGAGGAUCAUGGCUCUGAGGAAUGGAGUGUCUGGUGGUGGUCGGCGCGGUGCGAUCCGGCCGGAGGAGCUGGCAGGGAAUGCGAGCGGGACGGCGGCGGGUCUCGUGUGAUCUAGAGAGAGAGAGGGGAGCGUGGAGCGGGCAGUGGCAUUGAGAGCGCGCACAUGGGGAUGGGAGCUGGGAGGGGCGUGUGUGUGUGAUUGAUGAAGGCAAGCGCAGUCGUCAGUGGCUGACAACACAGUCACAUGGGGGCCAGCUGCACAGCAAGCUCAGUUGAUUAGCCAUCAGUGUGUGUGUGUGUGUGUGUGCUGUGCUGGGUGUGUGACGGUGGUGUCUCUCUGCGCCUGCGCCUGCGAGCGAGCUUCGUCACUCACGGUCACGGUCACGGAGACGGCGGCGACGCGGCUGGCUGGGUUGGUUGGUUGACGGGCGGCGCGGCACGUAGCGAGGGCAGGCAGCGGCAGGUGAGCUCGGGAUGGGGAUGAGUUCGGCUGGGCUGGCGUGCCCGUGCCCGUCCGUCUUGUUUUGGUCCGGAUGGAGUUGGGUUUAGCUUUUAACUAGCCUUUGCGUUUGUUUUUGUCUGCAUGAUUUGGACCGUCUGCAUGUGUAGAGCAUGUGUUGACGUCCGCGGCUAUACUUUUGUUUCGUUCCCUCUUGUUUGUUUACGCAUCCCCAUGCAUGGAGGCGAGUUCGAAUUCGAAAAGUGGCGGUUUCGUUUCGUUCGGACACGGACGGCGGCCGGGCCGGCUCCGUCGCUGGGCGACGGCGAGCAGCAUCAAUGGGCCUCACGGGCUCCAGAAGGGAAGGCUCGCGGCACGGCAUGGCCGUGGCCGUGGGUGUGGAGCGGACGACGUACGUCCAGUCUGUUACAUACCUGUAUGCACGCACUCGUGAAUCGUCGCGUGCUCGCGUUGCCCUGCUCCACAGGUCAUUCGUUCCACAGGUCAUUCGUUCGCGUUGCCCUGCUCCACAGGUCAUUCGUUUAGGGUUUUUGUCUGUCUGGGUCGAGGAGCUCGCGUUACACUGACACUGACACUGGUACUCUUUAGAUCACUCUCUGGCCUUAGGUAAUUUCGUUAGAUAUGAAAAUUUUUUGGAUUUCGUUACUAUAGCAAUUUCGUUUGUUUACGGUAAAUAUUGUCCAAUCAUAGAUUAACUAAGGUUAAAAGAUUCGUCUCGCGAUUCACAGUUAAACUGUGUAAUUAGUUUUUAUUUUCGUCUAUAUUCAAUACUUCAUGUAUGUAUCUCAAGAUUCGAUGUGACAGAAAAUCUUAAAAACUUUUUGGAUUUUGGAGUUAACUAAACAAGGCCUCAGGCUUCCUACGACAUUGAUUAUUUCACCCCAAAAACUAAAAACUUUUUAAGAUUUUCCGUCACAUCGAACCUUGCAACAUAUACAUAGAACAUUAAAUAUAAACAAAAACUAAAACUAAAGCUAGUCUUAAUGUAUGUUUCAUGAGAGUGUCAUGCACAUUAAAUAGGGUGCUACAUAAGCAAAAUUGCUACUUAGCAGAGUCAUUAAAUGAACGAGUUUCAUCAUAUGAGAAAGGAAUUUCAUCCCCAUAAAACUCAUGUGGCUCGGUUACCUAGUUUAUAGUCUUGAUAACUAUGCCAUGAAACUAUGCAUUGAGACUGACCUAAUAGCACAGUUUGUCUGUAAAUCAUGAGAUGCAUCUUUUGAGCCUAGUUAAUCCAUGACUGGACAAUAAUUGUCAAAUAAAAACGAAAGUGCUACGGUAACCAAAACCAAAAUGUUUUCGGAACUAAACAAGGUCUAAUUACACAGUUUGUCUGUAAUUUGCGAGACGAAUCUUUUGAGCCUAGUUAGUCUAUGGUUGGACAAUAAUUAUCAAAUACAUGAAAGUGCUACAAUGUCAAACUUCAAAAACUGUUGGCAUCUAAACAAGGCCUUAUUAGAGCAUGGAAAGGAACCUAAUUACAUAGUUCACAUGUAAUUUAUGAGACAAAUCUUUUGAGCUUAGUUAGUCUAUAAUUAGAUAGUAAUUGUUAAAUACAGACAAAAGUGUUAUAUUAGCAUUUUGUAAUUUUUUUCAAGAACUAAACAAGGCCUAACUACGGAGUACAUCCUGCUCCUAUAUUGUACUCUCUUCUGUCCACGAAAAAAUUAAUUUCUAGAAUCCAUAUCAAUCAAUCUUUUUUAAGUUUGACUAACUUUAUAGAAAAGAAUAACAACAUCUAUGACAUAAAAUGUGCACCAUAUAAAAAAUAUAUUCUAUAAUGAAUUUAAUAAUACUAAUUUGAUACCAUAAAUAUAGUAUUUUUCUAAAAAAAUAGUUAAAGUUUAAAACAUUUGACUUAUGAUAACUCUAGAAAUUGAUUCUUAGUAGUACUAUUAUACGAGGUGAUUAUCAUGUGCCAGAUGCUCACCAAGAGGCUAUUAUACUACAUUAAUGCUGCUUCCACUAGUCAAUUAACUAAGGCCUUGUUUAGAUACAUCCAAAAAUCUAAAACUUUACAAGAUUCCCAUCACAUCGAAUCUUGCGGCAUAUGUAUGGAACAUUAAAUAUAGAUAAAAAAGAUAACUAAUUACACAGUUUACCUGUAAAUUACGAGACGAAUCUUUUAAGCCUAGUUGCUCCAUAAUUGGAUAAUGUUUGUCAAAUAAAAAUGAAAGUGCUACAGUAUUAAAAUCCAAAAAGUUUUUGGAUCUAAACAAGGCCUAAGCACCACUGCACUCAAACUUUUGCGCGAUGUUCUCCGUACCAGUAGAUCAACCGCUUGUGCUAGCCACUAGCCAGGAUUCCGAGGCAUGCAGCAGCUUCAAAGGCCUUGUUUAGUUAAAAAAAAAUUACAAAUUUUUUUAGAUCUCCGCGCUUGUCAGUUUUUUUAACAAGGUCUAGUUUAGUUGCAAAAAGUUUUUUAAUUUUGUUACUAUAACGCUUUCGUUUUUAUUUUACAAACAUUAUACAAUUAUAAAGUAAUUAGGUUUAAAAGAUUCGUCUUGUAAUUUACAAAUAAAUUGUGCAAUUAGUUUUUGUUUUUAUUUAUAUUUAACACUCCAUAUAUAUAUAACGGUAAAUCUUGAAAAAAAUUUGGUUUUUUUUUAACUAAACAAGGCCCAAGUUGGGAACUGAAACGUUUCAGCUAUUUCUUUUUUUUUGAGAGUUGAUCUCCGCGCUUGUCACGUGGUAAGAGGUUGGUUUCACAAAGACUCUUCAUCUCAUUACUUACUACCGUUUUUUUAGGCCAGCCUCAAUGCAUAGUUUCAUGGCACAAUUACUAAGACUAUGAAACUCUUCUCUCAUAUGAUGAAACUUAAGAGUUUCAUAGGGAUGGAACUCUUCUCUCAUAUGAUGAAACUCCUUCAUUUAAUGACCCUGCCAAAUCCGCAAUUUUACUUAUGUGACACCAUAUUUAAUGUGCAUGACACUCUUAUGAAACAUGCAUUGAGACUGACCUUAGUGUAACAAGUUAAAAUGGUUUGUAUUUAAGUUGGUCUCUAGUCAAAUGGUCUCAGAAACGUUUUUGAGAUAAUCUAGAUCAGAAACAACAUUCUUGUAAGAAUCAAGAGCACUACCAAACACAAUGGCUUCUCUCAGCGCCGGCCUCAGAUCACACAAGAGCAAGCUGUUUGGCUGGUCAAACGAACGGGAACAAAGACAGAACGUUGGUGUGUUGGGAUACAUGCGAGGAACAGUUCUUCAGUUGGAGGGCCCAAGAAAUCGACGCGCUAUGCUGCACGAGCCAGCAGGCUAUCUGAUCGUGUAGUAUGUGUUCUAAGCACCUUCUCGUGCACUCGUGCUUGCCAGAAACGGAAAACUUUCAUUAUCAAAUUUGGCAGCCAUUUAAUAAUGUUUUUCUCCUCAUAAUAAAUUAGAAACGAACAAGGCGACGUCAGUCAUCUCUCUGCGUCGUUCUACGGAUCAUGCCAUGCCGAAUGCCGUUCCAUCGAUCUCUAGACAAAAUAAACCAACCACGAUGGUACGUUGGUGAGUUCUAAAAAACCAAUAACGGUAACCAACCACGAUGUUGUUCACUGCGUAUCUGCUUAGACUGUAGGUGUACCCCGUACGAUAGUAUAGCAUGGGCCACCACGCGUGGCCACACCGUCGAUUCGCGUAUCAGCAUAGGAGUACGCGCAGUGAGUGAAAUCCCUGUGCUUGGAGUCGGACAUGCCCUUCAAGUAGCUGCACGGUACUUAUGCCGCCCACUGCACCGUACAGUAACGGAGGGACGGAUGCGAGUGCCAAUAUGCGAUGCAUGAGCACCAAGCACCGCGUCAGCCUCUCUUUGCCGGGCCUCCGCUAAUUUUUCGGCCCAUUUAAUAGGCGUGGUGGCGAUGACGGAGGGAUACAGUGCGGAGUACGGUGAUGUUUGGUUGCUAGCCAUAAUUUACUAUAACUAACUUUAGUCAAGUAUGACAAGCCACAAAAAGUGUGGCUAGCAAAUUGGUUGCCACACUUUGUCAUGCCUAAAGGAAUCUUGUCACACUUUUUAACUCUAUAACAUAUGGAGCCCAAAAGAAUCAUACCUAAACUUAGUUGUCAACCAAACACUUGCCAACUUGGUCAAACUUGCCUAAAGUAAAGUGUGACAAACUGUGGCUAGCAACCAAACUCCCCUACCUACACGGAAGCGGGCAGCGGUGGUCCAAUCUGGCAUACUCCUCCAUCCAAAAAUUAGAGUUGAUAUAAAAAUCAUGCUGGUCAAGCUUUUUAACUCCUUGAUAUGAAAAAGCCAAACUAAAUUUAUAAAAAAUACAUGAAAUGUUUAUAUUUUCAUAUAGGUUUAUUUUAUGAAGUAUAGUCAACGAAGAGAAACCCCUUGAUCUUUUCAAAUUACUUUGGUGUUAGCCCCAUAACUUUUCGAAUGAGGGGGGAGAGGGGGGAAGUGAUCACGAAAUGAGCCUCUGAUGCAUUUAGACUAGUUUGAUGCCAACCCCCUACUUGAUGAGGCGAGAGGGCUCAAAGCGGUGAAAUGAUGUCCUUGGCGCUUUUAGAUUAGUUUGGCGCCAAGCCCUAAACAUUUUGAGACGUGGGGUGAAGAGACAUGAAAUAAGCCCCUAGGCGCUAUUAGAUUAGUUUGGCGCCAACCGCCAAACCUUAUGAGGUGAGAGGGCUCGGAGCGGCAAAAUGACCCCCUCGGUGCUUUUAGAUUGGUUUAGCGUUGGCCCAAAACAUUUUGAGGCAUAGGGCAAAGAAUCACAAAACAAAACAAGCUUCUCAUCGCUUUUAGAUUAGUUUGGCGCCAACCGCAUACCUUAUGAGGCGAAGGGCUCAAAGCGGCGAAAUGAUCCCCUCAUUGCUUUUAGAUUAGUUUGGCUCCAACCUUCAUACUAUGAGGAGAGGGAGCUUGAAUCGGCAAAACAAGCCCCUCCACACUUUUGGAUUACUUUGGAGCUAACUCAUAGUCAAUGUCGUCGACGGUGUAGCCCCUCGCCAAAGUGUUGGCAAAAGCUUAGUUGAUGACGCUAGUGAUAAUUGCAAAAUUAAUUAAAACAAAGUUUGCAAAACAUAGAGUCACAUUUUGCUUCUGUUAUAUGUAUUCUUUAGCGACCUGAAGUUACCAGGCUCUAUCAAAUUAUUUUGCUUCUGUUGCUCAUAUUUUUUGCAACUUGAAGUAUCUGAGCUCCUAUCAAAUUGUUGUACUUUGCUUGCACGUAUUUUUGGCAACAUGAAGUCAAUGAGCUCUUCUCAUAUCGUAGUGUACAUAGAGAUGGAAAAGGAUGCAUGCAACAAUAUGUGACUGCUCACUAGUUUUUUCCCAUCAAACAUGUUUUUGUCGAUAUUAGAGAGCCUUACGAUGCUAAGACACCCCUUUUGGCUCAUGUGAUGUGUUCAUGCGGUGAAUAGAUGUUAUGAAUGGAGUCUCGUGAUGCAUAUGAUUGAUGCAUUCACACAUAUAAAAAGAAUGGGGAAGCGUUUUCAUUUGGCUUUGCCCUCGUAUAUCUUUGGAGAGUCAAAGUUAUGAACCUUUAGGCUUUUUCAUUUGGGUCCAUCCUCAUGUAUUUUUGGUGGGUCAAGUCUUGAGCGAGACUUUUUUCAUUUAGCUCCGACCUCAUGCAUUUUUAGUGGGACAAAGUCUUGAGUCCUUAGGCUUUCCAUUUAGUCUUACUCUCGUGUAUUUUUGGAGGGUCGUAUUGUAUCUUUUAGGGGGUUGAAAUGAGCUUUGAAAACCAAAAAGUUUUUACUAGACGACAAGCAAAACAAAUAAUUAAAUUUUGAAAUAAUCCAAAUUAAACUAUCCAAAAGAAAUUUCUCAUGGAAAACAAAAUAAGAUUUCUCAGCUAACAAACUUCUCUUUAAAAUACCAAAUUCCUCACGGUUUUAGUUUUGAAAGACAAAAAAAAAACACCACAUAUCCUAUUCUAUACAUCAGAUAAUCCAAGUAGGAUUUGCGGAUAAUCCAUAUUUGUCAAAUCUAUAUUCUACUUCGCAUCUAUUCUUAAUGACAUGGAUAUUAUAGUUCUUCUCUAUAUCCUCAAAAUUUCAAUUUUGAUGAAUCAGAGCGCGCGGAGACCAGCUGACAUGCCUGCACGACCACGACUAGUACUCCAUCGCAAGCGGCCGAAACCAUACCGUGUGUUUGGUUGGGAGUUGGGUGGGUUGGGUUGGAUCUAACCCAGUUUUUGGGGACGGAGCCAACCCGCCCAGUGUUUGGUUGCAUUUCUGAUUUUGGGGACGGAGCCAACCCAUUUUAGUGUUUGGUUGAAGAAUUGGGGACAGAGCGGCUCUGUUCAGUGUUUGGUUGAAGGAAUUUAGUGUUUGGUGGGAGCCAACCCGGCUGGAGCGGCUCCGUCCGCCAGAUUUUGACGGACGAGUCCAACCCGCAUCUGAGAGGAAUAUUCCACCCUGGAGCCAACCCAACUCUCUCAUCCUCCAACCAAACAGCCACAGGAAUGGGUUCGCUCCGACCCGGCUCGCCCCGCUCUCCAACCAAACACACGGAUACAUACAUCAGCUCAUCAGCAUGGAGAUUGGAAUGAAGAGGAGUAGGAGCACAUCAGUUUGUUGGCUGUGCAGAGGCCACGUCAGCGCCCGGCUCCUGUCCUGAGGCUGUCGAUCGGCUUCCUCCCCUCUCCACCGCCGGAACGUCCGGCGCCAAGCCCACGCCAAUACGCCACCCAAAAUUCUACCUCUACCAGUGGCCUCCUUUGCCCUCUGCUCUCGCUCCCUCGCCUCGCUGACCGUUACGCAGCGCACGGUACGCCCGCCAUGCACGCCUCGGCCUCGGCAGCAGCCGGCGCUAGGUAGCUAGGCACCGCCGCACCGACCGAUGCGGCCGGCGGGGCCGCCAACGAAGCCGGCCGCCGGCGCCGUGGCGGUCCAGGCCAGCAGCAGGCGUAGUAGCAGGAGGCCCGGCGCCGCCGUGCUGAGGAUGCUGCGGGCGCCGGCGGUGGUGGCGCUGGCGGCGGCGCUCGCGGUGUCGUCGUCGCCGGGGCCAGGGCCAGGGCCGGCGUCGGAGCCGCUGUGCAACCUCCCGCCGACGCUGUCCGGCGAGGACGGCGGCGGGCGGCAGGGCGAGGCGAACAGGAUCCGGCACCCCAAGUCGGACCGCGCGGCGCGGUGCACGUCCAAGUGCGUCAGCACCUGCGUCCUCGGCGGCUACGGCGCGCCGGGCGUCGCCGGGCCCUUCAACAUCCGGAGGUAACGCAUGGUGUGCUCCGAUGACCCACCGUCGUCGGUCGCUCCGUUGUUUGCUCAUCUUUUCUUGACGAUGAUUGAUUGAUUAAACGCGUACGACUGUACUGUCUGAUCGAUCGAUCUCUUCUUUGACGAUGAACUCAACUGCGACGUACUCCUAACUAAUUCUCUCUCGUUUGCCGUUGGCAUCGAUCCAUGGAUGGAUUCGUGCAGACCAUUGGUGGUGUUCAAGGACACCUUCCGAAGCCGGCAGUACUGGUAAGUGGUAACAACACACGCACCAACUCAAAUUGGCCCCUUUUUGAAUCCAUUAUUGGCGAGUGAAUUGUCUUGAUUACUAGUGUCCAAUACUGCAUGUCUUUAAUUUGUAAUAGCUUGGUGGAGUGCUCGGACAUCUGCAAUCUACUCAAAGACGGCGAAGAUGACCAGUGAAAGUAUAGUGAACACAACAAGAAGGCAAGCUCUCUUGCAUUCCAUGGUGUGCGGACCUCAGUCCUCAGCUAUGCCGGAAAUGGAGACUCAGGCCGGCCGGGUCAUGCUCAGCUUCGAAUUGUCCAGCUCACGCAGCAUGGACAUGGCAUGUGAGGCAGAGUUUUUGUUUCCCCUGUCUAAAUUGAAAGGAGCUAGCUUAGCUAGUAGUACUAAUUAAGUACUACUCUCCAUCAUCGGUCCAUCCGGUCAAAAGAAAACUCACACAUUUGACUUUGCAUGGUCUUCCAAGCGUAUAUUUGAUCACUACGUACUCUACUACUCCAUGUUUAGGAGUAGUUUCUUGUAGAAUGUGUUCUUAGUAGAAGCCUUCAAUUUUAGGAGAUAAUGUAAGUAUUUUCAAUAUAAAUCCACAUAUGCUAUUUUUUCCCUCCAUGUUUCUAAACUAAACAAAAUGUAUAUAUGCUUGUAAUUUUUCAGGUUUAGACCAAUAAUAUAUUUUUUUCAAAUAGUUUUUAUUUUUUAUUUACUGGAGGAGUACUAAGCAGCUAUGUAACAUAUGGAGAUGCGAAUGGGGUUGGCCUUGCAACGCACAUGUAGACUGUUUUUAAGUGGUUAUCAUUACCAUACUACAGCAAUCAACAUCCUCUUUUCUUUUUUCUAGAUGAAGGAUAGUUUAUAUUUAGCUUCAUCUAUCAAUAACACCCUCUUUUUCUAGAUAGAUUUUUUUUCUCCAUCACACAAAAGGUUUGCACAUCUUUCUAUUAAGUUAGAAGAAAAUUUUUAAUACAACAUGUCUUAGCGGCACCCUAAGGGUCAGGAGAGUUGUAUAUGGACGCUCAGCUCCACCCUAAUGUACUACAGUCUAUGGUGUUACAUUGGACACUAAUCAGUGGCGUCGGUUAGGAGGCCUAAGCCCAGCAGCCAAGCAGCGGCGGCUGCAGGCACGCACAUCGCCGCUCGGUGAAAACAACUCGCGAAGCGCUUGCAUGUUGUCGGGGUCACCGCUGUAGAUUCCGUCGUACGCCUCGAUGGCCGAUGCGGACGGAGAUGACAUCCGUUGGUUAGUCCCAAGCGCUUCAAGACAUGGUGCUCACCUAGUUUGGACGCCAAAAUAUACGACAUACUCCGCGCCGCUGUCCGCCUACUCCUACGAGGGAUUAUAGGCAGUGCAUGUUCACCGUGGGCUGUACCAUCUCCGAGUAGCUCCGGGGAGAGGCAACUGUCUCGCCUUAUUUGUGACUUGCUCGGUGAAGUGCAUGAGGUGUCUGCCGGUGGUGGUCAUCUGAGGGGAUGGAAUGCGGUUGACGUUGUCCAUGGCAUUUAUGAUCAUCACAUCAAAUAACUCCUUACUCAUUAUGGUGAAUGGUCAAAUGGAGUAGUGUCACUACAAUACCAAGAUGCCACCAUCAUCUUCUCAAGUGAUGAAGAACAGGAAAUGAGAAACUUGAGAGGUGUGUUGUCUGAGUAUUUUUUUUUUGAAAGGACCAAGAUGUUGUAAAGGUAGGGUGAAUCUACAAUGCUUGAUGUGAAAUCAGUAUUUUUCUUCCUUCGUUUUAAAUUACGGGCAUUAACCUAGUUAUAUAUAUAUAUAUAUAUAAGUCAUAAUGAUCUUGCAAUUUGCAACGGAAAGAAUAGUUUUCUAAAAAUGGACCCUCCGUUUUUUUAGAGAAAUUGAAAACAACCAGAAGCCACGUUCGUUUGAGUUUAUUAGCCGAAUCUAUCUGCCAUUCAACAGUGUUUUUUCUCUAUAAUAAAUCAAUAAACCAUACUUUCUGUCACGCCUUUUCGGCUAAAUGAAUAUUUCGUAAAGGGUGUUUCUUGAGUAGACUCACGAUGUCCCUACACAGGAGUAAGAAAAAACAAGUAGCAAAAGAGUCCAGUGUGCUUUGAAUCAUGGAGGAACAUGUUUGCUCUGGCCGGAGAGAAGUUCAGACUAGCGCAACAUUUUAGCAGUGUACGUGACCUGUGAAUAUACCCAAAGCCCAAUCCAAAUGCCGCAUUGUGGCUUCCAUGACAAAGGCCCAACACAUCUUCUUUAUUGGUACAAAGCCCAUCUAAACCUUAGCCUUUCGGUUUCAUGUCACAGGUCUACAAAUAGGAAUUUUUUGUUGUAAAAAAAAUAGUUGUAAAAAAUAACAAAUCUGUUUUAUUGGUGAGGAUCCACGAACGAAGGCCAUCCAUAAAAAAUGUAAUCCAUCCGUGCUAAACUAAAUCAAUUUCUAAUGUUGUCCUAGACCAAGCUAAUUUUAAUUAAACCGACUUCAUAAAAUAGCAUCAAUAUUUAUAUAACACAAAUCAAUACUACAAGGUGAUGCAAAUAUAUUGAUGCCAUCAUAGAUGUUUUGAUUCUUAGAAUGGCUCUAAAAAUCAAAUUUUUUUGGGAUGUUCUUAUACAUUUCUUGGACAAAUAAAUUUUCAUUAUGAUUUGGCUGGGGUGCGCCAAGCCUAACCAGCAGUGCAACGGCUAGGCAACGCUUGAGAGACCCAAUGGCAAGCCAUUGCGGUGGUUCCUCCCCCCACAAAAAAUUAAUUUAACAUCAAAGUGAACACAUGGUCCACAUAUCAGAUAUUAAACUGAUAAGAACAGAUACUACACUUGAUCUUAGCCAAAAGGCCGAGAAAGGUAUGAGUUGCAUCAUUGCCGUGGGUCUCAUUUUCUACCCUUCUUGUGCCUCAACUCGCUCAAAGCUGUCGAGGUGGGACUAAAUUGAAGAUUAAGCAUGGCUUAGCGCAGCGCAAAUGCAUUGCUCUUGCUUGCGUGUUUGGUUUAUUGAGCAGUUUGGGCCCGUAAUUGACCAUCCCAACGUGUAAGGUCACGGCCCAAGUCCCAUUACUGGGCCUUUACUCAGUGGAUCCCAUAAUUAAUUGGCCUAGUUUCCAGUAGCCGCUGGCGUUGGAGAAAGAGGAGACUGGAGCAUUGUCAAGUUGUGGCACCAGGUCAGGUCGCAAACCAAUAGUGGACCAAGAGCAAAUUUGACAUGGAAUGGAUGCAAGCAACGCGCGUCGGCCGGCGGCGAGGCAACGAUGCUGUGGCAGCCGAGAUCGACGGCGGCGUGUUCUUCAUGCACGUACAGCAGUAGCACCACCGAGGCCUUGUUUAGUUCACCCAAAAACUAAAUUUUUUUAAAAUUUUCUGUCAGAUCAAAUCUUGCGACACUUGCAUGAAGCAUUAAAUAUAAAUGAAAAUAAAAACUAAUUACACAACUUAUCUAUAAAUCGCGAGACGAAUCUUUUAAACCUAAUUACUUUAUAAUUGAACAAUGUUUGUCAAAUAAAAACGUUUGUCAAAUAAAAAUAAAAGUGCUAUAUUGUCAAAAUCAAAAAAAUUUGGAUCUAACAAGGUCGCAUUAUUGCAGCACAGCAGCACACGAGAGGCUGACGGACGGCCACCGGGGACUAGCGGCGUGCAGUUUUGGUUUUCGAUCUUUCUACACUUUCACGCCUUGUUUAGUUCCAAAAAAUUUUGCAAAAUUUUUCAGAUUUUCCGUCACAUCGAAUCUUUAGACACAUGCAUGAAGUAUUAAAUAUAGAUAAAAAUAAAAACUAAUUACACAGUUUGGUCGAAAUUGACGAGACGAAUCUUUUGAGACUAGUUACUCCAUGAUUGGACAAUAUUUGUCAAAUACAAACGAAAAAACUACUGUGUUUUCACUUCACUGUGUUUUGAUCGGGAAGUAUAUCUACUUUUGUUGUUUUUUUUGGGUCCUGCAAUGCUUAUCUUUGAUGAGAGGAUAUGAUGAGGUGUGCAGUGUGCCGGUAUCUAUAACUCUCAACGAGAGGGAUGGCCAUUGAUGAGAAAUUUAAGGUCUUGUUGGGUAGUGCAAAUCAAUCAAUUUAUCGAUUAAUAAGAUUGUUAAUCAAUUUGGUAUUAUUUAACAAUUAAUAAGAACGUUUUUUUUAAUCAACUCUCUACCUUCUACCCUGUUGUUAUUACGCUGUGUAGAAGCGGGAAUUUUGUUCCAUUGUCUAAAAGAUACUACCAUGUUAUUAUUCAUUUUUUUUUAAAAAAAACUCCACCACCAAGUUUAAGGAAUUUAAUUGUUACCUAAAUUACUAGUAUUCAGAAAUCUUAUAGAGUUAGUAUUUGGUGAAGUGUGCCGGCCAACAAACGUUCAUAUACUGACCCUUUUUUUUUUUUGGAACGACCCUGUUUUGAGUUUUUUUGACUGAAAAGACUGUAGGGAAGAUCCUCACGGUGGCUCAAACUUUUAUAAAAUAUUAACAAAAGGGGAUUUACUGAAUGCAUCUAGCCACGCACAAAAGGAAGACCACGGGUCUCUCCUUUAAAUCUAAGAGACUGAAGAUUACAUUGAUUUUUGAAAAUUUGCAAGUCAAAUACUAGAACUGGGGUUCUUGCCGUGGAAGAUCUUUUUAUUCCUCACCUUCCAGAUUUCCCAUGAAGCUAUCAUUACCAUCUCGAUGAAGAACGGCAGGCCUGAAUUAGCUCUUGCUUGUGCCAGACCAGGGAGUAAGCCAAGCUGUUCAUCCCACUGUACGUUCAUGGCUUGCCAGCAUCUUCUAGCAAAGGUGCAGGAGAAGAAUAAGUGUUCCAGGUCUUCUAGUAAACCAUGAGAACAAAUGACGCAUAGAUCAUCAUCUUGGAUGUUACAGUGUCAUCUUCUGAGCAUGUCUUUAUUAUUCAGUCUAUCUACUAAUACCAGCCAGGGAAAGAAUUUUAUUCUGGGGGUGCACUUGGCCUCCCAGAUCCAUCUGAAGGCUGGGUGAAUGCCAGCUUGUACAGUCGUCGAGAGGAAUAGUUGCCAUUGUCCCAGAUGUAGUUCCAAACAUCAUCCUCUGAUUCAGGUAUUGGUAAGCUGUUCAAGUGUUCCUGAAGAUGUUCUAAUUCAGUGAAGGCCUCGGAGACAACGGCAGGUGAAAGAGGUCUUCAAGAUCUUCAGUGUUCAUCCCAUCCUUGACUGAAAUCCUAGUAUCCAUGGAGAAGGAGAGUAGCCUCAGGUACUGAAGAGAUAGCAGGUGGUGUGUCCAGGGAUCAUCCCAGAAUAGGACAGUGGAUCCAUCCCCAAUGGUACAACGAGCUAUCCCUCGGAAAAGAUUGCUUUAUUAGUCUGAUGAUGUCUUUCCACAGAAAGAUCCAACCUCUCUAGUUGCAUGUAGAACCUUGUCUUGAUAAUAUUUCCACCAUAUGAGUUAUACCCAGGGAAUGUCUCUUUUGUUGUAGAACUUGUCAAGAUGCUUGAGAAGAAGCAGUGCAUCUUUUUGGAGACCGAGAUUGAGUAUGCUAGUUCACCCCCAAAACCAAAAACUUUUCAAGAUUCCCUGUCACAUCUAAUCUUACGGCACGUGCAUGAAGUAUUAAAUAUAGAUGAAAAUAAAAACUAAUUGCACAGUUUGCCUGUAAAUCGCGAGACGAAUCUUUUAAGCCUAGUUACUUUAUAAUUAGACAAUGUUUGUCAAAUAAAAAUGAAAGUGCUACAGUGUCAAAAUUCAAAAACUUUUUGGAUCUAAACAAGGCCUAAUCCCACCUUUAUCUUUAGGGGUAGUAACUACUGGCCAGGCCACGAGGUUACCUCCUCUUUGCUGAUUUGAAUUGCCUGGCCAAAGGCACUGUUUUCUAGCCCGAUCGAUGUUAUCAAUUACUCCUUUGGGAAGCUUAAUCACACACGAUGCAUAUAGGUGGUGAUCAGUGUGAUGCGGACUUGAUCAUCUCCAAAACGUCCUGAAUACGACAGCAAGGAGAGCAGGCUGAAAGUCUACGUUCAACUCGAUCCAUCACUGGUGUGAGAUCCUCGAAGCGAGGUUUUGUGGUUCCCAUUGGAAGGCCCAGGUAUGUGGAAGGGAGGGAGCCAAUUUGUUUUUGAGUUGUUCCCAGUAAAGAACCACGGUAAAGAUUUGCAAAUAUCCUCCAAUCCUGAGAGCCUGUCAUCUUUAGUGUCCACAUAUUUGUCAGGGUUUGAUAUGAUGGAUGGGUGCUCGUGGGAUAGAUAGAAGGAUGUACUAGCUUGCUUGCUUGUCGAGUGCGAAGAAUCGUCAGAACGAAGGUCAGCAUGACAUCUAGUUUUGUCAUGCUACCUUAAUUAUUUUUCCUUUGCGUCUAUAUAUAUAUUCCCCCCAUCCUUUUCUGGCAUGCUACCUUAUUUUUUCUUUGCGUCUGUCGAUUUUUUUUUUCCAUUUAAGAUCAUUGACGAAACGUCUUCAUCAUGUAAAGGUCCCCUACUAGGCUACUACCUACUACCUAGAGCACUAUAAAUUGUACCUCACAGAGAUGGUAUAAUCCCAAGCUCACGGACAACUAAUUUGAUACUGCUAGUGAAGCAAGUCAAUAUACUCCUGGGAACCCCUCAUAGAAAUUAAUAUAAGAUAUGAUUUUCAUAUGGCUGAUGGGGAAGGAGAAUGGAGCUACUCCAAGAAUUCUAGGCGUCCAGUGAUUAUUCUAUCCCUUUUCCUAUGAUACAGCUAUAUUUUAUGAAACAUGCAUUUCUCAUGUUGCAUAUGCACCAAGUUUGUAAGCAAUUAAUGAUAUAUAUGUUGGUAUUGUUAGUUUUAACCAUUAUAUCAUUGCUUAAAGCAUAUAUAAAAUUAGUCUUUUUCUUAAAGCAUAUAGAACAUUAGUUAACUCCAUGUUUCAUUUGUGAUUGUUGCUAUCCCUUUGAUACUAUCAAAUCAUAUUAAUCUGGUGUGAUUCUUGAUGCCAGUUAAGUACCAUCCAUUGGCCUUAUCUAAUAACUUACUGCAAAUAUCAAUUUGGUUUUAGUGUUCUUCUUACAAGGAUGGGAGGCCCAUAUAUCACCUAAUGAUUUCUUCUUCUUUUUGGAUUUUAUUAGGAAAUAUAUUUUCGUGAGACCAAGCCAGUGGUUGAGAAUGCCAUAAAAGAAGUGUACACAACUCUUCUCCCCAAAACUAUGAUCAUUGGCGACCUAGCAUGCGCUGCGGGGCCAAACACAUUGCUCUUCAUGUCCAGUGUUAUAAGCACCAUUGUUGAACACUGUAAAUCUAGUAGGGAUGAUUCCGUGGAACUUCAAUUCUUCUUGAAUGACCUUCCCGGCAACGACUUUAACGAACUAUUUCGGUUAAUUGAGAAGUUCAGAAGGCCAAAUAUAACGGGUGAAAGGGCACAUCUACCACCUUUUUAUUAUAUUCAAGGGUUACCAGAAUCCUAUUAUAACAGGCUUUUUCCCCGUGAAAGUGUCCACAUAUUCCACUCUUCAUACGGUCUUCAUUGGCGCUCCCAGGUAUUUAGAUCACUAAUUAAAUUGGCUAUUUAUCAAUGCUAAGAAAGAGUUUUUCCUACGGGUACUCCAGUUACUUAUGAGAAAGUAAGAUCUCAAAGAAAUCACAACCCUUGAUUUAUUUGGUAGACAUAAUAAUUAUGUAAUUUAAAUAAUUAGCAUACAAAAAAAGAGAAAACUAUCUAACUCGAGCCAGCAAUUUACCUCCUUACAUAUCUCUCUAGCAUAGAAGGCAAGUAGAAACGAAGUACCUAUUGUACCCCCUUAAUCUUUAGUUUUGUGAUAUAUAGUUUGAGAUUUACAUACUGAUAUCAUAGGUUUUACAGAUUUAAAUUUGAAAUACUUCCUAUUAUAAUUCUAUAUUUGAGUUUUCAUUUAAGCUAUUUAGACUCAAAUCCCCCCACCUGCUCCCAAAAAAGAAAAAAACGGGAAAAAUCAUCUAUGCAUGGUUCAAAAAUUAGUAUUUUGUCAUAUGUGGUCAAGUGAAAUCCAAGUUUCCUUAAUAAAUGGCCAUCUCAAAACUAGGUUUUAUUUUGAAAAUAAAUUUAAACCAUUGGAAACAAGCCCAAAUUUUAUCACACGUGUUUAUUAAUUCCAAAAUAGAGCCUAAUUUUUAGCACGUGUUUGUUAAGAAAAAUCGAGUUUUACUCAAGCAUGUAUGCUAAAAAAUUAUAUGACAAAAUACUUUGUGAAGAGGAAGUGAGCCUAGCUCAACAUACUGGUUGAGUGGGAGGUGUGGUCAUGCACCCAACCACCCAAGUUCUAAGUCCUCUCUUAGACUGAAUUUGGGUGCCUAAACCACCUAGUUCCUCCUAAGUUGGAUCUUGUUUUUUUAAGUACUUCCCGAACCAUGAAUUUGGAUAGUUUUUUGGACUCCUAAGAAACAUUUUUAGGCCAAACAAGUUAACCACAAACUCAAAACAGCUAUAGAAUGAUUUAUAUAUAAAAAAUUUUCUUUUAUUGAGUUAAAAUUAUAUUACAAGUGCACGACUUUACCAUAAGUCUUUUUCUCCAUAAGAAUGAUAUAGAAAGUAGCUCAAUCAUGAGAAGCCACAUUAUUGUAUGUUUUGUUUAUUCGGGGCAUACAAGGUAUACUUUUGUAAUUACCACACAGAGUGAAUUCGAAAAUAAUGUCACGUUCAAUCAACUAAAAAUUACAUGUUCAAACAAUCAUGUAUGGGACCUUACAUCUAUUAAUAGAUCUAAUUAUGUAUGUGGUCGAUCAUUUUCAACCACAUUUGUCUACUUCCUAACAUAAAAAUAUAUAAAUAUAUAUUUACAACAUUUAAAUCAACGGUUCAAAGUUACUUGGGAAUAUUAUAGCAACCCCCUUAAUUAUGUACAUAUCUUCCAUAGAGUAUCAAUCUUUUUGUUGUUCUCUUUAUAUGUCUAAUAUAAUAUGUUCUCAAAUGAUAUCUAUGUAGGAACUUGAGGGACUAGAGUCGUGGAGAAAAACUUAUCUAAAUGAAGACAACAUUUACAUUACAAAGACCACAACACCUUUUGUGGUGAAACAAUUCCAGAAGCUGUUCUAUAAGGACUUCUCCCUCUUCCUAAAGUUGCGUCACGAAGAACUUGUGCAUGGAGGGCAAAUGGUUCUUAUAUUUAAUGGGAGAAAGGAUGAGGAUGUAUACAAUGGUGAUCUUAAUAAACUUUUUGCAUUGGUUGCAAUAGCAUUAAAGUCUCUUGUUUUGAAGGUAGUUGUAUAUGUAAAUUACUGCAUUGUUGUAUUUUUACUUAUUUUCAUUUCACGUUGUGAAGGAAGACAUGAAGUUAAAAAAUUCUGAUCAUAACAGGGCCUUGUGGACAAGGAAAAGCUACAAUCUUUCAAUCUACCAGUCUACGGGCCAUCAGUUGGAGAAGUGAAAGAACUAGUCAUGCAAAGCCAUUUAUUUAACAUGAAUCUAAUCAAACAAUUUGAGACGAACUGGGAUCCUUUUGAUGAUUCAGAAGGUGAUGAUGUUGAAGAUAAUGCCUGCAGUAGCAUGAACAUUGCUAAGUUUAUAAGACCUGCACUAAAGUCUUUAAUUGUUCGCCAUUUCGGAGAAACCAUAAUUGACGCAUGGUUUACCGAGUUCAAGAGCCUUGUUGCUGAGCACCUUGAAAAGGAGAAGACCAAGUUCACCAUCAUCGUCAUGUCCUUGAAGAAAGAAUAAUAUAGAUCGAUGUGGGUGUUGUUUCUCAAAUUUCUUUUACUCAAAUACCAAAGAAUUAUAUAAUAUAUAGACAUGUGUGUAGCUACUCCUAUAUGUGUAUCUCAAGAUUCAGGGUGUAUAUGAGCCAAUGAAGUGUAUGUACAUGCAAUAUAUACUAUAGACCAUUUGGGAUAGUAUGUAUGCCAUAUAUGAAAGUAUACACAGAGUAUAUUGUUAUAUUUAUUUAUAUACUAUAAUAAUGGUAUUAAUAUAUAUAGUAUUACUAGUAUCUAGGUACUCCCUCAACCCCAAAUUAUAAGUCAUUCUAUUUUUUUAGAAUCAUCUUAAGUUUGACCAAAAUUAUAGAGAGAAUUGUAAAGAUUUAUGAUAUUAAAAAAAAUCUAAUAAUGUUUAUAUGGUGUCAUAAAUAUUUCUAUUUUAUUAUAUAAAUUUAGCUAAACUUGAGAUAAUUUGACCCUCCAAUAAAGUUAGAGUAACUUAUAAUUUAGGACAGAGGGAGCAGUAAAUAAUAUUCCAACACCCUCAUAGUUAGACUACCAGUCACAGCCCUCAGGUUCAGGCUCCAGGCCUGGCCUAAAUUUUUUCGGUGAGCGCCAAGCAACCUGGCUUCGGAGCGGUAUUGCCACUCCCUACACUACACCCAUGCAUGUUUUUUUUCGACUCAAUUGAUUCCAAUCUGCUCAGAUCUUGUCCGCUCGGCAUAUGCUUCGUCCCUAACCUCAGCGGCACCGCCCCACACCCUACCGGUUGAAGAGUCAAGAUGACGAACUAAGGGUUGAAUAGUCAUUUCUAAAAUUUAUCGUGCCGGCUAAUCGAAACAAAUGCGAAAUUAAAACUAUCGGUUUAGCCAAGACUACACCCCUCUAUCUAAGUUUUCUAGCACCUUGUAAAAUAUCCUAAACAAGCAAACAAGGUGCUACCUUAGCAAGAGCUCACCUAACAAAUUUUAGGAGCAAUGUCACACAAACCUAUGCUACUAGUACUUUGUAACCGGGGAGCUCCUAUACAACUAGUGAGCAAAAACACAAGGCUCCUUACUCACUAGCAAUGUUCAAUAACAAGGCAACCAAUGCAAAAUUAGAGAGUGCAACUUACUUAGCUACACAAACUAAGCAAUGUGACUAACAAGAUUACACAAACUAAAUUAGCCAUGUAAGGGAACUACUUCUAGCUACACAAGCAAGAAGGUAACUAUCAAGCUACACAAGCAAGACUAGUUGCAAGAGCAACUACACAAGCAUAAGUAUAUAGAAUGUAAAUAUAAGCUUGUGUAAGGCGAAUGCAAACCACCGAGAAGAGUAGACAAUGUUGACAUGGUGUUUUUUUACCAAGGUUCACUUGGUUGCCACCAAGUUACGUCCUUGUUGUGGCGAUACACCCACUUGAUGAAUCACGAGCUAAUUGGCAAUCCAAAGCCAAAUCCUCAGCGGGUGCCGCACAUCCACUCUCAAGAUGGGGAUGGAAUGCAGUGGUGGUGUUGAAUAUCACAGCCGCGAGGCGAGGGCUAGUGCCAUGGUGAGGUGGGGCAGGACGAGUCAAGUGUAAUUGAGGAGGGCCAGAGUAGCAAAGUCUUGUCUCGUCUAUGACAUGUAGUAAGGCAAGGACAACAAUGGCGGCCAAGUGGUGUAGCAAAGUCAUAGGAAGCUAGGUCUGCACAUCCUUCCUAAGUUCUCUUGCACAUCCUGGCCUCCACGCGCUACCCUAUUGUGGGUGGAUGAAUGCGGCGUAGCGUGAUGUCGUUGCACCAGUGUGGUGGGCCGUGAGCACAUGCAAUGUUGUGGGAGGAGGGGAUGGAUCGGGAUGGCAUAGUAAUACAAGUUUAGAGAGCUGAGUAUUUAUUUUGAAAGUACUAGGGCUAGGAUAAGAACUACAUCUGAGCAUUUUGCGGGAACGGGUUUGGACCGGACCAAGAAAAGGCCUAGUUAUUUUAGGCAAAAAAAUCCCGUCCAUUACCGUCCCAUUGGGCAAGUCGGGCCUAGUAUUUUCGGGUUAGGCUCAGGCCAGGCCCAGCUUGGGCAAGCCGCCCACGUGUUUACACUAUAAAAUAGUAUUUUAGGCUGGGUUCGGGCCAAGAAAAUUUUUUCUAAGCAGCAAGAUUUGUACCCAGGCCCUGUCCAGUAAGGUUCAUGGGCGGUCCAAAACCCAUCAAGCUCAGGCCAGGCCCGUGGGCCGAACUCAAUUUGCUCAUGUAUAAUAAGAACUAGGACAAGUUUAGAGGUCGCAAUUUGAAAAUAGGAGGACUUAGAUGAGAUCUCAGGAGAAGUUUAGAGAGUUGAAUGUGCAAUUUGAAAGUACCGAAACCUAAAUGAGAACUUGGAAUAAAUGAGAACUCUUUUAAAAAUGUUAGAUCAACUCCAUUACCAUGUUAAUUAUGUAUCCCUCCGCCCCAAAAUGAGUCUCCAUCUCACAUUUAGUGGAGUCAACAAAUGUUAACUUUGACUAGGUACUAUGAAAAUGUAUGAUGUAAUUACCUAAUGAUGUUUAUUUGAAAUCAUAAAUAUUAGUAUUUUUUUAUACAUAUUGAGUCAAAGUUAAGACUGUUUAACUUCUUAAAACGAGGCAUUGGGACUUAUUUUGGGGCUAAGGAAAUAUUCAUUAAAAGAAACUCCACCGCUAUGUUUACAGGAAUUAACAGCUAGGCCUUGUUUAGUUCCUUCCCGAAAUUUUUUCGGGACACUGUAACACUUUCGUUUGUUUAUGGUAAUUAUUGUCUAAUUAUGGACUAACUAGGCUUAAAAGAUUCGUCUCGUAAAUUUCAAGCAAACUGUGUAAUUAGUUUUUAUUUUUGUUUAUAUUUAAUACUUCAUGUAUGUAUCUAAAGAUUCGAUGUGACGGAAAAUAUUGAAAAGUUUUUGAAUUUUGGGUGGAAGUAAACAAGGCCCUAGUAUUCAGAAUCUUCAUAGCUUUAUUCGAUGAGAGGAGAGGUGUGCCGGCCAACAAUGGUUCAUAUACUGAGACGUUUCAUCUUUAUUGACCAAAUAUUUGAGGGUUUGAUUGAUGCAUGGGAUACAACGAAUAGAUUUUUUUUUUUGAACAGGAUACAGUGAAUUGAUUUUUUUUGAACAGGAUACAGUGAAUUGAUGGCUACGAAGGUGGGGGUUGGAUAAGGUUCUGCACUGUUGCUUGUCAAUUAAGCAUAAAAACGUCAGAACGAAGGUAAGCAUGGCAUCUAUUAAUUUCUUUUUCAGAUAAGAUCAUUUGACAAAAGGGCUUCAGCAUCAUGUAAUGAUCCUUAGAGUAGUAUAAAUUGGACCUGGUAGAGAUGAUACUGGGACAACUAAUUCGACAAUGCUACUGAAGCAAGAUAGGGCGUGCAUAUAAUCCCAAGCUCCUCAUAGAAAUGAAUACAGAUUUUCAUAUGACUGAAGGGGAAGGAGAAUGGAGCUACUCCAAAAAUUCUAGGCGUCAAGUGAUUAUUCUAUCCCAACCCUUUUCCUAGGAUACAACUAUGUUUCAUGUUGCUUGCACCAAGUUUAUAAGUAAUGAUACGUUGGUACUGGCUAUAGAUAUUUUUAACCAUUGCAAACAAUAGUUUAUUGUCAUCUACGGACUUGAAACAUAUAUAAAAGUAGUCAUUUUUUAAAGCAUAUAGAACAUUAGUUAAGUCCAUGUCUUUGUUUGCAAUUGUUCUAUCCUUCUUAUAUUGUCAAAUUAUACUGAUCUGGUAUGAUUAUCUAUGCCAAUUAAGUACCACCCAUUAACCUUAUUCAAUAACUUACUGCAAAUAGUAUCAAGUUGGUUUCGUUGUUCUUCUUACAAUUAGGAGACCUACAUAUCACCCUAUGAUUUUUUCUUCUUUUGUGGUUUUUAUUAGGAAAUUUUUUUUCUUGAGACGAGGCCAAUGAUUGAGAAUGCCAUAAAAGAAGUGUACACAACUCUUCUCCCCAAAACUAUGAUCAUUGCUGACCUAGGAUGCUCUUCAGGGCCAAACACAAUGCUCUUCAUAUCUAGUGUCAUAAACAUCAUUGUUGAAAAAUGUAAAUCUACUGGAGAUGAUUGCAUGGAACUUCAAUUCUUCUUGAAUGACCUUCCCGGUAAUGACUUUAAUGAACUAUUUCGGUCAAUUGAGAAGUUCAAAAGGCCAAAUACAACAGGUGAAAGGGAACAUCUACCACCUUUAUAUUAUAUUAUGGGGUUACCAGAAUCCUAUUACAAAAGGCUUUUUCCUCGUGAAAGUGUCCAUCUAUUCCACUCUUCAUACUGCCUUCACUGGCGCUCCCAGGUAUUUGGAACAUUGAUUAAAUUAGUUAUUUAUCAAUUUUAACAAGGAUUUUGCUAUGAUACUCCAGUUAUCUCCGAGAAGGUAAGAGCUCAAAUAUAUCAUGUUGAUUUUUUUUUUGGUACAAGGAAUAAUUAUAUAAUUAAAACAAUUAGCAUAAAGAGGGGGAGGGGGAGGGGGAGGAAAACUAGCCAACGAUUUAUUUGCUUACUGUACAUGUUUCUCUUUCCGCGGAAGGCAAGAAACAACACCGUAUUGAUCUAUCAGGUAAUCUUUAUUUUUGUUAACAAUACAUUUUACAAAAAAAAAAUACAUCUAAAUGCAUUUUCUAAACAAGCGUGUCUUAUCCCAUCCUUUCCAUAGAUGCUUAAAAUCCAGUAUGACCAAUUUUAUUUAUAUCUGGCAUCGUAGCUUUUACAGAUUUACAAUUGAAAUUCUAACUACAAUUCUAUUUUUGAGUUUUUGUUUAAGCUAUUUACCACCAAAUCUCCUGCCCUCCCCCCCCCCCAAAAAAAAAAGAACUAGGAAAAAUCAUCUAAACGCAUGGUUCAAAAAUUAGCAACAAGCUCAAAAUUAGAUUUUAUUUUUGAAACUAAAUAUAAAGCAUUAGAAACAAGCUCAAAAUUUGUAAUACGUGUCUAGUAAUUUCAAAGUAGAGCCUAAUUUCCACCAUGUGUUUUGUUAAGAAAAAACAAAUUUUACUCGAGCAUGUAUGCUAAAAAGUUAAAUGGCAAAAUACUUCUUGAACCAUGAAUUUGGAUGUCUUUCUGGACUUGUAAGAAACAUUGUUGAGGCCAAACAAGUUAACCAUAAACUAAAAUAGGUAUAGAAUGACUUAUAAAAAGUCUUAUUUUUUUUUGUUAAGAUAAAAUUGUAUUACAAGUGUAAGUCUUUUUCCAGAAGAAAUUUUUUUGGAAGUCGUUCAAUCACGAGAAGACAUUGUAUAUUUUGUUUAUUUAGUGCAUACAAGGUAUAGUUUUGUAAUUACUAUACAAAAUAGAGUUUAAAAAUAAAAAGUUUAUUAUAAUGUCACGUUCAGUCUACUAAAAAUUACAUGUUCAAACAAUCAAGUAUGGAACCUUACAUCAAUAGAUCUAAUUAUGUAUAUGAUCGGUUGUUAUCUGUCACAUUAGAGCUAAUAUAUUCAAAUACAAGAUAUUUUGCCUACUAUUUUGUCUACUUCCUAAAAUUACAUAUUUAUUCUACUACCUCUGUGGAGGUAAUAAUAGUAAUCAACAUUUUGGUCAACGCACUUGGGAGUACCAUAGGAACCCCCUUAGUUAUUUACACAUCUUCCAUAAUGUAUCUAUCUUCUUGCAGUUCUCUUAACAUGUCUAUCAUAAUGUUCUGAAAUGAUAUCUAUGUAGGAACCUGAGGGACUAGAGGCAUGGAGAAAAACUUAUCUAAAUAAAAACAACAUUUACAUUACGAAGACCACAACACCUUUUGUGGUCAAACAAUUCCAAAAGUUGUUCUACAAGGACUUCUCCCUCUUCCUACAGCUGCGUCAUGAAGAACUUGUGCAUGGAGGGCAAAUGGUCCUUAUAUUUCUUGGGAGGAAGAAUGAGGAUGUAUAUAAUGGUGAUCUCAAUCAACUUUUUGCAUUGGUUGCAAGAUCGUUACAGUCUCUUGUUUUGAAGGUACUUGUAUAUUUGUAAAUUAUUGUUGUAUUUUUACUUGUUUUCACUUUGUGGAGUCAUGAAUUUAAAUGAAUUCUGAUCAUGAUAGGGCAUUGUGGAGAAGGAAAAGCUAGAAUCUUUCAAUCUACCAAUCUAUGGGCCGUCGGUUGGAGAAGUGAAGGAACUAGUCAUGCAAAGUCAUUUAUUCAACAUGGAUCUAAUUAAACAAUUUGAGAUGAACUGGGACCCUUUUGAUGAUUUAGAAGGUGAUGAUGUUGAGGAUAAUACCCGCAGUAGCAUGAAUAUUGCUAAGUUCAUCAUGUCCGUACUAAAAUAUUUAAUUGUUCACCAUUUUGGAGAAACCAUACUCGAUGCAUGGUUUGCCGAGUUCAAGUGCCUCGUUGGUGAGCACCUUGAAAAGGAGAAGACCAAGUUCACCGUCAUCGCCAUGUCCUUGAAGAAAGAAUAAUAUAGAUCUAUAUGUGUGUUGUUUCUCAAUUCUUUUACUCAAAUGCCAAAGAAUAUUAUGUAUGUUUGUAUUUGUGCAUGUGUCUCUCUGUGUCUGUACAUGCAUGCAUACAUGUCUACUCCUACUUUGUGUAGUCACUCCAAUGUGUAUAUCUUAUGAUAGGUCGUAUAUGGCCAAUGAAGUAUAUUUGUAUAAAGUAUAUGAUCAUACUAGACCAUUUGGGACAGUAUAUAUAUAUUAUAUAUAUAAGUAUACAUAGAGUAUAUGAUUAUACUUAAUAUGAUAGUAUUAUAUGUAGACCUUGUCCUCUCAGCGUAUAUAUGUUGCGUCCCCAAUCCCGCCGGCACAGCUCCCCUGGCCCCACCCCUUCAGCAUCGUGCCGCUUCGCAUUUGUUUUUGGGCCUUGUUUACUUCCAAAAAAAAUUGCAAAAUAAGAAUAUUAGCACUUUCGUUUGUAUUUGACAAAUAUUGUCCAAUCAUAGACUAGCUAGACUCAAAAGAUUCAUCUCGCGAAUUACAUGUAAACUAUACAAUUAGUUAUUAUUUUUAUCUAUAUUUAAUACUUCAUAUAUGUGUCGCAAGAUUCGAUGUGACGAAAAAUUUUAAACUUUUUCUAAAUUUUUUUAGAAACUAAACAAGGCCUUGACCUCCUCAACGAAGACACCUGACAGACAGCCGUCAAACGCGGUCGGGUGUGUUGGCCAAGCAGACUUGCACAUGCUCGACAGGCCGGGGUCUGGGAGUGGGAGGCGUAGCGCCUAGGUGCGGGACUACCACGUCACAUCGAAUCUUACAACAUAAAUAUUUUACAAAAUAUAGAAUCUUACGACACAUGCAUUAAGCAUUAAAUAUAAAUAAAAAAGUAACUAAUUACACAGUUUGCAUGAAAUUUGCGAGGCGAAUCUUUUGGACCUAGUUAGUCUAUAAUUGGAUAAUAUUUGUCAAAUACAAAUGAAAAUGUUACUGUUCACAUUUUAUAAAAAAAAUUUGCAAGUAAACAAGACCUUGGCCACACACGUCGUCGAACGCCAAGCAGCACGUACUGUGUCAUCGCCUCGAUCGAGGAAUUGGGACUUCACCUAGGCGAUGUGUGUCCGGCUCAAGUCCACCAUGAAGGCCUAAAGUAAGCAUACAGUAUAUAGGUCUCAUUUUCAUGUUCCAUUAUUCCAUAUCAACAAGUCAAGGUUCGUUGUAUCAGAUUGGUUUCAAUAUUAGGUGUGCACGAUCACCUAUAAGGCAGUCACCCAAAAUUUUGAUGCAUGCAUGCAACUAAACAUGAUCUCGUCUUGUACUGGGCCAAACAACAAAGAGAACCAAACACGACCACCUACGGCCUGGCCCUGUUCGGUUCUAAUGGAUUUCACCAGAAAUUAUUCCAUUUAAUCAAUGCUUAUAUAAAUUUGCAAAGUAAUCCCGGUAGGAUUCAUUUCAGGCAAUGAUUUCUUACCGAACAAACGAGAGCUCAACCUGACUUCUUUGAUCCUGAACAACCUGGCCAUUCAGGACCGAGCUCAGCUUGGUUUGCAAUUGCAACCAAUCACGCCCUAUAUGCUCCCUCCCUAAUCCCGCCGGCACAUCUCCCCACCCCUCAGGCCCGAGGCUUGAUUUGCCAUAGAUUAUUAAUCUCAAUGAUUAGAUGUUUCGUGUACACGCAGAAAAACCAAAGAAUGUGCGAACAACCAGCUCAAAAAAGCUAAGUAAUGGCUGACAAAACUGUUCUUUAUUGUCUCACUCUACCAAUGUCAUAUUAGCUAGGCCAAGACCCAAUGCAAGACCUUCCACUGAAACUGAUAAUCUGCAGGUAAACAACACGGACAUCUAUAUAUAUAUCCGAAUAGUUCAUUGCUAUCUACCUCCAUAAAUAGUAAGUCGACUUCUCUUUCUCUCUGGCAUAACUGGACAUUUUCAAAACAAUAACCGAAAGAGUUCCAUAGUUGGACGUUUGAGCAAAAGGUUCAGAUUGCUUUGCAUCAUGGAGGAACGUGUUUGCUUUGCUCUCGCUGGAGAGACAAGUUCAGAGUAGUGAACUUUCAACAUUUUAGCAGCGUAUGUGACCUCUAAAUAAAAAAUAUACUCAAAGGCUCAAUCCCUAAUGCACCUUAGCCUUUUGGUUUCCAUUGUCACAAGCCUAACAAGUGAGGAUCCAGGCACGAAGCAUUUGUCCUUCAAUUAAAUCCAUCUGUCCUAAAUCGAAUCAGUUUCUAAAUUUGUCCUAGGUCAAACUAUUUUAAAUUUGAAUCAACUUUACAAAGAGCAUAAAUGUUUGUAGAUGACACACUAUCCUAUAAAAUUGGUUAAAUUCAGGAUAGAUGUCAAUUUAUUUGGGGGAUGGUUAGGCUUGAGCCUUGCUUAUUUUAGGCUCAAAACAAGAGAAAUUUUCAUUUUCAUUUGGUUGGGGUGCACCAAGCUCUGCCAAUAGUGCAACAGCUGAGCAACGCUUGAGGAACUUAGUGGCAAGCCACUAUUAUAGUCUCUCCCCACAAAAAAUAAAUUUAAUAUCAAAAUAGACACAUGGUCCGUAUAUCAGAUAUUAAACUGAUAAGAACAGAUACUACACUUGAUCUUAGCCAAAAGGCCGAGAAAGGUAUGAAUUGCACUAAACCCGGAGGUCUCAGUUUUAUACCCUUUUCUCCGUCUCUGCUCGCUCAAAGCUGCCCAGGUGGGACUAAACUGAAGGUUAAGCACGGCUUAGUGCAGCGCAAAUAAUGCGGUGCGUUGGUUGAUUGGGCCAUUUGGGCUCGUAAUUUACCAUCCGAACGUGUCUGUUGCCACCGCAAUUACUAGUUGGGCCCAAAUUUAGGCCCACGCGGAGAACAAACUGUACUAUGCGUCUCCCUCGACGGCCCAAGUGAGGCCUCGGGCCUCCAACACACCAGAUUUUGUGUGGGUCCCACCUGCCGUGGACACCAACCACAGCACGAAUCUCACAGCCUCGUGUCGUCUCCUUUCCUUCCCACCUCCAGCCACCGCCGCAAGGAAGAACCCCUUCUCAUGGCGGCGGCGACGGCUUCGACGGCCGGGGAGGGAGGAGUAGGAGGAGACAACAGCGCGGGUGCCCUGUUGCGCAUCUUCGUGGGCGGGCUUGCGGAGAGCGUGGGCGCGGCCGACCUAGAGGCCCUGUUCGCCUCCGCCGGGCGCGUUGCCGGCGUCGAGUUCGUGCGCACAAACGGACGCAGCUUCGCCUACGUCGACUUCCACUGCCCCAACGAUAAGGCCCUCGCCAAGCUCUUCUCCACCGUACUCACCCCCCCUCCCCAGUACCCUCUUACCUUUCUAUAUUUCGGCUGCUCCUAUGUUCAGAUGAAUGCACAUUUUCUUUAGCAAAAAAUUAGACAUGUUCAGCAGAGAAUAGAUAGUCGGAGUUUUUGGUGUCUGCUACCUGUUUGUUGCUCUGAGGCUGUCUGAGGCUUAUGACAUUUUGUGUGCAGUACAAUGGGUGCAAAUGGAAAGGAGGGAAGCUUAGGCUGGAGAAGGCCAAAGAGCACUACCUCACUCGCCUUAAACGAGAAUGGGAGGAGGAUGCGGCUGCAGCAGCGUCAAAGGAAGCUGCGCUGAAAGAUAAUGCAGAGAACCAGAAGCCGAAACUAGAAAAGGCUGCCUUGGAGGGCAUGAAGAUUAACAUCUACUUCCCAAAGCUGAGGAAGGUGAGCAGUUGUUUGUGUCGUAUGCUAGGUUUGAUCCACUGUGUCAGUUAUUUAGUCAGUACCCAAGGUGAGCAGUAUGGCUUGAUAUUCGAAUUGCUCACUUGCACUAAGUUUUCUAUGUCGCAUUUGAUUGUUGAGUAGUGCUUCUAGUUAUACACUCUUCCAAGAAGUGGAAAAACACAGAUGUUAGAUUACACAGACAGUCUUGUUUGCAAUUUCAUAUUAACACCAGGUUAUCGUACCUGUAUCGUUUUGUAGGGUGUGAAUUGAUUCUAUAGCACUGCUCUUUUCCUUCUUCAAAUGAGUGAAAAUAUAGGCAGGUCUAAAAAGGUGAAAAUAGUAACAAAAAGCAUUAGUUGCCGAAAUCUAAAGAAAUGUUAUGAUUGCAUUGUGCAAUACAUAGGUCAAGAUGGAGGCCUGGAGGGCAUGCAUUUUCUAUUUAAAUGGUUGGUUAUUUAGUAUGCCAAAACGAAUUAGGCUUGAUUUCUCUUUAAUCAGUUAUGUGCUUUUACAGAUGAAAGCUUUGCCACUGAAAGGCACAGGAAAGCAUAAAUACAGUUUCCGACAUAUUGAAGUUCCUUCUUAUCCAAUUCAUUUUUGUGACUGUGAGGAGCACUGUGGACCUCCUGAGGCAGCUAAUGAUGAAUAUGCUUCUGUUCUUAAUGCUGCUGCAUAUGAGAAGGAACGUAACAUUAUGAAUUCUGUGAUGAACAAGCUUUUUGAGAAGGAAAAUGAACAUCUUGAUUCAUGUGAAGUGGGGAAAUUUGAUGGUCAUACUGAUACCAUUGAACCCUCCAAUGCUGUGAGUGACAUGCAAAUUGAAGAAACGGGAGAGGGUCCAAAGGAGGAUUUGGAUAACCUGCCAAUGGAAGAGACAGAAGAGUCUUCAGACGAAGAUUUGGAUGAUGACCUUGUGAUUAACAUUGCUCCCCGCAAGUCCAAUAAAUCAGCAGUUGGAGCGAACAUGGAAAAGCAGGAAGUGAAUAAGGUAAGCAUAUUAUAAGUACUUAUUGAGCAAUUUGCACAUGGUUUCCAAAUCUAUGAGCAAUUAUAUGCAUAUAAUCAUGAUCGUCAUAAUUUCAUUUAUAUGCAGGACUCACAGUUACAAAAGCGUCCAAGGAUUGAAGAGCCUUCCUUGCCGAAAAAGAGGCAGAAAUCUGAAGCCUCAUCUGAACCUAUAAAAAGGAAUGGAGAACAUGUUUCAGACACUAGAACCACAGGCAAGACUUUGCCUCUAAAAUCAGAAGCCAGCCAAAAUGAACAAAAAACUCUGGGUUUGAAAGGAAAAGGAACAUAUGAGUUCUCUUCAGCACUCCCCAAAGAUAAAAGCUUCACAGGUUCUCAAGGCAUUAUGGCUCUAGCAAGUUCUUCUACCAAAAAUGAAAGUGCACAAAAUAUUGGUUCUACUGAACCUAGAAAAGGUUAUUCAUGGACUCAGAAAUCAGCCUGGAGAGAUCUUGUAGGUGGCAUGGGGAGCACAUCUUUCAGCAUAUCACAGGUGUUGCCGAACAACAAUCCAGCACCAGCAUUACAUUUAAAUGUUACUGAAAGUGAGAGAUCUUCAAAAUCCUUGGAAGCUACAACACAGCUCUCAUCUGAGCAGAGGUUGCCGAGUUCCAUGGGAAUGCUGUCUACUGGUACUACAGAUGAGUCAACAGACCAUGCCAUUGGUGGUGAACCUAAGGAGAGCAAUAAGCCACAAAAAGUUCGGGUGGUCCCAAAGAUCACCAUUAGUGAAGUCUGCCCUUUCAUGAGAAACACAGAGUCACAAAAGCAAUGGUCAAAGGCAAAGAAAGUUAUAACUGGGUUCACGAAGAAGAGAAACGAGAGCAGUGCCGGAAAGGGGAAGCCAUCGAAUAAGCAAUAAAACUGUUGUUUUCUGGGCUGUAACUCAUAGAUCAACAUUUCAAUACUAUCAGAAUCAUGAUCGUAGCUGUUGUAUUAAGAUGACUAUUACAUACCAAUGGCGUUUCUUUUUGUAUAAGAGCAAUCAAAAUGUCUUAUUUCUGCGUGUUGUGUACACUUUAUUGCAACACGAUGGACCCCUAGACUCGAGGAUUAUUAUUUUUUUGUGAUAUGAUCGAUAUAAUUCUGCUAAAUGCAGUGUCCUAGGCACCACCGCAUUGGUUCCGUGUUAGGGUUUGGGUUUUUUCGGUACAGCUUAUAAGCUGUUUAUGACUAAAAUAAGCUGAAACUUGAGCCCAAACGACAUAUUGAGUCAAAAAUAAGAAAAAAAAAGGCCAGAAUAAGCUGAAAUUAGAAGCUAAACGAUGUACUUCUUUUCAGGCCGUGCUCCCGCAGUCCUAUUAAACAGGGUCGAAGGGCUGCUUUGUAAAGGUAGUUACACUGGGCGAUAAUUUCUCGCGGGAUCAUGCUGGGGACCGUUAAAACUACCAUCUCUCUCUCAACCACAAGCUGAGUAGAUGAAAUGCGGUGUACAUUUCUGACCUCUAGUUAUGGACGUGAUCUCUCGGCCUCCCAUUCAUUCAUCCCAUGAUACUGCAGUUUAAUUCCGAUUAAAUUCUAGAUCUGCAUUUCAAAGAGGUAAUCAUUCUAUUUUUCACCAUGAAUAAAGAGAUUAUUAAGUAAUUAUAUAUAUUAUUCGUACUAAAGUCUUUGUUCUAAUUGGGUUUCAAUCUUUGGAGCAGGAGAUGGCGACGGACAGUGCCGAUUCCCAGAGGCUCUUGCUUGGGCGUCAAACUCAGGUUCUAAUGAUGUGCAUCUUUGUGUAAAUUCUUUGAUCGCAAUCAUGUCAUCAUCGUGUUGGCCCCAUUGCUUGCAUUAUCACUGAGUGCCUGAUAAGCGAUUAAUACAAUUUCAAUAUUGCAUCAUUAGUCAUAUAUAUUUUUCUGAACCUGAAUAUUACAGGAGAUCAUAGAUCUGAAUAAUGAAUUGUUUUUUCUUGGGACCUUUUUUUCUUUCUUGGCAUAACUGGCCUUAUAUAUGCCCUUAUGGGCUAUGACCUUAUAAAAAAUUGACUCAUGUAAAAUUUCACCAAGUUCUCCAAAGGAAUUAUAAUCAAACCGCAAAAUUUAAGUGAGCCCUAAUCAUAUACAUUAGCCGUACCGGUGCCAACCUGUGCAUUCAUCAUGGAGUUCCAUUUGAAUAAGUCAUUUUUUUAUAUCUCCACACUUAUUGACUAGAUUUAUCUCCAUUGGUUUUCCUAUAGAACAGGCUGAUGGAGCAGAUGAGUUCGAGGACAACAAUCUUGCUGCACCAGAACCUUUAUCCCACAAUACUGGAGCAAGUUUCCAAAGGAAUCCAAGAUCUACAAAUUCGGGUGUAUUCGGAAGCCUGAAGAUUGUGCUGCUGAAAUCUAAGCUCAAUUUGCUUAUACCAUGUGGAUUCUUGGCAAUCCUGAUGGAUUAUCUUAGCCAAAAUAAGGUUAUUUUCAUACACAAUUCUUCUUUUUCUAUUACUUGUACUACUUCGGUACUUGUACUUUUGCUUUUCUUGCCUGUGGUCUUUUACUGAUUUUGUUACUUUGUUUAUCUGAAGGCCUGGGUAUUUCCUCUGAGCCUGUUGGGUAUCAUUCCUUUGGCUGAGCGACUGGGUUUUGCAACCGAGUAAUCUGUUCUCAUAAUUUUCCCUCAUACUUGGUGUAAUCUUCUUGGUUAAGUUUGACUAUUACUUCUUGAUGCAGGCAGCUAGGACUCUUCACUGGCCGAACAGGUCUCAUUCAGUUCCUCUUCUUUUGAAGAAUUCUGAACUGAAUUGCAUUGCAUUUGCAAACUUUGGCUGACUGUGACCACUUCUCAUCGCAGCUGGGGGCCUCCUAAAUGCUACAUUUGGCAAUGCCACCGAGCUGGUCAUAUCAAUUCAUGCACUCCGGAGCGGAAAGCUACGGGUGGUUCAGCAAUCUCUGCUCGGAUCAAUCCUGUCAAACACGCUGCUGGUUCUUGGAUGUGCGUUCUUUGGUGGGGGACUCACCUGCGGUAAAUCCGAGCAGAUUUUCAGAAAGGUGCCCGUCGUCCUUAUCAGUUGGCAGGUUUACAUGGUACAGAUAGAUACUGAUCCGUUGUUGCAUUGACAGGAAGAUGCAGUGCUGAACUCUGGGCUGCUCUUGAUGGCUGUGAUGGGGCUGGUCUCUCCUGCUAUGCUGUACUAUACUCACACCGAGGUUAACUUGGGCAAGUCAGCACUGGCAUUGUCAAGGUUCAGCAGCUGCAUAAUGCUUUUUGCUUAUGCCGCUUUCAUUUUCUUCGAGCUGUCGAACAGUCGCCGCCGAGACGAAUCUAGUGAGGCAAGAAGGAUGAGUUCAUUAUCUUAAAUUCACUGUUUUAUUGUUAUUGAUCCCUUUGCAAGUUUCUGAGGUGCUUGUCUGCAUUUGUACCGCCAGGGAGGAGGUGGGGAUCAAGGGGACGACGAUUGCGAAUACGCGUUUCCUGAAAUUUCCAAGUGGGAAGCCAUUGCUUGGCUUGCAAUUUUUACUGCUUGGAUCUCAGUUUUCUCUGACUUUUUAGUUGAAGCAAUCGAGGUAUUAUAUCUCACUGAUCUGAUGGAUGGUUUCUUUUUUCCACUUAUUUUGUUGGUCACAAUUUUAGCAGACACAUUUGCAUAAUGCUGCAGCUGCGUAAUGCUGUUUGCUUAUGGCUGACACUGCAAUCUGUUUGCAGGGGGCUUCCAAGGCUUGGAAAAUACCAGUUGCGUUCAUCAGUACUGUUUUGCUUCCGAUUGUAGGGAAUGCUGCAGAACAUGCUAGUGCUGUUAUGUUUGCAAUGAAAGACAAAUUAGUAAGCAGUAGCUUGACAUUGUUAAUAACUUUAAUGACUUUUUUUACUGUAAUUUGUGAGACUCUUUUAUAGGACCUUUCCCUUGGAGUCGCCAUCGGGUCUUCGACGCAGAUAUCCAUGUUUGUGGUGGGUUGUUCAACUAUGUGCUGCUUACUACCAUUCAUCUAAAUCAUUUAGAAGUAGAUAGGGCUGUGCUUCACCUGUCAUUGUUUAGCUAUUAGUUCUCAAGUGCUGCUAAUAAAGGACCUAAUCAUCUUGAAUUUUUAGAUACCAUUUAGUGUAGUGGCAGGAUGGAUGAUGGGCCAGCCAAUGGACUUGAAUUUCCAUCUGUUUGAAACCGCCAGCCUCUUGAUAACCGUACUGGUUGUAGCACUUCUGUUGCAGGUACUGAAAUAAUACAAACACAGUUGAGGAACACAGUGCUCCACUCUUGCAAGAUUUGUUUGUUUCAAUUUUCUUUUGCUAACAUUAUAGGAUGGGACUUCGAAUUGUUUCAAAGGGCUGAUGCUAAUUCUCUGCUACCUGAUAGUAGCUGCCAGUUUUUAUGUAUAUGCUGAUCCAAAUAUUGAUGGUAGCUUUCUCUCCUAUCUAAAUUGAUAUUUCUGCAACACAUAAGCUAUGCACUUAUAUCUUUUUCUUAAAUCUCUAAUUAAAAGGCCAUAUCUGAAGUGAGAAAGAUCAACAACACGAUGAAUUUUGUAUAAUGUCCAUUGGAAAUUCUGUGUUGCAGGUGUUUAGCCUCUGCAAACUAGUACCUUGAUGAUGGGACUACACUUCCAGUUUUCUGAAGAUACCUCUUCGAAGAGGACAGGGGGCUCCUGCGGUUCACUUAAGAAGAAAAUAAUUAACUGACCACCUCAGUGUUCCUCACAUGAAGAGGUCAUUCAAGCACACCCACUGUUGUCGAUAUGCAGAAGAUUAUACAGGAAGUUCUACAUAAAUCUCCAGUUUGUGUAGGCAACAGUUUUGUUCUUAUGGUACACGCAGAACUUGUAGAAAUCAGAAUCAAUAUUUUUUCUUUAUGAACAGCUGUCGUGAUUUGCAGGCAGUAAUAAAUUUAGUGACACAUGAAACAGAUCAAUGGGCCUCCUUUUUUUUGUUUCAUUUCCAUCUGAAAAUUAAUCAUAUACAGUUAACUCUUUCAAGUACUAAGGGAUUAUGAUACAAGAGAGAAGCAUCUAGGCAGAAGUGCUAAUAUUCUACAAGGUUAGAGAAGGAAAGUGCUUGGCGAGUCAACAUUAUUUUUUUGAAAGUAGGCGAGUCAACAUAUUCAAUUGUUCAUAACGGCUAUGAACAUAGUUGCUCCUUCUCAAGAUCAACCUGAGGCUUUGCUUUUUUCUUUUUGGUUAUUCACUUAUGACUUGUGAGUCAUUCCAUGUCAGUAUCUGUUUUUUUUUAAUUUGGCAAUGGAGCUGAAAAAGUGUCCGCUUGCGUCUUGGGUUUCUUUUCCUCUUUAGAUUCAGAAAGCUCUCUUUCUAUUGAACUUGUCAUAGCUGGUAAUGAAUUACUUGCCUUCUGUUGUUCUAAUAUCUUCUGCAAAUACUUUGCAUGUUCUUCUAUGCGUACCUGUAGCUGCCUUUGCACCUGAUGAGGAAGAAUAAAAUUUGUUUGAUUGCUAGCCAUGUAAAUCCGAAAUUUAUACAGGCCUAGAAGAUAAUUGUAUUAUACAGUAUCAGCUCAAAUUAUACAUCCACCACUGGACUAAAAAAUCACUGAGCUAGGGUACUUACCUCUAAUUGUUCAUGAAGUUGUUUCUGAACCUCCAUUUGCAUCCGAAGAGCUUCUGCUAGUUGUAAACUCCUGAGAAACGUAAAAAGAGAUGUGAAUUUAAAUGGUUUUAAAUUGUUCAUUCACACUUUAAUGUGUUUGUACUAGGGGUGGGGGUGGGAUGCUUACUUCUUUCUGCCAGCAUUGUUUCCUGGUAUUUCUGAUUUAGAUAUCUUGUCUUCUGAAGAGAACUUCAUGUCUUCAUUGAGCAUGCAAAAGAACCAAUAAGUUCAUCAGGGUAAAUUUUCAACACAAAGCAAUUACCAGCACUUAAAGACACAGGCAUGAGAAAUUGCAACUUAAGUUUCUAAAAUCUACCUUCUUUUGUCUCUGGAAGAUGCUUCGCAAAACGGUAUUUCUGCAUUUCCGGACCAAAUGAACCAGUAGUACAUCAUAAAUGAUGGCUGUUUACAGGAGAAAGUGACUAUGCACGGGAGGAAAUUACACGCAAGUACCUGCAAAUGGCUCUUCACAUGAUAGAUGGUCAAGCCUUCUACCUUCACAAGCUUCAACACACCCUUAGGAGUUGCCUCUACAAGAUUUAAACAAUCACUUGAAUAUCAAAAACUGUGAAUUUAUUUAAAUUUAACUAGAAAGAAGGAUCACCCUACUUUCUGGCCCUCCAAGCUUGUUGACAGACUUUACAAAAAGCUCAUGGAGCUCCAGUGUCCAUCUCAGUCUUGGCUUGUUACAUGAUGCAGCUCGAGAUGAACUCAGCUGAACUUUAACAGGAGAUCCUGUCCUCUGGAGGUCGUCUUGGUCAGAGCAAGACAACACCGGACAAGAAGAGGUUUGUGGCGGUCUGUCAUAUAUAUCCUGAUUGAUCAAGAACAAGGUAUAGGGAAGGGACUAGUUAGUGUCACGACACAAUUUAGUUAUGAUAGAAAAAGACUCAUCAUCACAAGUGAGAGAAAAGGAAGCCUUUAAUUUUCAAGUGUUUAAUAUGGUAACUGAUGGAAUGGAACUAUGGGCUCACAUCUAAUCGAGGGCUCUCUUCGUUGUCGGUGAUGGCGAUUCCGAGCUGUUCAGACAAGAACUGAAACUCCAUCUGCUCUCUGAAAGCCAUGCCGUUGCUUUCUCCAUGGAAACUGCCUCCUGAAGCAUCUCCAGAAAGGUUAAGAAAAUCCUUGAGAUCAGCUGCAGGUUCAGCCUCACUUUGACCACCAUUGUUGAGGUCAGUACCAAAGAGCAGCGAUGAAGAGCUGGAUGACUGACCACCUGAUGUUUGCUGAUGCUCACUUUUAGGAGGAUGGGGCAGGAAAGGCAGAGCGUCUGCUUGCCGGCAUGACUUGGAAUUCGUCGACGACGACGAGUACAUACUUGUGCAGAAUGUGGAAGAACUGGAUGGCGAUACCAGAUCCUUGGAUAGUAAUCCAGCUUGAGAUACGCGAGAGACUGGGGUUCCGUUGGUGGAGUCAGGACUGCAUUUCUGAAGGUCAAAUGGAAGGAUCUUUGAGGAUUGGGAAGCAGCACAUGAUGAUGAUGGCAGUAGAUCAUGUGGUGCACUGAGCAGCUGGUGAGCUGAAGGCUGGGGAGCAGUGCGUGUGUGAGCCAUUCUGCCAGGGCUAGUGAAUUGCUUAACAGCCUUCAGAUUCAGACUAUUGGUCUCUUUGGUCAUUCACCACUAAACCAGACUUGCUUGCUCCAAGCCUGCAUAGUGCAUACCAGAGUAAGAACAUGUAGAUACCAAAAAAAUGAAGUCCGGAAAUAUGGAUGCACAAGACUAAUCUUGUCAAAUAGUCUAUCAGAAGAGCCAAAAACUCAAUAGUAACCGGCAGCGCUUAGUUCACCCCAAAAUUCAAAAUUUUUUCAAGAUUCUCCGUCACUAUAAAGCUUGUGGCACAUGCAUGGAACACUAAAUAUAGACAAAAACAAAAUUUAAUUGCACAGUGUAAUUUACGAGACGAAUCUUUUGAGCCUAGUUAGUCUAUAGUUGGACAAUAAUUGUCAAAUACAAAAGAAAGUGCUAUAGUGUCAAAAUCCAAAAACUUUUCACAACUAAACAAGGUCUGGAUAAAAGAAGAGCUGCAAAUAUGAUUUGGACCCUUCAAAAGUAAUGGCCUUUCAGUGGAUGUAACUGCAGCCUGUUCUUGAAUAUCAGAGCAGCAAUGUCUUAACAGCAGAAGAAGAAAAAAAUCUCAUAGCAGACUUGUGAUUAGAAGCGAGCCACAUCACAUGGAGGAAACACAAAACGAAAGGGGAAAAAACAAUAUAAAGCCCAUGCAGCAGAAUUAUGAUGGUUCCAACAAGGCUAGAAAAAAAUUCAGAUGGUUCCAGACGUCACUAAAGUUUUAUUUGACGAGAUAUGAAGGAGAAACAACCCAAACACAAUUUGUGGAGGAAAAUGAACAACAAAAACAAGAACACGACUAAAAGAGUCUGGGACUGCAGCUAACUGUGAGGAGAAACCAGGGCCUUGUUUAGUUCCUCCUCAAAAUCCAAAACUUUUCAAGAUUUUUUAUCACAUCGAAUCUUUGGACACAUGUAUAGAACAUUAAAUGUAGGCGAAAACAAAAACUAAUUACACAGUUUGCCUGUAAUUUGUGAGAUGAAUCUUUUGAGUCUAGUUAGUCUAUAAUUGAAUAAUAUUUAUCAUAUACAAACGAAAGUGCUACAGUGCCUAUUUUCCAAAAAAAAAUGGAACUAAACAACCCAUUCAUGGAAGGAAAAAUGCUGAGGGAAGAUCCAAACCCCUUACCUGAAAAUGAAGAACUCUCAAGAUGAAGAGUGCUGGAGCGUGAGAGAUUCAGAAGCAAGGAGUUGCGUAUCCUCUCUCCCUCCUAUCCAUUCCAGUCUCUCUCUCUCUCUCUCUCUCUCUCUCUCUCUGGCUUUUAACUAGUCUACUCUUGUGGGCUUGUGGCACAUGAUUGGUGUGGUGGCCUGCAAGCACUACUAGUCAACAUCUGCCUCUCUGUUAAUAAAUUGCAGUUGCUUUUCAUUUGCUUAUGCAGCAGUUAUGCUAUGUAUUUUGUCUCUACUUGCUUCUAAUUCUGGGAACACAGCAUGGCAUCUCCCAAAAUAACAAGCAAGGCUCACCAACCAACCAUUCGAGCAGUUUUGCUCUUAUUAUUACAGGUACGAAGUUUUCUCAUAUGUUUGGCUGCCACACGUAUGUAUUUCCCUUUCGCUUAAGCUAACUCGUACAACACCGUCUACAUUUGACAGUCAAAAAAACACCGUCUACAUUUGGUUAACCUUAAUCAUACCAGAACUUACAAAAAUUGGCCUUUUUUUCCAAAUCAAACACGCAUACGUUGAUGGAAGGAAGGAUUACUAGUAUAGUAGGACUAGGAUUGGUCUCACCUUCGCUUGGCUGAAACUGUUCGCUGAUUUAUUACGAAAGAAAUAUACUGUUAACUGCUGAAUAACUAACAGAUUUGACAGAUAAGCUCAAGCGAACAGAGUGAGAAAAAUACAUGAAACCUAUUGGCAUGAUAUAGUGCAUAGCCAUGAAUUAGGCGAAGAAGAAAUUAGGUGAAAGCAAAUGAGCCGUCACCAGUUGACCAACGAGAUGCAGUGAUGCAGAUUAUUCAUCAAAAGCCAUGUAGUGCGUAACAGGUGAGUGUUAGUCUGCAUAUGCACUCUGUCUAUCAUAAAAGAACUGCACAUCCUCACUUUUUAAGAAGUCAUUUAAAAAUAACCAAAUAUACAUAUAAAAAUAGUACUUCUUGGAAUGGUCAAACUUGAGAUGGAGGAAGUACUAUUUUUUCAAACUUCAGAUAUACUAUAAAGUCAUUCCAAGAAUCUUAGAGAGUCAACGUAUCUAAAGUUUGACCAAAUUUAUAUGAUAGGAUAAUAACAUUUAUGAUAUCAACUAAGUAUUAUUAGGUUCUUCAUUAAUUAUAUUUUUAUAGUAUAUCUAUUUGAUGCCACAAAACUUUGUAAUUUUUUCUAUAAUUUUGGUCAAACUUGAGAUGAUUUGACUCUCCAAGAUUCUUGGAAUGACUUACAAUUUGAGAUAGAGGGGUAGUAAUAUUUAUAAUACAUAAUAAAUAUUAUUAGAUUUAGGUGUAUUUUCUAUACUCCCGGGAGUAGUUACUCUCAUCUUUAAUAAACCACAUUAUGUAUGUGUGCAUACUAAUUUAUCCGUUUGAAUAUGUUUAUAUACUUAUUUUAAGAUACUUCAAAUCUUAGUACAUGGAAUUUUUCCAAAAGAGCCCAUACUUUUAAAUAUAUUAUUUAGAUACACUGCAGUGCUAUAUAAGAUAAGUAUGAUUAUAUGUAUACUUGCAUACUUGCAAUAGAUACUACCCUAGAUGGUUUAGUAUGAUCAUAUAGUACAUCUACAUACCCUUCGCCGGCCAUAUAUGCCCUAGAUGUAGAGAUAUAUAUAUAGGAGUAACUAUUCCCUAGAAGUAGGGAAUAAUUUCCCACUAGAUUAAUAAUAGAAUAUCAUUUCAAAAAAAGAUUAAUAAUAGAAUAUAUUUUCAUAAUAAACUUAUUAUGAGAUACAUAGAAAUCAAGUUAAAUUUUAAAAAGUGUGACUCGGAAAUAAGAUUUGCAAUUAUUUUGGCCAGAGGGAGUAGCAACAUAAGCACGUUGCUUAGCUAAACUUAGGGAUUAACGAGUGCACAAGCAAUCAACUGAGACAUUGGUGUCUACUGAUGAAUCUUGGCAGCAGCAUCUUGUGCUGUGAGAGGACACUGGCCAGUAGCAAGAUGUGACCGGGUCAACAUCUAGUUAAGAGUUAAGAUGCAAGAUGUUCUCUCUGUUUCUUUUUAGUUGAGUUAGUGCCUAGUUAAUCGUUAGGUCUAGAUCAAAUGGCAUGACAAUGGAUUACUUAGAGAUUUACAUAUAUAGUUGGUGUCGUCUCUAUAGUGGUGUACACUGAUAUUUGGUAUCCCUGUUCUGAUUCUACGACAAAAGCAUGUUUAAGAAAACUAAAUUUCGAGAGCCUAUUUGAAAUGUGCAAACGUGAAAAAUGCAUGUACAAGUGGAAACUAUAUAGACGAUUGCCAUUUCUUAUACCAUUAAUAAGUGGGACGUGCAAAUGUAAAAAAUGCAUUUAUAAAUUUAUAAUGGUGGUAAAUGACCGAGACAACUCACAAGUGACAAUUUGUUUUCUGUUUCUUUUAAUAAAUUCAGUAGCCUAUUUCUUAAAAAAACUCACAAGUGACAACUCUCAACUUGUCCCAGCCCCACUUGAGUAGCUGCUCGUCGUCCUAGGACUGGCCGGUGCAGAUCGACUAGACGACGGAGCUGGAGCAGUCAACUUCUGCCCCAAGCAUUCCCAAGCUUGUUUCCCCAUAAACAAGGACCGUAGGUCCAUACUCCGUAGACCAUUAUCCACACUGGCGAAACCAGAGGGCUAGCAGGGCCAGUGCCCCCCCCCCCAGCCUAAUAAUUAAUUUAAAUAUCUAUAUAGUAUUGAUAUUUAUAGUACAAAAAAUGUUAAUUUUACCUAUUUUUUUUGUUAAAAUAUGAUUAUUUUGGUAUGAAAUAGUGUAACUUUUUCUAAAAAGUUCUUUAAACAUAUACUUAUGUAUAUUUUAUACACUAAAAAAUAUAAUCAUAUUUGUUCGGUCCCCCUUAAUCAAAAUCGCUGGUUCCGCCACUAAUUACCCAUACCACACUUAAGAAUAUUUGGAACGUUGAAACCAAAUCGUUAUACCCUCUCUUUUAAAACUAGUAUUUAGAACUCGAAACUAAUUAUUUUUAUCAUAAAUUUCACAAAACUUAAAACAAGGACAAUAUAAGUGUUCUAGUAUUUAGUUGAACACUUAACGAGGUCUUAGAUGUACUAAAACUGACAUGUACAUAAAUGAUUUUAUACAAUAAUUUAGCAUAUAGAUGGUGUUGGUGUUAGUCAUUACAAGACCGGUAACAAACAAAAAAAUUUAUGCUACUUGAUGUCACACCACUAUUAUUAAACCGACAUCUACAUCGAGCAUUCAUCAUUUAGGAAAUCACUUUUGACAACCAUGUAACUUGUUUACAUGAUUUAGUAAAAAAAUAUGAGGGGCUAAUGAUUAUGAGCGUGGAUGAUAAGGCAAUUGACUGAGGUUGCCUUGCCUGUCCAAAUUCUCCAUCCACUAAACUAGAUAAGCACUUCCUUUGGAAAACUUAUCACUAGUAUAGUUGAGCACUCAUGUUGAAAUCAAAAGUUGGGUGUGCCCAAAUCAGUAACUGCCAAGUCCAAGAAACAGGUGUCUGCCCCUCAUGAGAUCCCUAGCCAAGUAAAUAUGCUCACCAUAAAGCAGGUAACCCAUUUUCUAGCCAAUCAUGUCAGCAGGAUGGUGAGUUAGGGCAUAGGACAGUCCAAAAAUGUCACUCAACAGCUAUGAAUGAAUGGGGAAAUUGCUAGGAUUUGGAAGACUGGGGGCAUGUGUAUCCUCGUCUCUCUUUCACUCUGUGCAAGGUUGAUGGAAAGCUGUGAGAAAAAUUGAGGCGAUGAAAUGGUUAUAAUUUGUGAUUGCAGGGCUUGUGGCUGAGGUGAAGCACAUGCAUGAAAAGAGGAUAAACCCAAGGCAUCCCGAAUUUGUUGGAGACAAGGCAUCCAAUUCCAACUUGGGCUCUGCAUGAUUGCUACCUCCACCAGAUGAGUCCACAUCUCAGUAAAGUUCUAAGUUUAAAUUCCCCCCUUUUUUACUGAUUCAGAUCAUGAUUCGGGCAUCAACGUUCCGAAUAAAUCUAAAUAUAUUCAUAGCAUCCAUGCAUAAAUAUAUUAAAUUUCUUUACUAUCAUAUGCCGAAAAUGAGGAGGAUCAAGAGAUGGUUUAGACAGUUCGUACGUGCUCAUCUCAGCAAGUGCAUAACAUAACAUGAAACACAUACAGUUCCAGUCAUCCAAAGACGACUUCAGAACGUGGCGACACCACAAGACGUCAACACCUCAAUUUGAUAUGUUUUACUCAAAUCUAGCACGGCAGCGCCAAGUAACUUACCUAGCACUGCCUAUUCUUGCUAAUAUACUUGCUAUCUACCUUUGAGCUCUUCUUCAAACACGCGCAUUUUCUCUUGAAUCGACGCCAGAAAGGUCUUGAGAUCCUUGCAAAUCCGUGUUUUGUCUUCAGAUGCGAGGCCCUUGUCAUCACUGAACCUUACUUGUACCUGAAACCGGAGGCAGAAAAGAAAUUUGCCAUGUAUGUUAUGCCAUCCAGUAUUAUGUUGGAUACAGUGGUACUGACAUCUCAAUACAUAAUAAUGGCAGCUUUACCUCCAAGUCAUCAAUCUCACCAAAUGAAAACUCAGGAAUGUCUAAAUGUCCUUUGAUCUUCUUGUUUUCUUCUUUAAUUAACCAUUCACCUGAUAAGCGCUACAAUGAGUCACUGCAGUAAUAACAAUAAUACAAGGACCAAAGGCAACGGUGUUGACUGAGUGAUAUGAUGUGACGUCUACCUUUAAAUCUCAAGCUUAGUUCAUAAUUAUAUCCUACUCUCUUCUUGUUGCGGACAGUGACCUGAAAUGCCUGCAAAGGAACCGGUGGUUUAUAUUCAGAAGUUAAAUUAUAUCACUACACAGAAUCACAGAGAUACUUCAAAGAAAAAAAAAAUGGCUAUCACAAGGCACAAUAAUAGAUUCCAUCCAAGGUAACACAGCAAAAAGUAUAGUUACUCCACUGUUAUGUGCUACCGUACCCUGAAGAAUUUUCAAUUCAAAACAUUUUGUUAAUUCAUUUAAUCGCAUUUUUGUUUUUAAGACGAUGCUCACAACUGUUGACAGAACCUUAGCAAUCAAGUUUCAAUGGAAACCGAGCAGAUCAAAGUGCAAGAUCUAAGUGAUCCUACACUGCCUGCUGUCUAAUAAUAAUAUUAUUAUUAUAUAACUAAACCCAGCACAGGUUCCCAAAACAUAAAUCAAUACAUGUUAGUCUAGAUGCUAACGCAUUAUGCUUUAGCAGCUAUCAGGUUAGACAGACAGUUUCAUACUAAAGAAGGGUGAUGUUAAGAGAAAUCAAUCGCAUCAGGUGUACAAUGGCAAGGAAGCAACAUGCAUAAUCAGACUGUUUCUUUCAAGCACAAACUGAUGACGGAAUAAUAGGAUUGAAUGAUUUAUUAAAAAUAUGCUUACAUCGCCUGAGCACUUGGACACUUCAUCAAUGGAUGCCUUCCCUGUAGGGAAGUCCAAUGAACCUAAAGAGCCCAGCAAAUCCUGUAGCACAAAGUAGCCAGCAAAUAUCAGAGAAAUUUUGACAAACAGAAACAUCAUUGUACUAGGAGUAUCAUAAACCAAGUAUUUUUGCCAAUAGCUAGUUACUUAAAUAUUCACCUUUAUCCUACCAUUGGCCCAUGAGUUGAGGUUCUUUUCCUCCCAGGUUCCAGCCUGCAAAGAGCGAAAAACACAUCAGAAAACUUGAGUAGGAAUAGCCACAAGUUUGAAGACAUGUACAAGGAGAUUUAUUUGUCUAAAGCUGCAACAUUCGGAAGAAAUGGUAUGGAUCAGCAUCUUGAGAAAAAUUAAGCAUAGACAUUUAGUCAUGACUCUGAUGAUAUGAAGUUGUUCCUACCAUUUCUUCUUAUCGACUUCAAAGAAGCAUAAGUACCAAAAACAACAGCUUAGCUUAUCAUAUUAAAAGAUAGGAGCAAUGUCAUAAGAUUAUUCAACAUGAACAUAAAUAAACCAAACUGUUGGGGUAAAAUAAAUUCAUGCAGUGUUAAAUCAUUUAUCAUUUAGAAUAAAGAAGCUCAUACCAACUAGUUUAAACAUAUCAGACAUUUUAGUUUUACCCAUUGAUUCAAAGUUACAAACCUAUUUAUUCAACAUGCAUUCCCCUAUUCAUGCACCUAUCGUCCUUUUUCUAUCUCUCACUUCCAGUUCCAGGGGCAUAAAAAUAUAAUAUUCCUCAACCUGGAUACUGUCAACCCAAUUGUUUGUGGACUGGAUAAAAUCUUCGUAAGCAGCAGGAACACUCAUUCAACCAAGAUAAGAAUCACUUCUUGCAAGUACAAGGGUGAAUGCACCCAGUAGUCCACAAGAGAAUGGAGCAGUACAUUAACACAAGGCACAUAAAAACAAAAAGCAAAUAUGCUCCACCGAUUGGAAUCCUUUUUCCCUGAAGAAUCCAAUGGUGUAACUGCGGACAAAAGGUGACUCUAAAUUUGUAUAACGGCAUCGCGCCAAGGUAACAUAUUUGGUUGCUGCUAGCCGUAGUUCCGGUGAUCAGAUGAACAAUACAUAAUGUCAAAGGAAGUUGAAAUACAGAUCAGAUCUAGCAUUCGUCAGCUUCCCCAUCAGACUCCACGCUCGGAAUGAACACUAAGGACACAAAGGAGGUCACAAAUUCGUGACCUUUUCAUGGGUGUCACAAUGCAACUACUUACACGAUUCCUUCUCCAAUCCAACAUAAGGAUGGAGAUGAUGAGAUGAGGGGCGUGGCUCACCUGAUUCCAGACGGAGCCGAGGGGCGGCGGGUUCCCGUUCCCGUUCCCGUUGGCGGUGGGGUCGAGCUUGCGCGGGACGGGGAGCGGCGCGGCGUCGCCGGUGGCCUCCCGCACCCAGUACCUGUACGACGACGCCUUCUCAGACGUCGCCGUCGCCGCCGCCGCCGCCGCCGCCGUCUCCUCCAUCUCUAUUCGUUCGCCGGCGAGUCGACGGACGGAUCGGUGCCGACGACGGCGCAGAUCUCUCGGCUAGGCGCGGGGCGGGAACGGGAUGGGGGCACGAGCUCGACGCGUCGCUUGCACUCCAAUUCUGACCGCUUUCUCGGGGGACUUGCUUCCUCUUUCUCCUUUUGUGUCCCCGUCAGGGUCAGCCAGUGGCGUGCCCGCGUGUUCCAGAUGCUUCGGGAGCCUUCCCGGCAGUUACACGCUCACUGUGAACCUUCCAGGCAACGUGUGGGCUCCACGGCUGUCCCACGCGUCAGACACAUAACACGCACGCACAGCGACGGGUGCCAUUCAGUCGCGUGGAAAACGAUCGUCAGGCUUCAAAAAUGUUUUUCUUUUUUGCAGCCUAGGGUCUGGUUCAGAUAAAAAAAACAUAUUUUGACACUAUAGCACUUUUUGUUGUAUUUAGCAAUUAUUAUUUAACUAUAGAUUAAUUAGAUUUAAAUAUUUGUCUCGCAAAUUAUAAAUAAACUAUGUAAUUAGUUAUUUUUAUCUAUAUUUAAGUAUUUAGUUUUAAAAAAAUUUACAAAAUAGACACUGUAACACUUUCAUUUGUAUUUAACAAAUAUUAUCCAAUCAUGGACUAACUAAACUUAAAAGAUUCAUAUCGCAAAUUACAGACAAAUUAUACAAUUAAUUAUUUAAUUUAUAUUUAAUGCUCUAUGUAUGUACCACAAGAUUCGAUGCGACAAAAAAUCUGAAUUUUUUUAAGAACUAAACAAGGCCUUAGUACUCCAUACAUGUGAGAUUCGAUAUGAUAGAAAAUCUUGAAAAGUUUUUAUAUUUAGAGAUGAAUUAAACAAGGCCUAAGAAAUACUAUGUGAAUGAAACAAUUACAUGUUCUGCUUUUUUUUCUUUUAGAAUAUCCGACCAUUUCCAUGUUCCAGCGAAGCAAACCAAUCUCCAGUCACAAGAACCAGAACCACACAGAUCGAAAAAGGAUGCAGACGUUUCAAAAUUUGACGAAACCUUAACAUUUGCUGCAGACGUUUCAAAAUUUGACGAAACCAGAACAUUUGCUAGUCAAGAAAUCCUACUCCCACACAACUAUCAAAAUCGACUAGGCAUCGUUGGAGGUCAAUCACCUCGAUAACAACACGUUACAGAUCCUUUGAUCUGCUCCUCCGGGCAGAAACCAGAACCAGUAGCACCCUGACAUCAUCUCAAAUAGAACUAAACACUAUCUCUCUAUUCUUUUUUCUUCUCUGUUACAACACAAAGCGAUGAUCUUGAUGACUUAUUACAGACCAACCCAGUACGAGCGGCCAUUGCUGUUGUGGACCGGCGACGGGGUCGGCGUAGUGACAGCCCACUCGUACCACACCUGCAGCAGCAAUGGGAAGAUGAGGAAGAGAUGUAGAAAUUCUAGCGUCCCAGAACCGAGACAGGCCAUGACAUAUGCUUUACCUUUGUGGGGGCACAGCAGCGCCAGAAGUGCACUUCUAUAGGAGACCCUUGGGGCACGUAGAUGGGCUUUCUCAAUGGGAAGAAGAUGGGGAACCUGACAGUGUUUCAUCGUGAAGAUACAGCUAUUGAUUGAUGGCAAGAUUUGAGAGAUUAUAUUGUUAGCUUUCAUAAGGAAAGGAUCAGUACCAGCUAAACAUGUUUGGUGUAGCGGUGUUUGGCUCGAUUCCAAGAUGAACAUCCUUAUAGAGAACGGAGUCAAAAUAGCCAGCAAAUCCUGCCAAAAUGAUGGGGUAAAACUUUGUGUUAGUGAGGGGCCAACUUUUGUAUCUAUGGUACUAGCUUGUAUGAAUAUAAUAAAAUCCAAAAAAAUGAGUAUGGUUGCAUACCGUGCACAAGGCAUGAACCCAUAUCUGGUAGCAUUUCAAAUUGCAACUUGGUGUACCUUUGGUUGCUAGCACUUGGUGAGAAAUUUGGAUGGUUGAAAGUAAAAACCUACACAUGUAGAGUAAAGGUGAUCACCAAAUUUCAUGGCAUCAAUAGUUAAUGAAAUAUGGCAACGUGUCAAACUGUGUUUUGAUCAGAACCGAUGAAGCACACACAGUAGAUCUGAUUUCUCACCUGUUGUGUAGGUGCAAGUGUCGCUAUACGGUGUAGUUUGACAACAUAUGCUGUUUCAAAAUGAGCAAUAUCUUUGUGUGCUUUAAUCUGCAGAAAUCAAGUCACUCAGGUUUCUAUAAAAAUGUCACAAGCUAUAGCUUCAAUUUGUAGACACCUACAUCGUUGUGCAGUUUUGAUGCUGUUAUUGGUUGGAUGAAGCUGGUAUAUCUGCAAAGAAACAUAAGCAGACAAUCAAAUGAUAUUUAAAAUAUUUUGACAUCAGAAAUUAAGGAAAUAUAUGUAUAAGAAAAGGUCCAGUACGAUGAAGGAAUGGAAAUCCCAUCAGGCUUCAAGAAUCGCUGAGCACCAUCAAGACACUCAGGAGAUAGUUCAUUGUCACCAAAGGACCCAAGCAAUUCACUGACCUGAUUCAUGUAGGUAUGCAAGAGGUUUUUAAAAUUAACAGGUUGGAGAGGUUUAACAUGACCAUUUCCAAAAAUGAAAUAUCACCAUACCAGAAUAUCUGCCUUUUCAGGGGCAUCCCAACACCGCAUGUCACUAGAAAUUACAGUAACCAGGCUUUCCCAACCCUCCAAUUUGAUCAAACUCUGUUUCAGCACCCAAAAUCAACAAGUAAAAUGAUUGUAUCAGCAAUCAUUGCAUUGACAAACUUUAGUAGUUUAGUACCAGCCUAAUGGACAUGAUUGAAUAAAUAAGAGACAGAACAGCCACUCAAUAACUUACAUGAAGAGUAAUAACAGCGUUAGGAUUUUUUUCAACAGCAUAUACUUUUAACUUGCGACCAGUUUCUUCAGCGGCCUGCAAUGUCAAAGUUUCAUUUACCUCAAUUGAAGAGAGAUACAGUUGUACUACGUUUUUUGAAGAGGGUGUUCCACUUGUAUCCUUAUGACAGUGAAUUAAUCAAGAUCCUCUUUUUUUCUCUGAAGCUCAUAAGCUUCAAGCAAACUGACGCUAACCUGCAAUGAUGCUCGUACUAGAGGUCCUCGGCCUGCUCCCACAACCAUCAGAACCUUUGUUUGUUGAAUAGUUAAUACAUAAUUAGACUCAACAAAAAAUACAGAAACAUGGAAUGAAGCCAAUGAAACAGGGAGUAGAUUUAUUUACAGGAUGCAGGAAAUUAAAAGGCAGAAGAAAAAAUAGUCAUUCAACUGGCCAUGGUCCAGAAACAUAUAGGAAAAACAAUAUUCGAAUUUAUGCCAUCUCAGCAGAAAAUAAAGCCUCUAAUCUUAUUUAGAGCUACAACAUUACUUCAUCUCCUAAAUUUUUUGGUAUCCUAAAAUUUAGUGAAAGUAUGGUUUACAUGCAUCAAAUUUAGGAGGGGAAAACACAACAAAGUUUAAGGUCCAAUCUUACAGUCCUAGUUGUGGAGACUGCAUCAUCUGCAACCCUAUCAACCAAGGCCUUAGCAACUGCUCUUCGAUACUGCUCACAUGAUGUAAAACAAAGAAUCAACAAAACUCAGUAUUGAACUUAGUAAGCGGACAUGAAGUCACAGGGAAAAGAAUAGGGUAACAUUCUGGUCAUAUAAUAUUUGACUAUUUGUUUUCUUUUGCCAAACCAGGUUCAUCAGCUCGUUCAAAUAAACUAUUAUUUCAAGAACAGCCAUAUAAUGUGAUGCUCGAAAUCAUGGUGGAAACAGAUAAGUUUUAUUCAAAUUUUGCAUUCACGUUAUUCAAAAUAAAUGUGAACAAGAUAGUAGCUACUUCACAAGCUAUAAUAUAUAAAAUAAAAUAAAGGGCAUAUUCGCAUCAUAUAGCAGAAACCUGAGUAUACUUCACAACAUCCUUCUCAAAUGUCUCAUAAGUCUGAGCUUCCAAAUUAUCCAUUAGAGGCUGCACCGAAAGGAAAGUCAUGUCGCGUAAGUAUACGGAGAGUAAUGGAGGGCAAAGUAUUUCUGUACUGGUAGGGGGAAAAAAACUCAGGGAUGUCAGGUUGUCAGCAGAAUAAGUGAAUAACAAAAUUUCCUUCCCAUAAAGGUUGUUUGAAGAAAAUUGAAUUGUUAAACCUUAAAGUAGGAUAAAGUGAGCAGCAUCUGCCUUAGCCUACGAAUGCCUUUAAACUAUUGCAAGGCUGUAGCAGCACAAGGAUGAGAUCAUGGGUUCAAACCCCAAGCCGUUACAACUUCAGUUCUCUUGAAUUAGUGAGGCCUGCUGGCAAGCGAAAGUAAAUUUUGAAAAAGCUGGCUGAACAUAAGUUUAACCUGGACAUCCUCUAGACACACGAGAUGCUAAGCUGACUUGGUUUAUUAUAUUAUGGAGGCAUAAAAAUCAAUCUUAAUGACCAAAAACACACUUACAUUUUUGUGACUAAAAUAUCUGACUUUUGUGAAAUUUAAGUGAACUCAUCAAUACUCAACCCCUCAUAAUGGUUUUGGGGGCAGUAUAAAUAACCCAACCCAUGACCCAAGAAUAAUUAGUUUUAGGUACUGUAGAAUCAAUGGCAAAUACAACAGGACUUACCUGGAGAGGAGACUGCAAAAAAUCCCUGUAAUUAAUCUGAAUCAAGUCAAAUAACACAAAGUCAAUGAAUAUCCCAGUCAAGCAGUUAAAUCCUGGACCACAGCGUGUCUGCUAGAAUGAAUACCUCAAAGCGUUCCUGCUCAGGAAGUGGAUCCAUCUUCUGAUAUAGGUACGCAAUGUACUCCAGGUACGGAGCUAAUGCAUGUCGAACAGGGGAAUCUAAAAGAACAGUUUAUUUCAAUGGUAAUUAACAAUUUAGGCAAGUACUGAGUCGUGCUAAGAAAUGAAAGUAAGUUUACAGUGCGACAUAGAAUUAGGUGACUAGCUAAUACAUAGCACAGUAUAAUCAUAGAAAUGCUCAUGUUGCUAUCAUUAAUGAAGUGGAGCUUAGAUUUAAACAUUUGAAGUUAAGAACUCUUGUAUUUUUUCCCAGAAUCGACAAGAGUAUUAAAAAUUCUGAAAUAUGCAUGGUCAGUGAACUAUCUCCAUCCAAAUGUGGAUGGGGGUGAGGGUGGGGGGUGCCAAUAUGAAUCACUCUGUUUAUGAACAAUCAUGUGUGGUUAAAGCACACCACGGAAUAAUAUGUCAUACAGUAUGCAUGGCUAACCUUCAAUGCAGCUCUCAUCACCUGAGAGCACUCCAGAUGCUGGGAAAACAUUGAGAUUUGAUCUCCCAGAGAUUAUCACCUAAAUGAACAAAAAAGAACUUAAGAAUGAUGUCUGCCACAGUUACCUCAUCAAAACACAAAUAUAUAUACAAGAUAAAAAAAGGCAAGUUGAAAACUAGAGGCAUGUAACAUUGGAUUGUUGACUCGGAAGAUAUGAAAAUAGAAAGGUUGACUAAGUGUAAUCGUAAAAGCAUAAAAAUAAUAAACCUGAACAGAAUGGUUAAAAAAUCCAGUUAGCAGCCUCUGAUGCCGCUUUGAUAAACAAGGAUAUCCUUUUGAAUUUGUAAGAUAAGCCUGCGAUGCAAAAAUCAAACGGUGACCUGAGUUUUCAUUGCCUGCAUCAACAUUAAUUUGUUAGAUCAGAAAUUUGUGAUUACAUUGGUUUGCAGAAUAGCAGCCUUUACAGGCUCCCCAAACCACCGCCCUAAUGAGUUUAUUGAUGGCAGUGUGCUCCUGGUAAAAGAAUGAAUCUUUGUGAAUACCAAAACUAUAGAUUAAAAUAAUUAAAUAGUUUCGAAAGUACUGGAAUGGGCAGGUAUGACACUUACGAAAUAUCAAGUGCCACACAUAGUUGGCUACUAUGGUCACAUAGCAAUCUGAACGAAUUCCAUAAUUCCCACGAGUCUACUAUUUCACUCUGAAGUUAAAGAAAACAAAUAAACAUGUGCAUUAUAUAUAAUGCUAAAAUACUUCAACACCAUGUUCCAGGCACACUCAAUUGUCAAAAAAUUACCAUGUGGUUGUUAUUCUUUAUUUUAUCAAGAUCGUCAUCCAUAGGCUCGGACUUCUCCAGAGGCAACCUAAGCCAUAACUUGAGAAAGAAGCAGAAGAAAAAAUAUCAUUCAGAUAUAAGCAUAUCUAGAACAUAGAUAAAACUGACAGAAUGAGGGAUGGGAGAUGGAGGGCAUACAUGCAUAUUGGUCAGGCCUUGCAAAAUUUGAUUCACAACUCUGGCAUAAUUGCCACAAAAAGAUGUCCGGGGGGCAGGAAGAACACAUGCCUGCAAGGACGUGCACCAAAAUUUAUUUUUUUUUCUUCAAAAAGAACAAUGCUGCAUAAGACAGUCAAGCUAACAAAGUUUUCAGCUACCAUCAAAAUCCUAAGAUUUUGUAUUGGAAUGGAAUUUCCUUGUUUCUAGAGCUUGCGAGAUGAUGAAAAACUGAGAUGAUUCACACACACAAAAUUACCGGAGAAGAAUUCUUAUGCUAUGUCAAAUAGAAUUUCGAAUUCCAGGGCAACCCACAGGUUAUCUGGAACUAGAAUCCCAGGCUCACCGGGACAAACUGACUGCAGUGGGAAUAUUCCACUGUGAGCUGUUUUUACUCGUAACGGAAUACAAUUGUCAAUUGAAUGCUCUUGGAAGUUGAAAACUGUAAAGAUUGUGAGGGGGAUUUCAAAUGUGAACAGACCGGCAGCCAACGGUUUCCGGCUCCCGGCAAAGUUAGAAAGUUUUGUCCUUACACCAGAAUGGUUUUCAAAUCCUAAAGGCAAUGUAUUGUCCAAUUUAAGUCUUCAAUUUCGCAACAAUCAGCGGUACGUUCCAAACUAACGGGUGAAUGGAUAAUGAACGGUGCAAUGAGACCACUGGACCUGCAGCGAGACGUGAGACGCCCACGCGAUCUCCUGCUUCAGCGUGAGCUCGGAGUCCAGGCGGAGCCGCUCGUCCUCCGCGUCCAAAUCGAUCCACUCGCUGAUCUUCCCGACGACGUGGUUGCUCCACUGGGCCGGGCCGAGGACGAGGUCCGACGCCGACACGGGCAGGACGGCGCCGGGCGCCGGCCGGUAGUUCGGGUCAACCUGCGGCGCGCAGCAGAGCAGAGCAUAUCAGAGGAGGGGACGUCGAAGAAGGCAUACGGCGGCAAAAGAGCGGUGGUGUGCCCACCAGAGGAGCGAGGAUGAAGUCGAAGCCGGAGGAGAUGGAGUGGCUGAGGACGGCGGGGAGGCCCUCGCCGGCGGGGAAGUCGAGCACCUCCACCCCGCAGUAGCGGGAGUCGCUCUUGUCCCCUGGGCGCUGCCCCAGCGGCAUCUCCGCCAGACGGAUGUAAACGGCGCUUCUCCGCCGUACGAUGCUGGUUGCUGGUGGCCGCCCGCCGCCGGGGAAGGACGGAUUAGAGAAGGCGUUGGUGCGGCUAGGGUUUAGGGGUUUGGGCGGCGAGCGGGGAGCAGGGGGCUUUUCAGGCUUUGCCCGUUUAGCGGCUGCUGCUGAUUACUCUUGGCUCGGUUUUUUUUUCCCCUUUCUUUGGCGCUUUUGCUGCUGGAUGGCUUACUGACAUGUGGGCCCCGCUACAUUUGUAAGAGUAGAAAUCAUCGUGUCCAACUCCCAUAAACUCUAUUGCCAAAAAUAAUUAUGUAUAGUAUAAUUAAUAUUUUUUAUUUAUAAAUUGCAAAUCGUUCUGUCUUUUUUAAUUAUGUAGUUUUUUCACUAUAUGUAACUAAAUAUAAAAUACUGAUGUGUAAUAAAAUUAUCGACAACUUGAUGAAAUGAAAAAUGUACUUAUAAAAAGAAGUGCACGAGUAUUGACAUAUACUCCCUCCAUCCUAAAUUGUAAGUCAUUCCAAGAAUCUUGGAGAGUCAAAGUAUUUUCAUAUUUGACCAAAAUUAUAGAGUAAAAUACUAAGAUUUGUAAUAUAAAGUGAGUAUACUAUGAAAAUAUAAUUAAGAAAGAAUCUAAUGAUACUUGGUUAGUACCAUAAUAAUUAUUAUUUUAUAAUAUAAAUUUGGUCAAACUUAAAAAAAUUGACUCUCCAAGAUUCUUGGAAUGACUUAUAAUUUGGAAUGGAGGGAGUAUAUUGUUUGAGUUGUCUCCUAAUAACCGUGUCAUUUGUGCAUAGAUGAAGAUAAUAGCAUAAAUCGUAUAGUGACAAUAGACUGUAAAAUUGUGCACAGAAGAGUCUCAUAGUCUUAUAUUUUUAGGUUAGAGGUAGUUGCUUCACAAGGCACUAGACUCUCCUUUCCAUAUUGGAUUAGAAUGUAUUUGGUAGGGGUUUAGAUUCUCAUAAAAACAUUUAAGAUCCAAAAUCUCUUAAAAAAGUUUCAAGUGGUGAAUUAGAAUAUUUUUAUGGGAUUGUUUGACUAGUAGGCUAGAUUAUGAUUUAAAAAGAAUAUUUUUCAUAAAAGAGUACAUAUAAAUAAAAAUAUGCUUCAUGUAGGCGAAGAUUAACUUAAAUACUAUAACAUAUUUUAACGUGUUAACUAAAAAUAUGGUGUCUAGUUCACAAAAGAGACAAGAAACAAAAUCGGUGGAAAACUGCUCCUAAACUGUUUGCAUGCAUAGGCACAUGCCAUGCGUUUUUAGACACAAAUAUUUUACUUCUUUCCCGUUUGGCAAUGAUUCUAGGGCUUCUGGCUAGAACCCGAAGCAUUUUUUAUUGCCAAACAGUCCUUAGAUGACUAUGGAAUAUGUAGCUUGUGCUAGCUAACAGUGAGACAUCUCAAGAUCUAUCAGCUUAGUCUUAGCCUUUCAGAAGUGCUCAUAAGGAUAUGAUGCAGUGCGUGCAUUCAUAAGAGAGUAUAUGUGUAUAUAUCAAUGUUUAAGUAUAUACUGUGAUUCACAACAAAAAUAUAUCUGCCCAUAUAUAUGGGGUUCAACGGUUCCUGAUUUCUCCCUUGUAGUAGAAAAACAACAAGAUAUCAUCCUUUGUAUAUUUUGGGUCAACAAUAUGCGAUUUAGUUGGUCACAUGUUUUGUAAUAGGGUUAAGUAUCUUAUCUUUAUACUUUAUGAGUUGUUUGUUCUAUGUUUAUAUCCAUAUGAUGUUGGCAGAUAAGAAGUUAGACUAUUUUAGAAAUAUUUAGCAAUUUAUUUUGUACCUAUUGUUUCAUUUGGUUUUUAUUUUUUAGUUUGGUUUUGUUUAUAUAUGUUAUUAGGGUUAUAAUAAUGACCGCGCGUAUGAUAACACAGGUGAGGAACACAUGAUCUGAUGUUUUUAUGAAGGAAUGGUCAAUAUUCCAAGGGCAUACAAAUCAUGUUGAUGUGAUAGUUCUUGUCCUAACAUAGAAGGGAAAGAGUGUAACAUGUUUGGUUAAUAUAGAGAGUUCGAUUGUCAUUAUUACGCUCAUGUGCUCAUGAGAAAUUCGCUUAAAUUUGCUUGGUAUAAACAACCCCUUCAUGGUACUCAAUGUAUUAUCACUACAAGCUUUUAGCCUGUUUCUAAUUGGUAGACACAUCCCGUAGCAUCCUACAUGAAUUAAAAUUAUUGAUGGAAGAAUUAGUGUUGUGGAACCAUAUAGAUCUAUGAAAAGAAAACAAUAAAGUAUUUUGAACCCAACAACACUCAUCAAACUUGAGUCCAGUUAGGCCCAACCUAACCAAUUUUAAUAUAGCUAAGCUCAUUUACACCAAAAACCAUGUUAAUCUAACCUACCACUCUGGCGGAGAUAAAAGAUAUAUAGAUCCUUUUGUGGAGCAAUUAGUUGUUGUGUUUUGUUAUUUAUCUUUAGAUGCAAUUCAUUCAAAGAAUCAUCUAGUAUAUGUGCAAAUAUAGGUGAUACAACAUGGCUGGAUAUUUCAAUCAUUGAUCAUCUCAUAUUUGAAACAUAUUUUUGUUUAGGAUUUCGCUUUCGUGUUGACUUACUGUUGCAAAAGUGAAGUGAAACUGUGUAUAGAUCAAUAAGAAACCAACUAUGCAUGAAAGUAUAUUACAAGUUGGUAUUUUAUAUAUAAUUAAGUUACAACUUAUACAAGUUAAAGUCACAAAAAUAUGUCACAUUUAUAUUGAUCUAGUCUCUAUCCAACCUUUUAGAGUAACUUUUUACACACGCCACUACCCCACCACACUGCUUGCUACAUUGUAGGUGUUGAUGAACCUCUACCUCUUACCCGCCCUCUAUCCGUCUCUCCUUUUUCUAUUUGUGCAUUGCCUCCUUGUCAUCAACUAGUGUUGAUCUAGUUGCCGCCACUACAUGAGUUGUGACCCUAUACUAUUAGUAACUUCCCACAAACCCUUGAUCUCGAUGUCAUCCAUGCUUCAAUCCCUAGCAUAUGUUGUUGCCUUGCCUAGAUACAACAACAUCAUUGUCGAAGGAAUCAUUGCCCUCCACCGUCAUAUGUCUUUCCAUCCGGUCAAUAAAAAAGUUUGUUGUUUCCUUUGCCUUAGUCACUCCAUCCAAUACUUGCCAUGACCAUCAAGCUGGCGAGCUCAUGGACCAUCGAUCUAUGAACCGCCUAAUCCUGAGCCCUAACCCUUGUAUGAGUUGACGUAGGUCAAUGGAUAUAGAGGAGGAGCAACCUUGCAAAGGUGAUAGUUUUGGCAUAUUACAACAUCAGAAUUCUUAUAAGAUGUACUUGAAAUACAUGGGAAAAACUAAUGGAUAUAAAGGAGGAACAACCUUGCAAAGGCGAAGAUAGAAUGCUAACUUCAAGCAAAGAAGAGACAUGAAGUUUAUACGUAGAAAAGACACAUGGAAAAAUUAGGUGAUUGGGUACAAACUACAACAUGUAAAGACAUAUGUUAACUUCCUUGUCACCAACAACCAAAUAUGAUGUCUUGUGGAUAGACGUGAACGAAAGUCGCAUAGGGUCUGCAAAAAGCAUGGUUAAAUUUAGACCUAGGUUCUCGGUGGGCAAGUUUGGGCACGUCAUUUUGGAUUAGGUCUUGGCUUGACCGGAGGCCACCCACAAGUUUUUAGUACGAAAAUGAACAUAAUUAAUAUUUUGUCUUAGGCUUGAGCUAAGAGUACUUUUACAUGUGAUAUUUUUUGCACGGCCAAGCCAAGCCCAUCGUUCUUCUUUCUCUUGCCGAGGGGAUUGUAUUUAGUUAUCUACAACUUUUCUUUUUCUCUAUUUUCCCAUCAUAUUUUCCUCCAGCUAAAACAAUGACUCACGCUCCUACUAUUUUUUUUAAAAAAAAAAUCACCAUUUUUUGCAAUACAACUUUGGCCUCUGUGGAAGAGCCCCAUGAACCAACAAAAUAUCUGUUGCGCUACCUAAGCUCAUUGAUUCAUCUCCUAGCAUCCCAAACAGGCAAACAUUCCGUAACGUCCCGCCUCCACGAGGCGGGGCCCGCUUACAUCUGGCAGCUUUUCUAGUCUUUUCUGCACACUUUGUCCUCACUCGUGCGCACCCGAGAAGUACUUCCCGGUCGGUCACCCAUCCCUAAAUUUCUCCAGGCCAAGCACGUUUAACUUUAGAGUUCUUUGGAGAUGGGCUUCCAGAAAAGAAGUUGCUAUGAGUCUCCUAUUAAUCCUAUUAAGCCCUGGGGGCCCAGGGCUUAAUAGGAGUAAUAGGAGACUCAUACCAACAAGUUGCAACUUCUUUUCCGGAAGUCCAUCUCCAAAGAACUCUAAAGUUAAGCGUGCGCGAGUGAGGACAAAGUGUGCAAAAAAAACAAAGUGUUGCCCUGUGGGGACUGACUAUGUCCUAGAAAAGCUGACUGACGUAAGCGGGUCCGGCCUCGUAGAGGCGGGGAACACCGUUACACCAACUAUCAACACUACCAACGUAAGCGGGUCCGGCCUCGUAGAGGCGGGGAACACCGUUACACCAACUAUCAACACUACCAAAACACGAACCUUUUUUUUUUUAAAAAAAAAACCGCUGCGCAUCAUCCUCUCCGUCACUGUCCUCUGGGCCCUUGAUUCAAGCGUCCUCAGCGUGGGUCCCGCGUCGAGCGUGGCCAGCCCUUCGGCCCAUGCUGCUAACGUGGAGCCAACGAGGCGACGUACCAACGGGUUACUGUCACCAUCACUGCACUGCUGUCCUCACCCCUUCUUUGCUUGCCACUCCUAAUUGGUUUGCUGACAGAGUUUAGCAAAACGUCUGCUUUAUUAUUUUAAUGGUCCCAGAACCAAAUGUGAGCUGUAGCAAAGAGACAAGCAAAAGAAGUAUAAUAAAAAAAACCGACAGCAGCAGCGGCAUGUGUGAACAAAAACAUUGUAGGCUUUUUAGGAUGCAGUGGGCGGAUCACCGAUGCGAUUUUGAGAGCUUUUUUUUAAAGCGGAGUGGAGAAUAUUGCUAUGCUACCCUUUUCUUUUAGUACUUUUAUUAUUAUCUUUUUCGUGGGCUUUUAAAUCCAUCAUUCUCUCUUUCUGCACGACACAGAACAGCGGAAAUAUCUUUGGUUUGGCAUGGUCAGUGAGGAAUCUUUUUUCCUUUUCCAUUUAUUUAAGUCCUGCAGAGCAUCAUUAUCUUCUCCUCAAUCUUAGUCUGUCACAGACUCACAGUGUCACUCAUCACUCUGUGCUGUCACUCUGUGCUGAUGACAAUUUAUCAGCAGCUCCUGAGGCUCUCGGAGGUGAAAGGUGACAAUUUCACUAGUAUGCUAGAGUAGAUCAAACAACUUUCUGUGCAAUCCUUGGCUCAAAAUCAAAUCCUUUUCUUGCUAUCUUUUUCAACCUUUCAAAUCAACCAAGAAAGCUCAUCCAGUUUAUCCCCACUGCCUGUUUCGGGGGAUCGCCUAUUUUGGAGCCAUCUUUUAUUGCUACUACGCUAUCUACACCUUGCUGUCCUCGUCAGCCAAAUUUACUCACACCUGAGGGCUUGCAUGCCAUCAAUGCUCCCCUGACUGAGGUGUUUAUCAUGUGAGCGUCUGCAUUUUGCAAUCACAGGAAAUCCCCUCUCAUGGUCCACUGUAGGUGGAGUUCAUUUAUUCCCAAAUAUUCGAGCUUUGGCUUUUGGGGGCUCUAAAUAGUUCAAAAAUUCUCAAGUUGUUGGGAAAAUCUGGCUGGCCUCUUAGAGCUUUUAUAUAGCCCUUGCUCCUCUUUCCAGCAGAGAUUUCAACUUUUCUUCCCCCUGAGGUUUCGUGAGCUCAAGAAAAAGAUUUCUGAAACUGUUCUUGGAGGUUUGCUCUCGCCAGUUUCCACUAUCCCUACUUUAUCUGUCCGGCUCCAAGAUCUGAACUUGGGGAGUUCUUGGUGCAGAGCAGAGCAAUCCAGCAAAAUCGCCCGGCGAUUUGGAGCUGGAAUAAUCCUUCCAUGGAUUCCCGGUCCGGCCAUGGAGCGGCGGUGGCGGCCGUGGUGUUGGUUUCUUGGCUGUGCUUCGCGGCGGCCGGCGUUGGUGCGAUAGGGGCGAACUGGGGCACGCAGGCGAGCCACCCGCUGCCGCCGGAAACGGUGGUGCGGAUGCUCAAGGACAAUGGGUUCCAGAAGGUCAAGCUGUUCGACGCCGAGGAGGGCACCAUGAACGCCCUCAGGAAGAGCGGGCUGGAGGUGAUGGUCGGCAUCCCCAACGACUUGCUGUUGACGAUGGCAACCAGCAUGAAGGCCGCAGAGAAGUGGGUCGACACCAACGUCUCCAGCUACCUCAACGAUGGUGUCAGCAUCAGGUAUUUGCUUCUCUGUCAGUGUUGCUUCUGAUUACCGUUGAUGCUUGGUAGCUAGUGUUAAUUGUACUGUGGAAUCUCAGUUCUGAUGAUCUAGGAUGAGCUGUGAGCCUAGAGUAUUGGGGAAAUAGUAUGAUUUGCAUGCUAUCCUCGCUUGUCUUGAUUGAUGGCUAAUGAUUGAAGCUCAUAUCUGGUUAAAUGCUUGACUUGGAAAGCAAUUAUACACUUAUACAUCAUUCUCCGUACACGACAAGCGGUCGACAUUCUCCGUGCCUCAUUUAGUACAUUUGUGCACAUGUUGUAGUUCGGAUAUAACGGUUGCCGUUUCUGAUUGCACAUGUUGUGCUUUGCAUGCCUGCUUGGGUGCUUCUGUCGUUGUUUGUAUGCGAGAAACGGCUGGCGUAUUUGUUCCAUCCCCAAAUUGGGAGUUGUGUGUUUCAUUAACCUGUGCAUGCACCACCAAAUCAAUGCCUUCACCGGUCUGAAGAAUCUACUUCUCUGUUAUACUUGUAAAUCACGCUUCUUUUUGUUAGAGGAAAAAACAUAUUUCUUUGUUAUAUGGAAGUCUGAAAGGUUUUGUAUGUUUUCACCGAGCACUGCAGCUGUAGUUGCGCUUGGCUGCACUAGGAAUCAUGUCACCAUGACAAGAUUUAUGAGUUAAGUUUUGAAUAAAGAUUUUAACUGUCAAAGUGCCAAUCAUUUUUUUACUGCUAGGUUUUAGAUGUUCCUUUUGUCUCUCAGAAAAAUAUUUUUUUUGUUUGAAAGGAGCUCAGUGAAAUGAACCGGAUCCAUGAAGACACUCAGGAGCAUUCAGUGACUUCUGAAUAUGCUUUAAAGCGGUGGACCGUACACCGGACGAAAUACAUCCAUUUUGGCUGAUCCUAUUUAUUUGUGUUCCUUUUGAAUGGAGCAUAGUUGUCCCCACUUGCAAUGGCGGAGCUUUGUUGGGGCCAAAGGUGGCCAUGGCACUCCCUGCCAUUAUAAAUUACCUUAAGUAGAUACUAAGCCUCACCUCCUACAUGCUAGCAAAAACACUAAACAAAGUGAGUUUUAGGCUUAGUUUUUAAACUUGGCUCGCUCUGGAAUUUUGACCAAGCUGCGCCACUGCCCACUUGUAUAAUUUAGUUAAUUUACCUCAAGCCUUUAUCGUGUCACUACUUUAUGCCUCUUAUUUCUUUUCGCAUGUGGAAUACUGAUAGGCGGAUGACCUAUUCACAUGGUACUAUUAUAGAAGUUGGAAGGUUCAGUUUUUCAAAGAAAUUUUGAACACCAUGUCCAGUUAUAGAAGGAAAAAUCAAUUUUUAAAUGAACAUAGCUGAUUUUUUUUAGUGUCAAGAGUAUAUGGAACCAUCUGUACCUCACUUUGUGUAGCAAAUUAAUCUUAACUAGAUAUCAUUUGUUGCCCUUCUCUAUAUUUAUUUAUAAAUUAUUGUUCGCACAUGCAUCCACCAUUUGACUAUCAAACUGCCAAUGCCUUUUAAAAUACAUAGACCUAAGUAGCAUGUGCCUUGAAAAAAUUCUAUGCAUCUGCAGAGCUUUAUUUUUCUUAAUCACUAAGACAGUAAGCAGAACAUGCAAUAGCUGCAAUGGUCACCUCCUUAUUUCUUACCUUCUGUGACGGAUAGCUUAUCAAUUCAUUGAUACUCUUUUCCAGCAGUUACGGAGAACAGACAUGUACCAAGCUUCAUAUCUUGUAUUUUGAGCCUCCAUAUACACAUCUUGUUCUGGCAAUGCUGUUUUAACACUUUCGUUGCGUGAAGUUCUGCCAUGUUUGUUAAGUACUCCCUUGCAAUUUUAUGUAACACUGUACCAGUGAAACUUUCUUUUAAUCUGAAUAGGCAUCUUUAGUUUUUACCCCUAAUGUUCACUGCCUGCUUUAUGAGUUGUGGGAAUAUGCACCAGCAUGGCAUUUGAACUACUUGGCACUUGCAUGUAUGGCAUGACACUUCCAUUUGCACAUCAUGUACCAAAUGGAAGAUGAAUAUUCAAGAUAGUACUUUGCUUCAUGUUCUGAAUUUCUGUGUUGUUGAUGUUAACUCAAUCAACCAUCUACAUGAUGCUGUGGCCUCACCUCUUUAUUUGCCCUAUUGCAUUUGUUAGGUAUGUCGCAGUUGGGAAUGAGCCUUUCUUGGAGACAUACAAUGGAACCUUUCUGCAAACAACUUUUCCUGCCAUCAGAAACAUACAAGGUGCACUUAUAAAAGCCGGUUUGGGCAAUCAAGUCAAAGUCACGUGCCCUCUCAACGCUGAUGUCUAUAGCUCGUCAACCUCCAAGCCUUCUGAUGGGGACUUCCGCACAGAUAUUCAUGAUCUGAUGCUCACUAUAGUAAAAUUUCUGAGCGACAAUGGUGGAGCUUUCACUGUCAACAUAUACCCUUUCAUAAGCCUCUACAUUGAUCCAAACUUCCCUGUGGACUAUGCCUUCUUCGAGGGGGCCUCAUCGCCCAUCGUUGAUGGCUCCUUCACUUAUACUAACAUGUUCGACGCGAACCAUGACACACUUAUAUGGGCUCUGAAAAAGAAUGGUUUUGAAAACCUCCCAGUCAUUGUUGGGGAGAUUGGAUGGCCGACUGACGGGGACAGGAACGCCAAUGCUCAGCUGGCUCAGCGCUUCAACCAAGGCUUCAUGACCCAUAUUGCUUCUGGGCGAGGAACACCAAUGCGGCCUGGACCUGUUGAUGCUUACUUGUUCAGUCUAAUCGACGAGGAUGAGAAGAGCAUACAGCCAGGAAAUUUCGAGCGGCACUGGGGGAUCUUUACUUAUGAUGGCCUGCCAAAGUACCAGCUGAAUCUCGGGACAUCAAAUUCAGGCGGUCUUGUGAGAGCAAGGGGUGUGAAGUACCUUGAAAAGAAGUGGUGUGUACUGAAGCCUUCUGUGAACCUCAAUGACCCAAAGCUUGCAGACAACGUGAACUAUGCAUGUUCCAUGGCAGAUUGCACCAGCCUUGGUUACAAGACAUCAUGUGGUAUGCUGGACACGCGAGGCAACAUCUCAUAUGCAUUCAACAACUACUUCCAGAAGAAUGACCAAGAUGAUGUGGCCUGUGGGUUCCAGAAUCUUGCAACAACCACAGGCCAAGACCCAAGCACUGGGACAUGCAGGUUCGGGAUCAUGAUCGAGGUUGACUCCGCCUUCUCAUGGAGGCUUCAGGGGCAUGGAAGCAACCUCCUCUUGAUCCUCCUGCUUGUGCUUCUCCAGCUAUUCCUGUCUUUCUCUUAGAUGCAGGUUUCGCGAGAGAUGACAAUGAGAGCAUAAAAAAUCUGACAGCUUGAGGAUAUUAGAUGUAUGUUGUCAGUAUCAUUCAUUUAGAAACUCUUUCCUCUAUAACCCUUUUUCUUCUCUUUGGCAAGGAAACCGCAGACUGCGGUUUCAGGCAUGCUUGAUUAUUGUUAGGGUUAGCUUUGAUUCAUCAGUUCCCUUGUGAUAGCAAUGAAUGAUGCAUUGAGCCAUCCACUGGCUAGCAGGGUGUGGGCACUGCUAUUGAACCUCUGCAGCUUCGGAGUUCAGGUUUCUCAGCAAGUCAACAGCAUAUUUGUGAUCCAUCUUCCAUCACGCGUCGUAAUCUUCAGAAGCUUUCAUGACCAGAAAAGAGUUUGGUUCUGCUUCAGCAUGGAAUCAACAUGGAUGGUAAUUCUGUUCAGCGCUUCACACAUGUUUUCGCAUGCAUUCUUUUUGGGUGAAGUCUGAAGUGUGAUAUGGUCACUCAAAUUGGCAAACUGGGCCACAAAGCAUUACCAGGUCAGAGACAGUUCAGAUCUGGGGUAGUAGUGUUACUGCUCCUUGAAUGACCAGGAACAGGGAAACACCCAGAUUUCAUGGUGUCCAAGGUUACAGGUCGGAACCCUUUGCUGAAUCAUUAUUAAUAACAAAAAUGCAGGGCCAGGAGCAUCUCGUACGUCAAGAAGUCAAUUUGCAGUACACGUUACAUGCGCAAGUGGCCUCAUGCCACCAACAUUGAAAGCAAACCGUCCUUUUGUCCAAGAUUCUAAGCACACAUGGUAGAUCCUAAAGUUUCUGCAACCUUUUCUUAUUCAGUCUAGACCAAGGAUACAGUGAGCCAUCCGGAUAGCUGGGAUUCAUCCAAAUCUAAAUUUCAAAAAUUUGAUUCAAAACUUGAAACAAAAAUCUAUUUCUAAAAAGGAAAAAUCUCCCAAACAAUUCUAACCUCAAAUGCAUAUUACGAUAACAAAGUAUUGAAAUGAAGCUGUCAAACUCAACCAGUUGUUCACCUUCACCUGGGGCGCUGCGACCCCGCCCUGGAGGCUCGCCACGCCCGUGGGCUGCAACUUGUCAUGUUUGCGCACCUGGCCUAAGUUUACAGCCCGACCAGCACGGGAUUUAAAGCAGCCAUAGCUAGGUCCCAGAAAUGAGAUUUUCCUUCGUUUCUCCGCGGCCAUGCUCGCUACGGCGCUCACGCGGCUCGCAGCAGUCCACAACAGUACAACACCGAUAGAAUCACCUCCGCCCCUUCCUCAUACCCCGUGUGUGCCUCGACUCCGUCGCUCCUCCACGACGGCGAUGGCGGCGUCGCCUCCCCGUCCCCCGCGCAUAGCUCUCCGUCGAAGGCGGGCACGACCAAGGCGUGCAGGACUCCGGUGGCGGCGGGUGAAAGGUCCAAAUGGCUAGAGAGGGGGGGGGGGUGAAUAUCCUAUUUAAAUUUUCUACAAACUUUACUAAACAGUGUGUUAGUAAAACAAAUGGCGAAGCAAUUUUAGCACUAGCUCAACUAAGCUAUGCAAGCCACCUAUACAAACUAGUACAAGGCUAAAAACUAAAUCACAACAACAAGAGAAGGCUACACAACAACUCUACUCUAAACAAGAACUAAGCUAUACAAGCUAAACAACUAGCAAGAUAAGCAAGUAUGUAAAGGAGUGGAGAGUGAUUGUUAUACCGAUGUUGUAGAGUAGAUAUAUAAUCAAUCAAUCAAUCAAUCACAAGAGAAUCCUCGGCAAGAGAUGACAUAAGAUUUUUUACCAAGGUUCACUUGCUUUCCGGCAAGCUAGUCCUCGUUGUGGUGAUACAUCCACUUGAUGGAUCACGAGCUAAUUAGCAAUCCGAAGCCAAACCCUCAGCGGGUGCCGCACAUCUACUCACAAGAUGGGGAUACUCUAAGCCACGAGCAAUCCACUAGAGUAGCCAAUUGCGAUCUCCCGUGGGGAAGGCUCAAGAACCCCUCACAAAUCACUUGGUGAGGCUCGAAACAAUCUCCAAUCACAAGCUCAACACCUCCGCUGCUCGAAGCCGUCUAGGGUGUCGGGAAACACCCAUGAGUAACAAGAAAUCCACAGCAAACUCAAUGAUCAAGUGUCACUAGAUGCAACUCUCAAUACAAUGCACUUGAAUCUCACUCAAUCUCACUAAGAUCAGCAAUCAAGCAAGGAGAUGAGUGGAGAAAGUGUUCUCUAGCUCAAUGUAUGCCUCAAGUAAUCAAAUGUGCAAGAGAGAGCCUCCCAAAACCGGCUACCUUCUAUUUAUAAGCUCCUCAAAGAGAUAGAGUCGUUGGCUCUGUCACUGGGCUGAAAUCGAGGGCACCAGACGCUCAGCAGGGAACCACCGGACGCUCGACCCUCUGCGUCUGGUGCUCUUAAGUUAGCCGCAUGUCCAAAUUUGAAUCUCGUGCGUCAAACUCUAACGGUCACAUGUGGACCACCGGACGCGACGAAGUGAGCACCGGAUGCGUUCGGUACCCACCGGUCUCGUACGCAGAGAAUUUGUCAAACUCAAGACCUUAUCGGACUCGGAGCACUAGACUCAUGCGCAGAGAGGUCUGCAAAACAUCCGUGCACCAGACUCACACCACCGGUCGCACUCAGAGCGUCCGGUGCUCUCAGCCAGCAACACCUGAAGAAGCCAGGCAGCACCGGACGCGCCAACAGGAAACACCCUGUGUCCGGUGCAGUGCGUCCGAUGCUUAACCCUAGUAGAGCUAGGCAGUGACAGCACACUGGACGCCAAGGUCAGCGUCUAGUGCCUCCGAGCACUAGGUCCGAUGCCCGUGACUUCUCCAAAAUUUCCCACCGGCGCAAUAGAAAAUAUACACUUUUUUUUCUCAAAAGCGCCGAAUCCCGCCUCGCAAGCUCGGUGGGAGGGAGAGAGGAACCCAAACCCCUCUCAACCCUAGGAACUCUACCUCCUUUGUAAAUGUGAUAAUACUAACAAGUGUCCACCACCAAAGUGCAUGUGUGUUAUCUUUUCACAAACAUUUUCAUCAAAGGAGUUAAGUUAGCACUUUACCGGAUCCUAAUGCAUAUGCUCAAGAUGUGGACCUAGUAGCACUUGAUUAGAGAGAUGACCGUGAUUUCCCCUCUUGAUAGUCAGCUAUCUAUCCUAAAUCCGGUCAAUCACUUCUCUACUCAACUUAGAUCGGCAAAAGUAAAGCCCUAUGUUUAUACCUUUGCUUUGAUCACUUUACUUCUCAUCUAUCACCAUGAUCUCUACUUCAUGCUUCAUCCCUUUGUGAUCAUCUGGCCACCUUUUCAUGCCACCAUGCACCUUCAUCACAUGUGUUGCUAUGCCUAACUCAAAUCAUUUAAACACAAGACAUUAGCAACUUGGUGUCAUUAAUUACCAAAACCAAAUUUGGGCUUUCAACGGGGUUGGCGCAUGCGGCAACAGAGUGGCGGGCGAGAUCUUGCGGCGGGCAGCGCGUCCUCGUCCAUCCACCCGGUCACCACGCUCGACCCUCCUCCUUCCUCAUCUCCCCCGCACCGCCGCCGCCACCAUGCCUGCAGGCACCCUACCUUGGCGCGCUUUUCUUGCUCCUGCAGAUGUGGCGUGAGCUCCAGCACCGUCGCGCCGACGCCCUCGAGCUGGGCAACUGCCAUGGCCGCUGUGCAGUAAGUCACCCGCUGCUGCUUUGGGCGCGCACGCGCGCUCUGGCGUUGCCGCCUCAGGCGCAUGAAUGGCAGCUCCGCCGUUGUGCCGCCCGCGGCCCCAUCCCCAUCUUGUCCUCGUCGUCGUGGUGGCAGAGCAGGUGAGGGCGAAAGUGGAGGAAGGCGUGGCUAGCUCCGUGCUCAGCGAAGGGAGCUCGGGGCGGAGCAGGACGAGGCCGGCACGAUGUUGAGGUGGUGCAGAGGUGGCUGGGAGCUCGCCGGUGGCCAUGGCCGUGGUGGAGUAGGACAGGUGCUCGAUGAAAUGCCGAUGAGGAUAGAAUGUUGACUAUGUGGUGGUAAGCCUACCAAAUGUGAGUGCAGAGUAACCAUAUCCUCAGUUAGGCUGAAGGCAAACAUAAUCUUAUUGGAGCCAGACCCGUUUCGUGCAUGGACACAAACAUGAGCAGUUGCACCACUUGGACCAGGGGCUUUGCCAGGCCUGGGCCAGUUGAGAAGGCUAGGCCGGCCAGGUACAGGGGUGUCGUGUAAAAAGUAACUAAUUGUACAGUUUGCGUGUAAUUUACAAAAUGAAUCUUUUGAGCCUAGUUAAUUCAUGGUUGGACAAUAAUUAUCAUACAAACAAAAAUAUUACAUUACCCAAAAUCAAAAAAAUUUGCCAACUAAAUAAGGCCCACGAAAAGUUUAUCGAUACUGUAGUAUUUUCAUUUUUAUUUGAUAAUUAUUGUCUAAUUAUGGACACUAGGUUAAAAAGAUCCGUGUCCCAAAUUACAUGUAAAUUGUGUGAUUAAUUAUUCUUUUAUCUAUAUUUAAUACUCUAUAUAUGUGUCGCAAGAUUCGACGAAAAAUCUUGAAAAUUUCUGGUUUUUGAACUAAGGCCUUGUUUAGUUCGCAAAAAUUUUCAAGAUUUCCCGUCACAUCGAAUCUUUGGUCGCAUGCAUGGAGCAUUAAAUAUAGAUAAAAAUAAAAACUAAUUACACAGUUUAUCUGUAAUUUGUGAGAGGAAUCUUUUGAGCCUAAUUACUCCAUGAUUGGACAAUGUUUGUCAAAUAAAAACGAAAGUGCUACAGUAGCCAAAAACCAAAGUUUUUGCCAACUGAACAAGGCCUAAGGCCCUGUUUAGUUUCCCACCUAAAAAUUUUUCAUCCAUCCCAUCGAAUCUUUGGACACAUGCAUGAAACAUUAAAUGUAGAUAAAAAAAUAAACUAAUUACACAGUUUAGUUGAGAAUCGCGAGACGAAUCUUUUAAGCCUAGUUACUCCAUGAUUAGCCGUAAGUGCUACAGUAACCCACAUAUGCUAAUGACAGAUUAAUUAUGCUUAAUAAAUUUGUCUUGCAGUUUCCUGACGAGCUAUGUAAUUUGUUUUUUUAUUAGUUUCUAAAAAUCUCUUCCGACAUCCUUCCGACACAUCCGAUGUGACACUCAAAAAAUUUCCGUUCCCAAUCUAAACAGGCCCUAAACAAGGCCUGUGAUGGAGACGAAGACGCGGGGCUGGUUGGUGGUUGCUGUCGUUUGGGAAUCUGGAUUUAUUAGGAGACAGUCACACGUGUGCCUGUCCCGGAGUUUAUACGCUCUGUCGUUUUCGACAACGGCGGCUUCUCCUGGUCGCAUGUGUGUGUUUGUCCGAUGGUGAUGCGCCGAGUUUUUUUUUUUUUUUUUACCCCGAUUCAGACCUGUACACAGCGGAUGGCGACGCGUCAAAUUCGAUCCAAAAUCAUCCAGAGACGUCAGGCCAGUUCAAGAGCAAGCACACGAACACGAAGAUCAGUACGAUACUUUGAUCCAGUCUGUACUGAAGUCACACACCACAGCACCUAGCAAAGGCUGCAAGGCUGCAACCACACUACGGCCUUGUUUAGUUUCGAAAAGUGAAAGUGAAAAAUUUUCGGUAGUGUAGCACUUUCGUUUGUUUGUGAUAAAUAUUAUCCAAUCAUAGACUAACUAGGAUCAAAAGAUUCGUCUCGUGAUUUACAGCUAAACCGUGUAAUUAGUUUUUAUUUUCGUUUAUAUUUAAUGUUUCAUGCAUGUGCCACAAGAUUCGAUGUGACGGGGAAUCUUGAAAAAUUUUUGGUUUUAAGGGUGAACUAAACAAGGCUUAGUACUUGUUGGAGCUGCCAUGGCCGGCGGCAGCAGAAGUUGCGGCGCCACCGCGGCACGCCGAUGAAGAAGAAGUGGCGCCAGCAGCCCGGCCGUUGCUGUCACUGUGUCACAUCCACUGACCACUGUGGCACUGUGGAGUGCAAUGCCAAACGGAAACAGCACCACAGUGAGUGGCACCCUGGGUGCCACUGUUGCCGGUCCACUCUUGUUCGCCACUCUUUUGCUCUGGAGGAGUAUUGCGAGUACAGUGCAGAGAGCCCAUUCUACCAUCCUUCCAAAUGUGGCAACACGAGCUUUGCUAUCAGGGUCCUGGAAAUCCGGCACAGAAAGGAGAGUCCUUUCGGCCUUGUUUAGUUCACCCAAAAAGCAAAAAGUUUUCAAGAUUCCCCAUCACAUCGAAUCUUGCGGCACAUGCAUGAAGCAUUCAAUAUAGACGAAAACAAAAACUAAUUACACAGUUUAGCUAGAAAUCGCGAGAUGAAUCUUUUGAUCCUAGUUAGUCUAUAAUUAGAUAAUAUUUAUCACAAAUAAACGAAAGUGCUACAGUACCGAAAUCCGAAAUCUUUUCGGAACUAAACAAGGCCUUCGUGACACUGAGCUCGUCGCACGGCAUUGGGCGCCCGUGGUGCCGUAGUGGCCGCCGCCGUAGAAUGGUAGGGUGGGGAGUAGCUGGAAGGAGAUCAGAAGCAGUUGUGAUUGGUUGUUGCAGCCGCAGGAGCAGUAACAGCAGUCACUGUCACUGGUGGUGAGCCUUGUGCUUGGGGGUCAGGGACGGCCAUGUGCCUUCUGCCAAGUUGCUGGUGGUUGCGGAGGAGGCAGCCAGCCAUCUGAUCUGAGCCGUGCAGACUAUACCUGGGCAACGGGCCGGCCCGGCCCGGCCCGGCACGUUGCCUAACGGGCCGAGGGGGCCCGUCGUGCCCUGCGGGCCGUGCCUUACCGGCCUGCGGGCCUGACCUCCGGCCCAGGCACGGGCCCGUGGGCCAUUUUGCGUACCGGACGGGCCCGUCAGGCCGGGCCAGCCCAUAGCCCGUUAAACAAUAACAUAUCAAUAAACACAGAUUUAAAAGCAUAUUUCAAACACAUUCAUCAAUUCAUCACUUCAUCAGUAUAAAGAACACAUUCAAAUACAUAUGACAGAUGUAGAGAAUAGAUUUAGAUAUUAAAAUGAGUUAUUUUAUACAAUGUUGUUAUUUGACGGUGCGGCCCAAGCACGGCCUGCAGCCCCGUGCCGUGUCAGCCCGAGCCCAAUGACUUUCGGGCCGGGCCGGGCUAGGGCCGGGCCAAAAUGACGGGCUUCGGGCCGUGCUCACGGGCUCGGGCUGCAUGCCCAGGUAUAGUGCAGACUGCUGCGAGCGAGCGAGAGAGAUGAGGUGUCUACUGUAUCGAUAAUUGGGAGUCUUGUCUUUCUUAUCUGCUCCCCUUUCCUCGCUGCUGCUCUCCCUCCCUCGUCUUUUGGGUUUCUGAGGCCCUGGUUUGCCUUCCCCACUGCUUGGCCUCCCUUUGCCGGUCGCUGUGCAAGAGCUGCAACGAGACACAGAUUCUCCAUCAUCCACAACGAGGAGGUGAGAUUCUUGCUGAAAGAUCGGACGGAGGGAGUAGAAUUGCGGGGGGUAGUCAGUGGUGGUUGCCAAUUGCCGCCAUGAAGUGUGUAGGAGUAGGGUCCAGCCGCCGGAGCUGUCGUUGACGACUUGGCGAUGCUGUGGUUUCCAGGCUGAGUGAGAGGAGAGGAGAGGAACAGGAUACAGAUCUCAGGAAGUUCCAUGAGGGUGAGCCGGUGCCCAAGCCUGUGUUCCGGUGCGCGAGGCUGAGCUUCUUGCCCGUUGCCCCCACGAGCUCAUCGAUGCGCCGCCGCCGCCACGGCUCGAGCUGUCCAGCGUGCUGAUGCGGAUUGAGAGGCAGGCUGUCCUGUCCGCUUUCUUUUUCUGGUGAGUAUUUUGGCCUUUUGCUGCACCUUGAUUGGCGUACUUGUGGGUUUCUUUCCCCUUGCCUUUCUUGGUGCUAGACUAGAAUAUGAUGGCGCUGCUGUUCUGUUCUUGCCAUGAUUGACGAUCCAUCUUGUAAAAGUUCAGCUGCUCUCUCCCCUGAAAAACAUGCCAUCCGCAUCCGUUCUGAUAUCACCACCUUGCGUACUUCUCUGUGAAUUUAAUGAUGAUGCAUACUCUAAUUGAGUGCCCAGAUAUGCUCCUGCAAAUCUGUCCAGUUUCUGCAACUUCCAUGAGCCGAACUCUCUCUGUUCUUAACCUGCUUCUCUCUUCCAUUUUUUUUUUCUUUUUGCUUCAGAGGUAGCUGCUUCGGCAGACAAAUAGGAGCAGCGGCUCAGAUUUUGGAUCCUGGCAUGGGCUCCUUUGGGAUGGACUGGAACCAGAAGGCCUCUGUGUUGUGGGACUGGGAGAAUUUGCCGCCCAUAGGUGCAAACAUGAGCGACAACCCCAGGAUGACUGCUGCACCUCAGGGUGAGGCCAAGUUUGCAGGCCUGGAGGCCACAAGGCAUGAAUCAGUGCAUUCUUCCUGUGGCACCUUCUCUUCCAGCUCGGAGAUGGGGUAUGGUUCAUCCAAGAGCUCCGUAUCUGCGUCGACUGAUUCUUCGCCCAAGGCCAAGGGGAACAGCAUGGAGCUCAAUUUUGCGCCUGCCAAAGCGCCUGACAAGAACACUGAUUCAGGGAAGGUUGAUGACGCCAGAACCUCUCCGUCGUCCGUGAUUGCCAUCAGCAGUGGAGAGCCAGUGCUUAGUCUGAAACUUGGCAAGAGAACAUAUUUUGAAGAUGUCUGUGGAGGCCAGAGUGUCAAGAGUUUGCCGUCAGAUACGAGUGCAGUGACUCCUCUGGCUUCUGCGAAGAAGGCAAAGUCAGCUCCAAACACGCAGAAAUCAUACUGUCAGGUUGAAGGCUGCAAGGUUGAUCUCUCUUCUGCUAAAGAAUACCAUCGGAAGCACAAAGUCUGUGAACCUCAUUCUAAGGCUUCCAAGGUGGUUGUUGCUGGUCUGGAGCGGCGCUUUUGUCAACAGUGUAGCCGGUGAGUUCUUUAGCAUGUAAUAAACCGAGCCUCGCUUUUCUGUGGAGAAACAUGUUUUCUGUUCUUUUGCUUGGAUCCAUGUCUUGGUAUCCUUGAGUAAGGAAGGAAAAAUGUUCUGCUAUGUUGAAAAUCCAAUUUCUUACAGGUUCCAUGGAUUAUCUGAGUUUGACCAGAAGAAAAAAAGCUGCCGCAGGCGCCUCAAUGAUCACAAUGCCCGCAGACGGAAGCCACAGCCUGAAGCAUUUUCUUUUGGUUCAUCAAGGCUGUCCACAAUGUUCUAUGGUAGUAGUAAGCCGUUGGUUGCCUUGUCAUUUUCUGAAGCCAACACAUUAUUUAUUUUUCUUCUUCUAGCAACUAUUAUGUUUAAGAAUCUUAGGAAUGCAAAGCUGCAUAUUUUGUCUGUGAAAUUGAUCUUCUUGUUUAUUUACAAUUCAGUGUCAUGAUUUUAAGGUGUAAUUCUUUUUUUUUACGAUGUUAGAUGACAUGGUUACUUUGGCAGUGUUGGUAACUGAUGAACUCCAUCUGAGGGAGUGCCAUUUUGAUUUGUAUAGAGGGGCACCUUUGCUUCGUUCUUUUCAGUUUAGAUAUCUAAUAACACAUGAUUCAGUUUUGUCUACCAUGAUGCCAUCUCUCGAUAUGGGUUCCACAUUAUACUUCAGGAAAACUCACUUUACGUUUGCACAAACAAAUUGAUGCUUCGAAGACACUAGGAAGCUGAGUAAGCCUUAGUUCAAAUUUAUUAAGUCCAUGCCAUGGCCACUAUAUUUUCAGCACUUUGUGGUUUGUACGAAAACAGCUUCAACAUUAAUACUAUGCAAAUAAUUUGUUCCAUUGCUGAAUCUGUUAGCUUUAGCACUGAAUUUGUCUUGCCUUUCUUAAACAGACACAAGACAACAGACAAACCUUCCGUUUGGUCAAGGUCCUUAUGGUCAAAUGAGAAGCUGUGCAAAUUCUUCAUGGGAUAACCCAGUAGGAGGCUUCAAAUUUGCAGAAACAAAAGCUCCUUGGUUAAGAGCUGCUGGUGUUGAUGGUUUGCAUCUAUCAAGUCAGCAGGUGUGGAACAACUUUAUGCCACAUGGUGUCCAUCAAGAUUUUGAUGGGUUCACGGCUUUUAAAGAAACCAGUGCAAAAGUCCUUGAUCAAGGUAAUUUUUCAUCUGUACUUAUGAACCGAUGGUUAGUCACUUGCUUGAAAAACUGUUUCUCCUGAAAUUCCAAACCAGGGAAAAUUCGUAGAUAGGUGCACCUAUAGUGUUUAUUAUUUUAGGAGCCUUUCAUAAAAUAUAUUCUUUUGUCUCUGUGUUAGUGUACACAAUUUGUUAGUGCCAGAUUUGAAGUUUUAGGACUUAUAAUAUGUACCUGUAUCAUUCAUAUACGUUUGCAUCACACUAGUAUAUAGCAUGUUUCUGAAUUUGCAUUUGCAGUCUGAGAACCUUUCUUUGGAAGGGACGAGGUCGGAGCCUGACUGCUAGGCCAUAUUUUCCAUGUAUUUAUCUUGGUCAGUUAAUGACCAUCAGUCACCAUAUUUUAGUAACAUCCAAGUAAUCUAUUUUUUGCUUUUGUACUAGCUUAUUGCAACAUGAUGCGUUUUUACUCAAGGCUUGAACACACUAGCAUAUGAUUUAUGUUUUGCAAGUGCUGAGUCAGCAAAGACCUGCAGUCUCAUCUGAAUUGCCAACAUCAGUAACUGCCACCUAAACCUUGAUUUGACUCUUUCAUAACAUGGCCAAAGGAUACAGCACGCUAAGCCAACUUUUCAGAAUCAGACCCCACUGCACCAUAAUUGGGACCUAGGACGGUUUGUAUUGAUCUCUGUGUAAGGUGGGGGGUUUAUAUCAUGGUUGGUUCCCAAAUUUGGCAUGUUGUGAUGGAUGGCACUCAUGGUUUCUUGUAUUGUUGGGGAAAACAGUAAGUAGCUAACUAGUGUCAUCCUCAUGGACAACAUGCUUCAGUACCAGAUUCCAGGAAUAGCUUAGCUGAUUGAUUGAUUUUGCUUCUGCUGCUGUGGUUGCUAAUGCUACACAUGCAGGCUAAGCCUAUAGAGUCACCGAGCCAAAAUGUUGCUAUUCUGUAAAUGAUCUAAUCAUCAUUGAUUUCAGUAUUGAUGAUAUCCUCUUCUAUAUGGAAAAUUAUUGACCCUACUAUGCUAUAGUUCUAUACUUUGACUAUGAAAUAUUUAUAACUAUUAUUCGAUUAACUGAAUUUCACACCGUGCUCUAUCUCAUAGUCAUAUACUCUUAUCAGGAAUGAUUGUUUCCAAACAAAUAGCCAAGACGUACAACAGUUGCAGUAGCAUAUGUGGCAUUUAUUAUAUGGAACCAAUAUGCAGUUUGAAUGAACUUGAGGAUUUUGAUUAUCAUUUGUUAUAUUGAACAAAGAUGCAUUUUCAACAAACUUGAAGAUUUUGAUUAGUAACAUGCAUCCUUUUCAGGCGCUGAAGCUUCUGCGGUUGUCUCCAACCCAGACGGAGCCCCGGAUCUUCAGCGUGCUCUCUCUCUUCUGUCAAACAGUUCGGCUGGUGCUGGUACCAACCAGCAGCCGACUGCUCAGCUGCACCACCACCAUGCUGGCCUGAGCACCCUCGCCGCCAGCUCCAGCUCCGUGAUGCAGGCCUCGUCACCAGGGCUCUGGCAAGACAGCAGCGGCACGGCCCUGGGCCACCACGCCCACGCACGGUUUCAGGCUCUCGAUGCCCCGGGCAGCGGUGCCGCCAUUGCGACCGCUCAGGAGCUGCUCCAGCUCCCGCGGUCGCCGUCCUUGUACGACAGCUCCUCGUCCCACUACGACCUGAUGCGCUGAUGCUUCUCCCUUCAGGCUUCAGGUAGAGCUUCAGACUCGGCUUCUGGUGUCUCUCUGGAAGUCGGAGUUUUGAAUGAACUGCUGUGUGUUUGAUCUGAAUCAACGAACAAAAUAAAAGGCCUGCACAAACCUAGCCUUGUUGCCAUGGAAACUCGUGGGAUCGCCAGGAGCUGCGUGUGCUUGAAUAAUCCACAGUUGUGUGACGCUAGCUUUCUAUUUUUAUUUGUGUAAUGUAAUGUAACUCCGUUGCUUGAAUAAUCUCAGAAUGUCCGUCUCAAAUUCUCGAUGCCUUGGAAGUUGGAUGGACCACUCUUGCCUCUGAUGAAUGAUGAUCCUAACCGCUGUUGUUUCCGCAACGAAGGCGUUAACUGCUGGCUGGAGAACAAAUGGACGCCGCCGCGGCGGCGGCGACGGCAGCCCGUGGCCCCGCCUCGCUCGUCGCCCGCGGGCCGCACCUCCCUCCCAUCUCCGGCUGCGGUCGUGCCUAGAGCUUUCCUUCCCCAACUGCAAGCUGCCGAUCUGCGAUGCAUCCGGCCUAGCUAUCAGCCUAUCAGCGAGCAGGAACCUCAACGCCGACAUCUCGCCGGCCGGUGGCCGCCCAUCCAGACUCCUAUUCCCCGCCGCGGCCUCCAAUCGAAGGACCCCUCCCGCUCUGAAGCUAAAAUUAUAUAUUUUUUUUUAAGAUUUUCCGUCAUAUUAAAUCUUAGCAUUUAAUAUAAAUAAAAAAAUAAAUUAAUUAUAUAGUCCUAUAAUUUAGGAGACAGAUUUUUUUAAAUCUAGUUAGUCAAUAAUUAGAUUUGUCAAAUACAAACCUAAUUUUAGAUCAUUCCUAUGGGGCUCGGAUCGACAACUAUCGCAGAAAGUUUUGCAAACCGCAACCUUUUACCAGAGAAGUUUCUAAAAAGCACGUGCCUCAUGGUGUCGUUUGUUGGAUUCUUAAUAAACACUCUAAUACAUUUUUCAUGUCACCAAACUUUCUAAGGAUCAUUGAGACAACAAAACUCUUAAAAUGUCAUUUUUAAAGAAAUACUUUGUUUGAUUCUAUCACUUUCACUAUGACUAGGAGUAGCCUUUUUACUCCUAGCUAAACGUAAAGUGCAUGAGCCUAUGUCUUAAUUUCCCUACCAACCCUAUCUAUAUAAGUUUGCUAUAAAGAACCGAAGAACAUCCCUUGCCUUUCUUUAUAUAUAGUCUCAUAGAGUGACAUCUAGAUCUCUAAAUUAAACUCUUUAUACGACAAGCUCUAACCUACUCCACUCCUCGACAUCGCAUACCAUACAUGCCUGUGGCUUAGCUCUUGACCAGUGGGUCCAAUGUGAGAGUUGUGCUCAUAUGUCGUUCUUUGUGCUUGCCCACCCUCACAUGCGGCUCAUAGAAGGUUGAUGAUAUGGACAUCCCUAUGAGUUGUCAUAGUAAUCUGGAAAGGCAAAGCACACAAGCGCAUAUCUUGUUGAUUCGUUGCAAGAGGUGGUUAGGGUAGAGCCGAAGAGCUUAUGUGGCGGCAAGACAAAGGAGCAAUACACGAGUGAAAGAUGCUUGGAUACAAGGUUUGCUUGGCCGCAUCCACACCAUAUUAUUGGUGGUUGUCUUCUUUCCUGAUCCUCCUAUAGAGCAUUAUGUUAGUGUUUCAUCACAGCCAAGCGGCAAUAUGUUUACGAGGCUAUGUGCAUCAUCCUAAACUAUAUGGUAGCACGAGACGCAAUUACGGGAGGAGGUAAUGCCCUAUCUUGUUUUAGUGAUCACAUUUGCUUGUGCUCAGAUGAUAAUAAGGUGACACUGAACCAAUGUUUUCUACCUCUCAUAUCAUAUAUGACAAGGCACCUUUCUUGUUCCUUAGAUAAGCUUCCUUAAUCGAUUACAGUAGAGGACUCCGAGAUUACCUGACUAAUAUCAAUGUAUUGCAUAGCUCAUCAAUAGCGCUACCAAUAGGCCCUACCUAGACUUUAUGUAGUCACGUUGGCCUAUCCGUGUCUUGAUGGCCUGACUAUGUCCACUAUGCACCUUCAAGGUGGAGGUGAACAAGGUAGAUAUAAUUUUGUCACUCUUGACAUGUAGGUUCUACGUCUAUGGCUGAAAUCCUAAGGAUUCACUUUGCAUGUCAUGUUAAGGUGUAGAGUGGUCGCCCCCUAUUCUCACAUCACGUGGUAAUAUAAUCGACAACUUUGAAUAUCUUCCCGCAAAAAAAGAACUUCAAAUAUCCAAAAAUAAUAUUUAAAAAUUAUACUUUGAGAGUUUCCCAUAAACAACAAGAGAGCCGUCCUAUUAUUUUACCUUUUUUACCCCAAAAGGCCCCCGUUUUCUUAUCAACCAUUCAAUCCGUCAACCUUUGAAGUCAAGGACCAUGGACGACGUCGACGGCGCGGUCGCAUGGGCGGCCAAGCGGAGCUACUACUUUACCGGUGACGGCGCCCACCGAGCACUACAAUACAACUGCCCGCAAACCUACGGAGUAGGCAGCUUCCGCGCACUGACGGACGCUGAGCUUGUCAAAGAGAGCCCGAGCCAGAGCCUCCACCAGUUGACCGCGGCACCGCAGCCAGCAAGAGCACGCAGAGCGCCAUGGCGUCGUCCGGAGGCGAGCACCACGAGGAGGCGGAGGACUCAUACGGCGACGCCGCCACCAUAGGCGCCCUGCGGCAGCUGUACGCGGGGUACGCCUGGGCGGACGUGGCGUCGCUGGGCCCGGAGUCGUCGGGCCGCGCCGUGCGCGUGCGCGGCGCGGCGCAGGCGGUUCGCGCCGUGGGGCGGCGCGUGGCGUUCCUCGUCCUGCGGCAGGGCACCGCCACCGUGCAGUGCGUGGUGGCAGGGGACGGCGGCGGCGGGAUGGCGAUGGCGCGGUUCGCGGCCGGGCUGAGCCGGGAGUCGGUGGUGGACGUCGCCGGCGCCGUGUCGCUGCCGCGGGACCCCGUCCGCGGCACCACCCAGCCAGCAGCUCGUGGAGAUCAAGGUGGAGAAGCUCCACUGCGUCAGCAGGGCCGUCCCCGCCCUCCCCAUCGGCGUCGACGACGCGGCGCGGAGCGAGGAGGACGUCGCCAGAGCCAAAGCGGCAGGGGAGCAGGUGGUUCAUGUUGGGCAGGACAAGCGGCUGGACUACCGGGUGAUCGACCUCCGCACCGCCGCCAACCAGGCCAUCUUCCGUGUCCAAUGCCAGGUCGAAAACGUAAGUUGAUCUGCUCCGGUCCGGAGACCAACUUGAGCAAAGAUUCAGGGCUGGUUUAGUUCCAAAAAAAAUUUCAAGAUUCUUCGUCAUACCGAAUCUUUGAAUGCAAGCAUUAAAUAUAGAUGAAAAUAAAAAUUAAUUGUACAAUUUAUUUAUAAUUUACGAGACGAAUCUUUUGAGUCUAGUUAAUUUAUGAUUAGAGAAUAAUUGUCAAAUAGAAACGAAAAUGCUACGGCUAAAACCAAAAAAAUUCGCUAACUAAACAACGCCUCAUAUAUGUAUGUAUGCAACUACGACAGACUGACAGCGCUGCAUGCAACAAAUCGAUCGAUGUACAGGUGUUCAGGCAGGUGCUGCUGUCGGAAGGGUUCGUGGGCAUCCACACGCCGAAGCUGAUCGGCGGUUCGAGCGAGGGCGGCGCCGCCGUGUUCAAGCUGGACUACAACGGGCAGGCGGCGUGCCUGGCGCAGUCGCCGCAGCUGCACAAGCAGAUGGCCGUGUGCGGCGGCUUCGGCCGCGUCUUCGAGGUGGGCCCCGUGUUCAGGGCCGAGGACUCCGACACCCACCGCCACCUCUGCGAGUUCGUCGGCCUCGACGUCGAGAUGGCGCUCAGGGACCACUACACCGAGGUGUGCGACGUCGUGGACAGGCUGUUCGUCGCCAUGUUCGACCACCUCAACGACAAGUGCGGCAAGGAGCUGGAGGCCAUCCACAGGCAGUACCCGUUCCAGCCGUUGAAGUACCUGAGGACGACGCUGCGCAUGGACUACGACGAGGGCAUCCGGAUGCUGCAGGAAGCCGGGGUACACGUGGACGCCAUGGGCGACCUCAACACGGAGGCCGAGAAGAAGCUGGGCGACCUCGUCCGAGACCGGUACGGCACGGAGUUCUACAUGCUGUGCCGGUACCCGUCGGCGGUGAGGCCGUUCUACACGAUGCCGUGCCCGGAGGACCCGCGCUACAGCUGCUCCUUCGACGUCUUCGUCCGUGGCGAGGAGAUCAUCUCGGGGGCGCAGCGGGUGCACGUCCCGGACCUGCUGGCGGCGCAGGCGGCGGCGCGGGGCAUCGACGUCGCCUCCAUCGCCACCUACGUCGACGCGUUCCGGUACGGCGCGCCGCCGCACGGCGGGUUCGGCGUCGGGCUGGAGCGCGUCGUCAUGCUCUUCUGCGGCCUCGGUAACAUCAGGAAGACGUCGCUGUUCCCGCGCGACCCCAGGAGGCUGGCGCCCUGACAUUGACACCCAUCCAUCUGAGAUCAUCUGAUGCUGUUGUUAAUCUCAUCUCAUCCAUGCGAAUGAACCUGUAUGUAAUGAAUAAUAAGCAAACAUGUAUGUACUCUAGAUCGCCGAUUGGAUUUUGCAAGUGCAACUCUGACAGACUAUACAUCAGUUUAUUUUACAUCAACGAAAAGAGUCUAUCAAGCAACCUGAAUCUAGCUACAUUAUUUAUGCACACGGCACAGCCUUCAGUAUACAUUAUUGGAACUACUAGGAGAGCAUCUCCUGAACAUAGCUAGUAGUUGAGAAUUGAGAUGCACAUGCACUACUGCUUGCCAUCUUCCAGGAGGACCCGGCACCGGUACGCACCCAGAGCCCAAAUUGGGAAGAUGUUCCUGUACUGGGAGUAGCUGAUCAUGCAGUUCUUGUUGAACACUCCUACGAUCUCCUGUAUGUGUUAGGCAGUGCAAUAAUUAGUAAGCAUAACAAAAGGGUGAGAAGUUGAACUUAGAUUAUAUGAGUUCGAAGAGACCGGCCUGUUGUUACUUACUUGCUGAGGAAAUUCUCCAUCCUCUGAUUGCAAGUUGAUCAAAACCUUUGCUGCUCGGUGUAGAGGUGUUGGAUCUCUCUCAGCCUGUAUGGUACGGACGAGAUUUAAGUACCAUUCUGAAUGUGCACAUCGAAUCAGAGUAUCCAAAACCACAGGUUAAUUAACAGACCUGUCCUGCAUCAAUCAGUGCCAGCAUGGCCCAACUAGUGUUCACUGCAUGAGCUCGGUUGCCUUUGAGAUUGGUGUAAACCUGAUUGAGUGUGUAGAAAGAUGCAUGGUUAAUGCAAAGGUCUUUCCAAUUCCAAGAACCAAUACUGCACCACUGUUUUGCUUACUAGCAGCAUGUUACCAUUUCAGGUUCUACAUAUCGCAGCAAGCAGCUUUGCCAGUAUAUCCAUAAUGCUGUUAAGUGCUGUUAUUUUAAACAAAUUGACAGAAGUGAAUUUACCUGGUCUUGAGAUGAUAAAUAGCUUUCUCCCCAACCACCGGAAGGAAGAAGCUCUUUUGAUAACAGAAAGCCGCAUGCCUUUCUGAUCGCAGGACUGUUCUCAAAUGUUCUACCAGCAGCAAUUAGUCCCUUCACACCAAACCAAGUGCCAUACGUGAAGCAAACAGCCCAAGAGCCAUACCUGUUGGAAACAGAUAAACAAAUAGAGGAUUAAUUGGUAUUUUUUGUUUGCAUGAAGUCCAGAUACUGACCAUGAACCGUCGCUUCUCUGAACAUCCUCAAUGAAAUUGGCAGCUUUGCUGAUACAGUUGUCCACCUCUUUCCUGCGAUGCCCAGGGUAGAGUUUUCUGAAUGAUGUCAGGGCCUGAAUUGCUGCUGAUGUACAUUCAACAUACCUGCAAAAUGAGUUUUAUGUUUUCUUUGUUUUGUAAGUCAAAGUCAGCAUGGUGGAAAAGUUACCGCAUCUUACGGGUAAUCAAUCAUAAUGUCCCCAAAGGUCUCCGUAGGAUUGAUAAGCUGAAUAAUUUAAUAAAGAAUGUCAAUAUAGAUGAAACGUCAAAGAUUCAAGGAAUGCUGAUGAAUUAUACUGUUUUGAAACAAAGCAAAUAUCUUAUCAUGUAUGAGUUCAUCCACCUACCUCCAGCCAGGCAUAAGAUCUCGUGAGUUCAUAUGUCGCGAAGCCACCAUUAUCAUUCUGCAAAGGUUAACACAAACCGAUGAGAAAUGGUCCCUCUAAUGGAUUUAUUCAAAACACACAAGAACAAUGGAAUAAAAAAGAAACUGCAUAUAAUUUAAAUGAGAUAUAUUGACCUAGUAAUAAUGAGAGGGGGUUGCUGCCAAUUCAAGGAAUCUUGUUUCCACAACGUACACAGCAUAAUGUUUACAAAUUUACAUAGACCAUUUCGUUAAAAAAAAUGAUUCAAUAGCAACAAUUGUGAGAAGAUAAAGUGUUGGGCCAUGUUUGUGUAAUGGCCUAAUGGGCCUAGCCUAAUCUGAUGUACAUGUAUAUAACAAGAUAAGCAAUGCAGAGAACUCUAGAAGUUGACCAUUCUUCAUAAAGAAAAAUUCAGGAUGCUUACCAUAUAAGACAUCAGACAACUGACAGCAUCGUAAAACCUAUUAGCUUCCACCGGUUCACCAACAAUCUCAGGAGAAAUCUUUGAUAACAAUAAUGAAGCCUGAAGUCAAAGAACAAAAGCAAUUAAAUAUUUAAAACGUAUAAUUAUAAAAACAUGCUAGACACUAUACUGUCAAGAAUACUGGCACAUACAUGCCAUGGAACAAAACUGUUUGGUUCACGGGGAAAACGUAGGAAGAUCAAAGAAAUCAAGUUCCUAUAGGAAUUUUCAUUGUAGCAGUGUUUGGAACAAAGGAAGAGACCCAAACCGUUCUAGAGGAAAGGUAAUGAAACCUGCAGUUUUGGAGGAAACAAAAGGAUGAGGUCUGACCUCAUGGGAAUAUUUCUGCGGCUCAUGCGCACUCACGCACUAAUCUGCAUACUCCCUCCCUACAUGCAUGCACAGCAUGUGCUACUCCCUAGUCGCUACCUGCAUGCACAGCCAUGUGGGCUCCUCCAAGACACGUCAAUUUUUCUUAACUAUUACAUGUUGCUUUGUAGAGGAGUAUUUAGCUCAUAUUUAAUCUAAACAACUGUGUUUAGCACAAAUCAAUAGACUUUGAUGCUAUUAGUAUUCCUGUGUUCCAAACACUAGUUUCUACAAAAUUUCUGUAUUUUCUAAUCCUAUGUUUUACACAUCUAUUCCUUUGUCAUACGUGUGUUUUCUCUCAUUCCUGUGUUUUGCAUUUCUAUGUUCCAAAUAAGCCCCUAUUAGCUAUGUUUUUUUUAAUUUUUUUAUCAGAAACAGGAGGGGUGUGAGCCCCUACUGUGCUUUAUUGAAAAAAAGGAGCAAAAAUCCUUAUCAGCUAUGUGAGCAUAAAUAUUUGCAAAUUUACUAUCCUUGGUUAUAUAUGAAUGCUAUUUGACCCAAGCACUUUACCCAUAUAGUUUGAUUAAUGUGGAAAGAGUUUAUAGGUGCUGUAAGAACAAAGGAUCCUAGAUCUCAAAAGACAAAGUAUUUGAACACCUAAAGUAAAAUUCCUUUAAUGCUGUAAGAGUUUAUAGGUGCUGUAAGAACAAAAUAGCUUAUUGGUAAUGCUGAUGACCGAGUUCACCUUUAAUCCUUCUGCAGUGCAAUCAGAUACAGUCCAACCAUUAUCAGCAGUUGAGAAUGGCCAUGCACCUUUAGAUGUGUGGCGGUACCAGUCAUUCAGAUCACCAGGACAGUCGUCAAGAACCUUUUGUAAUGAAUAGCCAUUUAUCGGUACUGUAAAUAGACCUAAGGUUGAACCAUAUACAUACAUCAAAUGUACCUGCGAAUUCUUGAUGUAGCUGUGUGCUAGUUUAAGGGUGGGACCAAACUCUUUAAUAAGGUUAGUAGCCACAAUGGCUUGAACUGCGAAAGCUGUAUCCCAAAGUUGGCUGCCAUUAUAACCCUACAGUGGAAAUGGCUGGUUGGAUUGAAGAUGCCAAAACAAUCGCCAAUCCAAUUAAGAGAUAGCAAAACAUAAUAUGUUGACAGGUUUGCUGUUGCAGUAGCUGCCUAGAGAAAAGGAAAUUGGCAACGGAACAAGCAAUAAUCACCUGCAUCUUCAUGCCAUCUUCAGCAAGCCACAAGUAAUCAUAUACUCGUGGAAUGUGGAGUUUGAAUGCCUCUGAGUUUGGAUCUUCAAUCCAGCAAGCAAGCAUAUUUAAUACCUGCAUAGAAUUUCUUGCUGUAAUCAGCUGAAUAAUAUUGAGAUAUAAUCAGGAAAUAAUAUAAUUAUUUAGUAACAUGGUAUAUACUUCCGAUAAAAGUUUCACAACCUACGAGCAUAAAUCACACAUCAUCAGAUUUGCAGAAGUGAUUUAAGCCAACAGAAGUGGCUAACACAGUCAGAAAUAAACUAUACUCAUGACCCUGAGGAAUCAACAGGUAAAUGCACCAACAGUCCUUGAACUGGUAAGCGAGUAUCACUUAGGUCCACAAACUCUUAAAAUGCAUUUUUGAGCCCCUCUUUGUCAAUGCUACUGUUAUAUGUGAGUAUCACUUAGCUCAUUCUUAUAUGUUUAAGGGCUCCUGGUGCUUUUAACUUGUAAAUGAACUUCUAAAGUUGUCCUAAGUAAAACAAUUUAGAGUCUAACCAAAUUUAUGGAGAAGACUAUCGACAUAUGUGGCACUAAAUAAGAAAAUUAUGAAAAUAUAUUUCAUGGUUUAUCAAAUGAUGUAAUUUGGUGCCACAAUUCUAUAAAUUUAGUCAAACUUGGGAUAGUUUGACUUAGGAGAAUUCUAAAGGUUGAUUUAUUUUGGGAUAGUGGGAUUACAUAAUUGUUCUAGAAUGAAGAGAAAGAAAAGUAAUUCCAUGAUUUGAAUGGAUCACUCAAGUACUAUCUUGUUUGGCAUAAUCCUAUUGCAUGUGUAGUGGGUACAAUUAGCAAAAUAUGAUUAUUUUCACUGGUUGCAUGACAUAGAUCACAUGACAAUCAUAAUGCAUGAGAUGGUGGAAGAACUGAUAAAUCACAUAAUCAGCAACAAUUGUUUUAGUUCUCCUAGACAAUUCAGAAGGGAGGUAAUGUGAGAAAAAAAGGUGAAGAUGUUAUGGGGGAGGGUUCAUUAUUGUAAUGCCAUAGUUGUCUAAGCCCGUAGAAGCUGAAAGUUGAAGCACUGAAAUCACAAAAUGCCUCAGUUUUUAACUCUGAUUAUAGAGUAAAUAAAUCUAUAAAGUCUCUAGCAUAUGGAUAUGGCCAUGUUUUGCUUGUAGAAAGAGUAUGACAAAAUAAAAUUCCACCACCUGGUAAAGGUUCAACAAGCAAACAUAGCUCUCAAUUUACCUUGGUUACAGGACCAAUGCAGAUGUAUUGAGUGUUCUCAUCCUCAUAGUGAACAUGUUGCAUGACAAUUUCUAGAGCUUUCUCCCUCAAUUUGCAACCAGGCCAGUGCAUCAUAACUGGUUCAACAAAUUUAUGGAGAGAUGCCCAUAAGACAUCUUGAACAAAUGGGUGCGGACGGUACAGAUCUUCCUGCAACAUAAAUGUAUUAGAAUUCCUUCAGACAGAGGAUCCAAAAUGGGCUCCUCAUAUAACAAGGAAGAUAACCAUAAAAGUUCCUUAAGCUUCUAGAACUAAGCAACUUUUCAAAUAGCAUCACUUGCUAGUUAAUGAGUGCUAUUAAGGAUACAAGUUCCACAUGGUUUGGGUCAUUGGGUCAACUCAAAACUUGCUAAAAUGAACUAGAAUGGUAUGCAACAUAAUUAAUUUAGGAGGAGAAAUGAACUAAGGUAUCUGACCCACAAAACACCAUUGGGUAGCCACUCAUCCUUAACUUUUAUAAACAAAAAGGAAUUCAACAGCUUGACUUUGUGACAAGUUGUCCAAGUGACUAGACUAUGUUGUAUAAUCGAAUGAAAACUCCAUGACUUUAUAAUAGAUCAUCCACGUGUCAAAAUUGACUCUGUGAAAAGAUUGGCCAGGUCUCUAGAAUGCACUGUAUGCUCUAGUGUGCUUCUGUGACACACCAGAGUAUCAUACGGUGGGGAACAUUCUAGCAUAUUUCAUACUAGCUAUUAGUUGAAAAGGAUAUAUUAGUAGCCCGUAUAAUCUGGCAUCGGUAAUGGUGGUCGAGGGAUCAUUCGGUGGUGUCUCACAUUAGUCAACUUUUUUAAUGGCUAGUAGCCCCUUCACCCUUUAUAUAAAGUAAAACCCUUGGCUCAUUUGGAGCUUCUCUUCCACUCUAUUAUUCCUAGUACUUAUAGAGAGGAUAAUGAAGCAAUUGAAGAGCCAUCCAAACCAAGAAAUGAAUUUAAGAAUUAGCCUUGAGUGCUUGGCGAACUUGUACAAAAUUUGGUCCAUGUGCAUCAAUGCCCAUAAAAAAGGUUGCGCAAAAAGUUAAUUAACAAACCUUAGCACAUAUGUUGCGGACCUUGUCCCAAUCAAUCUCGUUGUAAGGGUCAUUGAAAAUUUCCUUUCUCAAUUCCAACACAAGUGGUGUGAUUCGGCCGACAAACCUCUUCCCAUAAAUGUAGCACAUAGGCAAAUACAACAUUCGACAAUGACACCACAUCCUCCCUACAAGAAUGUGUAAAGUGCAAUAGCAUAUCAGAAAGAAACACCAAAGAAACAUUUACAUUGAGUUGUUUGAUUGCUAGCCGAUUGGCCAAUUAAAAAUGGAAAAAGAGGAUGAUAUAUAAAUGAUGAAUUUUGUGAAAUAAAAUUAUUGGCGAUUGGAAUAUUCAAUUAAGGCAUACUACAUUUAACCUCUAGGAUCGAUUAGCAAUCUUUACCAUUGAGUGGUAGAUUGUAUAUAUACACCUAUAACAUACUAGAUUUAUGUAUGUCAAGAAAAAGAAAGCAGAACCUGGAUGAAAUGGCAGGAGAUAUGGUAGUAGCCAUAGUUCUGGUGGGACCGGGUUGUUACCAGACCAUUCAAAUACACCAAGUAUCUUAAAUAAGCCAGGUAAUUAAAAUGAAUUAAAGCAGAUCCAAGAAAAUGGAAGCAGCUAAUAAACAAAUAAAUAAGACUUAAUUCCCCACCGAAAGCCAAAACUUCCCCCAUGAUGCUAUAUAUGUUGCUCCACCAUGAUCUAAGAUCCAGUUUCGACCAUUCUCCAUGGCUCCAUCUCCGCUAUCUGGUCCCUCUCCAAGCAAUCUCAAAAUAACAUAGCUCAGUGCUGAGCCAAACAUGGUGCUCGGACCCUCAAUGUGCAUGCCCCAACCGCCAUCUUCAUUCUAAACUUGCAGUAAAAAAAAAUUACAUCACAUUUAGCCACUGUACGGAUGAGAAACUUAAUUAGGGAUUGAAUCCUUGCCUGAUGGUUAUAAAGAUAUCGACGGAUCUCCUUCUGGUGUUCUGGUGAUAGGACAAUGUUUAGUGCUCCAGUCACAUACAAUGUUAUGACCUGGGUAUAGGAUAAACACAAUCAGUAGCUGUUUUGUAAACCAAGAAACAUGAAACAUCCAUAUAAUCUAAAUCUUUCUUAAAAAAGCAGCUAAAUUGGUAUCACAUUUAAUAAAAAAAGUAUUGGUGGUCACAUACAACAUAAAGCAAAAGUGAGAAAGAAAAGAGAUAGCACAACUUUGUCUUAUACACAUGACAAGAUUAAUCACACAAUUAAUCGUAGGAAUUGAAUGCAUAUCCAAGUGAAGUAAAAAGUUGCAUAUCACUGUAGAGUUGGAGGAGGUACCAAGCCUGGCAUGAGGAACAUAGGACCACCAUAGUCCCCAGGCCAGUGCCCAUCGUGUGCCUGGAUAGUAGAAAAACGGUUGAGUGCCCUUUUCAAGGUAGUGGACACGGCUUCAACGGUAACAUCUUCAUGCUCAUCUAGUUUCAUCGCCAGAAGGUCCAGCUGAAGAGGAUUUUCUUUGGCCAACUGCAUGCAAUAUAUAAGGAGAGAAUAUAUAUUCCAAUUAUUUACAGGGAAGCAGAGCACUGAAACAUAGACUGCAGAAGAAAACAGGCUAAGUAUAGGAGUGUGUGUGCAUGUUGUGUGUGAGUGAGAGAGAAAGAGUCUAUUUUCCCUCUAAUACAUUGGUUCCCCUCUCACCACCUAUAUCUAUUGGGUCAACAAAUAUGCCUACCUAUUUUUUCCCUUCGUCUCUCUCCUCCCGCGUGCACACGGAACCUCUUGCCGCCGCCACCUAGAGGCUUCCCUCCCCGUCACGUGGUCCUCCCAGCGGCAGUCCUCCCCAGUGGCCACCAUUCCUGGCGCCGGUCCUCUCCGACGACCCUUUGUUCCCGUCAUGGUGCGUCUCUGCUCCGGCCACCAGCAUGGCGGGUCCUCCUCCUCUGUGGCACCCUGACCCAGCGCAGCUCUCUGCCCUGGCCACCGGCGCUGCUGAUUCGGCACGGUGGGUUGCCCCUCACGAACGCCGUCCGCGUCCGCAUUGCUCCCCACCAGCCCCCUAGCGAACACCCCUCCCACUGGUUGGUCGGUGCCCCCAUCCCCUCCCCGUGAUUGCGUGACUGCUUUGCCCGAGUUCGUCAAUGCCAAAAGAAAGAAGGAAGUGGAUGAUAUGUGGGCUCCACAUGUCAUUGCCUGUUAAACUGAAUUUAGGAUCCAUAAUUUAGGUAGUAUUACUGAAGUUGGAAACAAAAUUUAGUUAGUAUAAAAAUAGGUGGGUAUUUAAACAGAUAUUUAGGUAGUACUGCUGAAGAUGCUCUAAACAUAUGGUAUAGUAAAUCCUAUAAUCGGUAUCCCUAUGGACCCACAUUUUUUUUGACUAACCCACCUUUAAUUUGUGUUGUUAGGUUUGCGCGGGAGGACCGGAGGCGGAGCAGCGGAGAGCUGGUUUGGCUGGAUUGGGCCGGCCGGCCUGGUGUCGAGUAUGGAUGAAAACGGAUCGGAUACGGAUGGAUAUCACUGAUAUCAUAUUUGUUUUUAUGUUUUUAGUCGGAUUCGGAUUCGAAUACAGAUAGUGUCAACAAUGUCGGAUAAAAUACAAUUGGAUGUCGACAUCAUAAAUAUACAAUUUAAGUUUUCAGAUACGGAUACGGUAUCAGAUAUUGAACAUUUGAAUUUGGAUGCAGAUAGAUCUGGACCCUUCUAAACAAAUUCGAUCUCGAAUACGAUCAGAAAAAUAUUCAUACCAUUUUUAUCCCUAGUGUCGAAUACUCCAGUCUCGAGUGGUUUGGGGUACAAAUAUUAUUAUUCUACUCAGUACAUACAUAGCGCGUGCCACACACACACGAGAGCCCAGGCUCCAUCAGUUGACGCACCUGGUACCGAAGGCUAGCUACUGGAAGUUAACGCCAUGUUUUGGUUGCCACUAAUAAAUUUUAUCACGUAUCGUAUCAAAUAUUUUACACAUACUGAUAUACAUAAAUAUUAAAUAUAAAUUAUUUAUGAAACUGUGUUUACUUAAAACACAGUUAAUAAUUUACAGAAAAAAAAUUUAAAACUUAAUUAGUCCAUAAUUAACAUUAAUUCUCAAAUAAAAUAAAACUAUUAUAGUACUUGUUAAACUUUAACACCCACGACCAAACACUAUGUAUACAACGGGACCUACCUGGAUGCGCAUGAGCAGGUCGGCGCUGUGCUUGAGGUGGUGCCUGGUGUCGACGAAGGCCUGCCGCGCGGCGUCGACGGCGGGGUCGGGGUCGGCGGCGGCGUCGAACUCCCAGACCUGGCGGCCGACGUGGCCGUUCUUCGUGCGGAGCCCGCCCCCCCCGCCGCCGCCGUCCUCCGCGACCCGCAGGCGCCACAUCUCCGCCCCCGGCCGCGCCUCCGAUCCCUCCCUCAGAUGAUGCAGCGGCGCAGUGCCGCCGGCGGGCAAUGCAAUGCAAGCAGGCUGCCCGUUUUGUCUUUCUUUGAUUGCUUCGUGCUUCGAUUCCUUUCUCGAUCUGCAUGGGGUUUUAAAUGGCAAAAUUGCUCCUUUGAGUCACAACUCCGCUAAAGUACUUUGAAUACUACGUAGCUUUUCUGGAUGCGUACGUUCGUCCGUCGUCAUGGGCAUCACUUUCACAAUUCCACAGGGUUGACUGAUCUCUUUUUUAUAUGAGGUUUGUUACCGUGCUUAGAGGAACCGCCGGUUCCUCGUGUGAAAAAAAAAUGAUAGCCAUUAAUCUAAAAAAUAUAAUUAAAUAUUCUUAAGAGUGGGUGGUUUAGUAUUUUUUCCAUUCUCCCUAACAUACCCAGCCGCACAGCUCGAUCCGCUGAGAAGUUCUCCUCUGUGCUUUGUCGCCGUCCGCCACCCGCGCUGUUCCGAUAUUCUCCGUUGCGCGCCGCUGGUCGCCCCGAUAUUCGCCGUCGCCCGCCGCUCGCCACUCCUAGAAUUCGUUGUGGCGCGCCUCCCGGAUUUUGCCGCCGCCUCUCCUCGAAAUCACCGCUACAUGACUCUCCGGGGUCGUCGUCUUCACACAGCCUCCUACAGGAGCUCGCCCACCUAAUUUGGUCACUCAUCAUGGCGCUAGGGACUCUGGACUGCUCUGAAAUGGUGGUUGCCGGCUGCGGCGGAGUAGACGAGGGAGGACCGGAGGAGUGGUCAAUUUCGCUGUCGCCCGCUUCUCCGGAGGUCACCAUCUUCCAAUGGCCGCCUGCAGGAGCUCGUCCGCGUAAUGCGGCUUUGGGAGCUCCCGGUGCUGCUCCAAAUCGGCACAGCGGCGGAGGGGACGAGGGAGGAGGAGUGGCGGCAGGAGCCCGUUGGGACUUGUCAUGGCGCUUGGAGGAUUGAGGGGUGCGCCUGAAGAGGCUCGUCGUCCUACACUGAAGAAGCUCGAUACUGCUGCAGGGCAUUCACGUUGGGCAGCUGCUGUAGGUUGCUAGGCUAUUUUGAUUUACCCACGCAUAUACGCGUACUAACUAAGCAUAUCUGUGCUAACGUUACGCCUUACGGUAAAAGCCAAAGACAAUAUUUUUGUACGCACAUAAUUGUUUGUAUCGCUGGUGCAUACACGUCAUUCAUUGUCUCUAUGCUACAUGCUUGCAUAACUGCUGACAACACUCAACCAAUGCCCUUGCCAACAUUACGGGAUACAUUAAGUAACUUUUUCACACACAAAUCUAUACUAUAUUGUUAGAAUCUCCUAGCUGGCUAGAUUAUCCAAGUGUCAAAUUUGUUAUUAGAGAAGAGCCAAAAUGAAAAAAAAAAUAUGAAUACACGAAGGAACAAUAUUACCUGAAUGUAAAUAGAUAAUACACCUUUCAAGCCAAUAACAACAUAAAUAGAUUUUCACACAUGCACCACGUUAUAAGCAUAUUGCCCCACAAUAGCAUCUAGCAUUCUACACCAUAAGCAUGCACCUUUCGAAUUCAACCUGCCAUACUUAUAUGAUCUAUUUACUUCCUAAAACCAAACCCUAACUCUUUAACUCUCCUCUCAAACAAAUGUUUAUUAAUAGUUUGGUUGGAGUUUGUUGUGUGUGUGUGGCCUUGUUUAGAUACACCCAAAAAUCCAAAACUUUAUAAGAUUCCUCGUCACAUCGAAUCUUGCGGUACAUGCAUGAAAUAUUAAAUAUAGAUAAAAAGAAUAACUAAUUGCACAGUUUACCCAUAAAUCACGAGACGAAUCUUUUAAGUCUAGUUACUCCAUAAUUAGACAAUGUUUGUCAAAUAAAAACGAAAAUGUUAGUGUCAAAAUACAAAAACUUUUUGCAUCUAGGCCUUGUUUACUUACACCCAAAAUUAAAAAAACUUUUCAAGAUUUCCCGUCACAUCGAAUCUUUAGACGCAUACAUAGAAUAUUAAAUAUAAAUGAAAUUAAAAACUAAUUGCACAGUUUGGUCGAAAUUUACGAGACGAAUCUUUUGAGCCUAGUUAGUUUAUGAUUGAACAAUAACUACCGCAAACAAACGAAAGUGCUACAGUGUCCCGAAAAAAUUUCGGCAAGGAACUAAACAAGGCCCUAAAUAAGGCCUGUGUGUGUGUGUGUGUUGGCGACGGCGCUGCGCAUCGACUAUGGCGGACAAGGCAUCCAAAUGCUGCAGGAAUCCGGGGUAUACGUGGAACCCCAUGGGUAACCUGCAUGCCGUCUCUGAAAAACUGUAAUCAAUAUGCAGACAAUAGGCAGACUGGAUUUGAUUGAUUUGAUUCUCCCAACUACAGUAUACAAGUACUCCUUCGCCGAUUGGAUUUCAUUCUCCCAACUCUCUCAGGUGCGUGACUGGCAUCUGAGAGGAGCAAAAUUGCAUGGCACAGGGCAUACCAGGUACCAGCAGCACGGCUUUGAGACUGUAAUAAGUCAACUGGCAAUCGCGCAGCUCAGAACUACAUCACAUCAUUAGCAAAAGAACGGAGUAGACCUGAAUCUAACAUUAUCCCACUUUCAAUAUACAUUAUUAUUAUUAUUAUUAGAACUAGGAGCGCAACCCCUGAACAUAGCUACAUUAUUCCAACUGCCACAUGGCUACUCACAAAAACUGAUUCAUGAGACACACCUCCCGUUCCCCGGCAAGACAGUCCUUGGCGUGCCAAGAUAGAGCCACAAGGCAACAAAGUGCCUUUUCAAUCUAGUUGACGGGGGCACUACCACACUACUGCUUGCCAGACGCCAAGACUCGGCACCGGUACUCACCCAGAGCCCAAAUUGGGAAGGUGUUCCUGUACUGGGAGUAACUGAUCAUGCAGUUCUUGUUGAACACUCCUAUGAUCUCCUGCGUUGGGCGGUACAACAGUUAGUUAUGAACAAAAAGACGAGAUGCCCAUGCAACCAGCAAUUAACCCUGGUCAAUAAGACAAACUCUAAUAUGCAUAUAGAAUGAUGAGAUGUUUAGAUAUCAAUAAGACCACAGCUUCCUUUGUCUCAACAAUAUACAUGCCUAGAAUAUAACCAACCAUUUUUUACUAUUUGCUUCUAGAGCAAAGUUUUUAAAUUGAAAUUAUAUUUGAUUGAAGAAUGAUUAAGGGUAGUAUCUCUGUGGACCCAUUUUGUUACUUACUUGCUGAGGAAAUUCUCCAUCCUCUGAUUGCAAGUUGAUCAAAACCUUUGCUGCUCGGUGUAGAGGCGUUGGGUCUCUCUCAGCCUGUAUGGGUGAGGUUUAAGUACCAUAACGAAUGUACACAUCUUAUCAGAGUAUCCAAAAUUACAAUCUAAAUAACAGACCUGUCCUGCAUCAAUCAGUGCCAGCAUGGCCCAACUAGUGUUCACUGCAUGAGGUCUGUUGCCUUUGAGAUUGGUGUAAACCUGAUUGAGCGCGUCAAAAGAUAGUUAACAUAAAGUCCUUUCCAAUUCCAAGAAGUCUAUAUGUAUAUAAGUAUCAACACUGCACCAAUGUUUUGCUCUGGUAGGUUUAUAUUUCAACUGCUAUCUACUCGUACCAAACUCUUCGGAUAAAAUGAUGCGCUCUAAAUAGACAGGUUUUCUCUAGGCUUGGUGCAUUAUAAAUUAUAAAUCUAAUAAAAGCACGCUUUUCCAAAAAUCUUGACUUUAGCACACAGAUGAUGAAAAUUGGAAUAGAUAAACAUAUCACAGCAAACAACAUUGCCACUAUAUCCAUAAUACUGUCAAGUGCUGUUAUUUAAAAAAAAAACUGAUAGAAGUGAAUUUACCUGGUCUUGAGAGGACAAAUAGCUUUCUCCCCAACCACCCGAAGGAAGUUCUUUUGAUAACAGAAAGUCGCAUGCCUUUCUAAUUGCAGGACUGUUCUCAAAUGUUCUACCAGCAGCAAUUAGUCCCUUCACACCAAACCAAGUGCCGUAUGUGAAACAAACAGCCCAAGAGCCAUACCUGUUGGAAACAGAUAAACAUAUAUAAGGCAAUGAAGAAGGCUAUCUGGAGGCACCUUCCAAAAUAACUUGAGUCUGUUUAAUUGGUAUUUCGUGUUGCAUGGAGUCCAAAUACUAACCAUGAACCAUCACUUUUCUGAAUACUCUCAAUGAAAUUAGAAGCUUUGCUGAUACAGCUAUCCACCUCUUUCCUGCGGUGCCCAGGGUAUAGUUUUUUGAAUGAUGUCAAGGCCUGAAUUGCUGCUGAUGUACAUUCAACAUACCUGUAAAAUGGUUUUACGUUUCUUCAAUUUGUUUUAUAAGUAAAAAUCAGCACAAUGAAAGGUUACUGCAUCUUACGGGUAAUCAAUCACAAUAUCCCCAAAGGUCUCAGCAGGAUUGAUAAGCUGAAUAAUUGAAGAAACAAUGUUAAUAUACAUGAAACAUGAAAGAUUCAAGGAAUGCUGACGAAUUAUUCUGUUUUGAAACAAAACAAAUAUCUUAUCUAGCAUGUAUUUGUACUCAAUGGCAAAUGGGAAUAAUUAAGAAAUUCACAAGUCGCCUGAUUAACUUGGCGAUUGGAGUUCAAUACUUCAGAAAGUAGAAAAGUAGCAGGUAACUUCACAUUUCAGAGGGAGAGCAUGCGAACAUGGACUUAAAAUACUGCCAUGCUUAGACAUGCGCAGACAAAGGUGUCUGCAUUAUGCACGUAUGUGUGUUUGUGGUGCGGUGUGUGGAGGGUUUUGAAGAAGUUCAUCCACCUACCUCCAGCCAGGGAUAAGAUCUUGUGAGUUCAUAUGUCGCGAAACCACCAUUAUCAUUCUGUAAAGGUCAAUGCAAACUAAUGAGACAUGGUCCCUCCAACGGAUUUAUUCAAAACACAUAAGAACAGUGGAAUCAAGGAGAAACUGCAUAGAAUUUAAAUAAGAUAUAUGACCACAGUAUAAUAAAAGGGCUGCUGCCAGUUCAAGGAGUCUUCUUUUCCAUAACGCACACAAUGUUUACAAAAUUGAUUCAAUAGUAACAAUUGCAAGAAGAUGAAAAAAUUCAGGAUGCUUACCAUAUAAGACAUUAGACAACUGACAGCAUCAUAAAAUCUAUUAGCUUCCACCGGUUCACCAACAAUUUUGGGAGAGAUCUUUGAUAACAAUAAUGAAGCCUGGAGUAAAAUAAAAGAAGCAAUUACUAUUUAUUAAAACAAAUAAUUACAAAAUUAUGACAAUGUGCCAGACACUAUACUGUCAAAGAAUGCUGGAACAUAAAUGCGAAGGAACAAAGCUAAAUUAUGUUAGCUACGUGAGCUAUUUACUCAUGUAGUUUGCAUGGGAAGAAUUAGAGAUGCUGAAAGAACAAAGGAUCCUAGAUCUCAAAAGACAAAAUUUUAACCUUCUAAAGUAAAUUUCCUUAUUGGUAAUGCUGAUGACUGAAUUCACCUUUAGUCCUUCAGCAGUGCAAUCAGAUAUAGGCCAACCAUGAUCAGCAGUUGAGAAUGGCCAUGCACCUUUAGAUGUGUGGCGGUACCAGUCAUCCAGAUCACCAGGGCAGUCAUCAAGAACCUUUCAUAUUAAAAAGCCAUUUAUCAGUGCUGUAAAUGGACCUAAGAUUGAACAGUAUAGACAAAAAGGCAUGUCGCACCUGCGAAUUCUUGAUAUAGUUGUGUGCUAGUUUAAGGGUGGGACCAAACUCUUCAAUAAGGUUGGUAGCCACAAUGGCUUGAACUGCAAAAGCUGUAUCCCAAAGUUGGCUGCCAUUAUAACCCUACAGUGGAAAGAGCUGGCUCGAUUGAAGAUGCCAAAACAAUUUGCCAAUCCCAUUAAGAGACAGCAAAAUAUUAUAUGUUGAUUGGUUUGCUGUUGCACUAGCUGCCUAACAGGAAGUUAAUUAAUUAAAAGGAAAUGGGAAACAGAACAAGAAAUAAUCACCUGCAUCUUCAUGCCAUCUUCAGCAAGCCACAAGUAAUCAUAGACUCGUGGGAUAUGAAGUUUGAAGGCCUCUGAGUUUGGAUCUUCAAUCCAGCAAGCAAGCAUAUUCAAUACCUGCACAGAAUUUCAGAAAUUUGUCAAGCAACAUUAAGAAAUAAUCAAGAAAUAAAUCACAGUAUACACUUCUAAUAAAAGUUUCACAACCUAUGAACAUAAACUGAACAUCAUCAAAUUAACAGAAGUGAUUUAAGUCAACAAAAAUGACAAAAUGAGAGUCAGAAAUAAACUAUACUCAAGGGUCAAGACCGAGGAAUCCAUCCCAAACAUCAAGGCACUAACAGAAGGAUAUUUUUUGUUAAUACAAAUUGUUGGAGCAGAACGAGAAAGAAAAGCAAUUCCAUAAUUUUAAUAUAUCAUUCAAGUAAUGACUUGUUUGGCAUAAUCUUAUGCUGUUACCAAGGACUAUGGAUUGCAUAUACUGAACACAAUUAGCAAAAUCACGGUUGCUUGUAGCAUAGAAUGCAUUUAUCAUGAAUUAAAUGAUACAGAUCACAGGACAAUCAUAGUGAAUGAGGUGGAAGUGACAAAUCACAUAACGCACGGCAGCUAUUGUAAUAUUUAACAGAAAUCUGUGGUGGACUGAUAGGAAUAUUUUAGUCAGGCAAUUCAGGAGAAAGUAAUGGGUUAAAAAAGGUGAAGAUUGUAACGGGAGGGUUAAUCAUUUUAAUGCCAUAGUAAGCUAAGGCAGCACAAGCUGAAAGUUAAAGGAAGCACCGAAAUCACAAUCGCCUCAGCUUCUUUCUUAUUGGAGAGUAAAUAAAUCUAUAUCAAAAUCGCUAGCGCAUGACCUUAAAUAAGACUACACCUCCUUUUGUACUGGUUCAGCAAGCAAUGAUAUCCCUCAAUUUACCUUGUUUACAGGACCAAUGCAAAUGUAACGAGUGUUCUCAUCCUCAUAGUGAACAUGCUGCAUGACUGUUUCCAGAGCUUUCUCCCUCAAUUUGCUGCCAGGCCAAUGCAUCAUAACUGGUUCAACGAAUUUAUGGAGAGUGGCCCAUAACACAUCUUGAACGAAUGGGUGUGGGUAGUACAGAUCUUCCUGCAGCACAAAUGUGUCGAAACUCCUUCAGACAGAAUAAUCAGGAUCCAAAAUGGACUUCUCACAGACGAAGAAAGAUAUAUAAACAUUAUGUUCCUAAGUUUUCAGAACUAAGAAACUUUUCAAAUAGCAUCACUUGCCAGUUAACGACUGUUAAAGGGACUCUGAGACACAUUAUGUGAAAGAUGGAUCCCAUACUUACUAAAGAAGUACAGAUCCAGAUCAAUUGGGCCAGUCAUGGGAGUAACUGGUAACUUACAUGGUUUUUCUCGAACAAAAUAAACGAAGAGAGUUUCUAAGUAUGAGCAUACAUGUAAAGAAAUUUCUUUAAGCUUCUUGACAGUUUAUAUAUUUUAAGUAGAGCUAUGACAAGGUUGUGCCAGUAACUAAGCAUACUCUUCUUUUGGCAGUGGGAUUUCUGAAUGACUAAGGAGUAAGGACAGCCUUGGCCGAAAACAAGAUCAACUUGGAGACUAAUAGAUAACUAUCACACUAUGUGGCACCUCAUGCAAUGAAGUUGUGCACAAUUUGGCCUAUAUGAAUGAAUGUAUCAAUGCCCAUAAGAAACGUUACACAAAAAAGUUAACAAACCUUAGCACAUAGAUUGCGGGCUUUGUCCCAAUCAAUCUUGUUAUAAGGUUCUUUGAAAAGCUCCUUCCUUAAUUCCAACAGAAGUGGUGUGAUUCGGCCAACAAACCUCUUCCCAUAAAUGUAGCACAUUGGCAAAUACACCAUUCGACAAUGACACCACAUCCUCCCUGCAAGACAUUGUAAACCACAAAAGUAUAUGAGGAAAAGGAACAACAUAGCAACCAAGAGCACAGUACAGAAAGACUACGGGCCUAUGGUAAUGCAAAGUAGAUUGAUUGUUCUCCGAUUGGCACAUUGAAAAUGAAAAAAGGAAUGAUAUAUAAAUGACAAUUUUAUGAUACACUAGUAUCAUUGGUGAUUGGAACAUUCGGUUAGGGCUGAAUAUCUAUGUUUAAUCUUCAACAUGUACUAUAUAUACAACCUUUAGAACCAACUUAGCAAUCUUUAGCACUGAGUUACAGAAUGUAUAUAUACACCUAUAAUAUACUAAAUUUAUGUACACCGAGUAAAAGAAAGCAGAACCUGGGUGAAAUGGGAGGAGAUAUGGCAGUAGCCAUACUUCUGGUGGCACCGGGUUGUUACCAGACCAUUCAAAUACACCCAGUACCUUUAAUAAGCCAGGUAAUUAGAAGGGAGGUAGAGAGAUCCAAGAAAAUGGAAGCAGCUAAUAAACAAAUAAAUAAGAGUCAAUUCCCUACCGAGAGCCAAAACUUCCCCCAUGAUGUUAUAUAUGUUGCUCCACCAUGGUCUAAUAUCCAGUUUCGACCUUUCUCCAUGGCUCCAUCUCCACUAUCUGGUCCCUCUCCAAGCAAUCUCAAAAUAACGUAGGUCAGUGCUGAGCCAAACAUGGUGCUUGGACCCUCAAUGUGCAAUCCCCAGCCACCAUCUUCAUUCUACAGUUGCAGCAACAAAAUUAGAUCACCUUUAGCCACUGUAGGGUUGACAAAUUUAGAACUGAAUCCUUGCCUGAUGAUUAUAAAGAUACCGGCGGAUCUCCUUCUGGUGUUCUGGUGACAGGACAGUGUUUAGUGCUCCAGUCACAUACAAUGUUAUGAUCUGGAUAAAGGAUAAAUACAAUUAGUAGUUGUUUUGUAAACCAGAAAACAUGAAACAUAAGUUUUCCAUAUAAUCUAAGAAUGAUAUGUCUGCCACAAUUUGCCAGUUUCUAUUUAGGAGGCAUCCAAAUUGGUACUCGUAUUGACUCACUGAGCUCACAUAUAACAUGAGGCAUAAGAAGUGAUGGAAGCAAGACAGCACAAUUUUGUUUUAAAAAUAUCACAAGAUUAAGCACAGAGCAGAGAUUUAGUCAUAGAAAUGCAUAUCCUUAGUAAGCAAGUUGAACAUAUCGCUGUAGAAGAAGAGUUGAAGGAGGUACCAAGCCUGGCAUAAGGAACAUAGGGCCACCAUAAUCCCCAGGCCAGUGUCCAUCGUGUGCCUGGAGAGUAGAAAAACGGCUGAUUGCCCUUUUCAAGGUAGUCGACACGGCUUCCUCGGUAACAUCUUCAUGCUCACCAAGCUUGAUCGCUGGAAGGUCAAGCUCAAGCGGAUUUUCUUUGGCAAACUGCAGUGUGUAAAAGAGAGCAGAUGUUUCAAAUUCACAGGGAAGCAGAGAACUGAAACAGAGACUGCACAAUAAAGAAACGCUGAGCGCAAGACUGGACUGCAUUAGUUCCCAAAAACGGUGUCCAUUUCAACCAGUUCGUGUGGUACUGAUAUUUGCAUGGACAGUGAAAUGUUUUUUUUACUCCUAAAUAAAAGUGACAGUGAAAGGGUUACUGUGGUAAAGAGACCACACAGAGAAAUGGAGGAAUUCUGAAAUCAUGUGCUGUGUCAUUAUCAUCCCCCAAAACAACCAUGUGCUCAACCAUGUGAUGUGUCAUGUUUGCAUACGUCUGCAGUUUACAAAUUGCAAACUGAACCACGGCACCACAUUUAAAAGGUGCCGACAGCCGGUAUGUACGGGGAAAAAAACGGAGGAACUCCGAAAUCGAGACAAGAGGAAGGAUGAUCAACCCUGCAACCUGCGAGAGCCAGAGCCCAGAGCCCAUCCCGGCUCGCAUACCGCGCAUUAAAAUUGUAUACGAGAAUCCCAUGAACACGAGUUUUAUUAGUUCACCGGCCACCGGCCGGCCUCACAUUGAAAGCGACUGGAAAUUAAGGUAGCGCCGUCGGGCCCAUGAGAAUGUGCCAAGUAAGACCAUCACCACCGCCGGUUGUUCUAGUACGACGCACGGCACGACGGCAAGCCCGGCCACAGAACACGCCAUCCGUCACCGGCGGACCGACCGAGACGGCGACAUGCACGCGGGCGGGCGAGGGGCAACCGCAGCCGCGUGGGCGCAUCAGCGGGUAACGGAGCCGGGAGGGAGAGGGGGCAGGCAGGCAUUACGAGCGGGUAGCGAUCGGCAGGAAGGCAGGUAACCCCACCUGGAUGCGCAUGAGGAGGUCGGCGCUGUGCUUGAGUUGGCGCCUGGUGUCGACGAAGGCCCGGCGCGCGGCGUCGACGGCGGGGUCGGGGUCGGCGGCGGCGUCGAACUCCCAGACCUGGCGGCCGACGUGGGCGUUCUUCGUGCGGAGCCAGGGGUCCCCGCCCCCCUCCGUGAUCCGCAGGCGCCACAUCGCCCCGCGUCGUCCCCUCUCCUCCUCCUCAAUUCAAAUGCGGCGGUUGCCGGCGGACGAGCGGGCGGGGCGAGGGAUCCUGAUCCGCGGCGGACGGUCCUCUCCUCCCCUCCCCACCUGUGCGUGGUGGCGUGGCUUCGGGAUCCCCCUCCCUAGGGUCCUUCUCCUUCCUCUCCACGCUGGUGUGGGAUCGGCUCGGCUGCCUCCGCCUGCUGCGUCUCGUGAUAGAUGACAAGGGGAGUCCGGACAGUGGACAGGCUGUACGGUUGGCCGGAGUUGCUGCGGCCGCCUGCAGAGUGAGGGCGAGGGGUUUGGGUUUGAUUUGAUUUGAUUUGAUUUGGGAUCUGGGUGGGGUUUAUUAGGCAGCAGCCACCGGCGGAGCUUCACCACUGCUGGGUGCUCGUGCCGUCCCCGUGCGUCUGUGCGCGUGGCACGAGUCCGUUCCAGGAACAGGGGCGGGGCCCACGUUGCCGUUUGGAUCGCGAGAUGCUCUGUGGCCUUCUGUGUGUGAGAAGGUGUCCCGUAGCUCUUUUAUUUGUAUUUGACAAAUAUUGUCCAAUCAUGGACUAACUAGGCUUAAAAGCUUCGUCUCGUCAAUUCCGACCAAACUGUACAAUUAGUUUUUAUUUUUAUCUAUAUUUAAUAUUUCAUACAUGUGUCUAAAGAUUCGAUGUGACAAAAAAUCUGAAAAAUUUUGCAAAAUUUUUUGAGAACUAAACAAGGCCCAAAUGUUUCUAUGUUUGAAUGGGUGUUCUAUGUUAGAAUGGGUGUUUGAAUAUUAAUAAAAAAAUAAUUACAUAAGAAACUAUGAGAUAAAUUUAUUAAGUUUAGUUAAUUUAUGAUUGUAGCACUUAAGGUUAAUUGUAGACUAAUUAGAAUUAAAAAAUUUGUUUCAUGAUUUCAAACUAAACAGUAUAAUUAGUUUAUUAUUUUAUUAUUUUAUCUAUAUUUAAUACUUUAUGUAUAUAUCUAAACUUCGAUGGUAUGGGUAAAAAAAAAUUUUUGGGUAGGAAACAAAACAAGGCGUGUGCUUCCCUACCCCUAGUGUGGGCGCGUGGCAGUGGAGUGCUACACUAGCGUGGCAUGUGGCAAUGGAGCACUAUAGUAACUAGCUUAAAAAAUUCAUUUCGUAAAUUACAGGUAAAUUGUGCAAUUAAUUAUCUUUUUUAUAUUUAAUGCUCUAUACAUAUCGUGAGAUUUGAUGUGACGGAAAAUCUUAAAAACUUUUUGGAUUUUGGACGUAACUAAAUACCAACGUGUAUGAAAAUAUAUUUUAUUUAUUACUAUUAACAUUUUUUAUAGGAGCAAGUAUGUGCGUUGUGAUUGUCUGUGUUGUACUGUAUAAUUCUAUAAAAAUUACUAGCACAAUGUAACAUCCCAAAAAUUCACAUUCAAAAAUCACUCGUAUUAAAAAUUAUUUUCAAAAUAUAUUUCAAAAACUAUAAAAUAAUUUGAGCUCUAUAGUAUCUCCAUCUAAUCCAUCUUAAUUAUUCAUCUUUAAAUAUAACCUGCACAACAUGGCAUGAGCAUCAUAUGUCCGCUACUUAUCCCUCUUGCACGCUCGCUCUGCCCGAUACCCGACAACGGUGCGUGCGCCGACCCCACCACCACCAGCGCCGCAGCGCACUCACGUCCGGCCCCCUCGCCGAGCGCACUCGCUCGCACGCGCACCGCGGCAUGCGGGCCCCACCUCUUGCCUUUUUCCGUUCCUCUUUUGAUGUACAAAAAGAUAGCAAGCCGCAACGCACAACUAUACACCAUUUAUAUUUAUCGUGCACAAAUAAUAACAAGUACCAGUAAGCCUACAUGCAAGAAAGCAUAGUAGUGCACCCACACACACAUGGCUCAUGCAUGCAAAACCGCAGCAACACACGCGCUCGUACUUCGAUACGUGCCGACCAUCACACAGUAGCAAGUUAGGCACCGUCCAUCGGCUGCUCGUACCAUCGUUUCUGUGCAUCAGUCAUCUCAGGCACCCAGCACGAGAACCACCAUUAAUGGCGAAGCAACUAAGCUCACCGAGCAGUGCCCUCCUCUGGCCUAUAAAAGCCAAUGCCGAGCAGCACUACUCCACCGUGCCAACCACGCUGAGCCGUUAGCUCUGCAGCCACUCACUCGCUUAUCUCCUUCCUCCUCUGUUCUUACACAGAGAGAGAGCUGCGCCCCGUGAAUCUCCUUCUCUAGGCCACAAUCAGCAAGGUAGCUAGCCUCCAUCAAUUUUCUACCUCUCCUAUCCCUCUCUAUGUUCUUGUAUUCGAGAAUGGUAGUCUGAAUCAUCACCUAGCCAAGCUUUGACAGCCAGCAAUGGCGGAUGAGCAACGAGUGAUGAACGUAGUCACUGCUCUACCUCUCUGUCCUGUCCUAGUACCUCCUCUCUCUCUUCGUUGUCUCUUUAUAGUCUUAAUUACCAGAUUAGAAUGCUGACCAAAGUACACCUAGCACACAGCUCACGUCAAUGCCCUCCUCAAAAGGCCUUGUUUAUUUUAGUAGACAAUAAUCUUGUAAAAUUAAUAUCUCCUUCAUCUUAACUUCGAUUUCAACGAUUCUUUUUCCUAAAUUUAUCUAAAAUUAUGGUCUACCUCUCAUAUUAAUUUCAUGAUUUUUGGAGCUCAUUUAAAUUUAUAUGAUUAUUUAUCUGUGCUUGUUGUCUGUGUCGUUCGUCGCGUAUUUUAGCUGACGGAGUGAACGAGGCGGAAAACGAGAACGUUGGUGACGAGUACCGCGAGUUUGACGCCGAGGACCCGGACUGUCAGCAAAAGUUUGCAGAGGACGCCGACGGAGGCAAGUCCAACCGAUCCCUUUUGAUGCAUAUUGAUCCUAUUUUUAAACACAACCCGUAAAAGCCGUUUUAAAUAUUGCAUGUACGAUAUAUGUACGAAGUAUUUUCGCUGCUUAGUUAAAACCUGUUGAAUAGCCAUCCUUGAAUUGAUAUUACCCGUUAAUUGUCUUGUUCGAACCUAGGAACAAAUAAUAUGCUAUGACAGAAAUAUUAUUAUUUAGUAUGCUUAGGACUUGUUACUCAUCCUGGAUAGUCAUCGCUAUAUUUUUCAAAUAUAAUGAUUUUAAAAGUAAAAGGUGUGAGUGGUGAAAAUAAAUUGUGGGUAUUAUGAAAGGGUUAAUGAACAAGUUAUAGAUGUGAUUACUAUGAAGAUGGGGCGGAUGAGAUCUCUUUUGGGGAUGCCCUGGUGUUGUGGCUUAUACCUUGCGGGGUUAAGCGAGAAGAUAUCCGCCUUGUCUCGAUUAAGGACUGAGUUGAUGAUUCAUCUUGCCUAACUCAUUUAUCGUACAACCACUCGUCUUGCAUGGGAAAGGUGUCGACGAAAGCUAGUCGGCAGUCUACCUUGGGGUAUACCCACGGUAGUAGUUUAUCGGUAGACGGUGCGCAAACUACGAACUCGAUGGUGACGCAAGACACGGACAAGCUUUUUAUCCAGGUUCGGCCGCCGAGUUGGCGUAAUACCUACGUCCUGCGUCUGGUUGUAUUGGAUUGUGUUGAGAGAUAAUCUGUUCUAGGGGGGUCCCUUGCCCCUCCUUAUAUAGUCUGGAGGGCAGGGUUACAGAUCUGGAAACUAAUCUUAGUCGGUUACAAUUGCCAUGGAUAAUUCGAUAUCAAUUCCUAUUCUAACCGACUAGAAUCCUGCUUGAUCUCCACAUCUUGUUUCCUUGCGCAAAACUCCAAGCUGUCGGAUCAAGCCUUGAACUCGUCUUGUAAUGGGCCAAGCCUCCUGGCCCAAGUCUAGCCGUAAGGGUAUAGGGGUUUAUACCCCCACAGCUAGUCCCCGAGCACCAUGUAUUGUGAUGUAACACGCCGUCUUGAGCUUCUUCGAUCAGUGAGGCUUGACGUCUUCAGGAAAGUUGCCCGAACAGUUGCAACGGUAUUUUGACCAACUCAAAAGACAGUUGAUCAACAUUGACAUCGAAGAAGCAGGUUGUUCGAAGAAUGCAUGGUGCUCUAAAUUAAAAAAGAUUUCUUUCCUGGUGAAGUGUGCCCACUUUACUUUUUUGUAAGGUAUUAUUCUCAAAAAAGCAAGCAUAUUCACCGCAAGGUGAAGUGUGCCCACUUAGUCCCCGAGCCUGGUAGUAGGUGACGUAGGCACGUGGUGCCAGGGUCAAAAGAAAAUUCCCCAAAGUAGUUUUGAGACUGAGAUGCAUCGCUAGAUGCAUCGUACCGAUGUAGUCCCCGAGCUUGCUGGAAGGCGAAGUAUGAGCCUUGUAGCAAGGUCUAAAAAAUUGAAAGUACCAGUCCGUCUGCAGUUGAAUAGACUAAUCGACCAGUCCCCGGGUGUACAAAAGUAUGACAACCAGGCCCUAAACACCAAGCGCACUCCUUAGAAUUCUGCGUUGCUAUACUGUACGGCCAGUCCCCGAGCAUCGAGCGCUCAGUGGUCGGUGCGAUAUAUUCAAGUUCGGAGCUGAUAGACUGGACGACCAGUCCCCGAGCAUCGAGCGCUCAGUGGUCGGUGCGAUAUAUUAAAGUUCGGAGCUGAUGGGCUGGGCGACCAGUCCCCGAGCAUCAAGUGCUCGUUGGUCGGUGCAGUCCUUGAAGUUCCGAGUCGAUAAACUAAACGACCAAUCCCCGAGUGUCAGGUGCUCGGUGGUCGGUACAAUCCUUUGCAUCCGAGUUGAUAGACUGGUCGACCAGUCCCCAAGCAUCAAUUGCUCAGUGGUCGGUGCAGUCCCCGGAUUGUUGACUCUGCCAUAUUUGUCUUCUUGUUUUUGAAAAAAAUCUUCCCAGUUAAAGUUGACGUGACAAGACCUUCUGAUGGUGUGUCAGAUGGAUGCAUGAAAAGUUGCGCCUGGCAACUGUGCAGCCGCCCUUUGCGUGGUUUGACAAAAGGAAACCAUCAAUUGGUAUGAAAAUUCCGCCGCAUUAAUUGCCUAUAAUCAUUGAAAACCGAAAUACCGCAUCCGCCGCAUGGCCCGCCCACUUCCCGAGAAUACAGGAAGUGGGAGGGAUGGAGUUGCGGGUUAUAAGAGCUGGACAGUUCCGCCCGUACUGCUUACCCUGCCAUUGCCAUCAAGCCUUUCUCUUUUGCCUCCUUCAAUCACCUUCGUCCUCGUAACCCAAGUCCACUUCCUCACCUCCAAUGGCGAAGAGCGACUCCAAGAAGAGAGCCGAACUGAUGGCCAAGGAGUGGAAGAAAUCCCGCAGCACCACCAAGUCCCUCGGUGACCUCGUCGACAUGGGACUCCUGCACAGCUCGGAGCUCGGCGGCUGGAGAGCGCCGGAAGGAGAGAGCUUCCCGGACCCUCGUGCCGGUGAGAUCGUCGUGUUUGAAGAUUUCAUUAAGAGGGGCUUUGGGGUUCCUGUUCAUCCUUUUCUUCAAGGUCUUCUUUUGUAUUAUGAGAUCGGGAUUUGCAAUCUGCACCCGAACUCAAUUCUCCUCAUUUCCACUUUUAUCCACCUGUGCGAGGCCUAUGUUGGCAUAGAGCCGCACUUCGAUCUUUUUCGUUAUUUUUUCUGCUUGAGGAAGAAAGGAGCGGUUGGAGGCUCCAAGGUUGCAGGUGGAGUAUACCUCAACCUUCGUGAUGGAAUGAAGAAUCGCUACCUGCACUGUCCAUGGAACACUUCAUUGACCGAAUGGUAUAGGAAGUGGUUCUACAUCAGGGAGGAACCGGGCAGCUCCACGUUCUGCGACGUGGGAUACAUUCCUGAGAAGAGGCUGAGCUGGACCGACCGCCCGGAGUUCGACGGUCAAGUGGCGGAUCUCAUGAAGCUGAUCGACUGGUCGCGCCUGGACGGGCUUGGCGUGGUCGGCAACUUCAUUUGUCGUCGGGUGAUGCCCUGCCAGAAGAGGGUGCACUCGGCGUACGAGUAUGCCAGAAGCGCGGACCCGACCAGGAUGCGGCCAGAGAUCUUGGAGAAGGCGGAGGUACAACAGCUGUUGAACGAGCUGUUCAACUUCGCGGACGGAAGCUUCAUCUGUGGCAGUGAUCGGGUGCAAGCGUUCAAGUUAGGACGACCAGCACCAAAGGUAUGUGGCAAGUUAUUUUGUUUUAGGAUUCGUUUAUCGUCUGCAACCGUCUUAUCUUUGUUGCUUUUGCAGAUCGGCGAAGUCGACCGGUGCAUAGUGUAUGUAUCACUGGCACCGGGGAUGGAGAAUCCUGCGGGAGAGGACCCGCCAGAGGAGGACGCUGCUCGGUGUACUUAUUACACCAGCAGUGAGGACCAGGCCCGCCCCGCCCUGACCACCGAGGAGAUGGUGGCGGGGAAAAGGCCACUGGCAGCGGAUCCUUUGCCGGUGCCAACGUUGCCGGCGGAGAGCAGCCAAGCGCCGAAGCGCCGUCGGCUCGUGCGGAUUGUUGACGACGACGACGAGGAGGAGGCCGCACCGUCGCUAGUUCGACGACCUCGGAGCCGCCCAGAUAGUGCGCCAGCCACUACUGAUCGGGUGGCCAGCGACCCUCCUGCACCGCGCGUUGUCGAGAUGGGAGCGCAGGUGCCAAUUGGCCGGACGAGGAGGAGGUUCACCGCGACCCACCGUCGAUCGGACCUGUAAGUGUUUGACUUACGUAUUUUGGCAUUAUUUUGUUUUUUUUAAUUAUACUUUUGUUCUUUUAGCGCGGCGUCGGAUGUCAACCCUGGCCAUGCCGCCGGCCAGGAGACGGGUGAGCCUGCCUGUGCUGCUGAAGACGCGGCGCCACAGACCACGGAGCAGCCCGCGGCUGCAACCGUGCCUGUGAGCACCGAGGAGCCCCCAGCUGCGGCACCGACCACGUCGAGCAGCCCGGCUAGGGAUGAGGGGGCUACAGAGGCACCUCCCCCAACGAACGCCGCAGAAGGGGAGAGGAGAGGCCCGACCCCUCCUCCCGUCGAGGAGAGCGAAGCCCCCACGCCGCCCCGAGCAAGGGCCGCUUCGACUACAGGCUCCCCUGGUCUAGCCCGGGGGCCAGUAAUGCCUUCGACUGCUACUGGGGGCAAUACGACGGGUGAGGAGGAAACCCAGGCGGCCUCCAACGACGAGGUGGAGGAGAUUGAAGGUCGUCCCCGCGAUGGCCGCCAACACGUGUAUGUGUGGCGCCAACGCGGGGAUCACUUCAUCGGGUAUGAAGAGCUUGCCGACACCGAGGAGGCCACCAGGGUCGAGCGUGCGGCCAAACGCCUUGUCGACGAAGUCAAGGUAAGCGGUUCUUUGCACUGUCGUACACUCUGUGCAUUGUCUUGCUUGGUUGUCAUAUGUUCGUUUUGUAGGGCGCGAUGAAAACGGCGAAGUACCGGAAACGGUGCUUCGACCAGAUAGAAGGCGUUGUGGCCGAGAACAAGGCCCUGGCCGCAGAGGUAGACCGGCUGCGAUCGGAGGUUGGGGAGAAAGUGGCCGAGGUGAAUGCCCAAGAGGAGCGUCGUCUCGAGCUUACCCGUCGCUUAGCCGACCAGUACCGUCAGCGAGAAGGUUAGUCACGCGCUCCAAGCACCUCCGCGUAGCUGUGUAGUUCGCUUUGCUGACCGGGUUAUGACUCACUUAGACCUGGAGGAGGAGGUGACGCGCCUCCGACAGGAGAAGGAGCAGCUCAGCCAAGAGCUUGCUGGAGCGCUGGAGUCCGGGCGCCGAGCAGGAGAGGAGUUGGGUCGUAAGGACCGGGAGCUAUCUGGUAAUACGCACCGCCUCGUUAUCUGCCGCUUGUCGCCCCCAUUGUGUUUUUUUUGAUAUGUCGAAGAUAACGUCCUGCCUGACUUGCAGUGCUCAAGGUGAACGCCAAAAAGCAUCUGGAUGAGCUGGCUAAGGACCGGGACUCCUGGAAGGUCAACUGUUGUAAGAUCUGGAAGGGAGUAUCCCCGGUCCUGGAUCUAAUCAGUCCCGAGCUCCCGAAGAGCCAGCCCCGCGCGCCGAAGUUGACUCCGGUGGAGAAGGCGCAGCGGGCGUGGGACUGGCUCCAGCAAUUUGUAAAGGACGCUGGUGAGUUCGCCGGCGCGCAUGUCCUUAGCAUGGUGCGCGCCCACUACCCCCUGGUCGACUUGACCAGGCUGGAGAAGGGGUACCCCAAGGAGGUCGGCCCGCAGGAGGCGGACGAGCUUCGGGGUGGUCUGCUGGACUUGUCGUCGAUGGUGAUCGGCGACAUCAAUCUGUGCGGAACAGCCACUCCCCCCGACCAGCCAGGCUCAGAUAGGUCGGCCAGGGAGCUGUCGGGCGCGUCUGUUGCGGGAGAUGGGCGGUCGACGCCUGCGGUCUCGACCAGCCAGGCGCCGGUGGCCCCGACUGUAACACCCUAGGUGUUUGUCACUUGCUAAGUACUAGGUUUGAGCUCAAACAUGACAAGUUCAAUGGUAAUAUAGAGGUCAAAGUCAAUCUAUGAAAGUAAACCCCAACUUGGGCUUGGUGGAUGCAACCUUGCUUGCAUAUAUGCCUUUUUAAAAGGUAUGAUUGGAUGAUGCUAAUGGAACCUUUUUCAUGUGUCUUAUAUCCAUCCCAAUCUAUGUUGGUCUCUGGAAAAGUUUGGUGAAGUUUGGAAUCAAGAAGUCACAUGAAAUGAUAAGUUAUAUCCUUGCCGGAAUGACUCUAUUAAGGAAAUAGAAUCAUGGGUCACCAACCAAACCUUGCAAACUUGCUCAUAUGACACUAGAUGAAUUAUACAACAAAAGUCGUGAAGGGUUCAUGUUGAGCUUAUGUCAAGAAAAUGCUUCAAUUGGCCUAAAAUCCUAUUUGGAGCUUUAUCGGGUUACUACUUUGACCAAGGUGAAAGAUUGACUUCGGUUGCAGUUAUGAGGUUUGACCCUAAAUUAAAGUUGUGGUUUUGCUUCUGUAGAAGAAACUUUAUUCAAAGGUCAAGAACCAAAUCAGCCUGCAAACAGUUCAAACAGAGGCUCGAAGUUCGAAUCAGCUGCUGUUUUUCAGCCCUGAGAAAUAGUUCUAAGUCCCUAGAAGGACAGCAGUGAGUUAGCUCCUUCGUGACGUUUUAUUAUGCAAAUUCAUAUGGUAACUCAAUUAGAUUCCUUAAUAUGAGUUGGACUACUCUUCUUGAUGAAAGCAAUGGAUCAAGUAUCAUCAAAUUUGGAGUUCAUUUGGGUAUCUAAAAGUAGCUCCCAAAACAGCAAAAAGUUAUUUUAUCACUAAACGGACGUCGACCCGUUGGCAUGCCGCGUUCUCGUAUUUUUGUAAAGCAACUCAAGCUGGUCCAAGAAUAAAAGUUGUGGAUAAUUAUUUGGAGAAGAGCAUACAAAAAGUUGCAUCAAGUUUGACAUGAUUUGGACCAUCAAUUCUUGGUUUUGCUAAUCACCGUCAAUACGUUGACACUCGUGACUUGGCAUCUAAUUAUCUCCUAAUCUGUUGGCCUAAUGACUAAGCACCCUUAAUCAAAGUUGGAGAGCAGGCCGAGGUGAGCAAACUUCAUUUUUGGCCCAUCUCCAAAUUCGGCCGGGAACGAGCCCAAAAUCGCCUCCCACCUUGCCUACCCCGACGCGCGCCACGUGCUCGACGAAAUGCCUGCGUGGUCGCCAUGCACCAGAGCGCGCCCCACCAUUGCUGCACCUCUGCUGCUGCUCCAUUUCGCGUUUGGGACAGCCAGAAGGGCUCACCACUUCCUCACUCACUCGCCUCCACAUCCCCCUCCCUCUAGCUCUUCUCCUCGCUAUCUCUGUGAGCUCCGCAAGGUGGUCACCAUGGCCACCAUGGCCAACCAGCAGAGCUCGAGCUCCUGCAGCUGUUGGCUGCAGCCGGCCAAGGCCAGGGCCGGGCGUGGCCAUGGCUAGCCGAGGCCAGGCCGCCGGCUGGCUCUCUGCUGCCACUGGUCGCUCUCCAACAGAGUCCAGAAGCCGGCCAUGUCCUCUGCUCCCGUAACAAGAAGAAGGCAAGGACCUCGUGUUCGAAUAAGAAACAACCCAGGGUUCCAGAUGCGAAUCCAAGACUCAUAUGAAUAGUGCAUCUGGACUGCAGUAGAUUUCGAGAAACUCCAGGGUUCCCGAAGCAAAAGUGUUUUCCUUUAUCUUUUCUUUGUGCAGAUUUCUGGAUGAACUUUAGAAAUUCAUAGUAAUUCAUAGAAAAGUCGUAAAAUAGCAAAUGUGGACUUUUUGGAAUCCUUGUAAAAUUCUCUAUGCAGUAGAUCUAUAAUAUGGCAUGGUUUAGUUUGAUAUUUUAGUCGUAAAAAUAGUUUUAUACAGUUAGGUUUUGAUUGCUUGUUAUAUUUGUCUUUUUUAUAACUGCUGUGUUGUUGCUCCAAUAAAUGUGAAAAUAUUGUGGCAUGCUUUUCAUAUGAUAUUUGAUCUCUGGCAUUUGUUUCAUGAAUUUAGGAUUGAUAGAUUAAGAGUUAUGAAAAUAACAAAUGCCCUGUGUUGCUUUGCUCCUAUUCUGAGUGGAUCUGCAUGUUUGUAUUGUUUGGCUCAGUUAAGUUGAGAAUCUUGCCUAGAUGAAAAUAUAUAAGUUUUAGUAAUUUUCAUAAGCUUUCCAGAAAGGUAAAUAGCACAAUUUUUGGUUAAGCACAUGUUUAGUUAUAGUGGUUUAAAGUAUUGUUUCAGUUUCUGUCUAAAUCCAGACAGGGUUGCAUUGUUUGUAAUGUAAGACCUUUUUAGUUGUAGAUUUAGCUGUACAUGUUUAUAACAAAGUUGUUCACAAUUAGAUAAGGUUUCUAGAAAGUAUAUAACCAUAAUUUAUGGACAUGUGAAACUCAUGUUAUGGGUGUUUAAUGUAGCAUGACAGAUUCUGUCUGUGUUUUGGACAGAGAUAUCUUCAUGGGAUUAAUUGACCUUGUUAACUCUAGAUUCAUAUUUAGAUGAUAAUAAGAAAGUUGUAGGUAACUUUAUAAGCUUUCCAAAAAUAUAAGAAUCAUGUUGGCUGGAGGUCUACAACUCCAGUUAUGCUUCUUUGAAUUGCCUAUCAGUUUUCUGUUUGUAAUUGUACCUCUACUGUUUGGCAGCAUGAGCAGUUUUAUUUGUGCAAUUAAUUCCAUGAUAUAAAUGAUGUUUUCUGUGAAACUUGUAUAUAUAAAAGAUGUAGAUAAAUUACUAAUAUAUCUUGUUGUAAAGUUUCAUGUCAUUUGGCUAAGUGGUUUGUGAGUUACAGUAGUAUGAAUUUCAUCCUUUAAAAUGCUUGUUCUCUGGAAAUUCCUGGACCAGAUUCUAUGGUUAUGCAUGUUUGACUUGGUUAACUUGUUAAUCAUACUGAGAUGAUUAAAUAUGAAUUGUAGAUAAUUUUAUAUUCUUUCCAGAAUGUCCUAUUGCAUAGUUUUUGGAGUUGUGUAACUCCAGUUGUGAUUUAAUUACUGAGUUGUUGCAUGUAUGUCCAGAAUUGCUGAAAUACAUGAAUGCUUGAUUGCUUUACUUUGUGUGAUCUAAGUAUGAUUCAUGUCUUUAAUGGUGAUUUAAGUAAUACACUUGUAAACUUGUUAAACUUGUGUCAUGAUUGAUAUAUUUGCUCUAUAUAAUUGGUUGUGUGAUGUUAGUUAAAUAACUUUAGAUGCUUGUGUCUUGCAUACUUUUAUGUCAUGCAUGUUGUGUUAUUAUUCUUUAUAUUCAUGCACUUGCAUCUUGCAUCUCAUCUAGGUGCGCUAGAUGAAUCACGUGAAGGUCUUGGUGUGGGAACAAACCCGAAGACGGUGUUGGAUGGACCCACCCCGAAGGUGGAAGGACUAAGCAAGCGUUGUGACCUUAGAUGUCACCAAGACGGAGCAACUAAUUAAACUGACUCCGUGUUGAUCCCAGGCAAGCCCCGGAGCAUUAUAAGUCUCCCACUACUUUUGAAUGCAGUUGAGAAUAUAUGUUAUAUAUGUAUUGUUGCAUUAAGUAUAGGAGUUGGGUGAAACCCUUACUGCAUAUAACACUCCUUGUCCAGCAAAUAUACCUAUAACCCUAUGUAGAUUCAGGAUCGAAUCUAAAUGCUUAGUCAUGCUUAGACCGGUAGAAGCCAGGUGAUGUCCUAUCACCUGAGUGAGAUAGGUGGAUACCUGAAAAGGUUGGCUAUAUAUGCUAUCAUGAAAAUAACCAAGUGAUGAGGAUGAAUAAUUGGAGACCGGGCGGGACGAUGGUAGAGAAGUAACAAGACAUGGAGGUCUUGGGUGCCUAUCUAUCCCCGCCUGUGUCGAUUAAGGACCGAUCGUUGACGGCCCUCUUGUCAUGUUGAACGCAUGCCCCACACUUAGCUGGAAGGAUAAGUCGUUCCGACCGCGAAGCCUGAGCACUAUCCGGGCCGGGAAUCGGCCCGAUGUACGCGCUGUAUUGGUGAUGGUUGAGGAGAACGACGAGGGCGCGGCGCGCAACCUUGGUAUACCUUGGAUACCUCGGUCGCCGGAACGGUCCUCGGGUACGGGCGGUGCCUGUCGAACCCGCGAAUUGGUCCUGGAUAGUGCAAUAUGGUGACCUGUAGCUCACUUUGGCCGGUGAGUGUGGUUUGUGUGGGGAAUAACUCGCCAGCUGGUUAGAAAUCGAUUCGAAUCGCCAUCGCUCCUGGACAGUGAGCACUUGACUUGAGCCACGUCAUCGUAGUAAUGAUUAUAGAACACUUGGAUGGUUAUGGUAUGAUGAUGUUGGAAAUGCCACAUCAAAUAUGGGUACUACUGUUGUAUCUUAAUCAAGUGAUUGCUCUAGUACAGGUGCUAAUAUAGAUGACAGGUAAUGAUUAUCAACUUGAGCUAAAUACCUGAAAGGUUACUUAGUUGCAACUUAAGCUUUUUAUGCAAAAAGUGUUGUCAAGCUAGCCCCACCAAUAAAGCCUUGCAUACUCCUUGGUGUCAUAUUAUUUCUGGUUUAUGACGGGUAAGUCUAGCUGAGUACCUUCUCGUACUCAGGGUUUAUUCCCACUUGUUGCAGGUUGUGAUGUAUCAUGGCUACUGCAAGAGUUGGAUGACUCCUAUCAUAUUAGAGGAGUAAGAUCAUGGGCAUGAUCCUUCUUAGUUACCCCAUCUAUGUUGCUUUUGUUGGAGUUGACCUGGAUACUGGCAUGUAUUUGAAAUAAGGGCAAUAUUAGUUUCAAAUUACUUUGCUUCCGCUACUUUUCAACUCAAGUUGUAAUAACUAUCUUGAACUCUGAUGUAUAUCAAACUACUUGUGAAAUGGAUGUAACAUGUGACUUGUUAUGUUGAAUCACUACGAUCUUGGCUUGUAAGAUGGUUGGUUUGAAAUCCCUCGUGAUUUCAUGGACUACCGGGUUUAUGAGAGUUCGAUUACGUUAAAGCAACUGCUUUGGCGGGAGUUUUUCGUAGUUGAUCUCUUGUAAAUUGGGCGGUUCUGUUACACCGACCCCUUCGUCCGGGCAGCAGGGCCAAACGGGUGAUCAGCCCGAGCAGUUAGGCCGAUAGGGUAGUCUGUAGGAGUAGACUAGCGUCUGCCCGUCAGGGUAUUUAUUGUAAACUUUGUAUAUGUAAAGUUUGUAAUAAAGUUUGCUUUUGUCAUGACUGCUAUUUUGAGCGCUGUACAAUUUUCUGAGUGACGUGUCACCGUAUUCGACUUUGUAGUCGUUGAGAGCUUCCAUUGCAGAAGGUUUGCCAAGAGUUCUGCGUGCAACAAAGUAUAGGCAAAAUAGAAAUCUUUAUUAUUGACAAUUAUAAGAUAUUUACAAGCGAAAGUUAUUAGAACUUAUGGGUAAAAUCGUCGAAGUUUGUCUAUGUGCCAAGAGUUAGGCACGCGUGUCCCGUCUGGGUAUGCCAAUCUAUAGGACGUGGGUCGUGUGACUUCAGCGACCACGAAGGGUCCUUCCCAGGGAGUGGAGAGCUUGUGCAUUCCCUCUUGACUUGUUCUCCACCUAAGUACCAGGUCGCCGACCACGAAGGAACGGUCCUUGACGUUCCUGUUGUAGUAUAGCCGGACCGCCGCGAGAUACUUUGCUGUUCGGAGACAGGAAUUCAAACGCUUUUCCUCCAUGCAGUUGAUUUCGAGUUCCCUGGAGUUGUCGGCUGUCGCCUGGUCGAAGUGUUCAAUCCUAGGAGAUCCGAAGGUUAUGUCAGACGGCAGGACUGCCUCAGAGCCGUAGACCAUGAAGUAAGGAGAUACUCCUGUGUUUCGACUGGUCUGAGUUCGGAGGCCCCAGACCACGGCAGGUAACUCUUUCAUCCAUCGACCGGGUGCUCUGUCGUUCUCGGUGUACAGUCUUUUCUUUAGGGCGUCGAUGAUCAUUCCGUUUGCGCGUUCAACUUGACCAUUGGCCCGUGGAUGUGCAACUGACACAUAUUUUAUGACUAUGCCCCUGUCAUCGCAGAAGUCCCAAAAUAUGGUGCCAGUAAACUGAGUACCCAGGUCGGUGAUUAUGCUGUUCGGGAUACCGAAUCUGUGUAUGAUCUGGUUGAGGAACUCUACAGCCUUCUCGGAGGUUGCUUUGACCAGAGGCAUGUAUUCAAUCCACUUGGAGAACUUGUCGAUUAAUAUGAAAACAAACUUGAAGUUGCCGGGAGCUGGUUUAAAUGGCCCGAUCAUGUCAAGCCCCCAGCAAGCGAAGGGCCAGGACGCCGGGAUGGUUUGAAUCUCGUGAGCGGGUACGUGGGUCCUCUUGGCGAAAAACUGGCAUCCCUCGCAGUGUCGGACCAGCUUUUCUGCGUCGUUGACCGCGGUUGGCCAAUAAAAACCUGCUCGGAAGGCUUUUCCGACCAACGUUCUGGAUGCGGCAUGAUUGCCGCAGGAUCCAGCAUGUAUGUCUUCUAGGAGCUUGAUACCAUCAUCUUGGGAUAUGCAUUUGAGCAGUACCUCAGAGCUUGCAUUUUUUCGCAUGAGUUUGCCGUUGACCAGGAUGUAGUUCUUUGACCGUCGAAUGAGACGCUCGUUCUCUGUUUUGUCCUGAAAGCCUGUCCCGUCUGUUAUAUACUUGAUGAACGGGGUACGCCAGUCAUGACCGCCGGUUGUCGGAGUGGCAUCGUCUAUGAGCAUUGCCUCAGUGGGUUGCUUGUCGACCAGGGGAGAGCCAACGCUGGGCUCGUGGAUGUCCUGGACGAAAAUACCCCGCGGGAUCUGGGCCCGAGAUGAUCCUAACUUUGACAACACAUCUGCUGCCUGGUUCUUAUCCCGGACCACAUGGAUGUACUCUAUGCCGUAGAAGUUGGUUUCCCAUUUGCGGAUUUCUUUGCAGUAGAGAUCCAUCUUUUCGUGGGUUGCGUCCCACUCCUUGUUGAGCUGAUUGAUAACCAAAGCAGAGUCGCCAUAGACAUAGAGGUGUUUGACUCCCAGCUCAAUGGCUAGCCUUAUGCCGUGCAGGCACGCUUCGUAUUCGGCGACAUUGUUUGACGCCGGAAAGAGGAUCCUAAAGACGUAACGCAGUUUGUCCUUGUUAGGCGACACGAACAAUAUCCCAGCGCCGGCACCGUUGAUGUUCAAGGACCCGUCAAAGAACAUUGACCAGUGGUCGGAGACAUCGGGAACGGGAGGCUCGUUGAGAUCCGUCCACUCAGCAAUGAAAUCGACCAAGGCCUGAGACUUAACUGUGGUGCGGCUCUGGAACUCCAGGGAAAAUGGGCAUAACUCCAUUGCCCAUUUUACAAUUCUGCCGUUGGCAUCUUUAUUGCACAGAAUGUCUCCGAGAGGGAAACUGGUGGUCACCAAGACUCGAUGGCCGUCGAAGUAAUGUUUCAGCUUUCUUGAUGUUAUUAGGAUAGCGUAUAUGAGCUUCUGUAUCUGUGGGUACCUGGCCUUGGACUCGUUUAAGACCUCACUUAUGAAGUAAAUGGGUCUCUGGACUUUAUAGGCAUGACCUGGUUCAUCUCGCUCGACCACUAUUGCUGUGGAAACAACCCGGUCGGUUGCAGCAAUGUAAAGUAAUAGGUCUUCAUCGGGCUGGGGCGCUGUAAGGACAGGUGGUGAAGUGAGAAAAGUCUUGAGCUGAGUGAAUGCGGCGUCUGCUUCCUCUGUCCAAGAAAAUUUUUCCGACGCUUUCAAGAUUUUGAAGAAAGGGAGGCCUUUUUCUCCUAGUCUUGAGAUGAAGCGACUGAGGGCGGCCAUACAUCCAGUAAGCUUCUGAAUAUCCUUGACAUUCUUAGGUGGCCGCAUGUCGAGUACUGCUUUUACUUUUGAAGGGUUUGGUCGUAUGCCGUCACGGCUGACAACGUUGCCGAGCAGUAGACCAGAAGGAACACCAAAAAUGCAUUUUUUGGGGUUAAGCUUCCACUUGUACCUAUUAAGCGCCUUAAAAGUUCGGUCUAAGUUGUCGAUUAGGGUGCUCGCGUCCCUUGUUUUUACGACCACGUCGUCUACAUAGGCCUCGACGAGGUCAUCACGAAUCUCGUCGUGGAGGCAUUGCUGGAUAGCCCGUUGAUAAGUGGCUCCGGCAUUUUUGAGUCCGAAGGACAUGGUCGUGUAGCAGUAUGCGCCAAAGGGAGUGAUGAAGGAUGUUUUUAUCUGAUCGUCUUCCUUUAGCGAGAUCUGGUGAUAACCAGAAUAGCAAUCUAGAAAAGAGAGGAGUUCGCAUCCGGCCGUUGAGUCGACCACCUCGUCGAUGCGAGGGGGACCAAAAGGGUCUUUAGGACAAUGUUUAUUGAGAUCAGUGUAAUCAACGCACAUUCUCCAUUCAUUAUUCUUUUUGCGUACAAGAACCGGAUUGGCGAGCCAAUCGGGAUGAUACACUUCUUUUAUGAAUCCGGCUGCUAGAAGCCGUGUUAUUUCUAUCCUAAUAGCCUCCUUUUUGUCACGAGCGAACCGUCGCAGCUUUUGCUUGAUUGGUCUUGCGGUUUUCGAGACAUUUAAGGAGUGCUCGAUCAGGUUUCGUGGGACACCGGGCAUGUCUGCGGGUUUCCAUGCGAAAACGCUCACGUUAUCCCUUAGAAACCUGACAAGCGCGUCUUCCUAUUUUGGAUCCAGAUUGGCCCCGAUGAGGGCCGUCUUCUCGGGGCUGCCGUCGACCAGCUGUACUUCCCUGUACUCCUUGGAUUUUGAAUUCUUCCUGGCUGUCUCCUGCUCGGGUAGUCGAAGCUGGUCGGGGGGCAGCUGCGCGGCUUGGGUCGUUGUUUCUGCCAUGCGGAUUGAGAGGUCUAUUGCUUCGGUGAUCUUGAAGCUCUCUUCUUCGCAGGUAUACGCGGUGUAGACGUUGCCUCUGACGGUUAGGACACCCUUCUCCGUAGGCAUCUUAAGGACCAGGUAUGAGUAGUGCGGGACUGCCAUGAAUUUUGUCAGUGAUGGUCGGCCCAGUAUAGCGUGGUAGGUCCCGUCGAAGUCCGCGACCACGAAGUUGAUGAACUCUGUCCGAAAGUGGUCGGGUGUGCCAAAUUGGACAGGCAAUGUUAUCUGUCCGAGGGGCACUGAGCUCUGACCUGGCAAAACCCCCCAGAAUUGGGCAUCGUAGGGUUUUAGUUGUGCAGGUGAUAUCUUGAGAGCAGGCAGGCUGUUGCGGAAGAGAAUGUCGAUGGAGCUUCCCCCGUCCACGAGCACGCGCUCGAAUCUGAUGCUGUUGAUGCAAGGGUCGAGGAUCAGAGGGAAACGACCUGGCUCUGGGAUAGCGGCCCACUGGUCCUUCCUGCUGAAUGAGAUCUCCCUGUGCGACCACGGGGGAAAUUUUGGGUCUGUGAUCAGCCCGUCCGUGCUGUCUAUGUUGAGGCAGGCUCUCUUUAGUAGCUUUCUUUCUCGCUUAGAUUCGAUGGAGACCUUGCCCCCGAAGAUGGAGUGGACCACGUCAGUGGGGCUGACGUAUUGGUGUCGGGGGUCCCUAUCUUGGUCCUCAUCCUCGUCUUCAUGGUCGUGCCCGUCUCGCUUGCCGUUUUUCUUAGCGGGGUCGUCUUGGGCGGCCCGCCGUGUAUAGAUGCUUUUGAGGACGCGGCACUCUUCCAUGGUAUGAUUAGACUUUGGAUGUAGUUGGCAUGGUCCCUUCAACGUUUUGUUGUAGUCUUCUUCGUAGUCCCGCCGGCCGUUAGGACGCUUGACCGUAUUUACUUCGUGGUCGUAGUCACGGGGGCGCUUUCCUCUGAAAUCGUCACGGUUGUCGCGCCGCCGAUCCCAACCUUCUCUGUGAUCGCGGUUGUCGGGGCGGCGGUUGUUCCUGUUGUCGUAUCGACCGCGACCUUCAUCUCGCCGGGGAGGCUGGUCGGGACCUCUCGCAUCGUCUCGGAUUAGUUUUUCUGCGUCGUCGGCGUCGGCAUAAUUUUUAGCUGUGGCGAGGAGCUCCGCCACCGUUGUUGGCCGUUUACGCAACAGCUUGUUCCUUAGCGCUUCAUGGAAACGCAGGCCCUUGAUGAAGGCAGAGAUGGCCUCGUCGUGGGAAAUCUUCGGGAUCUUAAGGCGCAUAUCCGAGAAUCGCCGGAUGUAAUCGCGCAGAGGUUCGUUCUUCCUGUCCCUUAUUCUUUCGAGGUCAUACUUAUUUCCAGGCUGCUCGCAUGUGGCGAUGAAGUUGUCGAUGAAGGCCUGGCGUAGCUCUUUCCAAGAGUUGAAGGAGUCCUCGGGCAAGCCAAGAAGCCACUGAUGACCAGCCUGGUCGAGGACUACGGGGAAGUAGUUGGCCAUGACGUGCUCAUCUCCCGCUGCUGAUCGGACGGCGAUUUCAUAGAGAGUGAUCCAGUUCUCUGGAUUUUCCUUGCCAUCGUAUUUUUUAAGUUUUUCGAGCUUGAAAUUGCGGGGCCACACGACCUGGCGGAGGUGUGAGGAGAACUGUCUUAGGCCCGGGGGGCCAUGGGUUGCAUCGUACUCGAUACGGCGCAGGUUUUCGUUGACUGCUCUCUCUGUGGCGCGCCUGUUGAUGCGGUCCCGGGCAUCUUUGGGAGGGAUGUUGUGCCGGAGAUCCCUGUGCUGGUUUACUUCUCGACCGCGUCUGCGGUUCUGCUCGUGAUGACCGUCAGUGUCCCGACCACCAUCAUCACGCCGUGAAUCUUUUCGACGUUUGUCGGGAGAGCGACUGUGGUGACGCCUGCUGGGAGGCGGUGAGGUCCGGCUAUGAUUAGUCUGGUCGGAGGUGGGUUCCGUGUAAGAGACGUCCUGGACUCUCUUGAGCAGAGUGGCUGUCUGUCCCAUUGCGGCAAUCAGGUGUGCUUGGAUGCUGGUCCGAACUCCCUGGCACUCAGGGGUAUCAGGGAGCCGAUCUAAAUUAGCCAUGGCGACAGCCACGUUGGCGCUUGGUGUCUUGUAGACUGGCUGAUCCCCGACCAUAUCAAAAGCGUCAUUAAGAUUAUGCGGCGGAAUUUGUUGUUGCUCGUCUGCGCGUCGUCGGGCGCGAUCGGCGUUGCGCUGUUCGCGGAGUUGCCUCUGCUCAUCAGUUUCUCCAUCAACGACCGGCUCGUCGGCGCUGAUGUUGAAAACAAUAUCCCCUCGCCGGGGGGGAAAUACCGGGAAACGAGGGAAACCCGGAGGGUGUGAAGGCAAAUCCAGGUCGUAGUCCUCUUCUUCGGUGUUUAUAACUUCGGUGGGGACGGAACCGGUGCUUGAGUUGGUACUGGAAGCCUGACCGUUCCGUAGUUCUUGGACUGUCACCAUGUUGACGUAGUGACGGCCGUUGCUUUUUGGCGACCAACCCGCUUUGCUGAAAGCGGAUUGGAUGUGCCGCGAGUAGAGAGAGGCCGAGUUGUUCAAGCCGCAAGGAUAGUCUCCCUUCUUGAGCUUGACGGAUCGUCCGAAGGGAGUUGAGGUUACCGUCAGAGACGUUCCUAGCCGUUCGUGUGUAACGACACGAGUUGGCCGACGGGAUUUGUAAAAAUCCGUUGGGGCAGCUUGAUCAGGCUGGCGCAGGACUCCGUCCACUAGCUGGGAGGCUUCAAGUAGCUUGGAAUCGGCGCGAUCGAGCGCUUGGAGAAGGUCCGAGCAGUCGAUCUUCUUUCCCUUGUAGAGCGGGAGCAGUGGUCGGGCGCUUGGUUCCGCCACACGGGUGGUCGGAGUCGACGUGUUCUCAGAUUGGAUCUGAAUUUCUUUCGGAACCGUGGUCGUGAGGCCGCCGCUGCGCGUCGUCCAUGUGAUCUGGCCGACGGUGAACGUGAGGCCUUCAGGCACGGCCGCGGAAGCUGGGAUCGUGACCAUCUUGUUCGCCGGAGAAGUUGCACGCACACCCCCUACCUGGCGCGCCACUGUCGACGAAAGCUAGUCGGCAGUCUACCUUGGGGUAUACCCACGGUAGUAGUUUAUCGGUAGACGGUGCGCAAACUACGAACUCGAUGGUGACGCAAGACACGGACAAGCUUUUUAUCCAGGUUCGGCCGCCGAGUUGGCGUAAUACCUAAAUCCUGCGUCUGGUUGUAUUGGAUUGUGUUGAGAGAUAAUCUGUCCUAGGGGGGGUCCCUUGCCCCUCCUUAUAUAGUCUGGAGGGCAGGGUUACAGAUCUGGAAACUAAUCCUAGUCGGUUACAAUUGCCAUGGAUAAUUCGAUAUCAAUUCCUAUUCUAACCGACUAGAAUCUUGCUUGAUCUCCACAUCUUGUUUCCUUGCGCAAAACUCCAAGCUGUCGGAUCAAGCCUUGAACUCGUCUCGUAAUGGGCCAAGCCUCCUGGCCCAAGUCUAGCCGUAAGGGUAUAGGGGUUUAUACCCCCACAAAAGGCUUAGUCUAAAUCCCUCUAGUUAGUAUGGCAAUCACCUGGAGGCAGGUGUGCAACGGGACACUAAGUGAUGUAUGUGAAAUUGUGGAAAUAUAUGAAAAGAGCUUUGUGAAUUAUUGUGGUAUCAUGAGAUGUGGCCUUAGUGUUCCCGUGGUGAGCGCCAUUACUUAGCUAUGGAGGGUAAUGACUUUGAUGGAUCUGUGCUUGCACGACGGUGUAAGUUGUGGUAUCCUACUUGUGGGAAAAGUGUACAACCUCUGCAGAGUGUAAAUCUAUCUGGAUAGCCGUGUCCGCGGUCUCGGACGGGUUAUGGUUUGGUUUCAACAACUAGAUUGGUUGGGAUGAGUGAAAACAUGAGAGUGAGUGUGAUUUUGGAAAUAAAUGGUUGACUGCCAUUGUGUUGUGGGAACAAGGGUUCAACAACACUUAAAAUUGUGAUCAAACCCCCAUUUUUUUAGAAAUACUAUCAUAUGUGGAAAAAAAGGUCUUUUACAACAGUAUUUGUGAAAUGAAACCUUGCAUGUGUAAAAAGAUAGCUUUAUGCAAAUAAAACUAAGCCUCAUCCUUGAUUUAUCCAUAUGCAUAUAUACUGUAGGGGGUAAGGUUGGAUUUGCUGAGUACUUUGUACUCACCCUUGCUUUAUUAAACAGAAGAAGAUCCAGACUUUGAUCCCGAAGUGGCGUUCGAGUAAGGUCGUGUCUGCACCCAACUAAGCCUGUGGCAUUGGGACUCGUCAGAUGUUCGAUUGUGAUAUCGUUUGUUUCUAGGUCCUUUGGACCUAUGUUGUAUUUUGGUGUCUUAUUAUUAUAGCGUGUCUUCCUUGUCCACGCUUACCGAGACUACUGCGCUGAAACUUAUCUGAUGUAAUAAAUGUGUUACUAGUCUCCUGGGACUAGUAUUGUAUCACAUUUGAGUUCUGGUUUACCAGGGGCGCUUCACACAAGAAUUAUAAUAUCCACAUUAGUGAGAUACAUCAUCUACUAUAGAUACAAUCUCUAAGAUUAUGCUAAUAAAUCUAUACAUAUAUUGUAUUUUUGCAUUAUCAACAUUAUAUAUAUAGGUUCUUCCUUCAUAUAUAUGGCAACACGUGGAAUCCUCCUAGUAUUUACUAUACAAAUACAUAACGUUCAAUCAAUGAUAUGUUAUAUUUUAUUAAACAUAUUUGGACAUAAACAUGGAUACUAUUUCUCUAUAAAUUCAAUCGAAAAUUAAAUUGGUUGACACCUUGAAAAAUGAUAUGUGCAUUCUUUAGAUGAUGACUAAAAAGUCAUGAUAGAAAGUACUGUUUACUAAUUUAUUGUGAGAGAAAAAUAUCAUUGAAUGACUAGUAGAUUUACUUGAUAAACUCAAUCAAACAGGCGGGAAGGGAGAAAGAGACAGGAGCAUCGCUUGCGGUGGUGAUCUUAUCAAGCAAUUUUACACAAUGAGGACACGAGAGCAUACUGUACGGACAACUUCAACAGUGAUAUUUCAGGCCCAGUUCAAUCAGUGCGCGGGCCCAGGGUUUCAUAGUGUAUGAUGUGACUAACCUUCCUACCUCUCUCUCUCCUAGCUGCCCCCAACCUCUCUCUGUCGCCGGUCCCCUAUCCUCCCCGUGCUCGCCGGUGGCAGGGCAGGUGGGUCGACCCUCUCCCUUCCUCCCUUGUUCCUCUCCUCCUCCUCCUCCUCCUCCUCCUUGUAAGAUUCAUGUAUAUUUUUUAGGAGUCCCGUGAUAGGUUCUCCUCAGGUGGUCACCUUUAUCGUCGCCGUCGUCGUUGCUGUUGUUGUAGCUCCUGUCGCCGUCGACGAGGCUCCAACCAAGGUACGUCUAAAUAAAAUAAAUCCGCUCCUCCGCAGCACGGCUCUCCCCUUCUCCACUUCCACCUCGCCUACCUCGCGUCGCCUCCCAGUUCCGUGCUCAUCCAACCCGCAUCCACCACAGAUCGCCUUCGCCUCCACCUCUACUUUGUAGCCAUCGAUCCUGCGGAUCCAGACAGCUCCUUAUCCGACGUUGGCACGAUGACUUCGUCUUCACCUGGGACCCAACUUGGAGCUUCAUCCUCUACCUCCGGCGCAACAACAAACUUAUCCUUCGGUCGCUCGGCGCACGCUUCCUCACCGGCUCCGUCGCCCCACCUUCAACUGACGCUUGGCGCGGUCUUCCAUCUAGGUGUAUGCGCCUUAGCGCCUCUACGGCCCCUCGUUGGCGAAUGCAUCGUCGUCAACAUCUCCGACAUAGUUGCUGUUCUUAUCUGGUCGUUGGACCUCGUUGUAAUUCAGUCUUUCUUGGAGGACCUUUGUGUAAUAUGGUUGCUUAAUAUAUAAUAUAUGCUAUUGUCAAAAAAUAGUGAUAUUUCAACUAGCUCAUAAAGAUCUACCUCAACAUUUUUGCUUAUUACGUGAAAGGGAGAAGAGCUCUCUUGUUUCUACUGGGCCUGAACAAACUAUGAGGCUAUUAGAGAAGGUCCAAUGUGUGUGCUAAGAGCAUCUCUAGCAGUGCUAUCUAAAUCAAACUACAUAAAUGUCUAUUUGGGUAGCCACCCAUUUUAAUACUACCUAGAUUUUGCUCUCAACUCCAGCAGUACUACCUAAAACUAGCUACCCAUUUUUGUCUUAGCAGAGAAUAACUUCUAGGUCUCACAAUCAAAGCAUGAAUGGGAGAGAAGAUUUGGGUAGUGUUCUUGACCCAACAUAAAUGGGUAGUGGAUAGGAGGAUUUAGGUAGCCAACAAAUUUGUUGGGUAGAAUAGGUAGUCUGCUGAAGUGGAUUUUUAGUCCUCUACUACUCAGAUUGGAGAUAAGUAGUCUAAAUAGCCUGCUGGAGAUGCUCUAAGGUGAUGCUAGAAGAAGAGGUGCAAUACAUUGCAUUAGAGAGGUGGCGUUAGCCUGGCAACCUUUGGCACCUGUUGCCUUUUGUAGCACCCGCCGCAGGAGAGACGAGAGAGAAAAGAAUAUUGGGAAGAGAUGUGGGGGUUGGAAAAGAGUAGUUUAUUCCUUGCGGGUCCGUUUAACUAGUGCUUGGAGAUUUUACAGGUUGGAGCAAAAUCGAACAAGGAAACAUCACUGGGCAGAGCAUAACACCGUGAGGGUGCAAAACGUUAAAGUUGCCCUUGUUGGGGCGUAGGAUGACUAGAUGAGGUGUGGGUGAGGGGAAAAAAGAUGUGGGAUGUAUAGUGAGUUGGAUUAUUAUUGGAUAGCCUUUUCUUAUGCACUACAAUCUUUCUAACAUGAGUUAGUCUCAUAUCUAUGGUAUUCUUUAUUUAUAUAUUUUCUAUUUUGUCAAGGGAGAGAUAGAUGAUUUAUGUUCUUCAUACAUUAGGACAGGCAAAUAGUUUUUUUUCAUGCUAGUUCAAAUUAAAGGAUUUUCGCAUAUCUCUUCUUUAUAUACUAUAUAUCUAGUGCUAUUUUAGAGCUAGCUAGGUCUUGUCGCGGAAAUUUUUGGCUUUGCCUAUUAUAGCACUUUCAUUUGUAUUUGACAAUUAUUGUCUAAUUAAUCACGGACUAACUAGGCUUUAAAGAUUUGCCUCACAAAUUAUAGGCAAAUUGUGCAAUUAGUUUUUGUUUUUGUCUAUAUUUAAUGUUCCAUACAUACAUCUAAAGAUUUGAUGUGACGAAAAAUCUUAAAAAAUUGAAAACUAAACCAGGCCUAAAAAAAGAUGGUAGGGGAUAAAAACGUGAAUUCCUUCUCUUUUUGUUCAGUUUAUCCACAUCAGUUGUCUACGUUGUGAGCACCACGCUGAGCGGCUGAGUUUAUCAAUUAAAUCUGUCAAACAUUCAAUAGUGUUUUUCUCUUAUAACAAAUCAACCAAACAGUACUUUCUAUCAUGCCUUAUGAACCAAACGAAUAAGGCUCAAGGAUGGGUUGGGAUUUGGAGCAUCCAAACCAGCUAUGAAAGCGACAUAGAUCUGGACAAUUGCCACCUUGUGAUCAAACAACUGUAGCAGUAUAAUGCGCUCCAUUGCUUCAAGUACAGAUGGAUGAUGGAUCGAGGCCUUGUUUACUUCCAUUUUUUUUUGCAAAAUGUGAAUAGUAGCAUUUUUGUUUGUAUUUGACAAAUAUUAUCUAAUUAUAGACUAACUAGGCUCAAAAGAUUCGUCUCGUCAAUUCCGACCAAACUGUGUAAUUAGUUUUUAUUUUCAUCUAUAUUUAAUACUCUAUGCAUACGUCUAAAGAUUCGAUGUGACGGAAAAUCUGAAAAGUUUUACAAAAUUUUUGAGAACUAAACAACGCCCGAAUGAAAAACGUCUCGGAUAUUCAUAUAGCGGACUUCACCAAGGCCUUGUUUAUUUCACCCUGAAAUUCAAAAAGUUUUCAAAAUUCCCUGCCACAUCGAUUCUUACGGCACAUGUAUGAAGCAUUAAAUAUAGACGAAAACAAAAACUAAUCACACAAUUUGACUGUAAAUCACGAGACGAAUCUUUUAACCCUAGUUAGUCUAUGAUUAAAUAAUAUUCACCACAAAUAAACAAAAGUGCUAUAGUUCUGAAAAAUUUUCAGUUUUCGGAACUAAACAAGGCCCAAGUGCUACCACCCUAUCAAAAAAAAGUAACAGAAAGGUAUGGGCAUAUAUAUAAUUCUUGACGGCACGGUGUAUGGUAUGGCAACGUUUCAACAGAAAAAGGCCUCACGUCAUCCAAGAGAUUGCGCGAAAAAUAUGUUUCGUGUCUUCUGGAGAUGCUACAAGACAAGCUGCGGCAGAUUUCUUAAAGGGUGCUUUGGUGCCACCUAUCGUCGAGGUCUGGUUGCCGAUUUCAACUAAUAGGUCUCGUUUAGUUUCCAAAAAAUUUUGUAAAAUUUUUCAAAUUUACUCUCACAUCAAAUCUUUAGACACAUACAUGGAGUAUUAAAUAUAGACAAAAAUAAAAACUAAUUACACAGUUUAGUUGAAAUUGACGAGACGAAUCUUUUGAGUCUAGUUAGUCCAUGAUUGGAUAAUAUUUGUCAAAUACAAACGAAAGUACUACAAUAUCGAGUUCCUAAAAAAUUUUGGAAGUAAACAAGGCCAUAAUACCAAACACUGCUUUACAACCAUCUCUGCUCCCAUAGGCCAUCUGGUAUCAACUACACCUACUAACCUGUACGCUCCUACGUAUAGGCCAUUUUCUAUAUAUUUUUGGUACAUUAGAGUAAGACUUACUUUCUCAUAAAUCCUAAGAGCAACUCCAAUAAAAUCUCUACUUGAACCCUCUAAUGUAUAAGUCGUAAGAGUAACUCGCCCUCAAAUAUAAAAGUAUCUCUUCUUUAUAUACUAUAUAUCUAGCGCAAUUCAGCAAAGUCUCUACUUUAAACUCUUAAAACUAAAUUUGAGGACUUGAGACAAAAACAUAGGUCCAAUAUAGAGCUCUCAAAUUAGAGCGCCCCCACCCUCCCCAAAUCAAAUCUCCCCUCCGGGCAUCGUUUAUACAGGGCUCUACUCCAAGCUUGCAAAUGACCGUCCCGCGCGUGUGUUUCACUCCCACUCUCCUCCCUCACCAGUGUGCUGUCUGCAAGCCUAUAUCACUACUACAAAUAUUUUUAACCAAGGCAGGCGUAAAGGGUUUACGAAGGCGGUUUUUACAACCGUCUCAGAUCAAAGGUCACAGUUAAUAUGACCUUUUCCGAGGCGGUUUGCUGCCCGCAUCGGUAAAUAAAAAAAUAUCUAUGGACAAGCCCGGCGAGCCCAUCUACAGGCCCGCUGAGCCCAUCCACACGUCGUCACCGACCAUCGUCGUUGUUGGAUACGCCACCGGAGACCGCGCCCACCCUAGAUCCAUCGCCAGGGGAUGAGCCCGCCCUAGAUCCACUGCCGAGAAGCGCUCCGGAUCUGAGCACCUCCUCGUCUGCGUGCCUCGCUGCCGGAUCCGGCUCAUCCGCCACCAGAUCCAACUGGCGGCUGCGGGGCCGUGCACCACCACAUGAAGAAGAGGGGUGUGCCGUUGCAUGAGAGAGGUGGAGGUGCAGUGCGGGUGAGAUGGAGGGUCUUGGAGACUAGGAGGGAGAAGGGAGGACGCGUGAGGGAGGGGAGAAGGGAGCAGGCGCCAUGAGGGGAGAUGCGAGGGAGAGGAGAAGGGAGGAGGCACCGGGCUAGGAGAAGAGAGGAGGCGUUGGGCUAGGAGAAGGAGGAAGAACCUAAGGUUUCUGUUUAUAUAGCCUAAUUUCUUACCGGGCCGAGUGGGCUCGGUCAUAUUAACCGAAACGGGCUUUAUAAGAGGCCCGCCUCCGAAAAUGGGGGUAUUUUUUUUGAGGCGGGGGCCCGCCUCGGUUAAUAGAUUUUAGCUUUUAACAGCCUCUGUUAAUCUAGGCAUUAACCGAAGCGGUUAAAAAACCUGCCCGCCUCCGCGACCCAUUAGCAAACGUUGCACAAAAGUUUUUCUGUAGUAGUGUAUGCAUCUUCUGCGUGUGUUUCUUCCCUCACCUGCAUGCGGAGCCCGCCCAUGUUUGCAAGCGCCGCCCCGCAUUCCUGCCCACCUUCUUGUGCCCAAAUCGUUAGCAGCUCAAACUGGCACCACACUGCGCUGCCAAGUGCUUUCCGUUCUGGCUGGCGGGAGCUCACUGACACAUCGGUAGAGGAAGCCUUUCACCACCUAUUCUGGCUCCUCCUCCUCCUCCGACUCCUCGCAGCACCCCUCCCUCGCGACAAUGGGAAAAAGCCUCGCGACACCCUUCCUUGGGGCAAUGGGGGAAGAAGAUCUGGCAAUGCUACUCCCGACCACUCCUGGCGUGUCCCUCCCUUGUGGUACCCUAUUUUUUUUGCCGAGACAUGGGUGAUUCCUUAGUGGUGAAGAAGAUAGAUAAGAGAGAGGAUGACGAGUGGGUCCUAAAUCUUAUUUCCUCUAAAUAAGUUUGAUGGUCUUAGGGCUCAUGCUUGAGGUGCAGCCUAGCUAGAAACACAUAGGACUCUCAAAAUUAGAGGGAUCAAAGCCCUCAGAUGAAAAGUAGAGGCCUUGUUUUGAAGGCUACCGCCAAAGUCGAUCUAACUAUCAUUUUUUAACAUAUACUAGUAUCACAGGGAUGGAUUUGGGUCAGAUCCACAUAGAAUCGAAUAUGGAAAGCACUAUUUACUACAUUUUAAUUCAAAUUCAAACUCAAUAUAGACACGGAUAUUAUAAUUCACAUUCGGAUUUGUAAGGCCUUGUUUAGUUCCCAAAAAAUUUUGUAAAAUUUUUCAUAUACUCCGUCACAUCGAAUCUUUAGACGCAUGCAUGGAGUAUUAAAUAUAGACGAAAAUAAAAACUAAUUACAUAGUUUAGUCAGAAUUGACAAGACAAAUCUUUUGAGACUAGUUAGUCUAUAAUUAGACAAUAUUUGUCAAAUACAAACGAAAGUGCUACAGUGUCGAUUUUCCAAAAUUUUUUGGAACUAAACAAGGCCUAAAUGGGCUCUACUUGAUUUUAAAACUAUAGAUAAAUAUUUAAUAAAAUUAAAUUUAUAAUAAUGCAUUUUGGAAAUCGUAUUAAUGCUAAUUCGACUUAAACCAGUUUGACUUAAAAAUGGCUAGAGUUAUAUUUAUUUUAGGACAAAGGCACAGUGCUAGUAUGUAGUAUAUGACGGGAAGCAGUAAGGCAAAUAAAACAGUGGAUCUUCUCUCUCUUUGAAAUGAAUACAAUGGACCUAUUAUAGGCUCAAUGUGCAACAUGUGUGGGACACCUAGAUAUAUAUAUAUAUAUAUAUAUAUAUAUAUAUAUAUAUAUACAUGCAUGCAUGGUUUAUUCUUGUCCACGAAUAUACUAGUCAACUCGUGGAAAAUAUAUAAUAAGACCUUAUUUGGAUGUAUUCGUAUUUAUAUCAAUCCACAUAUGUUUGGAUGGAUUGAAUGAGAUGAAUGCGAUAACAGCUGAAUAAGGCCUAAAUACUAUGGAGAAACAUGCGUGGCCAUUAGCCAGCAGAGCUGUGGAGAACUUGUGGAACAAAUGCUGUGGAGACUGGAGUCUGGAGAGCUCCCAUCGUCCAGCUAGCGUAUAGUGAUCGUCGCAUGCAUUGCAUAUGGCCGCCUUGUUGCAUCGGUACACAGGUACAAGCUGCUUUCACUAGGUUUCCUGGCCACAUCGAUAUCUCCGGUGGUCUCCGCUACCGCAGCGACAGCGUCGUCUCCCCGCUCGCCCCCAGGCCUCUCUCUCACCCGACUGCCACCACCAGCUGCAGUGCAGGCGAUCGAGGUCAGCAUUUGAGGAUUGGAGCUGAACCUGAACGGCGGCUGAGUGUGAAAUUCAUGUUUCGUUAUAGGAGUAGGAGCUAACUACUGACCCUGAAGGCUUUGCAUUGCAGAGAAGUUUUUUUCUUUUUUUUUUAAAAAAAAUGGAGCCAGCUUUCACAGUAGACACAUGUAUACUCUUCCUGGGGAUUAUUGACACUUAGCACUUUGGCAGGUGGCAUUACAGUAGACACAUGUAUACUCUUCCUUGCAAGUUGCAGCAAGGAGGGACGCUGGUGGAGGAUGCAAUGCACAUGCAGGGCAAGGCACUGUGAUGGAUCGAUGAACUGAACUGAUGGCACAAAAUCUCCUUUCACUGUGUCACAUAUUAACGCCUUGAGAUAAUUGUGAUCCAUUCUUUCAGUCCAUGCAUGUUGUCACAUGCAGCAUGGGUUUUGGGUUAUAUCAUUCAACUUGCACUAACGAAGACUUCAUUCUAGAAGGGGACUGAUAGCUACCACAACCACAAUGUAUACGAGUAUAUAUAUACUAGUAGAUAUUUGUGAAUAGACACAUUGAUAUGCCAUCAAAACUGAAAGCAGCAGAUCGAUCUCGUUUUGCUAACCACUUGGAAACUCAUCACCACAUCAUCCCUGCAGAUUUGCUCAGCCCUGGUAUAUGCUAGCUCCACAAGAAACUCUUGCCUUUUCCCUAAAAAAAAAGAAACUCUUGCCUGAUCAUCUGGCCAGACCACGGUUCUCCUGCUGCUUGCUGGUGUGUCCGUGUGCGGCGGGCAGGGCAGCAGCCUUGCCACCGGCUGCGUGAAGGCAGCAAGGUUGCAAAUUAUUGACAAGUCAAAGCUAGACCACCAACUGCAGGAGCAGGACAGGACGCCAUUGGAGCUGAACCGUACCUGCUGAUUUUUUUUUGUUAGGGCACUCCCAAUGCAAGACUCUAUCACAGAGUCCAAGACAAUUAAUUACAUAUUAUUUAUGGUGUUUUGCUGAUGUUGCAGUAUAUUUAUUGAAGAAAGAGGUAGAAAAAAUAAGACUCCAAGUCUUAUUUAGAGCAAGUAUAAUAAGCCUGAGUUGCAGCAUCUAACACGUCAUCAAAAUCCUAAGUGGAGCAGUGAGAAGAUAAGAGAGAGAAAGGAGCGGGCGGUUCGUGAAACGCUCGGCUGAAUCACAUGUUCCGAGGUAGAAGGGAGUCUGGUGCCAGCAACAACUCGGCGCUUGCUUGACCCACGUUCCAACUUUCUGAUCCAAUGCGCCAAUACUGGCCUCCCAGCUCCAAUGAUUGAAGGGCCACACGGGAUACUAGACCGCACUUGAUCAUAUACUGUACAGGCACACAUUAAAUGCUUACUCUCUGUUGAACCAACCUAAUAGCCGGCUAAUAGUUAGCAUAUUGUAUCAGUUGGCUGCAGUAUUAGCUUUAUGUGACGUGGCAAUGUCAUACAGUCGACUGCCGGCUAAAUUAUUAACCAUGCUCUUAGACUCCACAUUGUUCGAUGUAAUAAAUAACUUUAGACUCCAUGAUAGAGUCUGCAUUAAUGCAAGACUCUAUCACAGAGUCCAAGACACUUAAUUACAUAUUAUUUAUGGUAUUUUACUGAUGUGGCAGCAUAUUUAUUUAAAAAGAUGUAGAAAAAAUAAGACUCUAAGUCCACAUUGUUCGAGGUAAUAAAUAACUUUAGACUCUAUGAUAGAGUCUGCAUUGUGAGUGCGUGGAUCGAAGCAAACUGUCGCAAAAGGCUUUUAAUUGCAGAGAAACUUCUGAUUCGACGGCUUUUAAUUGUGCAGAAACCUCUGACUCGACCUACAGCUAGCUACCUGUACGUCAUUUCCUGGGAAUUAUUGGCAGUUGGCACUCAAAGUCAAACAGUAAUACAUUUGGCAGUUGGCGUAUUGAUAGUUACGACAAGUAUAUGUGAAUAAUGUGUGACAUAUUAAUACAAUAUAAAAGUUGAAAGCAGAUCUCGUUUAAUCACUUGGAGACUCAUCCCUGGCACAAGAAACACUUUACUAAGCAAGUAAGCAACAUCCACCGCAAAAUAUGGUUAUCAUCUUAGUUAUGUGCUACUUUCUCAGUACCAUUUUCAAAAAAAGAAAAAAAAAACCUGAACGAGAGGUGUCCUUAUUGUUUAUCAUCAAACAGGCAAAUAGAAAUGGAUGACAGAGCUCAGUGAAGGCCGUUUCUUACUCUCAGUGCUCUUCUGAUCAAGUUAAAUUUAGAUAAAUUCUUUUAUGCAAUAGUAGUGCAUGGAUUUGUUUAGGGCAAUGUUUGCAGCACUGUGUUCAAGUAUAUGUGCCAGAGUUCAAUAUAGCCAUGCACCUGUUUGUCACCAUGUUAUGCUCACAUGAACCCAUUUCUCUUCCUUACACGAUGCUGGCGGUAUACACCAUGAGCCCAAAUGGGGAAUAUGUUUCAGUAGUUAGGGUAAUUGAAGAUAACAGCGCAGUUGUAACUUCCAACAUGUUCCUAUAUCAUCAAAAUGUGAGCGUAGUUAGAAAACGACCUCAAGUAAUCAAAGACCAACACCACAUGCAUAUUAUAUAUAACACUGAAGGCUGUUGGUUCCACCCCUAGAAUGUCUAUGCAUUGGCUAAAGAGCUUACUAAAGAGGUUUCCAGCAUCACAAAUAAAAAAUCUAACGAAACAAGUGCUAUAACCAAGACAAACGGGUGGAUAGAAGUAGGUAAAAAUUAGUUGGGAAGGCCCAAAGAAGAGGGUUUAGUAGUGUUGUGAUCUUCUCUCCUGGAAUAGUCCAACCCCUAUGUCCCAGACCGAACACGGGAACAAAUUGGGAUAUCCCACUUUGUUGAUGUCUUGGCCCCCAACUAAACACAACUUAUGUAAUGAACUUGGCUGUAGAGAGAUGUUAUUUUUAGGGAGAGAGAGAUGUCUAAGGAAUGUGUCUAAACAAGAGUAGAUAAAGGGAUUUAUUUCUACUGUAAUAUGGGACAUUCAACCUGAGGAAUGUUCCUAGCUACACAUAGCUUAACAAGAUCGCCAGCACUCCAACAAGAAGAUGAUGAGAACUGGCAUUUGAUCUGAUUGUCGUUUAGUGUUGCCACGUGCUCUGAAUUUGAUAUAUACUCACCAACAUGCUUGGGAAAAGAAUACUGCUCGUUUAUUAGUUUCUCCACCCAAAUAUGAUAUACUCCUUCUAUUCCAAAUUACAAGUCAUUCCAACUUUCUUAGAGGGCCAAAAUAUCUCAAGUUUGAUCAAAUUUUAUAUAAUAAAAUAAUAACACUUACAAUAACUAAGUAUUAUUAGAUUCUUCAUUAAUUAUAUUUUCAUAGUACACCUAUUUGAUGUCAUAAAUCUUUAUAAUUCUCUCUAUAAUUUUGAUCAACCUUAAGAUGCUUUGACUCGAUCCCCAAGAAAGUUGGAAUGACUUAUAAUUUGAAAUGGAGGGAGUACCUUUUUAGCGUAAAAUACAGCUAGAGAGACGCGUAAAGUACAGUUAGAAAAAAAGAGGCACUGUACAAAAGGGAGGCUUUACCCAAGCCAAAACACACAAGGAGACCUGCAAAACUAGGAGAGGGAAUCUAUACAGAGGAGGAACUCAUGACAUUUGUUUUCACAAAAUGUACAAGCCUGCAAUAUGGCCUCUUCAUAGAAGAGGUGGAAGGACGGCCCAUCUCAAAGAUGAAGUUGUUUCUUUGCGAGCAAGGCCUUGUUUAGUUCCAAAAUAUUUUGCAAAAUUGACACUGUAUCUUUUUCGUUUGUAUUUGACAAAUAUUGUCCAAUCAUGGACUAAUUAGGCUCAAAAGAUUCGUCUCGUCAAUUUCGACCAAACUGUGUAAUUAGUUUUUAUUUUUGUCUAUAUUUAAUACUUCAUGCAUGUGUCUAAAGAUUCGAUGUGACUGGAAAUCUGAAAAAUUUUGCAAAAUUUUUUGGGAACUAAACAAGACCCAAAUGUGCCAAGCAGCAACGAUGAAGAUCUCCAUAAGGAGUGUUGGAGCUGUUGUUUUGCAUAUCUCGUCAUUUGGGGAAAAAAUCUCCUGCAAAGUCCCAGUGAAUUUCUAAGAGCCGCCAACAGGUUUGGCUGAAAGGGCAAUUGAAGAACAAGUGAAAGGCAGUUUCUUCAAUGUUAUUGCUGCAUAGAACACAAUUAUAAUUGUUGCCUUCUAGCUUAUGCUUCUUCCUCUUUAGGAUGUUCCUUGUGUUUACCCUAUCCACAAGAAGUAGCCAUGAAAAGAGUCUGAGCUUGUUGCAACAUUUAGAGUCUGAAAUAGGGUGUUGGGGGUUGAAUAUUCCUAGGGUCCGUUUAGAUGUAGAUAUUGGAAGAGCUGGAAUUGAAUUGGGUUCAAUACCAAUGUAGCCAUGGUAUUCAAAUGGCCAUAAUUCGAAUACUAUUGUUUGGAUGACCAUUGAAUUGGCUUUUGAAAUCCUAGCAAGCAGCUGAAAUUUGUUUUCUAUUUGGAUGCAAAAGAAUGGAAUUGGCUCUUCCUCUCCGUCUGCCGCCUCGGCUUGCUCGAGCCUGGAGCUGGCAGUCGCGGCUAUGGGGGAGGGCACCACUAGGGGUGGGGAGCUUGUGUGUCCGCACAUCUAGGAUGGAGAGCUCGCACGCUCGUGCAUGCCCUUCCUGUGGCCACUGGGGUGGGGGAGGAAGCCGCUGGGGUAGUGGGGUAGAGGAGGAAGCCGCCAGGGUAGGAGAGGAAGUCGCCGCUGGGGGUGGGGAGCCUACACCCCAUCGUGCCCGUCAGGGAGGAAGGGAUGUGAGUGGAUCUCGGCACUAUUGGAGAUGGAAGAGGAGCUGCUAAGAAGGAAGCUCGACUGGUGGGCAUCGUGGAUCUCAUGUCAUCGACCAUGGUGGAUCUUGUGUCACCGACCAUAGGGGAAGGAAGAGGAGCUCGCACCGCUGUCCAUGGGCAAGAGGAAGAGGAGCUCGCACUGCUGACCAUGGGGAAGAGGAAGAGGUCUUGCUGGCCAAGGGGAAGAGGGCGCUCGCCCGCGGGGAAGUGGCUGAGUGUCGGAUCCAGCACCACUCACUACAGAGGGGUCGGCCCCUUCCAGUUAUAGUUAAUUACUAAGGAAUUGGGUCUUCAAUGCCAAAUCUCGAUUCCAUGUGUAUCCAAACAACAGCAUUGAGAAAACCUGAUUCCAGUUCUAAUGUCUGGGCUCCAAUAUCUACGUCCAAACGAGGUGUAAAGGAAAUUGUAGAAUUUUGAGGAUGUAUAUUUAUUGGUCCCCCAGAUGUGAUGCAGUGGCGGACCCAGGAUUCGAAACUAGGGUAGUCCUAGUCAAAAAAAAAGUCUCAUGCUUAUCGCCAAAAUUAUUUAAUACAAUACCGUAAAAACUAAAAAAAAAAGUUCAGUAUACAUGACUAUAAAUUAACCAAACUUAGGCUCAAUUUCAGAAGUAAUGCUAUUUUUUGCAUUAUACUUCUAAAAAUGCAAUAUGAUUUAUUCAUGCUCAAUUUCAUGGAAAAAACAAGAAAUUUCAAUCGGUUCUAGGCUCACAAAUCCACACUCCCUAAGACCAAUUGGCCAAUUUACAGUCCAAUCUCCAUUUUGUAGUCUCCAAUGUCCAAAUCAAGUUUAGAAGUAAACACAAGCACUCACGACAAGACUCCGGAAGGAUCUGACAAUAACCUGAGAUAAAAUAGAGAUAAUUUUUUGGAUAAGUUGGGAGGAGAAGAGGGAAGGAGUUUAGGCUACGAGAGAGAUAGAUCAAUUGUUUUCCCUCCGUUCUUUUCAACCGGCGCAUCGGACCUACUAACAGAUAAUCUCUAUGUACACCAACCCAUGAACAAUACAAAUCUUCAGUUUCGUUAGAAACUCACCAGGGACUGCAUUAGGCCAGCGCGGGGCCAGAGCGCAUGGCGGACUGGGGCAUUGGGUAGCCGCCGGCUAUGCCGACCAGCUCCUUGGCGCGCCCGCCGCCGCCGGACUAGCGGAGCGUGGCCACGUAGGGCCGCGGGGCAGCGUGGCGUCGGGGCUGUCGCUUGGCGAGGUGGGCAGGCGGCGGCACAGGACGAGCAGUCGGUGGGCGGCGGCCGACGGGGGAUCCUCGUGCCGCUCGACCUCAGGGCUUGGCCGGGGGUCGGACGGGCGGUCGGCAACGGUCGCCAGUAUGGAGUCGUGGACUCACAUCUCGUGCUGGAGUAUAGACAAUGUUGCUUGUUUGGACCAAUUUUUUAUGGGCUGUAAAGUAGUAAACUUUUGUUGGGCCAGAUUUCAGGGUAGUCCUGGGCCUACCUGGACUAUCCACUAGGCCCACCACUGAUGUGAUGCCACGAAUCUUUUGUGUUCGGCUGAACUUGGAUAGUCUCAAUAUAGCCCUGGAGGCUUUGAUAUUUUUGAUAAGCUUGUUCUGAUAAUGGGAUGUGAAAUUGGUCUAGAUUGUUGUAUGUAAAAAGCUGUGAAACUAAGAUCUUUUUGUUCAUUGCAAAAGAGAUAAGUCUAAGAUAUUGAUUUGCAUUACAUUUUCAUUCCAUAUGUCAGAUGACCAGAAUAGGACGGUAGAUAUAUCUCCAAUGUUGUAGUUUGCAAUACCUCUGAAGAGAUCACAAAGCUUUAAAUAUCCCUCCACCAAAAAGAACCUUUUUCAGUUGUAGCAUGAGGGAUCUUCCCAUUAUAAUAAUGUGCAUGUCAAACUAAUUUCACCCAGGGAACCUCCUUCUUGUUGUAAAAUUUUUCUAAGUGUUUAAGAAAGAGAGUAGAGUUUUGACUUUUGAGGUUAAUGAUGCCCAGAACCACCUUUCCUUUUUGGUUUAGAACAUUUUUUCCAAGCUACAAGGGGUUUCAUCUUGGCAUUGAUGUCAGAUCCUCUCCUCUGUCAAUAUAGUCGAGGACUGCAACUGGCAGUUGCAAAGAGCACAUUGCAUAUAUUAGUAAUGAAGAGAGCACUGAGUUUACCAGUUCCAGCCUUCCAGCAUGGGAUAAGAAGUUCGAAGUAGUUCUAAGUCUUCUUUCCACCUUGUUCAUGAUAAAUCCGAAAUGGUGAACUCAGGGUUUGGUAGUUUCCAUUAGCAGUCCAAGGUAGGUAGAGACUCAAGUUUGCAUACAAACACCCCAGCCAACUGGAGGUUCAAAGGAACUAGGCACGAUUUGCCUAGAAUAUUCACCAAUUUCCAGUUUUAAUUACCUAUAUUGAACUUCUUUUUUUAUGAAACCAUGGGCAAAAUGCUAAGGAAACUUUGUAAUAAAAAUGUAAAAUAUGUGCAUAAAAGAAGAAACAAACUUCAAUAUUAUACAAGGAAAUGGAUAGGUAUAUUACAAUAUACAACAUCAUGCUAGAUUUACACUCCAACAACACUCAACACCGUAUACUGUUAUACAACUACAUGAAAGCACAUCUUAUUUUUGCUUCACUCAGAGAUGCAACAUGUUCUAUUUCUCACAAUGCUAUACUAUAUAUAUACUCAUAUGGACUCAUUUCUCUUCUUUGCACUAAGGCCACGAUGAUACUCACCAAGAGCCCAGAUGGGGAACAAGUUGCGGUAGUUUGGGUAAUUGAAGAAAAGGGAGCAGUUGAAGCAUCCUACGUGCUCCUAUCAUCAAAACACAAGUGCGGUCAUCAACAAAACCACUUUGACCUUUGAUAAUCAAACACCCUUACACCCACACGUAAAUAAUGCUGAAUAUGGUAGUUCAAAGUUCAAUCCUUACAAGAAUGCAUGUACAAUUAUGCAUCUGCUAAAUAUCUAUCCAAAUAGGUUCUCUCAAAAUUCCACAUCAAACCAAAUAAAGCAAGUUAGAUUUUCAUGAAAUCGAGUUUAGACAUAACAAUUCCUUGAAUGUCAUGUUUCUGGUUUGUAUACGAUUAAUUUUAUAAGUUGGUGCUUCAAAAGACGAAAAGCUUGCUCUUGUGUUAAUUCAAUUGUAGUCCUAUGAUUUAUCAAUUAUGUCCGAUGCACAGGGAUGUUCUUCCUUUGGAAAAUGUAAAAUGAAUUAUAUCAUGCAGUUACAUAUUCUAGUCACCACCUCCUUUCAAAAAAAACAUAUUCUAGUCACCCAGUAUAUUGGUGCCUCAUUAUUUCAAUAUACUAAUAUGCAUGUGUCAUGCCAUAUGAUAGGUUUUUCUAUGUUCCUCAACACCGUUCCAUCAAUUUUCAUGACAAAGUAAGAGGAAAAGAACAAGUUCACUUGUCAAUAUAAUGUUUCACUAUCAAAAAAAAAUAGAAUGGAGCUUACUUGUUGUGGAAACUCUCCUGUCUCCAACUGCAUAUUGAUCAAUUCUUUUGCAGCGCGAUGUAAUGGUGUUGGAUCUCUUUCAAACUAUAGUAUUAGAAAAGAGGUAUGUGAAUAGAAUGAUAAAUUGUAUGUUCUUGUUAACAUGUAAAUAAAAGAAUAAAUAAUUUGUACCUGUCCAGCAUAAAUUAAAGCGAGCAUUGCCCAAGCAGUAUUCACGGCGUGAGCACAGUCACCUUUGAUAUUUACAUAAACCUAUUUAGGAUUAUAUGGGGGGAGAAAAGAUAAGUUAAAAGAUGAAUACACAUACUUAUGAUACAAAGAAAUAAAUUUUUUCCAUUGCAUUAAAUAUUGUGCUUGCCAUGACUUGCUAGGGAUCUGAGACUAAAGGCACUUUAUUAUAUUACUGGAGCAACUCAUAUUGAGAGGAAAUUAAAUGACAUAGUUAGAACGAAAAGAUACAACUUACAACCUAUAUACAACAAAACCAAGAAACCUAUAAUGAUUUGAAAGCCAUGCUAAAUAGCCAGAUUCACCAUAAAAUAUCAUAUGUCAAUUUAUUGCUAGUAUCUUCAACAAGGAUUCAACAAACAAAAUUGUGUGUCCUUAUCAGUUAUCACUAGUAGGCAAAGUUGGACUGAAAGGGUCUAGAGAAGUAGGAGUAGAAGGAAAAAAUAUGAUUACCUGAGUUUCAUUAGAGACAUGGCUUUCUCCCCAUCCACCAGUACUGAGUUGCUUCGACAAUAUAAAGUGGCAUGCUUUCCGUAUGGAAAGGCUAUUCUUAUAUGUUCUUCCAGAAGCAACUAAACCUUUAAUUGAAAAGAAGGCCCCGUAGGUGAAACAUACACCCCAAGUACCUAACCUGCAAAACAACUAUUUGUGUUAUCAACUGCUGGCAUAGAAAUUCUCUGAGUAAAUGAGGCAUUAGGACAAACCAUGAACCGUCUUCUUGUUGUCUGUUCUCAAUAAAUGUUGCUGCAUUUCUAACCAAUGUUUCUAUCUCUUCUGUGCGGUAACCAGGAUAUAAUUCUUUGAACAGUAUCAGAGCUUGGAGCACUGAUGAAGUGCAUUCUGGGUAACUGUCAAUUAAUAAUGCAUCAUAAUUUUAUUUCUUUAUCUGAAGUGAAAAUUUUGUAAGCAUGAUCUUCUGCUAAUAUAUAUAUAUAUAUAUAUAUAUGGUAUUUGCAUGCAUCACUUACGGGUAAUCGACAACCAUGUUUGGAAAACUCUCACAAGGAUUUAGAAUCUAGUUAAUUAACAAAAAGAAGUGUCAAUACAGUGGAGCUGGAAGUAGUAAAAUGUAUUGAAAUAAAAAGUUUAAGAUUACUGAAUACGAACUGCAUCUUCCUAAUUGGAAGUAACAAUAAUAUAUAAGAGCUCUAACGGACAGAAACUUACCUCUAUCCAAGAAGAAGUUCUUUUGCACUCAUAUGUAGAAAAGGUACCAUCUUUGUUCUACAACAUAGAAUGAUUAGCCAUUAACAAAUUAUCUUCAUAGCUUACAACGUACAAUACCGGCACACAGACAACACAAUCUAGGCAAUGCAAGCAUGUAUUGUUGUAGCUAAAUUUUGAAGUUUAUCUAUUAUACCUAAAUAGGAGAACCCCCCCCCCCCACUACAAGAUUUUCCUAUGAUUUUGUGAAGCCACGUCACCUAAAACCCGGCCCACUAAGUGCCUCCAACAAUUGUUCUUUAAUUUUCUCCCCCACUAAGUGCAUCCACUAUUGUUCUUCUUUAAUGUAUUUUUCCUUACUUCCUCCCACUAAGUGCCUUUCCAAUUGUAUUCUUUAAUGCCUUUUGUGUUUGGAAGCCGAUCUGUCAUUUACCAUUGCCUAUAUAUCACUUCUGCUACUGCUGCUCAUCCCUGUACAUCCCAGUACACACGAGAUUUCUUCCUGUCUACCUAGCAUGGCUUAGGAGAUGUGUGUUCCUCCCUUAGAUAAGCUAUGGUGGUGGUGUUAACCUUGCUUUUCUGCCCUAACGUCCUCAGUGCAGCCACCAGAGUCCUCUUCAUGUUGCAACAAAGAUAGCAUCAUACAUAAUGUUAGUCUUCCUAGAUCCUUAAUAAACUUCCAAUUUGAUUUCAUCAUUCAGGCAUAGUUUGCAUCUGACAUCAUCAGGGAGAAAUUGGUGUAUCGAUUUGUGUUACAAAAUCGUUCGGUGUUUUUACUAAUCCAUAACCUUUAUUAUUUUGCAGAACAUAUGAAAAGGACUUGAUCAUGGCAAGUGACAACUAAAUCUCUCAAAUGAUUCAUUUGGAGGCAAACAACAGGCAUGUGGCUUGUGGCAUGUUGACAUCUGAGUCAUGUUACCGGAAACAUGCACAUUAGCAAUUUUAAUUACCACUGUGGAAACAACCAUACAUGCUUUACUUUCAAGCUACCUAUAGCAUUUUUUGUAUCCAUUACCAAUGUGUGUGUACAUAGUAAGAUAGUUGUGGUAUAUGUAAAUAUGUGCUACUGCAACACAUGGGUAUUCAACUGUUUUUAUGACUUUUCAUAAAAUCCAAUAUAUUUGAUCAAAUAUACAUAUCUUCCUUUUGAUUUUACUAUUUGUCACUCAAUGAUCCUUCUCAAAAUCCUGUAGCAACGCGCGGGGUAUUAUCUAGUUGACUGAACAUUUCAAAAGCAAGAAAAAUUUGCGCCAAAUUCAGAAUUCAGAAACUUAGUUCCUUAAGAAAAUUAUUCAUCUACACACUUUCACUUCAUCAUAUCAUCCCCAUAGGUUUGCUGUAACAGAUUUAUUUUGUAUCAACCAGCAAGCAAAGUGUGGCAUUUCUGAUUUCCAUGGCUUACAGAAGAAUUGUGUGAUAGCAAGUUUUUGUUGCAAUUUUUCUAGGGUAUAAAAUAGAUGACAACAACACAUCAGACUUGGCCUUGUUUAGUUUGCGAAAAGAAAAGUUUUUGGCUACUGUAGCACAUUUGUAACUAUAGCAAUUAGUGUCCAAUCAUGGAUUAAUUAGGCUUAAAAGAUUCGUCUUGCAAAAUACAUGCAAACUAUGCAAUUAAUUAUGUUUUUAAUCUAUAUUCAAUGCUCCAUGCCUAUGUCCAAACAUUUGAUGUGAUGGAGCGAAAAGUUUUUACACUGGGAACUAAACAGGGCCUUAGAGAAUACCUACCACAAAAGAUAGAAGGCAAUCAAUAGCAUCAUGCAGCCUCUCUCUUUCUAUUGGAUCCCCAAUAAGGUUGUUUUUGUUUGAGAUCUUUGACAGCAACAAUACAGCCUGGAAAUAGUCACAUUAAGCUGCUUUAGAAUAGAAAAAAUGAAAAGGCAUGGAAAUGAAUAACAUAUCAAGCAAAGCAUUUUAUUAAAUUACUGGUUACACACUCUACAUUAACAAUAACACUAUAUGGUACUUAGUGGCCUUAGUUUCUUUUUUUGAAACGAACCGGCAGGAGAGCUGCCCUUAGUGACCUUAGUUUCGCUUCUUCUCAAUAUAAUGAUGGGUAACUUUCUUAAUAUAAUGAUACGUAGCUCCCUUGCGUGUUUGAGAAAAAUAGUAACGGGUAGCUCACCACCUAGUUUGAGAAAAAAGGUAGCUUUACUCAUCUACAUUGGAGCAAAAGAAAAACUGACAAAGAUAGAAUAACCUUAAGUGCUUCUCCUGUAGUGUCAGAUACAGCCCAUCCAUUGUCUGCAGAUGAAAGUGUCCAUGAGCCCUUCGAUCUAUGGCGAUGCCAAUAACUUUGGUCACCAGGAUGGUUCCUCAGAACCUUCAAGUACAGAAAUGCAUGUUGUGUUUCAUCAUUGCCCAUGAUGGUGAAUAUAUAAAUUGCCAUGAUUUCAAGAUAAAGAUAGAAACCUGUGAAUUUUUCAUAAACUCAUAGGCUCUCUGAAGAGUUGGAGCAUACUCAUUGACAAGAUCUGUAGCGCAAAAUGCUUGAAUUAUGAAUGAUGUCUCCCAGCUCUGGCAGCCAUCAUAUAUCUAUCAUGGUAACACACACCAGCCAUGCAGAGUUAUAUCCUAUGAGGAGGAAAUUUCUUGAUGCAUAUUCAACAUGUCCAACAUACUUGCAAUCAUACCAAGAUACUUCUACUGCAAUAUUAAAUGAUUACAUGCUACUCGGAAAAAAACAAUUACAUAGCAAUUCUCUAGCUGGUAUGUUAGUUUAUUCCUCAGUAAAGAUGCAAAUGAUGGCAGUAAUUAGCUAAAGAAAAAUAAGCUUAACUUACUAUUAUAUUCAAAUGGACUGCCACCAUGAUAUAAAUGCUAGCAAGUAAAAAGGAGAAAAUUAUACCUGUGCCUUCAUGCCAUCUUCUGAAAGCCACAAGAAAUCUGGUAUCCUUGCAAGAUGACGCUUGAAUGCAUCUGAAUUUGGAUCUUCUACCCAACAGCAGACCAUGUUUAGAGCCUAAAUAACAAAGUAACCAAUAUUAAAAGGCACCAAUCAGAAGUUCAUGAUCCACAAUAUAAUUAACAAGAAACAUUAAAUAGAGCAUAUACUAAAUCAUGAAGAGUGAGAAUUAAUAAUAAGACCACACCAACAGAACAGCAGCAUGGCUAACUAAAGUGUCGGUAAUAAGACGUCAAACUUGUGCAGCUAUUUACCUUGUUCACAGAACAUAUGCAUAGGUACUGUGUGUUCUCAUCUUCAUAAUGGAUAUGAUCCAUGAGGUUUCCCAGAGCUCUCUCUCUCAGCUUGUUGACAGGACAGCUGCUCAAUACUGGUUCCACACACCUGUAAAGUGAAGUCCAAAAAACAUUUUGCAACAGUGUACGUGGACAGACGAGGUCCUCCUGCAAUACCAAGAGGAAAUUAAAAGAAAUAAAAAACAGGCGUAAGAAAAGAGAUAUUCCUAGUAGCUAGCCCAUCAUUGUGAGAGUAGAGCAAUCUACGGUUCUCUUACAAUAUGAGGAUUCGACAAAUAUAAACACAAAAUAAACCUUGUUUAGCUAGAACUGUUAAUUAUUUUGAGUUUGUGUGCACAAGGAGGGGUAUGGGUGUUUGGAGGUUAGGCCUGCACACCACCCACACUAUAUUACUAUAAUAGUCGUCUAUUGCAGACCGCCUCUCUCCUGGAACAAGCCUAAUUACGCUGGACAACUAUCCAAAAGUGCAGUUUAUAGUUCUAGGGCGAAUCAAGAUAACCGGCUAAUACUAUCUUGACUAUCGACAUGGCGUUGGAUGAGCUAGGCUAAUCCAACAAAGACCACAAAUAGAUCACAUAUACUUUCCACAUUCAUACUCAGGGUAUAAUCCAGGUGGUUAGUGAGUCCAAAUAUUUUUUACUUAUUUUAUAUAGAAAGUAAUUAGACCAUCAACUCAAGUUUUGAGGAUACAACACUUUGUAAGUCAGUGUUUGGGAAUUUUGUGACAACCCCAUCACCAUCAGAUACAUUCCCACCAUAGAAGGGCAUAUAUCAUGAUAAUAAACUGUAGGACCAGAAGGGAUGUGAGAAACCUUUGCACAUUUAUUAGCAGCAUCGCUCCAACCAAUCUCGCCAUAUGGAGUGUCAUAGAUCUCCUCUCUCAGUGCCAAUAUAGUUGGUGUAAUUGGUCCAACAAAUUUCUUGCCAUAAAGAUAAGCCAUUGGCAGAUAUACCAUGCGGGUUAAGCACCAAAAUUUCCCUGAAAGGACAGAGCCAUUGGUAGAUAUAGCGAAUUUAUUUCAACAGAACCAUGUAUCCAAUGUACAAUGUACUGGAAGUGGGAAUGACACAAAUUCACAGAAGAAAUAUAUUAUAUACCUGGAUGAAAUGGAAGAAACUGAGGAGCGAGCCAUAGUUCAGGGAAAAUUGGAUUAUUUCCUGACCAAUCAAACACUCCAAGUACCUUCAUCAAUUAAUACAAAAGCAAAGCAAAGUGAUGACACUGCCAUGGAGAAUAAAAUGUUACAAAUGAGAAACUUUUUAUAUUUUUAUUUUUCUCAAAAAUAAGAGUCCUAUCAUAUGCAUGUACGAAUUAUUUCCUGGCAGAGUAAUGUGCAUGUAUAGAAAACUAGUACACAUGUAUGAAUCACAAAGAAUACCGAAAGCCAUAUCUUUCCCCACUGGGGAAUCAAGGUUGCACCACCAUGGGAUAGAAUCCAAGCACGCCCUUUAGCCAAUGCACCAUUGUUUCCGUAUGGCUCCUCGCCGAGAAGCCUCAGGGUGAUGUAGUUUGAGCAUGUGCCAAACAUGGUGCUCGAACCAAGGAUAAGUGUACUCCAUCCACCAUCUUUGUUCUACACAUUAUUUAUUUGAUGGGCAAAACUAAUGUAUACAUCCAAAGUGAAAAAAUUGGUGCAAAAUGACCUUGUCCCCAACAAGGCCUUAAUGAAAGAUAGAGAUGUAAUCUAAGAGAACUAUGUCAUGCCUGGUGGUUGUAAAUGUAGCGGCAUAUCUCACGCCGAUGUUCCGGUGAUAUGACAACAUUCAUUGAUCCAGUGACAUACAAGGCAAAUAUCUGCAUACGAAUGUGCGGAGAUAUUUGUUUUAUCCAUAUAGGUGAACAAUUGAGCAAGGAAAAAAAGAAAAGAAAAAGGAGGUAAUGCCAUUUUGUGCAGAAAUAAGGCGCACCAAACCAGGCAUGAUGAACAUGAUCCCACUGAAAUCACCAGGCCAGUGACCAUCACUUGCUUGCAGCGAAGAGAACUGAUCCAGAGCCCGCCUCAAGGAGCUCACUACAAUUUCUUCAGUGACAUUCUCAUCCUCCUCAAGUUUGAGGCACGGCAGAUCACGUUGAUAUCUCUUCUGCUUUGCGCACUGUAACGAAAAGAUUAGUGGGCGCUGAUUUAUUUUGACAUAACUUAAGCACAGAUUUAUUUUUUUAAAAGAAUGAGUAUGACAUAAUUUAAGCACAAAUUAUUUUUUUUUAAUGAUAUAUAUGUAUCCCUCUAUUCAGAGGUUGCAUCAUUGCAAACAUCAUGUUCACUGCCAUUGUCAUUCAGCACACUUAAUUUAUUGAUAAUUGGUGAGAAGAACCGAUGCGGACAAGCUGCUCCUUAAAUUAACGAAACAAAAAAGAAAACACAAGGGUUGGGAUGAAACCUCGGCCCUUCAACUUCCUGGCCACGCACACACAGUCAUCUACCUCCAGGAAGCUCCCGCCGCCGCGCACGCCGGACGCCGGACGCCGGACGCCCUCGCCAGCGCUGUCUCCUCUGCCGCAGCGAGGCUUGCGGCCCAGACCUUCGCCUCGGCCUCUCACCCACCCCGCCACCCCGGCGAUCCAUCCUCACCAGUCACCGCUGUCGGCCGAGCCCAACUCUGUUUAGGCCCAUCAAUCAAGUAACGUGUUCGACAGCCAUUAGGCUGGCCCAUCGGCACCGUCCGUUUUUUUAGAAUUAAUGAUAUAAUCUUUAAAAAAAUCCUUAAGAUCACACAUUUUCCUUUCUAAGCUACAAAAUCAGUUCUUUAAUUCCCUCAACUUUUACAACCGCUUCUUUUUUUGAUGAUAGUUAUGGUGCUACGUCAAGAUAAAUUGGACUUGAAGUAUUUUUUUAAAAGAUCCAAAAUCCAUAAAAAAAUAACAAAUUAUAAAUAAUUUUACAUGAAAAAGUAAUGUAACUAAAAAUCCUAACAUCUGGUUUAAUCUUAAAGAAUCUAUAGAAAAUUUGUUUUACCUCGAAAAAAUAUGAAACUAGUUUCAAUUUUUUAAAUCAUGCUAUCGCGUGGGCGAAUGCAGGCGAGCUCAUAGGUCGGGCGUGUGCCCGAGGAGCCAACCGCGCAGGCCCUUCCACAUCAGCCACCAUGGGCGGUUGAGGAGUGACUGAGAGUGAGAAGUCGGCCUGAGCAUUUGGUUAACUGAAACCGAUGAAAUUCAAUUAGUAGAAAACUGAGAAUCGAUCGGCCAGCUACAAAACUCGAAACUGAGAGAUUUUGACCGAUCAAUCGAUUUACAUCGAUGAAAGGGAAGGGGGGAAAGGAAAAACAAUGAAAAUAAAAACACGAAUUUCCACUUAGACUGGCCAUAGAGUGUCACGUCUCUGAACACAGCCUCUUAAUUAUAUUGAUUUAACUGAGCUAAUUACCCAUGCAAUACAGGUCUAGUUAGUGAUAUCGUAGUUAUUUGAGUUCCACAACAAAUUUUCCGAGAUCCUCUAGAAUGGGUUUUUAUAGAUUGGCGGUGUUUUUAUCCCACCUCUUCUUUUUCGAAAAUUCCAGACUAUCUCAGUUAAGUGAGUUUUGGGUGAAUCUUAGAUAAAGGAGCCGAAGCUUGCAUGUGAGCUCAGGAUCAUUUCAUACCUACUUAAGUUUUGUUUGAUACAGCUCCAUAAUUUUUUUCUUCAGCUUCAUGAUCAUGAGUAGCUCUAUUGAUGGCUGUUUUGAUAAACCAUUUAGCAAAACUACUCUUAAAACAUGAUCUCACAAGGACCCACCAAAUCGAGUUUUGAUCUCUCUAUGGAAGCAUGUUUGAAAAGAGCUUCAUCUAUAUGUGAAGUUGUUUGAAGAUUACAUGUUUGAUACAGAACAGUUUUAAAUAAGUGUUUGAAUUAUAUCUAUACCUACCUAAUAAAAAGAGGCACAAAUUUUGAUCUUUUUUUGUCUAUCCAUUUUUUUCAUCCACCUCCCUUUAGCUACCAGGUAGUUAAGAAUUUCUUUCAUCUAAACUUGUAUGACCCUAGAUAGUUAGGAUAAAUAGAUCUCUCUGAGCCGAUAUAAACUGAAUAGGAAUAGAAAUCUAAUUCAAACUUUUUUGUCGAGACAUUCCCGUGCAUUUUUUUUCUUCCGCGAAGACGUCACCUUCAGUGUAGGACACGACACAAGAGAAAAAUUCCAAAUUGGACUUCUCGGGUGCACGGAUAUGCCUUUUUUUUUCCUGUUUUCUAUUUCUUUUCCAGUAUGGGACACGGCAAAAGGGAAAAUUAGACUCCUCGGGUGCACAGAUAUGCCUCUUUUUUAUUUUCUGUUUUCUAUUUCUUUUCUGAUAUUAUUCUUUUGUUUUUUCUUAUAAAAUAAAAACUAAAAAAUAUAUCUAAUCUAUCUAUAUCUACUUCUAGAAGUUCCUUUAGAUUGCUUAUGAUAUGUUAUGCCAAUAAAUUGAAUAGAUUUCUAACUCAAUUUCUUCAUGAGCUUCGGUCAUAUUAGCUCACAUAAAUACAAGUCAUAACAAAUAGUUCACGUGAAUAAGAGAGAUCUCACGUCAUAAUCAUCUAUGGAUACAACUAGCUACUUGCCGGCUUUAAUUAAGUAUUAGAACUACGAAUUUUUAUAGAUCCUCGGAACAUUUCACUGUUACAACACAUGGAUAAUAUAAAAAUUAAUAUUGAUAAGUUAUGAUAGUACGAUUAAAUUUUUCAUGCUUUGUAUUAGGAAAAAAGAUAUUGUGAUUAUAUUUUAGUUUGAUUAUAUAUUAAUAAGAUAUUGACAAUAUUAUUAUAUUAUUGUGUGUAUCGAUCCACGUAUGUGUCCACUACUACAGAAUUCAUUUUUAGGAACGGCUGAAAACCCUCUGUAAGGGCAGGGCGGCUGGCCCAGCCACCCCUCCAGCUUUGCACUUACAAAUAAAACAUUUGUAAGAGCGGGUGCCUCAGCUGCUCUUACAAAUACAUUUGUAAAGACGGCUAGUGUACUAUUUAUAAAUGUGGCUGGUGACCCAGCCCUCAUUACAAAUAGUUCUAAGGGCGGUUGGUGACCUAGCUCCUCUUACAAAUGAUAUUUCUAAGAGCGACUGAAACACCAUCCGCUUCUUAAAAAUUAUGUGUAUCCACGUACGUGUAUACCAGUCGUUGUCAUUUUUAUAAAUACCUGCAUGCGCAUGAGGAGGUCGGCGGACUCCCUCCUGUGGAAGCGGCGGUCGGAGAACUCCCGGCGGACCCUGUCCACCUCGGCGCGCUCCUCCGGCGUGCCAAGGUCCGGGUCGAACUCCCACACUGCCCGUCCAAUGAAGCCGUUGGUCGACCGCAGCCAUGGCCCGCCCCGCGCCACCUUCAGCCUCCACAUGCUGACGGAUCGGACGGACGGCUACUAGCUGCUGCUAGUCGCUAGUGCUAUAGCUAGUCUAAGAUCGACCACCCUCAAGAUGAGUACUCCUACUGCGCGCGCUGGCGGUUUAUAUAUAUAUAUAUAUAUAUAUAUAUAUAUUUAAAAGAAAAAAAUACUGCUGCAGUGUGCUGCUCGCUCUUUUUUUUUUCUUUGCUCCUCCCCGGGGGGUGUGGAUGUCUGUCCUUGUGGGACGACGACACGUCGGUGGAGACGACGAGCCAUGGCGCAUGGCAAAACAGGUAGCGUCGGGCACGCCGCCGAUGGCCAGAAUUAGUGAGGUGGUUGGCUGCCGAGCCUGUCGGUCCACUGUUCCCCAGCCGCCGCUCAUUGAAUUCUUCUUCCCACGUGUAUAAUAUCGUCCCAGUGGCGACACAUGCGUAUACACGUGUGCAAACACGAGGCACCCAGCGUCGGGUGCAACCGGCAGCAAAGACUGCAAGAUGCGGAGCUUGACAUUAGAAAAUAGAGGGGCAGUUCAUUGGAUUUAUGAAUUAAACAGCAAUAAAAAGUAGUGAAAGCAUUUUUGUUAGUCUAAAAAGUUAUAAUUGAAAAUAUUGUUCUCUGAUUUAUUAUGAACUAUUGACUGAUAGAAAAAAUAUAGAAGUGACAGGUUAUAUCAGACUUUCGUCACACUCAGUGACAACACAUUCUCUUUCUUUGCUUCUCAUUCCUACGUGUACGACUUGUAUAUAGGGCAUGUACAACCCGCAGACAGAAAUUCGUCUCUAAGGGCACUUCCAAUGCUAGAAACUACAUAUAGUUUCUAUAUCCAUUAAUUUUUAUAGACACUAUAUAUAGAAACUAUGGUCUCAAUGGAUAGUUUCUAUAUAAUAUUUUUAUAUCCAAUUAUAUUCAUUCUCUCUCCAUUCUUAGCCAAUCAUAUCACUUCAUGUCUUGGAUUUUGUGUAGACAUGGUUUCUAACUUAGACCCAGUUUCUAUGAUUUUUACUCUCUCUCUCUCUCUUCAAUAACUACAUUGUCACAUCAGCAAAAUGCUUAGGUCGCACUGCAAUUAAUGUCUAUAGAAACCACAAUGAUUUUCUACAUUGGGAGUGCUCUAAGUGCCUCGAAUAUAACAUAGAGACAAGUAUAAAGACAAACCAUACAACCCUUAGAUGAAGGUAUGUCUCUAACCUGUUUAAUACUUUGUAUAUCUUCGUCUGGCUGCAGUUUGGGUGAAAACCCUGCCUGGCAUUACGCCGGGCCAGCGACGGUGGUACUGACGGUGCUACUCACCUUGUUGAAGGCGUCGCUGGAGCUGUAGCGGUUGUGGUCGUCCAACAACUGGGUGAAAACCUAGCCUGGUUUCUCCGGGCCGGCGGCGGUGUGUUGGCUCGUCGUCGAAGUUGUUGUUCGUCAUGGCCGGGAACCACGUCUCUUCGUUGUGUAGUUCUUGUCGAAGGAGGUGUUCGUUGGCAUAACUGCUCGGAGUUUGGAUGGCAGGCCUAUGUCUGUUCCAAGUUCUUUGCGUUGUUGCCUUGGAAGAAGCAUCCAAUCUUCAAUGGUGGUCGGUGUCCAACGUUUUCACUAUCUUUUUUAAGGUGUGACAAACGUGUUUCGACGACUGUCUUGACGCUGGUGAUCGUAUUCCAGAGGAGUUGACAUCUUGGAUCAAGGCGGUUUGUUGCAUAGGACUACUUGAGCCCUUGUUGGGAAUGUAAUUUUUCCGUUAUUUAUCUUCUUUUUUUCUUCCAUUGUAUUAAUUUGGCCGCUACCUAUGGGUAGAUGAAGCCGGAUAGUUUCUAUCCUUUUAUCUAAAAAAAAGUAGGAUUAACUAUAAUUUUUUUUAUAUACCAUUGUGUAGCUAUUUAAUAGAAAUUAUAUCAUGAACUGAUUAGUUUAACCAUAGAAAAAAUGGUAGGCUCACAUCAGCCAUGUUCUUGUCACUCUAGAACCUUGCACCGUGUGGGCAUGAGCUAAAAAAAGCACAUUUUAUAUGGGCAUUGUGUCGAACAGAUUGUGAACACCUACCUCUAUUCUUUUGGUAGCACACCUGCCUCUGCCAAGUCGUGCUCGUGCAAGCAGGCCGCAUGCCAUCAGACCCUUCCUAAAGCUGAGCCACAAAAUCUUCAUGGACGCCGCGAGCAUACGCUUCUAACCGAGGCCUAUAGGAUGCUGCAGGAGGCAAAGAAAUCGAGAGGCCAGAUCAACCAACCCGUGGAAGAAGCCAUCCUCCGGCGCCGGGUCUUUCUUCUUCACACACAAGUUCAUCUAGCAGCUGCACCGUGCGGAGAAGAGAUGGCUGCACACGAGGCGAGGGGCGUUGGGCGCACCUGAUCCACUCUGUCAACGAGCCUCUGUACAACGCGACGAUUUCGUGGCUUCGAGCCUCGGAGCACCAGCCAUCCUCGUCGUCUCACGAGACGACGGACGAGACGACGGGCUCAGCUGUCUCCUGACUCGCAAGGGACUGUUCUGCAAAAAACACCGUAUAAAGACUAAACCUGACUUUUUUGGUUUGGUUUUACUUUUGGGCUGUAUUGGUUUGGAUUGAAACAGGCUGAAAAGGUUGUUGGUCCAGUUUGGUUUGGACCCUAUUAAAGUGGGCUGAACUGGUUUGGCGGUAAAUAAUAGAGUUUACAAUGAUUUUUUAUUUUAUCUAUUUAUUUUUUGCUUUUGUUUAUGGCUAAAUAUAAACAAUAGCAUGAGGUGCCGGUGAAAUGGUGGGUUCGAAAUGUAUUUUAAUGGGUCUAGUGCAUAAGUGGUAUGGUUUGGUGUGGAUGAUUGAAGUCAUGGUCUAAUUUGGUUUGGAUUUGACUUUCAUAAAUAUAUGUUUUGGAUUGGUGUGAGUUUGGUUGGGAUCUCAACCCACUGUCAAAUUUAAUAAUGACGAGGAGAAAGGAUGCAUUGUACGUGCCCUAACUGCCACUUAUAGGGUGUGUUUGGUUUAUUUCUCCACUAAGCCUGGCUAGCAAAAAUUGCCCAGGCUAGCUGUAGCCAGUAUUAGUUAUGCAACCAGCACUUGUUUGGUUGUUGUGUCUAAGCAAGUCUGGCCUAGCUAGAUCUUAUUUAGUUGCCAGACUAAGUUCGAGUGCAGUCACGUCUUCUUUGCCAUGGUGAGCUUACCUUCAUCUUCUCUAGUUUGGCAAUGGCGGUGGAAAUCGAUUUGGCGACGGAGGAGUCCGAUUCGGUGGUGUUUCUCCAGAUCCCGCUCGAGGAACACCGGUCCGGGUAGUGUCUCACCAGAUCCACGCAGGAGCCACCACUGACGAGCUCUCCAGAUGGACGGCGAGUCGACCAGGUGCUCCGCCGCGCCAAGGCCAUGAAGACCAAGCUAGAGGCGCUCGACCGCGCCAACGCCGCUAGCCGCAGGCUCCUCGGCUCCGGUACGGGCUCCUCCACCGACCGCACCCGCACCUUUGGGUCCUCGAGCGGCGUCACCGGCCUCGGCCGCGGGUGAAGGUGUUUGAGCUCGAGCGGUGGGGGAGAGCAGCAGGAUGCGGGUGGCUCCCCGGCUGCGGUCCGGGCUCCUCCACCGACCGCACCCGCACCUUCAGGUCGUCAAGCGGCGUCACCGGCCUCGACCGUGGGUGGAGGCGUUGAGCUCGAGCGGUGGGGGAGAACAGCGGGAUGCGUUGCUGUCCGGGCUCCUCCACCGACCGCACCCGCACCUUCAGGUCCUCAAGCGGCGUCAACGGCCUCGGCUGUGGGUGGAGACGUUGAGCUCGAGCGGUGGGGGAGAGUGGCGGGAUGCGGGUGGCUCCGACGAGCUCGAGCGACAGGAUGCGGGUGGAGCGAAUGGGGUACGGAGAAGGUGAACGAACUCAUCCACUGCGCGAGCACAAGCCAGACUUCGGAAGAAUGGCCAAAUCGACCGUUUCUAGGAAGCCACCCAAAUCCCUCCAAUCUGUCUUGUGGUAGCCUGGCUAAUGGGCCAAGCAGGCAUCCAAACAAGCCCAACUUGUAUUACAUAAGCCUGGCUAAACCCUAGUAGAGAGAACCAAACACACUCAUAGAGAGCUUUAACAGCACUAUUGAGGGUCAUAAAACCGCAAAUCUCAUAGUGUACUUUGCUCGCACAUAGGAUCGGUUACCUAAGUCACUUGUCUUAAGUUCUUAGCUAUCUGCAAGUGUGGGUUGUAGGCUUGCAGCGUAGCCUAGUGCUUUAUUAGGAUUAAACAUAUUUUUCUUGUGUAGAUAAGUUUAAACUAGACAAUACAAUGUAAAUUAAUUUCUUGCAAGAUAAAUGAUUGGGCUUUUAACCCUUUAAAAAUCUAAUAUCUAAACCUAUUUAUAGGCUCUUUGGCAACUUGCAGCUUGUUCGUUUAAGCUUAUUAGCCAAAUCUACUAGUCAUUUGGAGACGACAGAGAUAGAUGAAAUGCAAUAGCCUGUUCGCUGAGUCUUAGCAGAAAGUACACUGUUCAUUGUUUUUUUAUAAGAAAAAAAAAUUGUUGAGAUAUUCGGCAAAUAAAGUCGAGCAAAGUGCCGUUUGAUCGGCUCACCGUUGGAGACUGCCUUUGCUGUAUAGGUGGAGAUGACAGGGUCGCCGCUGCACUGCAAAGGAAUUUGGGGAUCUUCAUUAUCCGGUUGCAUAUCACUUUGAUUGGGUCGAGGUGUUUGGGAUCUUGUACUUGGUUUGUACUCCCUCGGUCCCAAGUUAAAUGUCGUUUUCGAUUUUUAUAUUGUAAAUUUAAUUUAAUUUAUAGAAAAUACGUAUAAUAUUUAUAUUUUUAAAUAAAUUUUUAAAAACUAUAUUUAAAUUUUUUAUAAUACUAAUUAUGUAAUAUAAAUAUUAAUAUUUGUAAAUGUAUAUUUAAUUAAAAUUUGGAAAGCGAAAACAAUAGUUAUUGCGGGCAUCGGGGGAUGGGCGUGGGUCGGCCGGCGGGGAUUUUGGAGCAUAGGGCAAUUCCAAUGAUAGAAACCAUGUAUGAUAUCUAAAAAGAUCACGUCAGCAAAAAUCUCUACUAUAAUUGAAAACUUUUUCAAACCAAUUUCUUCCUUCAAGAUCAACGACUCUUAGCCUACCUACUACAGAUGCAACGGGUGAGAUUAAAAGUUUGAUGAGGCUUCCCACUCUCCCUCACCUCUGUUAAAAUUAAGGGCUCACAUAACACCAACGUUAAAUCCAACGGAGGACGUGUGAUGUUUGUCCAAGCUUCUCACCCCCUCCUCAUGCAGCGCCCACACCCUCACGCCCUCCUAUUUCCACGCAAGGAAAUCAGCCAUCAUCCACGCAAUGCUCGCAAGAGUCUUUCUAUUUUCAUGGAAGGUGGCAAAUCAAUCGACAAGAUUCAAAAUCGUCGACGUUGUGGAUAUAGGCACUCCAUCUCCACGCCCACAUACGUGUACACCCGCUGCGCCGCUGGCCUACCUUGCGUUGCGGAGCCCCCACCGCCGAGCAGGCCGUACACCGGCGUCAGGUAGCCUUGAUCUCCGCGUCACCGCUCUGCACAUCUGUGGAUAGAGGCACGCCCACAGACAUCCAGAUCAGCCGCCGGCCUCCCUGACGUCGCGGAGAUCGUGGCUACAAGCAGGUUGUGCACCGGCGCUACACGUCCGUGGAUCAGCUGCGUGCACUUAGACGACCGGUGGAGAUCAUCGGGUGACCGAGAUCAUCUGCUGGCGGCCGAUCGGCUAUGCAGCUAGAUAUCAGGUGUGUGCACUCUGAUUGAAACUUCCAGAUGCAAUCAGCUGUUUUGCUAUUAUUAUGUGGCCGAUGCUUUCAGAUGCACUCUUUGAAAAUUUCAGAUGCCAAAGAGAUACACUUUGAUCUGAAUUGAUAUGACCUUUGGCCCCGCUGUAUGUUUCCUGCCGCUGUAGGUUAUUGCUGAAGUUCAAAUUCGUAGCAGCACUGUCGAGCAAACCAAACAGCUGUAGUUUGAUCUUGUUAGCUUUUGAUGACAUCAUUCUUAGCCAUUUUUUCAAGAUUUUGUUCUAUAUUGAUCUUUGUUUUUUUUUUGCAUUCAAAAUAUACACACCUGUUGUCUAACAUGAUAUUCAUGUUACCUGUUUCUGAUAUGAUGUUUGCAUUCAAAACUUUUAGACUUUUAUGAGUGGUUGAAAGAUGGACAUCGCCGUGUCUGUGGACCAUGGGCUAGAAGAUGGACAACUUGGUGCUCACACAAUCAGUCAGUUCCUCAGGUGUUGCGUGCCGUGCAAUAAAACCAUGGCACAUAUAAUUUUUUUGUUUAAAACUAUGGAAAUCGUGGAUGACAUUUUGGUAAAUAUUUGGUUAAGGAGUUAGAAAGGAUGUAAAUAGUCUGAAAAUAUAAAAAAUAGUGUAAACCAUAAACUCUGCAGAAAAAAAUGGUUCUUUUAAAAGCAUUUUCUAUAAAAAAAUCGUAGCGUUAGUUCGGGUAUUAUACUAGUCAUGUAUAGAAACUAACUCAAACAAUGGUAAAGUCUUCAACUAGUUAGAUUUUUUCAAUCUCCCUUAUCCCUUCCACAUAGAUGCACAACACAUGAAGUAGUGUCCACGACUGCGAGUAUCUUGAGCACCCACUUAUGCAGCAGCAAACUUCUCCCAACAUCAAACACACACAUGCAACAGCGGCGAUCGGCGAGCACGCGGCCAGCAGAGCUAGCGCGUGCAGUGGCCACAGCCGGUGAGCGCGGCCGGUAGAGCAAGCACACGCACCGCGGCCUACGCGAUCGGCAAGCGAGUGAGCGCACGGCCAACAGAGCUAGCGCGUGCAGUGGCCGUGGCUGGCGAGAGCGGAUGGCAGAGCAAGCACGCGCGGUCCGCAGCCUAUGCGACCGGUGCAUCCUGCACAUGCCCUGGCAGCCAGCAAGCGAGCGCGGGCGAGCGCAGCCUGCGCAGUGGCGCGAACGAGUGAGCGCGACCUGCGCGCGGCGUUCGGCGAGCGCAGCCUGCCUGAUGGCGCGUCCUUCAAGGAUGGUGUGCGCACGGCAGCCGGUGGGCAUGCUCGACGGCGCGAACCAGCGAGCGCCGGCCGGCGAGUGCAGUCCGCGCGGCGUCCGGUGAGCGCGAGCAGCGUCAGCGGCCAGUGCACGGCAGCCGGCCAGCGCAACCUAGGUGGAGACGCGGCCUUCACGGACGGCGAGCGUCGCCGGUGUGGCAGCGCGACCUGGGCUCGGCAGCCAGACGUCCCAUCGUGGCUCCACCCACAUAGGAACUACUCGUUUCCUCCCAACGAGAAAACGACGAUUUCUUCGUGGCUCAUUGCGAGUGUCGACGUUGUUUUCCUCUGAAGAAACGAUUUUGUCAAAUUUUCUUCUUUUUCUUCAUUAAUUAAAUUGUCAUAUUAUAUUUUUGUUUAGUUGGCAGUAUAGUUGAUAAAGAUAGAAACUAUCAUAAAUAGUCUAUUGGGACUACCCUUAGCUGCGGCAGUCUAGGAAUGAGAUAUGACACGGGAAAUGGGGGAAGUAGAUCGUGGUGAAGCCUAUGAGAAAGGAUGCGAAUAAUUUUUCUUCGAAAGGAAGGCUGUGAUUUAUUUUUGGAGAGUAAGGCUUAUGAAAAUCUUUUGUUUUUUUAGUACUAUAGCAUUUUUAUUUUUAUUUGAUAAUUAUUAUCUAAUUAUGGACUAAUUAGAUUCAAAAGAUUUAUAUCACGAUUUACAGGUUGUGUAAUUAGUUUUUAUUUUUAUCUAUAUUUAAUGUUUCGAUAUGACGUAGAAUUUUGAAAAGUUUUUUGGUUUUUAGAGUAAAAGUCUAAGAUUGUGAAUAAUUGAUUUAAUAGAAACAAAAAAGAUCCUAAUUACUCCUCACAAAUUUGGCUAUGUGUACAUAAACCCCUAAACUUAUCGAAGUCGAAGAGCAAGCGAGAGGAGGCGGCAGACGCUGCAAUUUCGGGCUUGGAGGAGACGAUCGUGGAGUGCCUCUCUGGCGGGAGUUCCUCCUCAUGGGGAGCUCGGACGAAGACUCCGACUCCGGGGAGGAGGAGAUGGAAUUGCGUCCUGUGAAGAGGACACCGUGGCUUGGGGUUCUCAAGGACUUAGGUAUCGAUCUGAUCGAGAAAUUUAACGCUGUCGGCGGCCUAAUUGUACGUUUGUUUGCGUCCUCAAGCCCGUGUUGCCGUUUCCAUCUUUGCUAGUCUUUCUUUUUUGUUUGUUUGUUUGUUUUCUUUGUCAUUUCGCGAAAUGCUAUAUGAUGGUACAGUAUUUUCUUGCUCCUCCACACCCGAAUUUUUCCUGCACCAAUAUCUUCACGCUCUUCUCCAUUUCUCCAGAGAGAUUUAUCUCGUCCAGCCAAUUCCAGUGAGUUAGGGUUAGGGAUUUAGGAGUUGGGGUUUGGGGAUUUCGGGACUGAGUAUUUUUAAGAGUGAGUUAAGACCUGAAUCAUGCUUGUUCCUACAAAGGUGGAGAACUGUCGGAUAUAAGUAUUGAUGUAGAUCCUAGGAGUACAGAGGAGUACAGAGUAUACAUCCCCUCAACGAACAUAAUUCAUGUCUUUAUACUGUUGCUUCAAAAGACUUUUUUUUUAAAGUGAACUGGCAUGAGCUCUGCCUUUCAAUUAAGAUUGGAAAAGGAGUUUAUGUACAGCAGUUCCCCCUCCUCCCAACUUUGAUCUGGGGAUUGAGAAACAAAAUACAAUAACACUAAAAACGAUUAUACGCUUCAAAUUUGGGCCCUCCUCCAGUGUAGGAUGUCUUCUUUUGUUCUCGCAGCCACCUGCAGCGCCGUCUCAGGCGAGUUGGAGAAAAUUCUCCUGUUCCUUUCUUUUCAGACGUUCCAGAUGGUGUAGAUGACUAGUCCAUUAAAACGCCUCCAGUCAUUCUUGGCUAUUCUAGAUUGGGCUUCCUCCCACCAUGUGAGGAGACGGGCUGGUUCAGUUGCCGGUAGUACUUGGGCGGCAUCAAAGUUCUCCCACUGAAGGAUCUGCUCCCAUACUAGUCUGGAGAAUGGGCACAGUAAACUGGAGCUACCUACUUGAUGUCCUGCGUGCUCUUGGCUUCGGCACAAGAUGGUGCGAAUGGGUAUCCAUGCUGUUUCGCACUGCCACCUCGAGGGUGCUCAUCAAUGGCCUGCAAGGUCCGAGCUUCCACCAUGCCAGGGGAGUUCGCCAAGGCGAUCCUCUAUCGCCAAUGCUCUUUAUCCUCGCCAUGGACCCCUUGCAGCGUAUGCUUGAGCUAGCAACCCAAAAUGGCGCUAUAUCCCCACUACCCUCGACCAUUGCUAGAUGGAUAGUUUCCCUGUAUGCGGACGACGCGGCCAUCUUCUUAAACCCUACAAAGGAUGACAUUGCUGCAACCCAAGUGGUUCUCCAAGCUUUUGGCAACAUCUCCGGACUCCACAUUAAUAUGGAUAAGAGCUCCGUCCACCCGAUCAGAUGUGAAGACAUAGACCUUGAUCAUGUCCUUGGGUCUUUCACCGGGAUCAGAGGCACCUUCCCUUGUCGCUACCUCGGACUUCAGCUACACACGCGUGCGCUGCGAAAGGUUCAUAUACAGCCACUCAUCGAACGAAUUGGGCAGAGACUUCCCGGAUGGAAAGGGAAGUGGCUCAACAGAGCUGGACGCCUUACUUUAGUCCAGUCCGUCCUCUCGGCUAUUCCUACAUAUCACCUAACGGUAUUCCCGUUACCUGUUUGGGCCCGCAAAAGCAUAGACAAGAUCAGAAAAUCUUUCUUUUGGAAAGGAGAGGAGAACGCCAAUGGGGGACAUUGUCUUGUCAACUGGCCAACAGUAACUAGACCAAAGGACCUCGGGGGGCUCGGGGUACCGGACCUCAAGAAAUUCAGCAGGGCACUGCGGCUGAGAUGGCUUUGGAAAGAAUGGGUGGACACCUCCAAGCCGUGGGUGGGAAUGGCGGUCCCCUACAACGAUCUUGAUCGGGCCCUGUUCUUGGCAUCUACUAGAGUUACCAUUGGGGAUGGUCGAAAGGCACGAUUCUGGCACGAUAGCUGGCUUGAUGGCGAGGCCCCAAAAUUCCUAGCACCCAGCCUUUUCGAGGUCAUCAGGUUCAAGAACAGGAACGUGCACUUCGAGUUCCGGAACAACGCCUGGAUAGCUGCACUGAGGGGGCGAAUCUCCACCUACCAGCAGGUAGAAGAAUUCAUCUCAGUGAUCUUUCUUUUGGAAAGGAGAGGAGAACGCCAACGGGGGACAUUGUCUUGUCAACUGGCCAACAAUAACUAGACCAAAGGACCUCGGGGGGCUCGGGGUACCGGACCUCAAGAAAUUCAGCAGGGCACUGCGGCUGAGAUGGCUUUGGAAAGAAUGGGUGGACACCUCCAAGCCGUGGGUGGGAAUGGCGGUCCCCUACAACGAUCUUGAUCGGGCCCUGUUCUUGGCAUCUACUAGAGUUACCAUUGGGGAUGGUCGAAAGGCAUGAUUCUGGCACGAUAGCUGGCUUGAUGGCGAGGCCCCAAAAUUCCUAGCACCCAGCCUUUUCGAGGUCAUCAGGUUCAAGAACAGGAACGUGCACUUCGAGCUCCGGAACAACGCCUGGAUAGCUGCACUGAGGGGGCGAAUCUCCACCUACCAGCAGGUAGAAGAAUUCAUCUCAGUGAUCUUUCUUUUGGAAAGGAGAGGAGAACGCCAACAGGGGACAUUGUCUUGUCAACUGGCCAACAAUAACUAGACCAAAGGACCUCGGGGGGCUCGGGGUACCGGACCUCAAGAAAUUCAGCAGGGCACUGCGGCUGAGAUGGCUUUGGAAAGAAUGGGUGGACACCUCCAAGCCGUGGGUGGGAAUGGCGGUCCCCUACAACGAUCUUGAUCGGGCCCUGUUCUUGGCAUCUACUAGAGUUACCAUUGGGGAUGGUCGAAAGGCACGAUUCUGGCACGAUAGCUGGCUUGAUGGCGAGGCCCCAAAAUUCCUAGCACCCAGCCUUUUCGAGGUCAUCAGGUUCAAGAACAGGAACGUGCACUUCGAGCUCCGGAACAACGCCUGGAUAGCUGCACUGAGGGGGCGAAUCUCCACCUACCAGCAGGUAGAAGAAUUCAUCUCGCUAUGGAUCAGGAUACAACAGGUUCACCUAAUGCCGGGCACUCCCGACACCAUCAUCUGGAGAUGGACAGCUAGUGGUGCUUAUUCCACCAGUUCAGCAUGUAGGAUCCAAUUUUCUGGGUCCUAUAGAGCUUUUAGAGGAGACUUCAUAUGGAAAGCGCACACAAAGAACAAAUGCAAGGUUUUUGCAUGGAUCAUGGCACGGGAAAAAGCUCUCACGGCAGAUAACCUACAGAAGAAGGGUUGGCCCCACCAAAAGCAUUGCACCUUGUGCAAUGGACCCCUGGAAGCUUCAAAAGAUUUAAUGAUUCUUCAAAAGGUUAAUGGUUCUUUUUUGCCUUGUUGUUACUUCUUUCAUUCGAAAGAUAAGUUGGCAAAGGUAUGGGUCUGGGAAAUGCUGCUGCCAUACAAGUGUAACCCUGACUGGUCUGACUAUUGCAACUACCUUGGGGAAUAUUACAAGCUCCAUCACAGUGUUAUUGCUCAAGUUCCCUUGAUCUAUCUGACAUUUGGCUUUCUGUUAUUAAUGAACACUCCCAAAAACUUAAUAUGUUGUAUGACUAGUUGCUAAGGAUGGCCUGUGCCUUGCAUGCUUACUUUUUUUUUUUGAAAAAAUGGCAGGAGCUCUGCCCUUCAAUUAAGAACGGGAGUAGAAAAGGUGUUUUAAGUACAAAUAGGACCAAAAACAGUCCAGUCGGUACAGCAACAAGAAAGAAAAACUCCCUAUUGAAACGCUCUUGUUCUUUGCUCUAUAUCGUGCCUUGCAUGCUUACUGUUUCACCUGCUAUGGAUUGUUUGGUUUACCAUCACAACCUUCAGUAAAGUAUAUUGGCUCCUUGGAUAGCAUUUUGAUUAUGUUAUUUGAUUUUUUAUGAUACACUUAUAAAACAAUCGAUUCUAGUGUAUCACCAAGGAGGCUGACCUGAUCUGUAAGAUGCUGAGUGUUGGUGCCAAGCCUUCUAAUUACAUAAUCAUUCAAAGCACUGAGAUCCUCAUGUGCGCUUUAAGCCUUACGAACCACCAAUUGUGUGAUUCUGUUCCUGCUGCUGCUGCUAUGGUGGUACAUCCCUGCCUGCAUCACGCCUCUUAAUGUUAUAUCCAUUCCUUUCUUUGUUUAAUUUGCGACCAACUUAUGUGACCUAACCGCUAAGUGUUGGGUGGUUUACUGGCUUGAAUUCAAGAGAAUCAUGAAGGAGACUAAUAAAAUAUGUGACUGGAUAAGACAAAACUGUAAGCCUUUUGACACGACCGACAUGGACUUGGAUAAUGAUUUCGAGUUGGGUCGCCAAGUUCGGCAGGGAACCCUGGACUUCAUGACCAGCCUGCUGGAAAAGUCUCCCUUUUCUGUUUCUGCUGCUGCUACUGAGCAAAAACCUGUUGAGGAAAAAUAUUUUAUUGGAAAUAUUCCUAGAAAUGAUGGGAAUGACAUUGCUCCUGCUGAAGCAGCAAACUCUACAGGGUAUGUAUAGUCUAUCCUUUCUUGACACAACAAAGUGUAGAUAGUGUUUGAUUAUAUUAUCUGAUAAUGUAAGAGAGUUAGGUUGAUUAUUUUCGACGAGAAAAUUAAAGCAUUGUGAUGCUGUAUCAUUGUACUGUGCUAUCACCAGGGGGAACACACCCGGUCAGGAAAAGAUCACUGGCGCAGAUAUUAGUAAGAAGAGGAUGGAAGAUGCAGACAAAGAAGCAAAUGACCAAGGUAUACCCCUUGUAAUUUUUUGUCAAGUAGUGAAAUCGCAUGAUUCAUUGUCUUAAUACAGUUGUUUCAAAAGAUUUAAUGAUUCUUUUUUUCUUUGUUGUUAAUCUUUUGAAAAGAUGUGUUGGAAAAAACAUGGGGGUGGGACAGGCUGCUGCCAUUGAAGAGUCCUAUUGAGUGGUCUGACUAUUGCAACUACCUUCGGCAGUAUUACAAGCGCAAUGCCAGUGUUGUUGCUGAAGUUACUGGCAGCUUGGUUGCUUUGGCCGAAGUUGUAACUAUACAAGUAUACAACUGCCCUUUCUAAACCAUCAGCCAAAGCCUCCUAAUUUUUUUCUUUGCUUAUCUUCUUGCUAUGUUGAAUUAAACUGGUUGUCAAAUAGUGUUUCAAGAAGGAGGAGGAACUUGUGUCUUUGUGGAAGACUCAGGUUUUUCGUUCCCAUAUUGUGAUCUUGCCUGUCAACACUAUCACUCAGAGUAACCUGAUCCAGGAGCAUGCACAUUCAUUCAUAUGUUCUGACUUCCUGUUGCUUCCACUGUUGCUUUUGCGGUAUGUGCCUUAACUGGGCCUAAAUAAAGCAAAAAAUUGUGUCGUAUUCAUUGCAGAAAUACUACUACUACUCUCUAAACCUACUGACCAAAUGUGUGUUGCAGUUGGCAAUUACCUACUGACCAGAUCAUAAAGGGAAAAGACAUGUUUAGUGUGUGUGUGUGGGUGGGUGGGUGGGGGGGUGGUGUUCUCUAUCAAGUUAAUUGUUACGAUAUAUAAACUAGUUGGACUCAUCUUUACAAGAAGGGUAAGAGAUUAUCUCUUUCAAGCAAUUGUAAAAUACUACAACUACAGAUUGGUUAUUGUGAUCACCAGCAACAACAAUAUUAUCUUUGGUUAGAAUGCAUAUUUUAUGGUUUUUAGUCCUGUCUUCACAGUUCUAUUUUAUCAAUAUUGAAAUACCUGCCUAUGGCACAUUUGAUAACCGAUUGCGACUGGUUCUUUAGUAAAAUUGCCAAGCAAUGUACUGUCAUCUAACGUUUGUGAUCUGCUUCUUGCUGCAAAACGGUGCAAGAUCUAAUCUUUUAUCUUUUUAUUGUUGCAGACUUUAUAUCUAUUUGUUGUGGUGCCAUUUUAAUUGUGCCAACUUGGCCCUGAGCCCUACAUGCUCACUGUUUCACUACUUUUAUCCAACUCAGCACAUGCACUUUCAGUAAUGUAGUACUUCUUUUAUGGCUUUUGACUAAUGCAAAACUUUGGUUUCAAGUGUAUUAGCAACGAGGCUGACCUGAUAUGUGAGCUUCUAAAGCAUGGUGCUAAGGCUACUGAUGGCAUCAUCCAGCAGAGCAGCAUGAUCCGCAUGUGCACCUUGAGCCUUAUGCACCUACAACUACAAGGAUUCCAUGCCAUUGAUGCCGCCGCAGCCAUGGUGGUAAGUGCCCGCCUGCAUCACGCCACCUCUGCCAAAACACUCUUAGGUUUAACUAGCAUCCUAAUACUUGCUGGCACUUACUACACCAAUGGCUUCAAUUGAAGGGCAUCACAAAAGAGUGCAAAUUGAUGUGUGAUUGGAUAAAAAAAGAGGACAAGCUUAUCACCUUUGGCUUUUUCACACGGCACAGGCUUGAGGAAUGCCGCUUGAUUCGCAUCAGAACCUUGGAUGUUAUGCUCAGCAUACUGAAAGGGUCUUCCUUUCCUCCUUCCAAGGUUAGUGGAAUGGGUGAUCAGAAUGGAGCUGCUGUUGGAUUUCAUUUGGCUUCUUCAUCAUUUGGUGGGGCAGUCCAGCUAUGAAAUGUUGUUAUGCCCUUUUGUUUGUAAUAUAGGAUUUAUUCAUUUAGUUCUAAUACUAAUUAUCUUCACAUGAUCAUUCAAAAUGUUGAGCAGGUUAGCUCGACAUGGGAUGAGCCGAUUGGUUGGCCACUUCGCUAGGAUAGCAUACAGAUUUCUUUUUUUCACUUAGCAUUUAAUGCCGCUUGUGUCCUGUUAAUCAAAUUCGACUUUAUUCAUAUCAUCAUUUAAUGGUAUGCCUUGUGCCAGUGUUAAAAAUUUUAGACUCAUUAUUGGUGGCGAACAUGCCAAUCACUCAGGAACGAAUUGUACAUGUUAAUCUUAGGUUAUCAUGAUGGUUCUGGCACCUAUUUUGUUUUCAUGUGUAGUACUUGAUUAACUGAUUCAUGAUAUUUCUUUUCUACUGCAGAUGUGGCUUGAUCUAGUGGCUAAUAACUAGAAACAAUGAUGGUGGGCAGCUCCAUGGAUGAAGUUUCUUUUGGCUGGAACACCCUAAACCCUAAAUCCUAAACCCUAAACAUUAAGCACAGUACUCGUUGCGGAGUAUAUGUCAUGGUUGUCAAACCAAAUUGUAACAACUACUAGAAUGCACUGUGCUAUUUAAAUUUGUUGCUCCAAUGACAUAUCUUUGGAUUUAACUGCACCGUUAAGUUUUGUAGUCCAAACCUCAUGUCGCACUUUGGCAGCCGCGGGACGUUCACGCGCUGCCGCAUCUGAACUUAUAUCCUGCAAGGAGGAAUGACUUAGGUCCCGUUUAGUUUGAGGAUGAAAAUUUUUUAGGUGUUACAUCGAAUAUGUCGGAAGAAUGUCGGAAAGGGUUUUUAGAAACUAAUAAAAAAACAAAUUACAUAGCUCGUCAGGAAACUGCAAGACAAAUCUAUUAAGUAUAAUUAAUCUAUCAUUAGCACAUGUGAGUUACUGUAGCACUCAAGGCUAAUCAUGGAGUAACUAGGCUUAAAAAAAUUCGUCUCACGAUUUUCAACCAAACUGUGUAAUUAGUUUAUUUUUUUUAUCUACAUUUAAUGUUCUAUGCAUGUGUCCAAAGAUUCGAUGGGAUGGUUGAAAAAUUUUUGGGUGAGUAACUAAACAGGGCCUUACAACUGCAAAGUGACAGAUUAUGUGGAUUGAUUGAAACAGCCAGUCUGGCUGAUUAUAUUAGCUGUUUGUUAGAGCAUCUCCAAGAGCUUGGCUAAAAUUAGUAGCCAAAUUCUAAUGUUUAGUCAUUUUGUAAAAUAUAUAACUUCUUAAAAAAGAAGAGGUUCACAACAGUCUUGCUAUCAGAUAGCUAGUGCCAGUGGUUGGCUAUAUAUGGCCAACGAAAAUCAAGGAUAGCAAACUUUCUAUUUUACAAAACCAAAUAGCACAUCUGUUGGAGUCUAUUUUUCUACUACAAAAGUUCUAAAAGGCCUCCAUAACAAGAAUAGCACGGAGUUGCUCUUAGCUUGUUAUCCGGGUCCUUCCGUGGUUAAUUUGUGGCUCAUAACUAAACCAUCUGCCGCGCGUCAGGUAUCCAAUGAAUUUGAUGCAAGAUACGAUACUAGGCUCACUCAUGUAUAGGGGCUCAUUCCUAUUGUUUAUCACCAUUGUCCAAAGACUGGAAACCCUUGUUCCAAGACUUGGAGUAAAAUUAACAGGUGCUCCAUAUGCACGUCGUGUUCAAGUUAGGGAUUUUUCUUUGGAAAUGUGUUCCAGAUAUGUCUGAAAAGGACUUAAAUUAUAAAAAUAACUUGAGCAUAUUUAAAAAUAAGCUUAAGUUGAAUUUUAACAUUAAAGAAAGUUUCAAAGAUCCUUUAUUUUGGCUUUCAAAUGUGGUUUGAAAAUAUUUUAAAAUAGUCAUUUAAAAAUGUUUUAAAAUGAUUUCAAAAUAGCUUUCAAAUAAUUUCAAAUAUAACUUCUAAAAAUAUGGUUUGCAAAGUAAAGUUUGAAAAAGGUCUCUAAAAGAGAUAAUUUUGACCUUCAAAAUUACUCCCUCUAUUCCAAAUUAUAUGAUUUUAUAGCUUUUUCUCCAUGUACUUAGAUAUACACUAUGUCUAAAUAAACUAUAAAAUCAACCUACUUAGAAAAUCCAAAACAUGUCUUAAUAUUUGUUACGGAGGCAGUAUUUUACAAGGAUUUUCAAAAUAUAGUUCAAAUGAAAUUCAAAAAGGUGGUUUAACAGAGUUCGGAACAUAUUUGUUUGUUUCCUCCAAAUCUACCAAAGUCUGAAAGGUUCAACUCUCAAAUGUUUAAAACAUAUUUGAAAUAUACUGUGCAAUAUUUUAUAAAAGGUAAAAACUUUUCAUGGGCCAAAUCUCAUUUGGAAAACCCCACCCAGCCCAAAAUUUCUUUUUCCUCCCUCUAUUAUUCUGCCGGGUCAUUCUUUUCUUCGGGCCUAAAGGCACCAGCCCACAAACCCCCUUCUGCCCUUCUUCGUUACCUUUUUUUUUUUUUUUUUGCGAACAGGUAAUUUGCUUGCUGCAUUUCAUCCCUGAACCUGAAUGGAAGUCGCUGAGAAUCUUCAACCCUAGAGAUCGGAUCCUCUGGCUGUCUCAGAGAAUGGAGAUGGUGGUACGCAGCAGCUUGGCGCCUUCCUUCGCCUACCUCAUUGCACUCGUAAUCAGCUCAGCUGGAGGGCAGUCUCGUCAUUCCGGCAGCUCUUCCACCAUGCCUUGCCUUGACCUUCCUAUUCUUCCCCCACAAAGCACAGGGCCUUAUCUGCUCUGCUGCUCUCUCUCCCUCCCCACCCCACUCGCCGUCUCCAAUUCCAAUCCGUGCUCUUGUGCCAAGUCAGGCAAUCAAUCAAAGAGUCCAAAGAUCCCAGCUUUCCCAUGGCGAGCGUCGAUCUCCCGCCUCCUCCUCCUUCCGAGGAGACGCCGGCGGCAGUGGCGGCGGCCGAGGAGGACGAGGACCUGAUCGAGAUCGUGGAGGAAGGUUCGGGGCGGCUGGACAUCGCCCGGUACGUGGACCACGUGCGGGACCUGUCGGCGGGCGCCAUCGCGACGUUCGAGGGCACGACGCGGGACCACUUCGCGGGGCGGCGCGUGGUGGAGCUCCGGUACGAGGCGUACGCGGCCAUGGCGCGGCGCCGCCUGGGGGCCAUCCUGCGGGAGGCCCGGUCCCUGCACGCGCUGCGGCGGCUGGCCGUGGCGCACCGCCUGGGCGCCGUCCCCGCCGGGGAGGCCAGCGUGUUCGUGGCCGCCUCCGCCACGCACCGCGCCGACGCCAUGGAGGCAUGCCGCUACGUCAUCGACGAGCUCAAGGCGUCCGUUCCCAUCUGGAAGAAGGAGGUCUACGACGACGGCGAGGUCUGGAAGGAGAAUCGCGAGUUCUUGGACCGCCACGCCGGCGACGCCCACGGCAACGGCUCGGCCGCCGCGGCGCAGACGAAGGCGGGCGGGUGCUGCGGGAGCAAGGUCAGGGUGCAGGAGGCUUAAUGGUGAUGGAUGGCGGCGCCCGGCUCUCUCCAUCGCCAUCGCAAUCGCAAUCCACGGGAGUGGGUGGUGUUUCAUGAAAUUCUCUGUACAACUCGAUGCCCGUUGACUAAUUUUUCCUCCAGUUUUAUUGCUGAGAGAGACUACUGCUAAGUACAUCUUGAAGUUGAAAGGCAGAUAGAUGUUUUGAGAAAAGUGAGAAGUGAUGAGGGAAAAUAGUACAGUAAAGAUUUGUUUCUGAAAAAUUCAGUUUGUUGGAAGAAACGGCAUGUGAAGUCACGUUUCUAGAUUCUAUCUAUGCCUUGUAUACCAACACAACAUGGCGAAAAAAUAACACGAAUUCUGUACUCUUUGAGGAGCCAUGGAAUGCAGAAAUUUCACAUGAAUUAUAUAGAAACUUUAUAGGAAAAAUUUUCUGGAUUCCAAAUGGGCAUAACUAUGGAAUUGCUGAAAGCCAAGAACUGCAUAUGAUGAUAUGAAGAGGUGUUGAUGUUGUGGUCUGAAUCUGAAACUUGACAGGAGUUUUGUAACUGAAACACGAGUGGGUGGUAUGGUACUGCGAGGAGAGGAAGGAGGGGAGACGAAAAUACAACAGAGCAGUAAGAAUGAUUCUGACGAUUCCACGUUUGAGACGGCAUAAUAACAUCUUAACAAUUUGGAACAGAGGAGAGAGUAGUUUCUGGAACUCUGACUCUGAGACAGGGGCCUGAAACUGGACAAGACGAGGAAGAGGGGUUUAAAUCUUCUGGAAUCUGAAACUGGGCACAGGAGUCUGUUGUAUUGGAUGGAAACUUGCCUCUCCUAGCCGUUUUCAAUUAUUCAUUCACGUGUAAUGACUACAUGUUGGAUGUAGGAAGCUCCCAUUUCAUAACUCAAUUAUAUAUGGCUGUAUGAAACUGUCAAACAUCAAAGUGGCUGUAGUUUAGUGGUGAGAAUUCCACGUUGUGGCCGUGGAGACUUGGGCUCGAAUCCCAGCAGCCACAGUUGUAGUUUUAAAAUAUUUUUUAGUCCUUUAUUGCCAUGAUUUUCAAUUUUUUUUAGUCCUACCAGCCAUGGUUUUCAUUUCUCUUCUCAGUCCUUUUGCAGCCAUAUUUAUUCGCAUAUUUAUGGUCCUUUUUUUUGUAUCUCAUGUGCGCAUGAGCCACAGUUGUAGUUUUAAAAUAAUUUUUAGUCCUUUAUUAGCCAUGAUUUUCAUUUUUUUUUUAGUCCUACCAGCCAUGGUUUUCAUUUCUCUUCUCAGUCCUUUUGCAGCCAUAUUUAUUCGCAUAUUUAUGGUCUUUUUUUUGUAUCUCAUGUGCGCAUGAGGAGGUGACAUUUAUUUAAAUUUAGCAGCCACAUUUGUUUUUUUUUCAGUCUUAUUUUUGUCUCAUGUGCGAAGGUGAGAUUUUUUUUUUUCUAGCCCUUCAGCAGCAACAACUUUUUAUAUAUAUUUUUCGGUCCUUUUUUCUUGUCACUUAUGUGCGCAGGAGGUGACCUAGAUGAAGAGUUCUGGCAGGGCAGGAUCACGACUCACGAGCCAGCUUGGCUCAGGCUCACCUCACGUUGGCUCGUUAUUCAAAUGAGUUGGCUCAGCUCGACUUGCGUUAAUUCAACACAAAAAAAUGCUAGCUUGUCUCUGCUUGUUAGGAUUGUGGAUUGUAAACUAGGUAAAGUCAUGGCUAAAAAAACUAUUCACUGAUUUAUUACGACAGAAAAACACUGUUAGCUGACAGAAAAAAUACAACUUAUAUAGAUGGACCUAGGUCAUGGUCAAAAGGACAUGGACUGAUGGACAUGGGUCGGCCUUUGACUAGGUGUUUGGCAGCGCUCAAGACAUCGUGGUUCUCUUAUGUGUCCAUCUCCUCCAAGUCAAAACUUUUUUAGGGCUCCUCCAGGUCAAAAUGUCGUGUACAAUAGAGUUUUGUGGCCUGUUUUGGAGGGCGGUUAGAGCGCAGACAUAAUUUAUGGACCUUAAAAAAAGUUUACAAACCAAGGCCUUGUUUACUUUCGAUUUUUUUUUUUUUGAUUUUGAUAGUGUAGCAAUUAGUUUUUAUUUUCGUCUCAUAAAUUACAGACAAAUUGUACAAUUAUUUUUUAUCUUCGUCUAUAUUUAGUGCUCCAUACAUAUGUCAUAAGAUUCGAGGUCAAAGUUUUUAGAUUUUGGGGUGAUCUAAACAAGGCCCAAGUAGGGGGUAAACCUACAAAAACCGUGUCCAGCCCAUUCUUUCUGGCGGACGAAGCCCAAUCCAAAUAGCGGCUCGGCCCAACGAAAUUCAAUCGGCCUGCGCGGCCUGUCUAGCGUUCUCCGUUCCAUCUCCACCUGUCGCCGUCGUCGUCCUCCUCCUGUCCAGCUCCGUCCCUGUCCCCGGCUGGGCGACUCCUCAUGGCGUCGCCUCCUCCCGUGGCGGCUGCCGCGGGGCCUCACAGCGUCUUCGUGUACGGAACUCUGAUAGCGGAGGAGGUGGUGCGGGUCCUCCUGGGCCGAGCACCGCCUUCCUCCCCCGCAAUCCUCGCCGACCACCGCAGGUUCAGCAUCAGGGGCCGCGUCUACCCGGCCAUCCUCCCCGCCCGCGGCCACGCGGUGAGCGGAAAGGUCCGCGUCCGCCUCUCACUCUCUACGGCUGAAACAUGGAGGCGAACGCCGCCGAGACAGCUCUCGUCUGAAUCCGUUGCCUCUGUGCUCCGUCCAGGUUCUCAAGGAGCUCACCGACAGGGAACUCCAUGUGUUCGACAUGUUCGAGGACGAGGAGUAUGUGAAGACAACCGUCGAGGUCUCACUGGCUGUGAGUACAUUGCAACCGUAUUUGCAACAUCUGAUUCUGAUCGACUCCCCAUGCUUAUCUCCCAUUGUUCUGAACUUCUGAACCUUAGUAGCUCAGAUGGUUGAUGGUUUCAUUUUUCAAUGAUGAAAAAGGAUGGUCUGCGGUUUUGCAGGAUGCACAGGAGAAAUCAAUCGCCUGCGCCUACAUAUGGGGCAACGAGCGUGAUCCUGACCUCUACGGGGAAUGGGAUUUUGAGGUCUGACUGAAUGUCACCGUAUGAUGUUCGUGUUUGUCAGUGUGGCGCUUUGAUUUGCAUUGAUGAUUCUGUUUGUGGGCUGUAGGAGUGGAGGAAGGUGCAUUUGAAGGACUACCUUGAGAUGACUCAGGAAUUCAUGCAGGAACUCGGGCAAUUUUAAGACACUUCUCCUCUGGUUUGUAACUACACAGGAUCCUUGCAAAAUUACCAUAGAAUAAUCUGUGUCAUAGUAGAGCCUCUUGUGCUCAUAUAGAGUCGACGAGUGAUUGCUCCACGAUGCAUUUCUUCUGUUCUUUUGGAACAUACAGAUGUUUACUUGAGUCAUUUGGAUGUGAACAAAUCGACUCUUCUCUUCUGCCUGUUUUUGCUGUGUUAUCCUGUGAAAUCCGCUUCCUACUAGAUGCCUACCACUAGCAGUGACGUUUACUGCUCUAUAUAUCUAGAUCUGACUAGUUGACAGUAAAAUGUCUAUAUAGAAAUCUGUCGUUAAACUUUACCAAAAUGAGACGUAUAGAGUUUCCUCGUAGUGCCAGUGCGAUAAAAACCUGGUUAUAGUUGAACAAGUACACCUACAAAUGGAGACGGACAGGUUGUCCAUUUGUUGAUUUUCUCAAAAUAGAUAAAGGAAUAACAAUGGGGAAAAACAAGAAAGAAUAGCAAGCAUGUGUAAGAACACCUAAAGGCCAUUCACAUUACACAAAUAGUACUAAUCAGUAGAACCUCUUAAAUCUGCUUCAGUAUUUUCUGAACUGAGACUCAUAGUGCUACAUGGGUUUCAAGCAACCCCAGCAGCAGUUCAAUACACAAUUACAAAUACUCUCCAUCAAAAUACUUUAUCUUCAGAUCUGCCUACUCUGUCUGUAGUUCAGACUUUGCCUAACCCUCUGUCUGAAGUUUUGACUCUGCAAUGGCUCUAUAUAUCUAAAACAUACCCUAAUCUGAGGAGUGCUCUGCCAGCUAUAAAAGCCUAGACGUCUACAGCAUCCUGCAUUGCUUGGCGAUAAUUCUGUAGAUGGCUGGACACUGGUUGCUUUUUGCAACCAUAGUUCUCAUCUCCCAUUCUGAAUUCAUAAUUGUGAAAUACAGUUCAACAACUAACACAGGGAUGAAAGGAAAUACUGUAAGCAAACUGUGUAUGUACCUGUGAUCACGUCAUUCAAAUUGAUCGUAGAAGCCGAUCGAAGGGUUACCAGGGUUCUGGUCACAGCGAGGCUUCCAGGCAUUCCCACCAUCUGAGCUGCUGCAAGCCUGGUUGGAGAGGACAUUGUUCCCCAAAUCACCGUCUAAGCUCAUCUGUUGCACUUCUUGGGGGGAUAGGAUCCUAAUGCACUUCACACAAUUCACAAACUCCCUGUGUAAUUCACAUCACAUUUUAUUACAAUAAUAACCAACGAAAUUCUUUUUCUAUCAUUUAUAUUCAGUGCGUUUACGAAAUUUACACUCUAUAAGCUCCAGCAUACACUUAUCAAUAAAAAGGAAGACACAGGCACAUUGCUGUUCACUUUUGUACUUUUUUUACUAUAUUACAUUCCUAGACAAUAUACACAUCUACAUUGGGCACUUCUACAAUAUUAUUUUUCUUGACAACUUUUCAUAGUGAAAAUACAAAAUUUAAUAUAAAGCAAAAAUAGGAAGGUAAACUUACUCCCAUGGGUCAUCACCGAGAAGUAGGAUGUCAUCCUCAUGAUCCUUGUAGACUAACUUCCAGCCUAUUCGCUGUCGGUCCUCAAGUUGGCCCUCUAUACCAAACAUGCGGGCCAAAGCAUGCUUCAAUUCUUCAUAUCCAGAGAACCUACCUAUGUCAAUGGACCGGCCUACAGCUCCACGCUUGUAGACCUACAGGAUUUAUGUUACCGUCACUUUUAUGAAAAUGUUAGGUUCACAUUCAAAAGAAUGAUGGCUAUAGCAAACAAAGCACAUGCUCAAGAGUUUAUGGCUCCAGAGUGAGCAUGGUCAUAGAAGGUACCAAUUGCCAAGUGUCCAGUCCUUGACAAGCUUUUAAAGCUAUAUGUGACCACCUCAUCAACCAUACAUCCAAGCAAGCAUAAAUACACCUAUCACGUUUGAAUCAUGAUUUCAAAACUGCUUGACAGUAGCUGACUACUCAACUGGCAUAAUAGCAUGGCACCAUAUACUAGCACAGCUAAAACCAUAAAUGCGCUCUUGAAAAGACAGUUAUACAUUUGCUUUUCUACUAGUCUGAAUAUGACAAUUUUUUACAUGUGAAUUUUUUAAAUGUACUUCACAUAUAUUGUCAUAUCUGCUCCCAUAUUUCAUCUUAUAUUUGGUGUUCAGGAGUGAUCAGAAGUGUAUUCCAUUCUUCCCUUAAAGCCCCGCAAUUUAAUAUUCAGGAAUUAGUAAAUACAACAACAAAAGCAUACUGUUGAAUGUUAUAAUAUCAGUAAGUUGGGUUAUGUAAAGAAGCACAAACCUUUGUGAAUGUCCGCAUUCUCUGUGGUGGAGGUGCAGGGGGCCAAGAAUUUCUGUUCAACAUGGCACCAUCGUUGAUUGCAGAAUCAAUUGAGUUAAAAGCUAUAUCAGACUGACCAAAUGACUGUGAAACCAUGGAGGUUGAGAUCUCUUGUUGGGCAUCCUUUUGUAUUCGGUAAUUGUUCUCAACAUCAGUUGACAAAUUAGUCUGACACUUCACAGGAUUAAGUGCACUUACCAACAAGCCUUCUGUUUCCAUAGGAAAGCUCAAUGGACCAUCAUUGUUGAUCCCAAAGAAAGCAUUGUUAGUUGGAUCCACUUCUUGAAUUUCCACAUCUGCAAGUGCAUCUUUGAACAUUUGUUGCUGGUUCAAGUUAGAAGUGGGGAAUCCUUGAUGCAAAAGUCCAUCUGUUUGGGUAGGCCAUAACGAAGUUGCUGAUGAAGCUGUUUCCAGGUUUUCUGUUGAUGGUACAAUGUUCAAAAGAUUGUCAUGUCCAGUCCCAACAGUGGGUGACUUUGAGGUGAUUACAUUCUCCUUCAGAUUAUGGUUCAACUUCGACGAUUCCUUCAUCAUUAUUGGAGUUGUUACAGCUUCACUAGAUGUUGGAAUUGACAUCAGAGCAGACGAUUGAGGCACCUUCUCCAUGUUGACCUUGCAAUGCUCGUUCCUGCCAAUAGUUGGGUGUGCCAAAUGAUUUCCGUUGUUGGCUGUAGAAGGUGAUGUUGAGCAAGAAGGGAUUUCCUCAGUUAGUACAGAUUGUGUAGCACCUGGAAUCAUCAGUUGGCUUCCGGCUUUGGACAGAACGUUGGUUGAUGAGAUCUGUUGAAAGGCAACAUCUGACACAUUUGCAAGUGCGACUUGUUUCUGUGAAAGCUUCUGCUGUUCUUGCUUCAUUGUUGGUGGCGCCUGUGAUGCUUGCAGUGAAACUUUGCUAUCUUGCUGAGGCAUGAUCCGCUGCUGCGCAAGUGAAUGAGAACUCGAUAGCUGCUGCAUGUCCAAAAGUAACUUCUGCUGUUCCUGCAUUAGUGGUAAUCGUGAGAGUGUAACUGCUGGCUGUGAUAUAAGUGACUGCUGCUGUAGUUUCUGUAAUAGCUGCAACUGAAGUUCCUGGUCAGACAAUUGAGCCUGUUGACCAGCCAGAUUCACAAGUUGACCUGGCAACUUGUUUAGCUGCUGCUGAUUCUGCUGCUGCUGCCGCUGCAGUUCCUGAAGUAAUAGCUGCUGCUGUUGCUGCAGUUGAAAAUUCUGGUCCUGAUGUUGCUGUGAAAGAAGCAGCUGUUGCUCACUGGUUCCCUGCUGGCACCUAGUUGGAGACGGUUGUUGUUGUUGUUGUUGCUGCUGCUGCUGCAUCUGAGUCUGGAUAAUUACCUGGGCCUGGACAAGAUUGGCUUGAGCCUGGCUUAAAGGAAUUGUUUGGUUAAUGUGCUGCUGUUGCCUCUGCUGGUUGCCAACUUCUUGCUUCAGUUCUUGAUGAUUGGUGAUGGUGUCAAGUUGAUUACAAGACAACGAUCCCUUGGCAAGCUCAUUUAUAGGUUGCAUUUGCUGAGGGAGCUUGGAAGCAUUAAGCUGUACACUGUUUUGUUGCAGGAGAUGGUUCUGAACAUAUAACUGCCUUGCAAGCUCAGCGGCACCAAGGUUUUGCAUGGCAGGGUUACUUAGAGAUCGCAGAUACUCCGACUGUAUGCCUGUAUUAGCUAAUGUGGAGCUCUGCUGCCUGUUCAUGUUCAUCCAUUGAACCAAGCUCAGACCAGGCAUUGUGGUGUUCUGGGUCUGAGCAUCCUUUAUGCAUAUCUCCUCACCAAGCCAAGGCAUUGCCCUCUUGAAAAGGUUUUCCAUCUCUGAUGACUCAUCAUCUGUUAAUUCAGAUAUAAAAGUGAACCAUGUAAACCAUCAGAAGUGGUUGUCGUGAUAAGCAAUUUGCAUUGCAAUCUAAAACAGAAAGAUGAACCUAAGUCUGAUUUACCUAUUUGCCUAGGGCGCUUUACGCCAAAGAAAGGCUGGGGGCAUAUGAAGAAAGGAGCAGCAAUUGGUUCAAUCUCCCACAUUGAAACUCUGUUUCGUCUUUCACCCGCUGCAGACUCAUCCCAACCAACCUACAAAAUUAUGCUACAUCUGUGAAUCAGAUAAAAAUCAAAUCUGCCAUCAAUGGUGUGGCUCAGCAAUCUAACCUGUAAGUUUCGCCACUGGGAGUUUUUCCAUCUUACAGGAUCUAGGUCACUUAUCCCAGUUAUCGUGCCCAUGUACCUGAAGAACAUUGAAUAAUUUAAUUGGUAUAGAAUAGGCAACAAAACCAUGGCUAUAAUUUAGAAUUUAGAACAAAGAAAUAGAAAUUGAUUGUUUAUAAAAAAUGUCCAAAUGAAAACAUGUAAAAAGAGCCACUGUACCUUCUCAUCCCUAAUUCCUCAGUCUCAAACAUCAUCCGGAAUCGCAUUCCUAAAGAUAUUUGGUUACUAUACAGUGCCUUCUGGUAUUUGGCAAAUGGGAUAACAAACUCAGUAGGGCUAGCCCUGAAAGUCCACAUUUCAGAUAAAUCAUUGAUAGUUACUGAGCUACAUAAAAAGGCUGUUUAGAGCCAUCAGGGUGGGAAAAUUAUAGUGUAGGAACGUUACUCACCUAGGGUUGUAAAAUAUGGUAAAUGGGCUAUUGUUAGCAGCAGCAUGGGCCGCUGCAGCAAGCACCCCUAUGUGCAUACUGUCACUUGAAAGUACUGAAGAAGAUAUAUUAGUUGGCUGCCGGCUAGCCCGCCUUAUUCCCAGUAGAAGUUGCUGCCUUUCAUCCCUAAAAUCAUGAUGAGCCAAAACAUAGAUGAUAUUCACACUCCAAUUUUGUUCAUUAUUUCGCAGUUAAUUUAGUAAGAAUAUUUACUCUAGAGAGAACCAAGACAAGCUUUUACAAGAGGAAAAUGACCAGGAAACCUACCUAACAAAAAUGACAGAAUCACCAGCAAAUAAUCUCUUGCCGCCCACGAAAAGACUCCACCCAGUGGUUAGUAAAUGUCUUUUCGGCUGACCUGAUCAUAGCAAAGUCCAAAAAUGAUUCAUAGUAUUGAAACUUGCAUUUACAGUCAAGGACCUCUAAUGUCGGCAACAGUAACAGUAGAUUUUCCCUUGCAGACCAACCAGAACAUAAAAGAAUGAUGUGCAAGGUUCUUCAAAUGCAUGAAACUUCAUUGGGAAAUACUUGCAUAAAAACUAAAAAGAGUCCUUCCUACUGCCAUUUGUAGCAAUGAAAGGGCUAUAUUUUCCCCACCUCGAAAUAUAUGGCGAAAUGUCCACACGUUGUCAUGUAUGUCUCUGGCUUGAAGCUCUUGAGCCGGAGGCUGCAUACUGAAGUCCUAUAGAGCAGACCAGGAGAGUAAAAAUAUUACAAUGGCACUAUGGGGUUGAUAAAAAGCAAGCAUUUUGCUGCGGCAAUGUUAGAUAUUCGAUGCCUGGAUACCAGUGGAGGUAAUAUCUUCUCUGCAGCACGGCGAGGCACAGAGAAGCCUCCAUGUGUACUUGUAUCACUUGCAGUAAGUGUCUUACAGAAGAACUCCAUCUGUGGCCUUGCAUGUUUUAGUGCAAGCUCCGAUAGCUGCAAAGCCUCUUUUCCAUACUAAAGCAAAGUCAAAGCCAUGGUUUUAGGACAUUGGAACAAGCAAGAGACUUUUGGAGAACCACAAGUUCUAGAUGCUCACUGUGUUCACUGGCUGAAGAGUCAUCUGUGCAUACACCUCAUCAGUGUCUGGGUCCGCCUGAGGACAAAAGAGAGGUGGUUUUAGAAUUGAUCAUUGCAAGCUCUGUGUCAAAGGGACAGGAUAGGAAGUGUACAUUACAUGCAAAGUAACACUGUGAAGAAGACAUAUCAACUUUGAGGGAAGAUUUGGGUAGCUUGGCACAUGUGCAUCAAUGUCCUUUUGCAUAGAAGCUGCAACCUGAAUCAGAAGGACAAUAAGUCCAAGCAUAACAUUGCGUUUGGAACAAAGUGAAAAAUAUUAGUAUUCAAAUAUUCAAGGUAACUUUUUGUCUUAAUCUCGGAGAAUCGGAAGACAUUAAAUUGCAGGCAGAUGAACCAACCAUCAAUUAUAUGGGGACUAAUAUCUUUUCAUUAUUUUCCAGUAAUACGCCACAACUUUUCAUGUAUUCAUUGUUGCAUUACUGUCAGUCUGAAUAAUGCAUGGGGAAAUGUUUAUCUUUGUGCCGUAGUUAUUUCAAAAUGUGCUGGUGUGGGGACUCAUCAGUACUCUGCGGAUUUUGCGAUAAAAGAUUAUUUCUUGAAAUGAUUAAGAAAGUAGAGCCAUUCGAACAUGCUUCCCCUUUUGCUAACCCUUUCUGCAGUUUGACUAAAAAAAUGAAGCGGAAAGUAGUCUGCAGUUUAAAAGGAGCGCCGCAUGAGUGAACUUUUCUUAGAUAAACUCUUUAUAAGUACUGUGAUAAAGUCCUCUACCAUCAUGCGCAACACAAGCAGAUGUCAUAAAAACUUAAGGGCUUCAUUUCCUUUGCUUUUCUUCUGAAAUAGUAGAAAGAUAAUUUAUGUUUUCAUCUUUUCUGAAAAGAACACCAUGACUGCCUUUUGGAUUAAGAUUUUUAUUAUAGGGCACCAUGACUUGUGAUAAAAAUAAUAUUUCAUAAUCAUGUUAUUCCAGUUCCAAAUCUGUAAGCUGGGACAAAAAUUACCCAUCCCAGGACCAUAAAUGCAAGCAACCCACAUGCACAAAAGAUGCUUCAUGUACACCAAACUCCUUGCAAGGAAAUAGUGCACAACACACCAGAAACCAACAGAGGAAAGAAGCAAGUAGGACCCCAAUAGUUCCAACCACUUUGGCAAUGAGCUAACAUUAGCAGGUUCUUGCACUGGAAGAUAUCAGCAACCUAGUGAAUAUCUUCACAUUUCUAGUGAAGAAUGGGAAUCUUCUUGCACCAAAAAGAUCUGAGUGAAAAAAAAAUCACCAAAAAUCUGGUAGUAAAGAAGAUUAUGGGGAAACUAUUCCAGUUAGCUCAGCAACAAUCAGUUGGCUCCACCAACAAAUCAAAAAACUGUUUUUUUCAUUUUUAUUACUGCACUGAUAGUAGUACCCUUUAUAUUAUAUCCCUUGUAUAAAAACCACAAACAUUUUAGUAAUAAACUCAACAUGAACCCGCCAAAAAGAAUCACAGAAUGAAAAAACACAACUUUUCUCCUGAAAACGCAGAAUCAAACUACAAACUUUGUGCACAAGUAUCUCAGAACUCUGACAUAUCGAUAACCAAUUGAAGAUUUGGAAACAUGAUCCCAUAGAAGAUGCCGAAGAAGCAUCAGCGGAUGUUACAAGAACAGAGCAUCCCAAAGGCUGUAGCAAUGGCGUCAAGCCGUCAACUACCGUUACGGCGUGACGUCGAGGAGCAGGAGCAGGAGCAGCACGGGGACGAGGAGGGGCGCGGUGUCACUCACCUGCUCGCUGUGGCCCUGCGGGAAGUAGACGACGAGGCUGCCCACCGGCGGCAGCGACACGAGCGGGCCCGCGCAGGCGUACCACAGGUCGGCGUUGAUCGCCGGCGCCUUCCGCUCCCCUGCAAGCGGACGCAUGCCGACGCCGGCGUCAGCGACACGACACGACACGAGAAAAAAAAAGGCGACGCCUUUCUGAACUUGGGCACAAGAAACGCGAACUGCCGCCGGCCGGCGACAAACGCAUGCCGCAGAAGAGGAGCAAGGUGGCGAAAGAGGUACCUUCGCAUGCCGCCGCGCCGGUGGAGUCGGGCGCGGGGGCAGCGACGGGCGCGGGCGCGACACCAGAGCUCGCCGGGGACUGCUUCAUGGUCGGCCACGCGGGAGCUUCACUGGUGGCCCACGAGCAUGGAGCAGGGGCGCGCGGCGCUGCGCUGCGCUGCGCGGCGUCGCUGCCAGCCAGACAGCGCGCGCCGCCGGCCGGCCGUGUCGUCGUUCUUGGCGGAAACAACCUACUACCACUAGGAGUUGUUGCUCCGGACGCGGCGCUAGCUAGGCGAGCGGCGUGGCGGCGCCUCCCCGACAACGCGAGCAGCAGCAGCAGCUCACGAAGACCAAGGGGCGUCCCCGAGAGAGAGAGAGGGGAGGUGCUGAGCUGCUGGCUAGUUGGUGCGUUGCCUCGGGAGUUAAAACGAAACGCUCCUUGUUUCUCUCUUUUUCCUCGUCUUCUUGCGAGACUGAAGAGAGAGAAAGAGGACCGUGAACGACAGCAAGAGGAACACCACUCUCUGCAGCUCUCAGCUCAGCUCAGCUCAGCCCAGCCAAGCCCAAAUCUUGUUCAGGUACAAAAACUUUUUUAGAUUUUGAUUCUAUAGCUUUUUCAUUUUUAUAUGACAAACAUUAUUUAAUCAUGAAGUAACUAGACUUAAAAGAUUAGUCUCGUAAUUUACAGACAAAAUGUACAAUUAGUUUUUAUUUUCAUCUGCUUCAUGCAUAUGCCGCAAGAUUCGAUGUGAUGGGGAAUCUUGAAAAGUUUUUGGUUUUUGGGUUAAACUAAACAAGGCCUAAAAUGAAAAUCUUUUUCUGCACUGUGAAAAGAUAUUUUUUUCUAUAAAGGUUUUUAUAUGCUUUAGACUGUGCCUCCGUGAAAUCGUAGAAUUUAUUUUCUUGGAACAUGACUAAUAAUGGGCCGUGUUACCGUGACCAUGAUAGCGAGUUUACCGCGAGGAGAGACGUGGACGACACUUUGUAUGCCCAUAAAGAUAAUUGGAUAAUUUAGCAUGCUAAAUAUUGGUCAGUGCGACACGAGAGUGGAUUUUUAGAAUUGUGUAAAUGUCAACUAAUAACCAAUUUGGUUAUUCUAAAAAAACGAUUUUGUUACGAGUGUUCUAUUGAUUCGACGACUAUUUGUGUUUUCUUAUGAAGUCUCGUGCUAACUACUAGUAACUUCGAUUGGCAAUCCACGAAGAUAUCAUCGUGAUCUAUGAGACACUGUAACUCACUUUGAAUACCAAUAUCUAUAAAUAUAUUGUUUUGUUAUCAAAUAUGCUCUACGUUGCAAUGAGAAAAUAAAUUGUUCUGUUGUCAGCUAGACUAGCCCCGUACCAAUGACAAUGGGGUAAGUAUCUUUGUUGGAUUUGAUUGGGCUUGUCUUAAUUCUUCGCUUGAAUUUAUCAGCACGGCUUUAUCAGUUAUUGUAAAAAAAAAUUCAUAACAAAUCAAUGAAUAAUACUUAUCAGCAUCAGCAUGAUCAAAUCAAACACUCCUAUGAAUAAAUAUCUUAAAGUUGUCUUAAGUUAGACUUUGUUUUAUGUUUGAUUGAGUUUAUAGAAAUGUGUGCCAAGAUUUAUGAAACAAAAAUGAAUAUAAUUAGAUAUAUCAUAAAAUAGAUUUGUCGGUGUUUUCCCCACGGGGGGUCACACCAACGAGAAAAUUUGUAUGCGUGCUCCUUUUCUCAGAUGGUGAUGCAAGAAGACAGAGAUUUAUCCUGGUUCGGGCAAGAGAAGGCCCUACGUCCAGCGGGGGAGGGAAGUUUGUAUUAUCUUGCACCUAAGUGCUUGUACAGGGGUGGAUACAAGUGUGGUCUGGAGUAUGCGAGUUCUACUGCGUAUGGGUGAAGUGUUUUUUUCUCUCCUGUAUCUAUUCCCGGGUCCCUUCCUUUUAUAGCACCAAGGAGAGACCCAGGGUACAUGUAUAGGUGUCAGAGUAGGAGUCGAUAGGAGCAUGGCGCGCUGACCUACUCGAAGCCCCCGUACCAGCGUGACCUCAAGCCGUCCCGUCUUAGUAGCCUGGUGAUGAUUACGCGUGCCCCUGUAACCUGCUCUGCGCGCCGCUUUGGGCUGGUUCAACGGUCGCACGCCUGUACGAUACGGCGGCAGAUCCGGCGGAGUGGUUGCGGUAUUGUCAAUCGACGCCCAACUCGUCUCCAGGAAGGAACCAGGUCUGGUCGAGGGUCAGACCCCGUGCAAAGCCCUGAUGUCCGGAGCGCUGACCUUGGUUGUCUCGAGGGGGUCCUGAUUAGACGUUCCAUCCCUGUUUCUCGUGUCCUGACACGUUCUGGGUCGUUUGGUGGGGAAGGCUGCAAAAAGAACGAUGAGACGGGUGCCUGUUCCCUAUCACGCUUCCCGUGACCAGCGUGUUAGGUGGGAAAGCGGCAGGCGCAUUUAAUGCCUCGGCUCUCGUGCGCGCGUCAGGCGGCGGACAGUGUCCUUGCACUCGACGCCUCCUGGUUCGCUCGAGCCUGUCUCCGUAUUCGACGGUAGUCAGCACUCGUCCCCUGAGUGGUUCGCUCAACGCCCUUUCCGUCUUCGAGGCUGCGGCCGCCGUCGAUCGUAUGUGUUCGACCAGAGCGUCGAGUUGGAAGCCCCGACCUUUGUACGGGUAAUCUCGUUAUAUGCAUUGGUGAAGGUACCCCUUACUGAUACCCUCGACAAGAUUUUUAUAAUAUGCUCAAUUUUGUGUUAUACACUACAAAAAAAUACCCUUAUACAUGACGGUUUACUUUGGUCACAAACAAACGAAAAUACCCUCAUAGUUAACUCACUAUGACGAUCGAAAAAAACAUCAUAUAUCCCGCAUCAUACAUUUGUUGGCCCAAAUUGAGUCGUCACAGAUUGGAAUUUGUAUUCGUCAUAGAAUAGUUGUCUUAAGUUAGACUUUGUUUUAUGUUUGAUUGAGUUUUAUAGAAAAGUGUGUCAAGAUUUAUGAAACAGCAAAUAAUAUAAUUAGAUAUAUCAUAAAAUAUAUUUUUAUAGUAUGCUUGUUUUUAUGUUAUAAAUAUUUGUGCUCUUUUCUAUAAAUUAGGUUAGACAUAAAAAAAGUUUACUUAAGACAACAAAUUAAUUUAUUUAGAGAUGGUAGAAGUAAAUUGCAAGGCCAUAAUAAAUGUUAAACACAAUAAAGGAUUAAUCUUGUAUGGAAAUUGACUAGAGAUUGAUCCAGCUUAAAGGAUUGGCUACGUGUAUGUAUCUGUUGUAAGGUUAAAAAAGAUAGAAGAUGAGCCAUAAAUUAGAAGCCGAUAAAACCAGAAAACAUAAACCAAAAGAAAAACUUCUUCCAAAGAGACCUUAACAUAAGCCUAGAUUGUUAUACUUCAGACCUAAGUAAGAAAAUUUAUUGCACCUCCUCUAUCAAGAAGCGUCUGUCUCCAAAAGUCCAAAUCAUCUCAGCACUGGUACCAGGGCCUGUUCCCUUCAAAAGCAAAAUAACAAAGCACCAUUGGGCAGGCAUAGCCCUUUUUUUAUUAAUUAAUUAACUAAUAUCUUGCGGAUGAAAGUGGGUCCAUAUAUUAUAUAUUAGUCGGUUGCGCCUGUAUGCCACGUGAAUUCCAGGAAUACGACACGUACUCCUACACUUUUGGCUAAUCAUCCCUGCUACUGUUCUUUCCUGUUGCAACUCAUUCUUAUACUGCAUACUUAGGCCUUGUUUAGAUGCAAAAAGGUUUUGGAUUUUGACACUGUAGCAUUUUCGUUUUUAUUUGACAAACAUUGUCUAAUCAUAGAGUAAUUAGGCUUAAAAGAUUCGUCUCGUGAUUUACAGAUAAACUGUGUAAUUAGUUAUUCUUUUAAUCUAUAUUUAAUACUGCAUGUGCCGCAAGAUUCGAUGUGACGAGGAAUCUUGUAAAGUUUUUGGUUUUUGGGUGUAUCUAAACAAGGCCUUAUAUUUAGAAGAAGUUAAAAAAGAGUAUGUAGUUCAAGUAGCCAAAAUUCGUGUGUUUAGUGAAAGCCUGCUGGUGGAUCCUAUGCACAACAGAGCAUAGUUUUUUUUCCCGGCACUUUAACAUAAAUAAUGUAGCAUCACCGCUUCCCCCUCUUUAGAGAAAGGGUGUAUUCAUAUGGACGGAGUUGCAGAAUAAAUUGAGAUUAUGUUGGUUGGUUGUAUAAGCGGAUGCAACUUGUGAGACUAACGUGUGGGCCUAUCCUCGUCCUCCUCAUCUUGCAGUCUUUGGGACAGGUUCAGGAGAGACGGCCAAAUUAGUCGCAUGAGCAAGGCUUGAUUAAUGGGAGCGUAUAUAUUUGCACUAACAAAUUAAUGUAGCAUUAACAUAACGGAACAGAAUAUCCAAGCACCCUUUUUCGAUAGUUUAUAUAGAUGGACAGUUGCUCGUAAGAACCAAGCGUCCAAAAGACCAAAACAUACCCAAGAGAGUUGAGCCCAUAAAUUAUUACAGGAAUGCAGCAUCCGCUACUGAUUUUGUGGAUUCUAUAGGACAUGAAAAGAACAGAUCUAGGUAGUAAUUAGCCAAACGGUAGUGUGUUCAUAUACAACCUUGUACAACUUUAGUUUUGCCCACUGGACACUUGCCUACGCUUAUAUAUAAAAAUAAAUAAAUGAUAUCAAAACAUAUGCACAUAUGUAUACUCUAUUUGCAUGCCCCAUAAUUUAACAUACGUGGCAAUGAUUUAUACAGAGAAUGUUUGUUGGUGCUUGGUGGUGUGCACAUGCAUGUUGUCACAGCGUGCUUGAUGCCAGCAGAGAGAUCCUUCCAAGAAAUCAAGACGCAAAUUCAGAUGAAAUAUUUCUUCAUCAUAGGUGUGAAUGUGUGAUCCACAUCACAUUAUUAUUAUGAUUAAUAUUGCCAUAAUAUGAUGCACCCACCAUAUCAUUCCCUUUUGGAGCUCCUAGUGUACUUUCUGACCUGUAGAAUUAGAAAGGCCGAUUUGGCAUGUGAAUUAGCUAGUAGGAGAUCUUCAGAGCAGCAGGCAGCGUAUGAUUGCGUGGUGGUUAGUUGGGACGUUUAAGGUAUCCAUUCCAUCCGGUUGGCAUGGCAAUGGCAAUGCCAAUGGCAGAGAGAGAGAGAGAGAGAGGACAUGUCCAGCUACUUGAACCUGUCAUACAGGGACAGCCCGCCGGCCGGCCCGUCCGACCUCCUAUCGGCAACCACCACAGCAUCUCAUCUCUGUUCGUGUUGGACUCCACCUUGAGUGGUGUCCAGUUCCAAAGGGCUCCGUAGCUUUAGGAUCAUGAGUCAUGACUAUUAUAUUAUUGUUUUGUAUUUCUUAGAUUUCUGGCCAUUUCUCCUACAGUAAUCAUGUCCUUUUAGAGGUUGUAGGAGUCACCUAAACUCCUUUUUUUUUUCCUUCUUAGGCCUUAUUCUUCAGUUGGCAAUUUUUUUUGGAUUUUAGGUACUAUAGCAGUUUCGUUUGUACUGGUAAUUAAUAUCCAAUUAUGAACUAAUUAGGCUCAAAAAAUUCGUCUCGCAAAUUAUAAGUAAACUGUAUAAUUAGUUUUUGUUUUCGUUUAUAUUUAAUACUCCAUGCAUAUGCCGUAAGAUUAGAUGUCACGGAAAAUUUUGAAAUUUUUUGAAACUAAAUAAGGCCUUAAUAUAAUGAUAUACACCUCUAGAAAUGUGCAUGGCAUAGACUGAUGUAUAUAUCAUAGAGAUGACUGCAUGUUUAAUUAUUUUGCUGGAAAGAUGUUGAAUUCCAGAUGAAGCGAAGUGUCCUCACCGUAGCCGUAGCAGACUACUAGGCCUUGUUUAGUUCCCAAAAAUUUUGGGAAAUAGACACUGUAGCACUUUCGUUUGUAUUUGACAAAUAUUGUCCAAUCAUAGAGUAACUAGGUUCAAAAGAUUCAUCUCGUCAAUUCCGACCAAAUUGUACAGUUAGUUUUUAUUUUCGUCUAUAUUUAAUACUCUAUACAUACGUCUAAAGAUUCGAUGUGACGGGGAAUGUGAAAAAUUUUGCAAAAUUUUCUGGGAAGUAAACAAGGCCCUACUCGUAGCAGCAGAAGGAGAAAGGCAACAGGCAACAGGGAAUGAUUGACGGGACGCGUGUGGCAGGGGCGCCGGUGGCUGCUGCGUCCGACAGCAUUUUGCGCUCCGCCGCCCUGCCGCCUCGCCGGGGGACACCACCCCUUGCCCGCCGGCUUUCCCUGUCGCCCGCCGGUGUCCGUCGGUCUCCCCGCGUCUGUCUGGUCCAAUCCAAUCCCCCCUGCUGCUCACCCUGCAGCAGAGCAGUGCAGUGCAGCCGAAGCAGCUGCCGCAUGCGACCGUGGUCGUCGUCCUUCGAACGGAAUGGAAUGACAUCCACCUCUAGCCUCGGGUCUCGGGACAGGGCUCUCCUUUGCGCAUUCUUGUCUGCACUAGUACACGCAGCACGCCACUGUAUUUUUUUUGGCAUUUGGAGUUGUUUGGUUACAUGUGUUAAAAUUAAAAAAAAAUAGUAUUUUUGUUUUAUUUGAUAAUAGACCAACUGUACUUAAAAAUUCAUCUCAUAAAUUAUUAUAUAAUUAUAUUUUUAGUUUAAUAAAUACUCCCUCCACUUACAAAUAAAUGCACAUAUAAUUUUCUAAGAAGUUAAAUAUUUUUAAGUUUGACUAAAUAUAUAAAAAAAGUAUAUUAAUAUUUAUCACGUGUGAUAUGUAUCGUUAAAUUGAGUACUAAAUAUAAAUUCAUAAUAUACUUAUCUGUGGAUACAAAUAUUAAUAUUAUUUAAUAUAUUUCUAGUCAAACUUCGAAAAGUGAGACGUGUAUUUGUUUAUAGACGGAGGGAGUAAUCUAUAUUAGUGCUUUACUUACUCCGUCCAUAAAUAAAUACAUAUCUCAUUUCUCGAGGGGUUAAUUUUUUUUAAAUUUGAUUAAAAAUAUAUCAAAUAAUAUUAAUAUUUGUAUCUAUACAUAAGGCCUUGUUUAGUUCACUCCGAAAACCAAAAAGUUUUCAAGAUUCCCCGUCACAUCGAAUCUUGUGGCACAUGCAUGAAAUAUUAAAUAUAGACGAAAACAAAAACUAAUUACACAGUUUAGCUGUAAAUCACGAGACGAAUCUUUUGAUCCUAGUUAGUCCAUAAUUGGAUAAUAUUUGUCACAAACAAAUGAAAGUGCUACAGACCGAAAAGUUUUUACUUUUCGGAACUAAACAAGGCCUAAGUAUAUUACGAAACUAUACUUAAUACUCAAUCUAAUGAAAUAUAUUAAAUAUGAUAAAUAUUAGUAUAUUUAUAUAUAUUUAGUUACAGGGGCGAAGCUACAUGUUACUUAGGGGGUGCAGAUGCACCCUCAAAAUUUGUAAAAACAGUGAUUAGGUCCAAAAUUUCACCAUAUAUGCACCCCUAUGGAAGAUGUCUAUGCAUACAACUCCUCUAAUUUGCUCUAGCUUCGCCACUGUUUAGUUAAACUUAAAAAUAAUUGACUCUUUGAAAAAUAAGAUGUACUUAUUUGUGGAUGAAGUGAGAAGUAUGCAUUUAUCUAAACAUGGAUGUGAUAAAAAAUCCGCCCCAAAUCGGGGCAGUAGUACAGCACUGUAGAAGUCUACAGGAAGAGGGCUGGCGGACCUCGGUGUCUGCGUCAGCGUGCCCCUGCAGCGCCCGAGCUCCUGCUCGCUCGUGCGCCUCGGGAGUUGUGCUCACUGGCGUAGGCACGUCACCAGCACGGUCGCUGCCGAAGGCCCCCGAGCUCGGGACGGGCCAGGGCCACAAAGCUGCGCUGACUUUAUUUUAUCUGCAACUUAAAUUUAAUGUGACAGAGAAUCUUGAAAAAGUUUUUAAUUUUUAGAUAAACUAAACAAAGCCUUAGACUCAAAAAAUUUAUACCAGUAUAUCCUUAGGCUGCCCAUUAAACAACCGAGACACAAAAUAGGUCCUUAAGAUAUCUCUAGGCUGCCUUAGAGUUAGAUCCGCUGCCUUGCCUAUAUAACUCCGGCUCUUCCGAAGUAUACUCCAUUCACAAAACACGAUACAAUAAUAUACUCCAUUCACAAAACAUGAUACUAUUAACAUUUAUGUCUCCAACAAUAUAUAGAUGAAACUAUAUUUUAGAACUAAUUUAAUGAUACUUAUAUAUUUUGUAUCGUAGAUGUUGGUACUUAUAUAACUUUGAUCAAAUUUCAAUUCGUUAACUAGGAACUAGCACCUUCCAAACCAAUAGCUAUAAAGUCUCGAGGAGGAGCAAACAGCCAAACACUAGAACUAGCUAGCGGAUCGAUGGCACACGUAACUGUCUUUUUCGAUUGAAAGCCAUCUGACGAGUGCCUAACCUAACCAACGGAGUGUAAGUAAUACUACCUGAUAGCGAUCAUAUAUACUCCUAUAUUACAAUCUCCUCUAAUCACACUCCACGCCAAGGUUUCUCCGGACCAACCAAGCGCUAACCACCGGUCAAUUAAGAUCUUCCUAACACAUGGGCACAUCGGCAUCACGUGCAUCUAUCCGUUGUCUACCCCUAAUCCUAACACAUGGACACUUUCGUUUGUUUGCGGCAAAUAUUGUCCAAUCAUAGACUAAUUAGGGUUAAAAGAUUCGUUUCAUGAUUUAUAGGCAAACUAUAUAAUUAGUUUUUAUUUUCGUCUGUAUUUAAUGUUUCAUCCACUGCCACAAGAUUCGAUGUGACGGAAAAUCUUAAAAACUUUUUAGUUUUUGGGUUGAACUUAAACAAUGCCAUAUGGACAUAGGCGUGAUGGUAUUUGGCGUGCAGUCAGCUAGUGUGGUAAAUAACUUUGGGCCUUGUUUAGUUCCCAAAAAGUUUUACAAAAUUUUUUAGAUUUCUCGUCAAAUCGAAUUUUACGGCACAUGCAUGAAACAUUAAAUAUAGAUAAAAAUAAUAACUAAUUGCACAGUUUGCCUGUAAUUUGUAAGACGAAUCUUUUGACUCUAGUUAGUCUAUGAUUGGACAAUAUUUAUUAAAUACAAACAAAAAUGUUAUAAUAUGCAUUUUGCAAAAAAAAAAAACUAAACAAGUCCCAGGUUUACGAGACUACAAAACUUUGAAAUACUAGGUCCAUCAUUGGUGCCAUGGUGACGACAUCUCCCUAAAAAAAUAGAUUUACCCGCUGUGUAGCGGUAGCAAACCUCUUCCUUUACCGCUAUUGAACAUUGACACAGGAUGGCAGAGAACAAAGAUUAUUGGAAGUGGACCUAGGAUCUGCUGUUGCACUUAGGCUAGUGUUAAUGCAUGUUUCAUGAGAGUGUCAUACAUAUUAAAUAGGAUGUCACAUAAGCAAAAUUAAUGAUUUAGUGGGGUCAUUAAAUGAAGAAGUUUCAUCAGAUGAGAGAGAAGUUUCAUCCUCAUGAAACACAUGUGACUCAGUUACCUAGUUUUAUGGGAGCAAAGAGGGUUUUAUAGGGAUAAAAUAUUUUACACUGUUUCUAAAAUACAGAUGUGUUGAAAAACUGAGCUAUAAAACCUGCAUUGAGGAUGAUCUUAGCAUUCGCUACUGCAUGCUACCAUUGUUGUGCUAGGGCAACUAUUUUUAUAUAGGCAAUAAAAAUCAAGUGGCAAUAAAAAUGUUUAUAAAUAUAGGCAGUAUAACGAAGAAUUGAUGGGAUGAUGAAAUGAAUAAUGUCUUCUCCAUUGAUAUAAGGACUUGAUAAAUUUGCAUAAAUGUGUCUUCUUUGUCAUUGGAAAAAUAUGUAACUUUAGUUUGCAAGGCAACAUAUGGUGACUUUCGAGUAAGGAGUUAUAACCGUUUUAGUGGAAGAUGCACUAACUGUUGCUGGCUGCAUAAGAACUAAAGAAGAUUCAUCAAAUACUCCACUAAACUAAUCUCAGUUCAGAAAAGAAUACAAUUCUAAUUUACACAAUAUCAAAUUAAAGUAUCUCAAGCUUAACUAAUUAUACAUGAAUAAAUAACUAUGAUAUUAAAUAAUUACUAUUAGAUUAUCAUGAAAUAUAUUUUUAUAACAUAAUUAUUUGAUAUUAAAAUAUUAAUACUUAUAUAUAUAUAUUAUCAAACUUUAGAUACUUUAUUAAUCGAGAAUACAACAAAAAUUGUAUUUUUUUUAAGGACAGAGACAAUCUGCUGCCUCAGCUGAUGCCUGAGGUCGGUGAUGAGUAGUAGUAGUAGUACUGUGAGUGCUACAGAACCUGCCUGUCGUGCCAGGGGAACACACUUGAACAAACAGUCACAGUGUUACACUACUUUGGAUGGGACCCCCGGUGGAUUUGGCUUUGUCCCUCGUCGUUGAGACAGCCAGCGACCAGCGGCCUGCUUCAAUUACCGGCUCCAAUGGCGGACGUGUGGCGCAGAAAACUUAGGCCUGGUUUAGUUUCAAAAUAUUUUGCAAAAUCGACACUGUAGCUUUUUCGUUUGUAUUUGACAAAUAUUAUCCAAUCAUAGACUAACUAGAUUCAAAAGAUUCGUCUCGUCAAUUUCGACCAAACUGUGCAAUUAGUUUUUAUUUUUAUCUAUAUUUAAUACUUCAUACAUGUGUCUAAAGAUUCGAUGUGACGGAGAAUCUGAAAAAUUUUACAAAAUUUUUUGGGAACUAAACAAGGCCUUAACGGACGCCUUCUUCUCCGAUUGUCCGAUGGGCGAUGGCAAAUAAAGUAGUACUACUUUCUCCAAAGACCAUUGUUAUUGACUUUCAAACAUUUCUUUUAACCAUCCAUCUUAUUACAAGUUUUUAGUAUAAAUAUAGUCUAUUUUGGUAUGACUUAUUUAAUCAUUACAGGUACUUUAAUAAUAAUUUAUCUAUUUUAGAAUUUGUAUAAAAAAUUUAAAUACUCGAGCGGUCAAACAUGAUUGAUCAAAGUCAAAAACAUCAAUAUUUUUCAGACAGCUGGGAGUAUAUAUAACGAUUUUAGGAAUGUAUAUUGGUCUUGUGAUUUCGGUGAACAUAAACUAAAAUUUUAAAUAUUAACAACGAUUUGCUAGCUAGGUACUUUCUUCAUCCUAGAACGAGAAGCGUAUUGUAUAUCCGAACAAGUCAAACUUUACAAAUUUUAACCAACAACUAGUGUUUGUUUCUUGGUGCAACUUGUUAAAGACUGACUUGUUAUAAACUCUAUUUCAAAUUAUAAGACUUUUAGCAUUUUCUUAUAGUUUUUGUUAUAUUAUAUUUAGAUACAUAGUAAACUAACGUUUCUAGAAAAGCCAAAAGUCCUAUUAUUUUGAAUGGAGUAGUGGUCAGUUUUCUUGGCACACACAGUGUGGUUUUCUUUGGCACCUCACGUCUCUCUCUCUCUUGUACCCUUUCCUUCUUUGUACAUAUCUUCCUUCUUUCAUUCUUUGGUGCUACUCUUAGUUAUCAAUCGAACUUGUCCAUAUAUCACUCCUCAUAUCUUCUCUGUACCUCUUUCUUCUUUGGUGCUAUACUACUACUCCAUAAUUGAGAGAGAGAGAGAGAGAGAGAGGUGAUUAUAUAGGAUAUAUAGAGUGGCAAUAAGAAGCUUCAUCCCGAUGACCAACAAUAUCUCAUGCAUAUAAUAAUUGUUCAUGAUUGUUUUUCAUCGUACUCUUCAAUUCUCACACUACUUGCUUUUCGAAGAAUGCAUGCCCUUUUUCCUGCCACGACACUUGUCACACCUCUACGGCUAGUAUGAUAUUGUUUGUAGUUGUACUGUAACUUUCUUUCGGUAAGUGUGGCAUUAUUUGUACUCCUAAUAAUUGUUCUGCGUUUACCAAAGCACAGGUUGCGGACAGGCUCACUCACAUGGUCACAUGCCUGUGUGCAAGUAGGGUAUAUGUGGUUUGGGAUUUCCUCCACCUGCGUGAGAGGUCUUUUUCUUAAAGCACAAAGCUCUAGAGCUAUCUAGCCAUCCGAGGGUCGAGUUUUUUAGAUUAUUAUGUCUAGCUACACUAUUUGUUACUCUUAGGAAUGAUGCAAAUUUAGCACACUAAAGGCCCAUUUGGAUCCUAGGGCCGCUAGGAGGGUUAUGAGAAUCACAGAUGAGAACAUGGGUUUUAGAUAGAAAGAUUCUAAUCAGUUUGAAUCAUGAGAGUAUACUAUACUACGGAAAGUGGGUGUAUUAUACAAGAUAAAUGUAUAAAAUACUCUUUAGAUGAUUCAGCAAGGAAAGCAAGGGCAAAGUUGCCUUUUGUCACCUUAUUGGUUUGGAUUGCUGAAAUACAUAUAAAAGCCUUCCCGUCUGGAUAAAAUCGUAAUUAGAUCCAAACGACCCCUAAUUCUAAAUCUAUAUCUGAUAUUAAAGAGGCUAAGGUGCCAUUUGAAUUCCAUGGGCUUCUAAAUCCAGACAAGAAAGAAUCCCAAUAAUUAUAUUGAAUUUUGUGAUUCUAAAAACUUAUGAGUUCAAACCCCUCUAAAAUUUAGACAGUUUGGAUGACAUAGUAGGAUAGGGAUUUCAUAUUGCUCACACACCGCCUAAGAAUCCCAUGUAAUUCAAAAAGGGGCCUAAGGAUUCUUCAUCUCUCAUCGCUCACAACUGUCUGAUAGAGAUUUUGUUGGGACAUGCGCCCUGAUCGAACAAGUUGUAGAGGUGAAGGCUCCUUGGUGUGGAGAAGGUCUGCCGAUAAGAGUUUGGCCAGAGAAGGCUCCUAUGAAGGCCCAUCCGGAGAAGGGUCUAGUGAAGGUUUGGUCGGAGGAGGUUGAUGACAAAGGCCUAGCCAAAGGAGGCUCCAAUGAAGGUCUGGCCAGAGAAGGCUAGUGACGAAGGCCUGGCCAGAGAAGGCUGCGACGAGGGCCUGGCCGAACGAGGUUGCGAUAAAGACCUGACCGAAGGAGGCUGCGAUGAAGGCUUGGCCAUAGAAGGUCCCCUUGCCCUCAUGUUAUUGGCAUUAUAUAGACAAGCGGAAAUUUACAAGUAACUCCUUAAUGCGGCGAGUUUUACAUACCACUCCAAUAAGCCCAAAUCCAAAAGUAAUUACAAUACCAAUGAUAAUCUCUAGGGCCAGCCUCACACUUCCGUGUCCAUACGAGUUAAAUAUUCAGACAUGGUGUGCAAUCCAAUCCCAAAACGAAUUGGGCAUUGUUUACUUUCAACCAAAAAUCCAAAAUUUUUCAAGAUUUUCCGUCAGAUCGAAUCUUUAGACGCAUGCAUGGAGUAUUAAAUAUAAACAAAAAUAAAAACUAAUUGCAUAGUUUGGUCGAAAUUGACGAGAUGAAUCUUUUGAGCCUAGUUAGUCCAUGGUUAGACAAUAAUUACCACAAGCAAACGAAAAUGCUACAGUGCCGCGAAAUUUUUUCCUUCAGAAACUAAACAAGGCCUUAGAACUAUCAUUAACAAAAUCUCUAAACCUCCCAUACCGUGCGUGUUGGAGCAAUAUUUGAAGUCAUACCAUGUAUUUUUCAUACCAAUUUUUAUAAAUCUCAAUCAAUUUUAAGAUAAUUGUUUGAGAUUAUAUAUACCAAAUCUAUCAAUUAUUUAGCAGUAUUUUUCUUUUAUAAUAAAUCAGGAAAUAAUAUUUUCAGUUAUAACUUAUCAAUUAAGUGAACAAGCUCACUGUAGAGUAGGCAGUGGGAGUUUGGAUAUAUACAACCUGCCGACACGAUCAUUGAGCCGGCAGAAAUAUAGUACACAGUGCGUAAACAAGGAUGGCCCCGCACCGCACCCUUAUCUGGCCUGGAUCGAUCGAGAGCAGCUAUAGCUGGUGAUAGAUCGAUAGUAGACGAAAGAUAACCAGUCAGUCACCACUGCAGUCAAGUCACUGCAUGCCCUCUCCUGCCACAGCUUAGCGUACGCACAGUGUCCAUGCUCACGAGGCAGACUUGUGUGACUGCUCACUGCUGGUGCAGCUGCUGGGCAUCACGCACAGCUUGCAUGCAAGUGACAGCACACUUUGGCUUUGCUACUACUGCUUCUACACCGUAGACCACACAAGAAUUCCUGUCAUGUCAUCAGGUAGGAGUAUUCGUUCUCAUCUGCAGAGGAGGGGACUCGGCUGUGUGUGAGCCUCUCUGAAUGCGUCCGUGCCGACACACGCAUAUGCAUGCUUUGCAACCGUCUACGUAUAUAUAAAUCUGAUCUGUGUGAGUAGUAACCACGCAACUAAUGAGCUCUUGUGUGUAUAUUAUUCGGUUUAGGUUCUUGUUUCUGCUACGCACUGAUUGUUGGUGAGGAAGAUUUAAGAGAAGGGUGAGUGAGGCUGUAACAGCUAGCCACCAGCAUGCAGCAGCAAAGCAGACCUCUCUUUAGCCUGAGUGGUGUCAUCUCAUGCUUGCCAUUGCAACUGCACUAGCCUCAAAAUGAAAGGGCUUUAUAUAUUCUCCUUCACUUCACCAGGAUAUGAUCUAGUAACCCUUCUUUUUCUCCACAUCUAUAUAUAACAGGAUUGACCUUGCGCGUAUAUCCUCAUUGGAUGGCACCGCCAGUAGUAGAGUGUGUCACCAACAACUAGCUAGCUCAAAUGGAAAAUCCACAGGAUUUUAUUUUAAGCUAAACAAAAAAAAAAUACUAGUAGUUCAUAUAAAUGGCCAAGAGAACACCUAGAUAGUCCACAUGAAUAAAAGAACCAGCAGAUCGAUCUAUGUUGAGGAGAAAGAAACCAAUAAUCACAGUGGAUAGGAUCAUAUUCCAGAAUUUCACUUCGAUGGCUACACUCCAUGCAUGUCCAAGUGCAUGCAUAUGGUUAUUAGCAGGGUACAGAAGCUGGCUAGCACUGCUGCUACCUAACCUAAAAUGUGGUCUCUCUCUUUGGUAGCUUCUAUAUAUCUAUAACCUGAAAACCAUGUGAGUGAAAUCUGUCCCCAGCUUUUAUGAUGCUUCUUCCAGCCACCUUCUUCAGAGCCUGGCUCUAGCUUCCAUUUGCUUGGCUGGUUUCUUGAGAUGGACACUACAUUGAGGGGUCUGGCCCAGGUCCAAUUAAGACCUGGCCCAGCCAAUCACCAGACGCUGGACGGCAGCAACAGUGUUGUGAGAGCGUAGUAGUAGUGGGGUCAUUGCUGGGCCUCCUCUUUGAUGGUUGAGCCUAACAGUUUCGGUCAAUUCCAGCCUCGCCCUCGCGUUGCUCAAGCUAUUGCCUUCAAUUCCUUCCCCUUUUCGCUGGUGGGGCUGCUGAAAGAUUGUACUCGUAUCUGCUUUCUGAAAGAGCAAUUCAGUCAGAAAAGUUGUACUUUUCCUAUUCCUUUUUAAAGAAAACGGAGGCAGAGAAGAUAAUGUAAUGUAAUGCCACAACAUGAAGACAAUGCAGCUUGAAGAAAAUCUUCCCAUGCUACGAGUAAUCAACCGAUGGCCCUUCCUUUGUGCCUGACAGCAACUAUUCCUGCCGUCAGAAUGCAAUUCUCGCUUCCGAGAAAUCGAAUAGUUUUAAUUUCAAAUUUAACUAAAUUUACACAAUAAAGUAGGGACAUUGAUCAUUAUGUCAAGUAAAUAUCGUUUGACUAGUCACAGAAUAUAUAUUUUUAUAAUAAACUUAUUUAGAGACAUAAAUAUUGAUAUUACAGCUAGCUGAUUUUUCGUCUGCUGCUGAUUUGUUAUGAGAGAAAAAAACAUUGUUUUAUUCUCAGAUCAGGUUGCAAUUGCAACAGCUGUAAUUGCUUCCUAAUCAAAGUGAUCAGCAAAGAAAAAAAAAGGAGUCCAGAUCACACGGUGCACUUCUUAUCCACGGUCUACCCGUCGGCCUGCAGCCGUGAAAGGACAUGUGUGCCCGAUGCGUCUCCCUGCACGAGAUCUUUCGUGGCCUGCCGACUUGUCAUCUACUAGGACCGGACCGGACCCCGUCGCUGCUGUUACCGGUAGACAGCUCCUCCUGCAACGCCUGUUUGCUUGCAUGAUUGCACCCCGCGCACCUGCUCUGAUGUCCGCUACGAGCAGAUCACACACAGCCAGCCCCAGGGGCACUGCACGGCUGCUGACGGUUGUCUCUGAUGCUCUGCAUCUAACAGCUCGAGUCGGUGGACGGCUACUGCUCGUGCGCGUCCAUCGCAACGUCUGGGGGCCUGUGGUGUGUUGCAGCAUGCUGCCGCAUGCCAUGCCAAUCCGUAGGCCACCAAAGGGUCACGUCUUAUCUUUCUGCAGUUCUGCCUGACGAGCAGUCGGCAGAGCGAUGCAUUCUGCCAGGAAAUCCUCUCGUUGUCUGUAGAUUCCAGCAACCAGAGGCUACCAAGAACUGAAGCACCUUGCUGAAUUCUACUGUAGUGGUGCUAAGUUCACAUUUGGCCAUACGUAUAUGCAGUUGCAGAUCAGCAGCAAGUUACUAGCAUUAUUAUUGGCAGUGCUCAUGUCUUUGUUCAAUUAUUGACAAUGCUGUUCGUGGUAUACGAUCAAUAUGACCGUGUGGUAUUCGCUACUACGUGUUCCUCUCGACAGAUGCUUAAUUGCACAACCUAUUCUACGGCGGCCGAGCUCUUCCUCCAGUUCAGUUAGAUGGCGACGUGGAUCGGCGUCGAAUCUUCAGGUACCCAAACUUGCAGGCGCCUGGAGACGAGCCCUCGAAAACAAUCGGAAGAUACCCGGUAGCUGCUUUGUAUCUCUUCUGGAUCUGAAAAGACCCAACAAGUUCAUUAAGUUAGCACACCAUGGAUACACACACAACCACUUUGAUUUUGGUGAUAAGAUUGAAGUCUUUGGAUGUGUACAAUUGGUAAGUCAAUUAUGGUAGCAUGUCGAAGCGCACCUCAAGUAUCUCUUCACUGCUUUUCAGGCAGUUCUUCCCAAUCACACAAACUGAGCCACCGGACCCUCCACCGGUGAUCUUUGCGCCGAAUAGACUGGGGCCUCCAGUUCGCAAGGUCUUCCUGUGCCGGAUUUCUUGUACUAGAUUCACUAGCCUGUCUGUACCGUCAGAACCAAGCCCGCAAGCGUUGUAGCUGUAGUGGCACUGCCGUCAAAUAAACAACCAAAAUGUCAGCAAUAUGAUACAACAAAAUAUUUCUUGUUUCUAUUCUCGUGAGAGGCAAAGCUUUUGCUGUCCUUUAGAAAGAAAGAUAUUUUUUCCAUUUACUUCAUAUGGAUAUAUCAUAAGCCAGUCUGUACUCUGUAUGGAUAUAAAUGAACUUUUUUUGUACCGCCAACCACAAAUUUACCUGGAACAUAAGCUCUCCAAGGGCUGAAAGUUGCUCGUCUGUUUUGGAUGCUGUCAACAAUGCUUUGAAGGCCUACACACAAGAAGCAUAAAACAUGUCAGAGAUAUAAUUAUCAGACGGGCUCAUUUUAAUUUUUUAAGGAAAAAAUGAGCUUAGUGAAAGCAAGUUCACAGGAUCAUGUUAUGACCAUCAAGGCUUAUCCAAGUGAGAGGAACAGGCAUAAUGGUUUCAAGAUGUCAAACCUCAACUCUGGAAUUCUCGUAUAUGGGAUGUCUGGUAGGAGCCCUGACACAGUAAGAUCGUUUUCGGUCAACUUCUGUUACCGCAUCAUUAUGAUCUCCAUACUUCUCCAGGAAAACAUCACCAGUUAUCGUCUCUGGAAUAUCUUUUGCAUAAACAGCUUCAUAUCUGAAGUAGAAAUAUAGCCAUAAGAAACUGCAGAACAUGAAACAUGCUAGUGUUCUGUCAAUUUUAAUAAGGUGAGUGAGACCUAUGUGGUGGUAAGUUGCAUAAAUACUCCAUCGAUGCUUCAGAUUUCAGAAGGUCUACACCAUGCUCUUCAUAUUCAUCAGGAUUUGAGUCGCCUGAUUGCAUAGACGUACAUGAGGGUAACAAUUCUGAAAGUAGGUCAGAUGCAGCACACUUGAUCAUCUUGCGACCCAUGUAAGUGCCUACUCUUACAGACCCAUAAUCAGUCCCACCGACACUGCAUAACUCAAAGGACAGUAAAAUUAGCUCCAACAAACCCAUUCAAGAUUCAGGAAUAUAUUAAAAAGAUUAUCCCAACCACAAAGCUCAAUAAAGAUUUAUCCACCUAUGACGUAUCCCAGAGUCAAGACCCCAAAAUCGUAUAUGAGUUGGAAUGCUAACCAGCUCCUUCACUUCUGCAGGCUGCAGUGAGAUUUUGACCGAUUAAAAUCGUAUAUGUGGAGAAUGAUUGGAUCUAGCAGCUAGUUGAGAAAAUAAAAUACUUACUAACCUGGCAAACCAUUGCUAGGAGUUUGUUAGCUUCUCCACAAGCAGAUGUCAUUUGGUCCAUUACUCCACAAGGAGCUCCAACAACACGAUUCUCAACCUGCAUAAUUGUUCACCAACAGACAACAAACACUCAAUUAAGAAUAGAUGAAAUGAUGAACCCAACAUAGUUUGACAGUGUACUGUACCUUUUGACAGAGUAAAGCAAGAUCCCUUGGAGCAAUGUUUAAACCUAGAAGCAAGAAUAACACGUGAACUGAUGCCAUUUUGCAUGUAUAAAUGCAAGGUAAAAUAUCAGGAGGUGAAUAAUUCCUGAAGAGAUUCAAAUGUCAACAUAUAUUAACAAAAUUAGCUGCUAUAGCUAUUUUCUUUAAGGGUCAUUUGCAAUCUGCUCUCGCUUUGACCUCUAACAGCAUGUUUGCCCCUGAUUUUAUCAGUGCCACCAAAGUAGGCAAAACCAGGGUCAACAGUGGGCUGAAUGGGUCAAAGCAGAGGCAAUGGGGCAAAGUUGGAAAAGGUAGGGAAACGUGAAGUUAGAGGUCAAGGUGAGCCCACUUAUGCAAUUGUCCCUUCCUUUAAUGUAAUAAACAUGGCUGUAUGUCUCCUCUCGAUAUACUAACCAUAGGCAGCAGCGAUGGCAGACAUAGAAGCUACCUCCACUGAUGCAGAAGAGGAGACACCUUUGCCUUCAGGGACAGAUGAAGAAACCUGAGGAUUCAAACAAAAGUACCAUAGAUAACUGAUACAGAUGUUCCAGUUACAUGUGUGUCUGACAUGUGAAAACAUCACUGAUUAAUAUGGGCAUUAUAUGAAAAACAAUGUGACUGGCAUGAUGUUUGAUGACUAAUCAACAUAAAUUUCUAAUACAGACUAACUCUUACAGGCAUAUGUGAUAUAUCCCAAUAUGAAAAAGAAUGUGAAUGCCAAUGUGUUUGAUGAUUAAUGGACAUUUCUUUGCAGACUAAUUCUUGCUAGCAUAUGUGAUGUCGUUAAAUGUGAAUGGCAAGAUGUUUGAUGACUAAUCAACAAACAUUCCUGGACAGACUUGCUUAUACAAGCAUUAGUGAUAUAUCCCAAUAUGAAAAAGGUGAUAAAUGGAUGCAAUUUUGCAUACUAUGAAUUACGAUUACUCAUACCAAAAUGCUCAUGCUGUCCGUAAAGCGCACUCCUAGCUCAGACAUCAAUACAAAAAUAGUUCCAGCAACAUAGGCAGCCCAUCUGAGAUGGAAAAGUUUAUUAAACAUCAAUACACAUGAAAGUUGUUGAUAAUAGACAACCAUAAAAACAUCUUACUUUUGUGAUGGGUCCCGAGAAAAGUAUUCUUUAGCUUUAUCAUAAGAUAUUGGUUUGUCACCAUCCAUAAAAUCAGAAAGGUCCAUGUCAAACGUAGGUGCACGAUUGCUUAAUUCAGAACCAAAGGACACCUGCGCAAACAUAUUUAGUAAGAGCACCCAGUUGCACAAACAAGUGUAUUAGAUACUCUAGUAAGCAUGUGGGGGUCUUAUCUCCACAGAAUUAUGGGAAGUCAAAAGUGAAAAUAUUUUAGUACAAGACUCUUUUAAAAAGAUAAGGGGACAGAAAGAUUGAGGAUUGUUAACGUACAAUUUGUAACACUGGUACUGCUCCUCCAUUUGCUAGUUGUCUAGCCUGUGUAUGCUUCCAUUGCUUCUGUUUGGUAGGGUCGCUUCUCUGAACAGCAACAUGGCACGCCUCUCGGAUGGGCAUCUAUAUGUUAAUAAUCACACAUGUCAAAAAAGAACAACCAUAUCACAUCGGAAGGCUACUAGAUCAAUUCCACAAAGGUGCUAAUUUACUAGGGAAGGUAGUCCUAGCUCCUAGGUAACUAUGAUUUAUGAGGUAAUCGGUCCCUAUAGCAAUGAUCAAUCCAUUUUUAUAGAGAAGAAAAGUUUGAGAUCUAACUAAUCCUUCAAAAAGGGCAGGAAGAUGGGGAGUUGUCUCAGCCUUCAGGGAUGUAAAAGUCAUAGUAAAUUAUUCAUCUAUCUAUUAUCUGUAAAUAAAUAAGUGACAAUACAACAUUGAUGGCAUACAAAUCUAGCCUGUUAAAAUGGGCCUGUGACAAACCUUGUGGAGAGAAAAAUUACAGAAGGGACCCUGAUGGCAUAAAGUGGAUGCACAAAAGGUUAGGGCGAUGCAAAAGGAAAGUUUAAUAAAUAUGAAAAAAGGCAAUGUUUUUGCCACGUUUGUAAUUAAAACGGAUGGUCAGAGGUUUAAGGAUACACAGGUGGCAUCCCCAAAGAGUCUAGUUGAUAAGAAGUAAUAAAAAUGGUUCUCUUGUGGAUUUGGGCCCAUGGAGCUCAAAAGAAAAGAGUAUGUUUUGAAAAUGUUACAAAAAAGUAAGGCAUAUAAAACAUGUUUUACAUAUGUGUCUAAUAUUUAUUACUAAUAAUGAUAAUCUAUGAAACAAAUGGCACUUGUUUUGCAGUCAAACUUACCUGCAGUACAAGACUUCCAGAGUAAUCUGCAAUACCACCCAUAACAUCUAAUCGCCCAGGAGCUCUUGCAACAUAUAUUUCCUCCUAUAACAGAAUAAAAUAAGUUUUGCAUAUGAAUCUUGUUCUUAAUUUAAUAUUGCAUAGGAAUUUUGCUCAAAAUAUUUGUCAGUAACAUAUUAACAGAAUUUAUCAAACAAAAUGAAGUGUUCCAUCAGAUUCGGUGCAUUCUUCCAGUCUAACAUAGAGAAGAACAAGAACUUAGCACACUCUAUCGGAAUUCGAACUCCAGGAUUAUAAAGAGAACUGAGUACCUCCCAGUCAAAGAGCACAGAAGCAGCGGCCCUCUCUCGAGUUUGCUUCUCAGGGCUUCUUAAGUCAUUUCCAACAAGCCCUGAUAAACUCUUCAAAAAGGACAUGGUAUCAGUUAAGCCUUGCAUGUCACCAUGGAGUAUCUCGAAGUCCUCGAACGAUCUGGAAAAAAAUGAAAAAGGUGAACAAAUUUGUAUCAGAAUGCAGCAGACUACUACUGGAGAGAACGUAGAUAGCAUAAAGGGAAACAAAAGUGGUAUAGAAACUUACGACUCUGCACUUCCAUUCAUAUCAUGAGAUGUGGGCGUUGGGCGGACACUGAUUUCUUUCUCAGAGAGAGAAUACCAGUCAGGAAUUCCUACAUCUCUCCCAGGAGCCCUUUGUAGUUGAUAGCCAAGCACAAUGGCAUCACGCAACCGUCUUGCUCCGCUCAACUACAGUUGUUAAAUAAAGCAAGAUGAUUGAACAUAAAACAGAGACAUUCAUUGAACAUUAUAUGGGUUUUUUUUACAAAAAAAAAAAACCCUAAUCACAUGGAAAACAUGGCCAGUGGGAUUGUGAGACAACAGGGAGUAUUAGCAAACAAAAGAAUGAUUAUGUAACAUAAAAUAAAACUGUAGUCAUGUACUAUUGACAACAGAAUUCAGAAGGCAUGCUUCGUUGGAAAUUUGGAGGUCCAACAUAAAGGGUAAUUGACUACUUUAAAUAUAGUUUGUACAGUAACUCACCUUUCCAGAAAUAUACUUCUUUCCAACAGCAGUAUCUUGGAGGAUAUGUGCAGCCACCUGAUGACAGAAGCAUUAGCUUGUCUACAAUAUUCUAUUGUAUUGCAACUAAUGAAUCACAUACACGUUCUAUCUAUUUGGUUCAAGGAAAAUAGGAGGUUGAUAUUAAGUUGUUUUCUUUGCAAGAACUAAUUUGCAUGCAAUUGAAUGCUUCUAAAUAUUUGGCCCUUAACAAUAAGGGACAACUUCAAUUUAUUCUGUGGGACAGAAGCAAAACAUGAUUGAUGAGUUGCUGAAUAAUAUUAAAAGAUUAUGCCUGAGAAUAAAUAGGAAUUACCUCGCCACCAUUUAUGGGACCAUCAUAGCAAGGUUGAAGUGUGAUAGCACGUUGCAGAUAAGGUUUCCAAUGCCCAGUAAGUAAAUCCCUCCGUAUCAUCUCAAUGCCGCAUUGAUAAUGCUUUUUUUGUGAUGCAACAGAAGAGAACACAGAACAGAAUCUCAGGCAAGGUACUUAAUGACAGCACACAAUUUUGAAUCAGUUUUAAGGUCAAAAUGUUUCAACCUCAAGCAUAUUCCUCAAAAAUGGUUCUUCAUUGAAAUAAUCUCUUCGAACAAAUACAAAUGGCAACUUGUAAGCCAAAGCCUCACUCACUGUGCCAUAUCCAAUUUUUCCUACAUUGGAACAGGAAUUUUUUUUGUAAGUGACAAGCAAGAAAAAAAAAGACAUUAAAUAAAUACCAAAUAAUUUAAAGUUAUCAUUACCAAGCAUGCAGUCAGAUGCUGCCAUCAAAUCAGGUGUGUAGGCAUCCUUUGCAAGCUUAAUGAAAUUUGGAGGAAGCUUUUGAGUAUCAGAUGCACCACAUACCUUUCAGAAAAUAUAAAAUGUUAGUCAGGUGGGUUGGUCAGGCAUUAAUCAGUCAGGGAAAACGUUGCUAUCAGAUAAACAUACCAAACAUAGCCAACCAUCAGGCAACCACUCUUUCUUCAGUUCCCAUCCCGCAGGCUGCACAAGAAAAUAGCAAAAGAUGAUGUUAUUAAUGUGUACAACUGUCCUAGUUAGAACAAUUACAUACCGAUAGAAAAAAAAUAACUUAAACAAAAUGAGGGCCGGUUUUUUUCAUGGAAAAUCUACUCUUCUGACAAAACAUAUAAGAUAACUCCUAGUCCUCAAAUGUUGGGGGGUGUAUUAUAUGUUGAGAACCCCCACUAUUAUGUUCAGAGCACAAUUACAUAGCUCAGGGCUCGCAAAAUAAUAUUUGGAGGAUAUUUAUAGUCUUUAGUGGCAUUUUUGUACAUACAAACCCAGCAAUGAUCCAUUUGUAGUCUUUAGUGGCAUUUUUUGUGAAUAAAAACCCUACCAGGGGCCCAUUUGUAGCCCUUAGUAGCGUUUUUGUAAAUACAAAGUGGGAGAGAGAUUUUUUUGGCCAAUGACUCUUUUGACUCGGUCCCAUUCCCAUGUUCCUCCUUUUCUUUCUCAUUUUGUUGGCCUAAACCAACACCAAAUUUAAUAUUGAUAGAACGUUCAAAUAUUGUGCCAUGUAUAAUAUAAACUGAUGUAUCAACAACACAUGUAAAAUAUGACCAUAGAGCAGCGAUAUACCAUAACAACAUUGUCUGUGAUCAGAUCAACCUAUACUAGUCCGGAAAUUGGCAAAUCAAUUGAACAUAGAUAUGUUGUGGGCAAACAUCAAUCAGAUAUUAGAAUAAAGCAAGCCACAUACUUAUAAGGAUGGACAAUUUUCUCUCACCUGUCCUCCAAAGUUGAAAAUGACCAACUUAACAUCAUCUGCAAUUCCUAGUUCCUUUCUCACCUAAAACACGAAAAUUAUGUAACUUAAAAAGCAAAAAGUGGGUUACAUUUGUAAGAUAUCACUCUAAAACAGAAUAUACAAACCUCAGAUCUAGAUCUGUGUAAUCUUCUAACCACCAGAGGAACAUCAAUGACAUCACGAAAAGCAGGCACUGCAUCAAAUAGGAUUGCCAACUUGUUAAUGAGAAUUGCACGCUUAGACCAACUAAAAACAAUUAUUCGAGCUUAAGUUACAUACUAGGGCAGUAUCCAGGGAGUCGGAGCAAGAAUUCACAAUGGGAGUAAUCCUCUGCUAUCUACAAUUGUUGUUAAGAUACAGACAUGGCUAAUUAACAGACGACAUAAUAUUAGAUUACAAAAUAAACAUAAAAAAACAUGGUAUGAUUGAACAAACUCUAAACGAUAACUAUUUGCAAUUCUUUCCACCAGCCCACCCAUCUUAAGUAGGCGUCAAUAACUUGCCUAAGAAAAAUUGAAAACUUAGACAUGUGAGUGAGGUACCUGCCACACAAUUGAGCGAUGAUGAUGUCCAGCUGCUACAACAUACUCUGCAUAAAUAAAGUCCCAGCUGCAGACAAUUAAGAUAUGUUAGAAGCUUCAUCAAAUCACAAGUUGCCUGUAGGCUAUAGUUUUUUUUGAACUAAAGCCUGUAGGCUAUAGUAACCACUGGCAGAUCCCCCAGAUACUUACCUUACGAAAUUAAUUUGAAAAAAAAGGAGAUUACAACUUAUUUUAAUGUUUAUCAGUAUUCCUUCCUGCUCUUUGCGACACAUGGAACCAAAGAAGCAAUAGAACCACUACUAACCUGAAAUUUGUGACGCACACGGAUCGAAUGCCAGCAUCUGCAGCUGCCCUACACGCCACGGGUACAACAUCUGAAACCUGCCAGCAUUUACUCGAGUGAGUUCAGUUGAGUCCUAGUCCGGUUACCCGUAAAUAUUUAGGGAGAUAGAUAAGUAUCAGAAGCAUGUAACAAUCAGUGAUCAUGCUAGUAUGGCAUUGAUACCACUAGGUCGGCCUUGAUGGAGUUGAGCCACUCCGCCUCGGUCCUGAGGAUGGACUCCCGGGGCACCACAGCCGUCUGGUGAUACUGCACUCCGCGCACCCUUUUUUCAGAACUUCGGAGAAGCAAGGCAGGCGGUGGAAUAACGGAAAUGGAAUUGAAAGGAUCGAGUUGUGCGUGCAAACUGCAAAGCAGAGCCAGAAACCUUCUCGAGUGAGGCGAGGCGGUCGACGGUGAGUGCAUCGGCCUGGACGGCGCCGCAGUCGAGCAGGACCUUGCGGAUGUGGAGGCUCGGGGAAGUGAUCUCGGUGGUGAAGACGAACUCGGGCGCGGCGGUGACCACGUGCACGUCGUGCCCCGCGGCGACCAGGUGCCUCACCACCUGCAGGAGGAAAGGACAGAGGAGGGACGCAGGCAGGGUCAGGAAACGGGACGGGGGGAUCACGCGGGCACCAGGCAGGUAGGCCGGCCGUAAACGGGCGGAGGAGUCGGAACUCGGAAGGGAGGGAGGGGCGGCGGACCUCGAGGGCGCGGGUGGCGUGCCCGAAGCCGUGGCCGGUGAUGUAAUAGGCGAACACGAGGUGCUGCGGCGGCGCGGUCACCUCGCCGCCGCCGUCCCCGUCACGAACCCUCAUCCUCCGGGUUCCGGCCUCCGCGUCUCGGCGACCGAGUGCGAGCGAUCACUCCGCUGACGCUACGACUCUUUGCUCGACUUGGGAGUGGACUCUCUCUCUCUCUCUCUGCUCCCUCUUCCUAUCUGUUGUACUAGUAUUUAUCAUCACGUCGCCGUCGGGGCGUCGGGUAAGCAGGCGCAGGGGGGUUUGGUUGGUCAUAUCCGAACCCGGCGCCGGCUUCAAUGCGCCGUGCGUUGCGCCCAUUCGCCGCAUUAUCCUCCUGCCCAACUCUCUGUUUCAAUUUGCGUGCCGUGAACUGAGGUGAGCUCCUGGAGUUUGGGAGUCUCAAGCAACAACCCCUUGCUUCGGAUGGGGUUUUGAUAAACCUGACUUUUUUUUCCCCCCGCUUUGAGCCUGAUCCGAGCCUGAUCCUUCAGUUGUGCGUGAUUGACAGAUUUCUUUAAACACGUCCGGUUCACGAUCGUGGUCGGUCUAAUGAGAGUGAGAUUGUCAGCUAGGGCCGGCCUAUGACUCUAUGUGAGUUUGGCGUCAUCUUAUUCUUAUCCAGAAGGUAGGAAUAUACUUAGAUAUGCAUGUUUUCAGAUGAGUGAAUUGCACUCACCAUACAACAACUAUCUAAGUGGGUGCAUAUUCACUUAACAUCUUGUAAUUUGUUCAAUUUAAUACAACAACUAUCUAAGUGGUGCAUGUUGAUCCAACAUCUUGUAGUCUAUUUAAUUUGAUGCGAAAACUUGGCUCAUUGGUGCAUAUACGAUCCAAACGUUGCAACUACAUAUCUUUGUACACCCUCUAUCACUAUGAUAGGAAGCUAUACCCUAGCAUGCUCAUUUCAUCCAUCACUUAGCUUGAAUCAUUUACUAUAUUGUGAUACUAGAUUAAUUUAAAUUUUAGCCACAUAUAAAUACUGCCAUUGAUUUCAUAAAUAUUAUGAUAAAUAAUGUGUUUUGAUCCAUUUUCACCUCUACCAAGCUCACUCAUGGCUCACUAAUUACAGCUCAUAAGUGGGUUGUCCAUCAUGGAGGGAGAGAUCACAACCAAUAUUUUACAACUUCUCUUAGUAAAGUGGGCUUGUCCUAGUGUCUUGGUAGUCAAAAGUUUAGGCCCCCUUUGGAUCAUAGGAUAUGAAUCCUAUAGGAAUAGGGAAACUAUAGGAAUAUACAUGUCAUACACUCUAAUAAUAAAUAAUAGAGAAGACCUUUGGUUGGACCAUAAGAAAUUUUCCAUAAAGUCAUACUUCAUGCUUUUUUUCCUAUGGAAUUGAACUAUAGGAGGCCAAUCUUAUGGAAUGCUUCCUGUACUUUUCCUAUGAACCAAGGAGUAGGAAAGAAAUUUUUUUGUUGAGAAUCCUAUCCUACAACAUUCCUUUGUUUCACCCUUGAAUCAAAGGAGCCCAGUAUAAAUUUUUCAUUUCCUUUGAGAAUGCUAUCCUACAAAAUUCAUUUGUUUCACCCUUGAACCAAAGGAGCCCUUAGUACAAUUUUUCCCUACUAAAUGUCUCCUAUGAUAUUAAACAUGCUAAUUAACACAUGCUACAAGAUAUUGGACCAACAUGCACCCACCUAGAUAGUUGUCGUACUAAAUUAAAUAAAUUACAAGAUGUUGGACUAAUAUGCACCCACUUAAAUAGUUAUUGUAUGGUGAGUGCAAUUUACUCUUUUCAGAUUAUAUUCGUUCAAGUCAUCAUUCGCAAAAGUGUUUUUAUUAUUCUGCUUUAAGUAAACUUUGGAGAUAAAAAUCUAACAUAUUCUUAAAUUGUGAAAAAGAAUACUCCCUCCAUCCCAAGAUGUUAGGUUGCGCUUUUGAGAAACAAUUUUAAUUAAAUAUAUAUUAAAAAAUAUUAAUAUGUAUGAUACAUAAUUAGUAUCAUUGAUAGAUAUUUGAAUCUAACUUUUUUCAUAAAUUUAUUAGGAGAUAAAAAUAUUGUGCGUAUUUUCUAUAAAUCAAGUUAAAGUUAACGAUAAACAAAUCGUAUGGCAGGAACCUUGGAGAUCGAUGACGACCCGCAGUCCACGGCAGCAGGACGAAUUACUCUAUGACAGGAAGACUCUAUGGUAGGAAGCCCUCGAUGAUGACCUACAACGUCUCGGAUAUAGUUACAGGAAACGGCGGCGACCUGGAUGCUCGCGAACUGGCGGCGCGGCGACAAGAAAAUGCCGCAAAGAAGAUACGCGCGCGACCAAAAACGCGGGACCAGAUAUGACGCGGAAGAAAAGCCGCAGCAAAUACAAUUAGAUCCGCAAUUUUAGUUUUUACCAAGUCAAUUAUGUCAAACACUUGGAGAUAACCUUUUUUUUCAUUUGUCAUAUCGUUUUGGGAGUUGGCAAACCACAACAAAUGGUAAACAAAAAAUAUCAAACUAUUAAAGAUGCUCUAAUUAGUUAUUUUUUUAAUCUAUAUAUAUAUAUGUGUCGUAAGAUUUAAUAUGAUAUAUAAUUUAAAGGCCCAAUGGUACAUGGCCACAUCAGUCUGUGCUCUUGUCCCUGCUGUUUUUUUCAGUCUCUUCUCCCGUGAUUCUUUUUGCGCAACCUUUUCUAAACUUAUUUUCAAAUGUUUUUUUUGUACAACCUUUUGUAAACUUAUUUUAAAAUGAAAACAGAGCAGGUAAUUCCCGCUGUUUUCAUGAAAAACAAUUCUCAGUUUUUAGAUAUACACAUUUUUUAUAUGAGCAAUUAAAUUUCUGUUAUUAAAAGAAGCAUAUAUUGUUAAUUUUUAUAUAAAUAUGUGAAAAACUCCUGGCAAUUAAACGGUUAUGGUAUCAAUAAACUAGCCAUGGUAAUACAAUAAUAAUAAUGCAAAGGACUUCGAAACUAAGGCAUUAAGAUGUUACAGAUCCACCAAGUUGUAUCAACUAAUCGGAUGUCAAUCUAACCAGGUCUCUUGUAACAUGGAGUCUACUGACACUAAUAUUACUGGGGAAGAUCAGCACUACACCAGGAGGCAUCAUGCUAAGCAUAAUCAGUUUUUUUGUUUUCAACUAGAGCAGCCAGCUGUUAAAAAAAAAAAAAAAAAAAAAAAAAAAAAAAAAAAAAAAAAAAAAAAAAACUAGAGCAGCCAGCUACUCCUACACAACUAGGGGAGGCCUAUUAGAGGAUUUCUUCAUCCUUGGUGUGACUCAGUACUCAGUACACAGGGCCUCCCGGUUGUCACCUUGACCACAUAACAUGGGCUGAUGGAUUUGGUAACGACGAUGGGGUCAUACAAUGUUGCCACUGGCCAAGGUUCUCGCCAUUUAAUCCACCGGAAACUGCUUCCGAUGCUUCCUCUACAUCCAUAGAAGUUACUUCAGUCUCAUCAGCCUCCAUAGGUACUUCAAAAAUUUGUGCGCUCUCUGGUUCAGCAGUGACCCAGUCAGAUCUUAUAGACACUUGUGGUGGUGUCCAAGGAACUAAAGCCAAGCUGUUCCUUCGCUCAGGAGAUUCACCCUCCACCUCAUGAUAGUUCACUUGAUUGAAAGCAUGGUCUGAAAAGUGAAAACAGCAAAGAAACUCUUGAGUUGUUAUAAUUCAGGACACGUAUAAUUGGAAAAAUAUGCUGCAUGUGAAGGUGGAGCAAAAUAGAAGCCAAUGGAAAAGUUCUACAAGAAGACAGCAGAACCAGAGAAAAUAAAAGAAGAUAAUUGUUGACAAGUAAAUCGUGUUAAAAAUCAUGACAUGGAUCAUAUUCUGCACAGCAAAGAAUGCAGCACAACUACAGCCCUAGACAAAGGACACACCAAGCAUUCACCCAUGCAGAUCAUAAUGUGAGCAGAUGAUGUCAAUAUGUCAUGGCUAAAACAUAUCAUCUCAUGCUCCUAGGCCAACAAGCAUGUUUCCUGUUAUAUUCACCAACUAGCUGCAUGACAACUAAAUAGUAGACUCUUCUGCAUAUAACUUGCUUAAAGUAACAGGAGAUAGGUUUGGACAUGUCACAGAUAUAGAAGUUAACAAAAGAUCUAAAUAGGUUAGGGGCCUUUUGGAUCCCCAAAAGAUCAUGAGAAUCCAGAUUAUGGAUAGUGAUUUUAAAAAUCUAGAUUGUGAAUAGUGGUAACCAGUUCCGUUUGGAUACCAGAUUAUACUAUCCGGAUACUGCAUUCACUCUAGAGAAAAAUUGUCUAAAAUGCCCUUGACUCCUUUAACAGAUUCUUUCAUUCGGCUAGCACCUCACAGACAUACAGGUGUCUGAUGCCCAAGGUCCAAUAUCAUCUUUUCGCAGAUAGAAUCCCCCAGAAGCUUGUUCCCAGAGGCUACUGGAUUACUGCAUCAGAUUUCUCAAACCAGCCAAGAAUCCCCUAGCAACCUUCUCUGUUUGGAUAGAUUUUUGGAUUUUUUAUCAGAUUGCAGAAUCCUAUCUGGAUCCAAAUGGGGCCUUAGUUUAUAUUUGCACAAGGAACACCCAGAUACUUAGGCAACAACAAUACACUGUACUCAUACAAGUUCUAAAUAUACAUUUGACACUUCGAAAUCUAAUGAAAUGCAGGAUCAAAAUAGCAAAGUUUCAUAGGAAUAAUAAAUUUAAAUCUAAAUGACGACUAAAGAAGGUUGAUCACGAUGUACUUACUCUUUAGACCACGUAUCAAGUCUGAACUCACUAUAAAUGAAGAGCUUGAGAUACCAGGACCAAAUGGUAUGGGAUUAUCUACUGGUUUGUAUAAAACAAGUGCCAUGUCCUCACUAGGCACAUGAUGUGUUGUUAGACCUUCCAUCAUGACUUCCACACUGGGUAUGUCAACACCACUAUUGGUUUUCUCUCCCAACAUCUGGAAUGACAUGGAAGGAGCAGGUGGUUCUUCUUCCAUAAUUGGUGGGAGCCCGGGGUCCUAUAAAUAAUAAGCAACACUUCAUUCAGAGAGGCAUUACAGAUGCAGUAUGUGUUCUAAAUAAAGACUUCAGACGAAUGUAAAACACCAAAAUGACAGAAUGCUUAACUAUAUGCACGACAAGACAUGCAGCACACCAUGCAUGAUAAACCUUGCUUAGGCCUUGUUUAGUUCCGAAAAAAAUCGGAUUUCGGCACUGUUAGCAUUUUCGUUUUUAUUUGACAAAUAUUAUCCAAUCAUAGAUUAACUAGGCUUAAAAGAUUCAUCUCGUGAUUUACAGACAAACUGUAUAAUUAGUUUUUAUUUUCGUCUAUAUCUAAUGCUUCAUGCAUGUGCUCCAAGAUUUGAUGUGACGGGGAAUCUUGAAAAAAAUUUGGUUUUCAGGGUGAACUAAAUAAGGCCUUAUCUACAUGCAGUGGAAAAUUGCAACAUGUAUAUGGUUUUUCCUCUUCACUUGAAGUAAUCAAACAGAAAGUAGGGUGCUACUUUGCUAGACAACAAGGCUGUCACAACAAAUGCAUAAAAACGUAUAGAGAUGAUGCCAUAAGAACACCCAGCAUAUCAUCAUCAGAUAAACCUCACUACAUUUGUACACAAGAAGAACUCCAACGAAAGCAACAACACAUAAUCUGGCAAUACCUGCAUGUAAAUAAAACAGGCAUUCUCAUAAAACAGGCUGACCCAUGAAAGGGCUACUGCUCUUUGCAGAAAAGACGUUUUCGUUAAUUUAUUCAGUAGGGAGUUCCCGACAGAGCAAUACUGCUGGGAAACCUAAUGCUACUUAAUCAGAAUUAGGAAAACGGUAUAGAAACUGAAAACAGAUCUGACAAAACAUCUAUUGAAUCGAUUCUGACGAAUUGCAUGAAGAUGCUUUGAACAAAUAUCCACUUACACAGGCAGGUCAUGGGCAUGAUAGCAAGUAUAGGUAAUCAUCAAGUGCAAGAUAUAGUUGGAGCAAUAUCCUCCAUUUUUUUUCUUAAAAAAAAUAUUUUUUUACUGUAUUUGCUAACAUGUAACCGCUCCCAAAUCCCUAUAAUCAACCACCCGAGUCAGGCGUCCACCAAUCAUCAGUAAUCAAAGAGAUGAACUCGCAGGCAUAGUAGCAGCAAGAUUAGGGCAAAAGAUUGCGCCAGCAAACCAGAUAUGAGCCCUCAAUUAAUAGAAGCCUAAAAGAAGGCACAAACAGACAGCUCACCAACUCACCAAUCUGCGGCUCUUGGCAGCGGGGCCGGAGAGGGAGAAGUCGGAGAGGCCAUCCACCACCUGCUCCAGCUCCUUCCUCUUCCCCGAGAACCCCACCAUCUUCUCGCCCGAAACGAGAAGGCCCCGCGAAAUCCGGCCACGAACUCCGCAGAUUCGGAGAUUCCUACAGAACCCCCGCUCCGGUCGAGCGAGGGCUGGCUGCUCCGGAGUGAUGAUGCUUCCCGCUGUCCCCGCCGCGGCUCGCGAGGGCGGACGGUCGGGGGGGUUUGCUCCCUUCGCGCGCCGCGGGACGGCGGGAGGGAUCCUUGGGCGGGGGCGGGGAGGGGUUUCGCGCUUCCGAGUUCUCGCACGCAGCACACGCGCUCCGCUUGUGUUGUGUGUUUUUUGUGCGGGGGUUCUGCUUCUGCUUGUUUGGUAAGCUUUGCUUCUCGGUUGGUUGCUUGGUUUGCGCUGGAAGGAAGGAUAGUUCCAGAAAAGCGCGGUGGCCUUGAGCCCUGUGUCGCUGGCAGGUGGGGUCGGAUUUGCGGAAGGUUAUUUUUCCUUUCUUUUAGGCCUUGUUUAGUUUAAAAAAAAUUACAAAAUAGGAAUAAUACCACUUUUGUUUGUAUUUGACAAAUAUUAUCCAAUCAUAGACUAACUAGACUCAAAAGAUUCGUCUCGUCAAUUUCGACCAAACUGUGCAAUUAGUUUUUAUUUUUGUCUAUAUUUAAUACUUCAUGCAUGCGUCUAAAGAUUUGAUGUGAUGGGGAUUCUGAAAAAUUUUGCAAAUUUUUUUAGAAAUACGAUGAAAUGUCAACUUUGCCUUUCUAAUCUAUACCUAAUAAUAAAUUGUGAAAAUUUCAGUUCACCAUAUUUUUAUAUGUCCACCAGAUAUCAGGUUCUGUAUAUGACUAUGAUUACAAUUAAUCAAACACUGUGUGUGUUAAAAUACAAAAGAAAAGAGGCCAAAUUUCAGCUAAAAAUUUCUGACUAAUUUUCGUCUGGCCUCUUCCAUGACCGUCUUCGACUCGCGUCUAAAUACAAAUCCAAGCCGGACAAGAGCAGUCGGAGCGGACCUCGUGAUCCCGGGCGGAGGAGGCAGACACCGUGUAAUCUGGCGGAGCUCUUUCUCGGCGGAGCAGGAGCCGGUGCUCCCGGCUUCCGUGGCCAGACGUCCGACCGAUGGGGAUGGAGAUCGCAACCUACGGCGGCGGCACCAUGACCACACCAGUGAAGGGGAGAUGGGACACGUGGAGAGGCCCACAAUCCUGGUGGAGAAGGCAGACUCUGUGUAAUCCGCCGGAGCUCUUUCUCAGCGUUGGCGGAGCAGGAGCCCGCGCUCCCCGGUUCUGUGGCCCGGCGCCUAGCCGAUGUAGAUGGAGAUCGCAAACCGCGGUGGAGGCACCACGACCACGCCUGUGAAGGGGAGAUGGGAAGCCGCUGAUGUUGGUUAGGGCGCAACCACCAUUGGUGAAGGGGAGGGCAUCGCCUCCAGAGUUGCCGUCGGGAGCGACGAGUGAACUGGAUCUGCUACCGGCGUGGUUGGGGAAGCCGCUGCUGGCCUACGACAGUGCGGCUCCACAUGGAGAAAACACCGCUGCUAAGCUAGGAGGGGAGAGAACCACCGGAUGAAGCCACACAAGCGGAAGAUUCUGGAUUCCUCUUCUGAAAUCGAGCAAGGGCGGUGCAGAUAAUGACCAUAUAAAAAAUUGAAUUAAUGACUCUGUAUAUAUCUAAACGGGUAACGAUAUGCUAUUGAACCCGAUAGGCUGCGUGUGGAACCGUCCCCUACGCAUACAAUGGCUGAAGUCUAAAUAGAUUAAUAGUUAAUUUUAACUACACCUAAUAAUUUAAAUCUAAUUGAUCCAAAAAAAUUAUACUCCUAUAAAAAAAAUCUUCAAAGUUCAAGGUUCGUAAUAACAAAACGUGCAGCGAUAAUUUUUGAGACUUGGCCAAGGUUCCAAUGCUUUAGGCCAAUGAAACUUUUCAUUAUGAAUAAUUUGAUUUAGAGUUUGUUUUUUCUAAAGUGAUGUAUUAUUUGAAUAGGCAUAUUAUGAUCAAGCUUCAAUUUAAGUUAGAGUUCAGUGGCGGGACUAUAAACAUAUGCUAGGAGAGGCAUAUCUUACUUAUUUUGUAUAUUUAGCCUCUCAUUGUAUGCUUUAGUAAUUAUAAUCUGUAGUCAGGACGAGAGUCUCCAUACAUUCAGUGACGUUGGCGCAGGUUUCAAGUCCUGAUUAACCCAAUGCUAGAUUUGCUAUAGUUAGUGCUUGUCUCUUACGAAAAGUCUAUUUUAUGGACCCAUAACAACUUCAUUCAAGAUUAUAGCCUUUACAUUGUUAAUAAAAACUUUUUUUGAUAAUUUAUGAUUUUUAUUAUAGUUGUUAGAAUUAAUUUUUCCUUUUUCCCGUUGCAACGCACGAGCACUUUUGCUAGUGAAAACCAGAAGUCCAAAGCCCAAGCUGAUGCGGCUUUUGUUCGGAGCAACUUUGCUUGCUACUACUUUCACCUUAAGAUGUUUAUUUUUUUAAUCUCAAUCACUCGUUUUAUUCAAACAAUUGUAUAAAUAUUAUUUUUAAAGAACUUUUAUUAAUAAACCAAGUCACAAUAAAAUAGUUGAUAUUUUGCACAAAUCUUUGAAUAAGACGAAUGACCAAACUUGAUGUCAAAAAAGUCAAAAUUUUUAUAAUUUAAGAUGAAUUGAGUAUUAGGGGAAAGCAAGGCCUUGUUUAGUUUACCCCCCAAACCAAAAAGUUUUUAAGAUUCCCCGUCAUAUCAAAUCUUGUGGCACAUGCAUGAAACAUUAAAUAUAGACGAAAACAAAAACUAAUUACAUAGUUUGCCUGUAAAUCACGACAUAAAUCUUUUGACUAUAGUUAGUCUAUGAUUGAACAAUAUUUGCCAUAAACAAACGAAAGUGCUACAGUAGCGAAAUCAAAAAAAUUCACAUCUAAACAAGACCCAUACAUGGGGUACAAGAACAAAACGAGGGCAGGGACAGUUUAGGACAUUCGUGUUGCUAAUAGCUAGCAACUACUCUCUUCAUUAUUUUAAAUUAUAAGAUUUUUUAGCUAGCAACUACUAUCUUCAUUUUAAAUUAUAAGAUGUUUUGGUUUUUUAAAAUAUAUAUUUUUGCUAUGUACUUCACAUAUAUUAUGUCUAUAUAGAACAUACUCUAGAAAAAUCAAAACAUCAAAUAAUUUAGAAUUGAUGGAGUAGGAAUUAGAAAGAGCGGAUAAUAAGCCACAUGGCAAUAAGUUACUAAUCACUAGCACGUUUUUACAAGUUGGAGGCUAUGAGGAGAUGCCAAUGUAGUGGCUAGCAAUGAUACUUUUAAAGCGUUCAAACAUGCCAUGUAAGGUUCAUACCGAGAGAAAAUUGUUCGGCUGACAUGUCAGUGUCUACUCUUUUUUUUUGAAUUGCAUGACAGAAUUUAUCAUUUAAAUAAACUAGUUUCAUGUGUACAUGUAAGCAACACAGAUUUGCGAACACCCCCCCCACUCCCCCACCCCAAAAAAAGGAAAAAAAAAGAAAAAGGCCACAUACGAAAAAAAAAACUUCCAAAGGAGGCCCAACUCGGCAUUUGGGCUGUCUGUUCUCAAAGCCCUUCGCCUCUGCUGCGAGUCUGCGCCCACACUCCGUCUCGCCGCCCAAAACCCACUCUCGAAAACCCUCCUUCCCAUGGCGUCCGCCGGCGUAGCCGACGCCGACGACGGCGAGGCAGCCAUGGCCGCCCCCGCUGCCCGGAGGAUAGUUGGCGCUGAGGUUCCCAUACCCGGCUUGGACAAGCUGCGGUGGAUCGACCUCACCAUCCCCUCCUCCUCCGCCGCCGCGCCGGCGAGCCCCUCCGAUCCCUUCGUCUGCGUGCCCCCGCGCGCCGCCUCGGGGUGCCACAUCAUCUCUUCGGGCGAUUCUCAGUAUUACCUCUCGUGGUACGUGUUGGGCUUCUCCUCACUUUCGAGCUCUAUAUUAUGGUUCUGUUCAGAUGAGUGGCACAUUUUGUUAGCUGGACCUCGCGCAGAUUAGACUUAGCUUCGAAUAGUUUUGGCCUUUGGAGUUGUCUGUGCUCGUGUUUAUGUGAUAUGAAUCCUUUUAGAACUAUAACUUAAGUGCACUUUCAGUAUUGCUUUGGUACCUGCCAUGUUUAGAGAAACCCUAGGUUCAUAGUAGGUGGGGAUUUUCUGAAUGGAGCAUAUGGAUGCCGUCUUACAGGAGGAUUCACGAGGAACACCCAAAUGUGCUAGAGGUCAUCGAACUUAGUGCCUCCAAGGAGUUCCCUACCUUUGGACUGCGGUUGGUCUUCCAUGAGGCGCUAUGUCCAUUUGCCUUUUUAUGUGAAAGAGAGGUUGGUUCAUUCAUGACAUUUUAUGCCAAUUGUUGUUUUCAGUAACUUUCUGGAACAUUAGAGACUAGACUAGUCACUUAUGUGGCAAUGCAGGGUCGCAGGCAAGGGGAGCUUGUAUAUAUGCUAUACGUGCUUACCGUUUCUGGAGUUGCUCUCUUGUGCCAUUUACGCAGCCCAUUUUCCUACGUAUCUGGUUCAGUGCUGCAUCAGGAUGAUAUAAUUGAGUUUAAUCUCCAAACUCAAGCUCAGAGUGCAAAGGUUACAGCGGUAACAGCGAAGCCAGGAUGUAUAGUGAUUGGUCGGCAAGAUGGGUCCAUCUGUUCUUACAGUCUUGGCAGAUUAGCCCUGAACUCACCAGGCAUGUCCUCUACUGUCAAUUCACGGCAGCAAACUCAUUGUUCCACGGAUUUAGUGUUCCAGAUGACUGAGCUUGGGGGCUUCUUCUGUAACUCUCCCCAAGGUUUCUGAAUGAUAUUGUCUUCUACUGUAGGUUUCUCGAAUGAACUACGAGAUGAUGCUGGGAUUGGCCGUUUAUGGAAUCUUGUGUCAAGGUACUAUCUUGGAUUCCUGGUUAUUAUGGUCCACCAAGCAAUAAAGGCAUGAUCAUCUUAGCUACACGAGAAUUGUUGCUAGAACAUCUACUGUUUUCAUGUUUUGGCUAUUAGCCAUUGCCCCAGCUGCAUAGAUAUUUGCAGAGACUAUCAUAGCAUAGGAAGAAGGAACAGCAUGUGCAGUGUUCAUAUGCUUGUUGACGUGAAUGGAGUUCCAGUUUACUCAAAGAUUCUUUAGUUGGUCUACAUCUCAUGUUUUGUAUUUUUUUGAAUCUUUUUCCAUGAAAUUUACCUACAUUAUUUUGCAGAACAAAGAAUGUGGGUCCUGUGCAGGAUAUAGUGGCAACUGUUGUAAAUGAAAGGGACCUGUUAUUUGUUCUUCAUUUGGAUGGACACUUGCGCAUAUGGGAUAAUCACAUGAAGCUUCUCAACUAUAGUGUUCACUCAAAUGAUAUUGAAGGUAAUGUCUAUGUUCUCUUUACUUGCUACUCUCUUGAUCUUGUCUGUCUGCACUAUUGAUGAUUGUGUUAUGGUUCUUUCUAAGCAAUGCUGCUCUGUUUACAAUGCAUGCAAUGUUGUUGUGACGCGUGUAAGCCAUGAUCUACAUCCUUAAGUCAGUUCUGCUUCCAGUCUCAUAUCCAAUCUACCCAAGCUGCUGGUAUCCGAUGUCUAUACUAUCGCUGGAUAGCAUAUAAUUUUUGUGUGGUGGGCUGAUGAUAGCUUUAUCUGUGCAUACUUGUUUCAGUGAGCUCAGUGACAUUGCUUUAAAUGUGGAAAAAGUACAGUGAGGGUCAACUGUUACUUGCAUGCCGUUUUUUUUUUGUAAUAGUGCUAUCUAAGAGUGAAGGGAAUGGUUUGAUUGAACAAUUUGAGAUGCAUAAAGAUUAAAGAGUAAUGAUUUUCAUGAAUGAACCUGUGCAGUUGUGCUUUGUUGAUGCACUGCAAUUUCGUGGUCGCCUCUACAAUGCUGUCCCUUGUUUGGAAACCAUGGUUUCACAAAAACGAGUUUAAGCUUUGUUUGCACAUUCCACAUAAUGCUGUUCUUGAGCAGUUAAUAUCUAUUGACAAGUUCUCUUUAUCUCAGGCCAUCCUUCCAGGCUAUGGGUUGGUGAGGCUGAUGAUGAUCAAGAGUUGAUAUCUUUGGCAAUUCUGCAUCAGAACACUGUGGUAUGUCAAGAAUGUCGUCUAACCAGUUAUUUACUUGCUCAUCUGCCAUUUACAAAAUGUAUACUUUUGUAGUGAUAAAUAACUAGGUAACUCCACUUUUUGAAAAUGGUAACAGAAUGUUCUAUCUAGGUGUAACGUGAAUCUGAAGUUGUGAAGUGUAUCAAAUGUGCAUACUAUGUGCCAAGAAUAUCUCCAAACUAAUUGCAAGCUGUGCCUUGCCAGUGUUUUCAUGUUGGAAAACCAGUUGAUCUUCUUGUGAUUGAGAGUAAAGAAAACUUUUUCUACCAUAUUGAGCAAAAGGAGUUGGACAGAUUAGUGAUGGUAGCUGGAUUAGUUUCGAGGUUGCCUUGAUCAGUAUAGUAUUAAGAUGGACUAAUGAAUUGGUGACAUAUGUUGCUGUGGAACAUUCUUGUCCCUAUAAGAUAGUGAGAUUUACUAGCUGUGGAUUAUAUAACCACAAUCUGGUGAUUAUCUUAUGCUAACUUCAACCGGUAAUAAAUGAUGUUCCAACAGCAGAAGCAGACUUGCUGCUAGUACUAACUUCCGGUCAGAAACUUAAAUGUUAGAUCUGUUGUUCUACCCUUUGCUUGUGCUCAUGUUUGUCACUUUGUGAAAUCUCAUUUUUCUAUUGUGGGUCGUUCAUCAUUGUAUGAUGACAUACCGUGAUGGAAAAUGUAAUCUUCUCUCAUCAUUAUUGUGGCAAAAAACUGAUUGGUUAAUAUUAUGAUAUUUUAAAGGUCCAAGAUUGUGAUUAUGUUGCUGUGUAUACCUUCGGUUUUUCUGCUGUGGAAAGGUUCAUGUUCUCUUCUGAACCUUCAGUUUCUACUAUACCUUUGCUAGAGGUAAAACACCACUGCUAAUUUAUUGACAUUCUUCAACAAACUUAAUUUUUGCAAGAUUUCCAUCUACUUGAUUAAUUGGAAAUGAAUUGGAUAAAAGAUGAUGUAGAGUUAUCUUAAUCUUGCCAAUCAUAGUUACUAUGGAAUAUGGAGUUUCAAAUUCUAUACUUUUAUAUGCACUAGCCAAUGCCCGUGCGUUGCUACGGAUGACAAAAGUAUGUUAAUCUAAUUUGUUGGUCCCAUAAGAAAGGUUUUUGAAACAAUAUUAGCACCAAUAAUGAAGUUAAAGAAACACAUGGUGUAUUGAUUUGCAUCACAGGUAUAAAUGGAAAUGAAAUGUUAAAUGCACCUUGUCGAAAUCCACCAAAUGAUUAGGCUCAAAAGAUUUGUCUCGCAAAUUACAUAUAAACUGUGCAAUUAGUUAUUUUUUAUGCAAUUAGUUAUUUUUUUAUCUAUAUUUAGUGCUCUAUACAUGUGCCGCAAGAUUCAAUGUGACAGAGAAUCUGAAAAAUGUUGCAAUAUUUUUUGGGAAGUAAACACCAAAACUAAAAAAAUUUGGUGUUAGAAUUUUGGUGAGCUGCUCAAGGUUUUAGGUUUUUGAAUUUUUUGCAAAAUACCAUACCUAGAUUCUCUUACCUAGGAUUGACGAUGUGGGAAGUCCAGGGAUGGGCAUGCCCAGGGCGCCCUUUAGUCACUCGGGGAGAGGAAGCCAUACAACGCCAGGGGCCAAUGUACCCGUCGAUCGAGCGCGCCGGCUGCCAGGGGCCGCCAUGCCCAUGGGUUGGCAGCGCCGCCACCAGGAACCGCCAUGGCCAUGGGUCGGUCACACUGCUGUCAUGGCCACCGCAGCCAUCAGGGAGGAAGGGGAGGGGGCAUUGCCGUCUAAGGUCGCCGAUGCGCGCUGGCCUAGCAGCAUCAUAGCCAAGGGCAGCGUCCUGGGGGAGAUGGCUCGCUGCCAGUCGGCUGGGGAGGGGUGGUGUGGAGGAGCUGUCGGGAGUAGACCGCAACAGAAGCCUCUGUUUUUUUUUUUCAAGAGGCUGACUGGCUGAGGGAGUUGGGUGGGGAGGCAUGGGGAGUCAGAGAAGGCACGUUGAAGACUGUUGACGUCUCCACUUUCAUCUUUUUAGGUGUAGAGAUUUCUGCCAAAGAUAUUAUGCUUCAUCAUCAUAUUUUCAAAAUUACAUAUUGUCUUCCAAAUCUUUAUGCAUUUUCUUGAGGACAACAUUAGUGCAUCACUGUUCCUUAUUUUUUUUUGAAAUAAUAGCACCCCCACCCCAAAAUAAGAUAAAAAUAAUUCCACUGUAGGAAAAUCAGAAUUGCUUUCCUUGUUGCUGGUUAUUCUAUUUAACCUAUCACAUCUGCUGCCCACUGAUAGCUAAUAUUUCCAACCUUCUUACUCAGGGGAAGCUUGUGGACUUGAAAAUAGCCACGGAUAAGCUUUGGAUACUUAAAGAAUUUGGCUCCAUGGUAUAUGAAAUAUUACAGUAUGACACCGAAACGUAAGUCUGUUCUACCUCAUUGUUGUCACUAUGUUCCUUUGCAUUGUUUGCAAUCCUUCAACCAGUGCCAUCAAAUUGGAAUAAGCAUCUCUUAUUUCAAUAAGCUAGACCAGUGGAUGAUUACAUAUCAACAACUGUACGAAGGCUAGCUAACUAACAUAUAUUACAGAAAUACACAACUCUUAUUUUUUUCUUUUCAUUUAUUUUGUAUAUCAUGUAUAUACAUAUAGUCAACUUUAUACACAAAAAAUUGUAAGCCUGCAUGCAAUAACAUACCGUACCUCUAUAAAUUCUCGGAGAAUAUUCAGGUGUGCACAUGUGUAAUCUUUAGUCAGUAUUUGAUUCCUUUUCUUACGUAAAUUCUAGACACAGUAGCUGAAUUAUAUCAAGUAAUGGUAUUGUUAAUGGAUUGGGCCAGCUUUAUUUAUAGUGUAAAAUGUUGCAGUGAGAAGAUUUGCUGUUAUGUGCUACAAGAAGAUGCUAUCAGUGAACAGUUGUUUCAAAGUUCUGACAAUGCAUUGGAUGAUUUGGUCUGGACAGCUGAUUCAAUGUUCACCUCCUUGAAGGUAGCUGUAACUUAUGGAUUUUUCAUAGUUCAACUUUCAUCUGGAAAUGGAACAUAAAGAUAUGUUUCGAUGAUUGUAUCAUUUAUUAGGAUAAUGAAUUAUGUGCAACUUGAAUCAUGAGCUUGCUACUUUGCAUGCUGUUAUGUUUUUGUUGUCUUUUCCUUUAAAUUGAGUGAUCUGUUGGUGGACGUUUAAUUCUAAUACACUUGGUCGCAGGAACUCAGAGAUUAUUCAGCAUACAUUUGUUCUCAACUGCUGAACACUCUUUGUAAUUAGAUAUUCAUACUUUCAUAAUUCAUAGUAAUUUACACAGUUUGUAAUUUUGUUUAAUUUGGAAUUGUGACUAGUUUGAUCCCUCCACUUUUCUUCUCUCAUUUUGAUCUUAUAAGUUUCAAAAUGACCUGUCUUUUCAAGUGAAAAAUGUCAUAAUAUUCAGACUACUUUCUACACCUGUGCAGAAUAUAUUGUUUAGCAUUUCAGAUCCCUUCCAUGCAUUUUAUCUCCUCUUCCAUGCAUUUUAUCUCCAUUUUUUUUGUGUGAGUAUUUUUGUGACUGGAGAGCACUUCUAUAUCCUUAACUUUCUAUACAUCUUUGGUAUCUGUAGGAGCAGGCUUUCACUUUUAUUUCAUCCAUGUUUAUGCGGAGGCUACUUCAACCAGGAGUAAACCACUGUUCUGCCCUACGUGAAACCUUACUGGAGCACAAAAGGUUCCUAUCAGAUUCUGAGUUCCAGUCACUUACAGCAAAUGGGCUACGAAAAGAGAUAAUAUCUAUUAUAGAACAAGAGGUAAUCUUUUUUGUUUUUUUUGUUUUUUUUGUCUUUUGUUUUGUUCCUUUAAGGUUUCUAUUUUCUAGUUUUCCUGUAUAACUGAAUUUCCAGAAUUCUUUUGGUUUUAGGGAAGUUCACAGGCAGCAAGUGCUACAGCUUAUCACUGGAAACAAUUCUCUGCACGGUACCUCCACAAUUGGUGCUGGAACAAUAAGCCAUAUGGGUUGCUUCUUGAUACUAAAAAUGAAGUGUUUGGUUUAAUAAGAAAGGGUUCAUUUUCUCUAUUCCGUUGUUUGGAGGGUGUGGAAAUGCUUAUUUAUGGUGUGAUUCUUUCUUAGUGUUUUUUUGCAAUAAAUUUCAGCUUAUCUGUUGGUAGCAAUUAGGUAAUGCUAAUUAGCCUAACAUUUCAGGUUCAUCUGAAGAAUUUCCCAAUAUUGAUGACCUUGGAAUGAACUUAUUGGAUGAUAUAUCUGAUUUUGAACUCCUCAAAGAGGUCCUCAGAUGCAUGGGCCAUAUACACCAUUUGCUGGGGAGAUCUUCCACAGCAGUAUAUUAUGAAUGCCUAAUUAGUUCUAUUAUAUCAUCUGAUGAAAUUGCUUCACAUAUAGUAAAGAUUCUAGAGACUGGUUUUAGUCCUCAAUCAUCCUCAUCCCUCAUUACAUUACUUGGAACGGAUACUUAUGUAGAAAGAAGGCAGGCAGCUCACAGAAGUCAAAGGAAGUUUUCUGUUGAGAUGUUACUAUCUUUUCAUAAGUUGCAAUCAAGAUCCGCGUCCUGGUCGGCAGUAUUCGAUGUGAUUGAGAAGUUUAUGAAGUGUUUGAACACAAACAUGAGUAUACAAGAGCAUGGAUCAAAGAGAGUUUGUAAUGUAAAUUCUGUGUUACUAGUUCAAGCUACUUCACAGGUUGCAAGAACAAUGUUUGAGUGUGCAUUUGAUCUGUUUCUGUUCCUUAGUUAUCUGGUUGGUGUUGGUGGCCAGGUAUGCUAUAACUUUUGAUUAUUGCUAUUUCUGUCUGCUGUGUACCGUAACUUCAACUUUGCUUCUUUGGCCAUGAACUCAUAUAGCUUAAGAUACACAUUUUUGAGCUUUUAUGAGCGUGCUUGCCUUGUCUCAGCUGUAAAUUACAAUAGCUGGUCAGAACUCUCAAGUACUUUGGCAUUACUCUCAAGUACUUUGGCAUUACUCUCAAGUACUUUGGCGAUUACUCAAGUACUUUGGCCAUUACUGGUAUUUUGGGUUGCUGGACCAAUCUUGUCCACAUACCAUAUGGCUAACUACCAACAAUUACUAUGGUCUCAAAACUCACUCAAAAAAAACUAUGGUCUCAAAAUCAUGCAGAUGAAUAUUUGCUAUUUACAUGCCCUUUCAGAACACCAUUGUUACACCCUAAGGCCUGUGGGCUCAAAUUGUUAAUUCCAUAUGCAAAAUAUUAAGUGACAAUGUCUGUUUUUUUUAAGCUUGCACCCCUUUGCUUCUAGUUUGAAAAUUGCAAGUUAUUCAUGUUAGAGGUAACACAGACUUUUGAUUAGCCUUGAGGCAACUAACCCCAGGCGUCUCCUUCAUUAUAUAUAGAGAAAAACAUUGCAUUGAUUACAAAUAGCUCACUAGAGCAUAGCUAAUCAGAUAGGUGCCUUGGCAGCCGUACACACCUUUGGGCUGCCCAAGGUCUUUAAUGACUGUAAUUAACUAGCAUAGUUAUUUAGGAAAUGCUUAGGAAGCAGGGCUUAUUAACUACAUUUCUCCCCCUAAGGCCUGCUUCAAUUAAUCUUGAUCUCCUUGAUCCCAAUCCUGCUCCUCAUCUCUUCCAGCUUGGUUUUGCCCAAAGCUUUAGUCAGUAUAUCAGCAAGCUGAUCUGCAGUGGGAAUGAACUCUGUUUUGAUGCUACCAUCUUCCACACAAUCUCUGAUGAAAUGAUGCUUGAUUCUAAUAUGCUUGCUCCUGUCAUGAAAAACAGGAUUCUUUGCCAAAGCCAGAGCAGACUUAUUGUCUACUCUGAGUUCCACCACUUCAACUUUUCUUCCCAACAAAUCUGCAAACAGUCUUGACAACCACAAAGCUUGGGUUGCAGCUGUUGUCAUCGCCACAUAUUCAGCCUCACAGCUAGACAGAGCAACAACUCUCUGUUUGACAGACUGCCAGCUGACCAGGCUGGUUCCAAGGAAGAACAAACAUCCAGUUGUGCUUUUGCUUGAAUCAACAUCUCCAGCCAAAUCUGAAUCACUGUAACCCACAAACCUUGCUUUGCCUGUUGUUCUGGUGUAGCAGAGCCCAUGAUCUAGAGUACCAGCCAGGUAUCUCAAGAUUCUCUUCACAGCCUGAAGAUGUUCGGUUGUUGGCUUCUCCAGAAAUCUGCUAACAUACCCUACAGCAAAAGCCAAAUCUGGUCUUGUGUGCACUAGGUAUCUCAAGCUGCCAACCAGUCUUCUGUACCGUGUUGGGUUUACUUCUUUUGCUGUGCAUUCCUUGCUCAACUUCAGCCUUUCUUCCAUGGGUGUGGUGGCUGGAUUACAACCUGCCAUACCACCAAGCUCAAGUAUCUUCUUAGCAUAAUGGGUUUGCUUCAGAGUGAUGCUCCCCUCUGAUUGUCUCACCUCAACUCCCAGAUAGAAAGACAGAAGACCCAAAUCACUCAUUUCAAAAGUUUGCUUCAUCUUUGCCUUGAAGGCUUCAAUCUUCUGCUGAUUGACUCCUGUGAUGAUCAAAUCAUCAACAUAGACUCCAAUUACCAGUAGGGAGUCACCUGAUCCCUUCCUGUACAUAGCAGCUUCAUACAUAUUCUGCUCAAAACCCAUCUGCUUGAGAGUCAAGUCAAGCUUGGCAUUCCAUGCCCGAGGAGCCUGUCUCAGGCCAUACAGAGCCUUGUGCAGCUUGUACACUUUCUUCUCUUCUCCUGUUACUGCAAAACCUGGAGGCUGUGUGACAUAAACCUCCUCCUGGAGUUCUCCAUUCAAAGAUGCAGACUUCACAUCCAUGUGAUGUACUGCCCUUCCCUCUUGUGCUGCUAGGGCAAGCAAGAUACGCACUGAUUCCAUUCCUGCAACUGGUGCAAAAGCAUCUUCAUAAUCAACUCCUUCCUGCUGCACAAAACCACGGGCCACAAGUCUUGCCUUGUGCCUAAUUACAGCUCCAUGUUCAUCCUUCUUCAGCUUAAACACCCAUUUCAGUGAAAUUGGACGGUGACCAGGACGGGGAGAAACAAGUUCCAAGUCCCAUUCCGCUCUACUGAUCUCAGCUCCUCCUUCAUUGCUGCUUGCCAAUCUGGAUCAUCUUUGGCUUCUUCAUAGCUUGUAGGCUCACCAGAAUGGUUGAGAUUCAGUUCUGCAAACAGCCGCUGCGCCGGCGGAGGGGUUGGCUGAUCACCAAUAAUGUCAUGAAUCUUCCGAUAGCGGAGUUCUUCAUCGUCAUGGUAGGCAUCCACCCUUUCAUCAUCAUCCUCCAGGGGGGUCACAUGCUCAACCUGAGGACUUGCUGGGGCUGGUGUAGGUGUUCUGGGCGUCGCAGGCGCCUCUGCCUCCGCUGCGGGCUCCUCUGCUUCCGCUGCAGGCUCUCCUGCAUUCACCGGGGAGAAACCAGGCGAUGCAGGAUGUGGCGGAGGAGAUAGUGAAGGCGACGCUGAACUUCCUGCUUCAGGGAGUUUCUCCGCCCAUGGGAAUCCAACAGUAAACUCACUGCCCGCUGCUUCUGGUGCGCCUGCUGCUGGUGAUGCCCAGUCCCAGCCGCGGCCUUCGUCGAACACCACAUCACGGCUGACACGCACGCGCUGGGACACUGGAUCAUAGAUACGGUAUGCCUUGGCCCCUUCCGCAUAGCCGAUAAACACGCCAGCCUCGCCGCGGUCAUCGAGCUUGCGAAGCUGAGUAAGCUGCCGGGUAUAAGCCACACAGCCAAAGACCUUGAGGUGGCCGACUGUUGGUGCCCGACCGUGCCACGCUUCAUAAGGACUGGCAUUCUUCAGCGCCUUCGUCGGGGAUCGAUUCAGGAUGUGCACAGCCGUCAUCACAGCCUCCCCCCAAAACCGAGAGGGCAUCUGGCGUUGCUUGAGCAGAGCUCGUGCCAUGGCCACCACUGUUGGGUUCCUGCGCUCAACAACACCGUUCUGUUGCGGUGAAUAAGAGCAUCUCCAAAGGCUUUGGCAAAUUAACUUGGCAUUUGUUGUUGUUUGCAAACUCCCAUAACAAAAUGCAAAGGACAAAAAUAGGUUAUCUCCAAGGGAAUUGGCAUUUGGACUUGGCAAAGGAUAAAAAUAGGAGGUCUCCAGGCGCGCGCGCUUUCCUCGCGCGUGACUUUGCUCGCGCGAUCGGGUUUGCAAAGCCGUCCACAACUUGGCAUUUUUGCCAAGUUUGCUCGUUCAUUUGCCAAGUUGCCCAAAUUGCAAACUUCAAAUGCAAAACCGUUGGAUACCUCUUUUGGAGCUUUUUGGCAAAUUACUCAAAUGCAAACCUCAAAUGCAAAACCCUUGGAGAUGCUCUAAGGGGCAUUGAAAUGCCGUUUAAUACCUUCAUCAGCGCAGUAUGCAGUAAACUCCGCGACAGUGAAUUCGCCGCCAUUGUCGGUGCGCAGGACCUUCAACUUGCGCCCGCUUUCCACCUCUGCUGCCACCUUGACUUUCUUAAUUGCUUCUGCUGCUGCGUCCUUGGAUGGCAGCAACACAGCCCACAUAAAGCGGGUGGCGUCAUCGACAAGCAGCAAGAUAUAGCGGUUGCCCGCCGGUGUCGCUGGCGUGACCGGACCGCACAGGUCACCGUGCACCAGCUCAAGCUGAUUCUGGGCACGGUAUGCUGCUGCAGCCGGAAAGGAACGCCGCCUCUGCUUGGUGGUAACGCAGGUGUCACACACCUGCUCAACAUGGUCGACCACCGGCAUCCCGCGCGCCAUCUCCUUGCUGAGUCGCCGGAGUGCGUCGAAGUGCAGAUGGCCGAAACGCUCGUGCCACUGCCACACCUCUCAUCCUUGCGUGCCGCGAGACAGACAGGUCGUGCAGCCUCAAGAUGCAGAAUAUACAACCUAUUCUUCCCUCUACGUACCUUGGCGAGCAGACGGCGGCUCUUGUCCCAAAUGCGAAGCACGCCAUCAUCAAUCUCAACCUUGGACCCUCCUUCAUCAAGCUGUCUCAGACUUAUGAUAAGUUCUUCAGCGCCAGAAUGAAAUAGACGCCAUGAAGAACCCUCUGCUCACCGGUCUUGGCUUGGAAAACAAUAGACCCGACACCCUUGAUCUCAACCUUCGACGCAUCCCCGAACCGGACCGUUCCUCGAACGCCAGUGUUCAGAUCAGCAAAGAACUUUUGGCGCCCGGUCAUGUGAUGCGUCGCGCCGGAGUCCAGGUACCAGCCACUGUCCACCUCUUCUUCGUCCACGCCGAGUUAGGCGCGAGCACGUGGCUCAGAGAGCUCGACGUGCUGCGCCGUGUAGCUGUGCGCCGGCGUGCUCUGUUCCAGGCUAAUGAAGCCAUGUGCCAGAAACAGAGCGCCAUCUUCAUCGCACUCGACGUACUGGGCGCGCGCCUCAUGCCUUCCUUGGUUCCCGCCACGCUGCCCAGCCUGAUUUCCGCCGCCACAACCUCCACCACGGUUGCCACCACCGCGGCCAGCACGGUUUCCCCCUCCACCGCCGUGCUCUGCAUCUUCACGGCGCGGCUGGGGACACUCACGUGCCCAGUGGCCUUCCUGGUUGCAGUUGAGGCAGGUGUUGGGGCCGACGCGGCCAGCAACACUGCCAUCUCCUUGUCCGCCACCACGUUCACUGCCUCUGCCUCGUCCUCGUCCACCACCGCGGCUACGUCCACCGCCACCGCGCUGGUUCCUGAAACCAGAACCACCAGCAUCAUCUCCCUUCUUCUCCUUCCUCCAGUGCGCUUUCCACUGCUCCUCCGUGUACAACAGCUUGCCGUUGAUGGCCACUUGCUCGGUCAGCGCUUGUUCCUCACGAUUAUCCACCGCCUUGAGCCUUCCAGUCACCUCCUCAAGAGUGAGCGCCUCAAAGUCGAGGAACUGCUCAAUGGCGACAACAAUCUGCGCGUACUUGGCUGGCACCGUGCGCAGAAACUUCUCCACCACACGCUCCUCAGUGAUGUCCUUGUCACCAUGAAUGACAAGCUGCUGGUGCAGAGUUGACAGACGCAUGGCGAAAUCCUCCACUUGCUCGCCGGGGUUGACGCUGAUGUUCUCCCAAUCGCGGCGUAGGCGCUGCAGCGUUGCUCGACGGACCCGGUCCACGCCGAUGCGAGUCGCAGCGAUAGCGUCCCACGCCUCCUUCGCCGUAGCCUUGUCGAGGAGUGGGAUGCCCAUCUCCUUGGGCACGGCCCCGACAAUCACCUCCAGUGCGCGCCUGUCAUCGCGAAACUGGACAGGGCCGCUGUUGGCACCUGCACACAAGCACCAGGUGAGCAGACCCUGCUCACCUUCCCUCUUCCUCUCCCCUGACCCAAGGUAGAAGAUGAGCCGAGCUCUGGCACACACACACUCACUCAGUUUCAGUCUUGGCUGAAACUAGAACCCAGGAAAUGUGGCACUUGAACUGCCUUUCCUUCAUUGCAUACAUGGUGUAUAUAUACAAGCCUUGUACCAACUAUAAGGUACACAAGGCAUGGCUGAGUACAGCCCCAACUACUCCUAGUACACUGCAUACAUCAUCCUCCUACCAAGUAUGGCUGAUGUAUGGUUCUACCAACUACUGUACUAGAGUGGCCUAUUGCCAUACUCCUAUAUGACCAAGAGCUGACCUAUUGCCUGCCUAUGAUCACUAACAGAACAAGAAAGGUUUAGCUGCAGAUUAUGUCUUACAGCCGCCCUCGAUGGCGUCCCAGAGGUCGCGCGCCUGCAUCCUCAGCUUCAUGGUCUGACUCCACUCGUAGUAGUUCGACUUGUCCAGCAUCGGCCACGACGUGCUGCUGCCGGAGUCGCGGUACACCACUCUGCCUUGCGGUGAUUCGUAGCGACCGCCGCCGCGGCUGCGCCUCCAGUCCGGCAGUGGUGACUGCGAGCGCCUCCUGUCUCGCGACGGAGUCCGCAGCCGCCGAUUCCUGCUCUCCUCCUCCUCUUCCUCCUCCUCUGCAUCUUCUUCUUCUCCCUUCUCAGCAGCAAUUUUGGCCCGCAGCUCCUGCGCCGUCCUUGCUGCCGCCUCUGCAGCAGCCGCCGCCUGCUGUGCUGCCUGGACUGCCAGCGCUGCUGCUUCCUCUGCAGCCUUCAAGCGCGCGGCCCGGCCGGAGGAGUCGCCCAGCUCUCCAUCGCCGGUUCCCUUGGCCUUGAGCCUGGCAGCGCGCUCAGCAGAGGUCGACAUGGGGUGGACAAGGUGAGGAGUUGGCCUCGUGGCUCUCUGGUGUCUAACCUAGCUCUGGUACCAAAUGUUAGAGGUAACAUAGACUUUUGAUUAGCCUUGAGGCAACUAACCCCAGGCGUCUCCUUCAUUAUAUAUAGAGAAAGACAUUGCAUUGAUUACAAAUAGCUCACUAGAGCAUAGCUAAUCAGAUAGGUGCCUUGGCAGCCGUACACACCUUUGGGCUGCCCAAGGUCUUUAAUGACUGUAAUUAACUAGCAUAGUUAUCUAGGAAAUGCUUAGGAAGCAGGGCUUAUUAACUACAAUUCAUUCAUACAGUUAUCUUCAUUGUCUUUUUGUUUCUUUGAUAAUAAUAAUUUGUGAAUCAGGUCUCCUUAUUGCAAAGUGAUGUUGCCAGAAUAAAAUUGAAGUUGUUCCCAACGAUUCAAGACAUAUUGGGACAGUGGAUUGUUCUCCACUUUGUAGGAACCUCACCAACCUCACCACCAACCAUUGACGAUUUUAGCUAUCAUCUUUCUUCUCUUCAGCUUGGUAAUACCUAAAAGAUAUGAUUGUGGUCUUAACUUUGUUUUGUUGUUGAUAAAGAUAUGAUUGUAGUCUUACCUUUGUUGUUGAUACACAUAUUUUGAAUGGGCACCCUGCUACUACAUUUAGCGUCUUAAUGUGCUCUGUUUUUACAAUGGUGUAAUGAGUCCAUACCAAAGGACAGAACUUGUAAGUUGGUGUUUUGCGAUGGCAUUCAUAAUGUUUUGGCUAUUGUAUUUUAGGGACAGUUUUUUGUGAUCAGUUGCUAGUAUGUUCUACAGGACGGUCUUUUGUGAUUUUGUGAAUUUGUUUUAACUAACUGUACAAAGUCCUUUGCCUCCAAAUAUGUUUACUGUGCAAGAGCCCAAAGAAUGUUUUGUUAACUUCACAUUCACUAGUUUCUUAAAAAAAUUGUAUUCCUCCUUCGAUUGCAUUAAACGUAAGGCUUUCUUUGACAAACCGCAAAAAUAUUGAGAACAAGGGUCCUGUGGGGUAGGAUUUGGCCUCCACCACUAGCAUUCUAACUAUGUUAGGCAGGGGUGGGCGAGGAAAAACAUAACAUUCUGGAAUUUAUGGUCCUGAAUAUGCAUCUGAUGACAGAUUUGUGCUCUACAAUAGCUUACAUACAAAUUUAAAUAUAGGGAAAUGAAUGGGAUCUCAUAUUUGUGUAAAUGUACUGGCAACUGUACUCGAUUUUUUUUGCAUAUCAGUAUAUCACAAAGAUACUAUUAAAACAUUUUAUGCUGAUUGGCGAACAUUUUAGCUUCAAGAACUUUUAAUUUGAAGAAAUUAUGUUUUUGAGAUAUCUUGAAGCCUAAAGUCGUAAACCAUGUGGAUAAAUGUCUAAGAACCCCCCCCCCCCCCCCCCUCCUUCUUAUUUUGCCCCUAAGAAGUUUGUGGUAGCCUUCGAAUCCUCACUUGUGGUGGGGAUUUCAUCAACCCACGGACUUUCAACUGUCUAACCAGUGUAAGUCAGGGGAAGUUGGCGUCCAAGAAAAUAGAUGUAAUUUUUUCCUCUCUCUUGUGUCAGCCUGUACAUUGUACCAUAGUUCUUAAGGCGUAAAGGUGAGGCAUGACAAUGCGCGCCCGCCUUGCCCGCCUAGGCGAGCAUUUUGCAAGGCGCUGGGGGUCGCUAGGCGACGCCUUAAGAACUAUGCGCUGUACCUCAUUUUAUCAUUUUUCUGGUAGCCGAUCUAUAUAUUCUGCAAGUAUACACCAUUUUCCUAUUUAACUUUUAAUUUGUGUUCGUUUCAUGUAUAAUCUUUGAAGCUUGUUACUUAUUUUGAAUUGCACAUGCUGUUCUCUUAUUAUAGGUAAAGCAGAUGAACUGUCUUUGCACAGAAAGCUUGGCUGCUCUGAUUUUACUUUGGCUUGUUUACUUGAUUUUCCAAAAUCUCCUGAAGGGGACGUUAUGUCACCUUGUUUUCCCAGUCCAGCAGAAGUGAUCAAUCUAGUAAGGAGGUUUAGUAGUUUGAUUAUGUGUGGAAGAAAUUUUGAGUGUGCACAGACUUUCUUGGGAUACACAAUUAAUCUAUCAGCUGUUCUCAUCCGACAUGGUCAGUAUGAAGCUGCUAAGGUACUAUAUUUUAUUUUUGGUCUAAAAUUCAUUAGAAACAUACUUUGUUUUUUUUAAUGUUGCUUUAUCUAUAUAGUAAUCAGCUAUCAGAUAUCCUUAUCCUCAUUUUUAUCUCUAAUAACAGAAUCUGCUGGGAAUUCUGGAAACAUACUUGAACAAUGGAGAAGUAUCCCAUACUGGUCAAGAUGCAGAUACUGCAUGUGCAGCAUACCUUCAUCUCAAUGGAUUUUGCCUUCUGAUGCUUGCACAUGAUGAAGCAAAUAUUAUUUUGAGAGAAUCCAAGGUUCAUGAUGCUAUCCGAUGCUUUUUCAGGUACCAACUUUUCACUAUGUGAACUUGUGGAUUGAGCCUUUUUUUUAUUUUCAUCAACCGACACAUUUCUGGAAACUGUCUUUACUGGCUGGGGACAGCAAUGAUUUAUUUUCCUAUUGUGAUACCGGAGAAGAAAUAUAUAACAUAAACAUAUUUGUUACUGAGGUAUUGAAAAUAAUAGGACUGCAUCAGUCUAACUGGUUAUUUAAAAGCCUAACUGACAGACCAGGCGCUUGAUCUACUUCUGCUGUUUAAGUUAAGUGGUAGCUGAUACAUAUGGUUCUCUGUCCUUAAUCCCACUUCAAUGUAUGAAAAUCUUCUUUAAUUAGACCUAAUUACUAGGCGCUUGAUCUUUGUGCUAGCACCUUGCAAUAAGUCUGAUACUUUGUCUUUUGCAUACUCAAUUUGUAUAGAAUUGUAGGCACAAAUGUAGUUGUUACCUUACAAAAUAUCGAUACAGAGCAACUCAUCUUUGCCCACAACAUUUGAUUUGCUGUCAUGCUCUGUUUUGAAAAAGAAAGGGACUGCACAUUCCUUUAUUAGAAAUGACAAGUAACUAAGCAAGCUUGCUAUCAGCGUAAUCAGGACAUCUCCUUGUGUCUUUUGAUAAAUAUCGGUAAGGGAUUUUCAAGCGAGUAAUCCAAUUGUUUAAGUUAAUGUCUUCUGGUAGGAGUCACUUCAUUUGAUUUAGUUGCCUAGUUUUCAGGUUCUGUGAAACAAAUAGUUCAGACUUGAGAACUGAGGCAGCACCAUAUAUUAGUUGAUGCUAUGGGAUCAAAGCUAUGUAACUCUUAGGGUCACCUUAUUUAAGAUAAAAAAUUGCAGGAGUGUUUUAGUUUAUCUUUAGACAGGCUGGGGUGCGGAUCCAUUACUCAAGAAGGAUGGAGCCCUGAAAGGGUUGAAAAUAUAUACUAAGAAUAAAACUCUUGGAUCUGUAUACAUGCCACAUUGUGUAUUCCUUUUUAAUAUUGCUGUUUUUUUUGUUAUAAACUUAUAAUUGGGCUACCUGUUUGCUCUUUCUCUGGUAUUAACUUGACAAAUACUUUGGAAAACAGGGCUGCGUCCGGGUAUGAAGCUCCAAAGGUUUUGCAGAACUUUUCAUUGGAAACAGGGUUUCAAGUUUCUGGUGAUAUCAUUCUCCUAGCUUUACUUGUUCUAUAUUGCAUUUAAUUUAUGUUCUUACAAUCUUACUGUUUGUCUUUUUUUUCCCAGGGGAAUCUAGAUCUAUUUCUUUGUGGAGACUUAACUACUAUGAGUGGGCAAUGCAAAUUUUUGAGCAACACUCCAUGAGUGAGGGGGCGUGCCAAUUUGCUCUUGCUGCUCUUGAGCUAGUUGAUAUCAUUGAUGGGUUAGAUAAUGGAAUUGAAGCUGAGGGCCUUCCAGAGACCGCAGCAAUGAUUAAAGGACGGUUAUGGGCUAAUGUAUUCAAGUACAGCUUGGAUCUGAAACACUUUCGAGAUGCAUAUUGUGCGAUCGUCUCAAACCCGGAUGAUGAUAGCAAAUACAUCUGUUUGAGGCGUUUCAUCAUAGUCCUUUGUGAUCUUGGGGAGACAAAGGUUUGUCGUAUUAAGUUGCUUACAUCCCCCCCCCCCCCCCCCCCCCGCGUGAUUUGUCCAUGGGCAUCUUUAGUGUUUUGAGGUGGAUCAUAGUGCCUACCCAGCAAUAAGUUGAUUGGCAGACACAUGAUUUUGUAAGUAUUAUAGCUAGUGGUCAUGACACAUGUUUACAGUCAUACAUAGGUACCAUAAGACUUCUAUCUUGGCCGUUGACAUGAUCUACCACAUUUGAUUUUAUUCUUUUUUUUUCUUACAUUGGGGAAAAGGGGGUUCAUGCAGUGUGGGAUGUUGUCCAAUGGAUUUCUGCUAAAUUUUGUUAGAGAAAAUCUACAGGUGUGCAAUGUGUUAGCUAUUUGAUUAUUUUCUUUUUGAUUGUAUAAGCAAGGUAUGUUAACGGAUCAAGCUGGCUCCUCUAACUACUAUUAUUACCUAAAAACCAUUAUUUGGGUGCUUUUGUUGUGUUUGAGCCUUUUCUUUUUCUUGUCUUCCUUUUAUUGUAUGAAAGGCAUGUUGGCCAGUCUAGCAGCCUUUCCCCUGUUAGUUAAAAUCAUUUUCUGUAUGCAGGACAUAUUGACAAUCUAGCAGGCUUUCCUCUAAAUAUCAGUAAUUAGAAGUCAUAUAAAUGAAAUUUUGUCUGUCUUUGUGUUACCCAGUUGUUUUCCUCAUCAUUUUAUGCAAGGGAUGCUCACUAUUAGAUUGGAGCUUAAAUUUGCCUCUUAUUUGUGGAAAUAGGUUCUUUGCAAUGGGGAGAUUCCAUUCACUGACUUGGUAGAGAAAGUGGAGCAAGAGCUCUUCUGGAAGGUUUGUCAUUUUCAGCAUAGUCCAAUCUUUGUGUCUUCCUUUCUUCCAUGCCGAUCUAAUUUUUGUUUUUGCAGGCUGAACGCUCGGAUCUGUCUUCUAGACCAAAUCUCUAUAAGGUUCUGUAUUCAUUUGAAGCACAUCGGAACAAAUGGAGGAAAGCAGCUGUAUACAUGUACAGGUACUAUGUUAGAUUGAAUAGAGAAGGUAAUGCAGGUGGCAGCCACCAACUUCCUCAUGUGUUGCAAGAGAGGUUGCACGCUUUAUCUGCUGCUAUCAACGCAUUGCAGCUUGUUGAUCCCUCAUUUGCAUGGCUCGACUCUAUUUGUGAAGCUGAUGAUCAAAUUUCUCCAAGUAAAAGACCUCGGAAUCUUUUGAUGGAGAACUGUAUGUUUUGUCAGACUUUUAAUUGCUGUUUGAUUUGUCUCAUUGCACAGAAACAUGCUUGGUUUAACUUUUGUUCUCUAUUCCAGUGGCUUUUGGCACAGAUUCUGAGCUUUCUAGAUUGCAGUUUUGCGUCGACAUUGAAAUCCUUGAAAAAGAAUACAUAUUAACAGAAGCACAGUAUAUGCUCAGCACUCUGAAAUCAAUAUUUGAUUUUUCAGGUAUCUCCAAAACUAAUCAUAGGACUUCAUUGCUUGAAUUUAUGGAGAUCAAUAUCUUAAUUAACAAUCUUUAAUAUUAAACAUUGAAAUCAGUUUUUGUGUGACUGCAGAAAGGCAGUCAAUGGAGUCCCUGAUGGAUAUUCUUAUAGAUGAGAAAUUGUAUGACUUGGCCUUCACAGUUGUGCUCAAAUUUUGGAAGGAGUCAGGAAUGAAAAAGUACUUUGCAUUUACUUGUUUUGUUUCCUUUUUUUGCCUGUAGCGCUGUCUUAAUGGAUUGCUGUUUGUCAUGUUCUCAUCUGUGUCUAUGAUUUAGCCUGACUAUCUAUUGUUUCAAUUGUUCUGUUGUAGGCAAUUGGAGCGUGUCUUUUCAGUCAUUGCUCAGCAAUGCUGUCCGAACAGAGCAGACAACAAAUCAAGGUAUGUUGACUGACCCCUCUAAUUGCACAUAUGGGCAGAUUAUUGUGCUGACAAAUAAUUGUGUUAACUAAUGGCGUGAGAUAUAACCUAAUUACAGGAAAAGUUUGACUGACAGUCAACAAGUGCUACUCCUGCCUUCUUCUGAGAAUGAUGCAUGGGAGAUCAACAAUAAGAGUAUUCCUGUCACCCAACAACUGCAGGGGAGCAACCACUGGGAAAUCCUUGAACUAUAUUUGGUAUGUCUUUAUUUGAAUGUCUUCUUUUAUUACUUUUCCCUAAGUUGGGGAUCUCUAUGCCCGGAGUACUGUGUUGAACUAUAUUCCCUCCUUUUCUUUUUGUAAGGCUUGAUUUGACCUGGUGCUGUCUCCAAAGUCACACUUUGACCGUUAAUAUCUCAUAUAUUAUGAUGUUCAUAACUAUGGAUUUGAUGUCAUAUGGAAGUGUUUUCAAAUAUGAAUCCAAUAAUACCAAAUCUGUUUGGUAUCAUUUGCAAAUUCUUAGACUAAGUGUCAGUAAAAAAUUAACAAGUUCAAAUCUUGGGUUCCGCUAAGGAGUUGUUUUGUUGGCAUUUGGCUGGGGCCAGAGGUGUAUCCUUCCUCUUUGCUCUUGGUCCUCCCAUGGGUGAGAUCCUUUUUAGUUUUCCCGUCUUGGGAUGUGUGGGUGUUUGUAUUUGGGAGAAAAAAAUCUUGGGUUGCGUGUGCCCCUUGCAAAAAGAAAAGGAGCGAGUACUUUGCUACUGUUGACCUCAUGGGUCAGUCAGUGAGCAGCGGCAUAUACAUAUGAAAAUUUACUAUUCUUUUAUGGUGCUGCUUCUAUAGGAACCAAUGCUAUCCUUUUGGGUCCUUCCAACUAUCUGUAGUGUUUUGCAAUCAACAAUUUUUUUCAUCUUUAUCUGAUUAGUUUGAUUUUACUACACCCUAAGUAGUGGAAUAGACCUUUGUGCAUGGGACUCUAUGCAGCUAAGUCUAGUGUCUGGCAGAGGCUCCAAUUACUAUCCACUAUUUGUAGAUUUUGAUCAAUAAAAUAGUUCUGCCAGAGCACAAUUAUGUUGUAAGUUUUGAUCAAUCAAUAGUGUAGAUAAUUAGGGAACACGUCACACCCAUUAUGGGGUGCGGUUGUGUUAUGGUGGUGAACGUCUAUUAGCGUCGCAAGAGGAGUGGUGGCUGAGGAGUGGACCGUGCCAAUGAAUGCCAGAGUGCGGUCACCAGCCAAGGCAUGCCAAAACCCGCGCUGUCCAGGAGUGCAGCACACGCAUGUUUGUUAUUUGAUCCGAUUGUUUAGGAGUGAUAUUUGCGUUGAAUUGUUAUCCCUUAAAGUUAGCAGAAAGGUUGUUAGGAUUGUGGUAUAAGUAUCGAACACUGUUGCUUAAUGAAAGGUUAGUCAGAGAUUGAGUUUGCCUCUCUCGCUCUUAUGCCUUUUCUGCGCCUUAUGGCCUGUUUGGAUUUUAGAAUUUCGAGACAAAUACCAUGGUUUCUAAAAACACCAUAGUAUCAAAACUUUGAAGUGCUUGGAUACCUCAAACUAUGACGUUUUCUAAACUGUAGUUUCCCAGAUACCAUGGUAUUCGUGGACUUUCUAAGUAAAAAUCAACUUCUUGUAAAACAGAGCUAUGUCUGGUGUGGUCUCCAUACUCUUGCUGCAGAAGUGAGGUGCUUGAUAAGCUAAUUACACAGCUGUCAACUCAAGCCGAGUCUUCAGGGAAAAAGAUCAAAUAGCUACAUGACUUUUUAUUAGAAAAAUAAAGAAUAGAACAAACAAAAAAAUACAUGUUUAAUCUCCCAUACAUAAAGUAUUAUAACUUCUACUGUUCUACACAUCUCAAUGUUGUAUGUAGUGUUACAUGUAAAAGCUAAGUACAAUAGAAAUGUAAGCAUAUAUAUGUAGAUUCUGGUUUAUUAAUUAUAUGGUACAUUCUACUUAGCUUGAUAAAUAUACGAUUUAUAAAACGCAAAGCACUGCGCUACAUACUGCAAUAGCCAAACAAAUCGUGGUUUCCUAAAAGACUUUAGAAAACCAUGGUUUUGACAAACUGUGGUUUCACACCUUGCAACUACAGUAUAGAAAAAAACUGUAGUUGUAGGAUACUUUAAUAUCCAAACAAGCACUUAAUGUACUGUGUGUUUGAUAUUUUCUGUGUUCCCAACAACGAAACAGCACCUGUAUUGCGUUGUCAAUACUUUUAUUUCUGUUUUUGCAGGAUAAAUACAAAGAUCUGCAUCCUAGGUUGCCGGUCAUUGUUGCUGAGACACUUCUUUAUACCGAUCCCGAGAUUGAGCUACCACUUUGGUUGGUUCAGAUGUUCAAGGUGGGUUUCUGAUAAAUAGUGUCUGGCUAAUUUUAUAUUUUUGUAUAAUUAGUGCUGAUCGACCUAUGGUUUGGCUGCUACCCGUUGCUUUUUUUCAGACUAACAAGGCAGGGAACAAGAUCUCCUGGGGCAUGUCUGGGAAAGAGGCAGAUCCUGCCGCCUUAUUCAGACUAUACAUAAACUACGGACGCCAUGCAGAAGCUACUAACUUGCUGGUGGAGUAUUUAGAGUCGUUCGCAUCAUCGGUAAUGGAUCGACCGACUGAAAUCCAAAUGCAAGAUCUUUACAAUCUUAACAUAUAAAUCCCUGGAACCAUUUGCAGAGGCCAGUGGACCUUCUCCACCGCAAGCAGAUGUCCGCCACUUGGUUCCCGUACACGGCUGUGGAGAGGCUGUGGUGCCAGCUGGGUGAGAUGCAACGCGCCGGCCACAGCGUGGAUCAGUGCGACCGGCUCAAGAAGCUGCUGCAUGGAGCCCUGAUGAGCCACCUGCAGCAGGUUGGUUGUGCCACAUCUGAAUGCAAACUCCACUAUGUUGCGUGUGUCGGUGCUGAUUGCUCUUCUUGUUCUACUUCUACGUUUGCAGGUUGUGGUCGACUCGGGGGACGUGCUGUCGUCAGUUGGAGAUGGGCAGGGGAUGGAGGGCCAGAGCAGAUGAAGUCCUAGAGAUCGUGUUGGUGUUGGUAUGUGUGUUGUAGAGAACGAUGCGCCACCACUGAAUCCUGUACGUAAUUGUUUGUAUGGUUAGCCUGUCUUAUAUAGAAUUAUUAGAAGAAAAACAAAGAUGGAGUGAUGGCUCCAUUUGUAACGUGAACAUGGAAUCAUCGCUGAUAACGGCCGGUUCACCCUCCCACAUGUAGGAGUAGAAGAUGGAUUGACGCCUCCAUUACAGCACUGGUAUUGUGUCAGAGCACUGGUAUUGUGUCAGAUUCUGGGUGUCUGUAGCUUGUGAAUUGUGAUGGUGGUUUGGGAAAUAUUGACAAACUUAGCAAUGGGAGGUUACGCCGAUUGGAGCCUCCUCGAUUUUGGCCUUGUUUACUUCUAUUUUUUUUUUUUGCAAAAUAGAUAUUAUAGCAUUUUUGUUUGUAUUUGACAAAUAUGAUCUAACUAGGCUUAAAAGAUUCGUCUCGCAAAUUACAGGUGUAUAAUUAGUUUUUAUUUUCGUCUAUAUUUAACGCUUCAUGCAUUUAUCUAAAAAUUUGAUAUGACGUGAAAUCUGAAAAAUUUUGCAAUUUUUUUUUUAAACUAAAUAAGACCUUUGUUAUACUGGAGACAUGUGAACUUGAGAAAAAAAUUAUAUAGGCAAAAACAGAAAUCAAUUUUGUUGUACUCCCUUCAUAUGAGAUUUAGAAGUCGUUUUAGACAAGGUUUGGGUCAAACAUUGAGAAUAUAAAUUAUUAUUAAUUUUCAAAUUAUUUAGUUUGUAAAUAUAAAAAUUAUAUAAAUAGAUUUGCCUUUAAAAAUACUUUUAUGAAAGUGUAUAUAUAUAUAUAUAUAUAGAAGUCGUUUUAGACAAGGUUUGGGUCAAACUUUGAGAAUAUAAAUUAUUAUUAAUUUUCAAAUUAUUUAGUUUGUAAAUAUAAAAAUUAUAUAAAUAGAUUUGCCUUUAAAAAUACUUUUAUGAAAGUGUAUAUAUAUAUAUAUAUAUAUAUAUAUAUAUAUAUAUAUAUAUUGGGAGCCCAGGGCUACAAUUAGAUAUUGGAAGCCCCAGCCAGUCAACCACUCCACCCAACCUCUAUGAAGCUGACGCACACGCAGGUGAGGACCUCUGAAGACCCAAGGAUGCAUAAAAUCCUAUGCAGGCUAUCCAGAAAGGUUUUUAUCGCGACAAUGUAUAAAAUUUAGUAGUUGUAUAAAUUAAAAUCAAUUCAUUACUGUAUAAAAAUCUCUCUCUAAUCUAGACUUUACAGCUGAUAUAGACUGACACAUGUCUACAUGCGUGCGUCCACUCUAAUCUCUUCCGUUUUUUCACGACAAUUUCUCAACGAAACAUCUGAUUCAAAAACGGUUUUCACCAUUGAACUCCUGAUAUUUUUGUGCACGAUUUAAGAUCUGUUGUGAAUAUAUUUUUGAAAAAAAAAAUAAAAUUUCAUAAUUUUGCGCACUAUGAGACAAAGUUUUAUGUAUCCGAAUAGAUCUUAUGAGCAAAAAACAUCAGGACAACCUCAUGUUUUUUAAAAUUUGAAAUUUGAAUCAUGACACGUAAUGACCGAUUAAAUGCAUAGAAUCACGGGUCAAAAUGCGUAGCAAAGUUUUUGGCGCCGACAUUGAAUAGAAAUUAGUGGUUAGAUGAAUAAAAAUUAAUUUUGUUACCGCAUAGAAACAUCUCCACAUGGAGACGAUCUUGUCUUCUUCAAAAUUUGAAAUUUUAAUACUGACACGUGAUGACCUAGUAGGUACAUAGAAUCAAUAGUCAAGAUACGCAUAAAGGUUUUUAGUGCCACAUUGCAUACAAAUUAGUAGUUCAAUGAAUAAAAAUUAAUUUCAUUGCUGCGUAAAAACCUCUCCAUGAGAUGGACAUUCCACGUGACACAACCAUGAUUGUCUGUAACAACAUCAUGCUUCCUGCUAUGGGGGUGUAUUACAACUAAGACCAUCACUACCCAUACCCACACUGUUCUUUGCACGAGGAUAUGUUUAUUUAAUAGAGCAACAAUGUAUAGAAACUUUACACCAUACUUUCUUUUAAGGGAAUGAAACAUACAAAACAGUGUGGACUAUCCAUAAUGUUCCCAACUCACAACAUGCAUAGACACUCAGUUAACCAAAUAUUGAAACCCAACAGAGGUUACAUAGAAAUCAAUAGUUUCGCUCAUAUCAUCGAAGCAUAUAAACACAACAUAUGGAAAACUUUUUACAUUAACCCAUCAACUAUAUGGAAUAUCACACUACGCCACCGUCAUAAGCCAAGGAAGUUGUGAACGUCGCAAGUCAUGUCUUAUAAUGUCCGAGCCACCAUUGACCUCACACCAAAAAUAGAGGAAUCCUUCUAACCAUCCUACACCACAACAAAGACAUAGAAACAUAUUUGAGUAGGCGUAAAAAACUUACGGUGGCAAAGAAAGGUAUGGAAACAUGUUUUAGAAACGUAAUUAGUGAUUUUAAAUCUUCAAACAAUGUAGAGUGAGAAGAACCACCAAAGAUGUGAAGAUACUGGUCAGUGUAAACAACAGCUGAAUGAUCGUACCUAAAUUGCAUAAAAUAAUGUAGUGCUUUGAAUAUAUUAAAAAAGUCAAGAAAUACAAAAAUCCUACAGUAGCUUCAAUGGCUUACAACAUGUGAGGCAGCGUGGAAGCGGGAGUAGCCUGCUAGGCACUAGAUCUGAAGAAGCUUUGGGGCAAUGGUAAGAAAGGCAUAGAAACAUAUUAAAGAUUUCAAUUUCUAUGCAUCUAAAAAAUAUUUUAUUUAGUCAGAUUGUCAAAUCAUAAUUGAUAUGCAUAGAAACUUAUGUAUGCAAGUACAGAAACAACUUAUCUCUAAAUGGACACAUCAAUAUUGCAUAGAAAACUACGUUGUUCCUGUAAGGCAACAACCAAAUUGGAUCAAAAGCUAAUGUAAAACCAUAAAAAAUCAGUGUGUCCAAAAGCGACAGGCAUUUUGAAUGUGUUGUGGACAAUCUAGUUAGGCAUAUGCAUGUAUCUUGCCGAUGGACGAGAAUGGAUGGUGGUGGUGGAUGCCGAGCAUGGGGCAUAGAACGCCUCCGCUCGAGCGGACGCCACCAUGUGGCACGACAGACUUGCAACAGCUCUGAAUGUGCCCACUGCUGCUGGCCAUUUGAGCUCUCGCCAGGUCCACCAUGAGUCUCUGCAAGACCGGAAGAGGAGAGGAAGAGAAGAAAAAAAAUAUAUAAUACAAGAGACGGGAGGAGCUUCCGGAGUCUGACAGAAGGUUGCAACACUAUGGGAGGAAGAGGGAUAGAUCUGCUCACCUUUGGGCCUGUAGGCCUGCAGCGCCACCAGGGAAAGCCCACCGUCACCACUCCAUGUUGCCUCCACGCUGAAGCUGCUGCUGCUGCCCCCGUCGGUCGGAGAAGCAGGCCGCCUUGCCAUGUCGGGGAAAGAGAGGACAUGUGGCCCUCUGCCGUGCGGCAUCGAGUGCCGUCAGCGGCUCCACCUCCUCGAGAGGCACCGUUGGCCCACGCGCGGCCGGGCACGCGCACUGUCGGCGGCCGCCGGCUAGUGAGUCCACCUAGGCCCUCCCCAUGGCCCGUGCAGAGCCGCAGCCGCGAUCGCGUAGUCCCCUCGCAAGGCCUUGCAGCAGAGCGGCACCGCCGCUCACCGAGAUGCCAAAGAUGGGGAGAGGACGCCGGGAUGCAAGAGGUGGGGAUGGACCAGCCGGACCCGGAUGUAGGAGAUGCCACCGCGGGGCGCGGUCCGCGGUGGGGAGCGGGCGCCGGGAUGCAGGAGCCGCCUCGGGCUGCUUCCGUGUACCGUAAGAGGAUGAGAGGAGAGACCGAGAGAGACGAGAUUCAAAAAAAAAUUGAACGGGUGUCGGUCUGGUCUCUGGUUGGCUUGAGCUGCUUCGGUGGAUGCUGAGUUGGUUUGGCUGUGUCGUCACGCCCACAUGCCAGCCCAGUGGAUGAUGGUUCGUUGGAACCAGAUAUCUGCCAUUUGGACCGGGGCUUCCGCUAAUUAUUGGAAGCCUUAAGCUCUAAAUAAUAUAUAUAUAUAUAUAUAUAUAUAUAUAUAUAUAUAUAUAUAGGGUGCAUGUUUUAUACUCUCAGGAGUAAUUACUCCCACAUGCAUGUAGUGUAGGUGAGAAGGGCGCUGCAGGAGUUAACGGGUUUCCAAAGAUCCAUUAAAAAGCUAACUAAUCUGGGUGAUUUAUUUAUUUAUUUAUUUAAUAAUUUUCUAUGUGCGUUACCCAUUAUUUUCGGUUGGCUGGCUUAUCUGUUAGUUAUCGCUUUUGCUAGGAUAUUUGAAAUUUCGCAUGCAAUAUGUGUACAUACAUGAUCUGUAAGUUGUAUGAAUGCGUACACGUGUUCUGAGAGUAUGUCUACAUACAUGCAUGGGUAAGAGGAGUAUAUAGACAUACAUAUUGUAUUGUCCUGGGCGUAUAAGUACAUACAUAUUUAGCAACAAGAGUAUACACAUGUGUUUUAGGAAAUAGAGUAGUAUAUUGUUAUACGAAAAUUUGCCAUGGAUCCCGGAUGCACAUAUAUUUUUUUUGAAAUGGAGUCCGUAAAUAAGUUUUUACUAGAGUAUUUAUAUAUAUUUUUUAAAAUGGAGUAUCUGUACAUACUUUUAACUAGAGUAUUUAUACUAGAGUAUUUAUAUAUACUUUUUAGAAUGGAGUAUCUGUACAUACUUUUAGAAUAGAGUAUUUAUAUAUACUUUUUAGAAUGGGGUAUCUGUACAUAUACUUUUAAAAUAGAGUAUUUAUACAUACUUUUUUUGGAUUGGAGUAUGCAUACCUAAGAUUUAGAUAGUAUAAGUGCAUAGUUAAACCACACGACCGGAGUAUAUGUAUGCAUACAUUCACAUAUGGAGACUUAUAAAACAAUGUUCAUACUAUUUUUUUAAAAUAAAAUAUAUGUAUAUGAUGAUUGGAGAAUGGAGUAUCCAUACAUACGCCAAGAUUUAGAUAGUAUAAGUACAUACUUAAACCACACCAUCGUAGUAUAUGUACAUACAUUCAUGUAUGGAGAUAUAGAAAUUAAAACAAUGCUGCUUAAUGAAAUGCAUGCUUCUCGAAAAAAAACAAUGACGAGAGUAUGUAUUUUGACUAUUUUUACAACAAAAUAUAUGUACAUUAUGAUAGGAGCAACCUUCACGCGGUCAGAAACUCCAAUUAAUGACAUGAUGAUCUGCAGUCUCAUGUUGAAGUCUGAUUUGAAACUGUUUUUUUAUAAUAAAAAAAAUCAAUGCUUAAAAAUCCUAAUGGAAUGUGAAUCCAUCAUAAAAGCUUGGGAUGUGAGGACUCAAGGAUCUGUAUUAUAGAAAAUAAGGCAUCCGUAGGUAUAGAGGGAGAAGGAAAAGAUCACCGAUCACCGUAGUAUAUUUGUCCCGGUGAGGGUGAUCUCGAGGACGAUUGGGAUGUAUGCCCGACUGCAGGAGAUGGAAGAAAGCCGCAGUUCGCGGUGUGGGAAGAUGGCCCGGAUUUCAGGAUCUGGAUCGCGGCAUCGCUCGGCGGAGAGAAGAGAGACGCAUCCCGGUCACCCUGCUUCCGCUCCAAGCAGCGCCGUUGGCCGGCGGCGGCGCCCUGCCUCCAUGCUGUGUUGUGGAGGCGACGAACUAGAUGAGAAUGAAGGCACGUUUAUGGGCAUUAUGAAAGAAACUAGCGUGUAGAUUGGAACCGAAAAUCAAGAUCGAGAAAAAAAAUAUUGCAUCCCAACUCACGCUUGCAGCUGUGGCACCGCCGACGGAGACCAGAACAGUAUCACGUUGGUGGGCAAUCUUUGGCGGCGGCCGUCCCGACGAGACCCCUGCUGUGAAUGGCGGCGCUGAAAAAGAAAACGGAAAGCCGCCCGAUGAAACCAGUGAAGCCGCUGCCACCACCAAAUACCGUGAACAUCGCAACCCUAAACUUUAUUUUAUAGGUUGGAUUGACGUUGGAUUAACGGGUCCACCAUUUGAAACCCGUUAGGCAACCUGCCCACCACAGUUAUGGUUGCGCAGGUGCAUCCACGUGAGAUUAAAAGAGGGAGUAGCUACUCUCAGGGAGUAGGAAAAAAUUACCCUAUAUAGAUAUAUAUAUAGGACGUGUUUCUUUUACACGCGCGCGUAGUUACUCUCAUCUAUGUAUCUCUAGAUAUUAAGUUAUAUAUGACCGGACGAAAUGUAUAUAGACAAAGUAUAUGAUCAUACUAGACCAUCUAGAGUGAUAUGUAUGUUAAGUAUGCAUACAUACAUAGAGUAUAUGGUCAUACUUAUUUUAUAUAAUAUAGUAGUGGCAUUUUAGUAAUAUAUUUAAAAUAUAAUUUUUUUUGAAAAAUUUUCGCGUGGUAAGAUCUAGAGUAUCUUAAUAUGAGUAUAUAAACAUACUCAAACUGAUAAACAAGUAUGAAUACAUACACAAUAUAGUUUAUUGAAGAUGAGAGUAACUACACGUACGUGUACAAAGGAAUUUCCCUAUAUAUAUAUAUAUAUAUAUAUAUAUAUAUAUAUAUAUAUAUAUAUAAGAAAUUCAAAAUUGAUGUUAAUUUUCCUUUACUUACACAUCACCUCAGUAGAAGCAGUUGCAUGUUAAAUUGUCAAUCCUCAUUAGCCGCCUGCAGCAAUCAAAAUAACAUACAAAAAGGCACUACUAGCAGAUCAAGACGAUGAAAUGGGAAAGGGGGAAAAAAGAAGAAGAUGCAUUUGCGAUCCUGCACGUAAAAGAACGGCAAAUAAGGUGCUAAGCUGAACUAAUUUGCAUAUGCGGCACGACACAUAUAAUGACACUAUUGGAAAUAAAAUUCCAUGUCAGUUCAUCUUAAACCAAGACGAAUAUUAUAUUUUUUCAAUCAGUUUCAUAAAAUGAUCUCUUUAAUGAAUUUUCACUCUUAAAUGAAUUUUCACAAUAUAUAAAUGAUCUAUAAUAAAUUUGAGAUUGUUCUAUUAAUUUUAUCAUAUUCUUUCUACUGCAUUGCUUUGACGGUAUAUGAAUCGACAGAACUUGAUGUUUUUUUCCUGAUGGUAGACACCAAUUUUCCUGCCAGUUAAUUUUUUUAUAACUCCUUGUUGGUUACUUGUGACAAGAAAAGAAUCCCCGAACCUGGUGGACCAGAGAAUUUUGCUAUCGAUGGCUAGGAAUUCUUUUGUCGAUGUCUUACCGAUAAGAAAAUCGGUAAACUGACCAAUAAAUUGGUCUACUGAUAGAUUUUUUUUUUCUAUCGCUUUUAUUCUGUUGGUCUACUUCUUCCCAAUAGAGAAAUUAACUUUCAAAAUUCCUGUAGGUAUUUCAUAUUUCCCUGUCAAUUUCACACCAAUAAGGAUUUUUGGUUUUCCAAGCUGUUGGAGACCUCAGAAGAAAAGAAGCAUAUAGAUAGAGUACAUUGACAGCCAUAGAAGAAAAUUUACAUAUAUUAAACUAUGCCUUUGUGUGUUCGUUUGCAAAUAAAAAGAAAGAAACAGAGAUAAAUAAAUAAAUAAGUAAAUAAAUAAAUAAAUAAAUAAAUGCAUAAAUAUAACGUACCCAAUAUAAAAGAUAUAACCUGUGAUAGCAAACAACGGAUAGACAACUUCAAACUUCGGGUAUUAACUUCUUUCUAUAGGAUCCAACACAAGCCUAACACUCCUCCUGAAGUAUGGGAGAAACAGCAAGAGUGAGUCCAUGUCGAACUCCACAAGUAUAGCAACUAGAUUAUAUAGAUCCCACAAUCUCAUGAUCAAUGUGACAUAAAUAAUGUAAAACAUUAAACAAUAAAUAAUGAGCAUAUUAACACACAAGAAUCAUCACCCUUAAUGUAGAUGUCCCCAAGGCCGCACCUGACCGUGAGCACGGCUAGUAUACCAGUUUUAAACACUCUGCAGAGGUUGUACAUCUUUACCCAUGAGUCAUAAUUUACCCUUUCGCCCGAGGUGAUCAGCCUCUUAACCCACUUCCAAGGUAGGUCGGCAGGGAUCACUAUGAAGCCUUUCAAAGGUUUCGUCUAACAAGUUAGGGCCAUUAGUUCACUCGGUUGGCAGAUACAGAGCCCCCCUUCCAUGACACAUAACCCGCAGCCUAUACACACGGACAGAGGCCGCAUUAUACCCAACGUGUCUAGCCAUUCUUACGCCAUUUAAGGUAACCGCUAACAAGCUAGAAAAAGGUCCUCAUACUGAGCUAAAGCCAGAGCCAUUAUAGCCCUCAUGGUUGCACUGUUAUCCCGGAUGAUCACGUACAGAUAAAUCAUCAAGUUGCUAAAAAGUCAUUUUUAUCGUUUGUUGCUUAAACAUUAAUCAAGUCACAAGAUCAUGGUCACAGAAUUAAAACCCAAAUGCUAUACUUGCCUUAAUUCAAUUGCUCUUGUUGAUCCUUUUAGUUCUGCUAGUCUUACUUGCCAAGGCUCUGAUCUUGAUUACUGAAGCACUCUUGAUCACUACGAGUUGCUCACCAACUAAACUCGAUCAUCGAUCAUCAACACACAAACAAUCGGGGACAACAUACACGAAGCAAACAAGGAUACAAUUAGAACAAUACAUCAAUAGUAGAAAAAUAGUAUAAAAAAUUUAUAAAAUGAUUCUACUUAUCGCUACGAUCUCACAGACGUAAAGAUCACGAAAAUCGGAGCUAAAACGGAGAAGUUAUGAAUUUUCUAAGAUUUUAUAUAGAAAAGUAAUUAAUUAAAUAGGAUCACAAAAUUAAAAGGUUUCAAACAGUGUUACUAACAUGUAGAGCUCAUGAAAACGAACCUAACGCAAUUUGAAUGAGUCAAAUCAGAGUUAAAAUAAAUAUUUUAUGGCCAAAAGAAAGUCAAUGGCAAUUCUAUGAAUAGUGAAAACGUAUUUUUAAUCUAAAACCGAGCUGUUUGCGUUUUUCAAACUGAAAGGCAAAGUGAUUGGGGCUUACGUUGGUAGACAGAGAGCAGGUUCGCCGGCAGCGAUGCUUUCUUAGAGCUACAGCAACGCCGGAGCAGCCGACCGCUCGUAGAUGUCGUGUAUAAGCGAGAUGAUAGUGAUCACGUUGUAGAGAAAGAAAGAGAAAAUAUAAUUUUAUUUUACUAUCUUAGGAAUUCCUAAAUUAGAGGCUUUUUAUAUGGUAGUUUUUGGUGUACUCUGCCUAAGGGGUUGGUAUAUAUAUAUAUAUAGGAAGAGAAACUCCCCACCUCCACGUCCACUAGCGAUAUGGUACUAAUUGAUUUGCAACUUCAUCUUUACUAAUAGAUCUAAUUAAUUAUUAAAGCCCAUUAGUAAAUAAAUAUAUGGUAUUUGGGAUUUAUUAUGAUUAUUGGAAAUGAGCUUUGACGUUGGAAAAAUAGUAAGAGGUUUAUUAUUUUCGGAAUUAGUUAUUUUAAUGGAUAAAAUAAUUCUAGAAAAGUCCAAAAUUAUUAUUUAAGCCAAAAAAAAUACUCCGAAAGCUCCAAAAAUUCGGGAAAAAUUCUCAGAGAUAUUAUAGAACAUGGGAAACCCGAAUAAAGAUUUUAGAGCUCAUGAUAAGAUUGUUUAGAGUAUCUAAAAAAUUAGAUUAUGCUCAGAGAAAAGUGAGAACAAAAGAUAGAAAAUUCCCGAAAAGUUUGUAGAGAUUGCUUGAUUGGCGAGGAACUAAAAGAAGUGCUUUGAGUGACAAAGAAAGGAUUUUAGGAAGCUCCUAAUAAAAACUUGAGCUUAGAAACAAGGAAUUUGGUUAUAGAUAAAGAUAAAGACGUAUUGGUCAAGGAGGAUCGAUCUCCUAAACGUAUUUUAAAAACUUUGCUCGCUCAACACAUAAAGGAGCAACAAGCAAACAUUACAUCAAAUCUUAUGCGCCAGCAUUGUAUGCACAACAAUAUUGCUAAGUUUUAUGAUAAAUUUUAAUUUAAUGAAAAAUAUUAUUUUCCUUAUAUUUUCAUGAGCACGGAAAUACAAAACUGAAUAAAUUUUUAUCUAUUUUGAAAGGAGCAAAUUUUAGGGUGUUACAAUUACAACCCUGGUACACCGUUGAAAUAUGCGUUUGGUCUCAUGAUCUGCAGGCAGAAGGCACCCCCGCCCUACUUGUGUUCAUACGGAUACCGAAAGAAACUAGUGCAAUUGACCAAACAAAAUCAAUAAUUAGAGGACUAGUACAUGUACGUGGGAGUGGGAAACAAAAACAUAAUCCCCAUUUCAUGCAAAUGGUGAUCAACCACACGUAAAGAAACAACAAUGAUAAUAAAGAAACUAAAAACAGCUAGCAACAGUUACAUAAAAAAAGAAAAAGAAAAGAAGAUGAUUACCUGGUACCAAAUCCGUCUCCCAUGGUCUGGGUCGGCAUCGAGAACUACUACAAAAUUCAUUUUUAGGGACGGCUGGGAACUUUCUGUAAUGGCGGCUGGCCCGCCCCUCCGGUCUUGCACUUAUAAAUAAAGCAUUUGUAAGGGCGGGUGCCCCAACUGCCCUUACAAAUAUAUUUGUUAGGGCGGCUGGUGUUGUCAGUCGCCCUUAGAAAUACCAUUUGUAAGGACGGCUAUGUCACCAGCCGCCCCUAAAGUGACUAUUUGUAGGGGCGGUUCAAUCUACAACCGCCCCUACAGUCUGUUUUCAGCAAAAAAAAGAUUCAAAUCUGACCAGAGAAUGUAAUAUAUAAUUCAAAUAUGACCACACGAGAACGAUAUAAACCACAAAUUACAUGUCUAAUUCAUUGAAAAGUCUAUUACAUAACCAUAAUUCACAAGUUCAAAUAUUCCCACAAGUCCACAUGCAUCUUAGUCUAGAUUGUUAUCAACGUCCAAGAUAAAGCUUGUGUGUCUCACGCAGGUGUUGGUGAAGUGGAUUGGAGCCUAAGUCAGAGCUUACAUCAUGAUAAGUGCCUCUAGAAUUAACAAUCUCGUCAAUGAUGAAGUUGCAAAGGUCGCCGACGAGCCCUAAGAGUUCAUCAUCCUUGAUUAGGUUCCUUCGCUUGUCUUUAUAUUCUUUCCACUAUAGGAGAACAAGUUUAAGUUUUCAUAACAUGAGGGAACUAAAUUUCAUAACAUAAGCUAAGUUUUCAUACUACGAGGGAACAAAGUGUGAAACUAACCAGAUUGGGGUGUCUCGUAUAGGCACUAGUGUUACUCAUCAUGCAACAUAUGUAAUAUCCACAAUAGUUACUCCUAGGCCUCUGCUUGAGACUCUGUGUGUUUUGCAUAUGGAAAUGGUAAGUAAUGCUAUUUCCUAACGUAAUCAAGUAUAACGAUGUAAGUUACACGUACCGCACAGAGCGGACAUUUGUCUAGAUCUUUGAACGUAUCGCCACGAAAAAGGAUACAGUGGUUGGGGGCAUGCAUCUAUUUUCUCAACACCCACUGAUAAUGGACUUAUAACCUUCUUCACAUGAUAUGUGUUGGUGGGAACUAAGUUUGACUGUGGCAACACCUAUGAUAAGAGACCCAACAAAUCAUAGAAACUGUAGUCAGACCAGCCGUACUUUGCCUUCAAGAUGAGUACCUCAAGCACAAAACGGAGUAGUGUCCAGUGGGUCGGACAACCCUUCUCAACACUGUACACAGUCUUCAUCGAUGCUUUUUUCACCCUCUAUAUUUUCUACACAUUUAUUCUGUAGUAAUAUUUCUGGUCCAAUCGCUCGAAUCAUGUCCUCUAAAUUGUCAAAGUCAUCUUCAUCCCCCUCACGUGCUCCUCCAUCAGUGCCGACAUCACCAACAUCAUUAGUACCUUCUUGAUUGCCAAAGUACUGACCACCUUGUCCAUUGCCAUAGUCAUAACCCAUUUCUUCUUUAAGCUCAGUUGUGUAUUGGUGCACAUACCUCUCGGCUUCGGCAGCAUCUCCUAGAUCAAAGUUACCAUCAUCAGUAACCGUUGUUUCGCCAUGAUGAAUCCACAUUGUGUAGUUCAGAACCAAUUCUUGCAAAAUUAGAUGUGAUCUGAUGGUAUUCAGAUCUGCAAAUGCCAUAAGGUUCUUGCAAUCUUUGCAGGGACAAAUAACUAUAUCCUUAUAAUGUGUCAAUGUUGAUGCAUGCUUCUGUGCAGCUUCAAUAAAUUUAUCCACCUCAUCGUGAAAACCUUCAUAAAUUCUUGAUCAACCAUACAUCCAAGAGUUCCUGUACUCCGUCUUUUAAAACAAAAUAAAAAUACAAAAUACAUAAAACAAAACAAAUUAAUGAAGAAAAAUGCAAACUAGACAUUAAUUGUGUAUAUACUCAUGGUAGAGGAUAAUUAUUUAGUUGGCUAUUAAUAAAACUAAAUAUUUAGAAAAGGAAUAAGGAACAAGUAUUAUUUUACCAAUUAGCAACAAUUAGCAACAAAACAAAAAUACAAAAUACAUAAAACAAAACAAAUUAAUGAAGAAAAAUACAAACUAGAGAUUAAUUGUGUAUACAUACGUAUACUCAUGGUAGAGGAUAAUUAUUUAGUUGGCUAUUCUUGAUUAUAAAGUUCUAAAUGGUGAAAAUAUUAACUUAUAUAUUAAUUAGUUGGCUAUUAAUGAAACUAAAUAUUUAGAAAAGGAAUUAGGAACAAGUAUUAUUUUUACCAAUUAGCAACAAUUAGCAACAAUUAUUAGAAUAUAAUUAUAUAAAUAAACUUAUAUAUACUUCCAUUGUCAACAAUUAGCAACAAUUUUUAUUUUACCAACAACCUUUCAUGUCCAAAUCAUUCUAAUUUCAUGAACCAUAAAUAAAAAAAAUUAAAAAGCAAAUUCUAGAUCUAGAACUAGAUGAACAUAUACAUGAUAGAGUGAAAUAUAUCACCACUAAAAUCAAGCAAGAUCGACCAAUAGAGAGGGCAAACUCAUAUCUCUAACUAAUUCCAACUAAGCUAAAGCUUAAGAACAAGGGUGUAAUUUGCUCCAUACAAAGCUCAAGCACCAUGGAAGAGAGAGAAAAGCAAAACUCAAAUUACUCACUAACCAACCACUAAAACUUUAAUUCAAGUGUUGGAAUAGCAUUUUCUUACCUUUUCCAAGCUCCCCAUUAUGGUAGUUUUUGAGACCAAAACCUCCCUCUUUACUAGAGCAAUUUUUAGGAGGUGCCCAAGACCUCACAACCUUAUCUUCUCGGGUUGGAGUGAGUGACCCGAGGAGAAAGAAUGCUACAACCAUAUAUAUAGCCGCGAUUUGUAAGGGCGGCUGGUGAUUCAGCCGCCCUUUGAAAUUAGAGCUGGGUCAACAGCCAGUCUUAAAAAUUAAACCAUUUAUAAGGGCUGCUCGUGUUACCAGCCACUCUUAUUGUGGGAUUUGUAAGGACGGCUGGUGAUCACAAAGUCUGAUGCUGAUGGAAACACCACUGUAGAGGCGGUUGCAUCACCAGCCGCACUUGCAAUGAGAGCCUCUAGCUCUUGCAAAUCAUUUUUCACGUAGUGGGGGCGAUGGCUUGGCACCUGGCGCUCAGCUCUUGGUCCACCAUCGCAUUUUGCCCGGCGGCGGCGGCGGCGGCGUUGAGGCAGACGACGACGCUGUGGUUGCCCUUGAACAACCUGUACCGCAUUCCUCCUCACCCCUGGCGGCUCUCCUGCUCACAGGUGUCCAAGUCCGGCGGCAACACCAGCACCAGCAGCAUAGGUAGCAACACCAGCAGCGCCGUCGCGAGAGCAACCGUGCAGCCCCGCUCCAUCCUGUUCUUGUCGCCGCCAACGACGACGAUGAACGGACGACGGUGGGGUUUUCCUUUUUGAGGGAAACGACGAGGGUGGGCCGGUAGGGUGGUGGGGUAGACUGCGGGCCUCGACACUAAACGGACCGGGUCUCAGACACUAAACCACCCUGGCUUUGUGCUUUGGUGCACCGCGAUGGAGAAUUAUUUAUUAUUUUAUUUAAAAUGUCACCUUUAUAUUAUAUUAUGAAACAGAAUUUUUAUAUGUGUUGAAAGUAUAUUUUUGGAAUUGUUUGGCACAGGUACCUGCCGGUGACAGGCUGGCAAUUGGUACCUACCCACCGGUUUGAACUAGUGAGGUAGCAACAUUUGAAAUGCUAUACUAAAAAAUUUGGCAAUGGUUACAAAGAAUCGAUGAUGAUCUUACACCAUCAUAUCAGACCAGCAGAGGCAUGAAAGGCAGUGGACGUAUGUAUCCUGGUAAUGGAAGAGAUACUAUUGGUGCUUCUUUGUAUACUAGGCUAGAGUUCAACGGAAGCACAAAUACAUCAGCUUGAGCAAGAGAAGCAUAUUGAUGUUCAGUUCUUAGAGCAAGUAUUAUGGUGGGCUGUAAGCUGGCUAAAUGCUGAUGUGGAGGAGAAAAGAGAGGAGAGAGAGGAGAAGCAGGCUGUAAGCUUACAGCCAGCUUAGACACAAAAACCAAGAAACUUUGUGAGAGAGAUAAGUGGGCCAUGUAUUAAUAGUGAAUAGCUAACUAUUGUACAAGUGGCCUGGGAGAAGGCUGUAAAAAACCUUACAGCCAGCAAGUUGGGUAUAUUAUUAAACUUGCUCUUAGAGCAUUCAAGGCUCAAUCUGAUGCUAGAUUUCAUGGAACCUCAUAAAUGUUUGAAUGCACCGACACAGGAAAAAAGAAAGUCUUAUUUAUUGAGCUUAGGAAAAAGAUGUCUCAACUCUCAACCCAUUCCUUCUGCAUCUGUACCUGCACCAUCGAUCUGCUAUGCAUUCACAGCCUUUAACUGCACCAAUGCAACCAUCAUCUUCAAAAGAAAAAAAGGGGCAGCUCCACAUGGCAUAAAAAGUGAAUUAUAUAAUUUUGUGGCUGUAAUUUUUGUAACAUGAUACGGGUUAUUUUGUGGGCCAUUAAUUGUGCUUGAAGGGCCAGAAGAUACCUGGUGGCCCUGCAAUUAAAUCUAUGCCAUCUUCUACUGGUCCUUGUAUCUAUAUAUCCUACAAAGACAAACCCACUAAGCUAAUUCUGUUGCAUAUCCUUGCGCCACGUUAUCAUCCACUUCUACUGCUGCCGCACACAAUUAAGUGUCCACUCACAAAUGAUUUUCAGUAGUGGAUAUAACUACCUACACAACCAUACAUGCAUACUGCUAGCAAUUAUUCUCUUACGUGACCUUCUCUCUUUCUCUUUAGAAAUUGGCUACUAAAACUAUUUUUUUUGUGAGAAAAAAAGUUUUAGUAGUCAAUUUGUAGAUGACUCUAUAGACUACAGUAAAAUUAUAUUUAUAUUUCUUUUUCAUACCCGCAGCAACGCGCGAGGAAUCCUCCUAGUUAUCAAUAGAAAUAUGUCUGCUGGUGGCCUUCCACCUGAAGGUCCACAAUUAUAUCCUUUCAAUCGGCCGUAAAGUCAUGACUCGGUGGCCAGACGAUAAUAUAGCUUUUAUGAAGCAGAAAUAACCAAAUAUGAUGCAUCAAAGGUAUCCUUAUUUCUAAGGCGACAUAAUUGUCACUUAUCAUUGUUUAUACAAUUAAUCAAGUCGCUCUAAUUAGUACAUAUGAUGUUUUUUUGUUUUGAGGGAAACUGGAGCUUCGUAUAUUAACCAUGAAUAGGAUUACCAUCAUUGUCUAUGAUAUCUCUUUAAGUCUGUUGGGGUCAUAAGCCAUUCCUCCGAUCUUUCAAAAAAACAUAAGCCAUUCCUCCUCUUAAUUAUCACUGGAUACGAAACAAGCACACUCAUGAGCUAAUCUAUUAUAUUUUCCAAUAAUGAAAAGCAAAUUAAACUCUUGAAGCUCCGGCUAAGAUCUGCCAUCUGCUGCAGUAUAUAGUAGGAUGUCUAUGCACUGGUUUAUGACAUAAAUACAGCACAUGAGACAUGAGAAUGGGUUGAUUUCAAGGAGGUAACUAAUUUUCAGUCCUUAACUCUUCAUUCUGUUAAUUUUAUUGUCAUGUGUCCAACACUUGAUAAAAUAUAUCCCUCAACUGUCGAAACCCAGAACGUGUAGUGUACUAUCGCCUGGUGAGCGUGAGCAGGUGGCCGCCUUUCUAUACUCAGGAUUCAGGAUACUAUAGUAUACAGAGUACUUUUUCUGUCUUAAAAUAAGUGUCACUUUCGCUUUUCAAAAAAUAACUUUAACUAAAUAUAGUAAAAAUAUUUAUAAUACAUAAUUAGUAUCAUUAGAAAGAUUUUUAAAUCAAGAUUUUUAAUAAAUUUAUUUAAAGAUACAAAUAUUGUAUGUAUUUUCAACAAAUUGAAUUAAAUUUGUGCAUGAAAAUCUAAAACGUCACUUUUUUUGAAUGGAGAGAGUAUACUUCAGUCUCAAUUAAUCAGACAGUGAAUCAUUGGUUGGUUCCUUUUUCUAUACUUGCUGCUGCGAGCGGAGAAACAGACAUAUAUAACCACAAACCUGCCGUUGCCGACCCAGAAAAUUGCGGUAUUAAAUGAGGACACAACCACCCACUGUGAACAAAAUUAUAGGUGCUAAUAAGAGUAAGGUUAAUACUCCCUCCAUCUCUGAAAGCUGCAAUUUCUAGAGUUGUCCUAAGUCAAACUUUUACAACUUUGACCAAAUUUAUAGAAAAAAAUGCUAAGAUUUAUAUUACCAAAUUAAUACCGUUAAAUUUAUUAUAGAAUAUAUUUUUGAAAGAUACUUAUUUUAUGUCAUAGAUAUUGAUACUCUUUUCUAUAAAGUUGGUCAAAGUUAGAAAAAUUUGACUGACACAGAUUCUAGGAGUUGAAGCUUUCAGGGACGGAGAGAGUAAUAUAGUCGGCUUCUCUUAGUCCACCCAUAUAAUAGUUGAAUCUUUAUUAUUAAUACAUGGCCUACUUAUCUAUCUUAUAGAAUUUCUCUUAUAUAAUAGUUGUGUCUUCAUUAUUAAUACAUAAUAUACUUAUCUAGCGUACAGUUUGUUUCUCUUUCCUCUUUUUUGUUCUCUCUUCAACCUUGAUAUUUAGGCCUUGUUUAGAUGCAAAAAGUUUUUGGAUUUUGAUACUGUAGCAUUUUCGUUUUUAUUUGACAAACAUUAUCUAAUUAUGGAGUAACUAGGCUUAAAAGAUUCGUCUCGUGAUUUACAGAUAAACUGUGCAAUUAGUUAUUCUUUUUAUUUAUAUUUAAUACUUCAUGCAUAUGCCGCAAGAUUCGAUGUGACGGGGAAUCUUGUAAAGUUUUGGGUUUUUGGGUGUAUCUAAACAAGGCCUUAGCCUACUUGUAACCUUUUAUUGUAUUUGCUUUAAUAGUGUCAUAGUAGAAAGUACUGGUGGCUGAUUUGUUGCGAUAGAAGCUGACAGAUUUAGCGAACAAUGACGGGCGUUCAAUCACCCGGAAAACUGCGGUAUUAAAUGAGGGUGGUCAGUGGUCACACAACCCCCGCUCGUUCAUCACCCAGGCCUUUUCCUAAAAAGUUUUGCAAAAUUUUUUAGAUUUUCUGUCACAUCAAAUCUUUAGACGCAUGCAUGAGUAUUAAAUAUAAACGAAAAUAAAAACUAAUUGCACAGUUUGGUCGGAAUUGACGAGAUGAAUCUUUUGAGUCUAGUUAGUAUAUAAUUGUAUAAUAUUUAUCAAAUACAAACGAAAGUGUUACUAUUUCUAUUUUGCAAAACUUUUUUGAACUAAACAAGGCCUCAGCAUUAGCAGGCGUACGUCCACUGCAGCUGCAGAUCUGCUUCUCGUACCACCACCGUUCCUGUGUGUCGACCGUCUCAGCACCACUGCACCAGAACCACCAUGUGCAGACAGCCACCGGCCAUCUGCUCGCACCGGGUCCCCGCCGUCACCCUGUGCAGCAACAGCACAGUCCUUACAAGUGUUCGCGUCCACUCACUCUCGCCUCCGAUCCCCCGCUAGACGCCACCGCCCAUCGCCCAAUCGCUCUGCCGAAGCAUGUCGCUCGCUCUGCCCCCAGCUAGCGCCACCUGCCGCUGUGCCAAAUAUUACGCCAUGACGAAAUAUCGUUAUAUAGAGCUUGAUACUCAUCAUGAUGCUCAUCACUGUGUUUUCUUAAAUAUAAUUAUUUUAUUUAAAUGGAAAACUAUGUGAGUUGUGAGGAAAAGUUGUGGGUACUGUGAAAGGUUAAUGAACAAGCUAUAGAUGGUGAUUACCCUAGAGAUUAAGCUUGAGCAUUCGGGUUACCUGAUUUUUUCGGGUCGGGUAAUUCGGGUAAUUCAAAAUUCAGGUAAUGAAAAUUGUUACCCGAUAUUAGUCCCGAAAAAACACUACUCGCAAUUUCGGGUGCCCGAUAAUUCGGGUUCGGGUAUUCCAGAUUUACCCGAAUUUUCAAAAAACAACACACUAUACAAAAUUUCAAUAGCAAUUUAUAUAUAAUUUUAGCAGCAAUUUGUAUAGAAUUUUAGUAGCAUUUUGUAGAGAAUAAUAUAUUACUAUCACUUGUUCAAACAAAGAGAAUUAUGUUCUAAUAAAUUGAUAAGUUCUAAUAUUUAACUAACAACACAUGAUAUAUACAAAGAUAUAGACAAAUAUUUGGGUAAUUCGGAUAGUUCGGGUACCGGGGGAUAUUACCCGAAUUACCCAAACUAAUUUCGGGUAAUCAAAAUCGCUAUCCGAAUUUAUGAUCAGGUACCUCGGGUUCGAGUAAUUCAGGCCCGAAUAAUUCGGGUACGGAUAAUAGAUAUCGGGUAAUUUGCCUAGGCUUACUAGAGAUGAGACAGAUGAUCAGGUUCCCUUUUCGUGGGAUGUCAUAAUGUUGUUGCUUGUACCUUUUGUAGUUAAGUAUGAAGAUAUCUGUCUCGUCUCGAUUAAGGACUGAGUUAAUGAUUUAUCCUGCCUAACUUAUUUUAUUGUAUAACCACUCGACCCUGCAUGUGGUGGACCUUAGUCUAAAUCCCUCUAGCUGGUAUGACAAUCACCUGGAGGCAAGUGUGCAAUAGGACACUAAGAGAUGUAUGUGAAAAUUAAGAAAUUUUAUAAAAUAUAAUAGGCUCGAUAUAAAUUAUUGUAUUAUGAGAUGUGGCCUUAAUGUUCCCAUGGUGAGCGCCAAUACUUAGCUAUGCAGGGUAAUGGCUUUGAUGCUCUAUGCUUGCAUUAUAGUGUUAAGUAAUUGUACCUUACUUAUGGUAAAAGUGUGCAAACUCUACAGAGUGUCAAAUCUAUCUAGAUAGUUGUGUCCGCAGUUUUAAACGGGUUACAGUUUGGUUUCAACAACUCUAGAUGGGUUAGGAUGAGUGUAAAUAUGAGUGGGUGUGACUUUGGAAUGAAUGUUUAUCUGCCAUGUGUUUUGGGAACAAAGAGUUCAAUGACAUUUAAAAUUGUGAUCAAUCCCCUUUUUCAGAAACACUCUUAUAUAUGAAAAAUGGAUGUCUUUUACAAAAAAUUAUAAUAUGAAACCCUGCAUGUGUCAAAAGAUAGCUUUAUGUAAAUAAACCAAGUCUUAUCCUUGAUUUAUCUAUAUGCAUAUACUUUUAUUCUUUUCCAUGGGGUAAAGUUGGAUUUACUAAGUACUUUAUAUAUACUCACCCUUGCUUUGUCGAACAUAGGACGAUCCGGAUUUUAAUGUUGAAGCUACGUUCGAGUAAGGUUCUGUCUGUACCCAACUAAGUCUGUGGCAUUGGGGUUCGCCAGAUGUGUGUAGCGGGUUGUUUCUGGUCUGUUGGGCCUACAUCGUAUUUUGGUUACUUCUAUGUGUGGUGUGGCUUCAUAGCCCACGCCUACCACGACUACUACGUUACGUUAAGACUUAUCUGAUUAAUAAAUGUACGCGCUAGUCUUAGGACUAAGUAUUUGUAUCACAUGUGAGUUUCUAAAUGGCCAGGGGCACUUUAAAGGGAACACAUGAAUAUGGGUGCCAUCAAGUACUUCAAUGCAAUCUUUAAAAUAUAGAUAUACUCGGCUAUCAUCCCUUAUUCUCCUAUGAACCGUAUAAAAAUUAGGAUCUUUUGGCCUAAUGAAAUUCUUUGCCAUGGCCAUCAAACAGUAAAGAACAUCAUCAAAUUUUUUUUUGACUGAACUGGAGGGGCCUGAGCCCCUGCAGGAAUUUAUUGAUAAAGCAACAAGAGCGAAAACAAAGUUACAGAACUACAGAGUUGAAAGCAGAGGGGGCAGGUUAGGAGACAAAGAAAGAAAAGAAAAAAAAUAUAAAAACAUCUAGAAUCAAUUACAGAUUUUGAAUCCAUAAAUCAAAGGGCGCUGAGAGGCUUUGCUUGACCCUGAAGGAUACAAGGCGUAGCUCCUUGAAGAAAAAUUCCUUACAAUCUUGAAUUGAGAACUGAUUAUUAUUGAAUAUCAUCUCAUUCCUGGCUUUCCAGAUCGUCCAACAUAGAAGUAUUAUCGCAAUCAUGAAGAAUUGGCUGUGAAGCUGGUCUUUGAUGGCUUGUAUGUUUCUAACCGUUCCUUCACUCUGCACUAUUUGAAUUCCAAUGAACCCCCAACAUUGCUGCGCAAAGGCGCAGUGCCAGAACAAGUGAUCAACAGUUUCUUCUGUUGCCUGUAAGCAAAAUUCGCAGUUGAAGGAUGCAAUAUUCAUUUGUUUUCUCCUGAGAAUGUUACGCGUACUGAGCCUGUCUUUUAACAAAAGCCAAGCAAAAACCUUGUGCUUCGGCUGGCAAGCUGAUUUCCAUAUCCAGUUUAAAGCCGGCUCAGAUUGUUGAUGUCCUAGGAGCCUUCUAUAAGCAUUUGCAGGUUUGAAACUGGAGGAUCCUCCUUGAUAUGUCCAGACAUCUUUGAUUCUAUCAUCCAGUUGUAAGACUUCCAUUUUCUGUUGUAUGUUCGCCAUCUGUUCAUAGGCCACUUGUGAUACCGGGAGGUUAAACAUUGCUGCGAUGUCAUUGAAACUGAAAGCUUUGUGUGCCGUAAUAUUCUUGUUUCUUGCAAAGGCGAACGCUUGAGGAUACUGAGUUUGUAAGGGCUGUGACUCCCAAGAGUCCUUCCAAAAGUGACACGUGAUUCCACUAUUCAUUUUGACCGAUGCCAUUUGCUUGAAUUGUGGUAGUAAUUUUAGGACAUCUCUCCACCAAAAGGAGCCCUUCUUCACAGUACCUGGCAGUUUGUCAUUCUUGUAAUGCAUUUCUCAUACCAAGUUUACCCAAGGAAUUUCUUUCAUAUAGUAGAAUUUAUCUAAAUUCUUCAUCAACAGAGCCUGGUUUUGUAGUUCCAAAUUGAUAAUACCAAGUCCUCCCUCCUUUUUUGUCCUACAGACCAUUUCCCACGCUGCCUUAGGCUUACUUUGUCCAUUUAUGUCAUUGCUUCUCCAGAGGCAAUUUUUCCAGAAUUUGUCGAUCUGUUUGAUGACAGCUUUGGGAAGCUCCAGGGUGCACAUAUAGAAUGUUGGAAGGGCUGAGAGCACCGCAUUGGUUAUUUGAAGCCUGCCUGCCAGGUUUAGCAUAGAAGAGACUCCUCCUAGCCUCCUUUCACAUUUGUUUACGAGGGGUAGGAAGUCCACAAUUUUUGGCUUAGUAGUCCCCGCAGGCAGACCGAGGUAGGUGAAGGGUAGGACCCCUUUAGAGCAGCCGAAGGUUCUCGAGAGCAUGUCAAGCUUUUCACCACUUAUAUUAAUAGGCAGCAUCAUGGAUUUGUUGUAGUUAACCUUUAACCCUGUGGACUCAGAGAAGUUUUGCAGAAUAGUCUUGAGGAAGAAUAACUGUCUAGGAUCCCCCUCCAUGAUGAUUAACGUGUCAUCGACAUACUGGAUUAUUGGAAAGUCCUUCUCAGUUUGUAAUGGAAUAGGCAGAUUGAUUAAACCCAUAUCCUUGCCCUUGUUAAUCAGAGAUUGCAGAAAAUCGGCAGCCAUGACAAAGAGCAAUGGUGAUAAUGGGUCUCCUUGCCUCACACCCCUUUUGCAUUUGAAUCUCUUUCCAGGUACCCCAUUCAAGAGCACCGAUGAGGUGCCUGUAUUAAGAAUGCCUGUAGUCCAGGAAAUCCAUCUUUCUCCAAAGCCCAGAGCAGCCAUGAUAGUUGUUAUAGCCUGGUGCUCUAUUUUGUCAAAAGCCUUUUCAAAAUCCAGUUUUAGGAUGACUAUCUCUUUUCUUGACUUAUGGCAUAGGUGAAUGUAUUCAAAGGCCCAGGCAAGGCAGUCUUGUAUGGUCCUUGAUCUUAUGAACCCAUACUGAUUCUUGUGGAUCAAGGAGGAAAUUUUUAAUUGAAGUCUGUUAGCCAUCAGCUUAGUCAGAACUUUGAUGGAGGUGUUGAGCAACGAGAUAGGCCUGAAAUCAUUGACAGAUUUGGCAUCCUCCACCUUUGGGACCAGGGUAAUGUAGGAUGAAUUAAUGCUUUGCAGGCAAGAAUUGUUAGAAUGGAAUUGAUCACAUAGUUGAAAAACAUCCUCCUUGAUCGUGUUCCAAGAGGCUUUGAAGAAUUCAUUAUUGAACCCAUCAGGACUAGGGGAUUUAUUAUUGGGUAGACCUUUGAUUAGAGCCUCAAUUUCAUCCCUAGUGAAAGGAGAUUCUAAACUGCCCAGAUCAGAGCUGGCUUCCAAAAGAUCUCUUGGGUUUAUAGUGAAGCUAGUGAAUUCUGUAAUUCCCAGCCUUUCCUUGUAUUCAUGCCAAAGAAGCUGCUCUUUCUCAGAGUGAUCAGCAAUCAUAACUCCUUGGGCCGAGGAUAGGUGACUGAUAAGUUUCCUCCUAUUCCUUAUAGUGGCAUUGGCAUGAAAAAACUUCGUUCCAGCAUCACCCAGUUGAACCCAUUUGAUAGAGCCCCUUUGUUUCCAGUAGGUUCUCUGCUUAUCUAAAAGCUCCAGCAGGUGUUUCUCUAGGAUUUUAUGAAAGUUCCAUUCAGAUAGGCUCAGAUCCCUAUAUUCUGACAUUACUUCCAGAAGCAGCAAAGUUACUCUGACAUUAGAAAUUACUGUUUUCAAACUUUGUAAAGACUUUUGCCACUCUCUUAGAUUUUUUCUCAGGCUUUUCAAUUUGGCCGAGAAGAGUUUAGCUGCAUCAAUUUGUACCUGGGGGGAGCUCCAGCUCUGAGUCAAGAUAUUUUGAAAGUCUUGGUGCUUAAGCCAAUAGUUUUCAAAUCUGAAAACUUUAUUAGUUGGGAUUUUGGUGGAAAUUUUGACCAGACAGGGGCAGUGGUCAGAGGGCACCAUGUCAAGGGCUGAUACAGAAGUUGUGGGGUAAGAAAUAGCCCAACUACUAGACGUGAAAACCCAGUCCAAUUUCUGAAGGAGGGGGUGAAGGCUGCAUGUUUGACCAGGUGUAUUUUCUGCCUUGAAGCCUAAUUUCAUUAACACCUAGCUGGCUUAGGGCCUCAUUGAACCUGAACAUUUCUCCUAUGUCACCUCCUGGCUUAUUUCUGUCCUCUGGCUUUCUAAUCAGGUUGAAGUCCCCAAGUAAUAUCCAGUCAGUAUCAGGGCUGAUUUGAAACUGUUGGAGCCAAUCUAGGAAGACUGCCUUUCCUUCAGGGGUGCAUGGAGCAUAGACACAAGUGAGGAGCCAAGAGGCAUUGUUAUGCUUGGAACAUAAUUCCAUGGUGAGAGAGAAAUUAUUGUGAUCUGUCAUGAGGCCCGAGAAAAGACUUUCCUUCCAUGCGAUCAGUAUCCCUCCAGAAGCACCCACCGAGGGUAAAAAGACAUGACUAGUAAAGGUAGCAGGGCAAAUUUUCCUGAGAAAAGUAGUAUCGACGACUUCCUUUUUGGUUUCUUGGAGGCAGACAAUAUCACAUAAAGAAUCAGCGAUCUUGUUUCUAAUCGAGUCCCAUUUCCAUGAGGAAUUGAUUCCUCUAAUAUUCCAAGACAGAACAUUCCAGCUUCUAGUAGGAAAGCUAUUCAUUUAGGGAAUUGAUAAAGUCAAAAGUGGUGCGUAGAAUCCAUCCCUGAGCAAACAUAACAGUUUUAGCAGAGGCUGCAUCCUCUGAAAGAACCCUCUUACAAUCACAAAAGACUGAUACAUAGGUACUGAAAAAGUCUGAAGCAGGCUAAAAUGCUAGGGGCCUAAACCAACUAGAUUAGUGAUCAGCAGGGCCAUCUUCUUCUUCCCCAUCUUCUUCCCUACUCUUUUUGGUCUCCUUGGAGGGUUUGGGAGCUUUGCUUUUGUUCCUGACCACGGCAUCCUUGAUCUCCCCCUUCUUGCAAAGAGCCUCAUCUUCUAGGACCGAAGCAUCCAGGCUGCAAAACUGAACCCCCAAGUUCUUAAUUAUUUUAUUGCUUAAGAUGGGGGGUAGCAAGAUGAGCACUUUUGACUAGUGCAACCACUAUAUUUAAAGCCUACACUGCCCAGUCUUACUCUUUCACUUCUACGUACCUGUGUGUCAACCAGUGGCGUGAUCCUCUUGGAGCCACUUUUCUUCUUUCUGCACCCUCCUUUUUCAGCUUCCAUUGCCCCCUCCUGAACAAUCUUGUCCUUUCCAAGCUCUUCUUUUUCGUUCCCUUUUCCUCCUAGAGAAGAGAAUGGUAAAUCAGCACAACGAAAGUGGCUGGCGUGCUUGCUGUCACAAUGAUCUGGUAUAGAGACAGGAGACAUACCAGAGCCAUCAUCAAGGAAGGUUGAGGCCCCAGACUUUAGAAAGUCUCUUGCCCAGUCAAACUUAUCUGUUGAAGAUAGCAAUAUGUUAAAAAAAGGUAUCCAAGUGUUGGGGAUGUGUACAAGGAGGCCCCCAUUGAUACCUUGAUUGUUGGUGGGUUGCCAAGCCAUGGGAGUAUUCUUAGUCCCCUUAAAGCCUUGGCCUUGCUUCAUGAGCACAGGGUCGAAAUGCAGUUCAGACAUCAGGGCGAACCCAACUUGCAGAUGAUGGUUGUCAACUUGAUCAGGAAACUCUUGUUCAGGCUGGUUGUUCUGAGGUGCCUGGCCCACGGGAGCUUGACCAGGGAGAACUUGUUGAAGUUGCAGAGCUGGCUGUUGGAAGAUAUGCUGCUGCGCUAAUAUCUGUUCUUGCAAUUGCUCAUCAGCUAGAGCCAUAAUAUCCAUCUCAACCUGAUUAUGUGGCAGUUGCAUUCCCCCAUUAGGGAAGACAGGGAAGCCUUCCUCUCCUGGGCCGACCAGUAGAUUUAAAUCAAGGUCAUCCUCCCCAUCCACUUCCAUUUGAUUGAGAUCCCCAACAGGUUCUUCCUGAUCCAUAUGGUUAUUAACUUCCUGCUCAAACAUGUGCACUUCCUUUGGAGCAUCUGCCUGUUCAAUGAGUUGGUCCAUGGGGAUCUCCUCUCCAAGCACAUCAGGUAGAGGUGGCAAAGGGAAGCCCAGGAUUUGCUGAUCAUUGAAACCUCCAUUGGGGAGAGGAAUAACAGCUGGCUGAGGGAGCUAGGGAAUGUUCUCCUCAAAUACUUCUAAGAUGUCAUUUAACUCAAUGUAAUCUUGAUUGGGAGGAUUAGCUAGAUUGAUGAUUACUUCACCAGGAUCAGCAGGAUCAUUGAGGUCAAACUGGGCCUGUUGGGCCAAGUUGAGGUCUAGAACAUUUUGGGCCAGUUGCUGGGCUGGGAACUGGUCAGGCCAGGCCAGCCACGGAUCCCAAGGAUUGAGCUGUUGGGGCUCCCAUUGAAUCGGCUGCCCAGGAAGGUGGUCAUUGAGGCCUUGACCUUGUAUCUCCUGUUGCUGCGGGCCGAGCUGCUGUUCCCCUGGUUGAUCGUUCUGACCCUGCUGAGGAAGCUGAUUCAGUUCAUGUCCUUGCUCCUGCUGACCAACUGGCUGCCCAAGUCCCAUGAAAUCAAAAGGAACAAAUUCCCCCAUUUCCAACUCAUUUGGCAUUGGGUCUUCUUCUGGAGGCUCAUCACCUAGGUCUCGGCGUUGGACAACUUAGCACUGAAUAGUCCAAGAGUCUCCAUUGAUGUUCAGGGAGUCAGAGUAAACGAUGAACUGAGGGACACCCUAAGCACUAGUGACUCUGACCCUAGCCAUGAUUCUCCCAGGGAAGGCAUUGCUCUCCUCCCAAAGCAGCAGCCUUCCAAAAUCACUGACAGCAUUGUGAAUGUGACGCUCUGUCUUAUAGUCAUCAGGAAAGCCCAACAUCAUGACCCAACAAUCAUCAUUAAAAUAGACCCUCCUCCAAUUUCUACCCUCAUUAUGCUUCACAAAAGAGAUAUUCACAUUGCCAAAGACCAUGGGGCUCUCAUUGACCAUCUGAUCUCUCUCAUAGGCGUGAUUGAACCUAACAUAAGCUUGUCCAAGGUGACAGGGCAUGAUAUCCCUCGGGUUGAUGUGACGACUGAUAAGAAACUCUCUAAUGAUGUUCCUUACAGCACCAAAGUUUAAGACAUUACCAGGGAGAGGAUCAAAGGAGACGAUUGCGAGGUCUUCAUUUGCCGGUGGCGGACGCAUAGGAGCCACCGCCCGGCACAUAAACUCGCGGUUGGGAAGGUCCACCCAUUGGAAGCUUGGCGGCAGGAAAGGCCUUGGGUCAGCACGCUGGAAAGCCAUGGGCGCCGCCGAAGGAGGAAGCUCCUCGGAAGGAGCCGACGGAGAGGCGCGCAGCGGAGAAGACUGGAGCAAAGAGGGGUUUCCACCGGCCGAGACAGGGAGAGCCGAGGAAUGGGAAGAGCCGAGGGACAGACUGAGGGAGUCGAUUGAGGUAGCCAAACUUUGAACAGUGUUGGGCUUGGGGUGGCGCAGCACAUUAACUUCAGGCUCUUUUCCCCUAGUGGCCCAGGUGAAGAGGGAGGGGGCAGCUUGCGGGAUUUCGUCGGAGACGAUUGGGACAGCUCUGGACGGCCCAGCCACCGCAUUGUCGGACCAACCAGCGGCCAUCUUUUUACCGAGGUCAGUAAACUAUCUCUCCCCUUCCCGCCUUCAGUCAAAUUUACCGGAGCAGAAGCAGGGUGAAAAUCGCACAAGGCAGCAGUGUGUCCCCAUCUACGGCAGGCAAGGCACCUAAUAGGGGAGCGGCACUGUGCUCUGUAAUGAUCACGCGGGAGACAGCGCUGGCAAAACGGAAGCAGGGGAGAGUUCCCAGGGUAAUCACCAGAAGAUUGCCCGGUCGGGGCGCCCAUGACUGGACGCUUGCCUCUGACAGACCCGGAGGAACCGGGCAACAUCGGGGUUGGCGAGCGGACCACCGCAGGUUGAAGGCGCCUGAAGGCAGAACGCUUGGCCGGCAAGGGAAUGGCGUUAGCUCCGGUGAGCGGCACUCCAGGGGCCGAAGGGGGACGCUGUUGCGGAGCGGAGUCCACACAAGAACGGACAACAUCCGCAAAAGAUAAAUUAGGGUGAACCAAAGUGGACAGGCGAAUGGCCGGACGACGUUUGUGAGCAGGAAGCCAAGAACGUUCUUCUUCGGACAAGAAAAGAGACAGCUCACGCCUCCAGUUUGGGCCUCCAUUGCCCCAUAGGUGGAAGAAAAGAGAAUAUUCAAGGCAAGAAAACGAACGCAGCUUAGCAAUGAAGAAGCCAACGGUCUUGGAUGAAACAAAGAAUUUGAAAGCACGCCCGGCCAGGUGAGAAACACGAAAGUAAGCAGCACAUCCUCCAAUGGAAGCUUGGAGGAUGAUACUAACAGAGGAGGUGUCGAGACGAAACUUGCAGCGAGAAAAGGAGACAACCAGAGCAAAGGACCGGGAAGAGGAAACCGGGGAAGAAAUGGGAAGGCCAAGGGAACGAUCCACGUUAGCCGAAACCGAUUCUCCCGGGGAGAAAGAGAGCCCGGGAAGAGUUGGGAGAACCAUAGCCAGAAAGGGGCACACAGCAAGGAGCACCGAGCAGGGGAAAGGAGAAACUUACAGGAUUACAGGGGGGCUCCCGGCCCCAUUGGUGGCCGAGGCAGCCCAGCAAUGGCAGCACCACCUGUAGUCGCCAAAAACCAAAACAUCUUGCUGCUCGAUCCUUUGUUCUUCAGAGGUCGCCGGGAGAUGCAGGCGGCGCCGGCGGCUCUGCUGCGACGGCCAGCCGGCUCGGGCGAUGCUGCGGAACCUUCGAGGAGCCCGCCGGCCCCGGCGGCGGUGGGGUCAAAGCCGGCGAGGGCGCCGCCGAAGGAGGAAGUUCCUCGGAAGGAGCCGACCAGUUGGUCAUGCCAAAAUGUCAACCUCUGUCUAGAUCGUAUCCAAUACAUCAUCAAAUUUCCUACUAAUAGUUUCACUAGAGUGCUUGAAUCGAUUUUGAACUUUUCUAUUAGACUCAUUUCCCGCAUAUAGAUAUAAAGAAGAAAAUUUCUAGGCUCUUCGGUAGAUAUGUGCAAGGAUGCUUUUAACCCAUAUACCUAUAUAUGUACCAAUAAACCAUGAAGGUCACCGAAGAUUUCUGUGCCAGGUGUGCGGAAAAAGGAGUUCUUAGAAAGAGGAGUAUUGGAGCACUUCUCUAUUUUGUAAAGAGCAUAUAUCAACAACCUAUAUCAAUUUUGAAAAAAUCCUCGUUCUGAUUACUAAAUCAUCACUAGAAUCAUAGUGAGACUAUGCAAGAAUAAAAAGAACAUGUCGAAAUGAGAAUAGUCAUAAAUAUUUUCCUAUGAUCGAUCUUUCUUGACAAAAACCUCAGUUGCCACAAAAUGCUCAUCACUGCCAUACCUAGUCCCACAUGCAACAACAUGCCCCAUUACUUGUUCCAAUAGUGAUCCCGACGAUGUUGCACGUCUCCUAAUUAAGCUUGCGCACCUCCUAACUAUACUUACUAUAUAAGUAUAUGAUAGCAAUGCAAGCUCUUUUAACCAUAUAUGGUACUCCAACAACCAGCUAUAAUUUGGACACGACGCUACAUUGCGCGCGGAGGAUGACAGCUAAUUAAUUUGGCCAUCGACGACAACGACGCCUAGCUACAACCCUGUACACCGCGGAGGACGCCUAGCUGUACACUGCAGAGAACGACGCCUCGUAGGCUUUGUUGGCCUUGUUUAGUUCCUACAAUAUUUUGCAAAAUUUUUUAUAUUCUUCAUCACAUCGAAUCUUACGGCAUAUACAUAGAGCACUAAAUAUAGAUAAAAAAACUAAUUACACAGUUUAUCUGUAAUUUGCGAGACAAACUUUUGAGUCUAGUUAGUCUAUGAUUGGACAAUAUUUGUCAAAUACAAACGAAAGUGCUACAAUUCGUAUUUUACAAAGUUUUUUGGAAGUAAACAAGAGGAGGUAAAAAGUUUUUAGGUACUGUAGCACUUUUGCUUUUAUUUGGUAAUUAUUGUUCAAAUAUGGACUAACUAGACUUAAAAAAAUUAUCUUGCAAAUUACAGACAAACUAUAUAAUUAGUUAUUUUUUAUCUAUAUUUAAUGUUUUAAUGUGAUGAGAAAUCUUGAAAAAUUUAAGUUCUGGGUGAACUAAACAAGGCCUUAAAUAGUCGUCCCGGUGCUCGUAGGUCCUCCGCAGCUAGCACGCGAAGCUCCUUCUCCUGGCUACGCAAAGCUCUCCUCUGCUCCUGGCUCUGGCUAACUACACGGCAGCGGGAAGAGGGCUGCCGCCUGCUGCUGCUUCUUAUUAGCACAUAAGCAAGGUCUGUUUAUAGAUCUUACUAUACACUCGUGUGUGUGUGUGUACGCGCUAACUAUUAGCUAGUUUUAUAUAGUUCGUCCAAACAGAAUGAAUGUACUAAUUUUUAGCCAAGCUGCUAGUCUCAUGGACGAUAAUAUAUAGAGAACAUUUGAAAUUAGAAUAGCUCUCUAAAUGAGAACUUAGAGAAUGGGAUUUAAAAAAUAACGUUGGAUAUGCUCUUAGCUGGCUACCUUUUUAAUUAGCUACGUAUACACCUUUUUUUUUGUUCUAGUUAACAAUUCUAUUCUUACACUGUCCAGGGUUGGAGGUACGUAUGCAUUUCAUCACUGACUUCGUUCCUUUUUACUGUAUAUACUAGCAUGUGCCUGUGCGCUGCAUUAAUUUAAUAAAGGUUCAAAAAGCUUAAAUUUGUUUGCAUACUCCGAUAGAUCCUAUAUACGGUUAGAGUUGUGUCUGAAGAUGUAUUUCAUGAUGGCCAAACUAAGGAUCGUAUAUAUACCGUUAUUUAGAGUCGUAUUACUGUUACUAUAUACGAAUAUAUAUACGAUUUUUGAGUUUGCUAUAUAUUAUGCAUGGACAACAUGAUUUAAUUAAGCGACGACGUACUACAACGCUAGCUGCACCUUAUUGUACUGAUCUUGAGGCCAGUCUUUGGUUGGGUAGCUAGCAGAGCUUGGAAUUAGCAGGGGCACCGAGCAUGUGGAGGCUGAAGGUGGCGCAGGGCGACGACGGCCCGUGGCUGCGGUCGACCAACAACUUUGUUGGACGGGCGGUGUGGGAGUUCGAUCCCGACCACGGCACGCCGGAGGAGCGCGCCGACGUGGAGAGGCUCCGCCGUGAGUUCUCCCAACACCGCUUCCAGAGGAGGGAGUCUUCCGAUCUCCUCAUGCGCAUGCAGGUAAAUAACCAUGCAUGUCAUCAUUAAUAAUAAGCUAUAAGUAAGCUUUUUGCUAAGGUGGAGAAAAAGAGAAGAAGAAAGAGAAGAGAGGUGUGCUAUAAGUUUACAACUAACUCAUGUAUAAACUUCAACAAUUUUUGUACGUAAGAGAAGGAAGUAUGACGAUAUACUAAUAGUACUGAAGAGCUAACUACUAUUAUACAAGUGAGUUGAGAGACGAAUCGCAAAGAUUAAUACAACCAACAGAAGACUAUAUCAUUAGCCUUACUCGGCCCUGUUUCAAUCCAAAAGAGAUAAUAGUUAGCUACUAAUGAUUAACUUAUUGGAUCCAAACAGAUCUAGCUACCCCCUUUAUCAUGAAAACUUAAACUAUUAGAAUCUGUGUCAAUCAAACUUUUUCAAAUUAGAUCAACUUUAUAGAAAAAAGUAUCAAUAUCUGUAACAUAAAAUAAGUAUCUUAUAAAAAUAUAUUCUAUGAUAAAUCUAAUGGUAUUAAUUUGGUACUAUAAAUCUUAGUGUUUUUUCUAGAAAUUCGAUCAAAGUUUUAAAAGUUUGACUUAGGAGAAUUCUAGAAACUGAAACUUUUAAGACAGAGAGAGUAAUAGUUAGCUGAAUACCAAACUAACGACUAUUUCACUAGUUGAACAAAACUAGCUUAUAGCAGCUAUAAUUAGCUAUAACCUAUUAGCUAGCUAGGCUAUUAUUAGCAACAACUAAUGGAUCGAAAGGGGGCCUUAAUUAGGAAAAGAAAUUGGGUGGAGACCGUCCCCAUGGAGCAACAUGCAUGAGAGAGAUGUAUUUUUUCUUUCCAAUUAUUAUUACUCCUAUAAAUUUUGAUAAUAGUUUUAUUUGCUAGAUGAAUACGUGUCGCAAAUUCAUGAUGGGUGCCCGUAGUUCCUUUGUGGGACCGUUUUCCAACUAAAAGGAUUGUUCUUUGCAUGGGUAGCUGGCUUAGUUAAUUCAUGCAUGCAAACUAUAACUAAGGAGGUAUGAAUAUUAUUUAGUUGGAGAUAUAAAUAUGAAUAUUAUUUAUUAUAAAUUUAGUCAAACUUAAGUUAUUUUAACUUGUAUGAAUUUUAUACCUGCAUUAUUUUGUUAGUAUAUCCGUGUACUGAAGUGUAUGGACUGGUAACAAUGUUUCACAUCACCCAGUGGUGGUCUCCUCUAGACAAUUAAUGCAGUGGCAUUCUAGCUAGCUAUAGGCUACCCGACAUCAACUUUUUGGAACAACAAGCAUGAGCUAAAGCCCUUGUUUACUUUUCAAAAGUUUUACAAAUUUUUUCAAGAUUUUUCGUCAUAUCGAAUCUUGCGGCACAUACAUGAAGCAUUAAAUAUAGACAAAAAAUAACUAAUUGCACAGUUUGUCAUAUUUGUGAGACGAACAUAAUUGGAUAAUAUUUAUCAAAUACCAACGAAAAUACAACGGUGUCUAUUUUGCAAAAAAAAAUUACAACUAAACAAAGUCUAAGCAAGUAAGAAUUGUAGGUGGGCUUUUUUUUGAGACAUAUAGGUGGGCUGAGUGUUGAAGUAGAGAAAAGAGGAGAAAUAAAUUGUACGGAACUACUAGCGCCCGGACGUCUGAUCCGGGCACUAACAUCUUGACGGCAGGUCUCCAUACUCACCCUCUCCCGCCCCCGCACGAAAAAAACAAAGAAGAAAAGUAGAGAUGUGAACCCGCCCCCACUCGCCCCGCACGAAGAACGCAAGGAGUCCGGCCCAAACCUCUUCGGCCCACUAGCACCUCCGCCCGUUGCCAGUUCAUCCCCAACUCGCAACCUCCCCUCCCCCUUGCUGCUACAAUAAUAGGAUGAAGCAACCGAAACACCAUAAAUGUGAUAUUGCAAUAACGCCCGAUAAACUACUGCAACAAUAGAUUGUAGUAGUUGAAAACAUCGUAAACAUAUAGAAAUACAACAGCAAAAAAGGACGACAGCUCCAACAUUGGAAUGAUGAAGUUAAAACAUCUUGAAUAUAUUAUUACAACAAACAAAGAAAAAACAGCUGAAACAUUUGGCUGCAGUUGCUGAAACACAAUGAACAUACUACUACAACAACACCCAAACAAAUGCUGCAACAUAUACGCAACAACUACUGCAACAUACAGAUUAAAGUAAUUGAAACAAUAUAUCAAAAGCAGUAUUGCAACACCAACUGAAACCCUACUGCAACGUCUAAAAAGACCAUUGCAACAAACGGCGAAAUCUAAAGUCGAGAGCAAGCUGAAGCCCUAACAUGCUGCAACAUCACAUGAAAACAUACUGCAACAACCAAAGAACACAUUUGCAACUCGCACGAGAGCUGAACCCCAAGACCUCGUCGGAACCCUAACCACCACCACAUCUCUUAGAUAGAGAGAGAGAGAGAGGAGGAGGAGGUGCUGGUGGUGGUGUUGGUGGAGGAGGAGGAGGAAGCCUUAGAUCCAGAUCCAGAGAAGGAGUAACAUGCCUCAGUAUGAGAUCCCUCCACGACCUACCUUGUCACAACCCCUGCCGUCGUCCGUCGUCCUCAUCUUCUGUGGGAUGUGGGAGCAGGGUCACAGAGAUAGUGGGCUCAUGCAUGGAUCGGAGGUCACGGUGGGCAAGGGAUGGAGGGAGGAAGGGAGAACGGGCAGGACGGGUGUGGGGGGGGGAGGGGGCACUGUGAGCUCGCGGGUGCGAGGGCCCUUAUCUCCGGUGAUAGCGUGGAGAGCGCGCAGAAAAGCGACGAGAGAAGAAGCGGGGGAGCAGUGCGGAUGGCAACAGAGAAGAAACAGGAGAGACGAGCGGAGAAAAAGAAAGAAGAACGAUGGAGACAGGAGCAAAGGAAGUGAAGACGCUGGUGCAGGGCGAGGCGUCCGAUGGGUCGGACGUCCGGUCCAUAGUAUUACCGUAAAUCGUAAUUUUACAGCCGGCUUAGAAAUAAGAACCAAAAAUUUUUAUAAGAGAAACAAGUAGAAUAUAUGCGGGUUUAUGUUGCUCACCUCGCUCAUGGCCUUCGAUGACCCUGUUGAUGAUCGUGGAUUCAUGCAUGGCGAUUUGUGCAUUGUGCAGUCGGUCGGUAGUGGAAAAAAGUUUAUUCUAUCUUAGUUUGAACUAUGAUUUUUCUUCUCAAACAUUAAAUCAGAUAUUGUAUCCGCUAAACUUUUAAAACCAUUCAACUUAUCUCCAUACACAGGUUUGGAAUGGUAUUGAAGGUGAUUUUAUCUUUCUUCUUAAUUAAUUAGUUCAAAAAAUCGGUAAAUCCUUGAUAAGGUUUUUAAACUAUAGAAAAUAUCUUGGUUGAUUGAAAAAAAAGUCUGAUGAUAAAUUUGAAUAUGCCAAAAUCCAAAUAAAAUACAUCUAGAUGCUUCAAAAAACAGGUUUAGCUCUAGGAAAAUGAAAAAAAAAACAAAAAUCCUUAAGAAGAACAAACAAAAAAUAACCGCAAAGGUUGCAUUGGGAUGAAAACAACGGCGCUUCAACUUCCUCGCCACGCAUACACAGUCGCACUCUCAUCCUCCUCCAGGAAACUCCCUCCGGCACUAAAUCUAUUUUGUUUACAAACCUUAAGAAAGUGUCCUCAUCGGUUCUUCUCACCAAUUAUCUGAUCCAUUCAUACUCAUUUUUUAAAAAUAAAUGUGUGCUUAAAUUACGUCAAAAGUUUUAGCAGCUAGAGCUAGGUAAUCAAAAUCCUUGUGUUGCAGGGCACAAAGCAGAACAGAUGUCAACGUGAUCUGCCACGCAUCAAGCUUGAGGAGGAUGACCAAGUCACUGAAGAAAUUGUAUUGAGCUCUUUGAGGCGGGCUCUGGAUCAGUUCUCUUCACUGCAAGCAAGUGAUGGGCACUGGCCUGGUGAUUUCAGCGGGAUCAUGUUCAUCAUGCCUGGUUUGGUGCGCGUUUGUUUCUCCCCAAAUAAAAUGCCAUGUCUUUUACCUUUUUUUCCUUGCUUACUUGUUCACUGAUGACUUGUAAAAAUUCUCAACAUGUAUACUUGCACGUCCGUACGCAGAUAUUUGCCUUGUAUGUCACUGGAUCACUGAAUGCUGUCAUAUCACCAGAACAUCGGCAUGAGAUAUGCCGCUACAUCUACAACCACCAGGCAUGGCAUAGUUCUCUUGGAUUAUCUCUCUCAUUAAGGCCUUGAUGGGGACAAGGUCAAUUUACACCCAGAUUGUUCACUUUAGUUUUACUCAUCAAAUAAAUAUAUAAUGUGUAGAACGAAGAUGGUGGAUGGAGCACACUUGUCCUGGGUUCAAGCACCAUGUUUGGCACAUGCUCAAACUACAUCACCCUGAGGCUUCUUGGCGAGGAGCUAUAUGGCAACAACGAUGCGUUGGCUAAAGGGCGGGCUUGGAUUCUAUCCCAUGGUGGUGCAACCUUCAUUCCCCAGUGGGGAAAGAUAUGGCUUUCGGUAUAUAUUCUUUGCGACCCGUACAUGUGUACUAGUUUUAUAUACAUAUAUAUAUAGUCUUAUUUGGGAAAAAAAAACACAAGCCUGUUUCUCAUUUAUAACCUCUGAUUCUUUACGUCGGUGUCACUGACACUUCCUUUGCAUCGAUCUGUAUCAAUCGAAGGUACUUGGAGUGUUUGAUUGGUCAGGAAAUAAUCCAAUUUUCCCUGAACUAUGGCUCAUUCCUCAGUUUCUUCCAUUUCAUCCAGGUAUAUUAUUCCUUCUACGAAAUGCAGAAAUGGUGUCAUUCCAGCUUCCAGCUAGCACCUUAUAGAUUGGAUGCACGUGGUCUAUAUUGAAUAAGUUUGCUAUAUCUACCAAUGGCUCUGUCCUUUUCAGGGAAAUUUUGGUGCUUAACCCGUAUGGUAUAUCUGCCAAUGGCUUAUCUUUAUGGCAAGAAAUUUGUCGGACCAAUUACACCAACUAUAUUAGCACUAAGAGAGGAGAUAUAUGACACUCCGUACAACAAGAUUGACUGGAGCAACGCUCGUAAUGAAUGCGCAAAGGUUUGCCACAUCCUUUCUGGUUCUACAGUUCAUUAUCAUCAUAUAUGUCGUCCUUCUAUGGUGAGAUUGUAUCAAAUGGGGUUUUCACAAAAUCCCUAGGCGUUGAGAGUGUUUAAAACCUAAUAUGCAUAUAUAGGUUAUGUAAUCUAUUCAUGGUCUUAAGACUGCUUUUACUUUUUUUUUCAUUUUGGCAUUUCAGGAGGACCUCAUCUGUCCACGUACACUGUUGCAGAAUGUUGUUUGGACUUCACUUUACAGGUGUGUGGAACCAGUGUUGAGCAGUUGGCCUGUCAACAAGCUGAGGGAGAGAGCUCUAGGAAACCUCAUGGAGCAUAUCCAUUAUGAAGAUGAGAACACACAAUACCUAUGCAUAUGUUCUGUGAACAAGGUAAAUAUUGGCAAAAGUUGAUAUCUCAUUACUGGCACUUAGUUGGCCAUGCUUCUAUUUGCUGUUAGCAUGUUGUGUUCUUGCUAUUAAUUAUCAUGCUUUAUAUAAGCAUUGUUUAGUGGUUCUUGUUAAUUGUCAUGUGGAUCAUGAACUUCUGAUUGGUGCCUAUUAAUAUUGGUUACCUUGUUACUUAGGCUCUAAACAUGAUCUGCUGUUGGGUAGAAGAUCCAAAUUCAGAUGCAUUCAAGCAUCACCUUGCAAGGGUACCAGAUUUCUUGUGGCUUUCAGAAGAUGGCAUGAAGGCACAGGUAUAACUUUUCACCUUUUUACCCACUUAUGGUACUUGAUAGCUUGUAUGCCAUGCUAGCAUGAGACGCUCGCUAUUGGUAGUCCAUUGAGGUAUAAUCAUAAUAGUUAAGCCAGUAAUCAUUUCCUUUGGCUAAUUACUAUCGUCAUAAUUGCAUCGUCUUUACUGAGGAAUAAACUAACAAUAGAUUUACUAUCAACGAUGUUUAUUGCACAUAUAGGAACUAUGUGCUUAAUAAGCUACAACACAUAGAAUGAUGAUUCCCUUCAAAUUACCUUAGUUAAUAAUAAUAGUGUAAAGAGUGUUCUUAUUUGCAUGACUAAGUACCAGUUAGUAGAUAUUAGAGCAUUGGUACGUAGUCAUUGUUGUUGUGAGUAGUUAGUAAUCUUUUAAUAUUAUUGCAGUAAAAGUGUCUUGGAACCACUGUAAGUUUGUUGGACAUAUUGAAUAUGCAUCAAGAAAACCCUCAUAUUAUAUAACUACAUGUUUUAAGCAUGGAUGAGUGUUACCAUGAUAGGUAUAUGAUGGUUGCCAGAGCUGGGAAACAUCAUUCAUAAUUCAAGCAUUUUGCGGUACAGAUCUUGUCAAUGAGUAUGGUCCAACUAUUCAGAGAGCCUAUGAGUUCAUGAAAAAUUCACAGGUUUCUUUUGUUUAUCUUAAAAUCAUGGCAAGUUAUAAAAUUGACCAUCGUGAGCAAUGAUGAACCACAACAUGCAUUUGUGUACAUGAAGGUUUUGAGGAACCACCCUGGUGACCAAAGUAAAUGGCAUCGCCAUAGAUCGAAGGGUUCAUGGACACUUUCAUCUGCAGACAAUGGGUGGGCUGUAUCUGACACUACAGGAGAAGCACUUAAGGUUAUUCCAUCUUGUUCAGUUUUUUCUUUUGACUCAUUAUAGAUGACUAACUACUUAAUUUUCCGCCAUCAUAUUAAGAAGAAAUGAAACCAAGGUCACUAAUAAGUACCAUAUAAUGUUAUGCUUAAUUUAUAGCGUGUAACUAGUAAUUAAUAAAAUGCUCUACUUGAUAUGUUGUUCAUUCCCAUGCCUUUUCAUUUUCUCUAUUCUAAAGCAAUUUGAUGUGAUUUUAUUUACAGGCUGUACUGUUAGUGGCAAAGAUCUCAAACAAAAAUAACCUUGCUGGGGAUCCAAUAGAAAAACAAAGGUUGCAUGAUGCCAUGGAAAUCAGAAAUGCCAUACUCUGUGUUGGCUGAUACAAAAUAACUCUAUUACACCAAGCUUAUGGGGAUGGUAUGAUGAGUGUAUAUGUUAAGGAACCAGGUUUCUACAUGUGGCUGUGAAUCUGAAACCUUGUAUACAAUUUGCACAAGUUUUCCUCUCCUUCUAAAUUUCAAUCAGUAAACCUCUUUAGAUGUAACAACCAACAAUACCAUACUUACUUUGCCUGAAUCGUUUUUAAAAUAUGUCUAUGGUGGCAUUGCUUUUAAGCUACGAAAAACAUAAUUUCAAAUGGCUAAUCAUUCUAUGUUGUAGAACAAAGAUGGUACCUUUUCUACAUAUGAGUGCAAAAGAUCUUCUUCUUGGAUAGAGGUAAGUUUCAAUAGGCUGAGUGCUUAUAUGUUCUUGUUACUUUCCCAUUAGGAAGAUGCAAUUCAUAUGAUGCAUCUUACUCUUUGCAACUCCACUGUACUAAUAUCUUUUUGUUAAUUAACUAGAUUCUAAAUCCUUGUGAGAGUUUUCCAAACAUGGUUGUCGAUUACCCGUAAGUGACACAUACAAAUGGCAUAUGUUUAGUAGAAGAUCCCACUAACAAAAUUUUUACUUUAGAUAAUGAAACAAACUCAAGUUGCACUAUGAAUUCACAGUUACCCAGAAUGCACUUCCUCAGUGCUCCAAGCUCUGAUACUUUUCCAAGAAUUGUAUCCUGGUUACCGCACAAAAGAGAUAAAAACAUCUAUCAGAAAUGCAGCAACGUUUAUUGAAAGAAGUCAACAAGAAGAUGGUUCAUGGUUUGCCCUAAUGCAUCAUUUAAUCAAAGAAUCUAUAAACUAGUACUCAAUUGAUAACACAAUUAAUUGUUUCACAGGUUAGGCACUUGGGGUGUAUGUUUCACCUAUGGGGCCUUCUUUUCAAUCAAAGGUUUAGUUGAUUAUGGAAGAACGUAUGAGAACAACUCUUUCAUACGGAAAGGAUGCCAUUUUUUAUUGUCAAAGCAACUCACCACUGGUGGAUGGGGAGAAAGCCAUGUCUCUAAUGAAACUCAGGUAAUAUAUAUAUAUAUAUAUAUAUAUAUAAUGAAGAUACUAGUAACAAAUUGACACAUGAUAUUUUAUGAUGAAUCUGGCUAUUUAAUUAGAAUGUUUCAAAUCAUUAGAGAUUUAUUGAUUUAUUGUGUAUGUUGAGCCUUUCUGUUAUACUAUGCUCAUUUAAUUUCCUCUCAGUUUGAAUUGCUCCAUAAGCCUUUGUUCUCAAGUCGAUCCCUAGCAAGUCAUGGCGGGCACAAUAUUUAAUGCAAUAUGAAAAAAAAAUAUUAUAUUUACAUAGUAUCAUUAGUAUGUCCAUUCAUCUUUGAACUUAUCUUUCCCCACCCCCUUGUAAUGCUAAAUAGGUUUAUGUAAAUAUCAAAGGUGAUCGUGCUCACGCUGUGAAUACUGCUUGGGCAAUGUUGGCUCUAAUUUAUGCUGGACAGGUACUGAUUAUUCAUUUUCUUAAUUUUACAUAUUGACAAGAACAUACAAUUUAUCAAUCUAUUGGCAUACACCUUUCUAAUACAAGAUGGAGCGAGAUCCAACACCAUUACACCGUGCUGCAAAAGAAUUGAUAAAUAUGCAGUUGGAGACAGGAGAGUUCCCACAGCAAGUAAGAUUCCACUUCAAUUUAUGUUGGUAAUACAUCAUAUUGAUAAGUGAACUUGUUAUGUUUCUCUUAAUUUGUUCUAAAAAUUGAUGGAACAUAGUGUUGAAGAACAUAGAAAAACCCUAUCAUGUGGCAUGGCAUAUUAGUAUUGAAAUAAUGAGGCACCCAUUUUUGUCACAUAUAGAUAUAUGAACAGACUUACUAGGUGGCUAGAAUAUGUAAUUGCAUGAUAGAAUUCUUUUCACGUUUUUUAAUAAAAAUGUCCCUAUAUAUGGAUCUGACAUGAAUAAUUAAUCACAUAACUAGAAUUGAAUUAGCACAAUACGAAUAGAGCAAGCCUUUUGUCAUUUGAAGCAUCCAAUUAUAAAAUCAUUCAUACUCAAGCCCACUACCACAAAGUUGAUUAUAGAGACUCUUCAUUUUAUUUUUAGAGGUGGACCUUAAAGGUAUACCAUCCCAAAAAAAACUCCCAGAGCAUUGUAGAAACAGGUUGACUCUGAAAAUGAUUUUUAGAUGCAGUUCGCAUAAGGCAACACCCUAGAAAAAUGUGCCGUAAACAUGACAGCCAAGGCAUUAUUAUGUCUAAACUCAAGUUCAUGAAUCUAACAUGUUUUAUGUGGUGUCCAGUAGACUUUUAAGAUAACCUAUUUGGAUUAUUGGAUAUUAGGGGGUGCAUAAUUACACAUGCAUUCUUGUAGUCAUUUUAGAACUUUGAACUACCAUAUUUCAGCACAAUUUUGUGGUGUGGGUGUUUGAUUAUCAAAUGUUAAAGUGGUUUUGUUGACUACACUUGCAUUUCGAUGAUAGGAGCAUGUCGGAUGCUUCAAUUGUUCUCUUUUCUUCAAUUACCCCAACUACCGCAACUUGUUCCCCAUUUGGGCUCUCGGUGAGUAUCAUCGUGGCAUUUGUGGAAAGAAGAGAAAUGAGUCCAAAUGAGCAUAAUAUAAUAUAGUAUGGUGAAAAAUAAAUAGGUUGCACCUCUGAGAAGCAAAAAGGAGAUUUACUUUCAUGUAGUUGUGUAUAACAUGUAUGCAGUGUAUGUUGAAUGUUGUGGGGAUAUAAAUCUAGCAUGACAUUAUAUAUUGUCAUACCUAUCCAUCUCCUUAUAUAACACAGGGUUUGCUUUAUCUUCUACCCAUACAAAUUGUAUGUUCUAUUGGUACGGACGUGCGUGCCAGACUCCUUGAACCGUAGAUACGCGUACGUGUCACGUCUGUGUGCUGCAGUUUUAAUUUGCUCACAUGCAUGUAAACGAAUAUAAACUUGGCCAUUUGGCAUGAGCACGAUGGCCGGCCUAGACAAGACCCUGAGAAGCACGGCCUAGGCACGGGUUCGGCUCCCAUAGUGCCCGUGUCUGGCACGGCUCGGUCGUAGUGCCAUGCCUAGGCCGCCAUGUUGGCCCGUAGUGCCAGCCCAGGCAUGGUACGGAUAAAGGCCUGGCAUGAUGUGGCCCUAACCAUUAGAUGACUAGCUGAUGAACUAGAGUCGUUGGAUAGUAAUAUAUAAAUAUAUCUUCCUCACCUAAACCCUAACUUCCUCUACUCUCUCCCUCCCCACUCAUUUCCUCACCAGCGCCGACACAGAGAGCCAGAGACCUGUCCUCUUUCCCUCUAUCCUCACUAGCAUUGACGCGGAGACUGGAGGUGGUGGGCAGCAUAGUUGUGGGGCCAUGCCUUGAGGGCCUCAAGGCGGCAUCAGCGGCGCAUCUGCAGCAGCGGUGGAGUAGCACGCAGUCGGCGGUGGCGCAUUUGCGUGUGACAAAUGGCCAGCGGUGGCGGAGCAGCGGGCGGCCAGUAUGCGUGCGGUCAGCGAUAGAGGCGGCACAUCUUGUUUCCUAGCCACACCACCUCCACCUAUGGGCCUGCAUGGUCCCGACGUGCCGUCGUGCCCUUCGGCAUGACAUGGCACAACUAAUCCUCUGUAGUGUUGUCUCGACAUGGUGACACUAUGAGGCAUGACACAACUAAGCUAUUGUGUCACGUAGUGCCGUGCUCAGCAGUGUCAUGCCUGGCCGUGCCCGUGCCAGUGCCGUGCCGCGCGACCUGGCUGGCCAUCUAUAAUCAAAUCAGUAUGUGCUCGCCCAGUACUUUGUUUGUAGCAAUAGGCGCAUGGUCAGGAUAUUCGCUUGAGCUUAUGCGCUGAAAUUGCUAAUCAUUCAAUAUUAUUUUUUAUAAUAAAUUAGCAAACAAUAUUUUUAAUCAUGGCCUAUCAAUAAACCAAAUAGGCUAAUUGUCGGUGUCUGGACUCAUGAUCUAGGCACUAACAAGUAAUAUGUGUGUCUGCGUGCCUAAAUCCAGAUGGUGAUGUAGGAAGAACACAGAGGUUUAUACUGGUUCAGGCCAAGAGUGCCCUACGUCUAGUGUGAAGGAGUGACUUGUAUUAUCCUGUACCCGAGAUGCUCGUAGUAGGGGUUACAAUCGAGUUGCGAGAGAGAGAGUGUGUCCUAGAUCUCGGCUUAGGAUGUGUUGUGCGAGACUUAGCUUGUAUUUGUGUUAGUCUGCUCGAAUGAGACCCUCCCUCCCAUUUUAUAGUUCAAGAGGAAUGAGGGGAUACAUGUGUUUUGGUUCUAUCGUCGUGGUGUUGAUCCGAGGCGUGGAUCGGAGUAUGACGUUAUACAGGGGGUAAGGCGCUCCAUUCCUAAUGCUCUAGUUGAUCGUGGUUGCGGUAUGGACGUUCCUAUUGUUCGUGCUGAGCCAUGCCGCUACUGUAGACAAGACGUAUGUUCUUGUUCAAACCAUGACGACCCCUACUCCUCAUCUAGAUUAUCCUCCGAGGCCUCUUCCCUUAAUCAGUGUUCUGGAGUUCUGACAGGUUGGUGGCUGUAGUGCUUGGAAUUUGACGCUGUCCAUUCCUCCUGACCCGAUCGUACGGAUAGUGACAGGAGGCAGGUGCUGCAGUGAUGGAAGCAGGAAACAUAGUGUGCGCUAUAUCCUGCCUGCACCCCAUGGUUGUAAGGGCGUGCCCCACAUCCCAUCCGUCGCACGACAGUCAUACGCAAGAAGCCUAGAGUGCCUUUAUUAGGGACAGGGCUCGGGCGUGAUGGGAGAAAACCGUCCGAGGCUUGGCCUCGGGCGAGACGAAAAUCGUUCCUUUGUCGCUUGAGGACUACUUUGGCCCAAGCCGAGAUAGUUCUGGUAUUGUUUAAAGCCCUGUUUGGAGAUGUCUUUUGGAUGGCCCAGCUGUCCUCCUUUCCAAGACCGGGUGAUUAGGCCCUGGCCUUUGCAUUGUUUUGUUUUGAAAAGGUGACUGGAGUUUUUAUGGCAUUAGUUUGGAUUAUUAUGAUAUCUUCUUGGGUACCCUGUUUUAUGGUACCCGGCACUAAUCCACCUGACCCAAGCUAGUGACGUGACGGCAGCAUGCAUCGAGACCAUGCCACGCAUGCAGCAGCAUCAAAGAAAGCUACCACUGAGGCCAUCCUCAAUAGGGGUUUCAUGACCCAGUUUUCAAUAUUUUUAUAUUUUGAAAACAGUGUAGAAGAGUUUCAUCUUCAUAGAACUCUUUCUACUCCCAUAAAACACUUGUCAUCUCUCUCUCUUCAUUAAUACAGUAUCAUAUCAAUAUAUUUAAUGUGCAUGAAGCUGUAAUGAAACAUCAUUGAGACUAGCUUGAUGGAACGAGGCAUCGACCACAAGCAGCUGACCCAAUAGAUGUUGAUGCAAGAGCUCUCAAUCCGGCCAUCGUCUACUAAUCGAUCAUUGCGCAAGUGCAUUACAGCUAGUCUUAGUGGAGAGUUUUAUUUUGUUAUUUCCAAGAUUGCCAUAUUAUAGAAAAUGAAAUAAAACUUAGAUGAAAUACUCACUCUCAAUAGAAAGUUUCAUUCCAUAGUUUCAUACCCCCUCCUUCCUAGAAUAGAGUGUGUGGGGUGAAAGUUCUCGAACUUCGCAAUCAAUCACACAAACAUUCAAAAUUCAAAUCAAGUCAAAUAUGCGACUUUAUUGCUUGAUGGGGUAUUUAUAGGGCUCGCGACUUCACCCAAUGUUCAAAAUGACUAUUUUGCCCCUUAUGCAAAAUGACUACAAUACACUAUUUGGGUAAGGGUGAAGUCGUCAUUCUUCACAUCCAGUCUUCAUUUCCUCAACUUCGAUCUUCAAGUCUUCUAGCAACUUACAAUUUUGACUUAGCCGAUUUACAUGAUCAAUUAACAGACGAAGUCAAACUUCGUCUUCGCUCUUCUAAGCCCGCUGUCUGGAGGCGAAGACGAAUUUAUCGUGAGCGAAGUUGAUCCAUGAUCCUGGCGAAGUCAACUUUUGUCUUCGCUACAAUCUUACUCCUGUAGACAAAACUCUGAAACAAAUUUUAGAAUUGAUCUUCUGAGAAUCUUCGACUCCAAAGUUUGGGACUACUUUUUGUGACUAAGUUUAAUUCUCAUUCUGGCUUUUGAGAUGUAUCCACAAAUAUAAUACAUUUGAAAAACAACAAGGUAAUAUUUACUUAAAUAAAAUUAAGGAAGAGAAAAGUAAAUGAGUACUUACCAUAUUUUCUAUAAGAAAGCUUAGAUUACACCCUUUAAUCAUGCAUAUAGGAUCAGAUUUCAAUAGAUUAGGAAGUUUAGUGAUAGGUACAUGUGUCUAUUGCGCUCUCUCUCUCUCUCUCUUAUUUUGUCUUAGAAUAGCUACAACGCACUAUAUUACAUGACGGAGAGAGUAUACAUUCAAUUCUAUGAUUCAAAGAGAAUUGGUAACUCUGCUAAGAGAGUUUCAUCUUCAUGAAACCUAAUUCUUCUUUCUCUUUGUUAAAACAUUAUCAUGUCAUCAAAAGUACAUAUAUGGUAAGUUAUUAAAUUCAAAUGAGUGAAAUUCUAGUGAAACUCUCACUGGCAGUCUGAGACUGCCGCCGAUCGAACUACGAGGCCAUCUCGAGACGCUUCGAUUUGAUCCAUGGUAAUCCCGUACGUCCGCGCCCAUCUUUUGAGUAUCCUGAGAUAACGGCAACCAACUUGAGCGACGUCCAUCAAUCACCCUGCCCGGGGCGCGUGCGGGAUCGCGCAACAGCAGGCUGGGCAUGAACAGCAGUCUUGGACAAUAGCAGGCUGGGCAUGAUGAGCAGCUGGCCCGGGAGUUGACCGUGUUCAACUCGGUGUACAUCGAAGCAGCUAGCCCAACCGAUCGUCCACCGAAACUACGGAAAUGCAAUGCAAGCAGCUCGUCCCUCGUCAUGUAAUAUAGCAUAUUCUAGAAAUUUUAAAAUAGAUUAAGAAAGAACACAAAAGAUUCAUAUGCGCUCAUUUUAUUUCCUUACUAGCCAAUGCCCGUGCGUUGCUACGGAUGAGAAAAAAAUGUUAAUCUAAUUAUUUGUUGCUUCAUAAGAAGAGUUUUUGAAACAAUAUUGGCACCAAUAAUGAAGUUAAAGAAAUACAUGAUGUAUUGAUUUGCAUCACUGGUAUGUGGAAAUGAAAUGUUAAAUGCACCGUGUCAAAAUCCACCAAAAUGAACAUCAGCCAAACUCUAUUACAUUUCGUUGCACCGCUUUGCUGCAACAACAAACCAAGAAUAGCACUAAUCAAUAUUCCAAGAAAUACGGCCUUCUCAAGCUUCUAAACCCUGGCUAUUGUAGUCCCUGCAGGCGAAGUGAUCUAAAACUUUUAGUUUCAGGAUGUGAUUGGUUAGGUGGAUCAGCAUGGGCCUAGCUGAGAAGAAGAACCAGGCCGAGCAUGACCAGCUUGUCCACAUGUGUUUGGUUUGCAGCCAGGCUACAACGCUACUAAUUGGUUGGCUGACUUGUUGGCUGGAUUGCUAUGGGUGCACAGUGAGGUUAUGACUGUCGUGAGCAUUUUCUUUAUACGUCUGAAUAAUAGAGAAUACAAUCAAAACAACUAAGAAUUGAGCUACCAUUAUUGUAUACUUUCAUGUCCCAAAACGACAAAAUCACUGUCUCUACACAACAAAAUUUCAUUGGCUAAAACAAAGAUUAGUGCCUUUGUGCCUGAACAAUAAUUAUAACAUAGUAUUGCAUACAUUCAGUUGAAAGCACACUUUCUCCAUGAAGUGUCAGACGUCCUCUCAAUCUUAGCUAUUUUCAGAUCAGCUUAUCCAUCUUGACUAUAGUAUGCUGCCCUAGCUUCAUUUUUUUUGUUGUGUGCUAUAACAACCUCAUAUUUGGACCCCUUGUAAAAAUACACCCUGUGCACAGCAACCACUCAACUCCUAUUAUAAAUUUUUUUACCUAGAUUUAGAGAACUGUUGGUGCUCGCGAUGAAUAGGCAUCUCUUAUUAGACUUUUUCCCCAAUCAAAGACACAAAGAAAUCAUGCCUCUUGGAAGCAUGUUUCUCCACAUCUAUUUCUCCUCACCACCUAAACCUGCAAAAAGACGACAAAAUCAUAAGGAAAGCAAACCGUAAAUAUAUGUUUAAUGUAAUUGUGAAGAAAAAUAUCUCUAGGUGAGUAGAAAAAUUCAACCCUCAUACUACAACUAUUAGUAUCAAGAACUAAACUCGUUUGUGGUAAUUGUUAAUUCUUUUGGCUCUACAAAAAUAGAAAAUACACCGAUGUGUGAAUGUCAGUUAAGAACUAUAUCCUAAAUCAAAUGAUGCAUGAACGACACCUACGAACUGGAUAUAGACACAUCUUGGUACAAGCAACACAGCGCCACCAAACACAUCGGUGGGCGCUAUGUCCGGAACCAUUAGUUUUAGAGGGUGUUGCCAAUAUGCAUCCAGGACCAUAUAUAUAGCUCGAUAUCGAUUCUAUGCUCGAGGAGACUGGGACCAGAUUACUUAUGGAAUACUCCCUCCGUCUUAAAAUAAGUGUCGUUUGCGCUUUCCGAGAAAUAACUUUAACUAAAUAUAUAGUAAAAAAUAUUAAUAUUUAUAGUAUAUAAUUAAUAUCAUUAGAAAGAUCUUUAAGUCUAACUUUUUAACAAAUUUAUUUAGAAAAAUAAAUAUUACACGUAUUUUGGGUCGGAGGAAGUACACUCUCUUUGGACGGAGGAAGUACACUGCUACGCCAUCACGUCGUCUCACCGGGCCUUGUUUAGGCCUUGUUUAGUUCCAAAAUAUUUUGGGUCAAAUAUAAAAUUUUUUGCUAUUUUGCAUUUUGGAAGUAAACAUGUUCAAAAUAUUUUGGCCCUAAACUUUUUGCAAAAGUAAAUAGCCUUGUUUAGUUUCAAUUUUUUUUUAUAAAAUGGACACUCUAGCACUUUCAUUUGUAUCUGACAAAUAUUGCAUAAUAAUAGAAUAAUUAGGUUUAAAAUAUUCAUCUCGUAAAUUACAUAUAAAUUGCGCAAUUAGUUAUUUUUUAUCUAUAUUUAAUGCUUUAUACAUGUGCCGCAAGAUUCAAUGUCAAAAAAUCUGAAAAAAUUUACAAAUUUUUUUUGGAAAGUAAACACCAAAACUAAAAAAUUUUAGUGUUAGAAUUUUGAUGGACUGCUCAAGAUUUUGGGUUUUUGAAAAAACGCAAACAAACGGACUCCACAUCCAUUUCCUCGCAGCAGAAACCUUUGUUUUUUUUUCAAAAAGCUGACGGCUGAGGGAGUUGGGUGGGGUGGCAGGGGGAGGAGGCACGUUGAAGCCUGUUGACGUCUCCACUCUCAUCUUUUUAGGUGUAGAGAUUGGCCCUAAACUUUUUGCAAAAGUAAAUAGCCUUGUUUAGUUUCAAUUUUUUUUAUAUAAAAUGGACACUGUAGCACUUUCAUUUGUAUUUGACAAAUAUUGCCUAAUAAUAGAAUAAUUGGGUUUAAAAGAUUCAUCUCGUAAAUUACAUAUAAACUGUGCAAUUUGUUAUUUUUAUCUAUAUUUAAUGCUUUAUACAUGUGCCGCAAGAUUCAAUGUGACAGAAAAUCUGAAAAAUUUUACAAUUUUUUUUUGGAAAGUAAACACCAAAAUUAAAAAAUUUUGGUGUUAGAAUUUUGAUGGACUACUCAAGAUUUUGGGUUUUUGAAAAAGCGCAAACAAACGGACUCCACAUCCAUUUCCUCGCAGCAGAAACCUUUGUUUUUUUUUCAAAAAGCUGACGGGUGAGGGAGUUGGGUGGGGUGGCAGGGAGAGGAGGCAUGUUGAAGCUUGUUGACGUCUCCACUCUCAUCUUUUUAGGUGUAGAGAUAAGACACUAGUAUGAUUAGUGGUGAUUGAUUGAUAAAUAGAAAGUAUUUAAUACAAAACUAGUUUGUGUAUUUGAAAGGUCCAAAUGGCUAGAGGGGGGGUGAAUAGCCUAUUUAAAAAAUCUACAAACUUUACUAAACAAGUGAGUUAGUAAAAUAAGUGGCGAAGCUAUUCUAGCACUAGCACAACUAAGCUAUGCAAGCCACCUAAACAAGUCUAGCAAGAAGACUAAACACUAAAACACAACAACUCUAUACUAAAAAGAACUAAGCUACACAAGCUAAACUAACAAGGUAGGCAAGAAUGUAAAGCGAGGAGAGUGAUUGUUAUACCGACGUUGUAGAGAUGAAAUAUAUCCAAUCAAUCACAUACACAAUCACAAGAGAGACCUCGGCAAGGGAUGACACAAUAUUUUUUACCGAGGUUCACUUGCUUCCCGGCAAGCUACUCCUCGUUGUGGCGAUAGACCCACUUGAUGGAUCACAAGCUAAUUGGCAAUCCAAAGCCAAACCCUCAGCGGGUGCCGCACAUCCACUCACAAGAUGGGGAUCCUCCAAGCCACGAGCAAUCCACUAGAGUAGCCAAUUGCGAUCUCCCACGGAGAAGGCUCAAGAACCUCUCACAAAUCACUUGGUGAGGCUCGAAACAAUCUCCAAUCACGAGCUCAACACCACCGCUGCUCCAAGCCGUCUAGGGCGUCGGAAAACACCCAAGAGUAACAAGAAAUCCGCAGCAAACUCAAGAAUCAAGUGCCACUAAAUACAACUCUCAAAGCAAUACACUUGAAUCUCACUCAAUCUCACUAGGAUUAGCAAUCAAGCAAGGAGAUGAGUGGAGGGAGUGUUCUCUAGCUCAAUGUAUGUCUCAAGUAAUCAAAUGUGCAAGAGCAAGCCUCCCAAAGCCGGCCACCUUCUAUUUAUAAGCCCCUCAAAGAAACUAGCCGUUGGCUGUUUUCACUGGGCUGAAAUCGAGGGCACCGGACGCUACCAAGUGAUCACCGGACGCUCGACCCCAGCGUCCGGUGCUCAGGGGUUGGCCACGUGCCCUUCUUGAAUCUCGCGUGUCAGAUCCUAACGGUCACCUACGGAUCACCGGACGCUCUGUAGGUGCACACCGGACGCGUCCGGUGCACACCGGACUCAUGCGCAGAGAGUUUGUCAAACUCGCGACCUCACCGGACGCUGGUCACCGGACGGUCCGGUGCUCACCGGACUCGUGCGCAGAGAGGGUUGCAAAAACCCCUCACACCGGACGCUAACCACCGGACGCACUCAGAGAGCGUCCGGUGCUUAACCCUAGCAGGGUCAAGCACACCGGACUCUGAGGCCAGCGUCCGGUGAGUGUUUCUCAGUGAGAAAACACUCCCACGACUUCUCCAAAUUUCCCAUCGGCGCAAAAGAAAAUAUACACUUAUUUUUCUCAAAAGAGCCGAAUCCCACCGAGCUUGAGAAACCCACACCCCUCUCAACCCUAGGAAAACCACCUCCUUUGCAAAUGUGCUAACACCAACAAGUGUCCACCACCAAAGUGCAUGUGUGUUAGCUUUUCACAAACAUUUUCACCAAAGGAGUUAGGUUAGCACUUUACUAGAUCCUAAUGCAUAUGCUCAAGAUGUAGACCUAGUAGCACUUGAUUCGAGAGAUGACCGUGAUUUCCCCUCUUGAUAGUCGGCUAUCUAUCCUAAACCCGGUCAAUCACUUCUCUACUCAUCUUAGACCGGCAAAAGUAAAACCCUAUGUUUAUACCUUUGCCUUGAUAACUUUUGCUCCUCGUCUAUCAUCAUGAUCUUCACUUCAUGCUUCAUCCCUUUGUGAUCAUGUGGCCACCUUUCCAUGCCACCAUGCACCUUCAUCACAUGUGUUGCUAUGCCUAACUCAAAUCACUUAAACACAAGACAUUAGCAACUUGGUGUCAUUAAUUACCAAAACCAAACUUGGGCUUUCAGUAUUCUAGAAUACCUUAUAUUUGAGGACUAAAUUUGAAUACUAAAAUAUGCUAUAUUACAGGACGGAGGGAGUAGUAGUCUAGUUGUACCACUUUCAUGUGUUUCUCAGCUUGGGCCUUGUUUAGUUCCCCAAAAAUUUUGUAAAAUUUUUUAGAUUCUCCGUCACAUCGAAUCUUUAGACGUAUACAUGAAGUAUUAAAUAUAGAUGAAAAUACAAAUUAAUUGCACAGUUUGGUCAGAAUUGACGAGACGAAUCUUUUGAGCCUAGUUAGUCUAUAAUUGGACAAUAUUUGUCAAAUACAAACGAAAGUGCAAUUAUUCCUAUUUUGCAAAAUUUUUUGGAAGUAAACAAGGCCCCGGGUCUUAAUGUGAUCUUGGAUUCGCCCCUGAUUAAUAGGGGCCGGACAAUACGAUGACACCUCAUGUCUAGUUGUCUAGUUGUAGCACUUUCGUGUGUUUCUCAGUUAGGGUCCAUCCCUGAUUAAGAGGGGUUAAACAAUACAAUGACACCUCGUAACUAUGAUAAACAUAUGCAUCAAGUAUAUGUCUCUAUAGCUUUUCAAUGAUUUUUAUAUACUCCCUUCAUUUUAUCUCCUUCAUAUUAUCUUGGGACUUGCCUACAUUUAUUGCCCCCAUGUUGCUCAUUGUCUACCACUUGCAUGUAUUUAUUGCCUCUUUGCUGCUUAUUGGUUGUUCCUUGCUUGUGACUUUUUAUGUGCACUCAACUAAUUAAAUGCAAAGUGAAUGCUUUUGCUCUGCUCUUUGGUCAUUGCGCCGAAUGUAUGGUGGAGAUAAAUAAAUGGAGGCAGUAUGUAUUUAGUAUUUAUAAAAAAAAACAGAUAUUAUCAUAAAAAUGGGUGAAAUAAUAUUUUUUUUGUGCUAUGCAAUUGAACCGUGUUGUGUGCCCCCCGCCCCCCCCCCCCCGGGCACACUGUUGUCUGCCUUGCUAGCUCACCGCCCAGGUAGAAUCGAUCGAGCCCAUCACUUCGCAUAGCUAGGUUGCACGAAAAGCAUCGCCAAACUAGAGAGUAGUGCUAUAAGCAGAUUGCUUGACGAAGACAACGACGAAGAAGCUUGGUGGCGUUGUUGGAGUUGGCAGCCGCUGAUAUGAAGUUCAGCAAUGAUGACCGCAAAGUCCGACCGAGGAGUCACUAGCCGAGGCAACUGGAUGAGUUGUGGAGUGUGUGCUACAAUGUAGCAUGUGACCCCAUCGAGAAGCUUGAUCGGCCGGUUCAACAUGUUCAAGGAGACGGCGCACUACUUUUUGCCUCUCAUGUUCGAGUUGCUGGCUAGGCUUUGAGUCUCAACAUCUUCGUUGACUUUAGCAGUGAGGAGUUCAGUUGUGUCUUGUGAUUAUAAAUGUCACAUGAUGACAAUGGAGCGGUGCAACCGCAACAUCACUGCUCAGCCUGUAAAAAAGGAGGCGUGGCGACGGGACCCUCCCGCUGCCCAUCUGUCGACUUGUGCACCAAGAGCUACAAAGGCCAGUUGUGCCUAGGUCCAGUACUCAAGGACCAAAGGGGCCGUGGGCAGCUCUUGCUGGGCAUUCACUGCCGGCGUGUUCAAUAGCGAAACCAACAAUUUAUUUAAGGGGGUACGACCCCUAGUUCCGCCACUAGGAGCGCUGGAGAGCCAUCAGAGGGGCGACCCAAUGCAGUUGUUGUUGGAGCACACGUGAGCGAGGGCUGAAAAGGCGACGACCUCACCAUUCACGCUUUCCACUACGUGGGCAAGAAUGGUCUUGCGUCGUCGGUAUCCUUCGCUUACAUGUGGGAGUGGGCAAUGGUACAUGCCAUGCCAGUGCCACAUCACACAUGCGAGGGUUCGAGGAGGUGGUGGCCCUCAACGAGUUCUAAUUGCUUUGAGUAGUUACCUUUGGCCCGUCGUGGUCUCUGUCACCAUCGAACGGAGCCCACAACAAAGACUUCACAGACUACGAGGGUGGUGUCUAUGUACCGAGGCAAGUGUAUAACUACUAAGAACGAUCAUGAGUUGUUACUCGUCGAUUAUGGCUAGAACUGUUAUAUCCUCAAAAAUUCUUCUAUAGCUACAUGAAAGAAGAUAUAUUUUCUAUAGAAACCUACAAUUUAAGAGGGACACAUGCCCCCACUCCUUGUGUCCACCACUAGACAACGUCACUUUGGAUGCAUCUUUUGGAGUACGAACAAGAUUUGGUCAUUUGGGGAUCCGAUAGCCAAAACGAGGGCACGCAUCUCCCUUUUGUUCCACUACUUCCUCAGUUUUGUUAUUAGUUAAAAAUAAAAUAUUGUUUUAAAAUCAUAAAGUCCAGCUUGCAGACAUUAGAAAUUCAAAAUUGAUGUCCAUUUUCCUUUGCUAACACGUACAUCACCAAUGCAUCAAUAAAAGUUGCAUGUCAAUCAUCAUUAGCCGCACGCAGCAGUCAAAAUAACAUAGAAAAGGGAAAAGGCGCUACUAGCAGUUCGAGAAGAUGCAUUUGUGUUUCUGCGUGUAAAAUAACGACAAAUAAGGUGCUUGCUGAACUAAUUUGCAUGUGCAUGCGGCAGGUCACAUAUAUGCUGACACUACUGAAACGAAAAAAUUAUGUUUAUUCAGUUUCAUAAUAUGAUAUAUUAAAUGGAUUUUCAUGGUAUAUAAACGAUCCAUAUUAACUUUGAGAUUAUUCUAUGAAUUUCAUCUUUUCCUGUCUAAUGCAUUGCUUUGACGGUAUAUGAAUCCACGUAACGUUUUUCGUGACGGUAGAAACCAAUUUUUACUGUCGGUUACUUGUGGUUGUAACAGGGAUAGAAUUCCAGAUCAGGUGCCUCUCGGUUACUUGUGAUUGUAAGGCUAGUCUCAAUGGGGGUUUCACCUGGAUGUCAUGCACAUUUAUUAGAGCGCCAUGUCACCAAAACUGCACUUUUUGCAUGAAACGAAGAAGAGAGAGAAGGAAGUAGUUUCACCAUGGUGAAACUCCGCUGGCGUUGUUUCCCACGCGGUGAAACAUGAUGAAAUCCCCACUGAGGACUAAAUCGUUUCACCAUCUUGCAUGUGAUCCAAUCAUUUUGCAGUAAUUAAAUGCUUUGCCCAGUCUUGGAAACAUCAAGGUGAAACUCAUGCAUUAUGGAGGUUGUUUCAUUGUUUGUUUCAUUGAUGCUCUGUCAGCAGAUUUGUUUUGGAAACAGUGCAUUGAAACGGGCCAUUCAGACUGGCCUAACAGGAUAGAAUUCCAGACCUGGUGCCUGGUGGACUAGAAUUUCUGUGAACUGACCGGACAAAGAAGUUUUAUUUUUCUGUCGCUUUUCUUCUGUCAGCGUACUAUCGGUUUUCUGACAGAGAAAUUAAUUUUUGAUUCCUGUCAGUAUUUCGUGUCAGUUUCACACCGACAUGGAAAUUUUGGUUUCCACCACAGAAUAAAAAGAACACAUGGAUAGAGUACAUUGACAGCCAUAGAUGAAAAUGUACAUAUAUUAAACUAUGCCAUAGAGAUAAAUAAAUAAGGAUAUAUAUAAGAAAGAAAGAAAGAAAGAAAGAAAGAAGUAGGUGCUACCUUUGAAAAUAGUGGAGAAAUUCUUUUACAGUCUCUUUGACACAUUUUCUCAAACUUUAAUAGUAUAUCUCCAUAUAGCAGUGCCCAAGAAACAAUUUAUUUAGCCAUGCCAACAAUCAAAGAAGAAAAAAAAAGUUCACAAAUUAAAUUAGACAAGAAUUCUUUCAAACAGGUCCAUGAAAUAUUUACAAUUGUAGGAGAGGCCUUUCCAAGAGUCAUCAACGAUGAAACGGCUGUCCUAGGAAGCCCACCAGUUCGACAUAGCAAAUAGCCGAAAACACCCAUGAGAAACAAUCUUUAUCAUAGGUUGGAAAUGCAUACAAUUUCAUCUCAACUUUAUCAUAAUACAUUAGCAACAUUUUUAUUCUAAAAUUCUCCGACAACAAACACAAGUGACCUUCAGAUCCACAUGUGUGCUUCAUCUCCUGGAACAGCGCUACCUCCAGGCUCUGUUUGUUUUAGUUCCAUAGCAAUGCACUGGCAAACCUAUAUGAAACAAGUAAAAAAUAACGAAUGAGAAUAUAUACAUAUGAGCAAACAGACACCGGUACAACCAAUACGAUUAAGAAACAUCCACAUUCAGACUUACAUGUUUCCAAGACCAAGAGGCUAUUUAGCAUCAUGUAAAUCACAGUAGAUGGUGAGAUCAUCCAUCCAUUAGAGAAACUAAACCCUUGAUUCUCUUACAUGCUGUACUCCAGUCGGUAACAGAAUCCCACAAUUAUACAACUUUGGGUAAAACCAUGUAGGAAUUCCCAGUUACCAUAUACUAGUAGUAAAUAAUACAAAUUGAACUGCUAGGUUAAUCAAAUCGUAUCCAAAGAGAGGUUAACAAAAAUCUUCACAUACUUGUGGUUAUUAGUUCUGGAAAUUGUUCCCUUGUCUACCGAUCAAGGCACUACUCAAAAUCUCACACAUACGAAGCCAUUACAAACUGGUACACCGUUGAAAUAUGCGUUUGGUCUCACAUGAUCUGCAGGCAGAAGGCAUACCCCCGCUUGUGUUCAUAUGGAUACCAAAAGAAGCUAGUGCAAUUGACCAAACAAAAUCAAUAAUUAGAGGACUUCAUGCAAAUGGUAAUCAACCACAUGUAAAGAAACAACAAUGAUAAUAAAGAAACUAAAAACAGCUAGCAACAGUUUCAUAAAAAAAAAAAGAUGUACCUGGUACCAAAUCCGCCUCCCAUGGUCAGGGUCCGGAUCAGGGGCGAUGGCUUGGCACCUGGCGCUCAGCUCUUGGUCCACCAUCUCUGGGUAGCAGCUUUCGCGGACCUCCUCGUUGGUAAGGUCACCGAAUUGGUUGAUGGCGUACACGAUUUGCCCGGCGGCGGCGUCGUUGAGCCGGACGACGACGCGGCGGUUGCCCUUGAACAACCUGUACCGGCAUUCCUCCUCACCGACGUCUCUGUAGGUCUUGCCGUACUUGGCCUUCCACCCCACGAACAUCCGGCGGGUCUCCUGCUCGUACGUCGCCUCCCCCUUCUGGACCCUGUACCCGCGGUAGAUCUCCUCCAUGGAGCGGGCGGCGAGACCGUUGAGGCCAGAUGUGGUAUCCCCGUCGGCCCUUUUCCAGGCGAUGCGGCAGCGGCUCUCCUUGAAAUUAGCGUACCGGCACUCAUCUUCGCCGGCGUAUUUAUAGGUCUUCUUGUGCCUGGCCUUCCACUCCACGAACAUCUGGCGGCUCUCCUGCUCGUACGUGUCCGCGUCCGGCGGCAACACCAGCAGCAACGGCAGCGACACCAGCAGCGCCGCCGCCGCUGCCGUCGCGAGAGCAACCGUGCUGCGCCGCCCCAUUUUGUUCCUGUCGCCGCCAACGACGCCGACAAGGAAAGUGGUGGUAGACUAGAUCACUGGUGGGUGGGCUGUGGGCCUCGACACUAAACAGGCCGGGCCUCAGACACUAAACAGGCCGGGCCUCAGACACUAAACCGGCCGGGCUUCAAGAUGGAGCGAUGGCUUCAUAUUUUUUUUUAUCAAGCGAUGGCUUCAUUUGUAACGUGGAAUUGUUUGUUGCUGAUGCUGAUAACGUGUUCACCUCUCGACAAUAUGCGUUGACGCCUUUGUGAAUUGUCACGAUCAUUAGAGCAUGUUUCGCAAAUGAAUUUUUAUCCAUAUUUUUUUAAGUAAAAUAAGAAAAAAAAACUCUCUUCAACCGUUUGACAUCUCAAUUCCCUGGUAUAUCUCCUUGUCUAGCGCAAAUAUGCGCGCGGGCUUUGUUCUUGGCAUCGGUCUUUCUCCUCAUGCUUAGCGGUGCUCUUUGUUUGUUUAGCGGAGCUCUUCGUUCGUUUAGCGGGGCUCUUUGUUUCGUCAACGGGUUUUUGGUUUUUUAAAAUGAAAUUUGCCAAACUGUCGGAAAUAAGAUCUUUUUUCUAUUUAUAUUAUUUUAGGAGUUGACAAACAACAAGAUCUGGGAAAAGAAUUUUGCCAAACAGAUCUAUAUCUAUAUCUAUAUCUAUAUCUAUAUCUAUAUCUAUAUCUAUAUCUAUAUCUAUAUCUAUAUCUAUAUCUAUAUCUAUAUCUAUUUCUAUUUUAAUAAAACUAAACCUCGCUAAAUUUUCUCUCUUUAGCUCAAGAUGUUCAUAUUAUUUCUCACUAAGUGUUUUGUUAACUUACAAUUCUUUUUUGCAAGUUAUCCAUAUCAUCUCAUCCUAUAUUAACUAUAAAAAAUUUUUAUGUCAUCUCAUCCAUGUAAGUCAUGUAUAUAUGUUAUAUAUUUUAUCAUUCUAUUAUUCUAGAAUGUGAUAUAAUAUUCCAUUAGCUUUUCUUCUAUUAGCUUACCGUUUUUUACCACAUUGGAUGCAAUAAACUAAUAUGCAAACCCAGCUCAUAUAUAUACACAUAAUACCAAUUCGAUGAGGGUAGCUGAGUGCUGUAGAUUAUCCACGGUACCAUAUAAUUAAUGCUAUACACUAAAACAAAUUUAUCUUUAAGAAAGCAAUGGGAUUACGCCAAAUGGAGCCUGAUCGAUUUAUCGUACCGCUGACAUGUGAGUUAAAAAGAAAACAGGAAGUAUAUACGAGGCUGCAGCGUGGGCUCAAUCGUAUGCCAGCCGGCAGGCGCCAGCUACCAAACGGCUGACAGGUGGGACAAUCUGGUUCGCACGCGGCGCGCGCCCUCCUCGAAAUUCCGUUCGAUUCGAUUCCCCAUACCAAACCCGCUCGUGCUCGUGCGCGCGCGUCGCCUCCCACCUCUUCGUCCGCCGCGGCCGCCCGCACUCUCCCUUCCGCCGUCGUGGGCGCGACGGCGACAGGGGAGGCAAAAGCAGGUGAGGUCGGAAGCGGCGGCGGAGACCGGAGACGGCGUCGGCCCCCCGCCGUCUACUCCUACUCACGCACCACCGACGCGCCCGCGAGUUUAGCGGAGGUAAACGCAAACGCCUUCUCAUGCCCCCCGCGUUGUCUGAUCCGACCGGGCGUUCCACUCAACGAGGGUUGUUCCCUCAUUUCGUCCGCCUCCACAAUGCAGGUCGAGGCGGGAGGAAGGCGGUGGGGGUUCCCGGCCGGCGGGCAGGAGGGUCGGGGUCGGGGGCGGGGAUGGGGCUCGACGGCGCGGUCUCGGGGGUGGUGUCGAGGAAGGUGCUGCCGGCGUGCGGUGGGCUCUGCUACCUCUGCCCUUCGCUGCGUCCACGCUCCAGGCAGCCCGUCAAACGCUACAAGAAGAUCCUCGCCGACAUCUUCCCCGCGAAGCAGGUUGACAAGCUCUCCUUCCGCACGUCUGCUUAUGUUAUUUUCUCCUUGCUCGCCAUCAGCUGCAUUUUCAUGGGGCCCUCGCCUUAGAAAUUGAACCAGUGCCAAUUACACUGGCGAAUUACCCAUUAUGAGCUGCUUAGAGCCUCAAUUUGACUGUGUAUCUGUCUUCACCGUUGCAAUCUCUCCCCCCAUAAGGAGAUGGCAAUGGUAUAAUGACCCUCUUUCUGUUUGUUCACACCACUCAGCUACCCUUAAAUGGACUGUAGUUUCCCAUUGAUUGUUAUGGACCAUACUACGUGUGGUAGCAGUUGAUUCUGUCUUAAAACAGGCUUAAUUUCAUCAAUAUUGCCACAGGAAGACGGACCAAAUGAGAGGAGGAUUGGGAAGCUAUGCGAGUAUGUUGCUAGAAACCCUCAUCGUGUGCCAAAGGUGGGGUGUGCUCCUCACCUCUCAAAUAUCCUACAAUUGCAUCUAAUUCGUUGCUUCCAGUUCACUUGUUUUCUCUUGCGUAUCGGUGUCUCUGCAGAUCACAGCUUACUUGGAGAAGAGGUGUUACAAGGAGUUGAGAAAUGAGCAGUAUGGCUUUGUGAAAGUUGUUGUGCUAAUAUACCGCAGGCUAUUGGUCUCUUGUAAAGAACAGAUGUGAGCUUUGUUUUUCACAUCCAUUUUACAAUGCAUCAGAUCCAUCUCAUUCUAGAAAUGAACAUCUUGAUUGAUGUUUGGAUUUUGUAUGUAACUUCUAUAUUUGCAUGCUGUAAGUUCAUUCAAACUGUUGUAGAUCUGAAAGUGAAUUUUCUCAGUGCAGGCCGUUACUGGCAAAUAGCUUGUUAAGCAUCAUACAAACACUUUUGGAUCAAUCAAGGCAGGAUGACAUGUGCAUCAUUGGCUGUGAAACCUUGUUUGAUUUCACUGUCACUCAGGUAUUCAUUAUUCAAUUUGUGUAGUGGACAGUGGAUACCUUUCUAUACUGAGGAUGCUAUUUCAAUCUCAAUCAGUCACUGAAUUAUGAGUUGGUUCCAGUUGGAUGGUACAUAUCAGUUCGAUUUGGAAGAGCUUAUUCCAAGCCUCUACAAACUUUCUCAAAUAGUAAGGGACGAAGAGAAAGCUAAUGCACUCCGUGCAGCAGUCUUGCAAUCUCUUUCUGCUAUGGUAAGUCUCCUGCACAGUAUGAUGAACAAGUUAUCAUUGUAUCUAUUCACAAUGCCACCAUGUUCUCCUCAAGUAAUAUUAGAUGCUGCUUCAGCUCAGAUAAAAAAACAUAAAUAAGUUGUUAGUGGACCUACGAUUUGGCAAAAUUUCUUUCAGUGUUAAAGUAUAGCCCAAUCAAACUUAUUCUGGUUAUUCUCAUCACAAUUAGGUGCAUUUUUUGAAGCACUGUUUAUAGUCGUUGGCUUAGCAAUUGUUCAUGGUAUAUACCUGGGGUUCCAUCCUUUUCUUUACAGUUCUGCUAAAACUGGCUAAGAACCCCAAUAAGAAAAUUCUAGCAGUUUACAACUUUGAAUUUUUUUAAUGCUGCACUUUUGGUUUUCUUUUGCAUCCUUAUUACAAUAAUGGGGAUAUGUUGAGUAAUUUUGUGUCUUUACAAAGAUUGGUCCACUUUUGGUUUUCUUUUGUAUUCUUAUUACAAUACAUAUAGUUAUUAACAAAAAAACAAUGCAAAGUACAAUCCAAAAUAUGCUCCAGCACUAACAUACUGUUCAUUUUAUAUGCUGAACAGAUCUGGUUUAUGGGUGAGCUCUCUCAUAUCUCAUCAGAGUUCGAUAAUGUAAGUAUCUUGCAGUAGUUCUUGUAGUUUCUCUGUUUUACUUAUCUGUCCUUGAAACUUCAGACUGCCAUUAUUUUCUUAUUGUUAGAUUAGAUGUUUUUUCAUGUAUGACAGUCAGAAUAUCACCUUAUACAACCUAGGAAGGAAUGUUGCUUAGUUAUGCAGAUCUGCUCAAAUAUUUUCAAGCUGUGAUACAAUUCCUACACAUAUAAUAGUACUUUUGCUUCUAUAUGUUUACUGAAUGCUAUACCUUUUUGCUAUGAGCGGGUUUUUUUUGCGGUAACAUAUUGUGCUCUUAAACUUUUAUACUUUAUUCACUAUAAUUGUCAGGUUGUCGAAGUAGUAUUGGAAAGCUAUGAGCCUCGAAAGGUGCAAAGUGACAAUAGCGCUGCCGCUACUAAAAAUCCAAGUUGUCAGUGGGUGGAAGAGGUCCUUAAAACCGAGGGCCAUGCCUCUCCAUCUUCAUUUAUAUUUUCUGUGAUACCUUCUUGGGAGAGCAUAGUUAGUGACUUUGGAGGAGCUCAACUGCUUAUGUAAUAUACCAUUCUUAGGGAACUUAAGUUUGUUAUUUCCUCUUAUUUUUUAGUUCUUAACUGACUCCUGUCUUGUAGGGAUGAUUCCAAGGAUCCUUAUUUUUGGUCAAGAGUCUGUGUGCAUAACAUGGCUAAGCUGUCCAGGGAGGCAACCACAUUCCGCCGUGUUAUGGAGUCCCUAUUUCGCCACUUUGAUAAUACCAAUUCAUGGUCAUCCAAGAAUAGUCUUGCACUUUGUGUUCUACUGGACAUGCAAAUGUUCAUGGAAAACUCAGGUGCGCUAUUCGCAUUAAGUAAACCUUCGUCAUUAACAUAAUAACACGACUAUUUUAUUUAUUUAGCUACAACUGGCUUUUGCAGGGACAAACAUUAAUUUGAUGAUAUCAGUACUAGUAAAACACCUUGAACACAAGGCCAUACUGGAACAACCUGAGAUGCAACUCAGCAUCGUGGAAGUGAUAGCUGCUCUUGCAGAACAAUCAAGAGCUCAGGCUUCAGCAGCAACCAUGGUUGCUAUAAGUGACCUUGUAAGGCAUAUGAAAAAGACACUGCAUUUAGCUCUCGGUAGCAAAGAUUUGGAGGUGGUAAAGUGGAAUGACAAACUCCGCAAGGCUUUUGAUGAAUGCAUAACCCAGCUGUCAAAGAAGGUCAAUUUCCCUCCAAUUGAAACUUUAUCAGUGAUUUUUACUUGCUGCUCUUUGCCUUUUCUUCCCUUGCUAAUUUGAUGCCAGUAUAAUGCUUCUUACUUCUUAGUUUGGUUUGCAUAAUAUUAUAGAGUUAUAUAGUUCAUAUGAGAUCACAACUUAGUUGGUGUUGCUGAUCAGGUAGGUGAUGCUGGGCCAGUUCUUGACAUGAUGUCUGUGAUGCUAGAGAACAUAUCACGCACUCCUCUUGUUGCUAUAGCAACUACCUCAGCUGUUUACCGCACAGCUCAAAUAAUCGCUUCAAUACCAAAUUUGUCGUAUCAGAACAAGGUAUGGUGUUGGAGCACAAAAUUUGAAUUCAUUUUAGCAGUAGUUCUUAGUGAUUUUUCAAUUGUUUAUCCUGUGUCAUACUUGUCAGGUAUUUCCAGAAGCACUUUUUCAUCAAUUGCUGUUAGCGAUGGUUCACCCUGAUCAUGAAACACGUGUUGGUGCACACCGCAUAUUUUCUGUUGUCCUUGUUCCAUCUUCUGUUUCUCCCUUUCCCAAUUUGAAAUCCCUAGAUCAGUGUAGAAAGCAUGAUGUCCAGAGAACACUCUCGAGGGCUGUAUCUGUCUUCUCAUCUUCAGCUGCUUUGUUUGAUAAGCUGAGAAGGGACAAAAACUCCUUCAGAGAAUAUUUUCAUGAAGGAAGCAUGAACAGAAUUUUGCAUGGUAUUGAUGAUGAAACUGCUACUCCCAAUGACUUGCUAGGCUCCCAAAGUUUGAGAGAAAACCUCAGAUUUCCUUCAGUGUCUCGGAAAUAUUCUUCUGCUUCUUUAAAGGAAGGUCAAAGUCCCGUGACGGAGUCAAUCAACGAAAUGGUAUGUUCUGCCAUGAGCAACCUCUUCGUUCCCCUCCAAAGGAAAAAAAAACCCCAACAUGUUGAACCUUGUGCUUAGAAAUUUACAGGCUAGUAACAAUUGAACAAAGUUUUUCUGCUAUUCACAUCCUUUUAUCUAACUUUUGGAUACUUUCAGGAAAUGACUGUGUUAAGACUAAGUAGUCAGCAGGCCACUCUUCUGCUCUCAUCUAUUUGGCGUCAAGCGCUUUCUCCAAAAAAUACUCCUCAAAACUAUGAAGCUAUUGCUCAUACAUAUAGUUUGCUUCUAUUGUUUUUGGGAUCAAAGGUACUUAAUUUUUGUAGCUGCCAUUUGUCUUGUGCCUAUUGUUUAUGGGUUGCAGAGAAUUGCUAUUCUUCCUGCAAUUUGUUUGAUUUGAUUAUUUUUCUGUUAAAAUGAUGAUACUUAUAUUGUCAUGCAUGAUCUUUAUCAUAUGGCUUAUUGCUUUCGCUCUUCUUUUUGUCGUCACCACAUCUUUUAAUCCUCAGUUACAUGAUGCUCUUUUGGAAUGGUCAUCACUGAGAACAUUAUUCUCUUUGUUUUUUUUCCCUUUUUGCUCUUCCAGACAUCAAUUUUUGAGGCUCUUGCUCCCAGUUUUCAGAUUGCAUUUUCUUUAAUGAGCCAUUCACUUGGAGGAACAGGUGAAGCAAUUUAUCAUUUGCCUAGAGUUAACUAAAGUACAUGUUGGUCUGGUUUCUGAUAAGUACCUAACCAUUUGUUUAGAUUCAUUGCCACCAUCUCGCCGCCGGUCCUUAUUUACUCUGGCUACAUCUAUGAUUGUUUUUUCCUCAAGAGCUUUCAAUGUGGCGACUCUUCUCCCAAUUUGUAAAUCAAUGCUCAAUGAUAGAACGGUAUGUCCAAUCAAAUUCCACUCCACACCGCCUCUUCAAUCAAGCCUCCUUGUUUUUAGUAGAGUUCGGUAUAUUAUAUGUGCAGUGUAUGUUCUACAUAAUGGGGGUAAAUAUCUGUAUAUGUGAUGUUGGACAGUGAUAGACAUGAUUCAGAACGAUGUCAUAGGAAGGAGGGUGUUGAUAGAGGGAGAAAAGGAGACUGAGAAACUGGUUGACUUGAUUUAUUCAUGUUUUUGCUUGAUCAUGUAAAUAUGUAAUGAAUGUCCUAUCCUCUUAAAUAGACUCUGACUCCUGAGAAAUGAUAGAUUUAACGUCUGACGAAGCUAAUAGAUAACAAGUUGGGGAAUUUAAUUUGACAAGCUUAUAGAUAAGGUACAGAUAGAUUAAUUUAUCUGCUGGUGUGCUCAGAUGACAAAUACCACUGCACUUCUGCACAUGAUUAGCAGAAUAGUGCCAAAAGUGAAUGUGCUUUUCAUCAAAUGAACACAACAUUUUUGUGUUCACUUUGCGUUCACCAAUUACUUUUCGGUUGCACCAAUUACUUUUCUUCUAGAUGCAAAGCAUACAGUGUGCAUGUUUAUACUAUACAUUAAUAAUGCAUUACUGUUCUUCAUGUCAUUUUUGUUGCUUCCAUAUCUUUUUAAUCAAUGAAAGUUCUAAGCUUUCUGCACCGCAACUGUUGUAGAUGGAUCCAUUCCUUCAUUUGGUACAUGAGAACAAACUUCAGGCUGUGAAGGACUAUACAGAAGAUCCAUCAACAUUCUAUGGCUCAGCUGAGGACAAUCAGAAUGCCUUGAAGUCUCUUUCAGCAGUGGAACUAACAAAUAGUUGCUCUCGAGAAUCCAUGGUCUUUGCCAUUAUGAACUCCAUAACAGAUUUACCUGAUGUAAUUUUCCAUCCAUUCACCGUAAGCAGUUCUUAUAUUUGCCUAAACUGAAUACCAUGGAAUGUGUGGAUAAUGAACUUUCCUCACAACUUCUGCAGCUGGAGUUAGAGAAUAUUAGGAGUCAACUGCUACGUGAUUUCUCCCCUGAUGAAAUGUGCCCAGCUAGUGCUCACUUUCUUGAAUCACCUGGCAAGAUUGCACGGCCAAGUUCUGAUGAUGACACCGACUAUCAAGAGGUAUAUGUGUAUCACCUAUAUAUCUGUCUCGCUUUCUUUACCAUCUUAACGGUACAUGGAAAUUUUGAGCAGGCUGAACUUAUCGAUCUGAGAAAUGACAACAAUACUUUUGCGGAAUUCUCUGCAACUACACUGACGGCUACAGCUAUUCCUGUGCCCACAACAAAUCUUCUCAGUAUUGAUGAACUUCUAGAAACAGUAUGUUCUUUUUUUCUCUCUCAAAGUUCAUUGUUCCACUCUUCUCUCUUCGUUUGUUUGUUUGUUUGUUUAUACCACCAUCUGUGUGCACAAUGCACAUUACAGGUCAUGAAUGACACGUCAUCUCAGACCAGAGCGCAAUCGAUGGCCGGUGACAUCCCAUUCCAGGAGAUGACUAGCCACUGCGAGGCCCUUUCGAUGGGAAAGCACCACAAGAUGUCCCUGCUCAUGAGCUUCAAGCAAAACAAGCAAGCUGCCACCGCUGUCGUGCCGGAAAAUCAGGUUAACCGCGAUGAAGCAGCCCAUACCUCCAACAAGCAGGUGCGUGGAUCAGCUUAGUUUCAAGCUCGUAAUUUGCAUUUCCACGGACGCUUAUUUGUAAAUCGGGAAAAAAUAUAUCUUGGGGAUGAUAUGGGAUGGGGAAUUGUGGAUGGUGAGAUGAUGAGGCUGACUGUUGCCGGUUUGUUUUCAGAACACAAACCCGUUCCUCCGGCACAGCAUCGGUGCCGAAGUGGCACAGGUUGCUGGCGUCGUCCAGCAGCCGUUCCUGAGGCUGCCAGCGUCCAGCCCCUACGACAACUUCCUCAAGGCUGCUGGCUGCUGAUUUCCGCAUCCCUGCAGAAACCCCGCCGUGUAACGAACUGAAUGUAUAUGUAACAGUGGUUGGCAGCUGAUUGGUCAUACAGGCCAAAGCUGCCAUUUUGCUGCUGUAUCUGUGUGCCUUCAGAAAAGAAAAGAAUGAAAUGAAAAAAGAGGACUCCAAGUUUUCAAAGAAAGUUGCCUGCCGCAAGCUUAUUUUCUUUUUGAACGAACUGGCACGGUAUUGUGUUCAUUUCAUAGAACAGAGAAGAGCUGCAGCUGCCUCGAGCUUACGAGCUAAACAAGAGCAUUGCCAUCUGAUCUUUGACAUGCAAGCGUUGAUUUAUCGGGUCAAUCCAAAACUCAUCUAAUUGAAGGAUUUUUUUUAAGAAGCCGGCAAGAGUUUAGUUGAAGAAUUCCAAAGCAAAGGCAAUGGGAUUAUAGAUAAAUGCUGCAGCCAUCCACUCCAUUGGUGACAUCAAGGACUAAAGGACAUGCAUGGACGGCACGUCGUGCUCAUCAACCCUGAGAAGGUCGCAUCAGCGAUCCAUCGUUACUUACAAGUCUGAGCUGGAAAUGAAGGAAUAAUCGAUUAAACAUGACGGAAGGUGGCCGGCGACGUAAUUCUUGGCGCCAUCCGUACUAUACGCGAUCCUUGCGGCCGUACCGUAUCCCAGAAAACCUAAACAAUGCCCUUCCUCGCUCAUCCUAUAUAUACUUUUCCGGACACCCUUGUCAUCGACGUUACGUUGCUACAAGUACAACUAUGUUCGAUAGCUUUUAUGCGUCAUAGUCAACAAUAUAGUAAUGCAAUACGGAGUUCGAGUGAAGACUCUUUUAACUUGCACUCCUGUUUAUUUAUCUAGCUGACUGGUUGGUUUGUUAUAUAGGGGACUUUUAUAUUAUAUACUCCCUUCAUACCACAUCUCGUACUUUAAGGAGUCGAUCAAAUUCAAAUUAGACUAGAGUUAUAGAAAUAACAAUAUUAAUAUUUAUAUCUUUAAAUAGGUUUACUAUAAAAAUACAUGGCGCGAUCAAUCUAAUGAUAUUGAUUUGAUAUUAUAAAAUUAAUAUUUUAUAUAUAUUUAGUCAAAUUUAAGAUUGAUUGAUUUCUCAAAGUAUGAGAUUUUACUUAUUUUGGAGAUUGAUUGAUUCCUCAGAGUACGAGAUUUUAUUUAUUUGAGGACAGAGGGAAUAAAUUAGCAAUAUACUGCGACCUCUAGCCACACUUAGAUCAUUUUUGUUUUAGCUUACAUAGUUAUUACAUUAUUUCAAUUGUAUGCAAGAUAGAGAAACGGAAAAUUAUAUCAUAGCAAGGAAUAAUUCCUCAUAUGCCACCCAAAAAAAUCUUAAAUCUCUGAGAUUCCAUAGUCGGCGACGGUCCCAUGUGUUGUAGAUAUAGUGAUUCAUAUUUGUGAGCUUUUUUGUGGUAUAUAUGAGGAGUGAUAGAAGAAUAACCAGUAAUGUCAGGAAUGAAUGAAGCAAAUACUUGCCACAAAUUAUUUUUUAAGGGACAAUAAAAACUUUGUCGUGAUUUUAUUAGACAAACAAGGAUCUGGUGAAUUAUUAUAAUGUAGGAGCUGUUUUGUUUCAGUUGCAUCGUUUGGCUGAUAAGUCAUAGCAGAAAGUACUGUUAGCUGAUUUGUUGGGAGAAAAAAACACUGUUGAAUGUUUGGUAGAUUCGGCUGAUAAGCUCGAGUGAACAAGCUAAACACAAAAUGGGCCUUAGUUUUGCGUUUUAGACGUCAAAAACAAGAUAAAAAGCAAACUACAUCUCCAUAUCUCAGCGUCCACAGGGGGAGCAUGUGACAUGGAAAAAUUAAAAAAAUAAGGCAGAAGGAUCAAGCUAAAACAGGGGCAAACUGCUAGCUAAUGACUUAUCAACACCCAAAUUUAAAAUCAUAUGUGCAUCAGUACAUACUAGUGUCCCACCCAGCUCACAUUGUAGUCUACACUUAUUAUUAUAUAUACUCCCUCCGUCCACAAAUAAAUGCAUAUCUUGUUUUUCGAAGAGUCAAACCUUUUUAAAUUUGACCAAAAAUAUACUAAUAUUUAUCAUAUUUAAUAUGUAUCAUUAGAUUGAACAUGAAAUGUACUUUCAUAAUAUACUUUUUUGCAGAUACGAAUAUUGAUAGUAUUUGAUAUAUUUGUUAAAAAAGUUUGACUUCUCAGGAAGUGAGACGUGUAUUUAUUUAUGGACGGAGGGAUUAUGCAGGCUAUACAGCAUUGCAAACUUUGCACAUUGUAGAUUACUCCUAUACACUAGCAUUGUUUAGUGCAAGGAUACAGCUAAUAAUCCAAGCACAUCCUCAGAGGGGAGGGAGCAUGCUUCCAUGCUGCAAACAGCACUCCAAGUCCAAGCCUCUGCUCACACUUCAUCCCUCCCUCUCCUCUCCUCUCCGUUUUGAUCAUCAUCAACCAGGUGGCAGGUGUGCAUGGCGAUGACCCAGGCGCUGAAUCGAUCACGCCACCAUUUCCCAUCUGAUCGAUCUCUUCUUGGAGCUAGACAGCAACUGGCGCAGCUGAACGACAAGAUCAGGAGCAGAGCAGGCGGUCUUGUAGUUCUUGGCUCGGCGUCAGCGUCGGCGAUGAUGGCGAUCAGGGGCUACUUCCGGGCGCCGGCGAGGCUGCAGGGGAGGAAGAGGAAGCAGCAGGCGGCGGAGCGGGGACUCCGGGGCGACAGCCUGGGCGCCGCGCUGCUCGACGAGGCCGAGCUGCCGGCAGUGCCCAGGGGCUACUUCGCCGUGUACGUGGGCGCGGAGGCGCGCCGGUUCGUGGUGCCGACGGACUACCUCCGCCAGCCGGCGUUCCGGGACCUCAUGGAGCGCGCCGCCGAGGAGUUCGGCUUCGCGCAGGCCGCCGGCAUCCGCAUCCCGUGCCGCGAGGAGGACUUCGAGGCCACCGUCGCCGCGCUCGAUCUCGAGUCCGCCGUGGCGCGCCGGCGCUCCCGGGCCGGCACCGGUAGAGCCACCGCGGCGGCGGAGCCCAAACUGCCCAAGGCCAGGUCGUUGUAGCAAGCCAGGCAUGCAGAAUUUGCAGGCCAUGGAGAUGCGCAAUGCAAGUAUUCUUUGCAGCUCAAGCUGACUUUGAUUAGAUCAAGUCAGUCAAAUCAUUAGGCAUUAGCUUUGGAUCAGUAGAUAAUCGAUCUGUGGAGUAGUGUUUGUUCUGCAAGGGCUCUGAAACUGGCAUGAAACAAGAAAAGGAAUAAUUCGUUCUUUGUUUUUCAUCUGUAGUUAAUUUGAAGAUUUCUAGUCAUGAUUUAAGGCAAAUUUUCUGUGUGUUGUUGCAUAUUCUUGAGCGUCAAACCCAGUUUCAGUGACACUGUUUGUGGAUAUUUUCAACAACAAUAGUCAAUGACAUUUAUCAACUAUUUUGAAAAAUGUAACUAUUGUUGUUGCAUAUUAUCAACAGCAAUAGUUAGUGGCAUUUAGGAAAACUUGCCAUGCUUAUGAAUUGUGAUAUGAGUGGCACACAAUUUGCCAUCAUGACCCACUUUCAGUGACACUGUCUGUGGAUCAUCUUAAGUGAUGGGUCUGGAAUGGAGCAUGCAAACAUGUCAUCGGAUGAUCCUGAGUUGAGUGAGUGAUUUCUAUUCAAGCUCAUCUUCCCUUGAAAGAAAACGUAACUGACAUUUUCUCCCCAAAUGGCACUUCAACUUUGUCUUCAGUUCAGGCUCUAGAACCAAGAUAACCUACAUUUGUCAUCUGGCCAAAUGCUGUCUGGAUUUGUUCAGAAAACAGGAUGGCAGAGAUCUGCUGUUUCUUCCAGUUGCAACAAGAUAUUAAUAAUCUUUGAGCUGGCAGAACUGAAAAAAAUAUUGCAAAUAUCUUUUAUCCGCGGGGAUUACUUGGUCUCGAGAAGUGCCUGUCUGUCGGAAUACAUGUGAAGAAGAUUUCAUGCUUUUUGUGAUCUAGUGCUCAUGCCAUGUGUAAUUGUACGGCAUGUAUUUCUUCUGAUCUGGAACUCUCUUUAAUGAGUCUCAGUAACAUGUCUAAGAGUAAAGAAUGUGAUAGCAUCAUUUUUUUUUUACCAAAAUAUAUGCAGCAUUGCUAGUUAUUUGUUAAUAGAGGACAGAGGGGAUUAAGGUAAUCUAGGGGGUACAUGUGUCAAGAGGCAAUUUAGCAAUAGAGGUAUAUUGAGUUACAGAAUUCUAAGGCACAGCUCCCUUAAGUUAAAGCAUUGACUUCCCUAUAGGAUUCUUGGUAGUCAGAACUGAACUUUCCUAUCUUUCAAAACUGAACUAAGGCCUUGUUUACUUCCGAAAAGUGAAAAGUUUUUGGUACUGUAGCACUUUCGUUUGUUUGUGACAAAUAUUAUCCAAUCAUGGACUAACUAGGAUCAAAAGAUUCGUCUUGUGAUUUACAACUAAACUGUGUAAUUAGUUUUUGUUUUCGUUUAUAUUUAAUGUUUCAUGCAUGUGUCACAAGAUUCGAUGUGAUGGGGAAUCUUGAAAACUUUUUAGUUUUCAGAGUGAACUAAACAAGGCCUAAAUUUGAUAUUGAACACAAACAAAGAAGCUAAGGAGGACAGAAUGACAGAUGACAGUUGCCACCUCAUCAUUGCAAAGAGAUGACUGAGGGGGAUGCAUCAAUCAUGUGUAUAAAACUACACAUACUGAAAAUUCGGAAGUAGUAGUGUUUACUUCAUUGAGGCACAACCACAUAUUAUACUUUGGGUUCAAAAUAGUGUGCAAGAACAUUGUUCACUUCUGAACAGUUACAAAAGGAAAGUUAAAGUUGAAGUACAAAGAACAAGGUGGAAAAUGAAUUCUUAAGAAAGGGGGACAUUUACUAAAUCUGCUUGGAGCAAAUCCUUCAUUUUAAAUUCUUAAAAGAAUGUGAAUCCCUUGUUUCAUCCUCCCGUAUAAAUUUGCAAAGCCUGUCAAUUUGCGGACUCUUCCUCCUCUCUUCUCCAUGGAACACCAAGAACCAAGAAUGGAAAAAGAAAAGGAGAUGUUGAGAAAGAAACUCAUUAUCUGCAUAAGAUCCCAGGCUGUGAAGGACUGUAGCAAACUGCCUCCUUCCUGCCCACCAGCCUGAGGAUGCCCUCAAACACCUUCACAUCACAGGGGAUUCUCAGAGCUCCCUCAUGCUGGAAUCCAAAUUCCUCCUCUGCCUCCUUCAGGAGCUCCUCAAAUGCCCAGUGGCCUAGGUACUCCGUGGGGAUCACAAACCUCUUCAUCUCCAUGCCAACGCACACCGCAAAGAAACCCUUUGGAACACCAUGGUUGCUGCUGCUCUUGCCGGCUUUUGGCGAGAGUGCAAGCCGCUUCCACUUCUUCAGAAGUUGUUGCAGCCUCACAAUGUCUCUGAUCUUGUUGCUGCUGGACCUGCCUUGCUCCCCCAUUGUCAGUCGAUGUAGCUGCCUAUCUCUGCCUCUGCUUUCUGCUCCCUCUGCUGGGUGCUACAGACAAUAUAUAGGAGGUUGGAUCAGUGUCUAAGCAUGGUUUAGCGUGUUCACCGGGUUAGUUUGAAUGUACUAAUCAGUGGCUUGAUACGAUGCUUUUGUUUAAGUCUGUGGGCAAGGUUUUCUUUAUGUUGUCGUUCUUGACAUAAUAAACUAAAGCAAAAGGGUAUGAGCACAUGCGACAGCAGCUGAUCAGAGUAAUCUGAUUGUACUGUCUGGUUAAACAUGUAAAGAAAUCGUAGAAUUUUCAACAACGCAUAUGAGGCGGCGCUGCAGGUUGCUUCAAAGAUUAAAGAGGACAUAGCGCAAAGAGAAAGGGCUAUUCAGAGAGCAGGCUAGCUUUUUUCUGGUUUUUGUUUCUUCUUCUCUGAGUGCUCUGCUUUUAAGCAGCUGUCUACUCAAGCUGUACAUAAAACUUCCUCUUUUCUAACUUAAUAGAGAGGCAGAGCUCCUGCCAUUCCUUUCAAAAAAAAAAAAACAUGUAAACUGUGACAUUCUAAAGCCAUCAGCUGCUUUCAGCAGUGACAUCAUACUUCAUUAGUUUGGAAUGUGCCUAUAUAUCUGGAAGAACAUGGAAAACUUAGUGACAUCAAUAUCAUUGUGCGGAGUUCAGAAGUAUUUCCUCAACAAAGAAAACAAUUAGCUAACUGCCAGUUGAGUGUGAAAUUGCUUAAAAGGUUUCCUGAAUUAUAUACACAGCGAUUGUACUACUUUUUUGAAAAUAAGUUGAUCUUUCCAUGUCAUGUCAAAUACCUGACUAACUUCUGAAGGAUGCAAGUGCAAUCCAACUGAUGAAAGAUUCCCCCACUCUGCUAAUGAUGAGAAAAGGGCCCAGAUGUUCGCAAUCAGCACCAACUCUACUCUACUUAUCUGAACAACCACCAUGCAUGAUUUGCUUCAACCUCAUCAUUGAUGCAAACCAAUUGACAGUUCAUGGUUUGGAGAAGUACGCCUCUAGUCCUAGCUUUAGGUAGCACCGGAAACUAACACUGAAAGUUCUGGUGUUUGACUAUGAAACAGAAGGUGCUCAGAUAUUGUAUGUACACUGUUUCGCAUUGUUUAUUCCUCAGUUUUCUUUCUGGUGUUAAUCAUUCACAAAUGAUACCUUUUUUCUGCUUAAGAUCAUUUACUAAUCUUUAAAACUUCUUUCUUUAUUUGGGGGUUAUGGGGUCAAUAUCAGCACCCAACCUACGUUAUGCUUCAUAUCUCCCAUGUCUAUACAACUAUUGAAAGUAUAGUUUGUGCUACCGCUUUUACCUGUGAAAAAGAAUACGUUAGUUCUGAGAAAAUGGAGAUGUGCUAUAUUAAGAACAAUUAGAAUCACGUUUCAGGUAGUAGUAAAACAUCUCAAAGUACUUGAUCAAGCUCAGUUUACUAAUGAGGAAUUAUUGCAUAACUAAAGUAGGUAUUGGUCCCCUACUCAAAGAAGGAAGCAUUGGCAUGAUAAAUUCUUUCAGACAAUCCAAGUUAGAUUAGUGUUGAAAGAAUUGGUCCCCUACUCAAAAAAGGAAUAAAGGAUUAUAUAAAUGUAGCAUGGUUCUCCCAUCUAGCCCUGUCUACAUUCACACAAGAGUUCCUCCUGGAUACUGUCUACAGACUAGUACAGCAACCACUAUAUCUGAGGUUCAUGCACCUUAAGUUUCUGAAGUACAGCAAUGUUGGCUCACUCAGGAACACACAUUAAACAAAAAGAAAGUGCCAUCAGGACUGAGGAUGCACCUUAAAAAAAUAGAAGGUGCCUUUUCUUGUGGCAAAAAAAAAAUGUGAACUCCCAUUGUCGCGUUAGAGUGCAUAACUGAAGUAACUGUUGCUCCCUCCUUCCUGACACAUUAGUCACUCACAUGGGCUCUGAAAUUCUAGCAGAUGAGCAGAUCGAAAAGCAGAUAUGAAGAACAAACAACAGAGUGGAAAUGGUUGCACAUGCCAUGGCAUCAACAAUGGAGUAAGUUGACACAUUUGCCAGAUCUGGCAUCAUGGCCUCGUGGAGAACAUAUGCAUAUGAAAAGAGUCUUCAAUUUGAUGAUUAUUAUCACUGGACUCACAGCUAUUGUCACCACAGUAACUAAGAACUUAUCUGCUACUGAAUAAUUAUGUUUGCAGUUUAGCACUAAUAUACAAGGGCAAGAAGGACCUUAUAGCACCUGAGCAACGGUGAGUAGCUGAGCAGCCAGAUAACUUGAGAAAAUAUCAACUCACAAUGAUAAUUUCAAGUACAUGUAAUUGGAUGGCCGUUGGGCCGGCCCAGCAGAUCCAUCUGGAGCUCUCUCAAACACUUUUUUCAACAAUAGCGGGAUAUCUAUGGGAGAGCUGCUCAAUGGUGGAUCUGGUGCUCCGGAUCUGGUUAGCCCUCCCAAAUAGGCCCUUGAUCUAGUAGCACCAGAUGAAUCCAAAAUGGCUGCAAUGGAGUUUCAAUGUAAAGGUUCUCACAAAAUCUGACUGCUUGUACUCCGAUUGUUGCUUGAAUGGAGUCUGGAGUGAUGUCUUUAAGUAGCACAUGCUCCAUUUUCCCUGCAUAAAUAGUUAUUAUAUGAUGAUACCUGAGGACUUAGCUCUGCCUGAGGCACGCCAACAGCAAAGCAAAAAAGCUUUAAAACCAAGGAUGAUAUCAUGGUGUAUAGCAAAAGUUGAUGUAGCGGUACUUGAAGUAUAGGCUCUGCUUUAAACCAAAGUGCAUGUCACAACGUCCUUGAACAAAUGUUGAGAACUUUGAAAUCCCAUAAUAAUACAGAUCCUUGUGUUGGCUCCAAAUUCCCAGCAAACGAAACAAAAAAAAAGAACCAAACUACAGAAGAAUUAGGCAAUCAACAACACAUAAGUACCAGUUGAAACUGUUCCCAUGGAAUGAAGACCCUGUUCUCAAUUAACUUCAGAGCAUAGGUGAAAAUGGUACUUGUGAGCCUUGAAAUGUACCAAUUAAAUUAGUUGUGGCAUCAUCUGACUACUACAUUUUACCACCUUAUAAAUGCACAUAGUAAGUAGCAACCUACCUGGUUCGUAAACUUGAACAAAGUUUCUGUGUACACUCUUCUUAAUCGCUCAUUAUCUGUAUACGAACAAUUACUCAUUUCUCCUGACCUCAAGAAGGUAAGUAAAUGACUAGCUAUUGUAUAAUUUACAGUGUGUUUAAACUUGCAGACAUCACUGGAGUGGUUAACAUUUCUUAAGACCUGUAACGUGCAAUCCAAGGGCUUCACGCCUCUUGAGAUCAGCAGUACAGUUUACUCUUAAAGCCUGGAUUUCCAUAAGUGCAUCUUUGUACCCCUAUUCAUAAAAAGGAACCGAAAGGCAACACAAGACCAAUAAGGAGGGCAAAAAAUGCUAACAAGUAUGUAGAAUGAAUGGUACAAGCCAUCUACCUUAUGUAAUGUAAACUCAUACAGUUGGACUUAUAGAAACUAGUGAACUUCUGUAUAUAUACGACCAAGGCAAAAGCCAUCUGCAGCAUUUGUUUUCGACUAACCCACAGCAUUAUCCUAAUACAACAUCCAACUAGCAGGCAGCUGAUAGUCCGCCACCAACAGGACCAGAAAUCUGGUCGAACAUGCCAAUGUAACUGAGGCACCCAUUACCGACUUGCAAAUGCAGCCAUUGGAGCAUUUCAUCAAACAUGAGCUGAGGAGUGAGCACGUGCUACCCUACGCUUAGGCUGAAAAAUGAACUAUCACUACAAUUUUCAAAUCUGACUCUGGCUGCCUAGCGAAGAGAACCAAUCAUGCCCUAGCUCACUAGCUCCGAUCUGGGCGACGGUUGCUCACCCACUCUAGUCCAAAUCGAAGGGGCUGAGAAUACUCUAGGUCUACUUUUGUUGAGGAUUAUGUGUUGAUUUGAGUUCGGGGUUACAGCUUGGAGGUCGUGUGCAAGCGGAGUCCAUGUCCUAGGAUUUUUAUGUAUGUGCUUGGCUUGGUAACACUACAUGCAGCCAUUUAACCUGUUGACAUUCCAGUCACAUUUGCUUGAAAGAAGAUGUUUCUUCUUUGGAUUUUGCUACGGUUGAAAUUUGUUUGCGUUUCUCCAUGUAGGUCAAAUCCUCACUAAGUGACCAUGGCUUGGAUUAGUUCACUACAGGUGGUUAGAAAUGUCUCAAACAAUCGGAACUUAGAGCAGAUAGAUAGACCUAUGAUUUCUCCAAACAUAUAUUUGUUUUCCACAAUAGGUGCUCACAUUGAACUAAAAAAAAGGUGCUCACAUCGCUUCCUGCUGUACCAGGUUCCACAUAAAUAUUUGUGAAGCAUGUAUCAACAUAUUCCUUUUCUGGGGCAUCCUCAUACCAUUUUUUAAACACUACAGAACAUAGCAGUCAUGUAUGAUGCAGGUUGUUGUCACAAGAAAGGAUAGAAAAAUUGGUCAGUAACUAACACAAUAUUACAUCAUAGUUGUGACUAUGAAUUAUAUUUUACCGAUAGAUAUUUGUUCUCUAUUCAGCAACACCAUGUACUUCCAAAGUUUGACAAGUGGCUAUUUAAGUGAUUGCAGGCUUAGAUAAUUUUUGGAACACACACUACAUUGCUCCAGAAACUGUCUGAAGAAAGGGUAUCAAUCUGCACUAGCAAUCACAUUAAUAAGUGAGUCCCUGAAUCUGCAGCACCAAGGACUUUGAGAAUUAGACUGAACAUGCAGUACUGUUCAAUUGUAAUAGGUGACAGAAAUCCAUGGGCCACACUUCCUUCUCCCGCUGCGUACAGGUUCAGAUUGUGUCUCAUCUUUGGCCUUAUGGAAUCCUUCCCACGAGCAAUAGAAACACUUAUUUAUCAGCAAUUCAUUCUUCGCUUUGUGCUGACUGACACGUACCGGAAACCCAACAUGUGCAGCAUAGGCUUUGUAGAACUCUCUGGCUAAUUCAAUAUCCUCAAAUGUCAUGCCAACUGCUGGCUUUAAGGACUCAUCGCAUUCUGCUGUGUAAGAUGAGCCCUGCAUGAAAACAACAUUAUUGCGUAAACAUGAAUGACUGUUGGUAGAGAUCAUGCAUUUUUAUUUUUUGGUAACAUAGCAACAACAGAAAAUUUCUUACUGAGAAAGGUACAAACCAUGAUUUUUGUGGUGCUGUAGACCCUACCCUCAAACAGUGGCGGAGCUUCUCACAAACCAAUAGGGGCCAUGGCCACCCCUAAACUUGUGUAAACUUCAUUAGUUGCAGCCAUUCUGGCUUGAUAAAAACUAAAGAUUAGCCUUGUUCUUUAAUGGUUGGCCCCUGCUGGAUUUAGGUCCAAGCUCCACCACUGCCCUCAAAGUCAUGUAUCCACAACCCGGUGCGAAGGAUGAUCUAUUAAUCUUUGCAUAAGAAAGCAUGAAUAUGUUAUGUGGUAAUUAUGUCUUUGAAAUACAUUACACGGUACAUUUUUUCAUACAUUGAAUGAUAUACUCCAUGAUUUUCAGGAUGCUGCACAUCUCACUCCAAAAGUGGCAUCCACUUGGACUACUGAUUCGGCAUCAUACAACACAUCCAGUGAAUCAGGUGCUACAGCGUUGCUCGUGUCAACAUUGACAAAGAGAGAGAACACAUAUGAAUUAAUUGUUGUUUGCCGAAAAAAGAGGAUAGUAAUUUUGUUACAAACAGCUUACAACACACCCACAUCUAUUGAUAACAUACAAGCCGCAUUCAAGCAUACCCUUUCUUUUAUUUAUUUUUGUGAAUUACACAAGUAUAGAUGCAGACGUUCAACGCGUACACACACUCAACCUAACGGGAACAUUGGCGUUUCAGGAACGUCUACAUUCCUGGAAUGUGGAACAUGAGAACAGGAACGAGAAUCAUGUUCCCAUUCCCAGGCUGCUAAGACUUCAAUCCGGGUGGAUAAAUCCCACCGCAAGGACCCUAACCAACUUGGUAUUAAUAACAUUAGCAUGGUCCAAUCCGUAGCAAAGAUUCCACAUAUGGCACCAUGUAAUGCGAAAAAGGGUGUCCCUGAUAGAUAAAAUUUACCCCUUUCCCGUGAACAUACACCAAGUUAAAUGGCAUACUGACCACUGUUUCAAGAGAUCCAUCAUGGAGGUUGCACUUCAAAAGGUGAAGAGCAUCCACAGAGAGGAAUAUUGUGCCUUGAUCAGCUGAAGCACAAGCAUAAACACGAAGAAGCCUUGGUACGGGCAGAUUGACACGACAACGUAGUGACCAUGUUAUUAUGUUUUGUCCAUCUUGUGCUAACCAAAUGGAGACUUCACGAGAGGAGGGGGAGUGGACAUAGCACAGAUUGCCACUUAGCUCACACAGAAGGUCAUUGGUACUUAGGUAGCUCCUGCAUGGAGGAUUGGGGUGCACAGUGAACGUAUCAUCGCGCAUGCUGAAUCGGAGGAUAACAUCUGUGUCGAGCUUGCUGUGGUCAGCGUCGUCAGCCACAGACUGGACUGCACUCCAAUAGAAGAAUCCUGGCAAGCAAAUAGGAGUCCUGCCCUUGAUAGGGUAAGGUGGAUCAAUGGUUGCUUUCCAUUCCAACGUCUCUAUGCCAUCGCCAAGCGUCAAGACCUCAUGUCCAACAUCGUAUUCUGUACGUUUUUGCCCUUCACUGUAUGAGCGCAAGAAGUGCCUAGCCACCUUAUACGUACCACUGGAAGGAUCAAAGCCGAAGGCGACCCUUUGGUCCAAUGCCACAUUCCGGGUGCCCCGUGGCAACUCAACAAACUCCUUGGUGGCCGGGUUGCACACAAAUAUGUGCC